rnacentral:lncRNA from 1 species
GAGCAUCGUAUUUCCAUCUCCGACACUUAUUUCCCCUUCAUUAUGAUCAAACUUUGCUUCGACAAUAUAUUCCAGUCUCUCGCAUCCACUUACAUUGAGACUUUUAAGCUGCUCCAAACUUCUAGCUUGUGACAACGUGAAGAUAUAUGUCAACUUGUUGCAGCCAUGCACAUUCAAUUUUGUAAGAGUUUGGAGACUGAUCACAUGUUGGGCGGGCGCCUUCCAUAUCCACUUCAGUUCUGGUAAGUCCCACAUAGAUAACUCUGCUAAUCUUGAGAGACUCUUUCCAUGCGGCGACUUAGAGGCUUCCAUUAUGCAUUCUAAAUCUUCGCAAUCGCGGACAUCAAGACAAGUCAACUCAUUUAAGCCCCUUUCAUCUAUGCUUGGCACGAUAUUAUGACAACCUAUUAACCCCCUCAAACAAAGAAAUUCCAGAUUUUGAUACAAUGCUGAAAAAAUAACGAGCGAGGUCGAAGUUUCAAUCUACGAAGUUCAUCCGACAAUUCUUCAGGAAUUUCAAUGGGAGAAUCCUCGAGAUAAAGAAGUUCAAGUCUCUUCAACUUUCCAAGAAAAGACGCGUCACUCACAUCACAUCGAAUCAACUGCAGAACUCGGAGGUUUUUGUCGAGGAAUCGAAGCGAUUUUAGUGAAAUGACUCCACCUAUUAUAGUAACAACUUUCAAUGCUGGCAUCCCUUUAAAAAAAUGUUCUGGAAUUUGCAAUUCAUAAUUAUAUACGGUGUUCACCAAUCGCAGAAUAUGAAGGUUAGGGCAUAUCAAACCACUAGGAAGCUCUUCUUCUUUUUUAUCUACGACCAAAGACAGUCCCCUACACUGUUCCAGGCCUUCUUCCACCGCCCGUUCCACCAUUUCGAUGCCAGUUAUACUAAAAAAUCUCUCCUCUUCCUCCUCCUUCUUUUUGCUUAUCCAUAUGGCUACAUCACGGACUACGUCAUGAAUUUUCACAGAUCUGUCAUUGCCAGUGUCUAACAGCAAUGAAGAAGCUUUGAGCUCUUUCAUCGUUCCACUCAGUAGGCUCCUGACUUUUUCAAUUGACUCAGCUCGAUACCAUCUCAACCCCACUGCAUAUCCAACCAAAUCAUCCAAAUAUAUCUCAUAAUCCUCUGGAAACAAAGAACACAACAAGAAGCACGACCUGGAAUCCUCACCAUUCAAAUAAUCGUAACUAAAUUUGAGACAAUGGUAAACGUCUUGGUCCUCCUUGCCAAUUCCUUCUAUUGUAUUGAGUUUUGAAUCUUGUAGUUUAUCUAGAGCUAGGUUCCACUCAUCAAAUCCUUUAGCUCUUAGUGCACUUCCAACAGCUUUAAUAGCUAAAGGCAGCCCCUUACAUUCAUUAGCAACCUGUUCUGAAACACCAAUCAAGGUUGAAUCAGCAACAUCAAUGCCAGCAAGCUUUCUUAGUAAAGCCAAUCCUUCUUCUCGCUUUAGAACACCUAGUUGAAUCUGCGGGUCACAACGCAUGCGAUCACAAACUGGCUGCAGGCGAGUGGUUAGAAGGAUUUUGCAACAAUUGUCUCCAUCACCAACAGGAAUACCUACUGUCUUCAAGUCGAGUUCAUUCCAGACAUCGUCAAGUAUUAUGAGUAUCUUGCUGCUUUUACUCUCAGAAAACAUCAAGCGCAAUCGGUCUGCUCUCUCUUUUUCAUCUUUCUCAUUUAGUGCCCAGCCUAACGACUUUGCUAGCUCACCUUGAACCUUUAUUAUAUCUGGAUCCUGAGACACAGUGGCUAUCCCCACCUCAUCGAAAAUCUUUUCUUGCCGAAGUUGAUUGCCCACAAAGUUUGCCAAAGUCGUCUUUCCGACACCACCGAUACCAUACAAUCCCACCAUCUUCGUGCUAUCUCUUUUCAGUUCUUCAAUAAUCUGAUUGCAAGUCGAUUCUGUAGUCUCGAAAGACAUAAAAUGUCUUGGUAUAUGCAAUUCUUUGUCUGAUGGUAGAGGUUUAGGAAGGGCAACUGAGCUGAAUUUGCUGCAUUUCUUUUGUAUAUCGGACAACUUGCUAGUCUUCUUUGAUGCUUUUCUACCUAGCCAAUAUCGCCAACCCCAAUUAGGACACCAUCCAUUAAGACAACUCUUCUUUUCAUCUAUCUUUGCUUUCAAAUUUCGAACGUCGGCCAUUUCUUUGUCUACAUCCUCAAGCCAUGUCUUGACAUCUUCCUCGACUUCUAUAGCACGGUGUAUUUGUCGUUCUUGUUCUACUCUUUUAUUGAUGCCAUCUUGUGCCUCCUUCAAAUUAGUUUCUUGAUCCUCAAGUUCUUUAAUAACGCUGUUGAAACAGAGCAGAUAACGAGCUUGGUUUAUGGUUGCAUCCACCAACAACUCUCCAAGCCUUGAUGCAACACCUGACAAAAGUUCCAUGCUAUUUAUCUGCAAUUAAUAAAGUUGAUCUCAGUAAGCUAUAAGCAAAACAAUGAGGCUUGAUCACAAGAUCGAACGAGAAAGUUUAAUUACCUUUUUCUAUUCUGUGAAUGCACGUUUAUUGACACUAGCUUUGACCAGUAAGAGCAAAAUGCAAACGCCGAGCUUUAAGUGGCCAUUAGCUGCAAAACAAAAGAGAGGAAAUAAGGUAAUUUAUUAUUAUUAUUAUUAUUAUUAUUUUUAAGGACGGAUAAAGGUUAGCUAGCUUGCAGACAAAUUUACUAAACUCAAGACAAACCUAAGAGUUUUCCUAAUUUGUUCAAACAUGGAAUAAGCGUUUCACAACAGUAUAUCCAUAAAGGCCCCAGCGAACGUAAUAUGUGCUGGACUAUAUUGAAAUUAGAUUAUUUUAGAAAAUUUUAAAUAAAAAAUAUCAAACAACAAAGAAAUCUAAUAGAAUCUGGAUAAACAGCAUGGGAGAAUAUGGUAAAAUUGAUAAACUUGGUUCAAAAAUUACAAUUCUUUUUGAGAUUUGAACCAACGAUUUUGACUAAGGUCUCCUAAGCCACAAAGCAUAACUCUUACUACUAAAUUACGCGCAUUUUGUUACAUUUAAAUGUGGUCAUAUUCUUUUUAUUAUCUUUUUUUAGAAGGGACUCAUGGUAUACUUAAAAGAAAUAAUAAUGAUUUAGAUGGGGCUGAAGCCCACUCAUGAAAAAAUUUAAAGGUUUUCAAGAUAAUAACCGAUUAUUUUCCACCCAAUAUUCUAAUAGAAUGGUGCCAGAAUUCUCAAAUAAUAUCUUAAUAUUAUUUAACUGGUUGGCACCCACCUAUUGGAUGAUUAAUUUAAUAAUUUGUUACAUUAUUUAAUACUCCAUCUCACUAUCUAGUGAUGUAAAUGGUGGAGAAGGAUCGUCUCCUAGACUUUUUUCUCUCACUAAUCUCUUAGUGAAAUAAGUGGCCGAAAUUGAAUUUUAAUUUUUGAUAUUGACAAUUAAAUUGGCUUGUUUCACAUUAUUAACAAUUAAGCCAAUUUUUUUUUUCUCCUUUUUUCAAUUAGAUUUGGAAGGCUAUAAGAGAGUAGGAGAGAAAAAACACUAGAAGGAGAUCUUAAUCCAUAAAUAGUACCUUAUUUGGGAUGGUAAAGAUUGAGAUAAAUUUCCUCUUAGUCUCUAAAAUUUUGGCCUAUGCGCAGCCAUAAUUUUAGUAUUUUUAAAAAGAAUGGGAUUAUUUACAUUCUAAAAUCUAUUUUGAAUACUCUUUUACUCAACACACUCAUUCAAUAAAUAAAUUUUAAAAAAUAAUUUUUACUUUACACACUAUUUCGAGAGUCAAAACUAUCCUUCAUUAGGACCAUUUCAUUAACUAAUUAUUUUCUAUUGACACCCAUAAAAUAUUCAUCAUUCUUGAACCAUGUGGCGUUAAUUAAUGAUUCCGAAGCAUUAUCAAGAUUCAAGAUUUAUGUUGAAAUUCUUUCAUCUGACAUUUGAACCCAGCCACUAGCUAUAUACAUAUAUACUUUCAAAUGCAGCUCUGGGAAUAUUUUGUGACUGAUUUUAUAAAGUGUUUUAGUUACAUUAAUGCAGUGAAACAAUAAAGAGUACGUGGCUUGCUGAUUUCCAAAUCAAGUUGGGGGAAAAAACAGAGCAUUUUUCUUUUAUAAUGGAUUAGAUUAGACGAUGAAGGACAAAUUAUUCGCGAUUAUUAGUACUUUUGUGUGUGUUAAGAGUAAUAAUAUUAUUUUAAAUUAUAUUAAUGCCUUUCGUAGUGAAUUCAAUUAGGGUUAUUUUAGUAAUAUAAAUUUUCAUUAAAAUUAAAGUGUCCAAAUUAUAAUUUAGAUUUUUCAAAUGUAAAAUAAUAUUUUUUUAUCUGAUAUAAAUUAAAAUUCAAACAAAUGUAUCAUGCAACAAAUGAAAAGUAAAGAAUAUUAAUUAGGUUUUAAUAGAAACAAAUAUAAAUAGAUGUUUUGAGUAGUUAUUUUUUGUUAUUUUAUGCUAUUGGUAGUUUGUGGAUUAAAUAAUUUGUAUAAGGAUAAAUGGGGGUUUGUAUAAUUUAGACGAAGAUAAUCUCCAAAAUAAGCUUAUAUGUCGAAUUAAAAAGUGUUAUAUAAGUAGUAAUUGUAUUUGCAUCAAAAUUUUUAAUAAAAUUUAUUUAGAAAUUGGCCAAUUGGGUUUUAUGAAGAAAAUAGAGGGGCAAGUAAUUAUGUAACAAGUAAUUUGUAGGUUGUGGUACUUCUCCAUACUUUAAAUCACUUUUAUCUAAUCAAUUGAUAAAUAUUUUUUGGGCACCAACAAAAUGAAAAGAAAAGUUUAAAAAUAAUUCUGAAAUUAAAAACGUUAGGUAUUGCCUAUAAGCUAUACAAUUUUACCUUUUCUUCUACACAAUUAGUAUUAGAAAUAAAAGUAGUUUCAAAAUAAAUGUAAUUAGGAGGUAAUAUUAUCUCAACAAUACCUUAUAGGGAAAAAGACAUCUACAUCCUAAAGUUUGGAGAAAUGGUCGUAAAGACCCUAGGUUUUCAGAAAGGGAUAUCAAGACCCUUUUUUUAUCGUAAUACCCUUUAAAUAUAGUAAUUAGAAAAUUGACUUUAAGAAUUUUUAAUUGACAAAUUUAAUAUAAAUAAUAUAAUCUAUCUAGUAGAUUAAUAAUAUUAACAAUAAAAAUAAUAUUAAAAUUUAAAUUCUUAUAUUUAUUUUAAUAAUAUAUUUUUUUUUUUAUAAAGAUUUUAAAUAAAUCCUUGGGUUAAAUAGGUUUUCCAGUUAACAAAAUAUACCCCUAUUAAUAAUAUUGAAAUUACUUUCUACAUAAUAUUUAAAAUAAUUAUAAUUUAUUUAUUUUAAUAUUAUGUUUCUAUUUAUUAAAAAUUACUUUAUUAGAGUAAAUUUUUAUUAAUUAAAGCUUUAAAAUCAAUUUUCUAAUUACUAAAUUAAAAGGGUAUUAUGGUAAAAAAGGGUCUUUCCUUUUUGAAAACUUAGGGUUUUUGCGACCAUCUCCGCAAACUUUGGAGUAUAGGUGUCCUUUUCCCUACUUCAUAUAAAGAUAUUCCAUAAGGUCUUAUAAUAACUUAUAUUAUAUGAAUUUAAUUAAAAGAUCAUUAAUACUUAAAUAAUAAUAAUUAUAGAAGACAUUGUAAUAAAUUAUUUGAUAUAUAUUAUUAAUGAUACUAUAUAUAUGUGUAUAUAACUACAUGAUGGCUUGGAUAUAUAUUGUUUAGUGGUAAUAAAUUUUUUUAAAAAAAUUUAAACUAAUGAUUUCAUGUAAUUCAAUGGUGGAUGAUUUAAAAUCAUAAAAUAUUGUUUUGACUUUCAAUAUCAACCGUUAGACUGUGAGAAAUUAAUUGCUCAAUAUUUUGUGUUAAAUUUUUGAAUUAAAAUAUCCCAAACCAUUUGUUUUACUUAAAAUACAAAAAAUAUAUAAAGAAAUUUUCUCAUUAAUUUUCAUAUUUUUAUUAGAGAUAAUAUUUUAUGUAUCGUCACCAUUAAUUGCCAUCAUUAAAGUAGUGACUCUUAGUAAUAUAAAAUUUUAUAAUUAGUUAAUUGCAAUCAAAGGAUAUCAAUAAAAUAAUAUUUUAUGAUUCAUAAAUUAAAGCUAAUUAAGAAUAUAUGUUUGUUUUAACUUUUAUGAAAUCAACUAAGUGAUAUUAGAAAAUAAAAUGAAAAUAAACUAGUGAAACUUAAAUUUUAUAAGGUUUGAAUAAUUUUCUACCAUGUAAGAAUAUUAAUUGUGACAUAAACCAUAGUUUCAUGGUAUAUGUAUGCCGAAUGGGGUAACAAAUAAUAUAUACUUCACGAUCAUGAUAGUAUAUAAAGUAGUGGAUAUUUUAAUAUAUAACAUAAAAUUCUUUAAGACAUAGGUGGUCAAUUAUAUAUUUUUUAGGACAUAGACAAUCUCAAUCAAGAGUUUAUUGAUGUGAAUAGAUGGCAUUCACUUAAAUGUAUACACUUAAUUGUGUUGUUUAUUGGUAUUAGAUAUUCACUUAAAUGUAUAUACUUAAUUGUGUUGUUUAUUGGUAUUACAUGUAACAAAAUUUUAUAUUAAAUUUUGAAGUUUUAUAUUGUUGUUUCUAUUGAAUUUAUAAAUACAAUAAAAUUAUGGCCAUCAACAAUCACAACCAACUGCCACCAACAAUUAGAUUCUCAUAUCCGUUGACGACAAUUUUUUAUACUAUUGGAACUCCAAUCUUUGAAGCUACACAAUAGUUAAAGUACCAACAUCACUAGAACUUCCGUUCAUUGUAGAUCUAUAGUCAAAGUUUCGAAUCUUAAAAAUUUGACAGCAGAUUUAUGUCAAAUGAAAGCUUGUUACCAGUGAUUCUUAUACAAUUAUGUUGUUAUAGUAAUAAGGAUUCUAGUGGUACUAAAAUGCACUCCAUUAGACAUAAAGAUCCGACGACUAGUGGCGACAACAACUAUCAUUAGUGACUUGGAGGUAAUUGCCAUUAAUAAAUUAUUUUUAACUUAAUAAUUAAUACAAACAAAUAAAAAAGUAAUUUAAUGAAAAUUAAUGUAAUAAAUAAUUGAAUUAAAAAAAUUAAAACCUAAAUUCUCGACCAUUUAUCCGUAUGUUUCGAAUCCAACGUUCAAAAUUGGAAUAAAACAUAGUAUAGCCAUUGGAAGUAAAACAAACAUUAAAGAGACUAGGAAAAAAUAUCUCAUACCUUCUAUAAUGAUACAUCCUCAAUCACUGCAGAAAGCUCCAAUUAAAAAGUCGCACAAGUUCGGAGAAAAUUACCUAACAACACAAAUAAACAUCAAAUCAAAGCAACAUAGGAUCCAGCUAAUUAACAUCAUAAGUAAGUCCUUGUUCUCAGUCAAAUCUUGCAUUCUUAGGAUAAAAAAAAAAUUGAAAGAAUAACGGUAACUGGAAAGUUUGACGACAUAAAGAUCUAGCUAAAUUUUAAGAAGCAAAAGUAAAUAAUGAAAGCUCAAUAAAAGAUCAUCAGCAUUAACAUACCGAAAUGAGAGCAGCUCACAGAACUGGUAAUUUCCAAGAACAGGAAAAAUAAGUGAGCUGAUAUUGAGGACAACUAAAGUAGUCAUGGAGUAAUUUGCUAUUGAGGACACCUAAAAUAAGAAAAUUAAUUAACAUUGCUCUAUACACCAUUUCAAUAAUUUGACUAUUAAAAAAAAAAUCUAUCUAGAUCACGAUUUCUCAAAAUGAUGCUUUUUCUAAUUAAAUAAAUCAAAAUGCUUGCUUCUUUCUUUUUCAGAAAAGAAAAAGUGGCAAUGGCAUCAAUUUUUUGCUAGAUUAUUAUCACCAAAAGCACAAGCAAGGAAUAAGGAUACUCUCUGAAACCAACCAUAUAAAGAGUAGAAAUAUUUGUUGGAGUGUAAGGUAGAAGUAAGUGGUCAAUUGUAAAUAAGUCUUUCUUUUUUCUUUGUUGUUUUUUCAUUUUUUGAAUGUGAACUAAAUAAAUUUAAGGGUGAAGCUAUUACACCUUGAAAACUAUGACUGAACACCCAUUUUUUUAAUUAAAUUUUUAUUACUAAAAUAACCAUGGAGUAAUUUGCUUCUAAGGAAAACUAGAAUAAUAACAUGAAUAAUGAUUGCUCUAUACACCCUUUUAUACGUCUAUCUUCUUCUUAAUUUCAUAAUUUGGCUGUCAAAAAGUAAUCUAUCUAGAUCACGAUUUCUCAAAAUGAUGCUUUUUAUAUCUAAAUAAAUGAAAAUGCUUGUUUCUUUCUUUCUCGAAAAGAAAAAGUGGCAAUGGCAUCAAUUUUUGCUUGCAAGCACAGCAAGUAAUCAGUAUACUCUCGGAAACUAACCAUAUUAAGAGUAGAAAUAUAUUGGGUUAUCACGAAGUAAGUUAGAAAUCAAUUAUAAAUGGUCUUUUUUUUUUUUUUUAAUGUGAACUAUAUAAAUUUAAGGUGAGGUUAUUUACACUUUGAAAAACAUUCUAAAAACCAUUAUUUCAUUAAAUUUUUUAUUAUUAAAGGUCCGUUUGCUGCCCCAAACGCUCUCUAAAAUAGCCAUGGAGUAAUUUCUUACUGAGGAAAACUAGAAUAAUAAAAUCAAUUAUCAUUCUGCCAUGACCCCGUUUCUAGAUGUAUCUUCUUCUUGAUUUGGUAACUUGGCUGUCAAAAAGAAAUCUAUCUAGAUCCCGAUUCCUCAAAAUGAUGCUUUUUCGGAUGAAAUAAAUGAAAUUGAACCUACAAUCUGUCACAAACACGUUAUAAUGAGCCUAAUGAAAAGCAGUAUGAGAAAUUUUGCUUCCAUGUUGUUUCUUCCAUAUGUAAAGGUAGUAAAAAGAAAUUUAAGUCCUAGAAACAAAUGGAUGAAGAAUUAUCAAUAAUUAAAAAUUAAAAAAAAAAACAGAGUUAUUAAAGAAUCACAGUUCCACCAAAAAUUAAGAGUUAUUUUAUUUGGUGGUUUCCUUAUCCCGAAGCAUUACUUGUAAAUAUGUGCUAACAAGUAAUAAUUAAGAAAGUUAAGGCCAAUCAUUUAGAAGGGAGAAAAAUGGAAACAUCCGGAAUAUUGUUAUGUGUUUUCAGUGCGUAUCUACCAAUCAAUAAUGAAAAAUUAAAUACGCAUGUGACGAAAAUUUAAUAAAGAGAACUGGACGUGACAAAAUUUUUAUUAUUCUAUCUUUUUCUCCUCUGAAACUUCCUUAAUUUGGUUGGGAAUUGCUUUGUCUUAGGCAGUGGAUCUGUUAUAAAUACCCUAUGCUAAAGUUAAUAUUUUGAUUGAAGAAAAAAAUAGAGGCGAAAAAUUUUAUUAAAGUAUAACAGAAUUUGAUAAAUUUAGAAUUGAGGAGAGAAAAUGAGUCUAAAUUCGAAAAUUUUGGCACUAUUUACAUAUCAUUAUUUGGGCAAAAAUUUAUUUCUCUGCUUUCAUAUGAUUUGGUCUUUUAUUGUUACGGUGCCAAUUUUUUAUUUAAAGAUGUAAGAUGGUGGUACUAUAGCUUAGAUUUUCCGUAAUUACUAUAUGGUAAGUACAAAAUAAAAUACUAGUUUAAAAUAUAAAAAUGAAAAACUAUUUUUAUAACCAAUAUUUAAUUAAAUACACUUGAAACUCUAUUUUUUCUUAAUAAAAAAAAUUCUAAUUUAUUUUCUCAAUUUAUCUAAACAACUUUACCUAAUCAAGCUAAAUCUACAUAUAACCCUAAACCUUAAUUUAUAAACACCCAAUCAAUCCAAUUGUUAAAUCCGAUUUCAUAAUUAAAAAAGUUAAAUUCUAUUUUAUUAUUUAUGGUGCAAAGUAAAAAAUGCCCUUGAAGUUAAGGGUAAAAUUGAUAUUUUAUUUAAAUUUGGGAAAUUAUCAUUCGUAUACCCUAUAUUUGCUCUGUUAUAAAAAAUACUACAACACUUUGAGGGUGUAUCAAUCGUCCACCCUAAGUUGACAAAAUGUAUCAACCGACCACUAAACCGUUAAUUGUCGUUUGAAAGUUAACGGAAUUACAGUGAAUUGACGAUUUUACCCUUGAAAAUUAUCACUUGUAUACCCUUAAAUUAUCACUUGUAUCAUAUGAAAAGACCAGAUUACCCUUCUGACGUUAUCAUAUUUAAACGGCAACUAACGGUUCGGUGGUCGGUUGAUACAUUUUGUCAACUUAGGGUGGACGAUUGAUACACCCUCAAAGUGUUGUAGUAUUCUUGAUAAUGAAGUAAACUAAGGGUAUACAAAUGAUAAUUUCCCUUUAAAUUUUGUUAAUAUUCUAAUAAUGUUAAUGUCUUAGUGGUUAAUAAAAUCACAAAGUCAAACUUUUGUAGUAUUUUUUAUAAUAAGGUAAAGAUAUAUGUUUGAUAAUUUUCCUACGUCUUUUUACGUUAAAUUGAGUCUCAAGGGAAAAAUGGUUAAUUUGCUAUAAUUCUGUCAGUUUUCUAAUGGAAGAUAAUGAUAUAAUGAAUAAAUAAUACAUAUUCUUAAAUUAGUAUAGAUGAAUGAUACAACUUGAAAAUAUUGUAGUAUUCUUAAUAGUAGAGAAAUUUAAAAGUGGAUGGUUGAUAAUUUAAUGAAGUAACUACAGAAUUUUCCUUUCAAAUAUAUUUUUUAAAAUAUAUGAUGAGUAAAAAUCAUUUUACAGAAUGAUCUUUCAAAUGCACAUUCCACAAGCCAAAAAGAAAGGGUAGCGAACAACCCUUGUUGAAAUGGCACCCCGGCUUUUGCAGCGUACCCAAGUGCAGCCACCACCCCAGAAUCUGGUACUACAAUCACAACAUCACACUCAACAGGAGCCUCGGUAGCAAGUACUUCCCCAAAAUGAUACCUCGACUCGUAAGACCUUCCAAAAACAACAGAAUUAGGCAAAGCAAAAUAAAUAUGCUCAAAGAUGCACUGCUUAGGUUCAGGGUGAGGCAUCAAACAAAGUGAUUGAACCCCAUCUUUAUCCACCAUCAAAACUUCACCGGGAUAUACCUCUCUCUCGUAUGUGGCCUCAAUCAAAUCAAGUGCGCAAGUUUCUGAUGCAAAAACCACAGCACCGUUACUCCUCCUACCCAUCACCAACGGCCUAAACCCAUACGGGUCACGAACCGCAACAAGCUUAUCCUCAGUAACAAACACCAUUGAAUAAGCACCCUCAAGCUUCUCACAAGCAUCCACAAUCCUCAAAAAGAACGGCUUAGCUUUCGAUAUCGCAAUCAAAUGGAGAACAAUCUCAGUAUCAGAACUAGUAUAAAAAAUGGAUUCAUUAUCCUCGAGCUUAGCCCUCAAAGUAUUAUAAUUACCUAAAUUCCCAUUAUGUGCAACACCAACAGAACCAAACCUGUACCCAGCAACAAAAGGCUGCACAUUCUUAAGCAUAGAACUACCCGCAGUCGAAUAUCUAACAUGACCAAUGGCCAUAUCACCCGGCAAUUGAUCAAGUUUAGACUGAUUAAACACAUCAGAGACUAAACUGUUGAUGCGAGAUUCUGGUUGUCCUCGUUCUACGACCAGGGUCUCUGCUCGAUCAACUUCACCACGACCAGGAUCUCUCCUCGUAAAGCUUCUUCUCCAGAGGUUCCUGCGCACACAGACAAGUCAGAGUACGCCGGUUAUUUUCCCGGCGCAAACCCUCCGACGCUCAAGUCAGAUAUGAAGGUUCGGGGAACACUUGCCACAGAUCUUAUGGCUUUUGGGUAGUUUUCUCUUCUUUAGAAUUUCUUUAUCUCUCUUCUAAUGUCAAAAUUGCUAACCCUUUUACCUUCGUUGGCUACCUUUUUAUAGGCUUCCUCUGAAUCCCAGUUUUCCGCAGUCUACGUCCGUUAUCCUCCCACCUCUCGAACGUGGAUUCCCCAUUUCCGUAGUCGUGGGUGGUUGCGUGGCCUUCGUGCCUAGAUUCUCGGGCUGGAGAGCAUGCCUUGCCAACUGUCGUUGACCGGGCCUCCUCGAAUCAACCCUUAGCAAGAAUACAGCAGGAAUGGCUUUAUGCUUCUUACAAGAAAUUGGCCUCGCGGAUGACGUGCUCGUGGAUGAGCAGGAUAUUCCUGCCCCUGCUCCCCUGCUACUUGGCUCUUACAGGACACACCUGCUCGCCGACUUCUGCCACCAAACAUCUGCUCAUCACGUCUGGUCUCGUCGGAGUAUUUCCCUCAAACACCGGUCCCCCAGUUUCUGGUGUUGGGUAAUGUAAUGGACCAGCAGUAGAAACUUAGCGGUUCUUGGUCGCGUGGGACUGAAAAAGGCUGCCAAGAGUCAUAUCGCAUUUAAUUGCGGACGAGGUGAUGUGGCAGAAAUCUGCCCCUCUAUUCGAAUUUCCAACCAACGGUUACGAGGCCCUUGGGAUUUGGUGCCGUUAAAUGCUGGCAACCCAAGAGUCCGUCCCCAUUAGGAAACCUAAAUCCUUUCAAACAGCAAAUUCGUCAUUCCCUCCGUCUCCGUCCCUGUCUCUCCGGCAAAGAAGUUCCAGCAUAAAGGCCUCCAUCUCUGUCUUUCACCGACUGAACCAUUACUUCAUGUAUUUCUUCUAUCUCCUUGGUCUCGGAUAGUUGUAGAUAAUUUCUGUUCUCUUUUGUUUGGGUAGUAGUUGGUGGUGGUGUUGUGGUUAGAGUUUAGGGAAUGUCGAAAGCUAAAGAGAAGGUCAUUGAAGUUGACGACGAUGAGUUAGACUUCCUGCCUAGUCUGCUCACUGAUCCUGCUUUUGACCCCGGGAUCCCCUUAGAGCCCAUUAGAUCUAGUGUCGGCACUAGCGCUAGGAGGAUGUCUCCCCAAACGACCUCCUCGAGCAGAGAUAGUGAUGAAGAGGGGUCUUCCGGCUCGGAGAACACCCUGAGUGAGGGCCGAGGAGAUGAUUCUGGCGAGGUGUCCCCAUCAGGAGCGUCGCGACCAGAAGGGCGGAGUACAAUAGGAGGUAGAGCCCUAUCGCGGGAUUACGCUAUUGAUUACAUGACAUGCACAACCACGUUUGAUGAGCUCAAUGACCUCCGGCUUAGGUAUAGUAUUCCUGGUGAAAUCCCUCUUAAGGUCCCAGGAAAGAAGGAUACUCCUAGCCGGCCUCCUAGGGGAUACGUUACCCUGUAUCUGGAUAGGUUUAAGUAUGGGCUGAGGUGUCCCGUGCAACCUUACUUUGCCCGGAUACUUAGCGGGCUGAAUCUAUCUCCUGGUCAGCUGAACCCAAAUGGUUGGAGAGUACUUUAUGGUCUGUUUAUAUUGUGGGACAGAUGUUGCCAGAGCGAGCCCACAGUUGAUGAGGUGAAGCACUUGUACCAGCUAAAGAGCAGCCCCAAAGAUGCCGGCUGGUACUACUUUCAAUCUAGUACCAAGACCAGGAAACCCAUAACCGACCUCCCUACUGGUGGUGGUGGGAAUUGGAAGAGGAAAUUCUUUUUUGCUGGGGGUCCUUGGGGUUAAGUUGCACAAAUAGACGGGAAGGAUUAUCGCGUCCCACCCCGUUUCACGGUCCCAGGUUGCCUGCUCGCUUUAGGUGUCUUGUGUCCGUAAUUGUGCUCGCUUUGUUGGUUUGUCUCUAACCAAGUGUCUAUUUGUGUUGUAGUUUCUUGGGGUGUUCAUUUCUCGCUCAAACCUGGCCAACUCAAACGGGUCGAGGCUGUGCUAGCCAAUUCCUGCUCGAGCCGGGAGCUGAUAACUACAUACAACUUGCUCGAGUCUCGCUUAAUACUCCCUGGUCAUAAGAUGGAGGACGCUGUGAUUGGGGCUCUGAACAGGAAACGUUCUCGACCUCAAACCACGAAGAGGGACCAGAAUAAGGACGCCCCUACUGCAAAGCGGGCCAACAUCGUGCAGCAGGUCUCUCCCUUGAAGACUUUACCUCCUGCUCCUGCCAAAGUCGGGGAAACUAGUGGAGGAGCAGCCACCGAUCCUGCUUCUUCUUCUCCUCAUGUCGGGCCUCGAUCUCGCUUACCUGACAGCCGAGCAGAACACUUGGUCCCCUAUCUCAAUGAGUUAUCUAAACUCGUGAGCAAGAAGGACCUGGAGGACUUUGAUGGCUGCACUCUGGGCGAGCUGGUGCGAGCCAUGCAGUAUAGCGCUUUCCAUCUCAGCUGCAUGACCACCUACUAUAAGGCCAAGGUCGGCCGUUAUGACAGGAAGAUGAAGGAGGACAUUCAGUUAGCGAUGACCAGAGCUGACGGCGCCGAGAAGAAAGCAGGAGCGCUGAAUGUCGAGAACCUGAAGCUGAUAGAGCAAGAAUCUCUUGCUCAAGCGAAAGCCAUUACCCUCGAGGAGGAGCUGACCAAGGUCAAAGAGGAUCUUCAAAGGCAGAAGGCUAUGUAUGAGGCUCAGCUCGAAUCUCUCCGUGAUUCCCACCGGGUUCAGGUCGAGAACUUAGAGAAGGAGGCUGACAACCAGUACGACCAGGGACUUCGGCAUUCCUAUCGUUGCAUCAUGGCCGUCCUCGGGAAGCAACACCCUGAUCUGAAGAUGGAUGACCUUGCAGCUGGUGUUGCUCAACAUAUGGACGAGGAGGCGGCCAAGGAAGACGCUGAAGGGGUAGAGCCGAUCGUGAUUGAGGAGGAAAACUCUCCUUCUCGUGCAGAACCUGCUGGUGUUGGCGAGGCGAGCACCCCCCGGACGCAACUGGUGAUACCCCCUGCACCUGAGGAGGUCCAGCCGACUGAUGCUGCUCGGCUUACUGAUCCACCAUCUUAUUGAUAUAUUUCUUGUAUUGUAAUGCACAAUGUUUGUGAAGAUUAUCUCCUCUGUUAAUUAUUAACAAAUUAAUAAAGAUGUUUUUGAUUACUUUCUUGUGUUGUAAUCAUGAGUUAUUUUUCGUUUGAGAAUCUGCUCGUCUUUGUCUGGUCGAGCAGGUUCUGGCUUGGCACAUGGUUUUGCCACAUGCCUUUGAAAAUUCUUCAAUGCUUGGGAUUCUGCUCGCCUUCGCAUGGUCGAGCAGAUCCUGGCAUGCUUGGCUUCUGGUCUCGCCAAAAGACAGGCUUUCAGACUUGGUGAGCUUUUGCAUGCCUUUGAUUCUGCAAUGAUUGGGAGUCUGCUCGCCUUCUCGUGGUCGAGCAGAUCCUGGCACGCAUGGCAUCUGGUCUCGCCAUAAACAGGCUUUGAGACUUGAUAAGCCUUUGCAUGCCUUUAAUAAUUUCUUGAAUGCUUUGGAGUCUGCUCGCCUUCUUGUGGUCAAACAUAUCCUGGCACGCUUGGCUUCUGUCGCAUGCCUUCAAUUCUUCAAGGAUUGAGAUUUCGCUCGCCUUCUCGUGGUCGAGCAGAUCCUGGCACGGUUGGCUGCUGUCUCGCCAUAAAACAGGCUUUGAGACUUGCCGAGCCUUUGCAUGCCUUUGAUUCUUCAAGGAUUGGGAUUCUGCUCGCCUUCUCGGGGUCGAACAGAUCCUAGCACGCUUGGCUUCUGUCUCGCCAUAAAAUAGGCUUUGAGACUUGCUGAGCCUUUGCAUGCCUUCAAUUCUUCAAGGAUUGGGAUUCUGCUCGCCUUCUCGUGGUCGAGCAGAUCCUGGCACGCUUGGCUUCUGUCUCGCCAUAAAACAAGCUUUGAGACUUGCUGAGCCUUUGCAUGCCUUUGAUUCUUCAAGGAUUGGGAUUCUGCUCGCCAUCUCGUGGUCGAGCAUAUCCUGGCACGCUUGGCUUCUGUCUCGCCAUAAAACAGGCUUUGAGACUUGCCGAGCUUUUGCAUGCCUUUGAUUCUUCAAGGAUUGGGAUUCUGCUCGCCUUCUCGUGGUCGAGCAGAUCCUGGCACGCAUGGCAUCUGGUCUCGCCAUAAACAGGCUUUGAUACUUGAUGAGCCUUUGCAUGCCUUUGAUAAUUUCUUGAAUGCUUUGGAGUCUGCUCGCCUUCUUGUGGUCAAACAUAUCCUGGCACGCUUGGCUUCUGUCGCAUGCCUUCAAUUCUUCAAGGAUUGGGAUUUCGCUCGCCUUCUCGUGGUCGAGCAUAUCCUGGCAUGGUUGGCUGCUGUCUCGCCAUAAAACAGGCUUUGAGACUUGCCGAGCCUUUGCAUGCAUUUGAUUCUUCAAGGAUUGGGAUUCUGCUCGCCUUCUCGUGGUCGAGCAGAUCCUGGCACGCUUGGCUUCUGUCUCGCCAUAAAACAGGCUUUAAGACUUGUUGAGCCUUUGCAUGCCUUUGAUUCUUCAAGGAUUGGGAUUCGGCUCGCCUUCUCGUGGUCGAGCAGAUCCUGGCACGCUUGGCUUCUGUCUUGCCAUAAAACAGGCUUUGAGACUUGAUGAGCCUUUGCAUGCCUUUGAUAAUUUCUUGAAUCCUUUGGAGUCUGCUUGCCUUCUCGUGGUCGAGCAUAUCCUAGCACGCUUGGCUUCUGUCUCGCCAUAAAACAGGCUUUGAGACUUGAUGAGCCUUUGCAUGCCUUUGAUAAUUUCUUGAAUGCUUUGGAGUCUGCUCGCCUUCUCGUGGUCGAGCAUAUCUUGGCACGCUUGGCUUCUGUCUCGCCAUAAAACAGGCUUUGAGACUUGCUGAGCCUUUGCAUGCCUUCAAUUCUUCAAGGAUUUGGAUUCUGCUCGCCUUCUCGUGGUCGAGCAGAUCCUGGCACGCUUGGCUUCUGUCUCGUCAUAAAACAGGCUUUGAGACUUGCCGAGCCUUUGCAUGCCUUUGAUUCUUCAAGGAUUGGGAUUCUGCUCGCCUUCUCGUGGUCGAGCAGAUCCUGGCACGCUUGGCUUCUGUCUCGCCAUAAAACAGGCUUUGAGACUUGCCGAGCCUUUGCAUGCCUUUGAUUCUUCAAGGAUUGGGAUUCUGCUCGCCUUCUCGUGGUCGAGCAGAUCCUGGCACGCUUGGCUUCUGUCUCGCCAUAAAACAGGCUUUGAGACUUGCCGAGCCUUUGCAUGCCUUUGAUUCUUCAAGGAUUGGGAUUCUGCUCGCCUUCUCGUGGUCGAGCAGAUCCUGGCACGCUUGGCUUCUGUCUCGCCAUAAAACAGGCUUUGAGACUUGCUGAGCCUUUGCAUGCCGUUGAUUGUUCAAGGAUUGGGAUUCGGCUCGCCUUCUCGUGGUGGAGCAGAUCCUGGCACGCUUGGCUUCUGUCUCGUCAUAAAACAGGCUUUGAGACUUGAUGAGCCUUUGCAUGCCUUUGAUAAUUUCUUGAAUGCUUUUGAGUCUGCUUGCCUUCUCGUGGUCGAGCAUAUCCUGGCACGCUUGGCUUCUGUCUCGCCAUAAAACAGGCUUUGAGACUUGCCGAGCCUUUGCAUGCCUUUGAUUCUUCAAGGAUUGGGAUUCUGCUCGCCUUCUCGUGGUCGAGCAGAUCCUGGCACGCUUGGCUUCUGUCUCGCCAUAAAACAGGCUUUGAGACUUGCUGAGCCUUUGCAUGCCGUUGAUUGUUCAAGGAUUGGGAUUCGGCUCGCCUUCUCGUGGUCGAGCAGAUCCUGGCACGCUUGGCUUCUGUCUCGCCAUAAAACAGGCUUUGAGACUUGCUGAGCCUUUGCAUGCCUUCAAUUCUUCAAGGAUUGGGAUUCUGCUCGCCUUCUCGUGGUCGAGCAGAUCCUGGCACGCUUGGCUUCUGUCUCGCCAUAAAACAGGCUUUGAGACUUGCUGAGCCUUUGCAUGCCUUUGAUAAUUUCUUGAAUGCUUUGGAGUCUGCUCGCCUUCUUGUGGUCAAACAUAUCCUGGCAAGCUUGGCUUCUGUCGCAUGGCUACAAUUCUUCCAGGAUUGGGAUUUCGCUCGCCUUCUCGUGGUCGAGCAGAUCCUGGCAUGGUUGGCUGCUGUCUCGCCAUAAAACAGGCUUUGAGACUUGCCGAGCCUUUGCAUGCCUUUGAUUCUUCAAGGAUUGGGAUUCUGCUCGCCUUCUCGUGGUCGAGCAGAUCCUGGCACGCUUGGCUUCUGUGUUGCCAUAAAAUAGGCUUUGAGACUUGCUGAGCCUUUGCAUGCCUUUGAUUCUUCAAGGAUUGGGAUUCUGCUCGCCUUCUCGUGGUCGAGCAGAUCCUGGCAUGGUUGGCUGCUGUCUCGCCAUAAAACAGGCUUUGAGACUUGCCGAGCCUUUGCAUGCCUUUGAUUGUCCCAUCGCCAUAAAACAGGCUUUGAGACUUGAUGAGCCUUUGCAUGCCUUUGAUAAUUUCUUGAAUGCUUUGGAGUCUGCUUGCCUUCUCGUGGUCGAGCAUAUCCUGGCACGCUUGGCUUCUGUCUCGCCAUAAAACAGGCUUUGAGACUUGCUGAGCCUUUGCUUGCCUUCAAUUCUUCAAGGAUUGGGAUUCUGCUCGGCUUCUCGUGGUCGAGCAGAUCCUGGCACGCUUGGCUUCUGUCUCGCCAUAAAACAGGCUUUGAGACUUGCUGAGCCUUUGCAUGCCUUCAAUUCUUCAAGGAUUGGGAUUCUGCUCGCCUUCUCGUGGUCGAGCAGAUCCUGGCACGCUUGGCUUCUGUCUCGCCAUAAAACAGGCUUUGAGACUUGCUGAGCCUUUGCAUGCCUUUGAUUCUUCAAGGAUUGGGAUUCUGCUCGCCUUCUCGUGGUCGAGCAGAUCCUGGCACGCUUAGCUUCUGUCUCGCCAUAAAACAGGCUUUGAGACAUGCCGAGCCUUUGCAUGCCUUUGAUUCUUCAAGGAUUGGGAUUCUGCUCGCCUUCUCGUGGUCGAGCAGAUCCUGGCACGCUUGGCUUCUGUCUCGCCAUAAAACAGGCUUUGAGACUUGCUGAGCCUUUGCAUGCUUUGAUUCUUCAAGGAUUGGGAUUCGGCUCGCCUUCUCGUGGUCGAGCAGAUCCUGGCACGCUUGGCUUCUGUCUUGCCAUAAAACAGGCUUUGAGACUUGAUGAGCCUUUGCAUGCCUUUGAUAAUUUCUUGAAUGCUUUGGAGUCUGCUGGCCUUCUCGUGGUCGAGCAUAUCCUGGCACGCUUGGCUUCUGUCUCGCCAUAAAACAGGCUUUGAGACUUGCUGAGCCUUUGCAUGCCUUCAAUUCUUCAAGGAUUGGGAUUCUGCUCGCCUUCUCGUGGUCGAGCAGAUCCUGGCACGAUUGGCUUCUGUCUUGCCAUAAAACAGGCUUUGAGACUUGAUGAGCCUUUGCAUGGCUUUGAUAAUUUCUUGAAUGCUUUGGAGUCUGCUUGCCUUCUCGUGGUCGAGCAUAUCCUGGCACGCUUGGCUUCUGUCUCGCCAUAAAACAGGCUUUGAGACUUGCUGAGCCUUUGCAUGCCUUCAAUUCUUCACGGAUUGGGAUUCUGCUCGCCUUCUCGUGGUCGAGCAGAUCCUGGCACGCUUGGCUUCUGUCUCGCCAUAAAACAGGCUUUGAGACUUGCUGAGCCUUUGCAUGCCUUUGAUUCUUCAAGGAUUGGGAUUCUGCUCGCCUUUUCGUGGUCGAGCAGAUCCUGGCACGCUUGGCUUCUGACUCGCCAUAAAACAGGCUUUGAGACUUGCCGAGCCUUUGCAUGCCUUUGAUUCUUCAAGGAUUGGGAUUCUGCUCGCCUUCUCGUGGUCGAGCAGAUCCUGGCACGCUUGGCUUCUGUCUCGCUAUAAAACAGGCUUUGAGACUUGCUGAGCCUUUGCAUGCCGUUGAUUGUUCAAGGAUUGGGAUUCGGCUCGCCUUCUCAUGGUGGAGCAGAUUCUGGCACGCUUGGCUUCUGUCUCGUCAUAAAACAGGCUUUGAGACUUGAUGACCCUUUGCAUGCCUUUGAUAAUUUCUUGAAUGCUUUGGAGUCUGCUUGCCUUCUCGUGGUCGAGCAUAUCCUGGCACGCUUGGCUUCUGUCUCGCCAUAAAACAGGCUUUGAGACUUGCCGAGCCUUUGCAUGCCUUUGAUUCUUCAAGGAUUGGGAUUCUGCUCGCCUUCUCGUGGUCGAACAGAUCCUAGCACGCUUGGCUUCUGUCUCGCCAUAAAACAGGCUUUGAGACUUGCCGAGCCUUUGCAUGCCUUUGAUUCUUCAAGGAUUGGGAUUCUGCUCGCCUUCUCGUGGUCGAACAGAUCCUAGCACGCUUGGCUUCUGUCUCGCCAUAAAACAGGCUUUGAGACUUGUUGAGCCUUUGCAUGCCUUUGAUUCUUCAAGGAUUGGGAUUCGGCUCGCCUUCUCGUGGUCGAGCAGAUCUUGGCACGCUUGGCUUCUGUCUCGCCAUAAAACAGGCUUUGAGACUUGAUGAGCCUUUGCAUGCCUUUGAUAAUUUCUUGAAUGCUUUGGAGUCUGCUGGCCUUCUCGUGGUCGAGCAUAUCCUGGCACGCUUGGGUUCUGUCUCGCCAUAAAACAGGCUUUGAGACUUGCUGAGCCUUUGCAUGCCUUUGAUUCUUCAACGAUUGGGAUUCGGCUCGCCUUCUCGUGGUCGAGCAGAUCCUGGCACGCUUGGCUUCUGUCUUGCCAUAAAACAGGCUUUGAGACUUGAUGAGCCUUUGCAUGCCUUUGAUAAUUUCUUGAAUGCUUUGGAGUCUGCUGGCCUUCUCGUGGUCGAGCAUAUCCUGGCACGCUUGGCUUCUGUCUCGCCAUAAAACAGGCUUGAGACUUGCUGAGCCUUUGCAUGCCUUCAAUUCUUCAAGGAUUGGGAUUCUGCUCGCCUUCUCGUGGUCGAGCAGAUCCUGGCACGAUUGGCUUCUGUCUUGCCAUAAAAACAGGCUUGAAGACUUGAUGAGCCUUUGCAUGCCUUUGAUAAUUUCUUGAAUGCUUUGGAGUCUGCUUGCCUUCUCGUGGUCGAGCAUAUCCUGGCACGCUUGGCUUCUGUCUCGCCAUAAAACAGGCUUUGAGACUUGAUGAGCCUUUUGCAUGCCUUUGAUAAUUUCUUGAAUGCUUUGGAGUCUGCUUGCCUUCUCGUGGUCGAGCAUAUCCUGGCACGCUUGGCUUCUGUCUCGCCAUAAAAUAGGCUUUGAGACUUGCUGAGCCUUUGCAUGCCUUUGAUUCUUCAAGGAUUGGGAUUCUGCUCGCCUUCUCGUGGUCGAGCAGAUCCUGGCACGCUUGGCUUCUGUCUCGCCAUAAAACAGGCUUUGAGACUUGCCGAGCCUUUGCAUGCCUUUGAUUCUUCAAGGAUUGGGAUUCUGCUCGCCUUCUCGUGGUCGAGCAGAUCCUGGCACGCUGGCUUCUGUCUCGCCAUAAAACAGGCUUGAGACUUGCUGAGCCUUUGCAUGCCUUUGAUUCUUCAAGGAUUGGGAUUCGGCUCGCCUUCUCGUGGUCGAGCAGAUCCUGGCACGCUUGGCUUCUGUCUCGCCAUAAAACAGGCUUUGAGACUUGAUGAGCCUUUGCAUGCCUUUGAUAAUUUCUUGAAUGCUUUGGAGUCUGCUCGCCUUCUUGUGGUCGANNNNNNNNNNNNNNNNNNNNNNNNNNNNNNNNNNNNNNNNNNNNNNNNNNNNNNNNNNNNNNNNNNNNNNNNNNNNNNNNNNNNNNNNNNNNNNNNNNNNNNNNNNNNNNNNNNNNNNNNNNNNNNNNNNNNNNNNNNNNNNNNNNNNNNNNNNNNNNNNNNNNNNNNNNNNNNNNNNNNNNNNNGCUCGCCUUCUCGUGGUCGAGCAGAUCCUGGCACGCUUGGCUUCUGUCUCGCCAUUAAAAGGCUUGAGACAGCCUUUGCAUGCUUUUGCCUUUGGAUCGAGCUCCUGCACGCUUGCUUCUGUCGCCAUAAAACAGGCUUUGAGACUUGCUGAGCCUUUGCAUGCCUUCAAUUCUUCAGGAUUGGAUUCUGCUCGCCUUCUCGUUGGUCAGCAGAUCCUGGCACGCUUGGUUCUGUCUCGCCAUAAAAGGCUUUGAGACUUGCUGAGCCUUUGCAUGCCCUUUGAUUCUUCAAGGAUUGGGAUUCUGCUCGCCUUCUCGUGGUCGAGCAAGAUUCCUGGCACGCUUGAGCUCUGUCUCGCCAUAAAACAGGCUUUGAGACUUGCUGAGCCUUUGCAUGCCUUUCGAUUCUUCAAGGAUUGGGAUUCUGCUCGCCUUCUCGUGGUCGAGCAGAUCCUGGCACGCUUGGCUUCUGUCUCGCCAUAAAACAGGCUUGAGACUUGCUGAGCCUUUGCAUGCCUUGAUUGUUCAAGGAUUGGGAUUCGCUCGCCUUCUCGUGGUCGAGCAGAUCCUGGCACGCUUGCUUCUGUCUGCCAUAAAACAGGCUUUGAGACUUGAUGAGCCUUUGCAUGCCUUUGAUAUUCUUGAAUGCUUUGGAGUCUGCUGCCUUCUCGUGGUCGAGCAUAUCCUGGCACGCUUGGCUUCUGUCUCGCCAUAAAACAGGCUUUGAGACUUGCUGAGCCUUUGCAUGCCGUUGAUUCGUUCAAGGAUUGGGAUUCGGCUCGCCUUCUCGUGGUCGAGCAGAUCCUGGCACGCUUGGCUUCUGUCUCGCCAUAAAACAGGCUUUGAGACUUGAUGAGCCUUUGCAUGCCUUUGAUAAUUUCUUGAAUGCUUUGGAGUCUGCUUGCCUUCUCGUGGUCGAGCAUAUCCUGGCACGCUUGGCUUCUGUCUCGCCAUAAAACAGGCUUUGAGACUUGCUGAGCCUUUGCAUGCCUUUAUUCUUCAAGGAUUGGGAUUCUGCUCGCCUUCUCGUGGUCGAGCAGAUCCUGGCACGCUUGGCUUCUGUCUCGCCAUAAAACAGGCUUUGAGACUUGAUGAGCCUUUGCAUGCCUUUGAUUCUUCAAGGAUUGGGAUCUGCUCGCCUUCUCGUGGUCGAGCAGAUCCUGGCACGCUUGGCUUCUGUCUCGCCAUAAAACAGGCUUUGAGACUUGCUGAGCCUUUGCAUGCCUUUGAUUCUUCAAGGAUUGGGAUUCUGCUCGCCUUCUCGUGGUCGAGCAGAUCCUGGCACGCUUGGCUUCUGUCUCGCCAUAAAACAGGCUUUGAGACUUGCUGAGCCUUUGCAUGCCUUUGAUUCUUCAAGGAUUGGGAUUCUGCUCGCCUUCUCGUGGUCGAGCAGAUCCUGGCACGCUUGGCUUCUGUCUCGCCAUAAAACAGGCUUUUGAGACUUGCUGAGCCUUUGCAUGCCUUUGAUUCUUCAAGGAUUGGGAUUCUGCUCGCCUUCUCGUGGUCGAGCAGAUCCUGGCACGCUUGGCUUCUGUCUCGCCAUAAAACAGGCUUGAUUGCGAGCUUUGAGCUUGACUGAGUCCUCCCUCUUGACAGAUCCGCACCUUGCUCUGUCUCGCAUAAACAGCGAACUUGUUUGCAUUUUGUUUUCAAGGAUUGGGAUUCGGCUCGCCUUCUCGUGGUGGAGCAGAUCCUGGCACGCUUGGCUUCUGUCUCGUCAUAAAACAGGCUUUGAGACUUGAUGAGCCUUUGCAUGCCUUUGAUAAUUUCUUGAAUGCUUUGGAGUCUGCUGGCCUUCUCGUGGUCGAGCAUAUCCUGGCACGCUUGGCUUCUGUCUCGCCAUAAAACAGGCUUUGAGACUUGCUGAGCCUUUGCAUGCCUUUGAUUCUUCAAGGAUUGGGAUUCUGCUCGCCUUCUCGUGGUCGAGCAGAUCCUGGCACGCUUGGCUUCUGUCUCGCCAUAAAACAGGCUUUGAGACUUGCUGAGCCUUUGCAUGCCUUUGAUUCUUCAAGGAUUGGGAUUCUGCUCGCCUUCUCGUGGUCGAGCAUAUCCUGGCACGCUUGGCUUCUGUCUCGCCAUAAAACAGGCUUUGAGACUUGCUGAGCCUUUGCAUGCCUUGAUUCUUCAAGGAUUGGGAUUCUGCUCGCCUUCUCGUGGUCGAGCAGAUCCUGGCACGCUUGCUUCUGUCUCGCCAUAAAACAGCUUUAGACUUGUGAGUUUGCUUUUUUUUUGGUUGGAUUUGCUUUUUGGUAGCAGAUCUGGCACGCUUGGCUUCUGUCUCGCAUAAAACAGGCUUUGAGACUUGAUGAGCCUUUGCAUGCCUUUGAUAAUUUCUUGAAUGCUUUGGGAUUCUGCUCGCCUUCUCGUGGUCGAGCAUAUCCUGGCACGCUUGGCUUCUGUCUCGCCAUAAAACAGGCUUUGAGACUUGAUGAGCCUUUGCAUGCCUUUGAUAAUUUCUUGAAUGCUUUGGAGUCUGCUGGCCUUCUCGUGGUCGAGCAUAUCCUGGCACGCUUGGCUUCUGUCUCGCCAUAAAACAGGCUUUGAGACUUGCUGAGCCUUUGCAUGCCUUUGAUUCUUCAAGGAUUGGGAUUCUGCUCGCCUUCUCGUGGUCGAGCAGAUCCUGGCACGCUUGGCUUCUGUCUCGCCAUAAAACAGGCUUUGAGACUUGCCGAGCCUUUGCAUGCCUUUGAUUCUUCAAGGAUUGGGAUUCUGCUCGCCUUCUCAUGGUCGAGCAGAUCCUGGCACGCUUGGCUUCUGUCUCGCCAUAAAACAGGCUUUGAGACUUGCUGAGCCUUUGCAUGCCGUUUGAUUGUUCAAGGAUUGGGAUUCGGCUCGCCUUCUCGUGGUGGAGCAGAUCCUGGCACGCUUGGCUUCUGUCUCGUCAUAAAACAGGCUUUGAGACUUGAUGAGCCUUUGCAUGCCUUUGAUAAUUUUCAAGUUGGAUUCUCGCCUUCUUGUGAGCAAUCUGGCAGCUUGGCUUCUGUCUCGUCUUUACUUUUUCUUUGAUUUUUGAUUUUGUCUCUUUCUCGUGGUCGAGCAUAUCCUGGCACGCUUGGCUUCUGUCUCGCCAUAAAAACAGGCUUUGAGACUUGCUGAGCCUUUGCAUGCCUUUGAUUCUUCAAGGAUUGGGAUUCUGCUCGCCUUCUCGUGGUCGAGCAGAUCCUGGCACGCUUGGCUUCUGUCUCGCCAUAAAACAGGCUUUGAGACUUGCUGAGCCUUUGCAUGCCGUUGAUUGUUCAAGGAUUGGGAUUCGGCUCGCCUUCUCGUGGUGGAGCAUAUCCUGGCACGCUUGGCUUCUGUCUCGCCAUAAAACAGGCUUUGAGACUUGCUGAGCCUUUGCAUGCCUUCAAUUCUUCAAGGAUUGGGAUUCGGCUCGCCUUCUCGUGGUGGAGCAUAUCCUGGCACGCUUGGCUUCUGUCUCGCCAUAAAACAGGCUUUGAGACUUGCUGAGCCUUUGCAUGCCUUCAAUUCUUCAAGGAUUGGGAUUCUGCUCGCCUUCUCGUGGUCGAGCAGAUCCUGGCACGCUUGGCUUCUGUCUCGCCAUAUAAAACAGGCUUUGAGACUUGCUGAGCCUUUGCAUGCCUUUGAUUCUUCAAGGAUUGGGAUUCUGCUCGCCUUCUCGUGGUCGAGCAGAUCUUGGCACGCUUGGCUUCUGUGUCGCCAUAAAACAGGCUUUUAGACUUGCCGAGCCUUUGCAUGCCUUUGAUUCUUCAAGGAUUGGGAUUCUGCUCGCCUUCUCGUGGUCGAGCAGAUCCUGGCACGCUUGGCUUCUGUCUCGCCAUAAAACAGGCUUUGAGACUUGCUGAGCCUUUGCAUGCCGUUGAUUGUUCAAGGAUUGGGAUUCGGCUCGCCUUCUCGUGGUGGAGCAGAUCCUGGCACGCUUGGCUUCUGUCUCGUCAUAAAACAGGCUUUGAGACUUGAUGAGCCUUUGCAUGCCUUUGAUAAUUUCUUGAAUGCUUUGGAGUCUGCUGGCCUUCUCGUGGUCGAGCAUAUCCUGGCACGCUUGGCUUCUGUCUCGCCAUAAAACAAGCUUUGAGACUUGCUGAGCCUUUGCAUGCCUUCAAUUCUUCACGGAUUGGGAUUCUGCUCGCCUUCUCGUGGUCGAGCAGAUCCUGGCACGCUUGGCUUCUGUCUCGCCAUAAAAACAGGCUUUGAGACUUACUGAGCCUUUGCAUGCCUUUGAUUCUUCAAGGAUUGGGAUUCUGCUCGCCUUCUCGUGGUCGAGCAGAUCCUGGCACGCUUGGCUUCUGUCUCGCCAUAAAACAGGCUUUGAGACUUGCCGAGCCUUUGCAUGCCUUGGAUUCUUCAAGGAUUGGGAUUCUGCUCGCCUUCUCGUGGUCGAGCAGAUCCUGGCACGCUUGGCUUCUGUCUCGCCAUAAAACAGGCUUUGAGACUUGCUGAGCCUUUGCAUGCCUUUGAUUCUUCAAGGAUUGGGAUUCUGCUCGCCUUCUCGUGGUCGAGCAGAUCCUGGCACGCUUGGCUUCUGUCUCGUCAUAAAACAGGCUUUGAGACUUGCCGAGCCUUUGCAUGCCUUUGAUAAUUUCUUGAAUGCUUUGGAGUCUGCUUGCCUUCUCGUGGUCGAGCAUAUCCUAGCACGCUUGGCUUCUGUCUCGCCAUAAAACAGGCUUUGAGACUUGCUGAGCCUUUGCAUGCCGUUGAUUGUUCAAGGAUUGGGAUUCGGCUCGCCUUCUCGUGGUGGAGCAGAUCCUGGCACGCUUGGCUUCUGUCUCGUCAUAAAACAGGCUUUGAGACUUGAUGAGCCUUUGCAUGCCUUUGAUAAUUUCUUGAAUGCUUUGGAGUCUGCUGGCCUUCUCGUGGUCGAGCAUAUCCUGGCACGCUUGGCUUCUGUCUCGCCAUAAAACAAGCUUUGAGACUUGCUGAGCCUUUGCAUGCCUUUGAUAAUUUCUUGAAUGCUUUGGAUUCUGCUCGCCUUCUCGUGGUCGAGCAGAUCCUGGCACGCUUGGCUUCUGUCUCGCCAUAAAACAGGCUUUGAGACUUGCUGAGCCUUUGCAUGCCGUUGAUUGUUCAAGGAUUGGGAUUCGGCUCGCCUUCUCGUGGUCGAGCAGAUCCUGGCACGCUUGGCUUCUGUCUCGCCAUAAAACAGGCUUUGAGACUUGCUGAGCCUUUGCAUGCCUUCAAUUCUUCAAGGAUUGGGAUUCUGCUCGCCUUCUCGUGGUCGAGCAGAUCCUGGCACGCUUGGCUUCUGUCUCGCCAUAAAACAGGCUUUGAGACUUGCUGAGCCUUUGCAUGCCUUUGAUUCUUCAAGGAUUGGGAUUCUGCUCGCCUUCUCGUGGUCGAGCAGAUCCUGGCACGCUUGGCUUCUGUCUCGCCAUAAAACAGGCUUUGAGACUUGCCGAGCCUUUGCAUGCCUUUGAUUCGUCAAGGAUUGGGAUUCUGCUUGCCUUCUCGUGGUCGAGCAGAUCCUGGCACGCUUGGCUUCUGUCUCGCCAUAAAACAGGCUUUGAGACUUGCUGAGCCUUUGCAUGCCUUUGAUUGUUCAAGGAUUGGGAUUCGGCUCUCCUUCUCGUGGUCGAGCAGAUCCUGGCACGCUUGGCUUCUUUCUCGCCAUAAAACAAGCUUUGAGACUUGCCGAGCCUUUGCAUGCCUUUGAUUCUUCAAGGAUUGAGAUUCUGCUCGCCUUCUCGUGGUCGAGCAGAUCCUGGCACGCUUGGCUUCUGUCUCGCCAUAAAACAGGCUUUGAGACUUGCUGAGCCUUUGCAUGCCUUUGAUUGUUCAAGGAUUGGGAUUCGGCUCGCCUUCUCGUGGUGGAGCAGAUCCUGGCACGCUUGGCUUCUGUCUCGUCAUAACACAAGCUUUGAGACUUGAUGAGCCUUUGCAUGCCUUUGAUAAUUUCUUGAAUGCUUUGGAGUCUGCUCGCCUUCUCGUGGUCGAGCAUAUCCUGGCACGCUUGGCUUCUGUCUCGCCAUAAAACAGGCUUUGAGACUUGCUGAGCCUUUGCAUGCCUUCAAUUCUUCAAGGAUUGGGAUUCUGCUCGCCUUCUCGUGGUCGAGCAGAUCCUGGCACGCUUGGCUUCUGUCUCACCAUAAAACAGGCUUUGAGACUUGCUGAGCCUUUGCAUGCCUUUGAUUCUUCAAAGAUUGGGAUUCUGCUCGCCUUCUCGUGGUCGAGCAGAUCCUGGCACGCUUGGCUUCUUUCUCGCCAUAAAACAGGCUUUGAGACUUGCCGAGCCUUUGCAUGCCUUUGAUUCUUCAAGGAUUGGGAUUCUGCUCGCCUUCUCGUGGUCGAGCAGAUCCUGGCACGCUUGGCUUCUGUCUCGCCAUAAAAUAGGCUUUGAGACUUGCUGAGCCUUUGCAUGCCUUUGAUUGUUCAAGGAUUGGGAUUCUGCUCGCCUUCUCGUGGUCGAGCAGAUCCUGGCACGCUUGGCUUCUGUCUCGCCAUAAAAUAGGCUUUGAGACUUGCUGAGCCUUUGCAUGCCUUUGAUUGUUCAAGGAUUGUGAUUCGGCUUGCCUUCUCGUGGUCGAGCAGAUCCUGGCACGCUUGGCUUCUGUCUCACCAUAAAACAGGCUUUGAGACUUGCUGAGCCUUUGCAUGCCUUUGAUUCUUCAAAGAUUGGGAUUUUGCUCGCCUUCUCGUGGUCGAGCAGAUCCUGGCACGCUUGGCUUCUGUCUCGCCAUAAAACAGGCUUUGAGACUUGCCGAGCCUUUGCAUGCCUUUGAUUCUUCAAGGAUUGGGAUUCUGCUCGCCUUCUCGUGGUCGAGCAGAUCCUGGCACGCUUGGCUUCUGUCUCGCCAUAAAAUAGGCUUUGAGACUUGCUGAGCCUUUGCAUGCCUUUGAUUGUUCAAGGAUUGUGAUUCGGCUUGCCUUCUCGUGGUCAAGCAGAUCCUGGCACGCUUGGCUUCUGUCUCGCCAUAAAACAGGCUUUGAGACUUGCUGAGCCUUUGCAUGCCUUCAAUUCUUCAAGGAUUGGGAUUCUGCUCGCCUUCUCGUGGUCGAGCAGAUCCUGGCACGCUUGGCUUCUGUCUCACCAUAAAACAGGCUUUGAGACUUGCUGAGCCUUUGCAUGCCUUUGAUUCUUCAAAGAUUGGGAUUCUGCUCGCCUUCUCGUGGUCGAGCAGAUCCUGGCACGCUUGGCUUCUGUCUCGCCAUAAAACAGGCUUUGAGACUUGCCGAGCCUUUGCAUGCCUUUGAUUCUUCAAGGAUUGGGAUUCUGCUCGCCUUCUCGUGGUCGAGCAGAUCCUGGCACGCUUGGCUUCUGUCUCGCCAUAAAACAGGCUUUGAGACUUGCCGAGCCUUUGCAUGCCUUUGAUUCUUCAAAGAUUGGGAUUCUGCUUGCCUUCUCGUGGUCGAGCAGAUCCUGGCACGCUUGGCUUCUGUCUCGCCAUAAAACAGGCUUUGAGACUUGCCGAGCCUUUGCAUGCCUUUGAUUCUUCAAGGAUUGGGAUUCUGCUCGCCUUCUCGUGGUCGAGCAGAUCCUGGCACGCUUGGCUUCUGUCUCGCCAUAAAAAUAGGCUUUGAGACUUGCUGAGCCUUUGCAUGCCUUUGAUUGUUCAAGGAUUGUGAUUCGGCUUGCCUUCUCGUGGUCAAGCAGAUCCUGGCACGCUUGGCUUCUGUCUCACCAUAAAACAGGCUUUGAGACUUGCUGAGCCUUUGCAUGCCUUCAAUUCUUCAAGGAUUGGGAUUCUGCUCGCCUUCUCGUGGUCGAGCAGAUCCUGGCACGCUUGGCUUCUGUCUCACCAUAAAACAGGCUUUGAGACUUGCUGAGCCUUUGCAUGCCUUUGAUUCUUCAAAGAUUGGGAUUCUGCUCGCCUUCUCGUGGUCGAGCAGAUCCUGGCACGCUUGGCUUCUGUCUCGCCAUAAAACAGGCUUUGAGACUUGCCGAGCCUUUGCAUGCCUUUGAUUCUUCAAGGAUUGGGAUUCUGCUCGCCUUCUCGUGGUCGAGCAGAUCCUGGCACGCUUGGCUUCUGUCUCGCCAUAAAACAGGCUUUGAGACUUGCUGAGCCUUUGCAUGCCUUUGAUUCUUCAAGGAUUGGGAUUCUGCUCGCCUUCUCGUGGUCGAGCAGAUCCUGGCACGCUUGGCUUCUGUCUCGUCAUAAAACAGGCUUUGAGACUUGCCGAGCCUUUGCAUGCCUUUGAUAAUUUCUUGAAUGCUUUGGAGUCUGCUUGCCUUCUCGUGGUCGAGCAUAUCCUAGCACGCUUGGCUUCUGUCUCGCCAUAAAACAGGCUUUGAGGCUUGCUGAGCCUUUGCAUGCCGUUGAUUGUUCAAGGAUUGGGAUUCGGCUCGCCUUCUCGUGGUGGAGCAGAUCCUGGCACGCUUGGCUUCUGUCUCGCCAUAAAAUAGGCUUUGAGACUUGCUGAGCCUUUGCAUGCCUUUGAUUGUUCAAGGAUUGUGAUUCGGCUUGCCUUCUCGUGGUCAAGCAGAUCCUGGCACGCUUGGCUUCUGUCUCACCAUAAAACAGGCUUUGAGACUUGCUGAGCCUUUGCAUGCCUUCAAUUCUUCAAGGAUUGGGAUUCUGCUCGCCUUCUCGUGGUCGAGCAGAUCCUGGCACGCUUGGCUUCUGUCUCGUCAUAAAACAGGCUUUGAGACUUGAUGAGCCUUUGCAUGCCUUUGAUAAUUUCUUGAAUGCUUUGGAGUCUGCUUGCCUUCUCGUGGUCGAGCAUAUCCUGGCACGCUUGGCUUCUUACUCGCCAUAAAACAGGCUUUGAGACUUGCCGAGCCUUUGCAUGCUUUUGAUUCUUCAAGGAUUGGGAUUCUGCUCGCCUUCUCGUGGUCGAACAGAUCCUAGCAUGCUUGGCUUCUGUCUCGCCAUAAAACAGGCUUUGAGACUUGUUGAGCCUUUGCAUGCCUUUGAUUCUUCAAGGAUUGGGAUUCGGCUCGCCUUCUCGUGGUCGAGCAGAUCCUGGCACGCUUGGCUUCUGUCUCGCCAUAAAACAGGCUUUGAGACUUGCUGAGCCUUUGCAUGCCUUUGAUUCUUCAAGGAUUGGGAUUCUGCUCGCCUUCUCGUGGUCGAGCAGAUCCUGGCACGCUUGGCUUCUGUCUCGCCAUAAAACAGGCUUUGAGACUUGCCGAGCCUUUGCAUGCCUUUGAUUCUUCAAGGAUUGGGAUUCUGCUCGCCUUCUCGUGGUCGAGCAGAUCCUGGCACGCUUGGCUUCUGUCUCGCCAUAAAACAGGCUUUGAGACUUGCUGAGCCUUUGCAUGCCGUUGAUUGUUCAAGGAUUGGGAUUCGGCUCGCCUUCUCGUGGUGGAGCAGAUCCUGGCACGCUUGGCUUCUGUCUCGUCAUAAAACAGGCUUUGAGACUUGAUGAGCCUUUGCAUGCCUUUGAUAAUUUCUUGAAUGCUUUGGAGUCUGCUUGCCUUCUCGUGGUCGAGCAUAUCCUGGCACGCUUGGCUUCUGUCUCGCCAUAAAACAGGCUUUGAGACUUGCCGAGCCUUUGCAUGCCUUUGAUUCUUCAAGGAUUGGGAUUCUGCUCGCCUUCUCGUGGUCGAGCAGAUCCUGGCACGCUUGGCUUCUGUCUCGCCAUAAAACAGGCUUUGAGACUUGCUGAGCCUUUGCAUGCCGUUGAUUGUUCAAGGAUUGGGAUUCGGCUCGCCUUCUCGUGGUCGAGCAGAUCCUGGCACGCUUGGCUUCUGUCUCGCCAUAAAACAGGCUUUGAGACUUGCUGAGCCUUUGCAUGCCUUCAAUUCUUCAAGGAUUGGGAUUCUGCUCGCCUUCUCGUGGUCGAGCAGAUCCUGGCACGCUUGGCUUCUGUCUCGCCAUAAAACAGGCUUUGAGACUUGCCGAGCCUUUGCAUGCCUUUGAUUCUUCAAGGAUUGGGAUUCUGCUCGCCUUCUCGUGGUCGAGCAGAUCCUGGCACGCUUGGCUUCUGUCUCGCCAUAAAACAGGCUUUGAGACUUGCCGAGCCUUUGCAUGCCUUUGAUUCGUCAAGGAUUGGGAUUCUGCUUGCCUUCUCGUGGUCGAGCAGAUCCUGGCACGCUUGACUUCUGUCUCGCCAUAAAACAGGCUUUGAGACUUGCUGAGCCUUUGCAUGCCUUUGAUUGUUCAAGGAUUGGGAUUCGGCUCUCCUUCUCGUGGUCGAGCAGAUCCUGGCACGCUUGGCUUCUUUCUCGCCAUAAAACAAGCUUUGAGACUUGCCGAGCCUUUGCAUGCCUUUGAUUCUUCAAGGAUUGAGAUUCUGCUCGCCUUCUCGUGGUCGAGCAGAUCCUGGCACGCUUGGCUUCUGUCUCGCCAUAAAACAGGCUUUGAGACUUGCUGAGCCUUUGCAUGCCUUUGAUUGUUCAAGGAUUGGGAUUCGGCUCGCCUUCUCGUGGUGGAGCUGAUCCUGGCACGCUUGGCUUCUGUCUCGUCAUAAAACAGGCUUUGAGACUUGAUGAGCCUUUGCAUGCCUUUGAUAAUUUCUUGAAUGCUUUGGAGUCUGCUCGCCUUCUCGUGGUCGAGCAUAUCCUGGCACGCUUGGCUUCUGUCUCGCCAUAAAACAGGCUUUGAAACUUGCUGAGCCUUUGCAUGCCUUCAAUUCUUCAAGGAUUGGGAUUCUGCUCGCCUUCUCGUGGUCGAGCAGAUCCUGGCACGCUUGGCUUCUGUCUCACCAUAAAACAGGCUUUGAGACUUGCUGAGCCUUUGCAUGCCUUUGAUUCUUCAAAGAUUGGGAUUCUGCUCGCCUUCUCGUGGUCGAGCAGAUCCUGGCACGCUUGGCUUCUGUCUCGCCAUAAAACAGGCUUUGAGACUUGCCGAGCCUUUGCAUGCCUUUGAUUCUUCAAGGAUUGGGAUUCUGGUCGCCUUCUCGUGGUCGAGCAGAUCCUGGCACGCUUGGCUUCUGUCUCGCCAUAAAAUAGGCUUUGAGACUUGCUGAGCCUUUGCAUGCCUUUGAUUGUUCAAGGAUUGUGAUUCGGCUUGCCUUCUCGUGGUCAAGCAGAUCCUGGCACGCUUGGCUUCUGUCUCGCCAUAAAACAGGCUUUGAGACUUGAUGAGCCUUUGCAUGCCUUAGGAAAUUUUCACAGUUUCAAGCGAAUGAAAUUCCUCAUUGAUUCAUUUAUUGCUGAGUUCGGCUUACAUGAGGUUGGUUUGAAAUAAGAAAUCAAAAAUAGAAAACAACGGACACGAACAGAAAAAAAAAAAACUUUAAAACAUGAAUAAGUCUUACUAGAAAUAUUUCCUGAGGUGUGCCGCGCUCCAUGGACGUUUCACCUCGUGGCCCUCCGUGCGAACCAACUUGUAGACUCCGGGUCCAACUAGCUGCCUUUCCCGGCUUCCACUCGGGUACCAAGGUAUGUUAUCUGCAUUGCUUCCCUUGCUGCCGAGGAGUAACAAGUUCGUGCGAUUCUCUGGUCUCCUCGUACCACUCCAACUACCCCAUUCACCCGGUACUUGAGAGCCAGAUAAUGGUUGGACAGCACCGCUUUGCUCAUCCUCAGAAAUGGCCGACCUAGGAUCAUCUGAUAAGGACCUUCCUCAUCCACUACCACAAAGUCCAGUAUCAUUGUCCUUUCUGUCGGGGAGCUCCCAAUCGUGAUAGGCAGCUCGACCACGCCCAGAGGGACCAGCUUUCCUCUUCCAAACCCCUUCAAGGAGGUAUUGGUGUAUUCCAACUUCCGGUCUACUAUUCCCAUCUCCUCCAAGGUUGACUUAAAUAAUACAUCAACUGAACUCCCUGUAUCAACCAGUAUCCGGUCACACUUCUUGCUAGCGACAGUAGCCUUGAUGACUAAAGCAUCCUCGUGGGGGUAUAGAAUUCCUUCCUCAUCUUCAUCCGUCCACAUGAUUGGCACUUGCCUGACCCUUGCUCGUUUGGCUGCUGGGGUGUUGAAGAAUACCUCUUUACUAGUCAUGGCGUAUCUAGCAUAGUUCUUCCUAGAUCUGUUGGAAUCUCCAGCCAAUGUCGGGCCCCCAGCAAUCACCCUUACUGUAGGCUGCUCGUGCCUCAAAUUUCUGCCACUCUGCUCCCCUUCACAUGUCGAGGCCACCAUCGGGAAAGUCCCAUCUACAAACUCGUCCAGGUACCGAUUUCUCACCAAAUCUUCAACCUGGGUCUUGAGAUCUUUGCAUUCUGCAGUGGUAUGGCCAUGAGUGCCAUAGAACUUACAAUGGCGUCCCCUAUCCCUCCUGCUGGGUAGCUUUGUUAUUAGGGCAGGGAGGUACAGCAAUCCUCGGUCCUUUAUGGCCUCGUAUACUUUGUCCAGGGACAUCUUCAAGGAGGUGUAUCGCCCAUACUCCUGGUUUUGGUCAAUCAGGUGCACAGCCCUUUCUCUAUUUGCUCCGUUUUGAGUUGGAGGCGAUGGCAGCAUUUCUGGUCUGCUCCCUCUACUACUGUGGGAGUGUUGAUGAAGACCACCAUAUGCCGAAUCAUGCCUUCUCCAAGGCUCCCUAGCUGGGGAACGAGGAGGGUGCGCCCUGCUGCGCUGAUACUGUGGUGGCCUCUGAUGAGGCUGGUGAGCUGUUAUCCGACCUCCUGUUCCACUACCUGAGGCCUGGAGGUCCCUCCUCCUGAUCGGCCCAUUUCCCGGUAAUGCCCUCUUCUCUUUCUUUUCCAGCCCCUCCAGCUGGUCUGUCUUAAUCCGACCUGCCUUUUCUUCCUCGAUCUCUAUGUCUCUUUUAGCCUGCUCGUAUGCGGCUGCAUACGUCUGAAUAGCUGGGCUUCUCAAGUUGUACCACAGCCUUCCUAUCUUCACUCCCUCUUUCAAUCCCCUUAGUGCCUGAGGAUGGUCGAAGGCUCCCAAAUCGAGGACAGCACGAUGAAACCUCUUGAUGAAUUCCCGAAGGGUUUCUUGCUCCCCUUGCUUCAUGCUUUUCAGCUCCAUCAUGUCAUCUUCUGGUGCCAUUGCCCCACGAAACUGCUCUGCAAACUCCUGGCACAUCUGCUCGAAGGUUUUAAUGCUCCCCCGAGGAAGUUUCUUGUACCACUCUCGUGCACGUCCCUCAAGAGAUAGUGGGAACACCCUGCACCUUUGGGAUUGAGAUAAUCCUUGUACCCCAGUUAUGUCGUUGAAACGCUCUAUGUGCACCAGCGGAUCCGUUCGUCCCGAAUACCUAAGGUCUGGGAGGCGGAAAUCUCUCGGAAUAACUGCCCUCAUGAUCUCUGCUGCGAGCGGUGAUUCUCCGUCCAGCAUUAUCCUCCAACCAGGAGCUCUGCUCCUUCCUUGCAUGUCGUCAAUUAUCUGCGCUAGUCUGCGCACUUCCUCCUCCAGCUGCACUGCGCGACUAGGGUCACGUGCUGCAGCUUGAUCCCGCUCUUGCUCUACAUCAAGCAAGUGUUGCCUCAACUCUGUUUCCUCUGCAUUUGCCACCCUGUCCACUUUAAAUCUGGUGUGGUUAAUGAACAUUUUGAGGUCACAAAAUUUGCACUACUGGAAACAAUAAAGGAAGCAGUACCAGAGAUAUGGUCACCAGAAAUGAAGAGUGCCUGGUCCGAAGCUUGCGAUCAAUUGGUUGCAGCCAUUAAGUUAGAGAUGAAGCCCUCCUCUUAGAGUUUCCUGAACAAAUUUCUCUUCCCUUGUAAUAUUAAAGAAUUUCAACAAGAUCAUUGUUUAUUUGUUAAUCUUUGCAUUGGUACCCAUGUGUGUUUCUUAUGCCUUUUUGUAUCAAUCCUUGUGUUCAACUCUUAAAUCUUAAUAAUAAAAGUUUGUUCCUAAUAUUUGCAUUUAAAUAUUAACAUGUGUGUUAGAUGAUUUGCCUCUUUGAUUCUGUUGCUUCAUUCCCGUGCAUCUAUCCAAUUAUACUGAUUAGUCCUAAACUGGUUUCAAUGCUCUUAACAAGGAAAAGCUUCAAAAUAAGCUCUUCUUUUUUAGUUGUAAGUGUGUUCUCUUCUGUUGAGUUAUUAAUGGAUCAGUGAAAAGGGCUAACAAUUCUUUUGGAAUGUGUUUGCACUAUGUAUAACAACAAUAAAUGAACUCAAAAGAUUAACGUAUAAUGAAGUUAACUUUCUAUAAUGAAGUUUGUUGUGUUUAAUUUAUAUCAUAUUUGUUCUUUUCUAUUGAUAGUGAUCCAGUUGAAAGAAAAGCAGGGGAAGAAAAAAUGGACAACAUCCAAGAAGCAUCUCAUGCCUUUAAGCCGGCAAAAAUUUCGUGCUUCUAAUGUUUUCUUGCUGCUGAAUUCUUGAAUGUAGAAGUUCAACAGUCAAUUCUCACGAACCAGUUGGCGUUUUGCAGCUUGGAAGCUCUAUACUUGAGGUUUUGCAGUUUGCAAUUUGCAGUCUGCAGAUUGUAAGUUUUGAGGGGAGUGUUAUGGUUCACGCUUGCGCAAAUAGAAGGAUAAAGAGAAUGCUCACGUGCUGCACAGGUGGAAUUAAAAGGAAAGCAAUCAAAACCAAAAAGCAAUCAAAGCAAAAGAAAAGUAAUCAAAGCAAAAAGAAAGCAAUCAAAGCAAAAUGCACCGUUUUUACCAAUAUUCCGGGGGCGGAUUCAGGGUUUAAUUCGGGGUAAAUAGCUUUUUCCCUAUUAUAAACACCUGAAGUCAAAGUUAAUGUUUUAAUUUCUUUAGUUUGGUAAAGACUGCUUAAGCUGACUUGAAAAGCUCAAAUAUAAGUUCUAUAUUAACAAAUGCCCGCAGCUUGUGAAGACAUAGAUAAUUGAAGCCGAUGAGGCAUAUUUAACAGAUGAUAAUCAAAACUAAUGUGAUUAAAAUUAUAAUUCAAUAAUUAAGCACAUAAAACAACAAGUAACUAGUUGUAUAUAUACCAAACAACAUUUUGAAGUUAAGGCGUAAAACAGCAACAUAGAACAAAUUAAUUAAAUAUACCAGCACCAAUACUCUUAUUAUUAUCCACAUAGAAAAGAACAAUAUAUCAAACAAGGAAAAUGAAAUAUUGUUAAUAACUCAAAAACCACUAGUGUCAAGGACUAGACUAAUAAGUGAAACCCAUAAUUGGAGGAUAAUUAUGUGCACAUGAGUUCGCUUAGCAAAAGUCCGCCUAGGCGUGGAGUGCGCUUAAAAGCGGGAUGCACUUAGAAGUGAGAUGCGCUUAGCAAAUCAUCCAAGCCCAACCCAAGAUCUAGAACUCUCUGUAAAUUAUUAAUAAGCUAAAGUUUUUAUGUUUCUCCAUGUAGGUCCCUAGGAUAUUUAUGGAAGUUGCUAGGAAGUUUCCUCCCCUAGAACUCUAAUACCUAUAAAUAGGGGUGGGCCGCCUCAUUUGCCCACCAAUCACACCACACACACAAACACUCCAGCACACACACACAAGCUCUCUAGCUUUUGCAAAAAACUCUCUUGUAUAUUCUCUCUUUGUGAGUAAUAAAAUCAUAUUCAGCCAUAUUGCUCUACAUAAAAUCAUAUUCGGCCAUAUUGCUCUACUUCUCUCUAGCAUUUUCCGCAAGUGUUCUUGCUUUGCUAGUUUGAGGAGUGGUCUAGGCUUGCUUAGCAACUUGUUUGCUACAAGGACAUCUUGGUCACAAAACAUGGACAUGCAAGGAAAAAAAAAUAUUGAUACGUUCUAAAAAUAAUACGCAUUCUUCUACAGUGAACCAAAAAAUUUAGGCUAAUGGUAGCAAGUGAAGGAAUUGUGAUUUCACGUGCAUUUUGUUGACAUGAAGGUAAAGAACUUUUUUAUAGUUUAUAUUGUUUAAUAUAACAUUUGAAUUGCAAAAUAGGGGUACAAAAUUGAUACACGAAGUGAGAAAACUAAGCUAAUUAUGAUAAAUAUUGAAUUAAAAGAUUUAGGUUUAAUCAUAAAGACAUAAGUGGCCCACAAAGUCAUGAAUUGAUAUCAUCCACGAUGCAAGUUCAAAAAACUGCAUAAUAAGUUGCCCCAAGCUAAACUAUUAAUCUAGUAACUAUUCUAGUCGAUGUGGGAUAAUUUUCCUAUCACCAUCUAUCACGUGCAGGCCGAAUUUGUUGCUUGGUCCUUACAUGUGGUAAGGUAAUAUGAAUCCACUUGCGCAUGAAUUUGGCUCCGAUAUUAUAUAGAAGCCUAUGACACAAAAUUAUACUUAAAGGUUAUUUCAAGAUUUGAGGGUUGCCUCAAGCUAAUAUUAUUAUUAGCCUGGUAACCCUUUUUUUUUUUGUUGAUAUGUGAUAUUUUCCCUAUAACUUUUAUUAAUCUUUAUGCUUAUGUUUUGUCAUUUAUCCCAAAAUAUAACAAUAACAAAAGUUCCAAAAUUUCCUUCAAGAGAUAUAUUUGAGACAAGUAAUUUGUGCAAUAACUUUGUGAAUUGAUGAGCAAAUUCAGAGAAAAGAAUAUAUGUGCCAAACGUAACGUUUAUUAUUGUGUUUAUUUGUAGAGCUAUUUAAAGCCCAAAAAAAAAAAAAAAGCACCGGUCCGCUAUUAUUUCAAAUAAGUUCAAGCCCUAUGUCAUUAUUGGUACAAAAAUGUAUUAGAAUGGUUAAAAACUAUUUUUAUUUAACUUAUAAACUUAGGAAAUUAUCAACUGUUCACCCUUAAAUUGCAUUGUUAUAAAAAAUAUUACAACAUUUUCAGGUUGUAUCAUUCAUCUACCAUAAAUUUACAAUUUGCAUCAUUUAUCCACCAAAUCAUUAACUUCGUUAAAAAGUGAUAGACGUCACAAGGGUAAUUUAGACAUUUAACACACAAAAAAAAUAAAAGAGAAAUUAUCUAAGCUUACCAUGUUAUCAAAAUUGCUACAAAAUUUUAAAUUUAUUCAAUUUUCCAAUCUAAGUUUAUGACCUCCAAGAUGUUAAUUGCAGUUUGUAAUUAAUGACUUCAUAAGGAUAAUUUAGACACUCAAUAUGCAAAAUAAAAAAUAAAAUAAUGGCUUAAAACAUUAAAACAAAAAACUACUUUUUAUAAUUGAUAUUCAAUUAAAUACACAUAAACUCUAUUUUUUUCUUAAUUAAAAAAAUUCUAAUUUAUUUUCUCAAUUUAUCAUCAUAAAUUUACAUUAAUAAACUAAAUCCACAAAUUACCCUAAACCCUAAUUCAUAAAUGCCCAAUCAAUCUAAUAGUUUAAUUCGAUUUCAUAAUUAAAAAAGCUAAAUUUAUUAUAUUAGUUGUGGUGCAAAGUCAAAAAUGCCCUUAAAUUCAAGGUAAAAUAACAUUUUAUGUAAAUUCUAUAAAUUAUUCUAACAAUGUUAACAUUUUGGUGGACGGUUAAUAUAAGUUACAAACUUAAAAUAGAAAAUCAAAUAAAUUCAAAAUUUCAAACUAUUUAGGGCAAAUUUAGGAUAUAUGGUUAAUAAUUUUCCCAUGUCUUUUUACAUUGGUUGAUAUAAGUUACAAACUUAAAAUAGAAAAUCAAAUAAAUUUAUAUUUUCAAACUAUUUAGGACAAACUUAGGGUAUAUGGUUAAUAAUUUUUCUUUAUCUUUUUACGUUAAAUUGAGUUUCAAAGGUAAAAUGAUCAAUUUAUUAUAAUUCUAUUCAUUUUUUAGUGGAAGCAAAUGAUAUAAUGGACGAGUGAUAUAAAUUGUAAAAUUCUAUUCAUUUAAAGUGCAUGAAUGAUACAACUUUAAAGUAUUGUAGUAAUUUUAAUAAUAGAACAAUUUAAGGGUGGAUUGGCAAUAAUUUAAACUUUAAUGAAGCAACUAAAAAAAUUUGUUAACAAAGAAAAAUAAUUGAAUGCUUGGUGAAACCAAAAGUAAUUGAAAAGCUUUAAGAAAAAUAAAGGAAAUUAAAUAUCUUUAUAAAAACAUAAUUGAGUAAAAUCAUUUUACAAAAUGCUCUUUCAAAUGCACAUUCCACAAGCCAGGGAGAACGGGUGGCUAACAAAAAUGUCACUUUUUAUGAGUUUAUAAAAUCUCACUUUCGCUAAAUUAAAAAAUAACCAAUACUAAUGACACAAAAAAUAAAAAUUAUUGCUGUCACGACAUUACACACUUUCUUCGCAGUUUAGAAAGGUGGAACAUUUUGAAGUUCCUCAAUACAAAAUGCGUGCUACUACUAAAUUGGCCCAAUUAAUGCCCAUCGAAAAGGCCAUCAAUUUAGCCGCCAAUUUUGUCAAAAUUUCAACAAUUGAAGAAAUAAUGAGCACAAAUGGAAAAAAAAAAUCAUAAAGCUACCAAAAGGAACCACAAAAUCAUCAAUAUUAUCGUUUAAUAUGGGGAACGGCCUGCGCAUCCAAAUUGUGCGAACUGAACACGUUGAAAUGUGUUUUUUUUUUUGGAUUUUUGGAAUUUUUUAAAAUCAUUUAUGUUCGCUGCCAUCUUUUUCUUCGCUGGCGUCUUCAUUGGCAUCCCUCUCUUGGCUGGCAUCUGCCUCGUCUGCAGUUUGCUGUGCCUAUAUAUCCAACCAAUAAAUUGGGCAUUAAAUACGAAUGAUGAAUAAAAUGAUUAAAAACAAACAGAGAAAAUUAUAAUAUAACACAUAUAUAUUGAAAGAGAAAUUUUGAUUUUAGGAUAGAUCAAUUAGCUAUCACAAACGAAAACAUGUACCAACUAUGUAUAGAGUCAAUUAACUAAAGUUCUCAAGAGUUGACCUGUGCUCCUGAAUCCUUGGAAUCAUCUAUCUCCUUCUGAAUUUCCACGAAGCCUGGGACAAUCUUGAACAACAACGUUAAAGGAUGGAAUUGAGAUCUGAUAACCCGCAGGCCAAAUGUUGGUGAGGUUUGGUAAGUUUAUCAGUUCCACCCGAAGUUCAUUCAUAACAAUUUCAUUGUAAUCCGUGACGUCUGCUCCAUCUUUAUGCCAGAAUACUUCUUCUAAUUCAUCAUUAGCUGCUAUGUUUAGGUUCUUCAGUUUUUGAAGACUUGGAGCUACGCUGAUAUGAAAUAGAUGCUUUAGUUUGGGGCAAUAAGCGACAGUGAUCUCUGUGAGUUUUGGGAAACAUACAGGUUGGAGAUGAUCCUCAUCCUCAUCCUCAUCAAUGAUUUGCUCUAAUUCCCAGCAAUUGCGAAUGUAUAACUCCUUCAAACAUGGGAAUAGUUUGUUUUCUGGUCCCUCAGCGAUAAUAGCUUCCAAUUGAAAUACCACCUGUACUCCAAUUUCCCUAAUAUGCAAUUCUUCCAAAUUUUUUAAUCCGUGCUUCAACAGUGCUGGAAUCGUGUCACUCAAAUGGGAACAAUUGUCCACAUCUAGAGUAUUUAAGUUCUGAGACAAAUAAAUAAAUAACUUGAUGCAAUUAAAAUUUAUUAGCAGCUAGGAUUAUCACAUGAUAAGUGAUGAACACCGCAAAAAUAUCAUAAUACAUAUGUAAACUAAUAAAAUAAUUAAAAAGUAAUGGAUUUAAAAAAAAUGAAAUUAGUUAAAAGAGAUCAUGUGAAGUGAUAUAAAUGUGACAGUAGAUUGUUUUAGAAAAAAAUAUUAUUCUAUUAAUUUAUAUGGCUUGAUAAACUAUUUAAUUGAAUUUGAAUAAUAUUAUAUACACUUCUGAAGUAUUUGCAUCAAUUCUUUCUAAACCAAAAUGAGAUAUGACUUUCAUUUGAAGAAUGGUUUUAGGCCCUAUAAUAAAGAAAUUUUCCUAAGAUAUCUGAGCAUUAUUAUUAUCAUUACCACAUCCACCACCACCAUCAUCAUCUCCAUAGGAUCAAAUAAUUGUCAAAAGUCAUGGCUGGCAUCGGCCAUCUAGAUGGCCAGUGCCAUGCGAUUCAACACGGCCCACCAUUAUUGGUGGUGCCGCGUUGACUUAUUCUAUAAAAAAAAAAAAGGAGCCAAAAUUUUGGCUAUAUAAAGAGGGCUUCCCACCCUCAUUUUGCAUUCCAUUACGAGAGAGCAAUUUAGUAGUUGAGAGAGAGUUUAGAGAGCUUGAAAUUAUAAAGCUUUUGUUAUAGUGAUUUAGAGAGUUUGGGUGUAUUGAGAUUUUUGGGAAGUGAGCUAAAAUACUACAAUACUUGUAACUCCUUUUCACUAGUAAAAUAUUUCCUUCUGUUUUUGCCCGUGGACGUAGGCUAAAAGCCGAACCACAUAAAUUCUGGUGUCCUCUAUUAUGCUUGUUCUUUAUUUUCUUCCAAUUUCACUUUAGCUGCUUGUCUGCUUCACCCACCAAUUUCCUAACAGUGGUAUCAGAGCUAUUGGUUGUAUUUUUUUGAGUCGGGUACUGUUCACGUAAGGGGUACUAUUCACGUAUACGGUACUAUUCACGUAUACAGUACUAUUCACGUAUACGGUACUAUUCAUGUAUACAGUACUAUUCACGUGAAACGGUGGGAGCGAUCCAAGAAUUUUACGGUGCAAAGCAGGGAAUAGUGGUGUGAGUAAAACAACUGUGUGGUUUUGUACAUGUCUAGGAAAGUUAUGUCACAAAGGCGAUAAGAGCUUAAGGAGUCUGGGUUUUAAGUGGGACCAUUGUGACCCCUCCAGUCUUUCCUGGGAACUUUCCUGGUGUGCAUUCUCACACAUACUUACAACUAUUCAAGGUGGUACACUAGUUUGUGUGCGGUAUUUAUCAACAAAAUGGCGGCAAAGUAUGAAAUUGAGAAAUUUAACAGAAACAAUUUUUCGUUGUGGAAAAUGAAGAUGAAAGCUGUAUUGAGGAAAAAUAAUUGCUUGGCAGGAAUUGGAGAAAGGCCCAUGGAGAUAACUGAUGACAAGUGGAAUGAGAUAGAUGGCAACGCCAUUUCUGAUCUACACUUGGCACUUGCAGAUGGAGUAUUAUCCAGUGUGGCAGAGAAAAAUACAGCGAAGGAAAUAUGGGAUACUCUUACAAAAUUGUACGAGGCCAAGUCACUACACAACAAAAUCUUCUUGAAGAGGAAACUUUAUACUCUUCGAAUGACGGAAUCUACAAUGGUGACCGACCACAUCAACACCUUGAAGACUCUAUUUUCACAACUCACAACGUUGGGUCAUAAUAUAGAGGAGAAUGAACGAGCAGAGCUUCUACUUCAAAGUCUAUCAGAUUCGUAUGAUCAACUCAUCAUCAACCUAACGAAUAAUAAUCCAGUGGACAAUCUAGUUUUCGACGAUGUUGCAGUCUCCGUAUUAAAUAAGGAGAGUAGGCGGAAAAAUAAAGAAAACAGACAAGCAAGUUCACAGCAAGCGGAGGCGCUAUCGGUGACGAGAGGGAGAUCAACAGAACGUGGCCCCAGUGAGAGCCACAAUCAUGGUAGAUCAAAAUCCAAAAGUAAGAAGAAUAUUAAAUGCUACAACUGUGGCAAGAAAGGGCACAUCAAGAAAAAGUGUUGGAGUAACCAGAAGAGAAGAGAGGGCAAAGAACCUGAGUAAUCAAAUGCUCAGGGUUGUGUAGCAAGUACCUCGGAUGAUGGCGAAAUUCUCUACAGUGAGGCAACAACUGUUUCAGAAGGCAGAAAACGACUAUUUGAUGUCUAGCUUAUAGACUCAGGAGCUACCUGGCAUAUGACCUCUCGGAGAGAAUGGUUCCACACAUAUGAACUUAUCUAAGGAGGAUCUGUAUAUAUGGGUAAUGAUCAUGCCUUGGAGAUCGCUGGUAUUGGUACUAUCAAAAUAAAAAUGUUUGAUGGUACAAUUCGCACAAUUGGGAAGGUACGACAUGUCAACGGCCUGAAGAAAAAUCUAUUGUCUUUGGGACAAAUGGAUAGUUAUGGGUAUAAAACUCAUGUGGAGAAUGUAAUUAUGAAGAUCGUUAAAGGAGCGCUUGUAUUAAUGAAGGCAUAAAAGAUCAGUGCUAAUCUAUUCAUGCUUAAAGGAGAAACACUACAGGAGGCUGAUGCGUGUGUCGCAUUUAAUGGAGAAGAAUCAACGAUGAUGUGGCAUCUCAAACUUGGCCACAUGUCAGAACAAGGUUUGAAGAUUCUCUCUGAGCGAAAAUUGCUUCUGGGGCUCAAAUCGGUAAGUUUACCAUUUUGCGAUCAUUGUGUUACAAGUAAGCAGUAUAGAUUAAAAUUUAGUAGAUCUAUUGCUAGAAGUAAAUGCAUUCUAGACUUGAUUCAUUUUGAUGUUUGGGAAUCACCGGAUAUAUCCAUGGGAGGUGCAAAGUACAUGGUGACUUUCAUUGAUGAUUAUUCCAGAAAAUGUUGGGUGUAUCCAAUUAAGAAAAAGUCAGAUGUAUUUCCAGUGUUUAAAGAAUACAAAGCGCGGGUGGAACUUGAAUCUGGUAAAAAGAUCAAGUGCUUGAGGACAGAUAAUGGUGGAGAGUAUACAGACGGCGAGUUUCUUGCUUUCUGUAAGCAAGAAGGUAUUCAGAGACAGUUCACGCUAGCAUACACUCCUCAACAAAACGGAGUGGCGAAGCGGAUGAACAGAACUCUUACAGAAAAAAUAAAAGCUAUGUUGAGGACUGCUGGUCUACCCAAUUUAUUCUGGGCAGAAGCAGCCAAAACUGCUUGUUAUAUAGUAAAUCGGUCGCCAUCUACAGUUAUUGGGCUGAAGACAGCGAUGGAGAUGUGGACUGGAAAGCCAGCUGAUUAUUCAUACCUACAUGCAUUUUGAUGUCCUGUGUAUGUGAUGUACAAUGCCCAAGAAAGAAAAAAACUGGAUCCAAAAUCUAGAAAAUGUAUCUUCUUGGGAUAUGCUGAUGGAGUAAAGGGGUAUCGUCUGUGGGACCCCACUGCCCACAAGAUCGUCAUCAGCAGAGAUGUUAUAUUUAUAGAAGAUCAACUGCAAAGGAAAGAUGAGGAUGAUAGCACUAUAAAAGAAAAGUCAGAGACUGUACCGGUAUAUGUGAAAAAUAAUCCAGAAGAUUCAUAUUCUUCUGAAGCAGCACCAGAGCACGAGGAACAAGAACCAGUCGAGUCCGAGGCUCAAGAAGUUCGUCGAUCAACUCGUGAGAGACGACCGCCAACGUGGCACUCGGAGUAUGUUACAGAGAUCAACGUUGCAUACUGUCUUCUAACAGAGAAUGGAGAGCCUUCAACUUUCCAUGAAGCUUUAAACAACUCAGAUGUUACUUUGUGGAUGACAGCAAUGCAGGAAGAAAUUGAGGCUCUACACAAGAACAAGACAUGGGAACUUGUACCACUACCACGUGGAAGAAAAGCCAUUGGAAACAAAUGGGUCUACAAGAUCAAACGUGAUGGCAAUGACCAAGUGAAGCGGUAUCGUGCGAGAUUGGUGGUGAAAGGAUAUGCUCAGAAAAAAAGUAUUGACUUCAACGAGAUAUUUUUACUGGUGGUUCGACUCAUAACAGUCAGAGUAGUCUUGGUGAUGUGUGCUACAUUUGACUUACAUCUUGACCAGUUAGAUGUGAAAACUGCAUUUCUUCAUGGAGAACUUGAAGAAGAAAUAUAUAUGCUCCAACCAGAAGGUUUUGCAGAAACAGGAAAGGAGAACUUGGUUUGCAGGUUGAACAAAUCUCCAUACGGUCUUAAACAGGUGCCGAGGUGUUGGUAUAAGAGAUUUGAUUCCUUCAUUGUGAGUCUUGGAUACAAUAGACUCAGUUCAGACUAUUGUGCAUAUUACAAGAGGUUUGAAGACAAUGAUUUCAUUAUUUUACUGUUGUAUGUGGAUGACAUGUUGGUAGCAGGCCCCAACAAAAAUCAAAUCCAAGAAUUGAAGGCACAGUUGGCUAGGGAGUUUGAAAUGAAGGACUUGGGACCAGCAAACAAGAUUUUAGGGAUGCAAAUUCACCGAGACAGAAAUAACAGGAAGAUUUGGCUUUCGCAGGAGAAUUACUUGAAGAAAAUAUUGCGGCGCUUCAACAUGCAAGAUUGUAAGUCAAUUUCUACCCUACUUCCUGUUAAUUUCAAACUAUCCUCAAGUAUGUGUCCUAGCAAUGAAGCAGAGAGGAAGGAGAUGUCUCGAGUAUCGUAUGCAUCAGCAGUGGGAAGUUUGAUGUUCGCUAUGAUAUGUACAAGACCAGACAUUGCACAAGCAGUGGGAGCAGUCAGUCGAUACAUGGCGAAUCCUAGUGGAGAGCAUUGGAUAGCUGUGAAGAGGAUUAUGAGAUACAUCAGAGGAACCAUCAGAUGUUGCAUUAUGUUAUGGAGGAUCAGAGUUUACUGUCAGGGGCUAUGUGGAUUCAGAUUUUGCAGGAGACCUUGAUAAAAUGAAAUCUACUACUGGUUAUGUGUUUACACUUGUGGGAGCAGCUGUAAGCUGUGUUUCAAAACUGCAGACCGUUGUAGUUUUAUCUACGACAGAAGCAGAAUACAUGGAAGCUACACAAGCUUGCAAGGAAGCUAUUUGGAUACAAAGGUUAUUGGAGGAGCUCGGGCACAAACAACAGAAAAUUCCUGUGUUUUGUGACAGUCAGAAUGCCUUGCACAUUGCAAGGAAUCCAGCCUUUCAUUCCAGGACAAAGCACAUAGGAGUUCAGUAUCACUUCGUUCGUGAAGUAAUGGAAGAUGGAAGUGUGGAUUUGCAGAAAAUCCAUACCAAAGAGAACCUAGCAGAUGUUUUGACCAAGCCGAUAAAUACUGAUAAGUUUGUUUGGAGUAGAUCUUCUUGUGGCCUAGCAGCAACAUAAGCAACAUGACUACGACGAAGCAGAAAGGAUAAUGUGGAGAUUGAUUAAUUCUCAAUCUAAUCUCCAAGUGGGAGAAUGUCAAAAGUCAUGGCUGGCACCGGCCAUCUAGAUGGCCAGUGCCAUGCCAUUCAACACGGCCCACCAUUAUUGGUGGUGCCGUGUUAACUUAUUCUAUUAAAAAAAAAAAGGAGCCAAAAUUUUGGCUAUAUAAAGAGGGCUUCCCACCCUCAUUUUGCAUUCCAUUAAGAGAGCAAUUUAGUAGUUGAGAGAGAGUUUAGAGAGCUUGAAAUUAUAAAGCUUUUGUUAUAGUGAUUUAGAGAGUUUGAGUGUAUUGGGAUUUUUGGGAAGUGAGCUAAAAUACUUGAUGGGUGUCGAAGCCAACAAAAAUAAAUUCCUACUCUAAAUAAAUUGUGUAUAGUGAUUGAGCAGGGUCGUGUCCACAGAGAUCGGUAAUUAUUUAAAUCCUUUUGAAACGUAAAACGUAAAAUGGGGGAAUUGUAGACAAUAAUAAAAAUCAAAUUAAAUAACAAGAAUGCAAAUUAAAGUUGUAAUUCAAAUUGGAGAAAGCUCUGGUUGAAGGAAUUAACUAAGCUUGAUUCGACUACUGAUCAUUGAUUCAAAUAUAGAUUAUUAUUACUCAUGAAUAGACCGGUUAUAGCUAUUGAGACCCUCUAAUAGCCAAUCUCUCCUUAACUAGUCGAUAACCAAGGUACGACCGUUAGUUAUUUCCCUAAUCAAUAGACAACCCUAGAUACGAUCAUAUGAUUUAAUCAAUUGACAGCCUGAAAAACCAGAGAGACCCAAAUCCUAAUCAACACAUAUGAUGAUUCAUUUAAAUUAGAUUGUUUAUUCUCACAACACAACUCUCUGCUAUGUUAUUUGUCACAAACAUUAAAUUCUUAAUACGAUGAAUCCUUUAAUUGACAAUAGAUUAAGUUGAUAAUUAAAUAGUGGUCAAUUACCUAAUUAACAAACAUAAUCAUGAAACUAAUUCAGAGAAUAAACAAAUACCCAAAAAGUAAUAAAACAAUUAAAGCAUAAGAAAGAUCUCACAGUAGUGAUGAAUCAAAGCUUCAUUAUCCUUCAACCAGAAAAAUAGGUUUAGUUCUUCAUAGAGAGAAGAGAAUCUAGGGUUUCUUUCUUCUUCUUCAAUCCAAAAAUCCCCCUUUUUCACAAUAGAUUCCUCCCUUAAAUACUCUCUCUCUCUUCUCUUUUAGAGUUCUAUUUAAAAUAAAAUACUAAUAUCUGAAAUAUUAAAUUUGUAAUUACAAAAAUAACCAAAAAUACAAAAUACGUUAAACUAAAAACUGCAGGUCCGUAGUUGACAGCACGCGCCCACGCCUUAUCAACAAAGUUCUUCUGACGCUCAUAAUUUCUCCAAGAGAACAAUCAUCAUUAAAUAUCAUCUUGUAGCUUAAUUUUAUCACCAAUCAAUAGAAUUGCACCUACAAAAGUAAAACACAAGUAAAUCACUAUUAUUAAGUGCAAAACAUCGAUAUUAAGGGAAGUAAACAAUGCAAAACUAGUGCUUAAAUUGCACUCUAACAAAUUCCCCCAUACCAAGAUGAUGCUUGUCCUCAAGCAUAUAACUCAAGACUAAUCCCAAAUCUCCACUCAAUUCUCAUCUCAACUCAUCCAAAAACAAUUUUAAGCAAGUAUACCUCAAGAAAUUAAGUCGAUCAACAUUCGAGAGACAAGGAUUUUAAAGCAUAGAAUCUCAUAAGAUAGAAUAAGAACAUUCAACCACUAAGAAGAUCCAUUCAAAAUUCAAGUGCAACAAGAUUUAAUAGCCCUCUCAUUGACUUCACUCCAUGCACUCAAAGUGUUUAGGGUGUCAUUUAUUCACUCAAAUCAAAUCAAAGAAUGCUAUUACCAUAAGCUUGCUUAUAUAUCACAUCUCAAUCCACAAAACAUGAAUUAAAUGCAAAAAUCUAAGGGUCUUAAAAGGUUGUAACGGGGUUAAAUGGGUUAAAUGAAAAAGAAAGGUUUAUGAAAGAAAAAGAGAUCAAAAUGAGAAGAAUGAACUCAUUGAACGAACUUUAUGAUAUCGAAACGCUUAUUUCUACUCAAGUCACCAAGAAUGUAAACAUUUUUUUUUUCGAUCUUUCUUUUUCUUUUUUCUUUUUUUCUUUUUUUUUUCUCUUUUUUUUGAAUCAAACAAAAGAAACGAACCUUGCACAAUUUAAUUCAAGCAUAAUGCUUGUUGAUCUAAUUGAGAAACUUUAUUACAAGGUAGAAAAAGCAACAAAAUAUAUCCACACAAUGAGUCCAAAAAUCUCCUUAAAUUGAGGCUCAAAAAGAAGAAAAAUGGUUAAGUAGACGGAGAAAAUUAGAUGGGUAAUGGUUAAGGCUCAAACAAAGAUAGCAAAUAAAGGUCUUCGAGUAGAGAAAAAAAAAUGCGAGAAUAGAAAAAUGGAAAAGGGUUUGCCCUUAUCAUUUUAAUGCAUAAAAUCCCGUAAUGCGGCUUCAACAUGCAUAACAAAGCAAGUUCUAGAAUAAACAAACUAAGAUUGAUAUUCACAUAACAAAAAUAUUAGAGCAAAGUGGUUGCUCAUAGGCUCAAAUCCUCACAAAGUUGGUAAAUUUGCCAUCAAAUCAUGUACACUCUUCAAAUGAAUCAACCAUCAAUAGUGGUGUAGAAUGAGAAGAAGGUAUGAGUGAAGGAAAGGUAAAAAUGAUAAGAAAUGAGAAAGAUGUAUGUAGUAAUAUGAAAAGUGAAAGAUAAAAUGUGAGUGAUGAAAGAAUAUGGUAAAAUAAAAAUAGAUAUGAAUAAUUUGAAAUAGAUGGGAAAAAAGUAGUGAGAAAGCGAGGAAAAGAAAAUUAAUAAUAUAUGAAGCAUACUAACUCCAAAAUCAUUUAAGGAUGAGUAGAGUGAAAAUAGAUGAGUAGAGUGAAAACAAUAAUUUCAGACAUCAAUAAUGCAAAAAUCCCUCCCCCACACCAAGAACUUACAUUGUCCUCAAUGUAAAAUAAUCAAAGCUCACAUAAAAAUUAAAGCGUAAAGAUAAAAGAUUAAAGGAAAAAAAAACUUCCCUGAAUUGUGAACUUUGAUCCACAUAACGUCUAUGGUUGCGUUGUGAUUGCUGCUCGGCUGGAGCUUGCUUGAUGGACGCGGGAUGGAGCUGAUUGUGUUGCGCGCGCGCGCUGGGGCUGCUAGAUCUGCGCGCUGCGUGGGCUGUGUUGCGCGUGAGAGCUGGGCUGACGCUGGUUCUGCGCGCUGCUGGGCGAAGGCUGGAUCUACUCACGCGGGUUGCUGCUCGCUGGACGCGGGAUGCUGGUGCUGCUGGUUGCGUUGCGCGCGCGGGACUGAUGCACUGCGCGAUGGUGAUGGCUGGAGCUUUCUGCGCCCGGGCUGGUUGCGUUGCAGGUGGGACUGAUGCGGCUGCGUUGCGCGCGCGAGAACUUGCGUUUUCCGGCGGGCUAGUUUGCUACUGGUGUGCUGCAAGCGGCUGGAGAAGAAAACAAGAUCUGGAAAAUUAGGGAUUUUGUGAACAAUAAAUUUUUUUUUUUUUUAAACAAUGAUGAUUUUUUUUAUUAUAAAUAAAUAAAUAAAUAUAUAAAAGAAGAACAAAACAAAAUCUCUUUUUUUGUUUUUUUUUUUAAAUAAAAUUAAAUUAAAAAAAAUUUUUUUUUUGAAUCACUUUGAGACACCAAAAAUUUCAAAAGUACUUUUUUAAUAAGCACGUGGGCAAGCCUUAAAACUAUUUUACUUUAAAAAUUACAGAAGUACUUUUUAGUUAAGACGUGGGCACGCCUUAUCGAAAAUUUUCUUUUGGCCAAAAUAAGCAAACACAUUAUUUUUUAAAAAAAAUCGGAAUCAAAAUUAAAAGAAAAUAUAACAAAAACCAAAAUAAAUAAAUCAUUUGGGUUGCCUCCCAAAAAGCGCCUUUGUUUUAUGUCUUUGGCUAGACACAUUGAUGCAUCAAUCUCCAUAAUUGGGACUCUCGAGAGCCACAUCUUCCACAAUAUUUACCGAAAAACCUUCAUAAAAAGGUUUUAAGCGAUGACCAUUAACCUUAAAAACUUUGUCAGAGGUCGGACUCCGAAUCUCAACUGCACCAUAAGGAAAAACAUUAGUAACAAUAAAAGGUCCAACCCAGCAAGAACGUAAUUUACCCGGAAAUUACGUCAUGCAUAUCCAUAUGGCUACAUCAUGGCUUUACUAAGAGAGCAUGCUGGCAUUGUUGUUGCUAAUUCAACCUUGAUUGGUGUUUCAGAACGAGUUGCUGAUGAAUGUAAGGGGCUGCCUUUAGCUAUUAAAGCUGUUGGAAGUGCACUAAAAGGUAAAGGAUUUGAUGAGUGGAAUCUAGCUCUAGAUAAACUACAAGAUGCAAAACUCAAUACAAUCGAAGGUAUUGGCAAUGAGGACCAAGACGUUUACCAUUGUCUCGAAUUUAGUUACGAUUAUUUGAAUGGUGAGGAUUCCAGGUCGUGCUUCUUGUUGUGUUCUUUGUUUCCAGAGGAUUGUGAGAUAUAUUUGGAUGAUUUGGUUGGAUAUGCAGUGGGGUUGAGAUGGUAUCGAGCUGAGUCAAUUGAAAAAGUCAGGAGCCUACUGAGUGGAACGAUGAAAGAGGUCAAAGCUUCUUCAUUGCUGUUAGACACUGGCAAUGACAGAUCUGUGAAAAUGCAUGACGUAGUCCAUGACGUAGUCCAUUACAUAAUUUACCUUUUAGUGCACUUCCAACAGCUUUAAUAGCUAAAGGCAGCCCCUUACAUUCAUCAGCAACUCGUUCUGAAACACCAAUCAAGGUUGAAUUAGCAACAACAAUGCCAGCAUGCUCUCUUAGUAAAGCCAAUCCUUCUUCUCGCUUUAGAACACCUAGUUGAAUCCGCGUGUCACAACCCAUGCGAUCACAAACUGGCUGCAGGCGAGUGGUUAUAAGGAUUUUGCAACAAUUGUCUUUAUCACCAACAGGAAUACCUACUGUCUCCAAGUCGAGUUCAUUCCAGACAUUAUAAGAAGAAGAAAUUAAGAACCAUAACAAAUUUGAUGAUUCUAAUUUGCUAGAAAUAUUGCAAUCCAAAACUAAGAAAGUUAAAACCAAUUAUUUGAAGAAAAAAGUAGGAUAGAAGCUCCCAGAAUAUUGUUAUGUGUUGUAUGUUUUCAGUUUGUAUUUCCCAAUCAAUAAGGAAAAGUAAGUACACAUGUUACAAAAAUUUAAUAAAAAAGAUUGGAGGUGACAAAACCUAUCAAUCUUCUAAUUAACUUUCUCUCCUUUCGAAUUUCCUGAGUUUGGUAGAGAUUGCUUAAGUAGUGUAUCUAUUAUAAACAGGCAAAACUAUGUUGCAACAGUGGUAUGGUACUACUGUUGCAACCAGCCAUUGGAUCUAUAAUUGUUCAGUUACAUUAGCAAGAUCCAAUGAUUGAAAGCAACAUUAGUACCGUAUCACUGUUGCAACAUAGCUGGACCCAUUAUAAACACCUGAAGUCAAAGUUAAUGUUUUAAUUGUUAAGAAAAGUUAGAAGAAGAAAUUUUUGUAUAAGAGAAUUGGGUUUAAAUUUAGAAUUCUUUGGGAGGAAAUGAGUCAAAAUUCCAAUAAUAUAAUUCAGCAGUAUUUAUAUAUAUCAUUAGUUGGGUGAAAAAUUAAUUUCCCUCCUUUGAUGUGAUUUUCAUAAUUUAUUUUCAUAUGAUGGUAAUUUUUUGUUUAGAGUGAAGUUAUUGGCACCCUUUCAUUAUCCUUAUAAAAUCCUACUUCAAAUAAAAUUACACUUAAAGACAAUAGAAUUAAAUAACAUAGUUUUUUUUUUCAAACAAAUUACUCACAUUCAUAAUUUUUUUUCUUCUAAUUUUCUACAGGUUGCUUUGUAUCUAACUAAAAUAAAUUGUACAAAUUUAGAAUAAUCUAUUAUUCUUUUUAAAUUUCUUAUUGAUUAAAUAUUUGUGUGCUUAAGGUAGCUUUAAAAUUAUAAGAUAAAAUAUAUAUAAUUUAAGCCAAUGAUUAACAUUCAAAAAUUUAUCUCUCAUAAAAGUUUUUAAUUUGUGCGUAGGGUAAUAAUAAAAUUGCAAAAGAAAUGAAAAAUAGCAUAGCACUAUUUUGAGUUUAAACAAUAAAAAUUUAAAUGAAAAAUUAGAAGUGUAUUUAAAAAAAAGGAUAUUUUUAAAAAUAAAAUAAAUAUAAUUAAAAAAAAAAGAGUUUCAUGAGGGGUGCAAUAGUUCAACUCUUUUGUUUAUAAGUUUUAAGAUGUUGGUAUCCGUAGCUUAGCUUUUCCCUAAUUAUUAUAUUAAAAUGUAACAACAAUGAUGAUCAACCCUAAUUUCGUGGAGGUCAAAGAUUUUGGUCAUGCCGCAUUAAUUAGUUCGGUCAUACUUUCUACAAAUUUAUUUACAUUUAAUAAUUUGACCAAGACUACGUAAGGCGCCGCCUGGAGUCAUAGAAUUUUAUAUGUCGUUUAAUAUGCUCAUUUUGUAUUUUUUUUAAAAAGUUUUAUUAAUUUUUUUUUGUUUUUAAAAAUAUCAUUUAUUUAUUUAAAUUUUUUUAAAGGUAAAGAAGUGGGUAAAGUUUAAAUUCAAUUUUUAUCCCUUACAUCAUGGCCCCUAAGAUUUGAACUAAAAUCUUAAAAAUGAAAUUGUAAAGAAAUCCCAGUUCGUAUAAAAGAAAGAAAACAAAAUUAAGGAAAACAUAAGCACAACAAAAUUUGACUGAUUAUUAAAAAUGAGAAAUGAGUUAUAAUGAGAAUUUUAGCUUUGUCGUGAAAUAAAUUGGGAAGUAUCCAAAGUACGCAUGUAAAUAAUGUAAAUGAUAAGAAGACGAAGGGAACAUAAUGAUAAUAAGCAAGCCAAAUAUUAAAAUGCAGAUUCUACGCUUCCGCCCCCAUACUUCAAGUUAGUGUCUCGCUAAUCAUUUUAGAUGUAUCAAUUACAAAGGGAGGCCAUCUAUUUAUGGUAAGCGUACGCCUCUAAUGCUUUGCCAAGUGUCCAUUGAUAAUAUCACAAGGGAAAUUAAAUUGGUGUAUGUGUAUUACACCUCCUAAAGUCAUGUUAAGAUAGUUAGUGAGCUGAUAAAGUUUGUUGCACGUGUGAGUUGGUUAAAUCUGCUAGAAAUGCAAACGUGUAAAGCUGAGUUAGCAAGUUAGUUAAGGUUGUUACGAAUUCUUAGAUUCAGCUCACGUGUAUUGUAUGUAAUACUUAGAUUCAGGUCAUGUAGAUUGUGUAAACAACUUUCUAAUAUUCUUUAGAUCUCAAUAUAAAUACUUGUAAUCAACAAAUACAAUAAUAAGAGUCAUCAUUCUUCAUUUUCUCUCUGUUUCUCCAUAUUUUCUCUACAUCCAAACACAAUAUUCUCAGUUCUUGACUUGGUAUCAGAGUUGCAGUUUAAUUGUCAUGGCUUCCUUAAGCACAAAUUCAAACACAAAUCAGUCUCCUUCAUUCUUUACCCUCACAAAUGCGAUCAAACUGGACAGAUCUAACUAUACGAUCUGGAAAUCUCAGAUCCUCUCUUCAGUGCGUGCCAAUGGACUUGAAGGCUUUCUUAAUGGAACUAAAAUUUGUCCAGAUCAGUUACUUACUCAAGAGAUUGAAAGUUAUGGUGUUGAAAAUACUGGUGGUGAAAGCUCAGCUGAUAGAUCUCAGGAGAAUCCAGCCUUUGUUGCUUGGAAAAGGUAGGAUCAAUUAUUAUUAAGUUGGCUCAUGUCCUCCAUCAGUGUUGAGAUACUUAGUCUUGUGGUAAAUUCUGAUUCUUCUCAUAAACUUUGGACUAAUCUUGAAGAAAAUUUUUGGAUUAGAAACUAUGGCUAAGAAAGCACACUUAAAAAUGAUGUUAAGCAAUCUCAGAAAGGGAUCAAUGACAAUAACUGAGUAUUUUGCCAAACUUAGAGCUGUAACUAAUAAACUUGCUGUAACUGGUAGCCCUGUUUCUACUCUAGACUAUAUUACUCAUCUAAUAUCUAAAUUAGGCCAGCCAUACUACCCUGUUGUUUUGUAUAUUGAAGCUAUUGUUUUGUAUAUUGAAGUUAAUAUGAUGAAAAUAUUUGUCAAUGAAGCAUAUUCUAUGCUUUUAACUCAUGAAGCAAGAAUUAAAGCUAAUCAUCCAAGUGCAAAUAAAGAAGCAAAGUUGAAUUAUGCUGCUAACAUAGCUUAGGCUGGACCUAGUACUAAAUAACAAUAAGAAGUCUAGUAAUCAAGCUAAUUACUAUCAGGGCAACCAAGGUAACUGGAAAAGAAAUGCUCAUUGGUGUGGUAACAAUGGAGGAAGAGGUGGCUUUGGCAGAGGUUUUUCAGGGCAAGGAAGGGGUAAUUAGAAUAAUGGUGGUCAUUGGAACAAUGGACCUUGGAGUAGUAGUUGAGGAGGCUAUAAUGGUUCUGAUAUAAACAAUAUGACAUGGUUGCUGGUGAACCUGUAAACAUAACCAAAAAAGUAAGAAGGCAUAAUUUUUUUAUAAGAAACUCAAAAAUAUAUUAAUGAUGAAAAUUUUAAAACAGAUAGUGGACCAGCUGUCCAGUAAGAAAACAAAAAAUUGAAUAUUUGUGCUAUAAAAAGGCACACCCAAUCUCACCCCUAUAAAAGGCUAGAAUCAGCUACAAAUCCCUAUCUCAAAACCCCAUCCCAGUUUAGAUGAAUGAAGAAAAAAGAUGAAUCUUGAAACUCCUUAGAAACUGAAUCCCAAAGUGAAGCAAGAAGAUGAACUCUAUCCCAAGCAAGCAAUAUGGCAUAUUUCUCCAUUAAUGGUUAAAAUAGGAUAAAAGCUCGUUUCAUCCUUAUAUUUUAAUAUUCGUGCCUAUUUAGUCUCUGUAUUUUAAAAAAUACCUCAAAACAUCCUUAUCCUUAAAUUAUUGACAUUUCUGCUGUUACUUUUUGUUUUUUUUAACUUGCUUUUACAAUAUUACCCUCUUACAAUAAUGUUUCUUUUUAUAAAGUUAAUAAAAAAAUUAAAUUAUCAAUUUAACCCCAAAAAUAAAAUAAAAACAAAAAGAAUAUAUUAAUUUUUGUGAAAGCUUACAUGUGUCUAAAAAUUUUUUUAUUGUAAAAAUAAUUAAAUUACCUUGUUUUUGGACAUUGGUAAUAAAAAAAUUAAUAUAUUAAUUCCUCAGCAGUGUGUUACAAAAAAGUAACAUAUAUUAAUUUUGUUUCUAUUUUAUUUUUUGAGAUUAAAUUAAUAAUUAUUUUUUUUCUUUUUACUAAUGUCCAAAAAAAAUAUUAUAAGAGGGUAAUAUUGUAAAAAUUAAGCCAAAAGUAACAAAAAGUAAGAGGAAAUGUGCUAAUAAUUUAAUGUCAGGGAUGUUUUGAGGUAUUUUAAAAAAUAUAGGGAGUGAACGGGUACUAACCUCAAAAUAUAGGGACUAACCGAGAUUUUACCCGUUAAAAUAAAGUAGAUGGCUGUCUUGAUGAAUGGGAAAUUGUCAAGAUCAAUAUUCAAACUCACGCAAAGUAAACGGACUUAAUUCUCAGGGGCUACUCAUUCUAAGUCUUAAAGAAAAUUUUUCUAAUUUCUAAAGAUUAUAUGGGGAAAAAUCAUUAUUUUCUAACAUGGAAAAUUUGAUACGGUGUUUAAUGUCUGAUCACAAUGAUAAUAUGAGUACUAACAAAAACAUCUUUAAUCGGCAUGGUGCGAGUAAAACACCUUUGCAAUCCAAUCAGCGAACGCCUUUGCAUUAGGCACAGUACCCGAGAGGAACACAAAUCGGGAGUCCUUUGGAGCCAUCACAAUGCUCUCUUCCCAUACCACACCUCUCUCACGAUCACGCAUGUAAUGUACCUCAUCAAAUAUAGCCCAAGCCACUUCACGCGUAAUCUCUGAGCCUUUGUACUGCAUACUACGCCAGAUUUCAGUAGUCAUCACCUGAAAUUAAACUUCAUAUAAGCAAUCCACAAAUCAAAGCGCUGCAACACCCAAAAGAUGACACUACCAAGUUGACCUACCAAACAAGAAGCAUUAGGGUCAAUUGUGACAUCCCCAGUCAUCAAACCGACAUCUGAAAACUCUUCUUUAAACUCCCUGUACUUCUGAUUGCUGAGUGCCUUAAUCGGUGAAGUAUAUAUCACACGUUGCUUAUUCCGCAACGACAUAGCAAUAGCAUACAAUGCUACCACAGUCUUCCCAGCAGAUGUAUGGUUCGAUACCUUUCAAAUAAAUGAAAGGCAAUUAAAAAAAGAAAAGAAAAAAAAAAACUAUUUUUAUUUUCACACAAGAUAACACUUCAUGCAAAACUUCUUAAUUCUUAUCGGUGAGCUGAAAAGCAGAGCGCUUUGUACAAAAGCACUUCCAAAUUCGAAUUAAAUUUUUUACAAAAAAUUACAGCUUUAUAUAUAUGUGUGUGCGCGUGCGUAUAAUAAUAAUAAUUAACGAACCGUAACGGACUGGCCGUUGUCGAGGCACUUGAUAGCUUCGGACUGGAAUGGGUCGAGAGUGAAAAGGAAUUCCUUAGCAGGUUUAGCGUCAGCUUCAGCCACUUGACCAAGACCCAUUAAACAUAAAACGCGGCGUUUUCAUGGACUAGUACAUUCCAUGCUUCGAAAGUUUUAUGUUUUAGACUGAUUGGUUUGAUACAUUAUUUGUUUAUUGCGUUUUUCUUGCUUUAAAUAUUAUGUUGGAUUGAUAAGUUUUGUACACAUUUAUAUUGCUCGCAGUAAAUAAUUUAUUACAUUUAAAAAACUAUCAACCGUCUAUCGAAAGAUUUCUACUAUAAAUAUAUAUACACAAAAAACUUUUAAUUUGGUCUAUUUGUUCUCUUAUUUAUUUUUGCUCUAUUUCUCUUUUUCUUUCCUUUCAUUUUAUUGUUUUAUGGUACAAAAAAAAAUAACCUUAAAAUUUAAGGGUAAAAUACUCAUUUUACUAAAUUCCGUUUAAUAUCAUAAUGCUGUCAAUGGACAAUGGCAAAGUACACGAGUGAUACAAAUUAAAAACAAAUAAAUUGAAAGUUUUUAUGUAUUUUCCUUUUAUUUUUUUAUAGCCGAUUGAGAUUUCCCUUCGUAUUCUUAAAUUCAAUACGUUUAGACCGUUUAAAAAAUUUUAAAUUAAAAAAAACCCGUGGUGUAAUAACAAACUCACAUCAAAUCCUGUCCACUGUCAUCCCUAAUAAUAUUUACCACUUCAUACUCAAGUGUGAUAAUAACUGUGUAUCACAAUUGAUUUUACAUACGGGUAAAAGUUCCAAGUCCGGAUAUUUAGUUAAUGAAAUUGAUGAAAAGGGCAUGAAAGAAAAUAAGAAAUUAAAUAAUACAGGUAUUAAUCAUUACAUAUUUAGUUAAUGAAAAUUGAUGAAAAUAUUUCUGCAGACAUGAGCCGUAAUUAUAAUACCGUUAAGAAUGAAGCAGCAGAGUUUCCCCAAACAAGCUAAAACACGGCACCUGAAUUUAAAGAAUUUUUAUGUCACAGUAUCGGGACAAAAAGUUUAAUGCAACAACAUACAUUAAGUUAAUUCCAUAAUCUAUCACCAAAGAAAGACAAACACAAGCUUAUAAGAUUAAAACUUUGGAAAACAUUGAAGAGUCGGACAAAAUUGUGUAACCUUCAGAGUUUAGAGCCUAGUUCAUCCAGGAAAGCAAAAGAAAAUAAUAAUAAUAAUAAUAAUAAUGGUGGUUUGAUCUCAAAAGGUGGCAUCAAAGUGGUAACUUUGAGGUAUUGGAAGCAAUAACGUCUUCAACUUUGUCCUGAUUUCGAAGUCCCUUAACCCAUCCGCCAUCAAUGGAUUGAAUGCUUCCAUUCAACCCAUCAUCCACAAAAUCACCAACCCGUUUCACCUUCAUCUCCUCCGCUUAACAGGGUACUUCCCAGAGAAGCUAGCAUAACAAAAAUUCUGAGAAUCAUUGCCUAACAACUUGUUCAAGAUGUCAAUCGGCAGAAAAGCAAGCAAAUCACACCCAAUAAACUCCCUGAUUUCCUCGACGCUCAUCCUGUUGGAAAUCAACUCCUCAGUACUCGGAGUGUCCACUCCAUAGUAACAAGAAGCUAUGAUUGGUGGGCUUGCAAUUCUCAUGUGAACCUCUUUAGCUCCAGCCUCCUCAAGCAACCUAACAAUUUUCGAUGAAGUUGUUCCUCUCACUAUCGAAUCAUCGACAACCACAACUCUCUUUCCCUCCAACACUCCCCUUACAGGAGAGAGCUUAAGCUUGACACCAAAGUCCCUAAUCUUCUGGGAAGGCUCAAUGAAAGUUCUCCCAACAUAGUGUGACCUUAUCAACCCUUGUUGAAAUGGCACCCCGGCUUUCGCAGCGUACCCAAGUGCAGCCACCACUCCAGAAUCUGGUACUGCAAUCACGACAUCACACUCAACAGGAGCCUCGGUAGCAAGUACUUCCCCAAAAUGAUUCCUCGACUCAUAAACAGACCUUCCAAAAACAACAGAAUUAGGCAAAGCAAAAUAAAUAUGCUCAAAGAUGCACUGCUUAGGUUCAGGGUGAGGCAUCAAACAAAGUGAUUGAACCCCAUCUUUAUCCACCAUCAAAACUUCUUGGGGAUGUACCUCCUCAAUCAAAUAGUGCACAAGUCUCUGACGCAAAAACCACAGCACCAUUACUCCUCCUACCUAUCACCAACGGCCUAAACCCGUACGGGUCACGAACCGCAACAAGCUUAUCCUCAGUAACAAACACCAUUGAAUAAGCACCCUCAAGCUUCUCACAAGCAUCCACAAUCUUCAAAAAGAACGGCCUAGCUUUCGAUAUCGCAAUCAAAUGGAGAACAACCUCAGUAUCAGAACUAGUAUUAAAAAUGGAACCAUUAUCUUCAAGCUUAGCCCUCAAAGUAUUAUAGUUAAAUAAAUUCCCAUUAUGUGCAACACCAACAAAACCAAACCUGUACCCAGCAACAAAAGGCUGCACAUUCUUAAGCAUGCAGUCGAAUAUCUAACAUGACCAAUGGCCAUAUCGCCAGGCAAUUGAUCAAGUUUAGACUGAUUAAACACAUCCGAGACUAAACCAACACCGGUAAUAGACUGAAGAACUUUAUUAUUCACAGCAACUAUAACUACACCUUCUUGGCCGCGAUCUGCAGAGCGUGCAGCGCCAAAUAGCACAAACGCGAGGCCUCUGGGUCACCGUAUGAAACGACCCGCCCCGAAUCCCCCGUGCGAGUCAAUCUAGUCUCAUCAAAACGGAUUUGAUAAUAAUCUAAUUAGUAAGGAUUCUGCCGAAAAUUCGGCAGAGUCUCCUUUAUAUAUAUAACACUCCCAAUCUACAAAUAUGAAUAUAACACUCAUAAUAUAAUUCAAUAUACAACAAACUCCAGUGAUCAACAUCCUCAACCAAAAUGCUGAGUUUUAUAUCUCCAGAGUCUCAAAAGAUAAUAUUAUAACUAAUAUUAAUAUCUAAGUUUAUUCUUAAUCCCAAAAGAAUAAUAUAAAAAAAUUAUACAAUCCCAACAGGACGAGAUAACCAAGAUGUCCUAACAAAAACAUUUAUAUUUUCUAACACCAUCACGUGGCCAAGACUCAAAAUAUAUUUACAGUCGCUGGGUCGGUCUGGUGUACCUGCAACCUCCUGGUGAGGGGGGGGGAAAUAUAAUAAAAACGGGGUGAGUUUAAAACUCAGUGAGAUCAAUGAGUGGAUAGUAGUUUUUGAAAAUUAAUGCUUACUUUAAAAGAAAUAUUCAUAUAAUUUCCAAACACGAUUUCAUCAAACCAUAUGCAAGAAACCAAUAGUAAAUCAUUUAACAUUUAAAUCAGAUUACUAACCAUGAAAAGCAUAUAUAAUAUCGUACCAAAUAACCAUGGAAAUCAUAUUACAAUAUCAUAUAUAAUACACAAAUUUGAAAAUCAUCACCAAACAAGUACCCAGAGAAAUAAUCUCGUCAUAUCCGGACAUCAACGGACGUGCAAUGACGUACUAUAUGGGUACCGUCACGCCCCGGAGCUACACGGAUAGACAGGGAAAUAUAAUCUCAUAUCUCAUCAUAUCUUAUCAUAUAUGUGCAUGCAUAAUCUAGUCCCCAAAGGACAAAAACGCCCAAGCACAUGGCCCAAAGCCUCUGUGUGUACUCAGACGGGCCCCAAAGGCCUGUAUCUCAUCUGUAUCAUCUGUAUCUCAAUAUCUGUCUGUAUCUCAUAUCUGUGUAUCUGUAAUCAUCAUACCGCAUGCAUAUGCCCUCAAAAGGCAAAAACGCCCAAACACACGGCCCAAAGCCUCUAUGUGUGUUCAAACGGGCCCCAAAGGCCUCUCAUCUCAUCUCAUCUAUAUCACUGUAUCUGGAGGGGAAGGGUACUGUCUAGUGAUUUCAAAAACAAUCAUUAUACUCAUAUUCACAUACUUUUUUAACCAUAUUUUAAAUCAUACCACAUUUGAAUCCACUUUUCUUAUCUUUAAAAUACUAUCAUGCUUAUUCAAAGUCGAUACGAAAAAUCAUUAACCAAACAUUUUAAUAAAAUACCAAUGCGUGGACAAAAUCCAUUUCGAGGUAAUCAUUAAAUCAGAUCAUUUAAAAUACUUAUUUCGCAAACAUACUUUACUAUCAUAAUUAACUAUGAAAAUAGGUUUUGUAUAUUCCACUCACAGUGACGGUGUUCACGCUCGGUUAUCGUCCACGUCCGCGGACCUAUUCUUGCUCGCGGAUCCUCCUAAAUCAAGGAAACGACAUAAAUAUUUUCCGUAAAACAGAAUUAAGACUAAAUUUAUGCAAUAAACUCGAAACGAACAUCUAUCCAUAAUUUACAACUCCCGUGUCGCUAAAAUUACUAAAAUGCCCUCGAGUCCGUAAAUCAGUAAAAUACUUCGAAAUCGGAAAUCACCGAAUCACCCUCGGAAUCGUAAUUACACCCAAUCCUCACUUCUAGGAAUUACUAAAAUAUCAAUAGGCUCAGAAAUUACAAAAUUGCCCUCAUAGUGUGAAAUUACCGAAAUGCCCUUGUGAUGGUUGUCGAAGCCAACAAAAAUAAAUACCUACUCUAAAUAAAUUGUGUAUAGUGAUUGAGCAGGGUCGUGUCCACAAAGAUCGGUAAUUAUUUAAAUCCUUUUGAAACGUAAAACGUAAAAUGGGAGAAUUGUUAACAAUAAUAAAAAUCAAAUUAAAAUAACAAGAAUGCAAAUUCAAGUCGUAAUUCAAAUUGGAGAAAGCUCUGGUUGAAGGAAUUAAUUCAGCUUGAUUCGACUAUUGAUAAUUGAUUCAAAUAUAAAUUAUUAUUACUUAUGAAUAGACCAAUUAUAGCUACUGAGACCCUCUAAUAGCCAAUCUCUCCUUAACUAGUCGAUAACCAAGGUACGACCGUUGGUUAUUUCCCUAAUUAAUAGACAACCCUAGAUACGAUCAUAGAAUUUAAUCAAUUGACAGCCUGAAAAACCAGAGAGACCCAAAUCCUAAUCAACAAACACAUACGAUGAUUCAUUUAAAUUAGAUUGUUUAUUCUCACAACACAACUCUCUGCUAUGUUAUUUGUCACAAACAUUAAAAUCUUCAUACGAUGAAUCCUUUAAUUGACAAUAGAUUAAGUUGAUAAUUAAAUAGUGGCCAAUUACCUAAUUAACAAACAUAAUCAUGAAAAUAAUUCAGAGAAUAAACAAAUACCCAAAAAGCAAUAAAUUAAUUAAAGCACAAGAAAGAUCUCACAGUAGUGAUGAAUCAAAGCUUCAUUAACCUUCAACCAAAAAAAUAGGUUUAGUUCUUCAUAGAGAAAAGAGAAAAUUUAGAUCUAGGGUUUCUUUCUUUUCUCCAAUCUCCCUUCUUUCACAAUAGAUUUCUCCCUUAAAUACUCUCCCUCUCUUCUCCUCUAAAAUUCUAUUUAAAAUAAAAUACUAAUAUCUGAAAUAUUAAAUUCGUAAUUACAAAAAUAACCAAAAAUACAAAACACGUUUAAACUAAAAACUGCAAGUCCGUAGUUGACAGCACGCGCCCACGCCUUAUCAACAAAGUUCUUCUAACGCUCAUAAUUUCUCCAAGAGAACAAUCAUCAUUAAAUAUCAUCUUGUAGCUUAAUUUUAUCACCAAUCAAUAGAAUUGCACCUACAAAAGUAAAACACAAGUAAAUCACUAUUAUUAAGUGCAAAACAUCGAUAUUAAGGGAAGUAAACAAUGCAAAACUAGUGCAUAAAUUGCACUCUAACACCUUGCCGGUCAACGGUCACCGAAAUUUGGUCAACGCUGGCCGGGAAGCUCAAGUCUGAAAGUUCCAAUCACGCUAAGUUCAAUGGUACCGGCGGUGAGCUCCAACGCGCAACAACGACGUCGGAAUCUAGCUCGGCAGCCGUGAAUUCCAACAAUUGACCGGCGGCGAAACAGUGACUCCCGGUGACUAUGGAUGGUUGGAAAUGGAAGAGGGAGUCGUGAGGAACAAAAUCCAACCGGUGGUGUCACCCAAAACUGGUGAAAAUCCCGGCGGAACAAAACGAUACAGUCGCGGGUUUUCAAACUUUGAUUGCCGGCGUUCCGGUUGGUUUUCGGCGGCCAGGAUGGCAGGGGAAUGAUGGCUGGCUUCUAAGUUUCAGAUUGGUACUAAGCUCGGCCGAAAUAGUGGCCGGAAAUAGAAGUUAUGGCCGGGUCAAUUUCGCGGGUCGGGUCGGGUUUUCCGGGUCAGUUGAUAGCUUCUGUUACUCUCACACGUGUGUGUAUAAGUUCCAUGUUUCUAACUUAUUCUAUUAUUUUUAAUAAAGUCUUUAACCGCCUCAAUUUCAUUUUUAAUUCACAUAUGUUACAAUCCUCCCCCCUUAUAAAAAUUUUGUCCUUGAAAUUUACGUACCUGAUAAGAAAAGAUAUGGAUACUGAGCUCGCAUUAAGUCCUCGCGUUCCCAGGUAGCCUCUUCCUUUGUAUGAUUCCUCCACCAUACUUUUACUAGAGGAAUGGUCUUAGAACGUAGAACUUGGUGUUUCUCUUCCAAUAUCUCCACUGGUUCCUCUUCGUAAGUCAAAUCUUCCUUCAACUGAAUUGGUUGCUUCGAUAACACAUGACUCGGAUCAUAUAUGUACUUCUGGAGCAUUGAGAAAUGAAAUACAUCGUGGAUUCUGGAUAACUCGGGUGGUAGUGCUAAUUGAUAAGCUAAUGGACCGAUGCGCUCAAUGAUCUCAUAUGGCCCAAUGUAACGUGGACUUAGCUUCCCACGUUUCCCAAAUCGAAGCACCCUUUUCCAAGGAAAUAUCGGUAUGAAAACUCUAUCAUCAACUUCGAAUUCAAGUUCCCGCCUACGCUUGUCUGCAUAGCUCUUUUGUCUAUCUUGAGCCACCUUUAAUCUAUCCCGGAUUAAUUGUAUCUUCUCGUUAGUAUCCUGGACAAGUUCUGGACCGAAUAACCUCCGCUCACCAACCUCAUCCCAACACAUUGGAGUCCUGCAUUUUCUACCAUACAAAGCCUCAUAUGGUGCCAUCUCGAUACUAGCUUGAUAGCUGUUGUUGUAAGCAAACUCCAUCAGAGGUAAAUGAUUGUCCUAAUUACCUUUAAACUCCAUAACACAAGCUCGCAACAUAUCCUCCAGAGUUUGAAUAGUAUGCUCUGACUGUCCAUCAGUCUGUGGAUGAAAAGUUCAACUUUGUGCCUAAGGCAUUUUGCAAGCUAGUCCAGAACUUAGAAGUAAACCGGGAAUCUCUAUCUAAAACUAUAGACACGGGUACUCCGUGAAGUCGAACUAUCUCAGCCACAUAAAUACUCCCUAACUUGUCCAUCGAAUAGGUGGUUUUGAAUGGUAAAAAAUGAGCAGAUUUUGUAAGUCGAUCAACGACCACCCAAACACUAUCAUAUCCUUUCUGAGUACGUGGAAGUCCUGCUACAAAAUCCAUGGUGAUGUGCUCCGACUUCCACUCAGGAAUAGGAAGCGGCUAAGAACACCCUGCAGGCCUCUAGUGUUCAGCCUUAAUCUGCUGACAGACUAAACAUCGAGAAACAAACUCUGCUAUCUCUCUCUUCAUACCCUGCGUCCAGUAAUGAUCCAUCAGGGUACGAUACAUCUUCGUACUACCAAGAUGCAUCGCAUAUGCUGAGCAGUGAGCUUCUUCCAUAAUCUCUUCUUUCAGAUCUUUAAUAUCAGGUACACAAAGUCUAUUACCCAUGACUAAGACUCCGUCGCCUCUCACCGUAAAAUCGGUUCGUAAACAUUUUUGCACAUCCUCUUUCAACUUCAUUAACUGUGGGUCCUGAGCUUGCAUCUGGUGAACUUUGUCCAUCAAAGUCGGCCUAACUCGAAAAUUAGCUAUCAAAACUCCACAAUCGUCAGCGUUCAACUCGACUCCCAAAGAUCUCAACUCGAUCAACAGAGGCAUCUAUUUCACUCGCAAGUGAGCUAUAGAGCUGGAAGACUUCCUACUGAGUGCAUCGACUAGAAAAAAACAUACCUCUUUGAGAUACUACAAAUUGGCUUUAAUUCAGUACUGUUGAUGGUCAAGUUGGGAAAGUAAUGAAGCUGUAACUCUUCCAAUGCUGUCCAAAUUGAACAAUAAUUUUCUGAACAGAAGCUAACGAGUUCUGGGAGACUUCGAAGUGUUAAUUCUCUUAACAAAGGGAGGGCGAGCAUCGUAUUUCCAUCUCUGACACUUAUUUCCCCUUCAUUGUGAUCAAACUUUGCUUCGACAAUACAUUCCAGCCUGUCGCAAUAAGUCACACUGAGACUUUUAAGCUGCUCCAAACUUUGAGCUUGUGAUAACGUGAAGAUAUAUGUCAAAUUAUGGCAGCCAUACACACUCAAUUCUGUAAGAGUUUGGAGGCUGAUCACAUGUUGGGCAGGCGUCUUCCAUAUCCACUUUGCUAAUCUUGAGAGCACCUCAUGAUUCCCACUCUUUCCAUGCGGCGACUGAGAGGCAUCCACUAUGCAUUCUAAAUCUUCACAAUAGUUGACAAAUAGAUGAGUCAACUCAUUUAAGCCCCCUUAAUCUAUGCUUGGAACAAUAUUAUGGAGACCUAUUAUCCUCCUCAAAUUAAGAAAUUUCAGAUUUUGACACAAUGUCGAAAAAAUACUGAGCGAGGCCGCUUCACAAUAGUUAAUCAUUAAGCACCUGCUCCGUCCAAAAAAUUCAUCUUCUUUUUUCAUUCAAACUUCAAGUUUGUUACAGUUACUGACGAAGUACAUUUGCAAUUUUGGAAAUGUAAAGUCUUUUGAAAGACGUACAAUUUUUUGUUCAAUAUGUAAAGUCUUUCCAUCAUCAUCUUGGAUUUCAUCACCGUCGGGUUGGGAGUUCAACUCAGUAGCCCUAGCGUAACUUUCUUCUGAACUCAUCCCUUCAGCCUCCCAAUCUUUUAUCCGACCAUAAAAUUCUUCUAAUUGAGGAAAUUUUUUUAUCGUAAUAGGAGAAAUAGAACCAGAAUCAAUGAAUAGAAGAAGUUUCAAUCUACUAAGUUGAUCCUCAAAUUCUUCAGGAAUUUCAAUGGGAGACCCCUUGACACAAAGAAUUUGAAGUCUCUUCAACUUUCCAAGGAAAGACGCGUCACUCACUUUACAUCGAAUCAACUGCAGAACUUGGAGGUUGGUGAGGAAUUGAAGCGAUUUAAGUGAAAGGACUCCACCUAUUAUAGUAAGAACUUUUAAUGCUGGCAUCUUUUCGAAAAAAUAUUCUGGAUCUUGCAAUCGGUCGCCAUAUUUAGCAUUCUCCAAUCGCAAAAUAUGAAGGUUAGGGCAUACCAAACCACUUGGAAGCUCUUCUUUUUCAUUUCCCAUCAAAGAGAUUCCUUUGUAUUGUUCCACUGCCUGUUCCGCCAAUCCAAUGCCAACUUUACUAGUAAAAUAUUUUUUCUCCAUUGAGCCUAUCCAUAAGGCUACAUCACGAACAAUGUCAUGCAUUUUCACAAAUCUCUCAUUACCAGCAUCUAAUAGCAGUGAAGAAGCUUUGAGCUCUUUAAUCGUUCCACUCAAUAGGCUCCUGACUUUUUCAAUUGACUCAGCUCGAUACCAUCUCAACCCCACUGCAUAUCCAACCAAAUCAUCCAAAUCUAUCUCAUAAUCCUCUGGAAACAAAGAACACAACAAGAAGCACGACCUGGAAUCCUCAUCAUUCAAAUAAUCGUAACUAAAUUUGAGACAGCGGUAAACGUCUUGGUCCUCCUUGCCGAUACCUUCUAUUGUAUUGAGUUUUGCAUCUUGUAGUUUAUCUAGAGCUAGAUUCCACUCAUCAAAUCCUUUACCUUUUAGUGCACUUCCAACAGCUUUAAUAGCUAAAGGCAGCCCCUUACAUUCAUCAGCAACCUGUUCUGAAACACCAAUCAAUUUUGAAUCAGCAACAUCAAUGCCAGCAUGCUCUCUUAGUAAAUCCAAUCCUUCUUCUGGCUUUAGAAAACCUAGUUGAAUCUGCGGGUCACAACGCAUGCUAUAACAAACUGGCGGCAGGCGAGUGGUUAGAAGGAUUUUCCAACAAUUGUCUCCAUCACCAACAGGAAUACCUAUUGUCUUCAAGUCGAGUUCAUUCCAGACAUCGUCAAGUAUUAUGAGUAUCUUGCUGCUUUUACUCUCAGAAAACAUCAAGCGCAAUCGGUCUGCUCUCUCUCUUUCAUCUUUCUCAUUUAGUGCCCAGCCUAACGACUUUGCCAGCUCACCUUGAACCUUUAUUAUAUCUGGAUCCUGAGACACAGUGGCUAUCCCCACCUCAUCGAAAAUCUUUUCUUGUCGAAGUUGAUUGCCCACAAAGUUUGCCAAAGUCGUCUUUCCGACACCACCGAUACCAUACAAUCCCACUAUCGUCGUGCUAUCUCUUUUUAGUCUUCAAUAAUCUGAUUGCAAGUCGAUUAUGUAGUCCCGAAAGACAUAAAAUGUCUUGGCAUAUGCAAUUCUUUGUCUGAUGGUAGAGGUUUAGGAAGGGCAACUGAGCUGAAUUUGCCGCAUUUCUUUUGUAGAUCAGACAACUCGCUAGUCUUCUUUGAUGGUUUUCUACCUAGCCAACAUCGCCAACCCCAAUUAGGACACCAUCCAUUAAGACAGCUCUUCUUUUCAUCUAUCUUUGCUUUCAAAUUUCGAACAUCGACCAUUUCUUUGUCUACAUCCUUCAACCACUUCUCUACAGAUUUCUCGAUUACAAUGGCUCGGUGUAUUUGUCGUUCUUGUUCUAUUUUUUCAUUGAUGCCAUCUUUUGCCUCCUUCAAAUUAGUUUCUUUAUCCUUAAGUUCGUUAAUAAUGCUGUUGAAACAGAGCAGAUAAUGAGCUUGGUUUAUGGUUGCUUCCACCAACAAUUCUCCAAGCUUUGAUGCAACACUUGAGCAAAUUUCCAUGCUAUUUAUCUGCAAUUAAUAAAGUUGAUCUCAGUAUGCUGUAAGCAAAACAACGAGGCUUGAUUACAAGAUCGAACGAGAAAGUUUAAUUACCUUUUUCUAUUAUGUGAAUGCACGUUUAUUGACCCUAGCUUUGACCAAUAAGAGCAAAAUGCAAACGCCGAGCUUUAAGUGGCCUUUAGCUGCGCAAAACAAAAGAGAAGAAACAAGGUAGCUUAUUAUUAUUAUUAUUGUUUUUAAGGACGGAUAAAGAUUAGCUAGCUUGCGGACAAAUUUACUAAAAUCAAGAUAAACCUAAGAGUUUUCCUAAUUUGUUCAAACAUAGAAUAAGCGUUUCUCAACAUUAUAUCCAUAAAUGCCCCAGCAAACGUAAUAUGUGGUGGAUUAUAUUUAAAUUAGUUUAUUUUAGAAAAUUUUAAAUAAAAAAUGUCAAACAACAAAGAAAUCUAAUAGAAUCUGGAUAAACACCGAAGAGUUCCUACAUGGGAGAAUAUGGUAAAAUUGAUGAACUUGGUUCAAAAAAUUGCAAUUCUUAUUGAGAUUAGAACCAAAGAUUUUAACUAAGGUCUCCUAAGCCAUAAAGCAUAACUCUUACUACUAAAUUACAAGUAUUUUGUUACAUUUGAAUGUGGUCUUAUUUUUUUAUUGUCUGUUUUAGAAGGGACUCAAGGUAUGUUUAAAAGAAAUAAUAAUGGUUCGGAUGGGGCUGAAGCCCACUCAUGAAAAAUUUAAAGGCUUCAACAUAAUUACCAAUUGUUUCUUCAUCCAAUUUUCUAAUAGAAUAUUGCCAGAAUUCUGAAAUAAUAUCUUAAUAUUUUUCUUCAAGUGUUUACGGCACCCUCGUAUUGGAUUGUCAAUUUAAUAACUUGUUAAAUUAUUUAAUACUUCAUCUCACGAUCUAAUGGAUAUAAAUGCUGGAGAAGGAUCAGUUCCCAGACGUUUUUCUCUCACUAGUCUUUUGGUGAAAUAAGUGACUAAGAUUAAAUUUUAAUUUUUGAUAUUGACAAUUAAAUUGGCUUGUUUCACAUUAUUAACAAUUAAGCUAGCUUUCUUUUUUUCCCCCAACUGGAUUUGGAAGGUUAUGAGGGAGUAGGAGAGAAAACACGAGAAGAACGAGAUCCUAAUUCAUAAAUAGUACCUUACUUGGGAUGGUAAAGAAUUUAAAGAUUGGGGUGAAUUCCAUUUUAGUCUCUAAAAUUUUGACUUGCGAGUAACCAUACUUUUAGUAUUUUUAAAAAGAAUGGGAUUAUUUACAUUGUAAAAUCUAUUUUGAACACUCUUUUACUUAACACAGUCAUUCAACAAAUUUUAAAAAAUAAUUUUUACUAGGGUUCGCAAUAAACUCUAGAUCCGGCCCAGAUCCGAAAUUCGGAUCCGAAAAAAUCAGGAUCGGCAUGUUAAAAAAUGCGGAUCCGGAUCUUAAAAAUCAAGAUUCAUACGGAUCUGGAUCCACAUGCAAGUGCAUCCGGAAAACCGGAUAUCCGGAUCCGCAUUAUUUUAUAAUUAAAUUAUUUAUUUAAUUAAAUUUUAAUUGAAAAAUAUAUAAAUUAAAUUAUUUAUUUAAAUGUAUAAGCAUAAUUAACUCUAAAAUCUUCAUUAAUUAUGAAAAAUAUGUUAAAAUAAUAAUAAUAAUAAUUAGAGAAUAUUGUAAUAAAUCGGUUUACCUUAGAUUUUUUUUAUGUUUGAUUUAUAUUAUGAAAUUAUUGUUUGUGAAUUUAUGGUGUUGAAUUGAUGUUAAAUUGUCGAUUGUUAAGUUAUAAUUGAAUUUUAUUUAAUAUUAUUAUGUAAAUUAUUAAAUUUAAAAUUAAAUUUAAAUUUAUUAUUAUGCGGAUCCGAAUAUUCGGAAUAUCCACCCACAAUCCGUGCGGAUAUUACCCGCAUCCAGAUCCGCAUAUUUUUUUUUACGGAUCUAAAUACAGAUCGGGAUGCCAAAAGCUUAAUCUAGAUCCGAAUUCGGAUGCACCUACAUCCGGAUCCGGAUUUGGAUUUUGCCAUCCCUAAUUUGUUACUUUACACACUAUUUCAAAUGUCAAAACUGUCCUUCAUUAGGACCAUUCAUUAACUAAUUAUUUUCUAUAAAAUAUUCAUCAUUCUUGAGCCAUGUGGCGUUAAUUAAUGAUUCCUAAGCAUUAUCAAGGUUCAAGAUUUAUGUUGAAACUCUUUCAGUUGAGAUUUGAGCCUAGGCACUAGCUAUAUACAUACAUACUCUUUCAAAUGCAGUUCUGGGAAUAUUUUGUGACUAAUUUUAUAAAAGUGUUUUAGUUACAUUAAUGCAGUGAAACAAUAAAGAGUACGUGGCUUGAUGAUUUCCAAAUCAAGUUGGGGAAAAAACAAAGCAUUUUCUUUUAUAAUGGAUUAGAUUAGACGAUGAAGGGAAAAUUAUUUACGAUUAUUACUUGUUUGUGUGUUUAGAGUAAUAAUAUUUUCUUAAAUUAUACUAAUGUCCCUAGUAGUAAAUUUAAUUAAGGUUAUUUUCGUAAUAUAAAUUUUAUUAAAAUUAAAGUGUCUAAAAUAGAAUUUAGAGUGAAAAUAGCUCUUAGACGUCCAUAUCAUUACCUUUAUAACUAUUGAAAAUAUGAAUUUUCAAAUGUAAAAUAACAUUUCUAUAUGAUAUAAAUUAAAAUUCAAUCAAAUUUAUCAUGCAACAAAUGAAAAGUAAAGAAAAUUAAAUAGGUUUUAAUAGAGACAAAAUAAGCUUCUAUGUUGAAUUUAAAAGUAUUAUAUUAGUAGUAAUCAUAUACGUAUCGAACUUUUUAAUAAAAUUUAUUUAGAAAUUGGCCAAUUGGGUUUUAUGAAGAAAAUAGAGGGGCACGAAUGGCGCCACUUUUAAUUAUUGUUGCUGUACAACUGAAAAUUGAAAUGUUGUAUUUAAAAAGUACUUGUUAGAUGUGUAAAAUGCACCAACUUGAAAUGGCACGAGAGCAUAAUGGAAUUUUGUUGGGAAAUUUACAAAAAUAACCAUAAAACUUUUACUAUUUUCACAAUUAACCCUCUAAACGUUUUUCUAUCAACAUUAACCAAACACAUGCUUUUCUCCCCAAAUUACCCUUGUAUUUGCUAACCAACCUGUCGCACAUAGUUUGGUGCGACAGGCACCUGUCGCACGAAGCUAAGUGCAACAUGCACCUGUUGCACUGUUAUAGUGCAAUUUAUGCACUAGUUUUGCAUUGUUUACUUCCCUUAAUAUCGAUGUUUUGCACUUAAUAAUGAUGAUUUACUUGUGUUUUACUUUUGUGUUAUGAGCGUCAGAAGAACUUUGUUGAUAAGGCGUGGGUGCGUGCUGUCAACUACGGACCUACAGUUUUUAGUUUAACGUGUUUUGUAUUUUUGGUUAUUUUUGUAAUUACGAAUUUAAUAUUUCAGAUAUUAGUAAUUUAUUUUAAAUAGAAUUCUAGAGAAGAAGAGAGAGAGAGUAUUUAAGAGAGGAAUCUAUUGUGAAAAAGGGGACUUUUGGAGAAGAGAAAGAAACCCUAGAUCUAAACUUUUCUCUUCUCUCUAUGAAGAACUAAACCUAUUUUUCUGGUUAAAGGAUAAUGAAGCUUUGAUUCAUCACUACUAUGAGAUCUAUUUUAUGCUUUAAUUGUUUUAUUGCUUUUUGGGUAUUUGUUUAUUCUCUGAAUUAUUUUCAUGAUUAUGUUUAUUAAUUAGGUAAUUGGCCACUAUUUAAUUAUCAACUUAAUCUAUUGUUAAUUAAAGGAUUCAUCGUAUGAAGAUUUUAAUGUUUGUGACAAAUAACAUAGCAAUGAGUUGUGUUAUGAGAAUAAACAAUCUAAUUUAAAUGAAUCAUCGUAUGUGUUGAUUAGUAUUUGGGUCUCUUUGGUCUUUCAGGCUGUCAAUUGAUUAAAUCCUAUGAUCGUAUCUAGGGUUGUCUAUUGAUUAGGGAAAUAGUCAACGGUCGUACCUUAGUUAUCGACUAGUUAAGGAGAGAUUGGCUAUUAGAGGGUCUCAGUAGCUAUAACCAGUCUAUUCAUAAGUAAUAAUAAUCUAUAUUUGAAUCAAUGAUCAGUAGUCGAAUCAAGCUGAAUUAAUUCCUUCAACCAGAGCUUUCUCCAAUUUGAAUUACAUCUUUAAUUUACAUUCUUGUUAUUUUAAUUUGAUUUUUAUUAUUGUCAACAAUUCCCCCAUUUUACGUUUUACGUUUCAAAAGGAUUUAAAUAAUUACCGAUCUCUGUGGACACGACCCUACUCAAUCACUAUACACAAUUUAUUUAGAGUAGGAAUUUAUUUUUGUUGGCUUCGACAACCAUCAAAUUUUGGCGCCGUUGCCGGGGAUUGGUGUCAUUUAUUUAAUCCUUUUUACGUUUUACUUGGUGUAUGGUUCGUUCUUCUCGUACAUGUAUACUUUCGUUUGAUCCUGAAAUUGAGAAGACAACUCGCCAACUGAGACAGCAGACGAAGCGAGCUAAGCAAUGAUCCUCGUCGCCUUUGCUUUCUGAAACAGAUAUAGUGCCUAAUUUAGUUGAAUCAUCUAGUGAUUCAGAAGAACAAGUGAUGGAUAGACCUGCACCUGUAGAAAGAACCCUUAGAGAGUUAGCUGAACCAGACUUGAAUCAACAACCACUCUGCAUUCAAUAUGUAGACUUGGAGGUAAAUUUUGAAUUAAAGUCUGGUCUUAUUCAUUUAUUACCCAAGUUUCAUGGUUUUGCAGGUGAAGAUCCUCAUAAACAUCUUAAGGAGUUUCAUGUUGUGUGUUCAAGUAUGAGACCACAAGGCGUGACUGAAGAGCAGAUUAAGCUGCGUGCUUUUCCUUUCUCUUUAGAUGGACUAGCUAAAGACUGGUUGUACUACUUGCCUCCUGGAUCAAUUACAACGUGGAAUGGUUUGAAGAAGCAAUUCCUCGAGAAGUACUUUCCUGCUUCAAGAGCUGUUAACAUCAGAAAAGACAUUUGUGGGAUCAGACAACUUCCUGGGGAGACUUUGUAUGAGCAUUGGGAGCAAUUCAAACAAUUGUGUGCCAGCUGUCCUCAGCAUCAGAUUUCUGAUCAACUUCUUAUUCAAUAUUUUUACGAAGGACUGUCAUUGAUGGAUAGGAGUAUGAUAGAUGCUGCUAGUGGAGGCGUGUUGGUGAACAAGACCCCUACUCAAGCAAGGGAGCUGAUAUCAAAUAUGGCUGCCAACGCACAACAAUUUGGCAGCAGGUAAGAUCUCACUUCAAGGAAGGUGAAUGAGGUAAAUAUUUCUUCUGUUAAACAACGUUUAGAUAAACUUACUUCUCUUGUGAAAAAGUUUGUUGUAGGUAAUGUGCAACAGGUGAAGACUUGUGGCAUUUGUUACAAUAUGGGUCAUUCAACUGAUAUGUGUCCUACACUUCAAGAAGAACCCGUUUAACAAGCCAAUGCAGUUGGAGGAUUUCCAGGCAUGCCUUAGAGGAGGUAUGAUCCUUAUGCACAAACAUACAAUCCGGGAUGGAAGGAUCAUCCCAACUUCAGCUAUGGAGUUAGGCCGUCAGGAUUCCCACAACAGUAUCCACCAAGACAACUAGCACCUCCACAGUCAAACUCCAAGUUAGGUAUAUCUCUUGAAGAAAUUGUUAAAUCACUUGCAACUAACACUCAACAAUAUUAGCAGGCAACUAUAGCAAGCAUUCAGAAUUUGGAGAACCAAAUGAGUCAAUUGGCGACUACAGUGAGCCGUCUGGAGUCUCAAGUAUUAGGGAGAUUGCCUUCACAAUCUGAGGUGAAUCAAAAGCAAAACGUUAGUGCUGUCAUCCUUAGAAGUGGGAAGGAGUUGCAAGAGCCUAGUAAGAAAGUGACAAAGCAUGUAGAAGAUGAGCUUGAGAAGAAUGAAUUGAUGCCUAAAUCUCAAGAUGCACAACUCACCAGAGCGAAACCCCUACCUAUUGUGAUACCUCCUCCUUUUCUAAGCCGGUUUGCAAAAUCCAAGAAGGAGGAACAAGAGAAAGACAUCCUGGAGACAUUUCGCAAGGUUGAGGUAAAUAUUCCUUUAUUAGAUGCUAUAAAACAAAUACCUCGAUAUGCUAAAUCUAUUUUUUAGCCCCUACCUCCUUGGCUAAGAUCUAACUUGGGUGGCAAAUUAAAUAAACUUGUUUGAAACUACUCAGCCACAUCUUUAGGGGUAUUAUUGUUAGUUGCUUAACUACUAAAUUAAUAAAAUUUGUAAUAUUUUCAAUAAAGAUUUUCCUAUAAUAUUGUAUAAGCUUUUAUAGUAUUAAUAAUGGGACUAUUGUGGACCCAUGAAUUUAAGUGUUUUAUGGUGCAUUCAGUAUUGUUUUCAAAUUUCAUUUUCUGUCUUCUAAAUUCAAGAAACAUCAAAUACAUGUUUGGUAGAUUGUUUCUAAAUAUACCUUUGAAAAUUUAAAAUUUAUUUAUACUUUUAACUAAGAAAAUAAGAAAACAACAUUUUCUUGUUUUCUUUGUUUCCCAAUUCAAUUUAAGCUUCAAUAUGAAAAAUUUUCUUCCGCCAUCUCUCAAAAUAAUAAUGACAUCAACAACAACAAAGACAACAACAACAACAUUGUUGUUGUUGUUGUUGUUAUUAUUAGACCACCUAAAAAUCAACUUCCAUUAUAAUAAUCUUUUCUUCUUUUAUGCAUUAUAAUAUUUAUGCUUUUAUAUAUUAAUUAAAUCAAGUAUGCAUAGUUUAUCAUUUUUCUUUAAACAAAAAAAGAUCACCUAAUUUAUUCUUAAAGUUAAAAAAUCAAACUAAUUAAACAAUUAAAAUCACCUAAUUACACUACUUAAUAUUAAGUUUAUGGAAAUUAUUCUAAUAAUAAUUAUUUAAGCUAUUCCUAUCGAGCAUGUUUUUCUUUUUUCUCACGUUCAAGAUUAUUUUCGAAAAUGAUAUCGAACACAUUUAAAAAUUUUUAAAAAUAAAUUCGAAAAUAGCAUUUUCAUUCUCAUUUUUUUUAAUGAAAACAACAAUUGAAAAACAAUACCUAAAUAUGAUAUAAUGAUAAAAAUUUAAUGAAAUAUAUAGUAGUGGGUAAUCUUCAGGUUAUAAGUGAAUGUAGAUAUAUAUAUAUAUAUUACUUUCAACUAAUAGAUAAAAGAAAUUUUCUAUGGUGUUGGGAUGAAAAUCCCAUUAUCAAUGAUGAGAUUAUUAUUGAUCAUUAGAUUUAAAUAUUAGAAUCUUCAACCUUAAUUUAAUUUUAAUAGUAAGUAAUUGUGUAACAAGUAAUUUGCAUGUUGUGAUAUUUCUUUAUACAUUAAUUUAUUUUUAUCCAAUCAAUUGAUAAACAUUUUUAGGUCACCAAAAAAUUGUAAAAAAAAGUAAAAGUAAUUCUGAAAUUAAAAACGUUAUAUACUGCCUAUAGCUAUAUAAUUUUACUGUUUCUUCUUUCACAAUUAAUAUUCAUAUAAAAAUAGCUUCUAAAUAAAUGUAAUAUUACUCCAACAAUAUUUUAUAGGGACAAUGACACCUAUACCCUACAGUUUAGGGAAAUGUUCACAAAUAUCUCUAAGUUUUCAGGAAGGGACAUCAACACCCAUUUUAACCAUAAUGCCCUUUGAAUUUAAUAAUUAGAAAAUUGACUUUAAGAUUUUUUAAUUGACAAAUUUAAUAUAAAUAAUAUAAUCUAUCAAGUAGACUAAUAAUACUAAAUUAUUUUUAACAUUUAAAAUAAUAUUAAAAUUUUAAAUUAUUAUAUUUAUUUUAAUAAUAUAUUUGUAUAUAUUAUAAACAUUUUAAAUAAAUCUUGGGUUAAAUAGAUUUUACAAUUAAAAAAAAUACCCCUAUUAAUAAUAUGAAAAUUAUUUUUACAUAAUAUUUAAAAUAAUUUUAAUUUUAAUUCAUUUAUUUUAAUAUUAUGUUUCUAUUUGUUAUUAAAAGUUAAUUUAUUAUCUUAAAUUUGUAUUAAUUAAAAAACUUUAAAGUAAAUUUUCUAAUUCCUAAAUUCAAAGGACAUUACGAUUAAAAAGGGGUUUCGGUGUUCCUUUUUGAAUACCUGGAGAUCUUUGCGACCAUUUCCCCAUACCUUAGAGGUGUAAGUGUUUUUUUCCUUACUUUAUAUAAAGAUAUUUCAUAGAUCUUAUAAUAAUUUAUACUGUAUGAAUUUAAUCAAAUGACCAUUAAUACUUAAACAUUAAUAAUUAUAGAAGGUAUUGUAAUAAAUUAUUUGAUAUAUAUUAUUAAUGAUACUAUAUAUGUGUGUAUAUGACUACAUGAUGGCUUGGAUAUAUAUUUUUAGUAGUAAGUAUUUUAACUUAAAUUUUUAAAACAAAAUUUAUACUAUUGAUUUCAUGUAAUUCAAUGGUGGAUGAUUUAGCAUCAUAAAAUAUUGUUUUGAUGUUUAAUAUAAUCAUUAAAUUGUGAGAGAUUAAUUUCUCAAAUUUUGUGUUAAAAUUUUAAGUUAAAAUAUCCCAAACCAAUUGUUUUAUGAAAAUACAAAAAUAUAUAAAGAAUUUUUCUCAUUAAUUUUCAUAUGAAUAUUAUUAUAGGUAAUAUUUUAUAUAUUGUCACCAUUAAUUACCAUCAUUAAAAUAGUGACUCUUAGUAAUAUAGAAUUUUAUAAUAAGUUAAUUGCAACCAAAGGAUACCAACAAAUAAUAUUUCACGAUUCAUAAACUAAAGCUAAUUAAGAAUAUAUUUUAGGUUUAACUUUUAUGAAAUCAACAAAAUGAUAUUAGAAAAUAAAAUGAAAAUAGACUAGUGAAAGCUUUGAGUAAUUUUCUGCAAUGAAAGAAUAUUAAUUGUAAUAUAAACCAUAAUUUCAUCGUAUAGCUACGCUAAAUGGGAGUAACAAAUAAUAUAUACUUUACGAUCAACUAUUAAAUGGUCCUUAAUAGCAUAUAAAGUAGUGGGUAUUUUAAUAUAUACUAUUAAACUUUUUUAAAACAUAAGUAGUUAAGUAUAUGAUUUUUAGGAUAUAAACAAUCACAACCAAAUGUUUAUUGAUGUAAAUUAUAUGGCAUUCAGUUAAAUGUACAUACUUAAUUCUAAUUGGUUAAACAAUUCUCUUUCUUUCUUCGCUCUCUUACGACUUGAGGCACAUAACUAAACGCGUGGCUAUUAGCAUUUGCCACCAUGUAUUUAACAACCCCAAAUGAAGAUAUUAAUUUUUUUAGUUUAAUUGCUGCUUCAAAAUGGGGUACUGCAUUUGGAUUUUGUUAUUCAAAUACCAAAAUGUUCCCACAUUGUGUUGGACAGUUUUUGGUUCUAAAGUUGAUGACUGGUUUUGCCAAUCAGGCUUCAAAUGAGAACUUCUAAACAAUAAGACAAAUGGGUUUUGAGUUUAUAAUCUUGUAAACUUUGUUCUAUUGUAUAAGUUAUGAAAUCGUUGAAACAUCACUACAGCUACAGGUCUUUAUGUGUCAAUGAACUGCAGAAGCUGAUGAUCUACUUGUAGUAGACUUCUAUUGCCCCUGCCAUUCUCGGAAGACAAACAAGUUCAGGAACUACUUCUGGACCAAACUCAUAAUAUUGCCACUGCUUUGUGCCAAUCUGAGACGGAAAGAAGAUUGAAGUUCCUAAAUAAGGCACAUCAUGAUUUAAUAGAAGUACCACUAUAAGGAAAAAUUGAUUUCAGGAAAGCACUAAAAUAUGACAUAAUCUCCCCCUAAUGGUCUAAAGUAGUCAAAAAAUUAUAUCAACCAAGCAAAAACACAUAAACUAGUUGAGAUACAAAGUUAUCAUAAAAGUCAAUUUUGAUCACAAAUCCAUUAAAAUUAAAAGACAUCAGAAAGUUAGAGAACAUUAUAAUUUAGGACUCAGCUAAGUUGCAGAUUCUGUAACUAACAGCUGAGUCCACAUUGGCCUUGCAUCAGCUGAGUUUGGGUUGCUUUCCUCUCUCCUGCAACGCGUGGAAGCGUCCCAUUUGCUGUGUUAUAUACAGAGUCGGUACCGUAGCAAGCUCCUAUAAUUUAAGUUUGACUACUGUGGACAAUAGUCUGCCUCUGUUCAAAAGCUAUGCUGCAAGAUAUAGCAUCUUUGCAAUGUUAUACUUUCUAAAAGUAAUAAGAAAUGAAACCAAGGGGUAAAUCGAACACCAAAAGAAAUUUAGUCGGCCAACCACAUUAUGUUCCCACACAGUCCACCAAUUAAGUUAAUAAUUAAAGGGAAUCAAAAUCUAAGAAAUCUCAUCUUCAAGCAAAAUACAAACACACCGGGAUUGAAAAUCAUAAAAUCAUAAAAAGAAGCUGACUUGAAAAGCUCAAAUAUACGUUCAUCAGCCUCUCAACUUAUAUCUAAGAACAAAUGCCUGCAGCUUGUGAAGACAUAGAUAAUUGAAGCUGAUGAGGCAUAUUUAACAGAUGAUAAUCAAAACUCGUGUGAUUAAAAUUAUAAUUCAAUAAUCGAGCACAUAAAACAAGAAGUAACUAGUUGUAUAUAUACCAAACAACUUUCUGAAGUUAAGGCGUAAAACAACAACGUAGAACAAAUUAAUUAAAUAUACCAGCACCAAUACUCUUAUUAUUAUCCAAAUAUAGAAGACCAAUGUAUCAAACAAGGAAAAUGAAAUAUUGUUAAUAACUCAAAAACCACUAGUGUCAAGAAAUAAACUAAUAAGUAAAACCCAUAACCAGACACGACCACUUCAAAAUCUCUGAAAAUUGAGGUCUAAACAUUGAAAACAAUUAGACAUAUAUAACAGUCAAUCGAAACAAAGCCUCAAAAUAAUAAUGAACUACAAUAAGACAGAAACUAAAUUGUAAACAACCGCAUACCCAAUAACAGUAAUCAAGUAACGAGUCAAAACCAGAAUCAAACGUAGAAUUUGAAAUCCAUACGAACUCUAACGUAUUAGAAUGAAAGAAUAAGGACGAUCGAUAAACUAGACUAAAAAAAAAACAUGCCCAGUUAAAAAACGAAGGUAAAUAAAUAAAAAUGGUAUAAAACUGCGAAAAAAAUUAAUUAAAUGAAGAGAAAAUCACAGGAAUCCUAUGAAAAGGAAGGUAAACAAAACCUUCGGGAGCCGAGAAGAUGCCUUUUUUUGUUCACUUUUGUGCCUAUACAUACAUUUUUUUUUUUUGUUGGUAAUUUUGAAGAAAGUAUUGGUUAAAUAUUGUUAGAACGAAAUAUUAAUAGAUGCUGGAAAUUUCAACAAGGACAAUCUUCGAUUCAAAUGUAUCCCUAUGAUAAAGAAAAAGCCUACUUGGCUAAAUUUUGAGCACCACAUUACAAGAUCUAGGUGUAUGUAACCAUGCAAAAUGAAACAUCUAUUAAUUGUAAGUCCCUUGACCUCUGGAACCAGCCAACCAGUCUCUUUCCUGCUAGACAACCUUCCAUCGAUCAGACUAAUAAUAUUUACUAAAUCAUGUUCUACAGUUAAUGGAGUUGGACCCAAGGCAAUUGUUAGAAGUCCGCCUAGACAUAGAGUGCGCUUAGAAGUGGGAUGCUUAGAGAUGGGCCGCCAACACAACCAGCCAACCGUAGUGUGCUUAGCAAAUCACCCAAGCCCGGCCCAAGAUCUAGAACUAUCUACAAAUUGUAAAUAAGCUAAAAGUUUCUAAGUUUCUCCACAUAGGUCCCUAGGAUAUUUAUGGAAGUUGCUAGGAAGUUUCCUCCCCUAGAACUCUAAUACCUAUAAAUAGGGGUAAGCCCCCUCAUUUGCCCACCAACCACACCACACACACAAACACUCUAGCACACACACAAGCUCUCUAGCUUUUGUAAAAAGCUCUCUUGUAUAUUUUCUCUUUGUGAGUAAUAAAAUCAUAUUCAGCCAUAUUGCUCUACUUCUCUCUAGCAUUUUCUGCAAGUGUUCUUGCUUCGCUAGUUUGAGGAGUGUUCUAGGGUUGCUUAACAACUUGUUCGCUAGAAGGACAUCAUGGUCACAAAACAUGGACAUGCAAGAAAAAAAUAAUAUUGAUACGUUCUAAAAAUAAUAUGCGUUCUUCUACAGUGAACCAAAAAAUUUAGGCUAAUGGUAGCAAGUGAAGGAAUUGUGAUUUCACGUGCAUUUUGUUGACAUGAACGUAAAGGACUUUUUUUUAUAGUUUAUAUUGUUUAAUAUAACAUUUGAAUUGCAAAAUAGGGGUACAAAAUAGAUACACGAAGUGAUAAAACUAAGCUGAUUAUAAUAAAUAUUGAAUUAUAAGAUUUAGGUUUAAUCAGAAAGACAUAAGUGGCGCACAAAGUCACGAAUUGAUAUCAUCCAUGAUGCAAGUUCAAACAACUGCAUAAUAAGUUGCCCCAAGCUAAACUAUUAAUCUAGUAACUAUUCCAGUCGAUGUGGGAUAAUUUUCCUAUCACCAACUAUCACGUGCAAACCGAAUUUUUUGCUUGGUCCUUACAUGUGGUAAGGUAAUAUGAAUCCACUUGUGCAUAAAUUUGGCUCAGAUACUAUAUAGAAGCCUAUGACCCAAAAUUAGACUUAAAGGUUAUCUCAAGAUUUGAGGGUUGCCUCAAGCUCAUAUUAUUAUUAGCCUGGUAACCUUUUUUGUUUGUUGAUAUGUGAUAUUUUCCCUAUAACUUUUAUUAAUCUUUAUGCUUAUGUUUUGUCAUUUAUCCCAAAAUAUAACAUUAACAAAAGUUCCAAAAUUUCCUUCAAGAGAUAUAUUUGAGACAAGGAAUUUGUGCAAUAACUUUGUAAAUUGAUGAGCAAAUUCAGAGAAAAGAAUAUAUGUGCCAAACAUAACGUUUAUUAUUGUGUUUAUUUGUAGAGCUAUUUAAAGCCCAAAAAAAAAAAAAAGCACCGGUCCGCUAUGAUUUCAAAUAAGUUCAAGCCCUAUGUCAUUAUUGGUACAAAAAUGUAUCAAAAAGGUUAAAAACUAUUUUUAAAGGUUAAAAACUAUUUUUAUUUAACUUAUAAACUUAGGAAAUUAUCAACUGUUCGCCUUUAAAUUGCGCUAUUAUAAAAAAUAUUACAAUAUUUUCAGGUUGUGUCAUUCAUCUACCAUAAAUUUACAAUAUGCAUCAUUUAUCCACCAAAUCAUUAACUUCGUCAAAAAGUGAUAGACGUCACAAGGGUAAUUUAGACAUUUAACACAAAAAAAUAAAAGAGAAAUUAUCUAAGCUUACCAUGUUAUCAAAAUUGCUACAAAAUUUUAAAUUUGUUCAAUUUUCUAAUCUAAGUUUAUGACCUCCAAGAUGUUAAUUGCAGUUUGUAAUUAAUGACUUCAUAAGGAUAAUUUAGACACUCAAUAUGCAAAAUAAAAAAUAAAAUAAUGGCUUAAAACAUUAAAACAAAAAACUACUUUUUAUAAUUGAUAUUCAAUUAAAUACACAUAAACUCUAUUUUUUCUUAAUUAAAAAUAUUCUAAUUUAUUUUCUCAAUUUAUCUUCAUAAAUUUACAUUAAUAAACUAAAUCCACAAAUUACCCUAAACCCUAAUUCAUAAAUGCCCAAUCAAUCUAAUAGUUUAAUUCGAUUUCAUAAUUAAAAAAAGCUAAAUUUAUUAUAUUAGUUAUGGUGCAAAGUAAAAAAUGUCCUUAAAUCCAAGGGUAAAAUAGCAUUUUAUUUAAAUUCUAUAAAUUAUUCUAACAAUGUUAACAUUUUGGUGGACGGUUAAUAUAAGUUACAAACUUAAAAUAGAAAAUCAAAUAAAUUCAAAAUUUCAAACUAUUUAGGGCAAAUUUAGGAUAAUAAUGGUCAAUUUAUUAUAAUUCUAUUAAUUUUUUAAUGGAAGCAAGCGAUAUAAUGGAUGAAUGAUAUAAAUUGUAAAAUUAAGGUGCAUGAACGAUAUAAUUUUAAAGUAUUGUAGUACUUUUAAUAAUAGAACAAUUUAAAGGUGGAUUGGCGAUAAUUUAAACUUUAAUGAAGCAACUAAAAAAUAUUUUUAACAAAGAAAAAUAAUUGAAUGCUUUGUGAAACCAAAAAUAUUUGAAAUGUUUUAAGAAAAAUAAAGGAAAUUAAAUAUCUUUUUAAAAAACAUAAUUGAGUAAAAUCAUUUUACAAAAUGCUCUUUCAAAUGCACAUUCCACAAGCCAAGAAGAACGGGUGGCUAACAAAAAUCUCACUUUUUAUGAGUUUAUAAAAUCUCACUUUCGCAAAAUCCAAAAAUAACCAAUACUAUCACACAAAAAAUAAAAAGUAUUGCUGUCACGACAUUACACACUUUCUUCGCCGUCUAGAAAGGUAGAACAUUUUGAAGUUCCUCAAUACAAAAUGCGUGCUAUUACUAAAUUGGCCCAAUUAAUGCCCAUCGAAAGGCCAUCAAUUUAGCCACCAAAUUUGCCAAAGUUUUAACAAUUGAAGAAAUAGUGAACUCAAAAGGAACAGAUAAAUUUUGAAGUUGAACAAACCUUAAGGUACAUACAACAAAGCCUUGAAACUUUAGUCUUCACAAUUUAAGCACGCAAUAAUAUUAAGUAUCCACCUAAAAAACAAGUAUAGAACAAAGCUUGUUAGCUUCUUGGGCAUUAACUAUGAAUGAUGAGUAAAAUUAAAAAAGCAAACAGAGAAAAUUAUAAGAAGAAGAAAAGCAAACAGUUAAAAAAAAAUUAUGAGAAGGAAAAUUUUGGUAGAACUCCGCGGCUCAUCUGUGAAAUUAAUGUCAAUAUGUAUUUUUAUGUAAAUAGGGUCUCUGGAUUUUAGGAUGAAUCAAUCAGCUACCACAAACGAAAACAUGAACCAACUAUAUAUAGAGUCAAUCAACUAUAAUUAAAGUUCUCAAGAGCUUACCUCUGCUCCAGAAUUCUCGGAAUCAUCUAUUUCCUUCUGAAUUUGCGCGAAGCUUGGGACAACUAAGAAAGCGUCCAUGUGGAGCUGGGAUCUGAUAACCCGCAGGCCAAAAGUUGGUGAGGUUUGGUAAAUCUAACAGUGUCAAGUUCCAAAAUCCAUUCAUAACAAUUUCAUUGUAAUCCGUGACAUCUGCUCCAUCUUUAUGCCAGAAUACUUCUUCUAAUUCAUAAUUACUUUCUACCCAUAGUUGAGUUAGAUUUUGAAGACUUGGAGCUACGCUAAUAUGAAAUAGAUGCUUUAGUUUGGGGCAGUUGUAGAAAGUGAUCCUUCUGAGUUUUGGGAAACAUACAGGUUGGAGAUGAUCCUCAUCCUCAUCCUCAUCAAUGAUUUGCUCUAAUUCCAAGCAUUUCCGAACAGAUAACUCCUCCAAUUGCAACAGAUUUCGAGCAAGUGUCGAUGAGAGGAGACGUUUCAACUUAGAGCACCGGAUCACGAGUAAACGGGUAAGAUUUUGCAGGCUAAAAAUAUGCGUGGGACCUUCAUGAUAUAAUACUUGCAGUUCUGGAAGAUUUUUCAAUUGCAACGACUUCAAACAUGGGAAUAGUUUGUUUUCUUGUCCCUCAGCGAUAAUAGCUUCCAAUUGAAACACCACAUGUACUCCAAGUUGGCUAAUUUUCAAAUCUUCCAAAUUUUUUAAGUCGUGCUUCAACAGUGCUGGAAUCGUGUCACUCAAAUGGGAACAAUUGUCCACAUUUAGAAUUUUUAAGUUCUGAGACAAAUAAAUAAAUAACUUGAUGUAAUUAAAAUCUAUUAGCAGCUAAGAUUAUCACAUGAUAAGUGACGAACACCGCAAAAAACAAAAAUAGAAACAAAAUCCAUACAAAAAUAUAAUAAUACAUAUGUAAACUAAUAAAAUAAUUAAAAAGUAAUAUGGAUUGAUCAUGUGAAGUGAUAUAAAGGUGACAUUAGAUUGUUUGAGAAAAAUUAGUAUUCUAUUAAUUUCUAUGGAUUGAUCAACUAAUUAAUUGAAUUUGAGUAAUAUUAUAUACACUUCAGUAAGUGUUUCUAUCAAUUCUUUCUAAACCAAAAUGAGAUAAGACUUCCAUUUGAACAAUGAUUUUAGGCCCUAAAAUAAAGAAAUUUCCCUAAGAUAUUUGAGCAUUAUUAUUAUCAUCACCACAUCCACGAUCAUCAUCAUCUCCAUAGGACCAAAUAAUUAAUGGCUGAUCAUAAAAUUUAUUGCUAAAUUAUCAUUUUGAGUAAAAUUGAAGGAAAAGAAAAAAUGUAAACACAAACAAACAUACCUCUUCAAGAUACUGCAAAUUGGCUUCAAGUUCAGUACUGCUGACGGUCAAGUUGGGACAGUGCCUAAGGUGUGACUCUUCCAAUGCUGUCCAAAUUGAACAAUAAUUUUCUGAACAGAAGCUCUUGAGUUUUGGGAGAUUGUGAAGUGUUAAUUUUGUCAACAAAGGGAGGGCAAGCAUCGUAUUUCCAUCUCCAACACUUAUUUCCCCUUCAUUAUGAUCAAACUUUGCUUCGACAAUACAUUCCAUUCUCCGGCAUCCACUUACAUAGAGACUUUUAAGCUGCUUCAAACUUCUAGCUUGUGACAACGUGAAGAUAUAUGUCAAAUUGUUGCAUCCACACACAGUCAAUUCUGUAAGAGCUUGGAGGCUGAUCACAUAUUGGGCGGGCGCCUUCCAUAUCCACUUCAGUUCUGGUAAUUGCCACAUAGAUAACUCUGCUAAUCUUGAGAGCAUCACAGGAUUCCCACUCUUUCCAUGCGGCGACUUAGAGGCAUCCAUUAUGCAUUCUAAUUCUUUGCACUCGUUGACAGAAAGACAAGUCAACUCAUUUAAGCCCCUUGGAUCUAUGCUUGGCACAAUAUUGUGACAACCUAUAAUCGUUCUUAAAUUAAGAAUUUCCAGUUCUUGAUACAAUGCCGAAAAAAUACCGAGAGAGGUUGCUUCACAAUUAUUAAUCUUUAAGCCCCUUCUCUGUCCAAAAAUUUCAUCUUCUUCUUGCAUUAGAAAUUCAAGUUUGUUACCAUUACUGACGUGGUGCCUUUCCAAUUUCGGGAAUGUAAAGUCUUUUGGAAGACGUGCAAUUUUUUUGCCAGUAUGUAAAGUCUUUCCAUCGUCAUUUUCUUCUGAACUCAUCCCUUCAGCCUCCCAAUCUUUUAUCCGACCAUAAAAUUCUUCUAAUUGAGGAAAUUUUUUUAUCGUAAUGGGAGAAAUACAACCAGAAUUAAUGAAUAUAAGAAGUUUCAAUCUACUAAGUUGAUCCCCAAAUUCUUCAGGAAUUUCAAUGGGAGACUCCUUGACACAAAGAAUUUGAAGUCUCUUCAACUUUCCAAGGAAAGAUGCGUCACUUACUUUACAUUGAAUCAACUGCAGAACUUGGAGGUUGGUGAGGAAUUGAAGCGAUUUAAGUGAAAUGACUCCACCUAUUACAGUAACAACUUUCAAUGCUGGCAUCCCUUCGAAAAAAUGCUCUGGAACGUGAAAUUGAUAGUCAUAACCACUAGGAAGCUCUUCUUUUACAUAUCCCAGGAAAGAGAUUCCUUCGUAUUGUUCCAUUGCCCGUUCCGCCAAUCCAUCUGUAGUAACAACUUUCAAUUUGUAGUUAUAUACAGUAUUCUGCAGUUGCAAAAUUUGAAGGUUAGGACAUACCAAACUGGUAGGAAGCUCUUCUUUUUUAUUUCCUACCAAUGAGAUUCCCUUGCAUUGUUCCAGGCUUUCUUCCACUACCCGUUCUGCCAAUCCAAUGCCAACUUUACUAGUAAAAUAUUUCUUUCCCACUGAGCCUAUCCAUAAGGAAACAUCACGAACAAUGUCAUGCAUUUUCACAGAUCUAUCAUUACCGGUGUCUAACAGCAGUGAAGAAGCUUUGAGCUCUUUAAUCGUUCCACUCACUAGGAUCCUGGCUUCUUCGAUUGACUCAACUUGAUACCAAUCCAACGCCACUGCAUAUCCAACCAAAUCAUUCGAAUCUAUCUCAUAAUCUUCUGGAAACAGCGAACACAACAAAAAGCAUGACCUGGAAUCCUCACCAUUCAAAUAAUCGUAACUAAAUUUGAGACAAUGGUAAACGUCUUGGUCAUCCUUACCAAUACCUUCUAUUGUAUUGAGUUUUGCAUUUUUUAGUUUAUGUAGAGCUACUUUCCAUUGACCAAAUCCUUUACCUCUUAGCGCACUUCCAACAGCCUUAAUAGCUAAAGGCAACCCCUUACAUUCAUUAGCAAUUUUUUCUGAAACACCAAUCAAGGUUGAAUCAGCAUCAAUGCCGGCAUGCUUUCUUAGUAAAGCCAAUCCUUCUUCUCGCUUUAGAACACCGAGUUGAAUCUGCGUGUCACAACCCAUGCGAUCACAAACUGGCUGAAGGCGAGUGGUUAGAAGGAUUUUGCAACAAUUGUCUCUAUCACCAACAGGAAUACCUAUUGUCUCCAAGUCAAUUUCAUUCCAGACAUCGUCAAGGAUUAUGAGGAUCUUGGGGCUUUUACUCUCAGAGAACAUCAAGCGCAAUCGGUCUGCUCUAUCCUUCUCAUCUUUCUCCGUUAAUGCCCAACCUAACGACUUUACUAGCUCACUUUGAACAUUUAUUAUAUUUGGAUCCCGAGAUAUAGUGGCUAUCCCUACGUGAUCGAAAAUCUUUUGUUGCCGAAGUUGAUUGCCCGCAAAUUUUGCCAAGGUCGUCUUUCCAACACCACCGAGACCAUGCAAUCCCACCAUCUUUGUGCUCUCUUUUUUCAGUGCUUCAAUGAUCUGAUUACAAGCCAAUUCUGUAGUCUCGAAAGACAUAAAAUGUCUUGGUGCAGGCAAUUCUUUGUUCAAUGGUAGAGGUUUAGGAUGGGCAACAGUGCUGAAUUUGCCGCGGUCUAGUAGAUCGGCCAACUUGCUAGUCUUCUUUAAUGCUUUUCUUCCCAGCCAAUAUCGGCAACCCCAAUUAGGACACCAUCCAUUAAGACAACUCUUGUUUUCAUCUAUCUUUGCUUUCAAAUUUUGAACAUUGGCCAUUUCUUUGACUACAUCCGCCAGCCACUUCUCUACAUCUUUCUCCACUACUACGGCGCGGUGUUUUUGUCGAUCUUGUUCUACUUUUUCAUUGAUGCCAUCUUGUGCCUCCUUCAAAUUAGUUUCGUUAUCCCCAAGUUCUUUAAUAAUGCUGUUGAAGCAGAAUAAAUAGCGAGCUUGGUUUAUGGUUGCGUCCGCCAAUAAUUCUCCAAGCUUUGAUGCAACACCUGAUAAAAUUUCCAUGCUAUUUAUCUGCAAUUAAUGAAAUUGAUCUCAGUAUGCUAUAAGCAAUUAAAACAACAUGGCUUGAUCGCAAGAUCGAACGUGAACGUUUAAUUACUUUAAUUUUUUUUCUUUUGGCUUAUUAACGCCAGCAUUGAUCAAUAAGAGCAAAAUGCAAAACAAAGGAGAAGAAAUAAGGUAAACGUUAUAUAUGAUGGAUUACAUUGAAAUUAGAUUACUUUAGAAAUUUUUAAAUAAAAAUUUAAUAGAAUCCGGAUAAACCUAAGAGUUUGUUGUGCAUUGCGAGUGAAGACAGGCAGUUGCAUGGGGAAUAUGAUAAAAGUGAUGAAUAACUGAAAAGCCACCCAUAAUAACAAUUAAAAAGAGUAUUAGAGAUUAGAGGAGUUCAACAUUCUAUGCAAGCCCACUCACGAUAAAAUUUGAAUGGUUUCAACAGGAUUACCAUUUUUUGACCUUUAAUAAAUAUUCUAAUAAAAUAAUACCAUAAUUCCAAACAAUAUCUGAAUUUCUUUUUCCUUCAAAUGUUCAUUAAACUCACAUAUUGGAUAAUUAAUUUAAUUAUUUUUUAAAAUUAUUUAUUACCCUAUCUUAUUGUUCAAUAGAUAUAAAUGACACCUUAUUUGGUAUGGUAAAAAUUGGGGUAAAUUUUCUUUUAUUCUCUAAAGUUUGGACCUAUUACCAGUUAUAUAUAGUAUUUGUAUUUUGUAAAAUUUUACCUAAAACGUCCAUGUCAUUACUUUUAUAGCUAUUGAACCUGAAUUUUCCAGUGUAAGAUAUUAUUUUUGUCUAUUAUAAAUUAAAAUUCAAAUAAAUCUAUCAUGCAACAAACAAAACGUAAAGAAAAUUAAUUAGGUUUUAAUUGGAAACAAAUAUAAAAUAUCGAUUUUUUUAUUAAUUUUUGUGAAUUCUUUUAUUGUUCGAAUUAGAAUUGAAUAAUUUGUAUAAGGAUAAUUUAUAUGAAGAUAAUCUGCAAAAUAAGCUUAUAUGCCGAAUUUAAAAGAGUUAUAUUAGCAAUCAUAUAUUUAUCAAAAUUUUUAAUAAAACUAUUGUUUAAAAAUUGGCCAAAUGGGUUUCAUGAAGAAAAUAGAAGGGCAUGAACAAUUUAAAAGACGUAUUAAAUGGACCAAUUUGAAAUGGUAUGAGAGCACAAUGAACUCAUGUUGGUACCUGGGUAGGCAAAUUAAUUUUAUUUUUAAAGUAUGGUUAACAGUACUGACUUGGAGGUGAUUGACGUUAAGUUAAAUUAAUGCAAACAAAUGGUAAAAAUAAUUUAAUGAAAAUUAAUUAAUAAAAAAAUGCAUUAAAAAAUUAGAACUUAAGUUCUUGAUCAUUUUGUCCGUAUGUUUUUAAUCCAACGCUCAGAAUUGGCGUAAAACUAGCCAUUGGAAGUAAAACACAAAAAUCGAAUUAAGGGCCUAUGAAACAAUAAGAUCUCAUACCUUCUUCGUUAUAAAUCCUCAAUUACUGUUGAAAGCUCCAGUUAAGAGAGUCGCACAAGUUCGGAGAAAAUUAAAAAGCUGCAUAUGGCAAUAUAAAUAAACAUCAGAUCAAAACGAUAUAGGAUAUAUCUGGCUAAUUAACAUCUUAUAUAAGUCCUUGUUCUCAGUCAAAUCUUUCAUACUUAGAAAAAAAAAAAGAUUGAAAUAAUAACUGUAUGUUUUUAAUCCAACGUGCAAAAUUGGCAUAAACAAACUAAUAUAGCAUAAAACAAACAUCAAAUUAAGAGCCUAUGAAAUAAUAAUAUCUCAUACCUUCUUCAUUAUAUAUCCCCAAUUACUACUGACAGCUCCAGUUAGAGUGGCAUAAUUUCCGAGAAAAUUAAAAGCUGCAUCUAGCAAUAUAAAUAAACAUCAGGUCAAAACAAAAUAGGAUAUAUCUAGCUAAUGAACAUCAUAUAUAAGUCCUUGUUCUCUAUCAAAAUCUUUCCUUCUUAAAAAAUAAUAAUAAUAAUAACAAUAAUAAUUGAAAUAAUAACUGUGGGUGACACAUGAAGCAAAAGUAACAUACCGAAAUGAGAGCAGCUCACAUAUCUGGUGACUUCCAAGAGAAUGAAAAAUGAAUGACCUUCGGCAGCAAGAUCCAAAUCAAGUAUCACAAAUUGCUACUGACUUCGUGGCUUCACUUUCCUUUUCUUUUUCUUUUUUUUUAUAUCACAGUGUGAAUUGAAAGGUGAAAAGUGAAAUGGUACACAUGCGUAUGAUGAGGGGGUAAUUUUUAGACACCUGCCCGAGGUUUAAGGUCUUCUGAAUUAGAUGGAUUGUAUUUUCGUAUUAUCAAAUACCUCCCCUGCCCGUUUUUAUUCCAUUUAGUAUUUUCUAAAUGGCUGAAGGUAAAUUGGUAAAAACUCAUUUAAAAUAAAAAAAAAUCAAAGAAAUUCAAGAAGAAGCUUUAUAUCUGCCAUUUGUAUUUGGGGUAUCUUUUUGGUUGUUGAGUGAAUGAGCUUAAAUCUUAAAUAUUUAUUUUCUUAUUAUAUAUUUCUUAUUGGAAAGAAUUUGAAUCUUAUUCUUAUUAAACUUAUUCUCUUUAAAUAAAAGUAGAUUUCUCUCCAUGUAUUUAGUGUGUAUUUUGAAAUUAAUGUUCAACAUAUCUUUAGAUCCUAUUAUAAAUAUUCAUAUCUAAAAUCUCAACAGAUUCCAACAUAUAAAUAUAUAUAAAGAGAGAGAGUAACGUUCUAAUAAGAAAUUUUUUAAAUUAUCAAAUUAAAGGAUAAUUCAAAAGAUAAAAAAAUACAUAAUCUAAUAUAUUAUAUAACAAAAUAUACUAUAUUAAAAUAUAUAUUUUGCUUAAUUUUUUAAUAUAUCCCAUAAUAACUUAAGAAAUCCUUUAUUUACCUGAUAUAUAUAUAUAUAUGUAUAAUUUUUUACAAAAUAAACAAUUUAGAGUAAAACAAAGGACAUUCUGGGGCCUUUUGCUAGACUACCAAUCUACCAUUUUGGAUUGCAAUAAAGUGAAAAUACUGGACUACCAAUCUACUAUUUUGGAUUGCAAUAAAGUUAAAAUGGGUUACACCAAAAAAGUAAAAAAAAAAAAAAAGUGACAAUCAAUCUUGUCGGCCAAUACAUCGAGUUUUUUGCCGGAUUAGUAUCACCGUCAAAAACAAAUUAUUGCAAGCACUAGCAAAAAGCAAUCGAUGAUUUCGCAAUUUGGUUGUUAAAAAGCAAACUAGAUCACGAUUCCUCAAUUCAAAAUGGGGCAAAAUUAUGGUAUCACAAUGUUACCGUACUACAGCUGGAUCCAGCUUACAGUUACCAUCAUAAUUGAAUCUAACAGUUGGAUCCAUCUAUAGUAUGGUAUUACUGUGGUACCAUAGCUGGACCCUUCAAAAAAAUGCUUUUUUUAAUUAAAUAAGUGAAAAUUAAACCUACAAUUCAAAAUAGAAGACUGUAGAUGCGUAUAAAUUGAAGAAGGUAAAUUUUGUGUGUGCGUAAAUAUUUUAGUCAACAACAAAAAAUUCUAACAAGUUAAUAUAAGAGUAUCAUAGCAGUACAAGAGAAUUUUUUUUUUUUUUGGAUGUUAUGAGUUAUCGAGAUACCCAAUAUAUAUGUGUGUGUGAGAGAGUGGGGAAGAAAAAAAAUAUUAAGAAUAGUUUUGGCAUUUUGAUGGGUUUUAUAGAGUAAAAUCUAUAUUUUCAAAUAUGAUAAUUCUUUAAUUUAAUUUUUUGUUAUGAAAAAAAAGGGCAUUUUAAAUAUGUUUUAAGUUAUAAAUAACUCCAUCCAAAAUUUAAAAAUGAAAUCUUAGGGGGGAAAAUUUUUCACCCAAACUAAGGCCCAAAGUAGCCGCGGCAUUUUUCACCAAUUCUCCAAUUCCCAAUGUGGUCUAAUUAUUUACAAGGAAUAUGAGUAGGGGUGGGCACGGUUCAGUCCGGUUUGGUUAGAAUCUAAAUUAAGCAGAACCGAUUUAAAUAGGUUAUUUUAUAAAAAAAACUAAAUAAGAACCGAACUCAAUAAAAAUUGGACAUAAACGGAUCUUUUCAGAUCGGUUUGGUUCGGUUCGGUUUUUUCGGUUUUGGGCGUAUUUUGAAUUUCUAAAUUUUAGCCCAUUAGGCCUCAUGAAUGUAAUGAUUUUAUUCAACAAUUAAUUUAUCCUAAUUUCAUUACAAAUAUUAACAAUAAAUACAAAGUAUUCAAAACACAUUUUAUCACUAAUAUCUUACUAACUACUAAUAAGGUACUUAUAAAAUAUGAAAUAUUAAGAUUUCAAAAUACAUAAUCAAACUCCAAUACUCCAUCUACAUAAACACAAUGUUGUAACGACAAAAAAAAAUAAUAACAACAAUUAAAACUUACAACACAAAAUAAAAAGAAAAUUUGGAAACAAACACUAACAACAAUUUUUAAAUAAAUAAAUAAAUAUAUAUAUACUCGUAAUUGUGUGUGUGCAUGUCUAUUUUAGUUAUCUUACGCAACCAAUUAAAAUUUAACAUGUGUCUAUUUAAAUAAAAUUCCAAGAAUAACUCGGUUUUUCGGUUCUGUUUUUUGGUUCAGCUGAGUGAACCGAAUACCGAACCUGUAUUUUAGUUUUUUUUACAAACCAUAUAUUUCAGUUAUUUUUUAAAAUUAAAACCAGUCCAAACGGAACGGAACGGUUCAGAUCGAUUUUCUCUAGUGCACGGUUUUUUUGCCCACCCCUAAAUAUGAGAUUCUCUACCACUCCAAUUUAUCCCAUUGUUAGCAAUCCUAUUAGAUGUUUUAUAUCCUAUUUUUAUUAUGCUCCCCAAACAAAUAUGUUUCACCUAAAGGUGCCCAACGGGCUACACCGUCCGUCUGAAUGAGCGCACGAGAGGCUCCACAGGCGUGUCUGAUAUGCUCUUUCAAGUCUACAUACCUAACGUUCUUUUUUUAAGUGCAUAUAUAUUUUUUAAAGCUCAUGUGAAAUUCAGUAGUAAGAGAAUGCAAUACUAGUUAAUAAGUUAGAGCCUACAAAAUAAUAAUAAUAAUAAUAAAAUUUUCUCUAAGGGUUAACAUUUUAUUGUUAACUUGAAUUUAUAUACAGUUAUCGAUUAUAGUCCAUAAUAAUAUUAAUACUUACAAGUUUCAAAUUAAAAUUUAAUAAUUAACAUUUCAUUAACACAACUAUAUUAUCUAAUUUUGCAAUAACCAAUUAUAAUACAACAAUACAUAAUUAUAAUUUCAUAGACCAUGGUAAUAAAAUCUCUACGUUAAUGAAAAAUUUUAUUUUGAUAUAUGUUGGUCUGCUUGCUAUUGAUGGCCGAUGGUCGUAUGCUAGCCUGCUAAUGAAACGUGUUUAUUAUUGGUUUUUUAACAUGUCUUGCUUUACCACAUCUCUAAUCAAAUUGUGCUCUUAAAAUCCAUAGCCUAACCUAGCCUCUGUGUGUAUCCUGCCGUGCCAUACUAUACAAACAUGUAUCUGGUACCAUGCCACGUACCGGUCGGCCCUUAGCCAUCUCUAGUUUCACCCCUAAAUAAAAUCUAAACGGCUACUGGCAAGUGAGAAAACUUGUUAUUCUUUAUUUUGAAAAUAAAGGGAAUUGGCGAAUUGCUUAGUUUGAUAUUGUUUUUGGUAAGUCAUUUUUUGUUUUGAAACAUUUUUCUGAGAUGUUGUUGUAUUUGGUGAAAAAUAAAUUAUUUUAUUUUAUACUUUUAAUGAAGAAAAGUAGAGAAAAACAUUUUGUUGUUUUCGACAACAUUUGCCUUAUAAGUGCACCCGUGCCACUUUUUUCUUGUUUUAUUUGUAUGAUAAUUAUCAUGGACCCACGUAACUUUCUUUUGCAUUUAAAAUUUCAUAAUAAAUUAAAUUAGACAAAAGAAAAGAGUCCCACAAAUAAUUUAUUUUAUAAUUUUUUAAAUAAUACUAUUUUAAAAUAAAUUAUCAAAACAAAUUUCAUAUUCACUAAAAUUAAUCAUAUUCAUAUUAUAAAAUUAAUAUAAAAACAAUAUCUGAAAAGUAAUGCUAAAUACACUGUUAAAUUUUAUAAACGGCAUUAGAAUUGAUGAACAAUCUGACAAAGAUGCUGCGAUUUAAGUAGGGAUGACAAUUAAAGCCGUAUUUGAAAAAUUUCGUCUCCAAAUUAAAAAAUAUGGAUUCGGAUAUGGAAAUUUGGAAUUCACAUAGAUCCAUAUAAAUUUUAUUUUAAAUUAAAAAUAUAUAUUAAAAAUUAAAUGAAAAAUUAAAAAAUAAAUUUUAUUUGUGAUUUUAUGAUGUUGUUGUAUAUUAUUCAUGUUGAAUUAUUAAUGGUUGGAUUAUGAUUGAAUUUUAUUUGAUAUUAUUAGGUAAAUUAUUAAUUUUUAUUUAAAAUAAAAAAUAUAUAUUAAAAAUUAAAUAAAAAUAAAAAAUUAUAUUUUAUUUGUAGAUUUAUGAGAUUAUUGUAUGUUAUUCAUGUUGAAUUAUUAAUUGUUGAAUUAUGAGUGAAUUUUAUUUGAUAUUAUUAGAAAAAUUAUUGAACUUUUAAAUUAUAUAUUAAAUUAUUUAAUUUUAAUUUUUACGGAUCUGGAUAUCCAGAAUAUCCUCCGGUAUCCGUUGCGGAUAUUACCCGCUUCUGGAUCCGCAUUUUUUUAUACAAAUUCAGAUAAAAUAUGAAUGCGAAUCCGAAUCUGGAUUUUACCAACCUUGAACCUAAGCAUGAAUGGGCCUAAAGUUUUUACAACAAACAUGGAUCAUUCAAUGACACGAGAUGUUUUACAGCUCUCACUAGUAUAAUUAAAUAAUUAAUUCAUCUCUAUAUUCAACUUACUCCGUCUCAAAUUGCAUGCAAAUACGAAAAUACACUUCUGAAUCGUUCACUUGAGGAAAAUUCCAAAUUCUCCACGUAGAAUUUAGAUUCAAACCAUAGCAAAUUAGACAUAAUUCUAAUUUAUAUGGGAAAUAUAAUUAGCGAAGACACUCUUUAUAUAAACAUUAUUGUCAUAGGAUGCCAAACCUAAUAAGAUUCAAGAUCUUAACAUACUUCAUAUGAAAUUUGAUCUUGACGCGUACCGACAGGCAUAACAUCAAGACUCUACUUCAUAUAUUAUAAUGUAACUUCAUGGAUUUUUCGCUCUCUUGGGGGUCUAUCGUUUGUUUGCAAACUUUUCCAUUUUAAAUUGACAAUUAUAGGCGCUCUCUUGUGGUACAUAAAAUAAACGUUUAUUUUUAGAAUAUUAUUAUUUAUCUCAAUUUUUUAUUUAAUAGUUAAUUUUAACCAAUUCUUAAACUGUCAUAAUCAAUUAAUUUUUUACAUUAUGGCGUCUUAAAUAAAUUUUGGAUCUGUAAUAAAUAAAAACUGGUAACGUUUGUUCUUUUAAAACAUAAAACAACCGUAACAUUGGUUUUUACAUUUUGAAUUUUUCUUGCAUCACUAUUUAGAAAAAUGAUGUUAAAUCAACUCACAAAAUAUAUCAAGCCAUCUAAAAUCCAAAUAUUAUUACAUUUGUAUUGCAUUGUUAAAUUGUUGGAACGACGGCAAAGCAAUUGAAAAGAUAUUAACAAAAAAAUAAAGAUUGGCCAAGGAUUAUUCAUGUUUAGGAAAUGCCUUAACUUUUGAUAUAAUCAUUGUUAUAAUUAUAUUGUAGAAAUAAUCAAUUACCUAAUGUUUGUGGUGGUAAAUAUUAUUAACUUGUUUUACUAUACCCGUGUUUAUGCUGGUCUCCUUUUUGUCCAUUUCUGUACAACGAAAUAUUUGCAUGUGUUGAUAGAAAUUGGUUUAAAUGACAUUUAAAAUAGUAUAUCCCCAGACAAUUAACGAAAUAUUUGGAUGGUAGGAUGAAGUAAUAAAUAGUUUUACAAAUUACCAUAUUAGAGGUAAAAAAAAUUCGAGAGGUUACUUGACAAUUAUGACGUUACUAACUACAAAUUUAACACAAAAAGUUUAAUUAACUUUUCUUUUUGAGAUGGCAAAAUCUCUGGUGUUGAAAACAAUGAGGUUUGAGGUUCAAGCUUGAAUAUCAAGUUACAAUUAAUAGAUGGUCUUAGGACAUAUCAAAGAUUUCUUUAAAGACAAAAUAAUAAUUACAAGCAAUAGGAAUUUAUGGUAUUCAGAACAUUUAUAUCUUCGCACAUGAAGCUUGAAUCCAGAACAAGAUGCAGCUAGCCAAUCCUUCCAAAACCCCACAAAACCUCUGUCAACAUAUCUGCUCUACUUCAAUAUUAAGCACAUUCAUAGCGGUAUCAACAGCUUACAGCGCCAAAAUAUUUUCCCCAAAAAGAGUGAGAGAUUUCACUGAAGCUAAGUUGUGACUUGUGACUGCCCAAAUGUUCUAUAACACGAUAUGAUUAUUCUAGUAACACAAAUCCAAUAGCAUGCAACAUAAUCUACUCUCUAACAUUGUGCAUUAGUAAAAUAAAACAGAGUAAAAAGAGAAACCAUGCCUGUGAAUCUCUUCUUUUCCCCCUGCCACCCCUUUUUUUGGUGAAGUCCAUCAAAUGAAAAUGCAGCAUGACCACGUUGGCCACUGCCACUGCCAUUACUUCUUCAACUGUGCCUUUUGUUGCAAGAAAUAUUCAAGUGAAAGAUUGGAUUAUAUAAUUCAAGAUUCCAAUAGACCUGAGCUGCAAAGGUUGCCUUCCACUAGCCUAUCAGAGACUAUGCUUUCUAUUUUCCUAGUUUGUUAAUCAAAAUUUUAUAAGAUUUAUUUAUGGAAAUCUUGGACAAAAUUUUACGUAAGAUACCACAAAGCCAAAUGCAAUCAUUGUAAUUCUCAGCAGCAACAUUUAAAGUGAAAAAUGGAAGCCAUAUAAACAUAACUAUGUUUGCUACGAGGAACAAUUAUUUCAAGCUUUCAGAAAUGCUAGCAAGAAAUUGUAAGAGAACUUUACCUAGUCACAGAAUAUGUCAAACAUACUACCACCGUCUUUAGCACGAUUGUUAUGGAAGUAGCUUUUGAAUCGGAAGAUUCCAGCUUCCACCAGGCACCAUUUUUUUCAUUUUUGAUACAAUCUGCAUCACUGGCAUUAGUUAUACCAUCAACAUUUGCAUCCUCACUCUCAUCAUCCCAAUCAAGGCUUCUUCUCCAGCUCUGGAUUAUAAGUCCACUCCGACAUCUUCGAACACCUCGGUCCUUCCAUUUGCCAACAACCGAUAUGGCUUCCUUCCUUGCCUUCCCCAUUAAUAUAUCACUCGAAGGCAAAAAAAGCAUCAGCAAUUCUCUUCAACGCCUCAUCGUUUAUAACCCCCCAAAAAAAGGGUCUUCAGACACCUCAACUUUGCCUUCUGCAAAACCUCCACAAAAUCUGAAUUAUCCAACACAACAGCCAGACACUCAAUCCUUCUUUUGUCCAUCAUAUCCACCGUAUGAUUCCUCAACAAAAUAUCUACAGCUUGUGGCUUUUCUAACACUGUCUUGAUCCAAAACCCUGCUCUUUUCAACUCAUCUGCCAAACCAUAACCCACUUUUGGAGUCAAAAUUGUCCUUGCAGCCCUUUUAUAUUUUUCCAUCUCCAUCGAAUACUUGCCACUCAAAUCGAAUUACCAGACAGGAAUCCCAGUAACAAGUCCACUCAACUUCUUCUCAUCUGAUCCCUCUUUCACUCUGGCGGAAACAUUAAUAACCAUUCACCAGCCACAAAUUACCCAAGUAAGUAUUCGUGUCGUCAACACUUACCCUUCACUUCAUCUACGCAAACAAGAAUUCAAAUUGCUUAUUAGCUAGUGCUCGAGCGAAAGCCAAAAUAAAUUAAAUAUGUGUGUGUGUGUGUUAAAAGAGAAACGGUAGCGAAGUUAUUACACAAUAAAGCAAACCAAAAUAAAUUCUACACUCAUGUGGGUGUUUCGCUCGCAAAAUCUGGACAAGAAAAAAUAAUAUUGAUACAAUCUCCAAAUAAAGAGCAUUCCUCUUGGUAAAAUAGACAAAUCCUAUAAAUUUUGAUUAAUGGUGCCAAAUGAAAGAGUUGUAAUUUCAUGUACAUUUUGUUAACAUGAAUAAGGGUACAAAAUAGAUAACAAAGUGACAAAAACAAAGCUAAUCACAAUGAAUGAUAAGGUUUAGAGUAAACAUAAAGUUAUAAUCUUGAACAUAAGUGGCGCUCAAAGCCAUGAAUUUGAUAUCAUCCAUGAGGGGAGUUCAAACAACACCAUGUAAGAAGCAACAAGUGUUGAGAAAAAAAAAAUUCAUUCUAACACAACAGAAUAAAUUGUAAAGAAAUCCCAGUUUGUAUAAAAGAAAGAAAACAAAAUUAAGGAAAACAUAAGCACAACAAAAUUUGACUGAUUAUUAAAAAUGAGAAAUGAGUUAUAAUGAGAAUUUUGGCUUUGUGGUGAAAUAAAUUGGGAAGUAUCAAAGUUUGCAUGUAAAUAAUAUAAAUGAUAAGAAGACGAAGGGAACAAAAUGAUAAUAAGAAUGCCAAAUAUUAAAAUGCAGAUUCUACGCUUCCGCCCCCCCAUACUUCAAGUUAGUGUCUCGCUAAUCAUUUUAGAUGUAUCAAUUACAAAGGGAGGCCAUCUAUUUAUAGUAAGUGUACGCCUCUAAUGCUUUGCCAAGUGUCCAUUGAUAAUAUCACAAGGGAAAUUAAAUUGGUGUAUGUGUAUUACACCUCCUAAAGUCAUGUUAAGAUAGUGUGCUGAUAAAGUUUGUUGCACGUAUGAGUUGGUUAAGUCUGCUAGAAAUGCAAACGUGUAAAGCUUAGUUAGUUAAGGUUGUUACGAAUGCUUAGAUUCAGUUCACGUGUAUUGUAUGUAAUGCUUAGAUUCAGGUCAUGUAGAUUGUGUAUACAACUUUCUUAUAUUCUUUAGAUCUCAAUAUAAAUACUUGUAAUCAACAAAUACAAUAAUAAGAGUCAUCAUUCUUCAUUUUCUCUCUGUUUCUCUCAUAUUUUCUCUGCAUCCAAACACAAUAUUCUCAGUUCUUGACUUGGUAUCAGAGUUGCAGUUUAAUUGUCAUGGCUUCCUUCCUUAAGCACAAAUUCAAACAUAAAUCAGUCUCCUUCAUUCUUUACCCUCACAAAUGCGAUCAAACUGGACAGAUCUAACUAUACGAUCUGGAAAUCUCAGAUCCUCUCUUCAAUUCGUGCCAAUGGACUUGAAGGCUUUCUUAAUGAAACUAAAUUUUUUCCAGAUCAGUUACUUACUCAAGAGAUUGAAAGUUAUGGUGUUGAAAAUGUUGUUGGUGAAAGCUCAGCUGAUAGAUCUCAGGAGAAUCCAGCCUUUGUUGCUUGGAAAAGGUAGGAUCAAUUGUUAUUAAGUUGGCUCAUGUCCUCCAUCAGUGUUGAGAUACUUAGUCUUGUGGUAAAUUCUGAUUCUUCUAAUAAACUUUAGACUAAUCUUGAAGAAAAUUUUUGUAUUAGAAACUAUGGCUAAGAAAGCACACUUAAAAAUGAUGUUAAGCAAUCUCAGAAAGGGAUCAAUGACAAUAACUGAGUAUUUUGCCAAACUUAGAGCUGUAACUAAUAAACUUGCUCUAACUGGUAGCCCUGUUUCUACUCUAGACUUUAUUACUCAUCUAAUCUCUAGAUUAGGCCAGCCAUACUACCCUGUUGUUUUGUAUAUUGAAGCUAAUAUGAUGAAAAUAUUUGUCAAUGAAGCCUAUUCUAUGCUUUUAACUCAUGAAGCAAGAAUUAAAUUUAAUCAUCCGAGUGCAAAUAAAGAAGCAAAGUUGAAUUAUGCUGCUAACAUAGCUUAGGCUGGACCUAGUAAUAACAAUAAGAAGUCUAGUAAUCAAGCUAAUUACUAUCAGGGCAACCAAGGUAACUGGAAUAGAAAUGCUAAUUGGUGUGGUAACAAUGGAGGAAGAGGUGGCUUUGGCAGAGGUUUUUCAGGGCAAGGAAGGGGUAAUUAGAAUAAUGGUGGUCAUUGGAACAAUGGACCUUGGAGUAGUAGUCGAGCAGGUUAUAAUUGUUCUGAUAUAAACAUUAUGACAUGGUUGCUGGUGAACCUGUAAACAUAACCACAAAAGUAAGAAGGCAUAAUCUUUUUAUAAGAAACUCAAAAAUGUAUUAAUGAUGAAAAUUUUAAAACAGAUAGUGGACCAACUGUUCACUAGGAAAACAAAAAACUGAAUAUUUGUGCUAUAAAAAGGUCACACCCAAUCUCACCCCUAUAAAAGGCUAGAAUCAGCUACAAAUCCCUAUCUCAAAACCCCAUCCCAGUUUAGAUGAAUGAAGAAAAAAGAUGAAUCUUGAAACUCCUUAGAAACUGAAGCCCAAAGUGAAGCAAGAAGAUGAACUCUAUCCCAAGCAAGCAAUAUGGCAUAUUUCUCCAUUAAUGGUUCAAAUAAAGUGAAUGGCUUUCUCUGAUGAAUGGGAAAUUGUCAAGAUCAAUAGUCAAACUCACGCAAAGUAAACGGACUUAAUUCUCAGGGGCUACUCAUUCUAAGUCUUAAAGAAUUUUUUUCUAAUUUCUAAAGAUAAUAUGGGGAAAAAUCAUUAUUUUCUAACAUGAAAAAUUUGAUAUAGUGUUUAAUGUCUGACCACAAUGAUAAUAUGAGUACUAACAAAAACAUCUUUUAUCAGCAUGUGCGAGUAAAACACCUUUGCAAUCCAUAAAUGUAAGACGCCGCCUGGAGACUGGAGUCAUCGAAUUUUAUAUGUCAAAAGCGCGUUUCAGUUCAAUAAGCCAUAAAUGUCGUUUAAUAUGCUCAUUUUGUACUUUUUAUAUAAAAAAAAUUAUUUAUUUUUUUUAAUAUUGUUUAUUUAUUUAAAUUUUUUUUAAAGCUAAAGAGGUGGGUAACAUCUAAAUUCAAUUUUUAUCCCUUAUGUCCUGACCCUAAGAUUUGAACUAAGGUGAAUAGCCAAAUGUAUAAUAACAGGUAUUUCGAAUUUCAUUUUAAAUGAUAUGCAAUUCAUUAAGUGAUUGUUAAUUUUUUAUAAGAUCAAAAUGAAUUAAUUGUAUUAUCUUACUAACUAAUUGAUGAGUGCCCUAUUAUUUGGGAUAACUUUUGAAUAAAAAAAUUUUGAUGGAUGAAAUAUUCUUUUGAGAAUUUAUUGACUUAUCUCAUUUAUGACUUAUUGUUGCAUUUAAGUGAUAUUGCAAAAAUUAUUUUGCAAUAAUAUUAUUGUUUUGACGAGUAAGUUUGGAGUAAAUAAUACAUAUGGCAAGUAAGAGGUUCGUUAUUGCAUUUAUUUUGCGGACCUAUUUUAAAGCCAAAAAAAGACAUUUCGAUUCAUUAUGAUUCCAAAUAAUUUCAAGCCAUAUGUCAUUAUUGGGAUAAAAAUAAAGUAAAAUGGUUAAAACUAUUUUUAUGUAAUUUAUAAAAAUUAAUGAAGCAACUGCACAAUUUUUUAACACGAAAAACAAUUGAAAUGUGUGUGGAAAAAGAAGAAAAAAAGAAGGCAUUUAAAUAUCUUUAAAAAAAAUAUGAUUGAGUAAAAUCAUUUUACAGAAUGCUCUUCCAAAUGCAAUUCCACUUUUUUUUUUAAUUGCAUUGGGAUAUUCCAAAAUUGGCACAAUUCAUUAAGAAUUCGGCAACUCAAAUUUUAUUUAUCUCUCUAUGCAUUUGACAAAUUAAAAAGAAAAAAAAAAUCAUAUAUCUUCUGUUCAAAAGAAACCUUGGUAAAUAUUGUAAAACAAAUUACCAAUUUUUUUAAUUUAUGCCAUUAUAUCGUCGCUAUUUUCUCGCCCACUUUCUAUCAAAUGAAAAUGUAAUUAUAUGGUUCAGGAUACCAAUAUGCCGGAGCUGCAAAGGUUGACUUCCACUAUGCUAUCAAUGUCUAUACUUUCUAUUGAAUUUCCUUGUUUUUUUUUUAAAUUGCGAGAUUUAUUUUUGGAAAUCUUUGACACAUUUUAUGUAAGAUACCAUAAAGCCAAAUACAACCUUUUUUAUUCUCAGCAGCAACUUUUUUUUUUCCUUUUAAAAAAAGGAAGCCAUAUAAAUAAUGCUUAAAACAUUAUUUGCAACAAGGAACAAUUAUUUCAUGCUUUCACAGAAUAUGUACUGCUGUUAGCCCGAUUGUUAUGAAGUGGCUUCUGCAUCAGAAGAUUCCAGCUCCCACCAAGCAUUGUUAUCUCUAUUCUAAAUACAAUCUACAUCGCUGGGCAUGAGUUAUAUCAUUAAUGUCUACAUCCUCACUUACAUCAUCCCAAUCAAGUGCUUUUUCUCCACAUCUGGAUUAUAAGCCCACUCCAAUCUCUUCAAAACAUCCCAGUCCUUCCAUCACAACUGAUACGACUUCCUUCCUUACUUCCCCAUUAAUAAAUCGCUCCGAGAAAAAAAAAAAAAAAAAAAAAAAAAAAGCAUUAGCAAUUCUCUUCAACGCCCCAUCAUUCAUAUCCCCUACAACAACCAUCUUCAGACACCUCAACGUUGCCUCUUGAAAGACCUCCACAAAAUCCAAAUCAUCCGACACAACCACCAAACACCCAAACCUUCUCUUGUCCACCAUAUCCACCAUAUAAUUCCUCAACAAAACAUCGGCAUCUUGUGGCUUAUCUAACACCAUCCUGACCCAAAACCAUGCUCUUUUUAACUCAUCUGCAAAACCAUAACCCACUUUUGGAGUCAAAAUUGCGCUUGCAGCCAUUUUAUAUUUUUCCAUCUUUGUUGAAUAGUUGCCAACCAAAAGCACUCUCACCUUCCCUCUAGCUGAUUCUAUUUGAUUCGACCUUUUCUUUUAUUCGCCCUCAUGAAUUUGCUUAGAAUGAUUAACAAGCUUGUCAUUAUUAUAAAAUCUCCUUCCACAAUCACCAAUACAUACGGCUUAGCAGGCCUAAUUACACCCUUGAUUUCUAAUUGGUUAAACAAUUCUCUUUCUUUCUUUGCUCUCUUACAACUUGAGGCACAUAACUAAACUCGUGGCUAUUAGCAUUUGCCACCAUGUAUUUAACAAUCCCAAAUGAAGAUAUUGAUUUUUUUCAGUUUAAUUGCUGCUUCAAAACGGGGUACUGAAUUUGGAUUUUGUUAUCCAAAUACCAAAAAUUUCCCACAUUGUGUUGGACAGUUUUUGGUUCUAAAGUUGAUGACUGGUUUUGCGAAUCAGGCUUCAAAUGAGAACUUCUAAACAAUAAGACAAAUGGGUUUUUGAGUUUCUAAUCUUGUAAACUUUGUUCUAUUGUAUAAGUUAUGAAAUCGCUGAAACAUCACUACAGCUACAGGUCUUUAUGUGUCAAUGAACUGCAGAAGCUGAUGAUCUACCUGUAGCAGACUUCUAUUGUCCCUGCCGUUCUAGGAAGACAAACAAGUUCAGGAACUACUUCUGGACCAAACUCAUAAUAUUGUCACUGCUUUGUGACAAUCUGAGAGGGAAAGCAUAUUGAAGUUCCUAAAUAAGGCACAUCAUGAUUUGACAGAAGUACCACUAUGAGGAACAAUUGAUUUCAGGAAAGCACUAAAAUAUGACAUAAUCUGCCCCUAAUGGUCUAAAGUAGUCAAGAAAUUAUAUCAACCAAGCAAAAACACAUAUACUAGUUGAGAUACAAAGUUAUUGUAAAAGUCAAUUUUGAUCACAAAUCCAUUAAAAUUAAAAGACAUCAGAAAGUUAGAGAACAUUAUAAUUUAGGACUCAGCUAAGUUGCAGAUUCUGUAACUAACAGCUGAGUCCACAUUGGUCUUGCAUCAGCUGAGUUUGGGUUGCUUUUCCUCUCUCCUGCAACGCGUACGUGGAAGCGCCCCAUUUGUUGUGUUAUAUACCGAGUCGGUACCGUAACAAGCUCCUAUAAUUUAAGUUUGAUUACUGUAGACAAUAGUCUGCCUCUGCUCAAAAGCUAUGCUGCAAGAUCUAACAUCUUUGCAAUGUUAUACUUUCUAAAAGUAAUAAGAAAUGAAACCAAGGGGUAAAUCGAACACCAAAAGAAAUUUAGUCGGGAAACCACAUUAUGUUCCCACACAGUCCACUAAUUAAGUUAAUAAUUAAAGGGAAUCAAAAUCUAAGAAAUCUCAUCUUCAAGCAGAAUACAAACACACCGCGAUUGAAAAUCACAAAUUCAUAAAAAGAAGCUGACUUGAAAAGCUCAAAUAUACGUUCAUCAGCCUCUCAACUUAUAUCUAAGAACAAAUGCCUGCAGCCUGUGAAGACAUAGAUAAUUGAAGCUGAUGAGGCAUAUUUAACAGAUGAUAAUCAAAACUCGUGUGGUUAAAAUUACAAUUCAAUAAUGGAGCACAUAAAACAACAACUAGUUGUAUAUAUACCAAACAACUUUCUGAAGUUAAGCCGUAAAACAAAAACAUAGAACAAAUUAAUUAAAUAUACCAGCACCAAUACUCUUAUUAUUAUCCACAUAGAAAAGAACAAUGUAUCAAACAAGGAAAAUGAAAUAUUGUUAAUAACUCAAAAACCACUAGUGUCAAGAACUAGACUAAUAAGUGAAACCCAUAAUCAGACACAACCACAUCAAAAUCUUUGAAAAUUGAGAUCUUUGAAAAUUGAGGUCUAAACAUUGAAAACAAUUAGACAUAUAUAACAGUCAAUCGAAACAAAGCCUCAAAAUAAUAAUGAACUACAAUAAGACAGAAACUAAAUUGUAAACAACCGCAUACCCAGUAACAGUAAUCAAGUAACAAGUCAAAACCAGAAUCAAACGUAGAAUUUUGAAAUCCAUACGAACUCUAACGUAUUAGAAUGAAAGAAUAAGGACGAUCGAUAAACUAGACUCAAACAAAAACAUGCCCAGUUAAAAAAUGAAGGUAAAUAAAUAAAAAUGGUAUAAAACUACGAAAAAAAUUAAUGAAAUGAAGAGAAAAUCACAGGAAUCCUAUGAAGAGGAAGGUAAACGAAACCUUCGGGACCCGAGAAGAUGCCUUUUUUGUUGACGUUUGUGCCUAUACAUAUAUAUAUUUUUUUAUUUUGAAGAAAGUAUUGGUUAACAAAACGAAAUAUUAAUAAUAGAUGCUGGCAAUUUCAACAAGGACAAUCUUCGAUUCAAAUGUACCCCUAUGAUAAAGAAAAAUCUUGAGCACCACAUUACAAGAUCUAGGUGUAUGUAACCAUGCAAAAUGAAACAUCUAUUAAUUGUAAGUCCCUUGACCUCUGGAACCAGCCAACCGGUCUCUUUCCUACUAGACAACCUUCCAUGGAUCAGACUAAUAAUAUUUACUAAAUCAUGUUCUACAGUUAAUGAAGUUGGACCCAAGGCAAUUGUUAGAAGUCCGCCUAGACAUAGAGUGCGCUUAGAAGUGGGAUGCUUAGAAAUGGACCGCCAACACAACCAGCCAACCGUAGUGUGCUUAGCAAAUCACCCAAGCCCGGCCCAAGAUCUAGAACUAUCUACAAAUUGUGAAUAAGUUAAAAGUUUCUAAGUUUCUCCACAUAGGUCCCUAGGAUAUUUAUGGAAGUUGCUAGGAAGUUUCCUCCCCUAGAACUCUAAUACCUAUAAAUAGGGGUGAGCCCCCUCAUUUGCCCACCAAUCACACCACACACACAAACACUCCUGCACACACACAAGCUCUCUAGCUUUUGUAAAAAGCACUCUUGUAUAUUCUCUCUUUGAGAGUAAUAAAAUCAUAUUCAGCCAUAUUGCUCUACUUCUCUCUACCAUUUUCCGCAAGUGUUCUUGCUUCGCUAGUUUGAGGAGUGUUCUAGGCUUGCUUUGCAACUUGUUUGCUACAAGGACAUCUUGUUCACAAAACAUGGACAUGCAAGGAAAAAAAAAUAUUGAUACAUUCUAAAAAUAAUACGCAUUCUUCUACAGUGAACCAAAAAAUUUAGGCUAAUGGUAGCAAGUGAAGGAAUUGUGAUUUCACGUGCAUUUUGUUGACAUGAACGUAAAGAAAUUUUUUAUAGUUUAUAUUGUUUAAUAUAACAUUUGAAUUGCAAAAUAGGGGUACAAAAUGGAUACACGAAGUGAUAAAACUAAGCUCAUUAUGAUAAAUAUUGAAUUAUAAGAUUUACGUUUAAUCAUAAAGACAUAAGUGGCGCACAAAGUCACGAAUUAUCAUCCAUGAUGCAAGUUCAAAUAACUACAUAAUAAGUUGCCCCAAGCUAAACUAUUAAUCUAGUAACUAUUCCAGUCAAUGUGGGAUAAUUUUCCUAUCACCAUCUAUCACGUGCAAGCCGAAUUUGUUGCUUGGUCCUUACAUGUGGUAAGGUAAUAUGAAUCCACUUGUGCAUAAAUUUGCCUCCGAUAUUAUAUAGAAGCCUAUGACCCAAAAUUAUACUUAAAGGUUAUUUCAAGAUUUGAGGGUUGCCUCAAGCUAAUAUUAUUAUUAGCCUGGUAACCUUUUUUUUUUGUUGAUAUGUGAUAUUUUCCGUAUAACUUUUAUUAAUCUUUAUGCUUAUGUUUUGUCAUUUAUCCCAAAAUAUAACAUUAACAAAAGUUCCAAAAUUUCCUUCAAGAGAUAUAUUUGAGACAAGUAAUUUGUGCAAUAACUUUGUGAAUUGAUGAGCAAAUUCAGAGAAAAGAAUAUAUGUGCCAAACGUAACGUUUAUUAUUGUGUUUAUUUGUAGAGCUAUUUAAAGCCCAAAAAAAAAAAGCACCGGUCCGCUGUGAUUUCAAAUAAGUUCAAGCCCUAUGUCAUUAUUGGUACAAAAAUGUAUCAGAAAGAUUAAAAACUAUUUUUAUUUAACUUAUAAACUUAGGAAAUUAUCAAUUGUCCGCCCUUAAAUUGCGCUAUUAUAAAAAAUAUUACAAUAUUUUCAGGUUGUAUAAUUCAUCUACCAUAAAUUUACAAUCUGCAUCAUUUAUCCACCAAAUCAUUAACUUCGUUAAAAAGUGAUAGACGUCACAAGGGUAAUUUAGACAUUUAACACAAAAAAAAAUAAAAGAGAAAUUAUCUAAGCUUACCAUGUUAUCAAAAUUGCUACAAAAUUUUAAAUUUGUUCAAUUUUCCAAUCUAAGUUUAUGACCUCCAAGAUGUUAAUUGCAGUUUGUAAUUAAUGAGUUCAUAAGGAUAAUUUAGACACUCAAUAUGCAAAAUAAAAAUAAACUAAUGGCUUAAAACAUUAAAACAAAAAACUACUUUUUAUAAUUGAUAUUCAAUUAAAUACACAUAAACUCUAUUUUUUUCUUAAUUAAAAAUAUUCUAAUUUAUUUUCUCAAUUUAUCAUCAUAAAUUUACAUUAAUAAACUAAAUCCACAAAUUACCCUAAACCCUAAUUCAUAAAUGCCCAAUCAAUCUAAUAGUUUAAUUCGAUUUCAUAAUUAAAAAAGCUAAAUUUAUUAUAUUAGUUAUGGUGCAAAGUAAACAAAUGCCCUUAAAUUCAAGGGUAAAAUAACAUUUUAUUUAAAUUCUAUAAAUUAUUCUAACAAUGUUAACAUUUUGGUGGACGGCUAAUAUAAGUUACAAACUUAAAAUAGAAAAUCAAAUAAAUUCAAAAUUUCAAACUAUUUAGGGCAAAUUUAGGAUAUAUGGUUAAUAAUUUUCCCAUGUCUUUUUACAUUGGUUGAUAUAAAUUACAAACUUAAAAUAGAAAAUCAAAUAAAUUUAUAUUUUCAAACUAUUUAGGACAAACUUAGGGUAUAUGGUUAAUAAUUUUCUUUUAUCUUUUUACGUUAAAUUGAGUUUCAAAUGUAAAAUGGUCAAUUUAUUAUAACUCUGUUAAUUUUUUAGUGGAAGCAAACGAUAUAAUGGACGAAUGAUAUAAAUUGUAAAAUUAAGGUGGAUGAAUGAUACAACUUUAAAGUAUUGUAGUAAUUUUAAUAAUAGAACAAUUUAAGGGUGGAUUGGCAAUAAUUUAAACUUUAAUGAAGCAACUAAAAAAAAUUUUAACAAAAGAAAAAUAAUUGAAAUGCUUUAAGAAAAAUAAAGGAAAAUAAAUAUCUUUAUAAAAACAUAAUUGAGUAAAAUCAUUUUACAAAAUGCUCUUUCAAAUGCACAUUCCACAAGCCAGGGAGAACGGGUGGCUAACAAAAAUCUCACUUUUUAUGAGUUGAUAAAAUCUCACUUUUGCAGAAUCCAAAAAUAACCAAUACUAAUCACACAAAAAAAUAAAAAUUAUUGCUGUCACGACAUUACACACUUUCUUCGCUGUCUAGAAAGGUAGAACAUUUUGAUGUUCCUCAAUACAAAAUGGGUGCUACUACUAAAUUGGCACGAUUAAUGCCCAUCGAAAAGGCCAUCAAUUUAGCCAGCAAUUUUGUCAAAAUUUCAACAAUUGAAGAAAUCUUGAGAUACAUACAACAAAGUCUUGAAACUUUAGUCUUCACAAUUUGAGCACGCACUAAAUAUUAACCAUCCAUCUGCAGAGCAAGUAUAGAACAAAGCUUGAACUGAACACGCUGAACACAGCUUUUUUUUUUUUGGAUUUUUAGAAUUUUUUAAAGUCAUUUAUGUUCGCUGCCAUCUUUUUCUUUGCUGGCAUCUUCAUUGGCAUCCAACCAAUAAAUUGGGCAUUAAAUACGAAUGAUGAAUAAAAUGAUUAAAAAAAAACAAACAGACCUUUCAAAAAAAAAAAAAACAGAGAAAAUUAUAAUAUAACACAUAUAUAUUGAAAGAGAAAUUUUGAUUUUAGGAUAGAUCAAUUAGCUAUCACAAACGAAAACAUGAACCAACUAUGUAUAGAGUCAAUUAACUAAAGUUCUCAAGAGUUGACCUGUGCUCCAGAAUUCUUGGAAUCAUCUAUCUCCUGAACUUGGACGAAGCUUGGGACAAUUACGAACAUCUUCAUCGGAUGCAGAUGGAAACGGGAUCUGAUAACCCGCAGGCCAAAAGUUGGUGAGGUUUGGUAAAUCUCUCAGUAUCAAGCCCCGAAGUUCAUUCAUAACAAUUUCAUUGUAAUCCGUGACGUCUGUUCCAUCUUUAUGCCAGAAUACUUCUUCUAAUUCAUCAUUACCUACUAUGUAUAGGCAAUCCAGUUUUUGAAGACUUGGAGCUACGCUGAUAUGAAAUAGAUGCUUUAGUUUGGGGCAAUAACGGACAGAGAUCCUUUUGAGUUUUGGGAAACAUACAGGUUGGAGAUGAUCCUCAUCCUCAUCAAUGAUUUGCUCUAAUUCCAAGCAAUUCGAAACAGAUAACACCUCCAAUUGCAACAGAUUUCGAGCAAGUGUUGAUGAGAAGAGACGUCUCAGCAUAGUGCACCCGUCCACUCUUAAAUAGGUAAGACUUUGCAGGCUAAAAUUAUGGGUGGGACCUUCAUGAUAUAAUAAUACUUGCAGUUCUGGAAGAUCUUCCAAUUGCAACGACUUCAAACAUGGGAAAAGUUUGUUUUCUUGUCCAUCAGCGAUAAUAGCUUCCAACUGAAAUACCACCUGUACUCCAAUUUCCCUAAUAUGCAAUUCUUCCAAAUUUUUUAAUCCGUGCUUCAACAGUGCUGGAAUCGUGUCACUCAAAUGGGAACAAUUGUCCACAUCUAGAGUAUUUAAGUUCUGAGACAAAUAAAUAAAUAACUUGAUGCAAUUAAAAUCUAUUAGCAGCUAGGAUUAUCACAUGAUAAGUGAUGAACACCGCAAAAAACAAAAACAGAAAACAAAAUCCAUACAAAAAUAUCAUAAUACAUAUGUAAACUAAUAAAAUAAUUAAAAAGUAAUGGAUUUAAAAAAAAAUGAAAUUAGUUAAAAGAGAUCAUGUGAAGUGAUAUAAAUGUGACAUUAGAUUGUUUUAGAAAAAUUAUUAUUCUAUUAAUUUAUAUGGCUUGAUCAACUAUUUUAUUGAAUUUGAAUAAUAUUAUAUACACUUCAGAAGUAUUUGCAUCAAUUCUUUCUAAACCAAAAUGAGAUAUGACUUUCAUUUGAAGAAUGAUUUUAGGCCCUAUAAUAAAGAAAUUUCUCUAAAAUAUCUUAGCAUUAUUAUUAUCACCAUCACAUCCACCACCAUCAUCAUCUCCAUAGGAUCAAAAAAUUAAUGGCUGAUCAUAAAAUUUAUUGCUAAACUAUCAUUUUGAGUAAAAUUGAAUGAAAAGAAAAAACAUGAACCCAAACAAACAUACCUCUUUGAGAUACUGUAAAUUGGCUUCAAGUUCAUUACUGUUGAUGGUCAAGUUGGGACAAUUAUGAAGGUCUAAAUUUUCCAAUGCUGUCCAAAUUGAACAAUAAUUCUCUGAACAGAACUUGGUGAGUUCUGGGAGAUCUUUAAGUUUUAAUUUUCUCAACAAAGGGAGGGCGAGCAUCGUAUUGCCAUCUCCGAAACUUAUUCCCCCUUCAUUGUGAUCAAACUUUGCUUCGACAAUAUAUUCCAGUCUCUUGCAAUAAGUCACAAUGAGACUUUUAAGCUGCUCCAAACUUCUAGCUUGUGACGACGUGAAGAUGUAUGUCAACUUGUUGCACCUAUGCACAUUCAAUUCUGUAAGAGUUUGGAGACUGAUCACAUGUUGGGCGGGCCCCUUCCAUGUCCACUUCAGUUCUGGUAAGUCCCACAUAGAUAACUCUGCUAAUCUUGAGAGACUCUUUCCAUGCGGCGACUUAGAGGCUUCCAUUAUGCAUUCUAAAUCUUCGCAAUCGCGGACAUCAAGACAAGUCAACUCAUUUAAGCCCCUUUCAUCUAUGCUUGGCACAAUAUUGUAACAACCUAUAAUCCCACUUAAAUAAAGAAUUUCCAGUUCUUGAUACAAUGCCGAAAAAAUACCGAGCGAGGUCGCUUCAGGAGGGUGGUUACCAAUCAUUAAGAUCCUUGCCUUAUCAUCAUGUUCCCUUUCAUCAUAAACUCCUUCAACUUUAUAGAUGACGUACCUUUGCAAUUUCGGGAAUGUAAAGUCUUUUGGAAGACAUACAACAGAUCUGUCGGCUUGGGAGUUCAACUCAGCAAGCCUAGCAUUACUUUCUUCUGAACUCAUCCCUUCAACCUCCCAAUCUUUUAUCCGACCAUAAAAUUCUUCCAAUUGAGGAAAUUUUUUUAUCGUAAUGGGAGAAACAGAACCAGUAUCAAUAUAUAGAAGUUUCAAUCUACCAAGUUCAUCCGACAAUUCUUCAGGAAUUUCAAUGGGAGAUGACUGGAGAUAAAGAAGUUCAAGUCUCUUCAACUUUCCAAGAAAAAACGUGUCACUCACAUCACACCGAAUCAACUGCAGAACCUGGAGGUUGGUGAGGCUCUGAAGCGAUUUAAGUGAAAGAACUCCACCUAUUAUAGUGACAACUUUCAAUGCUGGCAUCCCUUUAAAAAAAUGUUCUGGAACUUGCAAUCGGUGGUCGUAUUCAGGAUUCUCCAAUCGCAAAAUAUGAAGGUUAGGGCAUACCAAACCACUAGAAAGCUCUUAUUUUUUAUUUCCCACCAAAGAGAUUCCUCUGUAUUGUUCCAGGCCUUCUUUCAUUGCCCGUUCUGCCAAUCCAAUGCCAAAUUUACUAAAAAAUUUCUUCUCCUCUAGAACUAUUGAGCCUAUCCAUAUGGCUACAUCACGAACCAUGUCAUGCAUUUUCACAGAUCUGUCAUUACCAGUGUCUAACAGCAGUGACGCAGCUUUGAGCGCGUUAAUCGUUCCAUGCAGUCGGCUUCUGGCGUUUUCUAUUGACGGAGCACAUUGAUACCAAAUAACCCCCACUGCGUAUCCAACCAAAUCCUCCAAAUAAAUCUCAUAAUCUUCUGGAAACAGAGAACACAACAAGAAGCAUAACUUGGACUCCUCACUAUUUAAAUUGUCGUAACUGAAUUUAAGACAACCGUAAACGUCUUGGUCAUCCUUGUCAAUACCUUCUAUUGCAUAGAGUUUUGCUUCCUUUAGGUUAUUUAGUGCUAGUUUCCAUUCAUCAGAUCCUUUUUCUCUUAGUGCACUUCCAACAGCUUCAAUAGCUAAAGGCAGCCCCUUAAUUACAUUCGUCGGCAACUUGUUUUGAAACACCAUCCAAGGAGGAGUCGUUUACAUUAAUACCGGCAUUCAUUUUUAGUAGAGUCAAUCCUUCUUCUGGUGUUAUUGUACCAAGUUCAAUCUGUGGGUAACAACCGAAAGAACCACAAAUUGACUUUUUGCGAGUGGUUAGAAGGAUUUUGCAACAAUUGUCUCUAUCACCAAUGGGAAUACCUAAUUUUUUCUCCAAGUCGAGUUGUUUCCAAACAUCACCAAGGAUUAUGAGGAUUUUGCUGCUUUUACUCUCAGAAAACAUCAACCGCAAUCGAUCUGCUCUCUCUUUUUCAUCUGUCUCAUUUAACGCCCAGCCUAACGACUUUACCAGCUCACUUUGAACCUUUAUUAUAUCUGGAUCCUGAGACACAGUGACUAUCCCAACUUCAUCGAAAAUCUUUUGUUGCCGAAGUUGAUUGCCCACAAAAUUUGCCAAGGUCGUCUUCCCUACACCACCGAGACCGUGCAAUCCCACCAUCUUUGUGCUCUCUUUUUUCAGUGCUUCAGUGAUUUGAAUGCAAGCCAAAUCUGUAGCCUUGAAAGGAGAAAAAGAUCUCGGUAUAGGCAAUUCUUUGUCUGAUGGUAGAGGUUUAGGACGGGCAACUGUGCUGAAUUUGCUGCGGUCUUGUAGCAGAUCGGACAACUUGCUAGUCUUCUUUGAUGCUUUUGUACCCAGCCAGUAUCGGCAACCCCAAUUAGGACACCAUCCAUUAAGACAACUCUUCUUUUCAUCUAUCUUUGCUUUUAAAUUUCGAACGUCGGCCAUUUCUUUAUCUACAUCCUCAAGCCAUGUCUCGACAUCUUUCUCGACUACUAUAGCACGGUGUAUUUGUCGUUCUUGUUCUACUCUUUCAUUGAUGCCAUCUUUUUCCUUCUUCAAAUUGGUUUCUUUAACCUUAAGUUCUUUAUCUAUGCUGUUGAAACACAGCAGAUAACGAGCUUGGUUUAUGGUUGCAUCCACCAACAAUUCUCCAAGCCUUGAUGCAACACCUGACAAAAGUUCCAUGCUAUUUAUCUGCAAUUAAUAAAGUUGAUCUCAGUAAGCUAUAAGCAAAACAAUGAGGCUUGAUCACAAGAUCGAACGAGAAAGUUUAAUUACCUUUUUCUAUUCUGUGAAUGCACGUUUAUUGACACUAGCUUUGACCAGUAAGAGCAAAAUGCAAACGCCGAGCUUUAAGUGGCCUUUAGCUGCAAAACAAAAGAGAGGAAAUAAGGUAAUUUAUUAUUAUUAUUAUUUUUAAGGACGGAUAAAGGUUAGCUAGCUUGCAGACAAAUUUACUAAAAUCAAGACAAACCUAAGAGUUUUCCUAAUUUGUUCAAACAUGGAAUAAGCGUUUCACAACAGUAUAUCCAUAAAGGCCCCAGCGAACGUAAUAUGUGCUGGACUAUAUUGAAAUUAGAUUAUUUUAGAAAAUUUUAAAUAAAAAAUAUCAAACAACAAAGAAAUCUAAUAGAAUCUGGAUAAACAGCAUGGGAGAAUAUGGUAAAAUUGAUAAACUUGGUUCAAAAAUUACAAUUCUUUUUGAGAUUUGAACCAACGAUUUUGACUAAGGUCUCCUAAGCCACAAAGCAUAACUCUUACUACUAAAUUACGCGCAUUUUGUUACAUUUAAAUGUGGUCAUAUUCUUUUUAUUAUCUUUUUUUAGAAGGGACUCAUGGUAUACUUAAAAGAAAUAAUAAUGAUUUAGAUAGGGCUGAAGCCCACUCAUGAAAAAAUUCAAAGGUUUUCAAGAUAAUUACCGAUUUUUUUCCACCCAAUAUUCUAAUAGAAUGGUGCCAGAAUUCUCAAAUAAUAUCUUAAUAUUAUUUAACUGGUUGGCACCCACCUAUUGGAUGAUUAAUUUAAUAAUUUGUUACAUUAUUUAAUACUCCAUCUCACUAUCUAGUGAUGUAAAUGGUGGAGAAGGAUCGUCUCCUAGACUUUUUUCUCUCACUAAUCUCUUAGUGAAAUAAGUGGCCGAAAUUGAAUUUUAAUUUUUGAUAUUGACAAUUAAAUUGGCUUGUUUCACAUUAUUAACAAUUAAGCCAAUUUUUUUUUUCUCCUUUUUUCAAUUAGAUUUGGAAGGCUAUAAGAGAGUAGGAGAGAAAAAACACUAGAAGGAGAUCUUAAUCCAUAAAUAGUACCUUAUUUGGGAUGGUAAAGAUUGAGAUAAAUUUCCUCUUAGUCUCUAAAAUUUUGGCCUAUGCGCAGCCAUAAUUUUAGUAUUUUUAAAAAGAAUGGGAUUAUUUACAUUCUAAAAUCUAUUUUGAAUACUCUUUUACUCAACACACUCAUUCAAUAAAUAAAUUUUAAAAAAUAAUUUUUACUUUACACACUAUUUCGAGAGUCAAAACUAUCCUUCAUUAGGACCAUUUCAUUAACUAAUUAUUUUCUAUUGACACCCAUAAAAUAUUCAUCAUUCUUGAACCAUGUGGCGUUAAUUAAUGAUUCCGAAGCAUUAUCAAGAUUCAAGAUUUAUGUUGAAAUUCUUUCAUCUGACAUUUGAACCCAGCCACUAGCUAUAUACAUAUAUACUUUCAAAUGCAGCUCCGGGAAUAUUUUGUGACUGAUUUUAUAAAGUGUUUUAGUUACAUUAAUGCAGUGAAACAAUAAAGAGUACGUGGCUUGCUGAUUUCCAAAUCAAGUUGGGGGAAAAAACAGAGCAUUUUUCUUUUAUAAUGGAUUAGAUUAGACGAUGAAGGAAAAAUUAUUAGCGAUUAUUAGUACUUUUGUGUGUGUUAAGAGUAAUAAUAUUAUUUUAAAUUAUAUUAAUGCCUUUGGUACUGAAUUCAAUUAGGGUUAUUUUAGUAAUAUAAAUUUUCAUUAAAAUUAAAGUGUCCAAAUUAUAAUUUAGAUUUUUCAAAUGUAAAAUAAUAUUUAUUUAUUUGAUAUAAAUUAAAAUUCAAACAAAUGUAUCAUGCAACAAAUGAAAAGUAAAGAAUAUUAAUUAGGUUUUAAUAGAAACAAAUAUAAAUAGAUGUUUUGAGUAGUUAAUUUUUGUUAUUUUAUGCUAUUGGUAGUUUGUGGAUUAAAUAAUUUGUAUAAGGAUAAAUGGGGGUUUGUAUAAUUUAUACGAAGAUAAUCUCCAAAAUAAGCUUAUAUGUCGAAUUUAAAAGUGUUAUAUAAGUAGUAAUCGUAUAUGCAUCAAAAUUUUUAAUAAAAUUUAUUUAGAAAUUGGCCAAUUGAGUUUUAUGAAGAAAAUAGACGGGCAAGUAAUUUGUAGGUUGUGGUACUUCUCCAUACUUCAAAUCACUUUUAUCUAAUCAAUUGAUAAAUAUUUUUGGGCUCCAACAAAAUGAAAAGAAAAAGUUAAAAAUAAUUCUGAAAUUAAAAACGUUAGGUACUGCCUAUAAGCUAUACAAUUUUACCUUUCCUUCUAUCACAAUUAGUAUUAGAAAUAAAAAUAGUUUCGAAAUAAAUGUAAUUAGGAGGUAAUAUUAUCUCAACAAUACCUUAUAGGGAAAAAAACAUCUAUAUCCUAAAGUUUGGAGAAAUGGUCGUAAAGACCCCAGGUUUUCAGAAAGGGAUAUCAAGACCCUUUUUUGACCGUAAUACCCUUUAAAUCUAGUAAUUAAAAAAUUGACUUUAAGAUUUUUUAAUUGACAAAUUUAAUAUAAAUAAUAUAAUCUAUCUAGUAGAUUAAUAAUAUUAACAAUAAAAAUAAUAUUAAAAUUUAAAUUCUUAUAUUUAUUCUAAUAAUAUUUUUUUAUUUAUUAUAAAGAUUUUAAAUAAAUCCUUGGGUUAAAUAGGUUUUCCAGUUAACAAAAUAUACCCCUAUUAAAAAUAUUGAAAUUACUUUCUACAUAAUAUUUAAAAUAAUUACAAUUUAUUUAUUUUAAUAUUAUGUUUCUAUUUAUUAUUAAAAAUUACUUUAUUAGAGCAAAUUUUUAUUAAUUAAAGCUUUAAAAUUAAUUUUCUAAUUACUAAAUUAAAAGGGUAUUAUGGUCAAAAUGGGUCUUUCAUUUUUGAAAACUUAGGGUUUUUGCGACCAUCUCCCCAAACUUUGGAGUAUAGGUGUCCUUUUCCCGACUUCAUAUAAAGAUAUUCCAGAAGGUCUUAUAAUAACUUAUGUUAUAUGAAUUUAAUUAAAAUAUCAUUAAUACUUAAAUAAUAAUAAUUAUAGAAGACAUUGUAAUAAAUUAUUUGAUAUAUAUUAUUAAUGAUACUAUAUAUAUGUGUAUAUAACUACAUGAUGGCUUGGAUAUAUAUUGUUUAGUGGUAAUAAAUUUUUUUAAAAAAAUUUAAACUAAUGAUUUCAUGCGAUUCAAUGUUGGAUGAUUUAAAAUCAUAAAAUAUUGUUUUGACUUUCAAUAUCAACCGUUAGACUGUGAGAAAUUAAUUGCUCAAUAUUUUGUGUUAAAAUUUUAAAUUAAAAUAUCCCAAACCAUUUGUUUUACUUAAAAUACAAAAAAUAUAUAAAGAAAUUUUCUCAUUAAUUUUCAUAUUUUUAUUAGAGGUAAUAUUUUAUGUAUCGUCACCAUUAAUUGCCGUCAUUAAAGUAGUGACUCUUACUAAUAUAAAAUUUUAUAAUUAGUUAAUUGCAAUCAAAUGAUAUCAAUAAAAUAAUAUUUCAUGAUUCAUAAAUUAAAUCUAAUUAAGAAUAUAUGUUAGUUUUAACUUUUAUGAAAUCAACUAAGUGAUAUUACAAAAUAAAAUGAAAAUAAACUAGUGAAAUGAUGUGCUCAUAAUUUAUCUAUUAUUUUAAUGCUUCCAUAACUUAAUUUUAUGUUAAAUUAUAUUUUAUUAUAUUAAUUUUUAUCUUAAUUUUUAUAUUUUGUCAUUGUAGGAAUAAUGGGAAUAUUCAUGAGAAAAGAAGCUUAAAGAGGAAACAAAUUAGAGUAUAAUGAAAAUAAUGUGGAAGCAAAAGGGAAAGAAAUAAAAAGCCAAAUCAAGGCUGAUUGAAUUUAAUCAUCAUGCAUGCAACACGUGGGGGGAGCAUUAAAGAAUUAAUUUGCAAAUUGGCCAAUUAAACUUUACAAGUCACGUGGAUGGGCUUAAAAGGUGGCUAGAAUUGUUUUGUUUUAAAAAUCCCUUUCAUUUAAGGAUUCGUGGGCUGGAUUUGCAAUCCUUUUCCUUUAAGGAUUUGGAAGAAACCACAACAUUAUAAAAGAGAAGAAAGGCAGCCGCACAAGAGGGAUGGAAGCCAAGAGAAAAGAAAUAAUUGAGCAGCAACCGGAAGUCUUGAACGAAAACCGAAGAGCAGCAGCAAUAAUUUAGAGCAGAAGGAAGACACGUUAAUUCUUGAGUUUUUCUCUCUCUCUUCUCUAUUAUCUUGCUUGAAUGUUUCCAAUUAAAUUAAUGAAUUCUCUUUAUAUUCCCAUGAACUAAUUUAUUUACUAGGGCUACGAUGUAGCCUAAUUAUGAAGAUUUAAUUCCAUAAAUCUAUGUUAUUUUUUAAUUAAUUAUUCCAUGAUUGAGUGUUCAUUAUUGUGCUUAAUGCUUUUAAAUAUCUGGCCAAUAUUUGAAUGAUUCGAGGAUACAUAAUGAGACCGAGAUGAGAUUUAUGUAUUUUUGCUCUGUGUAAUGGAUGCCAUGAAUUGAACGAAAGACAUAGAUGUGCCAACGUGAUUCAUGCAGUUUUAUCUAAGAAUUUCCAUAGAACUUAAUGAAUCUUUGCAUAUUUAAAUUCACAUAGAGAUAUAGUGGGUUGAUAUGUGGAGAUAUUUUUGAUAUUACUCGAGAGAGGAUAUUGAAUAAAUUAGGGAAAUUCACUGUCAACAUGGGUAAUAAACUUUAAUAGCAUAGAUAGAGGAUUAAAUUGGAUUGGUUAUGGUGAAAUCGGAUGUCCUAGUGUUUUAAUCUCUUGGUGAUUUCUAUUACUGCCUGCGUCUUCAUUUAAUUUUUAAUUAUUUUAUUUUAUUUAACUUUAAUCUAAAUUCGCCUAAUCGAUUGUUCAAAUAAAGCAGGGUUAGAAUAAUUUCGGUAACUAAUAGGAUAUACAAUCUCUGUGGGACGAUACUCUACUCUUCAUUAUAUUACUUGUGCCGACUAGUACACUUGCUAAUUUACGCAACAAGUUUUUGAUAUAAAAUUUACACUUGCUAAAGUAGUGACUCUUACUGAUAUAAAAUUUUAUAAUUAGUUAAUUGCAAUCAAAUGAUAUCAAUAAAAUAAUAUUUCAUGAUUCAUAAAUUAAAUCUAAUUAAGAAUAUAUGUUAGUUUUAACUUUUAUGAAAUCAACUAAGUGAUAUUAGAAAAUAAAAUGAAAAUAAACUAGUGAAACUUAAAUUUUAUAAGGUUUGAAUAAUUUUCUACCACGUAAGAAUAUUAAUUGUGACAUAAACCAUAGUUUCAUGGUAUAUGUAUGCCAAAUGGGGUAACAAAUAAUAUAUACUUCAUGAUCAUGAUAGUAUAUAAAGUAGUGGAUAUUUUAAUAAAUAACAUAAAAUUCUUUAAGACAUAGGUGGUCAAUUAUAUAUUUUUUAGGAUAUAGACAAUCUCAAUCAAGAGUUUAUUGAUGUGAAUAGAUGGCAUUCACUUAAAUGUAUAUACUUAAUUGUGUUGUUUAUUGGUAUUACAUGUAACAAAAUUUUAUAUUAAAUUUUGAAGUUUUAUACUGUUGUUUCUAUUGAAUUUAUAAAUACAAUAAAAUUAUGGCCAUCAACAAUCACAACCAACUGCCACCAACAAUUACAUUCUCAUAUCUGUUGACGACAAUUUUUUAUACUAUUGGAACUCCAAUCUUUGAUGCUACACAAUAGUUAAAGUACCGACAUCAAUAGAACUUCCGUUCAUUGUAGAUCUAUAGUCAAAGUUUCGAAUCUUAAAAAAUUGACAGCAGAUUUAUGUCAAAUGAAAGCUUGUUACCAGUGAUUCUUAUACAAUUAUGUUGUUAUAGUAAUAAAGAUUCUAAUGGUACUAAAAUGCACUCCAUUAGACAUAAAGAUCCGACGACUAGUGGCGACAAUAACUAUCAUUAGUGACUUGGAGGUAAUUGCCGUUAAUAAAUUAUUUUUAACUUAAUAAUUAAUACAAACAAAUAAAAAAGUAAUUUAAGGAAAAUUAAUGUAAUAAAUAAUUGAAUUAAAAAAAUUAAAACCUAAAUUCUCGACCAUUUAUCCGUAUCUUUGGAAUCCAACGUUCAAAAUUGGAAUAAAACAUAGUAUAGCCAUUGGAAGUAAAACAAACAUUAAAGAGACUAGGAAAAAAUAUCUCAUACCUUCUAUAAUGAUACAUCCUCAAUCACUGCAGAAAGCUCCAAUUAAAAAGUCGCACAAGUUCGGAGAAAAUUACCAACUGUACCUAACAACACAAAUAAACAUCAAAUCAAAGCAACAUAGGAUCCAGCUAAUUAACAUCAUAAGUAAGUCCUUGUUCUCAGUCAAAUCUUUCGUUCUUAGGAAAAAAAAAAAAAUUGAAAGAAUAACGGUAACUGGAAAGUUUGACGACAUAAAGAUCUAGCUAAAUUUUAAGAAGCAAAAGUAAAUAAUGAAAGCUCAAUAAAAGAUCAUCAGCAUUAACAUACCGAAAUGAGAGCAGCUCACAGAACUGGUAAUUUCCAAGAACAGGAAAAAUAAGUGAGCUGAUAUUGAGGACAACUAAAGUAGUCAUGGAGUAAUUUGCUAUUGAGGACACCUAAAAUAAGAAAAUUAAUUAACAUUGCUCUAUACACCAUUUCAAUAAUUUGACUAUUAAAAAAAAAAUCUAUCUAGAUCACGAUUUCUCAAAAUGAUACUUUUUCUAAUUAAAUAAAUCAAAAUGCUUGCUUCUUUCUUUUUCAGAAAAGAAAAAGUGGCAAUGGCAUCAAUUUUUUUGCUAGAUUAUUAUCACCAAAAGCACAAGCAAGGAAUAAGAAUACUCUCUGAAACCAACCAUGUAAAGAGUAGAAGUAAGUGGUCAAUUGUAAAUUAGUCUUUCUUUUUUCUUUGUUAUUUUUUUCAUUUUUUGAAUGUGAACUAAAUAAAUUUAAGGGUGAAGCUAUUACACCUUGAAAACUAUAACUGAACACCCAUUUUUUUAAUUAAAUUUUUAUUACUAAAAUAACCAUGGAGUAAUUUGCUACUAAGGAAAACUAGAAUAAUAAAAUGAAUAAUGAUUGCUCUAUACACCCUUUUCUAAGUCUAUCUUCUUCUUAAUUUCAUAAUUUGGCUGUCAAAAAGUAAUCUAUCUAGAUCACGAUUUCUCAAAUGAUGCUUUUUCUAUCUAAAUAAAUGAAAAUGCUUGUUUCUUUCUUUCUCGAAAAGAAAAAGUGGCAAUGGCAUCAAUUUUUGCUUGCAAGCACAGCGAGGAAUCAGUAUACUCUCGGAAACUAACCAUAUUAAGAGUAGAAAUAUUUAUUUGGUUAUCACGAAGUAAGUUAGAAAUCAAUUAUAAAUGGUCUUUUUUUAUUUUUUAAUGUGAACUAUAUAAAUUUAAGGUGAGGUUAUUUACACUUUGAAAAACAUUCUGAAAACCAUUAUUUCAUUAAAUUUUUUAUUAUUAAAGGUCCGUUUGGGGCAGCUACGUUGAAGCAGCGCAGCUGCCCCAAACGCUCUCUAAAAUAGCCAUGGAGUAAUUUCUUACUGAGGAAAACUAGAAUAAUAAAAUCAAUUAUCAUUCUUCCAUGAACCCGUUUCUAGAUGUAUCUUCUUCUUGAUUUGGUAACUUGGCUGUCAAAAAGAAAUCUAUCUAGAUCACGAUUCCUCAAAAUGAUGCUUUUUCGGAUGAAAUAAAUGAAAUUGAACCUACAAUCUGUCACAAACACGUUAUAAUGAGCCUAAUGAAAAGCAGUAUGAGAAAUUUUGCUUCCAUGUUGUUUCUUCCAUAUGUAAAGGUAGUAAAAAGAAAUUUAAGUCCUAGAAACAAAUGGAUGAAGAAUUAUCAAUAAUUAAAAUUAAAAAAAGAAACAGAGUUAUAAAAGAAUCACAGUUCCACCAAAAAUUAAGAGUUAUUUUAUUUGGUGGUUUCCUAUCCCGAAAGCAUUACUUGUAAAUAUGUGCUAACAAGUAAUAAUUAAGAAAGUUAAGGCCAAUCAUUUAGAAGGGAGAAAAAUGGAAACAUCCGGAAUAUUGUUAUGUGUUUUCAGUGCGUAUCUACCAAUCAAUAAUGAAAAAUUAAAUACGCAUGUGACGAAAAUUUAAUAAAGAGAACUGGAGGUGACAAAAUUUUUAUUAUUCUAUCUUUCUCUCCUCUGAAACUUCCUUAAUUUGGUUGGGAAGUGCUUUGUCUUAGGCAGUGGAUCUGUUAUAAAUACCCUAUGCUAAAGUUAAUAUUUUGAUUGAAGAAAAAAAUAGAGGAGAAAAAUUUUAUUAAAGUAUAACAUAAUUUGAUAAAUUUAGAAUUGAGGAGAGAAAAUGAGUCUAAAUUCGAAAAUUUUGGCACUAUUUACAUAUAAUUAUUUGGGCAAAAAUUCAUUUCUCUGCUUUCAUAUGAUUUGGUCUUUCAUUGUUACGGUGCCAAUUUUUUAUUUAAAGAUGUAAGAUAGUGGUACUAUAGCUUAGAUUUUCCGUAAAUACUACAUGGUAAGUACAAAAUAAAAUACUAGUUUAAAAUAUAAAAAUGAAAAACUAUUUUUAUAACCAAUAUUCAAUUAAAUACACUUGAAACUCUAUUUUUUCUUAAUAAAAAAAUUCUAAUUUAUUUUCUCAAUUUAUCUAAACAACUUUACCUAAUCAAGCUAAAUCUACAUAUUACCCUAAACCUUAAUUCAUAAACACCCAAUCAAUCCAAUUGUUAAAUCCGAUUUCAUAAUUAAAAAAGCUAAAUUCUAUUUUAUUAUUUAUGGUGCAAAGUAAAAAAUGCCCUUGAAGUUAAGGGUAAAAUUGAUAUUUUAUUUAAAUUUUGUUAAUAUUCUAAUAAUGUUAAUGUCUUAGUGGUUAAUAAAAUCACAAAGUCAAACUUUUGUAGUAUUUUUUAUAAUAAGUUAAAGAUAUAUGUUUGAUAAUUUUCCUACGUCUUUUUACGUUAAAUUGAGUCUCAAGAGAAAAAUGAUUAAUUUGCUACAAUUCUGUCAGUUUUCUGAUGGAAGAUAAUGAUACAAUGAAUAAAUAAUACAAAUUAUUAAAUUAAUGUUGAUGAAUGAUACAACUUGAAAAUAUUGUAGUAUUCUUAAUAGUAGAGAAAUGUAAAGGUGGAUGGUUGAUAAUUUAAUGAAGUAACUACAGAAUUUUCCUUUCAAAUAUUUUUUUAAAAUAUAUAAUGAGUAAAAAUCAUUUUACAGAAUGAUCAUACGCAUUUUGUAUCACAAACGAAAACAUGAACCAACUAUGUAUAGAGUCAAUUAACUAAAGUUCUCAAGAGUUGACCUGUGCUCCUGAAUUCUUGGAAUCAUAUAUCUCCUUCUGAAUUUCCACGAAGCCUGGGACAAUUAUUAACAUAUACAAACUUGGCAGAUGGAAAUGGGAUCUGAUAACCCGUAGGCCAAAAGUUGGUGAGGUUUGGUAAAUCUGACAGUAUCAACUCCCCAAGUUCAUUCAUAACAAUUUCAUUGUACUCCGUGACGUCUGCUCCAUCUUUAUGCCAGAAUACUUCUUCUAAUUCAUCAUUACCUAUUAUCCAUAUGUACUUCAGUUUUUGAAGACUUGGAGCUACGCUGAUAUGAAAUAGAUGCUUUAGUUUGGGGCAAUAACCGACAGAGAUCCUUUUGAGUUUUGGGAAACAUACAGGUUGGAGAUGAUCCUCAUCCUCAUCCUCAUCAAUGAUUUGCUCUAAUUCGAAGCAAUUCCAAACAUAUAACGCCUCCAAUUGUAACAGAUUUCGAGCAAAUGUUGAUGAGAAGAGACGUCUCAGCAUAGUGCACCCGUCCACUGUUAAAUAGGUAAGACUUUGCAGGCCAAAAUUAUGCGUGGGACCUACGUGAUAUAAUACUUGCAGUUCUCGAAGGCUUUCCAACUGCACCUCCUUCAAACAUGGGAAUAGUUUGUUUUCUUGUCCCUCAGCGAUAAUAGCUUCCAAUUGAAAUACCACAUGUACUCCCAGUCGUCUAAUACCCAAUUCUUCCAAAUUUUUUAAGCCGUGCUUCAACAGUGCUGGAAUCGUGUCACUCAAAUGGGAACAAUUGUCCACAUAUAGAAUUUUUAAGUUCUGAGACAAAUAAAUAAAUAACUUGAUGCAAUUAAAAUUUAUUAGCAGCUAGGAUUAUCACAUGAUAAGUGAUGAACACCGCAAAAAACAAAAACAGAAAACAAAAUCCAUACAAAAAUAUCAUAAUACAUAUGUAAACUAAUAAAAUAAUUAAAAACUAAUGGAUUUAAAUAAAAAAUGAAAUUAGGUAAAAGAGAUCAUGUGAAUUGAUAUAAACGUGACAUUAGAUUGUUUUAGAAAAAUUAUUAUUCUAUUAAUUUAUAUGGCUUGAUCAACUAUUUAAUUGAAUUUGAAUAAUAUUAUAUACACUUCAGAAGUAUUUGCAUCAAUUCUUUCUAAACCAAAAUGAGAUGUGAUUUUCAUUUGAAGAAUGAUUUUAGGUCUUAUAAUAAAGAAAUUUCUCCAAAAUAUCUGAGCAUUAUUAUUAUCACCACCACAUCCACCACCAUCAUCAUCUCCAUAGGAUCAAAAGUUUAAUGGCUGAUCAUAAAAUUUAUUGCUAAACUAUCAUUUUGAGUAAAAUUGAAUGAAAAGAAAAAACAUGAACCCAAACAAACAUACCUCUUUGAGAUACUGCAAAUUGGCUUCAAGUUCAUUACUGUUGAUGGUCAAGUUGGGACAGUUAUGAAGGUCUAAAUUUUCCAAUGCUGUCCAAAUUGAACAAUAAUUCUCUGAACAGAACUUGGUGAGUUCUGGGAGAUCUUUAAGUUUUAAUUUUCUCAACAAAGGGAGGGCGAGCAUCGUAUUUCCAUCUCCGACACUUAUUCCCCCUUCAUUGUGAUCAAACUUUGCUUCGACAAUAUAUUCCAGUCUCUCGCAAUAAGUCACAAUGAGACUUUUAAGCUGCUCCAAACUUCUAGCUUGUGACAACGUGAAGAUGUAUGUCAACUUGUUGCACAUAUGCACAUUCAAUUCUGUAAGAGUUUGGAGACUGAUCGCAUGUUGGGCGGGCGCCUUCCAUAUCCACUUCAGUUCUGGUAAUUGCAACAUAAAUAACUCUGCUAAUCUUGCGAGACUCUUCCCAUGCGGCGACUUAGAGGCAUCCAUUAUGCAUUCUAAAUCUUUGCAAUCGCGGACAUCAAGACAAGUCAACUCAUUUAAGCCCCUUUCAUCUAUGCUUGGCACAAUAUUGUAACAACCUAUAAUCCCACUCAAAUAAAGAAUUUCCAGUUCUUGAUACAAUGCCGAAAAAAUAACGAGCGAGGUCGCUUCAGGAGGGUAAUUAUUAAUUAUUAAGCUCUUUCUCUGACUAACAUAUUUCAUUUUAUCAACAACUCCUUCAACUUUAUAGAUGAUGUACCUUUGCAAUUUCGGGAAUGUAAAGUCUUUUGGAAGACAUACAACAGAUCCGUCGGCUUGGGAGUUCAACUCAGCAAGCCUAGCAUUACUUUCUUCUGAACUCAUCCCUUCAACCUCCCAAUUUUUUAUCCAACCAUAAAAUUCUUCCAAUUGAGGAAAUUUUUUUAUCGUAAUGGGAGAAACAGAACCGGUAUCAAUAAAUAGAAGUUUCAAUCUACGAAGUUCAUCCGACAAUUCUUCAGGAAUUUCAAUGGGAGAAUCCUCGGGAUAAAGAAGUUCAAGUCUCUUCAACUUUCCAAGAAAAGAUGCGUCACUCACAUCACAUCCAAUCAGCUGCAGAACUCGGAGGCUGCUGGCGAGGAAUCGAAGCGAUUUUAGUGAAAGGACUCCAUCUUUUAUAGUAACAACUUUCAAUGCUGGCAUCCCUUCAAAAAAAUGUUCUGGAACUUGAAAUUUGUAGUCACAUAGAGUAUUGUCCAAUCGCAAAAUAUGAAGGUUAGGGCAUACCAAACCACUAGGAAGCUCUUCUUCUUUAUUUCCCAUUACAAAGAUUCCUCUGUAUUGUUCCAGGCCUUCUUCCAUUGCCCAUUCUGCCAAUCCAAUGCCAACUUUACCAAAAAAUUUCUUCUCCACUAGUACUUCUGACCCUAUCCAUAUGGCUACAUCACGAACUAUGUCAUGCAUUUUCACAGAUCUGUCACUACCAGUGUCUAACAGCAGUGAAGCAGCUUUGAGUCCUUCAAUUGUUCCACGCAGUAGGCUUCUGGCGUGCUCUAUUGAUUCAGCUUGAUACCAGGUCAACCCCACUACAUAUCGAACCAAAACCUCCAAAUUAAUCUCAUAAUCUUCUGGAAACAGUGAACACAACAAGAAGCAUAACUUGGAAUUGUCAUCAUUCAAAUUGUCGUAACUAAAUUUGAGACAACCGUAAACGUCUAGGUUCUCCUCAUCAAUACCUUCUAUUGCAUAGAGUUUUGCAGCCUUUAGGUUAUGUAGAGCCAGGUUCCAUUCAUUAAAUCUUUUUCCUCUUAGUGCACUUCCAACAGCUUCAAUAGCUAAAGGCAGCCCCUUACAUUCUCCAGCAACUUCUUUGGAAACAUCAUUCAACGUGGAGUCAUUUACAUCAAUGCCGGCAUUUUGUCGCAGUAAAGCCAAUCCUUCUUCUGGCGUUAGUGUACUAAGUGGAAUCUGUGUGUCACAACCCAAAGAAUCAAAAACUGACUUUUUGCGAGUGGUUAGAAGGAUUUUGCAACAAUUAUCUCUACCACCGACGGGAAUACCUAAUUUUUUCUCCGAGUCGAGUUGUUUCCAAAUAUCAUCAAGGAUUACGAGGAUUUUGCUGCUUUUACUCUCAGAAAACAUCAAGCGCAAUCGGUCUGCUCUCUCUUUUUCAUCUUUCUCAUUUAGUGCCCAGCCUAACGACUUUGCCAGCUCACCUUGAACCUUUAUUAUAUCUGGAUCCUGAGACACAGUGGCUAUCCCCACCUUAUCGAAAAUCUUUUGUUGCCGAAGUUGAUUGCCCACAGAUUUUGCCAAGGUCGUCUUUCCUACACCGCCGAGACCAUGCAAUCCCACCAUCUUUGUGCUGUCUUUUUUCAGUGCUUCAGUGAUCUGAUUACAAGCCGAUUCUGUAGUCUCGAAAGAAGAAAAAAAUCUUGGAAUAGGCAUUUCUGUGUCUGAUGGUAGAGGUUUAGGAAGGGCAACUGUGCUGAAUUUGCCGCGGUCUUGUAGAUCGGACGACUUGAGAGUCUCCUUUGAUGCUUUUCUACCCAUCCAAUAUCGGAAACCCCAAUUAGGACACCAUCCAUUAAAACAACUCUUCUUUUCAUCUAUCUCUGCUUUCAAAUUUCGGACAUCGGCCAUUUCUUCGACUACAUCCGCCAGCCACUUCUCUACAUCUUUCUCAACUACUACAGCGCAAUGUUUUUGUCGUUCUUCUUCUACUUUUUUGUUGAUGCCAUCUUGUGCCUCCUUCAAAUUAGUUUCUUUAUCCUCAAGUUCUUUAACAAUGCUGUUGAAACAGAACAGAUAGCGAGCUUGUUUUACGGUAGCAUCCACCAAUAAUUCUACAAGCUUUGAUCCAAUACCUGAUAAAAUUUCCAUGCUAUUUAUCUGCAAUUGACAAAGUUGAUCUCAGUACACUAUAAGCAAAACAACAAGGCUUGAUCACAAGAUCGAACGAUAAUGUUUAAUUACUUUUUUAUUGAAUGUUUAAUUACUUUCUUUUAUUCUAUGAAUGCACGUUUAUUAACGCCAGCUUUGAUCAAUAAGAGCAAAAUGCAAACGCCAGGCUUCAAGUAGCCUUUAGCUGCAAACAAAAGAGAAGAAAUAAGGCAAACGUGAUAGAUGGUGGAUUAUAUUGAAAUUAGAUUACUUUAGAAAUUUUUAAAUAAAAAUAUCAAACAACAAAUUUAAUAAUAGAAUCUAGAUAAAUCGAAGAGUUUGUUAUGCAUUGCGAGUGAAGACAGGCAGUUACAUGGGGGAAUCUUGUAAGAGUGAUGAAAAUUAAAAAGCCAUCCAUAAUUGAAGUUAAAAAGAGUAUUAGAGAUUAGAGGGGUUCAACAUCUUAUGCAAGCUCACUCAUGAUAAAAUUUGAAGAUAAUUAUCCCAUUUUUACUUCAAUCAAUAUUCUAAUACAAUAAUUCCAUAAAUCUCAAAUAGUAUCUUAAGAUUUUUUUUUUUCCUCAAAAUUACCAUUAAAAGUAAAACAAACAUGAAGCUAAGAGCCUAUGAAACAAUAAUAUCUCAUACCUUCUUUCUCAUAGAUCCUCAAUUACCCCUGAAAGCUCCGGUUAGAGAGUCGCACAAGCUCGGAGAAAAUUAAAAGCUGCAUCCAGCAAUAUAAAUAAACAUCAGAUCAAAACAACAAAGCAUAUAUCUAGCUAACUAAACAUCAUCUAUAACUCCUCGUUCUCAGUCAAAUCUUUCAUUCUUAGGAGAUAAAAAAAAGAUUGAAAUAAUAACUGUAACUGAUAUAGGAAGCAAAAGUAACAUACCAAAACGAGAGCGGCUAGCUCACAGAUCUGGUGACUUCCAAGAGCAUGAAAAAUGAUUGAGGUUUAAUAGCAAGUUCACAGAUGACAGAUGUGGUGACUUCAAGAGCAUGAAAAAUGAUAAAACUUUGGUAGAAAGGUCUGAGCCGUGUUUCACAAGUUGCUAUUGACUUCGUGGCUUCGCUUUUAUUUAUUAUUAUUAUUAUUUUUUUAAAUUCUAUAUCAGUGAGAAUUGAAAUGUGGAAAGUGAAAUGAUACACAUGCCUUAUCAUCUAUCAUGAGGGGUGAUUUGGUAAAACCGAUUUAAAAUAAAAAAAAGUUUAAAAAGAUGCUUUGUGUCUGACUGCUUGUAUUUGGGGUAUUUUUCGGGUUGUUGAGAGUGAGUUUAAUUAAAUAUAAGAUUUUCAUUUUUCUUAUUCUAUUUUUCUCUUUAGAAUGAAUUUAAAUCUCAUUCUUAUUAAAUCCAUUUUUUUAAAUGAAAGUAGAUUUCUCUCCACACAUUUGAGAUAUAUUUUAAAAUUAAUGUUCAGUAUAUCUCUAAAUUAUAUUAUAAAUAUUUUUAUUUAAAAUCUCAACAGAUUUCAUAACGUACAAAGAGAAAUACAUAUAUAUGUUGUAAUGUUUUAAUGAUGGAUCUCCAAAGUUAUCAAGUUAAAAAAUAAAUUAAAAAAUAAAAAAUACACACUUCAACUUAUUAUAUGAUAAAAUAUAAUAAAUUAAAGUGAGUAUUAUAUUUAUUUUUUAUUUUAUCUCUUAACUUAAUAACCUAAAAUAUAUUUAUUUAAUAAUGAUUAUAUAUAUAUCUAUAUAAUUUUUUUAAAAAAUAAACAAUUUAAGUGAAGCAAAGGACAUUUUAGAGGCAUUGCGAGACUACCAAUUUACCAUUUUGGGUUGCAAUAAAGUGAAAACUGUAGACUACCAAUCUACCAUUUUAUUGAAUCGGGUCCCGCUGACUUGGAGCUUAUGUAAAGUUACAUUCAUAACAAAUUGAUACUUGUCUUUAUUAUAAAUUAUUCUUUUAUUCAAAUAUACGUUCAUUUCUUCAAUCAAGUCCUCAUAUUUGUUCAAUUUAUGAUAAGAUCCUUGUAUGGGAGCAUAUCUGCAAAUGUAAUAAUUAUUCUUCUAUUUCAGAUAGUUUUUGUGAAAAAAUACUUUUAUCAAUUAUUUAUGUUUACUAAUUCUUAUGUCUUUUUUUAUUACUUUCCAUAGCUCUAUACAAAUGUUUGCUAUAGAAUUUGUGUUAUUUCGCUAUAAUAUAAUUUAUAUUGUAAACCUCUGUUCAUCUGUAAAUAAAAUGACAAUUUUUUUGUUUACUCCUAAAAAAUAUGAAAAUAUUAAUUUACUCUCAUAUUUAUUUAGAAGACAAUGGCAAAUAAGGUCGCAUUGAUAAUUUUUUUUAUUUACUUAUUAAUUAAUUAGAGUAAAUUAAUAUUUUCAUAAUGAGAGAUACAUUGAAGAUUGUCAUUCUUAGUAGAGGGUAAAUUAAAGUUUAUCUAAUUAAUUUAAAAUAUCAUUAAAAUUUAACAUUCUAAUCUGGAUUAGAUUUCUGGGGGGGAGGGAGGGGAACGUCCUUAUUCGGAUUAGACUCAGCUGGAAGAGGCACAUCCUUAGCUGGAUCAAUUUGUUCAAGAUUGGAUGCAUCCAUCGGUUUCAAAUUUGUCUCUUGUAAGCAUCAUCGGAUUUCUUUACUAAAAUUUAGAUUAUCAAUCACAUCUAAAACUUAUUGAAUGAUACAUUUCAUUUCUAUAAAAUUGAGUUACUAUUACCACCUCACAUCUUAUAAAUUCUAGAAAAUAAUCAAGGCUUGACAUACUUUUAUUUAUGCAAAAGCAUAAGAAAAUAAUUCAAAGUACUAAUUAGUGCAGUAUUACUCAAAAUUCUAGAAUAGAUUUGCUAGUUCUCUUUAGCCAUAGAUUGGUCCAUGAUUGGCACCGCAAUAGCUCAGAAUCACCUCAACGAUUGUUCCACACAGCCCAACAUGACACACUGUAAACUAGUCUAACAUGAACUUUCUGAGUGGCUUUCUAACAAUAGUCUUAGAGAAAGUGUUUAGUAGUAUGAAGUCUUCUUUUUUUAACAUAAAUGUUGGCAUGAUAUUCUUAAUAUAUUUCUAAAAUCAAAAUAAGAUGCAUAGAGGACGAUGAUAAUUUUAUUUCAUAAUUGAAUUUUUUGCAAAGAAAGUUUGAACAUGAGAGUGAUGAGAGAUGAGAAUAUUGAUGAUGGUGUGUACUUUAGAUGUAAAAAUAGAUUGGAAAUAUAUAUAGACAUAUUAAAAGAAAAAAAUUUGGUCUAUUUCAUAAGAGAAACAAAAAAUUAUAAACGCGGGUGUUAAAAUAUAUUCAGAAUUUAUAAAUUUUUAUAAAUAUGAUAAUCAUUAGACCCUUAUAAAAGUAUAGCAAAAAGUUUAAAUUUUUUUAAUAAAUAUCGAAGAGAUGGACGAAGAAACCAUCCACCAGUUCAGAAUUAAUAAUCAAAGAUAUGAUGACUUGAUUGAAGAAAUGGUGAAAAAUAAAAGGACAGUAGGACACUGGGUUGGUUGGCAGGACCCUAAUAUUAAUGGUUAAAAAUAAAAGGACACUGGGUUGGUAUCAAUUUCUACCGUGUAGGUUCAUAGCCGGGGAAGUAAUUGGGCACAAAUAUCUCGGAUGAGAAAUAACCAUUUUAUCCCGCAACCAUAUGUUUAUGGCCUCUAAAAAUUUUCACCUCUUUCACUUCUGGAACCCGUGGUUUCUGGCACAUGCACAAUACUUGGUUGCUACUUAUAGAGCGUUUUUAGAAUUGCAAUAUAAUCUACAGCUGGUUGUUGACAUUACACUGCGGGUGUGUAAUUAUUACAUAUGCAGAUAUUCUCCCAUGCGAGGAUCUUAUCAUAAAUUUAAAGGAUACGAGGACUUGAUUGAAGAAAUGAACGAAUAUUUGAAUAAAAAAAAAUUUUAAAAUAAAGACAAGUAUUAAUUUACUAUGAAUGCAACUUACAUAAGUUAGCGGGACAAUAUUGAAUCACACGCAAAAAACAAUCUGUCUUCUUCUUGAUUUCGUAAUUUAGCUGUCAAAAUAUAAUCUAUAAAGAUUACGAUACCUCGAUUCAAAAAAUGAUGUAUCUGAUGAAAUAAAUGAAAAUUGAACGUACAAUCUACCACGAACACUAUUCAAUUAACCGUUUAUUUCCCCUUAAAUUUUUAAUUUCAAUGAAACAUAGAUCUAAUGGGAACUACAUAUAUAUAAAAAUACUAUAGAUUGAAGAAGUUGAAUUUUUCUUGUGUGUUAAGUAUUUUUAGUUAAUACAAAAGGAUUCUAGCAAGUUAAUACAAAAGUAUCAUAAAUUCAUAGUAGUACAAGAGAUUUUUUUUUUUCUUUGAUGUUAAGAGUUUUGGAGAUAAAAAAAAAUAUAUAUAGGUGAAAGAAGAAGAUGAGAGAAGAGAAAAUAUUAAGAAUAGUUUUGGAAUUUUGAUGCGUUUUAUAGAGUAAAAUCUAUAUUUUAUAGUAUAAAAUGAUAUACCCAAAAUUUAAUGAUAAAAUUUUAAGAAAAAAUUGCACUCGUCAAAAAAAAAAAAAGCUCAGCUUAGCCCAAAAUUUUUUUAUUAAUCAUCUAGUCACUAAUGUAAUCUCUUUUUUAUGAGAUUCUUGAGCAUUUUAAUUUAGUCCAUUGUUAGCUAUCCUAAUAGCUUUUAUGUGCAUCUAUUUUUAUUUGAAAUAUGUUUCAAGCUUGAAUAAAAUCUGCGGGACAACUGGUAAGUAAUAAAGCUCAUUAAUUUUUUAUUUUGAAAAUAAAGGGAAUCACUUACACUUAGCAUGAUAUUAUUUUUGAUAAGUCAUUUUUUUGGUAGAUUAUUUUUUCUGACACGCUCUUAGAUUUAGUGAAAAUAAAUUGUAUACUUUAAACGAAGAAAAGUAAAGAUCAACCAAAUAUUUUGUUCUUUCCGACAACUUUUGCGUUCUCAAGUGCGCCUGAUACCCUUUUUUUUUUAACAUGAGCCCACGUGCCAUUGUUUCCAUUUCAAGUUCAUAAUUUAACAGUAGAAAUGGGUUCCACAGAUACUUUAUUUUAUAAUUUUUUAAAAAAUUACCAAAAUAUAAUAAAUAAGGUAAUAAUAAUUAAUAAAAAAGUAGAUUUUAAGAUGGAAAAAUCUUUUUGUGUGCUUAAUAAAAAGAUGAUAAGAAUGGGAUGCUUUUAGUUAAUUGGUUUACAUUCUCAUGGUUAUUUAUACUGAAAAAUUACAUCAAAAUUUAAUUAAUAAAUCAGUGAACUGCAGACUUAUUAAAUUUAAGCUAUUUUAAUAAGUCAUAAAUAUACUAAGUUAAAAUAGUAGUAAACCCAUUGUUACACAAUACUCUCCAUUGAGUGUUCACCAUUUUAAGAUAAUCAUAAAAUGACACCGGAAGUGCUAUUAUAGCUGUCUCAUGGAAAGCCUUCACCAAUAAAAAGGAGGAUAGAGCACAUACAUCCAGUUUUUAUACCCUUUGAUGCUCAGUCGACACGUGCCAAUGCUAUAGACUAUCGGAUAAUCUACUAAGGUGACGCAUGCCAAUGCUAUAGACUAGCUUUUCAAAGGUUGAACUGGGAAUACUUUUAGUAAAAAGACCUGCAAAAUCAUAGUGUACCUAUUUGACAUCAACUUUUUUUAUCUGCUGGAGCUUAUGAUUAUAGAAGAUCUUCGGUAAGAUGUGUUUGAUAUUAGAAAAUCUCCUUUUAUAUAUCCUCUUCUAACUUGUGUAAUAGUAGUAAACCCCUGCCCCUCUUUAUUUCGUUUAGUAUUUUCUAAAUGGCCGAAGGAAAAUUGGUAAAAACUCAUUUAAAAAUUAAAAAAUCAAAGAAACUCAAGAAGAAGCUUUUGUAUCUGCCAUUUGUAUUUGGGGUAUUUUUUUGGUUGUUAAGUGAAUAAGCUUAAAUCUAAAACAUUUAUUUAUAUAUUUCUUGUUGGAAAGAAUUUAAAUUUUAUUCUUAUUAGACUUAUUCUCUCUAAACAAAGGUAGAUUUUUCUCUAUGUGUUUAACGUGUAUUUUAAAAUUAAUGUUCAACAUAUCUUUAGAUUCUAUUAUAAAUAUUCAUAUCUAAAAUCUCAACAGAUUUCAUAAUAUAUAAAUAUAUAUAAAGAGAGAGAAUAACGUUUAUAAUAAGAAAUUUAUUAAGUUAAAGAAUAAUUCAAAAGAUAAAAUAACACACUCUAAUAUAUUAUAUAAUAAAAUAUACUAUAUUAAAAUAUAUAUUUUGUUUACUUUUUUUAAUAUAUCUCUUAAUAACUUAAGAAAUCCUUUGUUUAACACACACUCUCUCUCUCUAUAUAUAUAUAUAGAGAGAGAGAAAUGUUCGCGGAAAACCUUUAAAACCACAUGAUUUUAAAUAUUUAAACUUUAAGAACCGAUGAACAAUUUUUGACAAAGACGUUGCGACCUAAGUAGGGAUAGCAACUAAAUUCGGAUCCAACUCCGCAUGUAAGGAUCCGAAAGAUCCAGAUCCAGAAAAUUUUUAUCUGAAUAUUAAAAAAUGUUGAUCCGAAUAUAGAAAUUUGGGAUCUGCACGGAUUGGGAUGGAAGUACAUUCGGAAAAUUGGAUAUCGAGAUCUGGAUAAAUUUUGUUUCAAAUUAAAAAUUAAAUUAAAAAUUAAAUGAAAAAUUAAAAAAGUAAAUUUUAUUUGUGGAUUUAUGAUGUUGUUGUAUAUUAUUCAUGUUGAAUUAUUAAUUGUUGGAUUAUGAUUGAAUUUUGUUUGAAAUUAUUGGGUAAAUUUUUUAAUUUUAUUUUAAAUUAAAAAUAUUUAUUAAAAUUAAAUAAAAAUAAAACAUUAAAUUUUAUUUGUAAAUUUAUGAGAUUAUUGUAUGUUAUUCAUUUUGAAUUAUGAUUAAAUUUUAUUUGAUAUUAUUAGGUAAAUUAUUAAACUUUCAAAUUAUAUAUUAAAUUAUUUAAUUUUAAUUUUUUGCGGAUCCGAAUAUCUAGAAUAUCUGUCCGCAUCCGGAUCUACAUAUUUUUUUAUGAAUCCAGAUAUAAGAAUAUGAAUGCGGAUCCAAAUUCGGAUUUUGCCAACCCUAGACCUAAAAUGUUGUGACUUGUCUGUUCUACUUCAAUAUUAAGCACAAAUUCUCUGUCAACAUGUCUGUUCUACUUCAAUAUUAAGCACAUUCAUAGCGGUAUCAAAAUGUUGUGACUUGUGACUACCCAAAAUCCCCAGAAAGAGUGAGAGAUUUCACUGAAGCUAAGUUGUGACUUGUGACUACCCAAAUGUUCUAUAACACGAUAUGAUUAUUCUAGUAACACAAAUCCAAUAGCAUGCAACAUAAUCUACUCUCUAACAUUGUGCAUUAGUAAAAUAAAACAGAGUAAAAAGAGAAACCAUGCCUGUGAAUCUCUUCUUUUCCCCCUGCCACCCCUUUUUUCGGUGAAGUCCAUCAAAUGAAAAUGCAGCAUGACCACGUUGGCCACUGCCACUGCCAUUGCUUCUUCAACUGUGCCUUUUGUUGCAUGAAAUAUUCAAUUGAAAGAUGGUUUAUAUAAUUCAAGAUUCCAAUAGACCUGAGCUGCAAAGGUUGCCUUCCACUAGCCUAUCAGAGAAUAUGCUUUCUAUUUUCCUAGUUUUUUAAUCAAAAUUUUGCAAGAUUUAUUUAUGGAAUACUUGAACAAAAUUUUAUGUAAGAUACCAUAAAGCCAAAUGCAAUCUUUUUAAUCCUCAGCAGCAACAUUUAAAGUAAAAAAAUGGAAGCCAUAUAAAUAUAACUAUGUUUGGUACAAGCAACAAUUAUUUCAAGCUUUCAGAAAUGCUAGCAAGAGAUUGUAAGAGAACUUUACCUAGUCACAGAAUAUGUCAAACAUACUACCACCAACUGUCUUCAGCACGAUUGUUAUGAAGUCGCUUUUGAAUCGGAAGAUUCCAGCUUCCACCAGGCACCAUUAUUUUCAUUCUUGAUACUAUCUGCAUCACUGGCAUUAGUUAUAUCAUCAACUUUUGCAUCCUCACUCUCAUCAUCCCAAUCAAGGCUUCUUCUCCAGCUCUGGAUUAUAAGUCCACUCCGACAUCUUCAAACAUCUCGGUCCUUCCAUUUGCCAACAACCGAUAUGGCUUCCUUCCUUGCCUUCCCCAUUAAUAUAUCACUCGAAGGAAAAAUAGCCCCCACAAAAAGGGUCUUCAGACACCGCAACUUUGCCUUCUGCAAAACCUCCACAAAAUCUGAAUUAUCCAACACAACAGCCAGACACUCAAUCCUUCUUUUGUCCAUCUUAUCCACCGUAUGAUUCCUCAACAAAAUAUCUACAGCUUGUGGCUUAUCUAACACUGUCUUGAUCCAAAACCCCGCUCUUUUCAACUCAUCUGCCAAACCAUAACCCACUUUUGGAGUCAAAAUUGUCCUUGCAGCCCUUUUAUAUUUUUCCAUCUCCAUCGAAUACUUGCCACUCAAAUGGAAUUACCAGACAGGAAUCCCAGUAACAAGUCCACUCAACUUCUUCUCAUCUGAUCCCUCUUUCACUCUGGCGGAAACAUUAAUAACCAUUCACCAGCCACAAAUUACCCAAGUAAGUACUCGUGUCGUCAACACUUACCCUUCACUUCAUCGACGCAAACAAGAAUUCAAAUUGCUUAUUAGCUAGUGCUCGAGCGAAAGCCAAAAUAAAUUAAAUAUGUGUGUGUGUGUGUGUUAAAAGAGAAACGGUAGCGAAGUUAUUAUACAAUCAAGCAAACAAAAAUAAAUUCUACCCUCAUGUGGGUGUUUCGCUCGCAAAAUCUGGACAAGAAAAAAUAAUAUUGAUACAAUCUCCAAAUAAAGAGCAUUCCUCUUGGUAAAAUAGACAAAUCCUAUAAAUUUUGAUUAAUGGUGCCAAAUGAAAGAGUUGUAAUUUCAUGUACAUUUUGUUAACAUGAAUAAGGGUACAAAAUAGAUAACAAAGUGACAAAAACAAGGCUAAUCACAAUGGAUGAUAAGGUUUAGAGUAAACAUAAAGUUAUAAUCUUGAACAUAAGUGGCGCUCAAAGCCAUGAAUUUGAUAUCAUCAACAAGGGGAGUUCAAACAACGGCAUGUAAGAAGCAACAACUGUUGAGAAAAAAAAAAUUCAUAGUAACACGAGAAUAAAUUGUAAAGAAAUCCCAGUUUGUAUAAAAGAAAGAAAACAAAAUUAAGGAAAACAUAAACACAACAAAAUUUGACUGAUUAUUAAAAAUGAGAAAUGAGUUAUAAUGAGAAUUUUGGCUUUGUGGUGAAAUAAAUUGGGAAGUAUCCAAAAUUCGCAUGUAAAUAAUAUAAAUGAUAAGAAGACGAAGGGAACAAAAUGAUAAUAAGCAAGCCAAAUAUUAAAAUGUAUUACACCUCCUAAAGUCAUGUUAAGAUAGUUAGUGAGCUGAUAAAGUUUGUUGCACGUUUGAGUUGGUUUUUUUUCUUUUUAAAAGAAAGUAACCAACCCUUUCAUUAAUCACAAGAACUUGAGUACAUCGUAUAAUUCAGUUAGAAUAUUUUCCAGCCACAUAAAGGGAGAGUUUUUCUCCAAAACUAUCUUAUUUAAGUAAUGGGCACAUGCAUUACAAUGUCUUAGAAUGUGAUUGACAACAACUUUUUGGAAGUUUUUCAUCUGGUUUUGGAUUGCCAGAAUUGUCCAAAAAAAUUUUGAUCUGUUGCCCUUGGUGUUGUUCACUAGCUGGACCACCUCUAAGCAAUCUGACUCAAUGAUCAAAGAGGUUACAUCCGCACUUCUUGCCAGCUGAAGGCCCCAAAGCACAGCCUCUACUUCAGCCAAGCUUACUGACCCCUUUAGGAGGUUCUGAUUAAUCCCAGCUGCAACUAUCUUACCAUUAGAGUCUCUAAUCACAGCUCACACUCCUUCACUCAGAUUCUUUGAAUUAAUAGCAGCAUCCACGUUAACUUUGAAAACAUUCUCAGGGAGGAGCCACUCCUGAUGCUUCUCUUUUCUGUGGAGAGAGAUAUGAGCUUGCUCGGGCUUCUUAACUCUCUGAAAUGCUAUCAACACAGAUUCCACUUUAGCAGCUGAGAUAAUAGGAUUAAUCUCCCUGCCAUCGAAAAUACAUUUGUUCCUAGCCUACCAAGCAGACCAACACAGAGCUACCAUUAAUUCCAAAUCUGUUUUCCUCAGCUCCUUAGCCAUUCUUUGAAGAGUGCUGAAGAUGUCCUAAGAAUUAGCUUCUAAGUUAUGGGCUGUAAAAGGGGACUGGAGCCAAAUCUUUCUCGCAACCUUGCACUCCAAGAGGGCAUGGCUGAUAGUCUCUACACUUAUUUUGCAUCGCUUACAAGUUGGCUCCUCCACUAACUUCCUUUUCCACAAAUUUUCCACCGAUGGAAGCAGAUUAUUUGAGACCCUCCACAUGAAGAUUUUAAGCUUCUCAGGUAGCUCCAGUGACCAAAGGGCACUCCAGUACUGGUUGGAAGCCUCUGAGCAGCUGGUAGAAUCUGAAAAUUUCGUUCUCAAUGCUAGUUGGUACCCACUCUUGACAGAGUGGUUCCCUCUUUUGCCGUAAUGCCAAAGCACUUCAUCUUCCGUUUGCUCAGCUGGGAGGGAAAUCUUGAGGAUCUCUGCUGUGUCUGCAUCCAUGAAGUGCUGUCGUGGCUUGAUUUCAUCCUAUUGGUUGUUAGCCUUAAUUAAGUCUACAACAACUGAGUUUACAGGCAAUGAUGGAAAAUAGAUCUGAAGGUCUCUGGUCUUGGCAGCCAAUUGUACGAGAAAAUUGCUAUCUUCUUGCCAUUACCUAUAUGCCACUCAGGCCCUUCUUAAUCACUUGCCUACCUCAAAGGAUGCUUCUCCAAAUAUACGAGGCAUUGGCUCCUGCUUCUGCACAUAAAAAGCUGGAUUUCCUGUAAUAUCUUGCUUGAAGGACUCUUGAGACUAGGGAAUUUAGGUACUGCAAUAACCUCCAUGCUUGCUUAGCUACCAAUGCUUGAUUGAAACAAGUAAACUCUCGAAAUCCCAGCCCCCUCUAAUCUUUGCUUGGCUAAGCUUCUCCCAUUUCCGCCAAUGGAUUCCGCGCUUAUCCCCUUUCGAGCCCCACUAGAACUUCACUAUAGCUCAUUGAAUAUCAUCACAAAGGCCUUUUGGGAGCUUGAAAACACUCAUUGCAUACACUGGAAUUGCUUGGGCUGCCGCUUUGAUCAGAAUUUCCUUCCCCCCACUAGACAACAUUUUAUGCUGCCAUCCUGCAAUCUUGUUCAACACUUUCAGUUUGAUGUCAUUAAAGAACCCCAUCUUCUUCCUCCCAAUCAUUGAUAGAAGACCGAGGUAUUUCUUGUGCUUUGAGACCACAUUUAGAUUAAAGAUACCCCUUAUAGCAGCCCUUUGAUGCUCUAGAAUUUUGCCACUGAAGAACAAUGAGGAUUUCUGAAAAUUAAAGAUCUGUCUUGAUGUUGCAGCGUAUUUAUCAAAAAUCUCUUUUAAAUGAAUGCAUUCAGCCACUGAUGCACGAGAGAAGACCAAGCUGUCGUCCGCAAACAACAAGUGAGUAAUUGAAACUUCCCGUACAAAUUUGAGGCCUCGGAUUAGCUGGUUUUGUUAUGCCAAUAUCAACAAAUUGGAGAGAGCCUCUGCACAAAGAAUAACAAGGUACGGGGAUAGUGGGCAGGCCUAUCGCAAGCCUCUUUCCAGCUGGAUCAUUCCUUUUGGCACACCAUUAAUAAGCACCGAGAAUGAAACGGAAGUAACACAUCUCAUUAUCAAAGCUACCCAAUUACUAGGAAACCCCAACUUUAUCAUAGUUUGUUCUAAAAAGGGCCACUCAACUCUAUCAUAAGCCUUACUUAUGUCCAAUUUUAAAGCCAUAAGUUCGUUCUUCUUCCCUUUGCUAUGUCUUAUUUUAUGAAUGCAUUCAUAACCAAUAAUGACAUUAUCGGUAAUGAGCCUAUUAGGGAUGAAUGCACUUUACAUUGGGGAGAUGAUUUGGGAAAGGAUCGGCUUCAUUCUAUUUGCAAUGGCCUUAGCUACAACUAUAUAAAUAACAUUACAAAUGCUGAUAUGUCUAUAAUCACUCACUUUCCUAGGAUUUGCAAUUUUUGGAAUCAAAGCAAUAAAAGUGUGAUUGAGGAUAGAUGGGUUACCUUGCUCAUUAAGGACAUUAAGACACGUUGAGAUCACUCAUUUACGGACGGAUUUCUAAUGCUUCUGAAAGAAGACAGCUGGAAGACCAUCAGGCCUUAGGGCCUUUGUGGGGCACAUGUUGGCAAGGGCUUCCUCUACGUCUUCAGCGAUGAACGGCUUUUCCAGCUGAACAUUCAUCUCCAGAGUUACUUUUGCAGUCAUUCCUUGAAGGGUUGCUUGGAUUUGGCUUGGAGUCGGGCUGGAAGUAGUGAAUAGCUCUUGGAAAUGGCUGCAAAACUCCUCCUCUAUUUCAUCCAUGUCCUUCACCCAAGUGCCUUAGUCGUUUUCAAUCCCCCACACCUUGUUCUUCCUUUUGCAGGCAGAAGCUUUGGCGUGAAAAUACUUCGUGUUCUUAUCCCCUUCUCUAAGCCAGUUGGCCCUCGAACGCUGUUUCCAGUAAAUCUCCUCGUCAACUAGCAUAGAGUUAAUCUGACUUUCCAACCUCUUAAUUUCCUUGCCAUCAUCCAGCUUUGAAUUCCAUCUCAUAGCAUCUUGAAGGCUCUGCAUCAACUUUUCUUGCUUUCUUUGCCUACCAUUAAAUUCGGUUUUGCUCCAAAGUUUUAGCUGGGCCAAUGAAGCUUUGGCCCUUCUCUAAAAUUGUUGAACAGGGGAUUCCCAAGCUCUAGUCCCAUGUCGACUCCACUCUUCCUGGACUCUACUCUUGCAGCCUUCGUGAGAACUCCACAUAUCCUCAUAAUGAUCUCGGGGGAAUGAUUUGCCCACAUUUCUCGAAUUCUUGCUUCGCUCAUUGAAUUCUAGAAUGAUUGGGCAAUGGUCCAAAGUCCAGUUCACUAGAUUUGUGGCUAUAGAUUCUUGGAAUUUAAUCCCCCAAUCCUUACUACACAGAAAUCGGUAUAAUCUCUCCUCAAUGAAAUGAUCUCCGUAUCUUUUAUUUGACCACGUAUAGAGAUAUCCCUUACUACCCAUAUCCUGCAAAUUGCAGUUUUGCACAACUUCCCUAAACUCGGCAACCAUAUUCAGAUUUCUCUCAUUGCCCCCAUUUUUCUCAUGCAUAUGCAUUAUCUCAUUGAAAUCCCCAAAACAGCACCAAGGAUAGGAGAAUAGACUGGCAACCCUUUUCAUGAGAGUCCAAGUAUUAUGCUUCUGGCUGAACUCGGGAUGGCUGUAGAUCCCUAUGCAUCUCCACCUCAAUCCACUUUCAUUACUCACUAUUGCAUCUAUAUGAUGUGGGCUGUACGAGGUAAUGCUAACAUUAACAUCUGCACUCCAAAGCAAGGCUAGACCUCCCCCCAUGCCCGUUCUAUCUACUGCAAAACAAUUCUCGAGAUUAAAGUCUCUACAAAUAGAUUCAACUUGCCUAGCCAACAUCUUGGUUUCACAAUAGAAAAGAAUUUGAGGCUGGUGUAGGUGGAGAAUUUUUUUGAGAGCUAGGCGCGUUCGAGGUUUCCCCAGACCUCAAACGUUCCAACUUAGGAGUUUCAUGGUUGUCGACGGGCCUGAAAUUCAGCACCCGCCGAUACUUCUUCUUCCAUAGCUGCCACAUUUUCCCCUUCAUCUGAUAUCUCUUCUGUUAUCUUUAGCUGCCGAGCUGUUCUGUUGGAGCUAAUGUGGUUGCAGUAGUCUGAGUUUAUUGCUAAACUUAUGUGGUUUCCCACGUGUGGUUGUUUUGGUGGACUGAGCACUCUUUUUUUUUGUGGGCUGAGCUGAUUGUCAUCACUACUAGGUCUUUUUGCUCCUAUUAACCCAUGAUCCUUCGCUCCUUUUGCUAUGGGAAUUCUUGCCUUAAGUUUCCAUUUUCUUGCUUUGGGCUUCACGUUAGUCUUGCUUGGCCCACUAUCCAUUUCUUCCAUAUCUGAUCUGGCACUCUCUUCAGCCUGCUUCCUUUUAUCUUUUAUUAUUUUCAAUCUUGCUUUAUCCAUAGGAUUUUCGUUUUCCUUCAAAAUCUUUUCUCCCACCUUUGUACUUUCAUAGCUAUAAUGGCUAUCAUUACUUGCCACCCUAUUCUGCACCUCGUCGAUGUCACAGCCCAUACUUUGACUCCCCACUUGCUGAUUUUUCGUCUAUGAAGAGGUCAACAUUAAAUGUGCUUUGUCAUAUUUCAGCAUGUUUCUUGUAUCCUCUAGUUCUGCUCCAUCUUUUAUUUCCUGAUUCGAUUUGUUCAAUUUUGACCUGUCUCGAUCAAUCGGGUUGUUUGAGCUUGGGCUGGUUGUUGCUUGCACAUUUGCUUUGAGAUUGGAUUGCUCUCGAUUGCCUUUCUCUCUACUUCGAUUUUGCUUUAUCCUGUCAGCUUGUGUAACAGUUCUCAUCCAUCCACCAUAAGGCAAGUCCUCCUUUUGUUGCCCUUUGUAUCUCAGGCAUUCCCUGUACUGGUGACCGAUAUGCGCACAACAAAAGCAAAAAUCAAGAAGUUUUUCAUACAAAAUUGGCAUUGGAGUUUUGCCAUCCGCUUGUUGUAGGAACACAAUCUUUUUUAGAGGCUGUGAAAUGUCAAUGGAUAUCCUGACUCUCGCAAACUGCCCAAUACAUUCCCCAGCUUCGUCUGUCUCCACUUCCUUGACUGUACCAAUUUUUUCUCCCAGCUUUUGGAUGACCUCCUUGUUCAUACACAUUAUUGGUAUGUUAUGGAUCUGAACCCAGAAUGUGGUAUGUGUAAAAGAUUGAUUUUUGAUAUCUCCAGUCAAGACUAUCAAUACUUUGUCGAAAUGCCACGACCCUCCCAUGAGCACCCUUUUCUUUUCUUCUUCAUAGGCGAACUUGAACAUGAAAAUGUUAUCCCCCAUGCUUUCUAUUUUAACCUCUUUGACGGAUCUCCAAGCCAUUUGCAUUGCAGCUUUCAAGCCCUCCUUGUUUAUACUUCUUGAUGUUAGCACUUUGCCCACUAAACAAUUCGCAGCUACUUCCUCUCCCUUUAUCUUCAUCCGCCCCAUGAAUGUUACGUUUAAUAUUAUAACGCUGUCAAUGGCAAAGUACGUGAGUGAUACAAAUUAAAAACAAACAAAUCAAACCCUGUGCACUGUCAUCCCUAAUUAUAUUUACCACUUCAUACUCACAGUGAUAAUAACUGUGUAUCACAGUUGACUUUCCAGACGGCUAAAAGUUCCAAGUCCGGAUGCUUGGUUAUUGAAACUUGAUGAAAAGGGCAUGAAAGAAAAUAAGAAAUUAAAUAAUACAGGAGGUAUUAAUCAUAACAUCUCUAGUUAAUGAAAAUUGAUGAACGGUAAUCCAAUAUUUCUGCAGACAUGAGCCGUAAUUAUGAUACCAUUAAGAAUGAAGCAGAAGAGUUUCCCCAAAAAAGUUAAAACGCGGCACUUGGAUUUAAAGAAUUAUCAUAUCACAGUACCGGGACAAAAAAAGGUUAAUGCAACAACAUACAUCAAGUUAAUUCCAUAAUCUAUCGCCAAAGAAAGACAAACACAAGCUUAUAAGAUUAAAACUUUGGAAAACAUUAGAGUCGGACAAAAUUGUGCAAUCUUCAGAGUUUGGAGCCUAGUUCAUCCAGGAAAGCAAAAGAAAUAAUAAUAAUAAUAAUAAUAAUAGUGGUUUGAUCUCAAAAGGUGACAUCAAGGUGGUAACUUUGAGGUAUUGGAAGCUAAAACGUCUUCAACUUUGUCCUGAUUUUGAAGUCCCUUAACCCAUCCGCCAUCAAUGGAUUGAAUGCUUCCAUUCAACCCAUCAUCCACAAAAUCACCAACCCGUUUCACCUUCAUCUCCUUCGGCUUAACAGGGUACUUCCCAUAGAAGCAAGCAUAACAAAAAUUCUGAGAAUCAUCGCCUGACAACUUGUUCAGGCUGUCAAUUGGCAGAAAAGCAAGCGAGUCACACCCAAUAAACUCCCUGAUUUCCUCGACGCUCAUCCUGUUGGAAAUCAACUCCUCACUACUUGGGGUGUCCACUCCAUAGUAACAACUUAACAAGAAGCUAUGAUUGGUGGGCUUGCAAUUCUCAUGUGAACCUCUUUAGCUCCAGCCUCCUUAAGCAACCGAACAAUUUUCGAUGAAGUUGUUCCUCUCACUAUUGAAUCAUCCACAACCACAACUCUCUUUCCCUCCAACACUCCCCUUACAGGAGAGAGCUUAAGCUUGACACCAAAGUCCCUAAUUUUCUGGGACGGCUCAAUGAAAGUUCUCCCAACAUAGUGUGACCUUAUCAACCCUUGUUGAAAUGGUACCCCGGCUUUCGCAGCGUACCCAAGUGCAGCCACCACUCCAGAAUCUGGUACUGCAAUCACAGCAUCACACUCAACAGGAGCCUCGGUAGCAAGUACUUCCCCAAAAUGAUACCUCAACUCAUAAACAGACCUACCAAAUACAACAGAAUUGGGCAAAGCAAAAUAAAUAUGCUCAAAGAUGCACUGGUUAGGUUCAGGGUGAGGCAUCAAACAAAGUGAUUGAACCCCAUCUUUAUCCACCAUCAAAACUUGGAUAUACCUCUCUCUCGUAUGUGGCCUCAAUCAAAUAGUGCACAAGUCUCUGUCGCAAAAACCAGAGCACCAUUACUCCUCCUACCCAUCACCAACGGCACAAACCCAUACGGGUCACGAACCGCAACAAGCUUAUCCUCAGUAACAAACACCAUUGAAUAAUUAUAUUAUUAUUAUUAUUGUUUUUAAAAAUAUCAUUUAUUUAUUUUUUAAAAUUUUUUUAAAGGUAAAGAAGUGGGUAAAGAUCAAAUUCAAUUUUUAUUCCUUACCCCCUAAGAUUUGAACUUAAGUGACCAAAUGUAUAAUAUUAAGCAUCUCAAAUUUCAUUUCUAAUGAUAUACAAUUUAUUAAGUGAUUGUUAAUCUUUACAAGAUUCGAGUGAAUUAAUUAUAUUAUUUCACUAUUAAUAAUAUGAGUAUCAUAUUAUUUGGAAUAACUUUUGAAUAAAAACAUUGUGAUGGAUGAAAUAUUCUUUUGAGAAUUUAUUGACUUAUCUCAUUUAUGAUUUAUUGUUGCAUUUAAGUGAUAUUGCAAAUAAUCUCAGAUAAUUUCAAGCCAUAUGUCAUUAUUGGGAUAAAAAUAAAGUAAAAUGGUUAAAACUAUUUUUAUGUAAUUUAUAAAAAUUAAUGAAGCAACUACAAAAUUUUUUAAACGAAAAACAAUUGAAAUGUGUGUGGAAAAAGAAGAAAAAAAAUAAGGCAUUUAAAUAUCUUCUUAAAAAAUACGAUUGAGUAAAAUCAUUUUAACAGAAUGCUCUUCCAAAUACAAUUCCACAUUUUUUUUAUUGCAGUGGGAUAUUCCAAAAUUGGCACAACUCAUUAAGAAUUCGGCAACUCAAAUUUUAUUUAUCACUCUAUGCAUUUGACAAAUUAAAAAGAAAAAAAAAAUUCAUAUAUCUUCUGUUCAAAAGAAACCUUGGUAAAUAUUGUAAAACAAAUUACCAUUUUUUUUAAUUUAUGCCAUUAUAUCGUCGCUAUUUUCUCGCCCACUUUCUUAAAAUAGAAUCAAUAUUCAUUGAUGGGUUGGGUUCCAGAGUAAGCACCAAUUCUGCAAAAUGGUUUUAUAGUAGAAAAAGCACUUGUAAGACAUUCAGAACACAUUUUUCAAUUUUGUCUUUUGAAAAUGAGUCUUGAGUUCCACAAGCCAAGAAGAAUGGCUAAAAAAUGUAUGGUAUCAAAGAAAGAGAAACACCCACACACACAGAGAUUAAUGGGGAGAUAUAUGAUUGUGUAAUUUGCAUAUAUAUCCCCAUUAAUUGUUGAUAGUCCAAUGGGUCUAUGCAAAAGGAAAAAAUUGGCUGUCCUUAAAGACAAAAUUGACUGUCACAUGAAAAUAAAAAAAUUUGUUACCACGCAACGAAAAUAAAGAUUUCAAGAACAACUUUAUGGUCCCCUUUCUGUCCAAACAUAUGCGAUAGCAAUUAGUGUAAACGACACUUGAAAUAUAUAUAGUAGAUCCUCACGCAAUUGAUAAAUAUUUAUAGUAGGAUGGAGUGAUAAAUAGUUUCACAAAAUUAUUGGAAUUAACUAUUGAAUACAUGAGAUCUAUCUCAUUAAGGAUAAAAGAUUUGAGUGCUACUUCAAAAGCAUGACGUUGCUGGCAACAAAUUUAACACAAAAGUUUAAUUAAUUAUCUUAGUUGAGACGAUAAAAUCUUGGAUUAAGAACAAAAGGUUUGAGGUUCGAACCUUCUCAUUCAAGAAAAUCAAAAUAUUACAUCUUCCAGCACAUAUCAAACAUUUUUUCAAAGGCAGACUGACAAUUCAGGGUAAAAAAAACAAAAAAACAAAAGGAAUAUAUGCUAUUGAAGACAAGUAUACCUUGGACAUGAAGUCUGAGUCCAGAACAAGAAGCAAUUAGCUGAUCUUUCAAUUUCCAAAACCCAACAAAAUCUUUGUCAAAAUAUACGAUCUAGUCCCAUAUUAAGCACAUUCAUAGCCGUAUCACCAGGUUCAAAAUAUUUUCCCCAAAAAGAGAUAGAGAUUCCAUUGAAGUUGAGUUGUGACUGUCCCAACGUUUGUAAUUAUAUGUUUCAGGAUACCAUGCCUAUGAAUCAUUUUUUUUUUCCAUGUUUCGAAGUCUAUCAAAUGAAAAUGUAAUUAUAUGGUUCAGGAUACCAAUAUGCCAGAGCUGCAAAGGUUGACUUCUACUAUCCUAUCAAUGUCUAUACUUUCUAUUGAAUUUCCUUGUUUGUUUUUUUAAAUUGCGAGAUUUAUUUUUAGAAAUCUUUGACACAUUUUAUGAAAGAUACCAUAAAACCAAAUACAACCAUUUUGAUUCAGCAACAACUUUUUUUUUUCCUUUUAAAAAAAGGAAGCCAUAUAAAUGAUGCUUUAAACAUUAUUUGCAGCAAGGAACAAUUAUUUCAUGCUUUCAGGUAUUAGAAACUUCCCAAAAAUGCUAGCAAGAAAAUGAAAUGGAACUUUACCUAGUCACAGAAUAUGUAUUGCUGUUAGCCCAAUUGUUAUGAAGUGGCUUCUGCAUCAGAAGAUUCCAGCUCCCACCAAGCAUUGUUAUCUCUCUUCUGAAUACAAUCUGCAUCCCUGGGCAUGAGUUAUAUCAUUAAUGUCUGCAUCCUCACUUACAUCAUCCCAAUCAAGUGUUUUUUCUCCAUAUCUGGAUUAUAAGUCCACUCUAAUCUCUUCAAAACAUCCUAGUCCUUCCAUCAUACGACUUCCUUCCUAAUUACUUUCCCAUUAAUAAAUCGCUCCAAGAAAAAAAAAGCAUUAACAAUUCUCUUCAACGCCCCAUCACUCAUAUCCCCUACAACAAACAUCUUUAGACACCUCAAUGUUGCCUCUUGAAAGACCUCCACAAAAUCCGAAUCAUCUGACACAACCAUCAAACACCUAAACCUUCUUUAGUCCACCAUAUCCACCAUAUAAUUCCUUAACUAAACAUCGGCAUCUUGUGGCUUAUCUAACACCUUCCUGACCCAAAACCAUGCUCUUUUCAACUAAUCUGCAAAACCAUAACCCACUUUUGGAGUCAAAAUUGCGCUUGCAGCCAUUUUAUAUUUUUCCAUCUUUAUUGAAUAGUUGCCAACCAAAAGCACUCUCACCUUCCCUCUAGUUGAUUCUAUUUGAUUCGACCUUUUCUUUUGUUCACCCUCAUGAAUUUGCCUAAAAUGAUUAAUAAGUUUGUCAUUAUUAUAAAAUCUCCUUCCACAAUCACCAAUACAUACGGCUUAGCAGGCCUAAUUACACCCUUGAUUUAUAAUUGGAUAAACAAUUCUUUUUCUUUCUUUGCUCUCUUACAACUUGAGGCACAUAACUAAACGUGUGGCUAUUAGCAUUUGCCACCAUGUAUUUAACAACCCCAAAUGAAGAUAUUAAUUUUUUUAGUUUAAUUGCUGCUUCAAAAUGGGGUACUGCAUUUGGAUUUUGUUAUUCAAAUUCCAAAAUGUUCCCACAUUGUGUUGGACAGUUUUUGGUUCUAAAGUUUAUGACUGGUUUUGCCAAUCAGGCUUCAAAUGAGAACUUCUAAACAAUAAGACAAAUAGGUUUUGAGUUUCUAAUCUUAUAAACUUUGUUCUAUUGUAUAAGUUAUGAAAUCGCUGAAACAUCACUACAGCUACAGGUCUUUAUGUGUCAAUGAACUGCAGAAGCUGAUGAUCUACUUGUAGUAGACUCCUAUUGCCCCUGCCAUUCUAGGAAGACAAACAAGUUCAGGAACUACAUCUGGACCAAACUCGUAAUAUUGCCACUGCUUUGUGCCAAUCUGAGACGGAAAGAAGAUUGAAGUUCCUAAAUAAGGCACAUCAUGAUUUAAUAGAAGUACCAUUAUAAGGAAAAAAUGAUUUCAGGAAAGCACUAAAAUAUGACAUAAUCUCCCCCUAAUGGUCUAAAGUAGUCAAGAAAUUAUAUCAACCAAGCAAAAACACAUAAACUAGUUGAGAUACAAAGUUAUCAUAAAAGUCAAUUUUGAUCACAAAUCCAUUAAAAUUAAAAGACAUCAGAAAGUUAUAGAACAUUAUAAUUUAGGACUUAGCUAAGUUGCAAAUUCUGUAAUUAACAGCUGAGUCCACAUUGGCCUUGCAUCAGCUGAGUUUGGGUUGCUUUUCCUCUCUCCUGCAACGCGUGAAAGCGUCCCAUUUGCUGUGUUAUAUACAGAGUCGGUACCGUAGCAAGCUCCUAUAAUUUAAGUUUGAUUACUGUAGACAAUAGUCUGCCUCUGUUCAAAAGCUAUGCUGCAAGAUAUAACGUCUUUGCAAUGUUGUACUUUCUAAAAGUAAUAAGAAAUGAAACCAAGGGGUAAACCGAACACCAAAAGAAAUUUAGUCGGCCAACCAUAUUAUGUUCCCACACAGUCCACUAAUUAAGUUAAUAAUUAAAGGGAAUUAAAAUCUAAGAAAUCUCAUCUUCAAGCAGAAUACAAACACACCAGGAUUGAAAAUCACAAAAUCAUAAAAAGAAGCUGACUUGAAAAGCUCAAAUAUACGUUCAUCAGCCUCUCAACUUAUAUCUAAGAACAAAUGCCUGCAGCCUGUGAAGACAUAGAUAAUUGAAGCUGAUGAGGCAUAUUUAACAGAUGAUAAUCAAAACUCAUGUGAUUAAAAUUAUAAUUCAAUAAUGGAUCACAUAAAACAACAAGUAACUAGUUGUAUAUAUACCAAACAACUUUCUGAAGUUAAGGCGUAAAACAAAAACGUAGAACAAAUUAAUUAAAUAUACUAGCACCAAUACUCUUAUUAUUAUCCACGUAGAAAAUAACAAUGUAUCAAACAAGGAAAAUGAAAUAUUGUUAAUAACUCAAAAACCACUAGUGUCAAGAACUAGACUAAUAAGUGAAACCCAUAAUCAGACACAACCACAUCAAAAUCUCUGAAAAUUGAGGUCUAAACAUUGAAAACAAUUAGACAUAUAUAACAGUCAAUCGAAACAAAGCCUCAAAAUAAUAAUAAACUACAAUAAGACAGAACCUAAAUUGUAAACACACGCAUACCCAGUAACAGUAAUCAAGUAACAAGUCAAAACCAGAAUCAAACGUAGAAUUUUGAAAUCCAUACGAACUCUAACGUAUUAGAAUGAAAGAAUAAGGAUGAUCAAUAAACUAGACUCAAACAAAAACAUGCCCAGUUAAAAAAUGAAGGUAAAUAAAUAAAAAUGGUAUAAAACUGCGAAAAAAAUUAAUGAAAUGAAGAGAAAAUCACAGGAAUCCUAUGAAGAGGAAGGUAAAGAAACCUUCCAGAGCCGAGAAGAUGCCUUUUUGGUUGACGUUUGUGCCUAUACAUAUAUAUAUAUAUUUUUUAAUUUUGAAGAAAGCAUUGGUUAACAGAAAGGGAUGGCAACGUGGCAGAUAUAUAUUAGAUUUAUUCUACUCCAGAUUCGUAUCCAUAAUAAAAAUUAAAAUUCGUAUAUGCUCUAUAUUUGUCAUAAAUUUAUAUUUUUCGUUCCAUAUUCAGAUCUAAAAAAUAAAUAAAUAUCUAUAACUGCUCUAAAUCUGGAAAAAAAAAUUAAAAUCCAAAUAUACUUUAAAUUCAUCAUGAAUUCUAAAACUUAGUAAUAAAAAAGUAAUAAUUUUUUAGAAUGAAAAUUGAAGACUAAAAUGUAUUGAUAACAAUAAAUUAUAUAUUUUUUCUCAAAAAUAUAAUAAAUAUUGUAGCUUAUACUUUUACACUAAAACAACAAAUAAGAAAGAUAAUAAAAUAUUUUUCAAAAGUAAUUGCAGGAGUAAGAUCAAUAUAAUAUUAUACUGUCUCUUUUAUCAUUUUAAUAUCCAUGACACACCUACCCUUAUUUCUACAACAUUAGAUAAUGACAUAUAAAUUAAAUAUGAUUUAUAUUCAGUGCUUUUUAUUUUUAUUAUGACCAUAUUUAACUAAAUAUAUGAAUAAUUAUAUUCAUUAAAAAUUAUUUGGCCAAUAUAAUGAAAUAAAUUGUCAGGUUGUAUUACUUGGCUUGCAAUUUGAAUAUUGCAUGUACAUGCUUUGGGGCUGGCUGAUCUUUAAAUUUACAAAACUAAUCUUUAAGUUUUAAGAGUUUAAAUACAUGGUAAAUAUUACUAAUAUACUAUGAAUAAAAUUUAUUAUCAUUAUAAUUCCACAAUUUUUAAGAAACUUUUAAAAUAAAAUAAAAUUAAAAGAUUGGUGGAUAUGGAUAUGGAUUUAGAUAUUAUGAUAGAUCCAGACCUGCUCCAGAUCUGUCUUAGAUCCGCACAUCAAUAUCCAAAUAUGAUCUAAAUUCAUUUUAAGCUGACCCAAAUCCGAUCCGAUUGGAUUUAGAUCACGUGGAUCUUGAGUCAGAUCCAAUCAUUGCCAUUAGGGAUGGCAAUUUGCGGGCCUGGGCCGGGCUUUUUAAAGCUCAGGCCCAAGCCCACAUCAGUUAAACGAUGUCCAGGCCCUUCAAAAGCCCGCCCAACCGAACUCGGGUCAGGCCUAAGCGGGCCUAGGCUAGGCUCGGGCUUUUAAAAUUAAUUAUAAAAUAUUUUUUAAAUUAAGAAAAUUAUUUAAAUUAAAGAUAAUAAUAUAAUAUAUAAAUAGAAUAAUAGUCAAAUACAUUAAAUAUUAGCAAUACAACCUAAUAAAAUAACAAAUACUAAUAUAAAAAAUUAAAGUAAUUUAAUAUUUUGAUUUUUUUCUUUUUUAUUUAAAUUAAAUUUAUUUUUUAUUCAUAAAUUUAGAAAGCCCUUGCUUUUUUGCUAAGCCCUUGUCUAGGCCCAACAUAUGUGGGCUUUGUAAUUUUUAGGCUCAUAUCCAAGCCCACCCCCUUGCGGGCCGGGUGUUAGGCCCGCGGGCCUGGGCUGGGCUUGACCGGGCCUGGGCCGGCCCGGGCUUUUUUGCCAAAUAUGAUCUAAAUUCAUUUUAAGCUGACCCAAAUAUGAUCCGAUUGGAUUUAGAUCACGUGGAUCUUGAGUCAGAUCCAAUCCAUUGCCAUCCCUAUUAACAGAACGAAAUAUUAAUAAUAGAUGUUGGCAAUUUCAACAAGGACAAUCUUGGAUUCAAAUGUACCCCUAUGAUAAAGAAAAAGCCAGCUUGGCUAAAUUUUGAGCACCACAUUACAAGAUCUAGGUGUAUGCUUAACUAUGCAAAAUGAAACAUCUAUUAAUUGUAAGUCCCUUGACCUCUGUAACCAGCCAACCGGUCUCUUUCCUACUAGACAACCUUCCAUCGACCAGAUUAAUAAUAUUUACUAAAUCAUGUUCUAUAGUUAAUGAAGUUGGACCAAGGCAAUUGUUAGCUUAAUGUCACAGGCCGCUCAAAUUUGCCGUAAUUGGAGGAUAAUUAUGUGCACAUGAGUUUGCUUAGCAAAAGUCCGCCUCGACGUGGAGUGCGCUUAAAAGCGGGAUGCACUUAGAAGUGGGAUGCGCUUAGCAAAUCAUCCAAGCCCAACCCAAGAUCUAGAACUCUCUGCAAAUUAUAAAUAAGUUAAAAGUUUUUAUAUUUCUCCACGUAGGUCCCUAGGAUAUUUAUGGAAGUUGCUAGGAAGUUUCCUCCCCUAAAAUGUUAACAUUUUGGUGGACGGUUAAUAUAAGUUACAAACUUAAAAUAGAAAAUCAAAUAAAUUCAAAUUUUCAAACUAUUUAUGGCAAAUUUAGGACAUAUGGUUAAUAAUUUUCCCAUGUCUUUUUACAUUGGUUGGUAUAAGUUACAAACUUAAAAUAGAAAAUCAAAUAAAUUUAUAUUUUCAAACUAUUUAGGGCAAACUUAGGGUAUAUGGUUAAUAAUUUUCCUUUAUUUUUUUUUACGUUAAAUUGAGUUUCAAAGGUAAAAUGGUCAAUUUAUUAUAAAUCUGUUAAUUUUUUAGUGGAAGCAAAUGAUAUAAUGGACGAAUGAUAUAAAUUGUAAAAUUAAGUUGCAUGAAUGAUACAACUUUAAAGUAUUGUAGUAAUCUUAAUAAUAGAACAAUUUAAGGGUGGAUUGGCAAUAAUUUAAACUUUAAUGAAGCAACUAAAAAAAAUUUUUAACAAAAGAAAAAUAAUUGAAAUGCUUUAAGAAAAAUAAAGGAAAUUAAAUAUCUUUAUAAAAACAUAAUUGAGUAAAAUCAUUUUACAAAAUGCUCUUUCAAAUGCACAUUCCACAAGUCAGGGAGAACGGGUGGCUAACAAAAAUCUCACUUUUUAUGAGUUUAUAAAAUCUCACUUUUGCAGAAUUCAAAAAUAACAAAUACUAAUCACACAAAAAAUAAAAAUUAUUGCUGUCACGACAUUACGCACUUUCUUCGUUGUCUAGAAAGGUAGAACAUUUCGAUGUUCCUCAAUACAAAAUGCGUGCUACUACUAAAUUGGCCCAAUUAAUGCCCAUCGAAAAGGCCAUGAAUUUAGCCAACAAUUUUGUCAAAAUUUCAGCAAUUGAAGAAAUAAUGAUCACAAACAGAACAGUUGAAUUUUGAAGUUUGAAAAAAUCUCCAGAUACGUACAACAAAGUCUUGAAGCUCUGGUCUUUACAAUUUGAGCACAGAAUAAAUAUUAACUACCUGCCAUUUAUAAUUUGUAUUAACUCUGUACCAAAACGUUAAUCGUCAUUCAUAAUUAAUGACGUGACAAUGAUAAUUUAAACAUUUGAUAUGCUUAAUAAAAAAUAAAAUAAUAACUUUAAAUAUAAAAAUUAAAAGAUAUUUUUAUAAUCAAUUCAAUUAAAUACACUUAAAAACUCACAUUAAUCCACAAAAUGCAUACAAAUGUACAGUACCAGAGAAUGAGAAACACACAUUUAUAGGCAAUCCAUUUGAGUUUAUGAAAUCUCAGUUCCCAAAAUCCAAAAAUAUUCAAUACACUCACAAACUUAAAAAAUAAAAAUGAUUGCUGUCAAGACACUUUUUAGCUGUCUAAAAAGCUAAACAUUUGAAGUUGUUUGAUACAAAAUGCAUGCUAAAUUGGCACAAUAAAUCCCCAUCGAAAGGUUAACAAUUGAAGGACAAUGAACACAAACGUAAUCUUUAGAUACAUACAACCAAUCCUUCAAACUUUAGUCUUCACAAUUUGAGCACGCCAUAACCACCCGCAAACAAGUUUUGGUAGCUUCUUGCGCGAACUGAACCCGCUGAAAUGUUUCUCUUAUUUUGUUAUUUUUUUUCUUUUUUUUUCUUUUUAGUCAUUUAUGUUCGCUGGCAUCUUCGUUGGCGUCUCUAUCUUCGCUGGCAUCUGCCUCGCCUGUAGUUUCAGUGCUAAUAUCCAACCAAUAAAAUGGGCAUUAAAUAUGAAUGAUGAAUAAAAUAAAAUAAAACAGAGAAAAUAAUGACAAGAAGAAAAACAAACUUUAAAAAAAAUUAUUAAAAGGGAAAUUUUGAGUUUAGCAUAGAUCAAACAGGCAUCACAAACUAAAACAAGAACCAACUAUAAAUAGAGUCAAUUAAUUGAAGUUCUCAAGAGCUUACCUCUGCUCCGGAAUUCUCGGAAUCAUCCACAUAUCUCCUUUUGAAUUUGCACCAAGCUUGGGACAAUUAUAAACGUAUGCAGAUGGAAAUCGAUUUUGAAAAGAGCUGUGGAAAAAGGGAUGGCGAAUGUUGCGAUAUGGAAAAUUUAGCAGUUCAAACUCCCGAAGUUGCUUCAUAACAAUUUGAUUGCAAUCCACGACGUCUGCUCCAUUUUUAUGCCAGAAUAUUGCUUCUAAUUCAUCAUUUCGUUCUAUCCGUAAGAAAUAUAGUUUUUGAAGACUUGGAGCUACGCCGAUAUGAAAUAGAUGCUUUAGUUUGGGGCAACCACAGACAGUGAUGCUUGUGAGUUUUGGGAAACAUACAGGUUGGAGAUGAUCCUCAUCCUCAUCCUCAUCAAUGAUUUGCUCUAAUUCGAAGCAGUUAUCAAUAACCAGCCCCUGCAAUUGCAACAGAUUUCGAGCAAAUGUUGAUGUGAAGAGACGCCUGAGCAUAGUGCACCCGUCCACUCUUAAAUGGGUAAGAUUUUGGAGGCUAAAAUUAUGCGUGGGACCUUCAUGAUAUAAUAAUACUUGCAGUUCUCGAAGGUUUUCCAACUGCACCUCCUUCAAACAUGGGAAUAAUUUGUUUUCUUGUCCCUUAGCGAUAAUAGCUUCCAAUUGAAAUACCACAUGUACUCCAAGUUGGCUAAUACCCAAUUCUUCCAAAUUUUUUAAGCCGUGCUUCAACAGUGCUGGAAUCGUGUCACUCAAAUGGGAACAAUUGUCCACAUAUAGAAUUUUUAAGUUCUGAGACAAAUAAAUAAAUAACUUGAUGCAAUUAAAAUCUAUUAGCAAGCUAGGAUUAUCACAUGAUAAGUGAUGAACACUGCAAAAAACAAAAACAGAAAACAAAAUCCAAACAAAAAUAUCAUAAUACAUAUGUAAACUAAUAAAAUAAUUAAAAAGUAAUGGAUUUAAAAAAAAAUUAGUUAAAAGAGAUCAUGUGAAGUGAUAUAAAUGUGACAUUAGAUUGUUUUAGAAAAAAUAUUAUUCUAUUAAUUUAUAUGGUUUGAUCAACUAUUUAAUUGAAUUUGAUUAAUAUUAUAUACACUUCAGAAGUAUUUGAAGAAUGGUUUUAGCCUUAUAAUAAAGAAAAUUCCCUAAGAUAUCUGAGCAUUAUUAUUAUCAUUACCACAUUCACGACCACCAUCAUCAUCUCCAUAGGAUCAAAAAAUUAAUGGCUGAUCAUAAAAUUUAUUGUUAAAAUAUCCUUUUGAGUAAAAUUGAAUGAAAAGAAAAAAUAUGAACCCAAACAGACAUACCUCUUUGAGAUACUGCAAAUUGGCUUCAAGUUCAUUACUGUUGAUGGUCAAGUUGGGACAGCAAUCAAGCUGUAACUCUUCCAAUGCUGCCCAAAUUGAACAAUAAUUCUCUGAACAGAACUUGGUGAGUUCUGGGAGAUCUUCAAGUUCUAAUUUUCUCAACAAAGGGAGGGCGAGCAUCGUAUUUCCAUCUCCGACACUUAUUUCCCCUUCAUUAUGAUCAAACUUUGCUUCGACAAUACAUUCCAGUCUCUCGCAUUCCCUUACAUGGAGACUUUUAAGCUGCUCCAAACUUCGAGCUUGUGACAACGUGAAGAUAUAUGUCAACUUGUUGCACCUAACCACAUUCAAUUCUGUAAGAGUUUGGAGACUGAUCACAUGUUGGGCGGGCGCCUUCCAUAUCCACUUCAGUUCUGGUAAGUUCCACAUAGAUAACUCUGCUAAUCUUGAGAGACUCUUUCCAUGCGGCGACUUAGAGGCUUCCAUUAUGCAUUCUAAAUCUUCGCAAUCGCCGACAUCAAGACAAGUCAACUCAUUUAAGCCCCUUUCAUCUAUGCUUGGCACAAUAUUGUAACAACCUAUAAUCCAUCUUAUAUAAAGAAUUUCCAGUUCUUGAUACAAAGCCGAAAAAAUACCGAGCGAGGUCACUUCAGGAGGGUCAUUCUCAAUGAUUAAGCUCUUUCUCUGACUACCAUAUUCCAUUUUAUAAAAAACUUCUUCACCUUUACAGAUGACGUACCUUUGCAAUUUCGGGAAUGUAAAGUCUUUUGGAAGAUAUACAACAGAUCCGUCGGCUUGGGAGUUCAACUCAGCAAGCCUAGCAUUACUUUCUUCUGAACUCAUCCCUUCAACCUCCCAAUUUUUUAUCCGACCAUAAAAUUCUUCUAAUUUUUUUAUCGUAAUGGGAGAAACAGAACUAGUAUCAAUAUGUAGAAGUUUCAAUCUACCAAGUUCAUCCGACAAUUCUUCAGGAAUUUCAAUGGGAGACGACCGGAGAUAAAGAAGUUCAAGUCUCUUCAACUUUCCAAGAAAAAACGCGUCACUCAAAUCACACAAAAUCAACUGCAGAACUCGGAGGUUAUUGGCUAGGAAUCGAAGUGAUUUUAGUGAAAGGACUCCAUUUAUUAUAGUAACAACUUUCAAUGCUGGCAUCCCUUCAAAAAAAUUUUCUGGAACUUGCAAUUUGUAGUCACAUAGAGUGUUGUCCAGUCGCAAAAUAUGAAGGUUAGGGCAUACCAAACGACUAGGAAGCUCUUCUUCUUUAUUUCCCAUUACAGAGAUUCCUCUAUAUUGCUCCGGGCCUUCUUCCAUUACCCGUUCUGCCAAUCCAAUGCCAACUUUACUAAAAAAUUUCUUCUCCACUAGUACUUCUGAGCCUAUCCAUAUGGCUACAUCACGAACUAUGUCAUGCAUUUUCACAGAUCUGUCAUUACCAGUGUCUAACAGUAGUGAAGCAGCUUUGAGUCCGUCAAUUGUUCCAAGCAGUAGGCUUCUGGUGUUCUCUAUUGACUCAGCUUGAUACCAAGUCAACCCUACUGCAUAUCCAACCAAAUCCUCCAAAUUAAUCUCAUAAUCUUCUGGAAAUAGCGAACACAACAAGAAGCAUAACUUGGAAUUGUCAUCAUUCAAUUCGUCGUAACUAAAUUUGAGACAACCGUAAACGUCUAAGUUCUCCUCAUCAAUACCUUCUAUUGCAUAGAGUUUUGCAGCCUUUAGGUUAUGUAGAGCUAGGUUCCAUUCAUUAAAUCUUUUUCCUCUUAGUGCACUUCCAACAGCUUCAAUAGCUAAAGGCAGCCCCUUACAUUCUCCAGCAACUUCUUUGGAAACAUCAUUCAAGGUGGAGUCAUUUACAUUAAUUUUGGCAUUUUUUCGCAGUAAAGCCAAUCCUUCUUCUGGCGUUAGUGUACUAAGUGGAAUCUGUGUGUCACAACCCAAAGAAUCACAAACUGACUUUUUGCGAGUGGUUAGAAGGAUUUUGCAACAAUUAUCUCUACCACCGACGGUAAUACCUAAUUUUUUCUCCGAGUCGAGUGGUUUCCAAACAUCAUCAAGGAUUACGAGGAUUUUGCUGCUUUUACUCUCAGAAAACAUCAAGCGCAAUCGGUCUGCUCUCUCUUUUUCAUCUUUCUCAUUUAGUGCCCAGCCUAACGACUUUGCCAACUCACCUUGAACCUUUAUUAUAUCUAGAUCCUGAGACAUAGUGGCUAUCCCCACCUUAUCGAAAAGCUUUUGUUGCCGAAGUUGAUUGCCCACAUAUUUUGCCAGGGUUGUCUUUCCUACACCACCGAGACCAUGCAAUCCCACCAUCUUUGUGCUCUCUUUUUUCAGUGCGUCAAUGAUCUGAUUGCAAGCGGAUUCUGUGGUCUUGAAAAUAGAAGUAAAAUGCCUUGGCAAACUUAAUUCUCUUUCUAAUGGUAGAGGUUUAGGAGAGGCAACUGUGUUGAAUUGGCUGCAGCCUUGUAGCAGAUCGGACAACUUGCUAGUCUUCUCUGAUGCUUUUCUGCCCAGACGAUAUCGGCAACACCAAUUAGGACACAAUCCAUGAAGACUACUAUCCUUUUCAUCUAUCUCUGCUUUCAACUUCCAAACAUCGUCCAAUUCUUCGACUCCAUUAUUCAGCCACUCCAUUACAUUUUCAUCGACUACUAUGUCGGGGCAUUUUCGCAGUUCAUCGUCUAUUCUUGUUUUGAUGCCAUCUCGUGCCUUCUUCAACUUAGUUUCUUUAUCCUCAAGUUCUUUAACAAUGCUGUUGAAACAGAACAUAUAGCGAGCUUGGUCAAUGGCUGCAUUCACCAAUAAUUCUUCAACCUUUGAUUUUAAAGCUUCCAUGCUAUUUAUCUGCAAAUAACGAAGUUGAUCUCAGCACACUAUUAGCGAAACAACAAGGCUUGAUCACCAGACAAAAUGAGAACGUUUAAUUACCUCUUUCUGCACUGUGAAUGCACGUCUAUUAACACCAGCUUUGACCAAUAAGAGCAAAAUGCAGAGGUGGGGCCUUAAGAGUUUCGGUGGCCUUUAGCUGCAAAACGGCAGAUGACAAAUAAGGUGAACGUUCCUAGCAAACGUGAUUUACGGUGAAUUAUAUUCAAAUUAGAUUAUUUUAAAAGUUGGUAAAUUAUUUAUCACUCUAUCUUAAUGAUACCUUAUUUGGGAUGAUAAAGAUUGGGGUAAAUUCCCUUUUAUUCUCACAUGUUUAUAGUAUUUAUAUUUUUAUAAAUUACCUAAAACAUCCAUGUAACUUACUUUUAUAGCUAUUGAACAUAUCAUUUCAAAUAUAAAAUACUAUUUCUGUCUAAUAUAAAUUAAAAAUCAAACAAAUCUAUCAUGCAAUAAAUGAAAAGUAAAGAAUAUUAAUUAGGUUUUAAUGGAAACAAAUAUAAAACAUAGAGGUUUUGAGUAACUUUUGUAUUUUUUUUAAUGUUCAAUUUAGAAUUGAAUAAUUUGCAUAAUGAAAUUUUGAGGUUUCUAUAAUUUAUAUGAAGAUAAACUGCGAAAUAAGUUUAUAUGCCGAAAUUAAAAUAGUUAUAUAUUAGCAAUCAUAUAAUAAUAAAAAAUUUUAAUAAAAUUUAUUUAAAAAUUGGCCAAUUGUGUUUCAUGAGUAAAACAGAGAGCAUAAUGGACUUAUGUUGGGUCUUGGGAUUGAAAGACUAAGGGUAAGGGGCCGGGAGGUAGGACGGUAGGAAAAUUAAUUUUUGUUAUUUUUAAAGUAUGGUCAACAUUAGUGACUUGGAGGUGAUUGCCGUUAAUCAAUUACCUUUAACUUAAGAAUUAAUACAAAUAAAUGGCAAAAAUAAUUUAAUGAAAAUUAAUUUAAUAAAAAAUUGCACUAAAAACUUAGAACUCAAAUUCUCGAUCAUUUUAUCCGUACGUUUUAAUCCGACGCUCAGAAUUGGCAUAAAACAAACUAAUAUAGCCAUUGGAAAUAAAACAAACAUCAAAUCAAGAGCCUAUGAAACAAUAUUAUCUCGUACCUUCUUCCUUAUAGAUCCUCAAUUGCUGUUGAAAGCUGCAUAUGACAAUAUAAAUAAACAUGAGAUCAAAACAUCAUAGGAUAUAUCUAGCCAAUUAACAUCAUAUAUAACUCCUUGUUCUCAGUCAAAUCUUUCAUUCUUAGAUUAAAAAAAAAAUGAAAUAAUAACUGUUAAGUGAUAUAGGAAGCAAAAGUAACACACCGAAAUGAAAGCAGCUAGUUCACAGAUGACAGAUGCGGUGACUUCAAGAGCAUGAAAAAUGAUUAAACUUUGGUAGAAGGGUCUGAGCCGUGUUUCACAAGUUGCUAUUGACUUCGUGGCUUCGCUUUUAUUUAUUAUUAUUAUUUUUUUAAAUUCUAUAUCAGUGAGAAUUGAAAUGUGGAAAGUGAAAUGAUACACAUGCCUUAUCAUCUAUCAUGAGGGGUGAUUUGGUAAAACCGAUUUAAAAUAAAAAAAGUUUAAAAAAAUUUAAAAAGAUGCUUUGUGUCUGACUGCUUGUAUUUGGGGUAUUUUUCGGGUUGUUGAGACUUGAGAGUGAGUUUAAUUAAAUAUAAGAUUUUCAUUUUUCUUAUUAUAUUUUUCUCUUUAGAAUGAAUUUAAAUCUCAUUCUUAUUAAAUUCAUUUUUUUAAAUGAAAAUAGAUUUCUCUCCACACAUUUGAGAUAUAUUUUAAAAUUAAUGUUAAGCAUAUCUCUAAAUUAUAUUAUAAAUAUUUUUAUUUAAAAUCUCAACAGAUUUCAUAACACACAGAGAGAAAUACAUAUAUAUGUUGUAAUGUUUUAAUGAUGGAUCUCUAAAGUUAUCAAGUUAAAAAAUAAAUAAAUAAAUAAAAAAUACACACUUCAACUUAUUAUAUGAUAAAAUAUAGUAUAUUAAAGUGAGUAUUUUUUGUGUGAAAUAAAAUUAAAGUGAGUACUAUUACCACCUCACAUCUUAUAAAUUCUAGAAAAUAAUCAAGGCUUGACAUACUUUUAUUUAUGCAAAAGCAUAAGAAAAUAAUUCAAAGUACUAAUUAGUGUACUAUUCCUCAAAAUUCUAGAAUAGAUUUGUUAGUUCUCUUUAGCCAUAGAUUGGUCCGUGAUUGGCACCGCAAUAGCUCAUAAUCACCUCAACAAUUGUUCCACACGGCCCAACAUGACACAUUGUAAACUAGUCUACAAGAAUUUUUUGAGUGGCUUUCUAGCAAUAUUCUUAGAGAAAGUGUUUAGUAGUUUCAAAUCUUCUUUUUUUAACACAAAUGUUGGCAUGAUAUUCUUAAUAUAUUUCUAAAAUCAAAAUAAGAUGCAUAGAGGACGAUAAUUUUAUUUCAUAAUUGAAUUUUUUGCAAAGAAAGUUUGAACAUGAGAGUGAUGAGAGAUGAGAAUAUUGAUGAUGGUGUGUACUUUGAAUGGAAAAAUAGAUUGGAAAUAUAUAUAGACAUAUUAAAAGAAAAAAAUUUGGUCUAUUUCAUAAGAGAAAUAAAAAAUUAUAAACGCGGGUGUUAAAAUGUAUUCAGAAUUUAUAAAUUUUUAUAAAUAUGAUAAUCAUCAGACCCUUAUAAAAGUAUAACAAAAAAGUUUAAAAUUUUUUAAUAAAUGUAGAAGAGAUGAACGAAGAAAUCAUCCACCAGUUCAGAAUUAACAAUCAAAGAUAUGAGGACUUGAUUGAAGAAAUGAUGAAAAAUAAAAGGAAACUGGGUUGGUUAGCGGGACCCUAAUAUUAAUGGUGAAAAAUAAAAGGACACUGGGUUGGUUGGCAGGACCCUAAUAUUAAUGGCAAAAAAUAAAAGGACACUGGGUUGCUAUCAAUUUCGAUCGUGUAGGUUCAUAGCCGGGGAAGUAAUUGGGCACAAAUAUCUCGGAUGAGAAAUAACCAUUUUAUCCCGCAACCAUAUGUUUAUGGCCUCUAAAAAUUUUCACCUCUUUCACUUUCUGGAACCCGUGCUUUCUGGCACAUGCACAAAUACUUGGUUGCUACUUAUAGAGCGUUUUUGGAAUUGCAACAACAUGGUGCUCUUUGAUAAUUCAAAAAUCCAAUAUAAUUUAUAGAGAAUUACAGAAUUGUGGUACGUGAUAAUUUGCUGAUGCAAUGAGGCGCCGAAAUUCUUAUACAUGUGAUUUAAGUUAUAUAUGUAUAAUUAAGUAAUUAGAAUAUACUAGUUGGGGGUAUUUGUGUCCAUGAAAAUUUACAGCUGGUUGUUGACAUUACACUGCGGGUGUGUAAGUGUAAUCAUGGAUCUGACCAUUCAAAUUUAAAAAAUGGGGGUCCCGCUAGCUUACGGAGUUAGUAAUUAUUAGAUAUGCAUAUAUGCUCCCAUACGAUAAUCUUAUCAUAAAUUUGAAGGAUACGAGGACUUGAUUGAAGAAAUGAACGAAUAUUUGAAUUAAAAAAAAUUUUAGAAUAAAGACAAGUAUUAAUUUACUAUGAAUGCAACUUACAUAAGCUGUAAGUUAGCGGGACACUAUUAAAUCACAAGCAAAAAGCAAUCUGACUUCUUCUUGAUUCCGUAAUUUGGCUGUCAAAAUGUAAUCUAUAAAAAUUACGAUACCUCGAUUCAAAAAAAUGUUGUUUCUGAUGAAAUAAAUGAAAAUUGAACGUACAAUCUGCCACGAACACUGUUUAAUUAACCGUUUAUUUCCCCUUAAAUUUUUAAUCUCAAUGAAACAUAGAUCUAAUGGGAACUACAUAUAUAUAAAAAUACUAUAGAUUGAAGAAGUUGAAUUUUUCUUGUGUGUUAAGUAUUUUUAGUUAAUACGAAAGGAUUCUAGCAAGUUAAUACAAAAGUAUCAUAAAUUCAUAGUAGUACAAGAGAUUUUUUUUUUCUUUUGAUAUUAAGAGUUUUCGAGAUAAAAAAAAAAAAAAUAGGUGAAAGAAGAAGAUGAGAGAAGAAAAAAUAUUAAGAAUAGUUUUGGCAUUUUGAUGCGUUUUAUAGUGUAAAAUCUAUAUUUUAUAGUAUAAAAAGGUACACCCAUAAUUUAAUGAUAAAAUUUUAGGAAAAAAUUGCACUCGUCAAAAAAAAAAAGAAAAGGCUCAGCUUAGCCCAAAAAUUUUUUAUUAAUCGUCUAGUCGCUAAUGUAAUCUCUUUUUUAUGAGAUUCUUUGGCGUUUUAGUUUAGUCCAUUGUUAGCAAUCCUAAUAGCUUUUAUGUGCAUCUAUUUUUAUUUGGAAUAUGUUUCAAGCUUGAAUAAAAUCUGCGGGACAACUGGUAAGUAAUAAAGCUCAUCAUUUUUUUAUUUUGAAAAUAAAGGGAAUCACUUACACUUAGCAUGAUAUUAUUUUUGAUAAGUCAUUUUUUUGGUAGAUUAUUUUUUCUAACACGCUCUUAGAUUUAGUGAAAAUAAAUUGUAUACUUUUAAUGAAGAAAAGUAAAGAUCAACAAAAUAUUUUGUUCUUUGCGACAACUUUUGCGUUCUCAAGUGCGCCUGAUACCCUUUUUUUUUUAACAUGGGCCCACGUGCCAUGUUUCCAUUUCAAGUUUCAUAAGUUAACAGUAGAAAUGGGUUCCACAGAUAAUUUAUUUUAUAAUUUUUUUUAAAAAUUACUAAAAUAUAAUAAAUAAGGUAAUAAUAAUUAAUAAAAAAGUAGAUUUUAAGAUGGAAAAAUCUUUUUGUGUACUUAAUAAAAAGAUGAUAAGAAUGGGAUGCUUUUAGUUUACAUUCUCAUAGCUAUUUAUACUGAAAAAUUACAUCAAAAUUUAAUUAAUAAAUCAGUGAACUGCAGACUUAUUAAAUUUAAGCUAUUUUAAUAAGUCAUAAAUAUACUAAAUUAAAAUAGUAAUAAACCCAUUGUUACACAAUACUCUCCAUUGAGUGUUCACCAUUUUAAGAUAAUCAUAAAAUGACACCGGAAGUGCUAUUAUAGCUGUCUCAUGGAAAGCCUUCACCAAUAAAAAGGAGGAUAGAGCACAUACAUCCAGUUUUUAUACCCUUUGAUGCUCAGUCGACACGUGCCAAUGCUAUAGACUAGCUUUUCGAAGGUUGAAGUGGGUAUGCUAUUAGUAAAAAGACCUGCAAAAUUAUAGUGUACCUAUUUGACAUCAACUUUUUUUAUCUGCUGGAGCUUAUGAUUAUAGAAGAUCUUCGGUAAGAUGUGUUUGAUUUUAUCUUCUUUUAUAUAUCCUCCUCUAACUUGUGUAAUAGUAGUAAACCCCUGCCCGUUUUUAUUUCGUUUAGUAUUUUCUAAAUGGCCGAAGGAAAAUUGGUAAAAACUCAUUUAAAAAUAAAAAAAAAUCAAAGAAAUUCAAGAAGAAGCUUUGUAUCUGUCAUUUGUAUUUGGGGUAUUUUUUUGGUUGUUAAGUGAAUGAGCUUAAAUCUAAAACAUUUAUUUAUAUAUUUCUUGUUGGAAAGAAUUUAAAUUUUAUUCUUAUUAGACUUAUUCUCUUUAAACAAAGGUAGAUUUUUCUCUAUGUGUUUAACGUGUAUUUUAAAAUUAAUGUUCAACAUAUCUUUAGAUUCUAUUAUAAAUAUUCAUAUCUAAAAUCUCAACAGAUUUCAUAAUAUAUAAAUGUAUAUAAAGAGAGAGAAUAACGUUUCUAAUAAGAAAUUUAUUAAGUUAAAGAAUAAUUCAAAAGAUAAAUUUGUAUUCAACCCAUUUAUAUGAUUAAUUAAGGUUUUAAACAAAUUUUGGACUUGUUCUAUUGUAGAGCUUAAAUUCAAAAUGGAAGAGUGAAGAAGGGAAAAAGAAGACGAAUAAAGAAGAAAAGAGGAGAACAACUUAUACAAAAGAGGGAGAACGAAAAAGUGAAGGGCAGAAAAAGAAAAAGAAUAAAGAAGAAAUUAAUCAUCGCUGAUAUGAAAAUAAUUCCUUCUUCUUUAUUGUUCUUAGUGGUUCUACUUUUUUUUAUUGGAUUCUAAAUUUUUGUCGUAGAUGGAUUAUAAGAACUAGAAAAUUAUAAAGAUAAUUUUUUAAUUAUUCGAUUAAUUAAUUCCAGCAGAAGACAAGAAAUUGAUUCUGCUUCGUUAGAAAGCCAUCACAUUCUAUACGCAAUUGCAAAAAGUAUAUAUUUUUGUCUGUUUUAGACAAGAAUAAAAGGGAUACCUGGUAUUGCAAAUCUAGACACGUUUUAGUGCUUUAUGUCCGAAUGAAUUCUUUCUUGCAACAAUAAACUUGGCCGAUCAGGAUUUGCCGUUUACAUAUGUAGGUCCUGUUGGUUCUGUAGUAGGACUCAUAAAUUUUUAUUUUUAAUUUACUGAAUCCAUAAAUUUAAAAUAACGGUGCAACUCCUGAGGAUGACAAUGGGGCGGGUGAGGUCUUGGAGUCCUGAAAAAAUUUAUAUCUGCAUAUUAAAAAAUGUGGAUCCGAAUAAGAAAAUCCGCAUGAAUCCGAAUGCAAGUGCAUUUGGAAAAUCGGAUAUCGAGAUCUGGAUAAAAAUUUAUUUCAAAUUAAAAAUUAAAUUAAAUAUAUAUUAAAAAGUAAAUGAAAAAUUAAGAAAGUAAAUUUUAUUUGUAGAUUUAUGAUGUCAUUGUAUAUUAUUCAUGUUGAAUUAUUAAUUGUUGGAUUAUGAUUGAAUUUUAUUUGAUAUUAUUGGGUAAAUUAUUGAAUUUCAUUUUAAAUUAAAAAUAUUUAUUAAAAAUUAAAUUUUAUUUGUAGAUUUAUGAGAUUAUUGUAUGUUAUUCAUUUAAAAUUUUUAAUUAUUGAAUUAUGAUUGAAUUUUAUUUGAUAUUAUUAGGUAAAUUAUUAAACUUUUAAAUUUUAUAUUAAAUUAUAAGCAGUAGGAAAUUAUGGUAUUCAGAACAUGUAUACCUUCGCACAUGAAGCUUGAGUCCAGAACAAGAUGCAGCUAGCCAAUCCUUCAACUUCCAAAACCCCACAAAACCUCUGUCAACAUAUCUGCUCUACUUCAAUAUUAAGCACAUUCAUAGCGGUAUCAACAGCUUACAGCUCCAAAAAUAGUUUGAGAUUUCAUUGAAGCUAAGUUGUGACUUGUGACUGUCCAAAUGUUCUGUCACACGAAAUGAUUAUUCUUGUAACACAAAUCCAAUAGCAUGCAAUAUAAUCUACUCUCUAACACUGUGCAUUAGUAAAAUAAAACAGAGUAAAGCAUUAGUAAAAUAAAACAGAGUAAAAAGAGAAACCAUGCCUGUGAAUCUCUUCUCCUCCCCCCACCACCCCUUUUUUUGGUAAAGUCUAUCAAAUGAAAAUGCAGCAUGACCACAUUGGCCACUACCACUGCCAUUACUCCUUCAACUGUGCCCUUUGUUGCAAGAAAUCUUCAAGUGAAAGAUGGAUUAUAUAAUUAAAGAUUCCAAUAGAAGCAGCAAAGGUUGCCUUCCACUAGCCUAUCAGAGAAUAUGCUUUCUAUUUUCCUAGUUUUAAUCAAAAUUUUGCAAGAUUUAUUUAUGGAAAACUUGGACAAAAUUUUAUGUAAGAUACCAUAAAGCCAAACACAAUCUUUUUAAUUCUCAGCAGCAACAUUUAAAGUAAAAAGAUGGAAGCCAUAUAAAUAUAACUAUAUUUGGUACGAGGAACAAUUAUUUCAAGCUUUCAGAAAUGCUAGCAAGAAAUUGUAAGAGAACUUUACCUAGUCACAGAAUAUGUCAAGCAUACUACCACCAACUGUCUUUAGCACAAUUGUUAUGAAGUAGCCUCUGAAUCGGAAGAUUCAAGCUUCCACCAGGCACAAUUAUUUUCAUUCUCCAUACAAUCUGCAGCAGUGGCAUGAGUUAUAUCAUCAACAUUUGCAUCCUCACUCUCAUCACCCCAAUCAAGGCUUCUUCUCCACCUCUGGAUUAUAAGUCCUCUUCGACAUCUUCAAACAUCUCGGUCCUUCCAUUUGCAAACAACCGAUAUGGCUUCUUUCCUUGCCUUCCUCAUCGUUUAUAUCCCCCAAAAAAGGGUCUUUAGACACCUCAACUUUGCCUUCUGCAAAACCUCCACAAAAUCUGAAUUAUCCAACACAACAGCUAGACGCUUGAUCCUUCUUUUGUCCAUCAUAUCCACCGCAUGAUUCCUCAACAAACAUCUGCAGCUUGUGGCUUAUCUAACACUGUCCUGACCCAAAACCCCACUCUUUUCAACUCAUCUGCCAAACCAUAACCCACUUUUGGAGUCAAAAUUGUCCUUGCAGCCCUUUUAUAUUUUUCCAACUCCAUUGAAUACUUGCCACUCAAAUGCACUCUCCUACCUCUAGCUGAUUCUACUUGAUUCAACCUCUUCUUUUGUUUACACUCAUGAAUUUGGAUAAAAUAAUUAACAAGUUUGUCAUUAUUAUAAAAUCUCCUUUCACAAACACCACAUAAAUAUGGCUCAGCAGGCUUAAUUACACCCUUGCUUUCCAAUUGGUUAAACAAUUUUUCUCUUCUCUUUGCUCUCUUACAACUUGAGGCACAUAACUAAAUGCAUGGCUAUUGGCAUAUGCCACCAUGUAUUUAACAACCCAAGUGAAGAUAUUGAUUUGGGGGUUUGUUGUCCAAAUCCCUAAAAAUUCACACAUUGCGUUGGACAGUUUUUAGUUCUACAAUUAAUGAUACGUUAUGUGAAUUAAGCUCCAAAUGAGAACAUCUAAACAAUGAGACAAAUGGGCUCUAGGUUUCUAAUCAGUAAACAUCGUUCAGUCGCAUAAUUUAUGAAAUUUUUGAAACAUCACUACAGCUACAGGUCUUUAUGUGUCAAUGAACUGCAGAAACUAAUGAUCUACUAGUAGUAGACGUUUGUUGUCCCCACCGUUCCAGGAAGAAAAAUAAGUAGAAGAACUACUUUUAGACCAAAAUUAAAAAAUUGAAACUAUCUUGAAAGACUUUCCCUUCAACUAAGUAAAAAAGAAAAGAAAAAAAAAAGGUAUUAGACAAGCAUUUUCAAAGGAAAAAGAUCAUCCAUUUAUUGUAUGUACUCAGGAAAAAUAAAUGUACUAAUAGGUAGAAACACAGCAAUAAAACUCAAAAACUAACAUCUAUAAAGCUCAAUAACAAUUAUGAAUUAGAUAUUUUGGUCCCUUCAUAAUUCCUCCUCUUGACUUCACAUUUCCCCUCAGCCCGUGAUAAUUUUACCUAUUGAAUUCACAUUUCCCCUCAUCCAUUGAACUUUCCCAAUAACAAGAUGAGUCUAAAUCAUCAAUCUCAUUAAACACUCACAUCUACUAAAUAAUAUCGCAUGCAGUAACUUUAAGUAAGGAUCUAAAACUUACAAGAAAAAGAAAACUACUGUUUAUUAAUUUCAAAAUUUACACAAAAUUACAAAUGAUUUUAUAAACUGUACCAAAACAUGUUCUCUAAAAGAGAUUCAUUAUCCUGCAUUUUCAAAAACAAUAUAAACUAACACUAGAAUAGCCAUUUGAUAAUGAUGUGAAUUUGGGCAGCACCAAGAAGCAGUGAGCCCCAUUUGGUGAAAGCAAAAAGAAAAAAAAUUAAAAUAAAGCACUAUAAAUUCUAAUCAAAUUAUUAACAUUAGCUACACAUCAAGAAACCAGAAUAAAAUCGUUAUCUAAACCACAUACUGAAAAAGAAAAAACAAUGCAGUUAAAAUUCUAUCAUUUUCACUUACAAACAAAUAAAGAAAAAAUUAAGAACAAAGGUUGAAGCAAAGAAUGAUUGUACCUUGAGGUACUUGAGGUUAAUGUUUCCAUAAACGAGACCGAGCGAAAAAGCCGAAACCAGAGCAACCUAUUCUUACUACUCAAAAACACGCCCAGAUCAGAAAAUAAAUGAUCAUUCAAUAACAAUUCAUAGGAAAAUGAUGUUUGCCCCGGGUCAAACCCCGGGUCAAACCCCGAAAAUAACUUAAACGGCGUCGUUUUGAUUAUUUUUUUUCUUUUGGAAUACUCCAAAACGACGACGUUUCUGAUGAUAUUUUGAGAAGAAUAAAAUCUAUCUUCCUCUUCGUUUUCGUUUCUUCGUUUCACCUGUGAAAGAACAGAGCAACAGAGCAACAGAGAUCCCAACUUGGUCUUGUUCCGUUUGACCGUAAAUCUCUUCAUUUCUUCGUUUCUUCGUUUCUUCAAAUAACGGCAAUAUCACCCAAAACAAAGUUUCAUGCAAUGUUGUAAAAAAUAAAUUAUGAUUUGAGAACUGAAAAAAUAAUAUGAGAACUAAAAAAAUGAGACAAAUCAAGAAUAUGAGAACUGAAAAAAUUAAUUCAAUGUUACAAUGUUACAAUGUUCUAAAAACGAAGGCCAACUUCCUAAAAUAAAAUUAAAAAACAAAAUGCUACAAUGUUAAUCUUCGAAAAUUAAACUGAAAAAAUGAGACAGUACCGAAAAAAACAAAUCUUCGAAAAUUCAAGCUUGGCACAAUGUUAAUCUUUCGUCCAAACUCAGCUUUCAACCGUCCAAAUUCAGCUUGUCCAAACUCAGCUUUCAACCGUCCAAACUCAGCUUGUCCAAACUCAUCUUUCAACCGUCCAAACUCAGCUUUCAAGGACACAUUUCGCAGCCGAAACUCAGCCGAAACUCAGCUGCUGUUGGUCUUGUUCUUCAAUGGGUACCAAACGAAAAAGAAACGAAAAAGAAACUCAGACGCUUUCAACUCAGCUUCCAAGGACAAAUUUCGCAGCCGAAACUCAGUCGAAACUCAGUUGCUGUUGGUCUUGUUCUUCAAUGGGUGCGAAACGAAAAACAAACUCAGAUGAAGAGGAUGGAGCUUUAAUUAGUAGAUCCCGUUCUGCUGUCGAUGAGUGCUCCGGCUGUGGAUCUCGGUCGAGGAUGGAAGAAACGAAAAAGAAACGAACAAACGAAAAAGAAAAUAAAAGAAAACGACGCAAAUCAUUCAAUAAACAAACGAAAAAGAAAAAAAAAAAAGAAACGACGCAAACGACGCCGUUUAAGUUAUUUUCGGGGUUUGACCCGGGGCAAACAUCAGCACUCUUUCCUUUAUGAAUUGGGAAAAUGCUACUUUCCCCGGGUCAAACCCCGAAUUAUUUCAAAACGGUGUCGUUUUGUUUUUUUUUUUUUCUUUUUACUUGCAUGAAACGUGGUCGUUUGAGCUAGUAAAAACAAAACAAACUAAAGCAGAAAAAACUCAAGUGCUUAUCUUCUCUGCCCCUUUCUUAAUUUCCUUUUGACAAACCACGGAAUCACACCCACAAACAACAAUCACCCACAGUCACGCGAACAGCCGGCACAGACGAAGGAUGAGCCCACAGACGACGGACCACCGCAUUGAAAUCUCUGUCCACAUCACCGGCACCAUCAUCGUAGGUCUGUAACAAACUGUCGUAAGUUAAACCCUUCUCACCGUCGAUGAACUCGACGUAAGUACGGAAUACUUCGUCGAGAAUUGCGUUGAUUUGUUCGUCGCUGAAUUUGACUCGAGGGUUUACGGCCACCACUAAAGCCGCCAUUUCUUCUCUAUUACGGCCACCGUCGCGGUUCGUGUCAAAUUGUUGAAAAAUUCUCUUCACUUUCUCUGAUCUGCUUCCUCUCGUAGCCAUUUUUUUUUUCUGUUUUUCUGGGGGUCAGUUUGGUUUCUCAGUGUUUGUUUGAGAAAGCGGAAUUAGUAGAUAAGGGAAUAUAAGGAAAAGUUGAUAAAAAGGCAAAGGGUGGUUACUUUAAUUGUUGGUGAGAAUAAUGAUGAUGAUGGCUUAAUUCUGGGUUUUGUUGGAUCUGAAUGAAUUCUUAACGGCAAAAGUUAAAGAGUAGAAGAAGAGCAAGAGGACGGACUCUCAUUCUUUCCCUUUUUUCUUUUAAUUUUAAAUAUAUCAAAAACGGCAGCGUUUUGGAGAAACAAAAAAGAAAAAAAAAUUAAAACAAAACGACGCCGUUUUUGUUUUCGGGGUUUGACCCGGGGCAAACAUCAGCACUCAUUCAUAAAAACUCCAUCCCAUCGCAUUUAAAACAAAACAAAGAAAAUAUUGAUUAGAAAAAAAAUUACACGCAUGGAAUAAAAGAAUAUAAAAAUGGAAUUACCAGAGGGAGCUAGUGCCGGAGUAGGAACCAGAAGGCAGCGCCAUAUGAUGCUCUUGUUAUGGUUUUCCUUCUUGUGGGUCUGCGCUGAAGUCGAAGAUGAAGAAACAAGAAAGAGCCAGCAAAUUGAGAAAUCGACUACCAUCUUCGAUUCCGACUCGCAUGGCCAUUUUUCUUUGAUGAAUGAAAUAUUGUUUUACUCCCUAAUUCUUAACCAAAUUACAAGUUUUGACUUCUGUUUGUAUGUUCUUUCAUACGGGUUCUUGUUCACAGGAAUAACAAAUGGGCCGGACGUGUGGCUAAGCCCGGGCCUGGUGUCGAUAGCCAGGCCUGGGCUUUUACGAGCCCAGGCAUUUUAUUCUGAGUAUGAUCCUUAUAUCACUUCACUUUUGUAAUCGUAAUUUUAUUGUACUGAAAAUUAUAUGAACGAUUAAUAUGAAUUUAAUUAAACAAACAUGUCUUUACAACUCAUGCAACCUUACUAUUUUCUAAUCCUAAUAUGUGAUAUAAUUAAUUUUACUGAUAAAAUCAAAAUAAUUUUUAAACAAUGAAGAAAUAAAUUAUAAUAACAGUAAAUUUAUUACGAAAAAGUAUGUUUACAAAAUUUAUUUUAAAUGAUAUGAAAUCUAAUUAAAAUUCUAUUCUAAUUUUAUGCCCUUUUUUACAAUUUUAUUAAAAAGUGGGAUCUCUUAAGAUUUUAGGAGUGUUGGAAUUCUAUUUUUCCAGAUUUGAAUUUUAGUGACCUUUACUUCAUUUAAAUUUUUUGUUAUAAACUUGCAAGCAAGUGCAUUUAGGAUAUCUUUGGUGAACUGGAUUGUAACAAUAAUUUUAUUUAUUAAAAUUAUUAAAAGUAUUUAAUUAAUAAAACUUCACGUAUCCUCGGGUCUAACCAAUCAAAUUCUUUCUCUCAAAAGUACACAAAAGUGAGAUUGGCUCUUGCCUAUUAGUUAACAUAUGCAUAUUAAUUAACACUGACAGAUAUAUAGAUAUACAGCACAGCUAGCAGCACAUUCGACUUACAGAUAUACAGAACUUGAACAUAAUUCACAUAUCUGAAGGGAGAGGGAUAUCGAUGUUGCGGCCUGCAAUUCAUAACAUAUCAUCGGUCAUUUAAUCUAGAAUUGAGGAGAGAAAAUGAGUCUAAAUUCGAAAACUUUGGCACUAUUUACAUAUCAUUAUUUGGGUGAAAAUUCAUUUCUCUGCUUUGAUAUGAUUUGGUCUUUCAUUGUUACGGUGCCAAUUUUUUAUUUAAAGAUGUAAGGUAGUGGUACUAUAGCUUAUAUUUUCCGUAAUUACUAUCCGGUAAGUACAAAAAUAAAAUACUAGUUUAAAAUAUAAAAAUGAAAAAUUAUUUUUAUAACCAAUAUUCAAUUAAAUACAUUUAAAACUCUAUUUUUUCUUAAUAAAAAAAAUUCUAAUUUAUUUUCUCAAUUUAUCUAAACAACUUUACCUAAUCAAGCUAAAUCUACAUAUUACCCUAAACCUUAAUUCAUAAACACCCAAUCAAUCUAAUUGUUAAAUCUUAUUUCAUAAUAAAAAAAAAUUAAUUUCUUUUUUAUUAUUUAUGGUGCAAAGGAAAAAAUGAAUUUAAAGGUAAAAUUGAUAUUUUAUUUAAAUUUUGUUAAUAUUCUAAUAAUAUUAAUGUCUUGGUGGUUAAUAAAAGCAUAAAGUUAAACUUUUGUAGUAUUUUUAAUAAUAUGGUAAAGAUAUAUGUUUGAUAAUUUUCUUAUGUCUUUUUACGUUAAAUUGAGUCUCAAGUAUAAUGAAUAAAUAAUACAUAUUAUAAAAUUAGUGUAGAUAAAUAAUACAACUUGAAAAUAUUAUAGUAUUCUUAAUAAUAGAGAAAUUUAAAGGUGGAUAGUUGAUUGUUUAAUGAAACAACUACAGAAUUUUCCUUUCAAAUAUCUUUUUGAAAAAACAUGAUUGAGUAAAAAUUAUUUUACAGAAUGACCUUUCAAAUGCCCAUUCGACAAGCCAAGAAGAAAGGGUAGCUAACAAAUUUACAAGUACCAGAGAUCCAGAAACACAUUUAUAGCCAAUCCAUUUAUGAGUUACAUUCAACACUCUCACAAACUGAAAAAAUAAAAAUUAUUACGGUCAAGACGCACACUUUUUGACAUCCAAAAAGCUAAACAUUUGAAGUUCUUCAAUACAAAAUGCAUACUAAAUUGGCACAAUUAAUGCCCAUGGAAGGGUCAUCAAUUUAAGCCAACAAAUUUGCCAAAGUUUUAACAGUGAACACAAAAGGAACAUGUAAAAUUUGAAGUUGAACAAAUCUUCACAUGCAUACAACAAGCCUUAAAACUUUAGUCUUCACAAUUUGAGCACGCAAUAAAUAUUAAGUGACCACCCGCAGAACAAGUCUAGAAUAAACUUGUUAGGUUCUUGCGCGAACUGAACCCCUCUGAAACACUAAAAGAGAAAGUACAAAAUAAAGAAGACCAUAUUACGUGGCUAACUAACAGCCAUUCCCAAAGAAAUGAGAGUGAUGAUAACGUCUUUUUUUUUUUUUUUUCCUUUCAAUCAUAUUUCUCGUCAUCUUCUUCUUCACGGGCAUCUACACUGACGUCUCCCUCUUGGCUGGCAUCUUCCUCGUUUGUAGUCGGUCGCUAUCCAACCAACAAAUUGGGCAUUAAAGAACAAACAGAGAAAAUUAUAACAAUAAGAACUAUAAACAUGAAAAGAAAAAAAAAAAAAAGAUAUUUGAAGGGAAAUUUUGGUAGAACUCUAUGGCUCAUCCGUGAAAUUAAUGUUAAUAUAUAUGUUUAUGUAAUGACGGUCUAUUGAUUUUAGGAUAGAUCAAUAAGCUAUUACAAACGAAAACAUGAACCAACUAUAUGUAGAGUUAAUUAAUUUAAAGUUCUCAAGAGCUUACCUCUGCUCCAGAAUUCUCGGAAUCAGCGCGAAACUUGGGACAACGACAAACGCGUGCAAGUGGAACUGGGAUCUGAUAACCCGUAGGCCAAAAGUUGGUGAGGUUUGGUAAAUCUUUCAGACUCACGUACGGAAGUUCGUCCAUAACAAUUUCAUCGUAAUCCAUGACGUGUGCUCCAUCUUUAUCCCAGAAUACUUCUUCUAAUUCAUCAUUACUAAAUAUCUCUAGUUUCAUUAGUUUUUGAAGACUUGGAGCUACGCUGAUAUGAAAUAGAUACUUUAGUUUGGGGCAAUGACCGACAAAGAUCCAUGUGAGUUUUGGGAAACAUAUAGGUUGGAGAUGAUCCUCAUCCUCAUCCUCAUCAAUGAUUUGCUCUAAUUCCCAGCAUUUCCAAAUAUAUAACUUCUCCAAUUGCAACAGAUUUCGAGCAAGUGUUGAUGAGAGGAGACGUCUCAGCUUAAUGCACCCCCUUACGGUUAAAUCAGUAAGAUUUUGCAGGCUAAAAUUAUGGGUGGGACCUUCAUGAUAUAAUAAUACUUGCAGUUCUCGAAGAUCUUCCAAUUGCAACGACUCCAAACAUGGGAAUAGUUUGUUUUCUUGUCCCUCAGCGAUAAUAGCUUCCACUUGAAAUACCACCUGUACUCCAAUUUCCACAAUAUUCAAUUCUUCCAAAUUUUUUAAUCCAUGCUUCAACAGUGCGGGAAUUGUGUCACACAAAUGGGAGCAAUCUUCCACAUCUAGAGUAUUUAAGUUCUGAGACAAAUAAAUAAAUAACUUGAUACAAUUAACAUCUAUUAGCAGCUACGAUUAUCACAUGAUAAGCAAUAAACUAACACCAAAAAAAAAAAAUCUAAAUCCGUACAAAAUAGUUAUACUUUAUGAAAGUAAUGGAUUUAUUAAAAAAAUGAAAUUAGUUAAAAGAGAUCGUGUGAAGUGAUAUAAUGGUGAAAUCGGUUUGUUUAUGAAAAUUUUGUAUUCUAUUUCUAUGGCUUGAUUAACGAAUUAAUUGAAUUUGCUUAAUAUUAUAUGUACUCCACCAGUGUUUGCAUCCAUUUUUUUUUCCUUCAAAAGCGAAGCGAGAUUUGACUUUCAUUUGAAGAAUGAAUUUUAGGCCCUAAAAUAAGGAAGUUUCCCUAACAUAUUGGAUUUUAUUAUUAUCAUCACCAUUAGCACUACGAUCAUCAUCAUCAUCUCUCUCUACAAAGCCAAAUGCAAGGUGGUAUGAAUGGCGGAUCAUAAAAAUUAUUGAUAAACUAUCAAUUUGAAUAAAAUUGAAGAAAAAUAAAGAAAAAAACAUAAACACAAACGAACAUACCUCUCCAAGAUACUGCAAAUUGGCUUCAAGUUCAGUAUUGUGGACAGUCAAGUUUGGACAGCUGGUUACAUCUAACUUUUCCAACGCUGGCCAAGUUGAAUAAUAAUUUUCUGAACAAAAGCUAAUGAGUUGGGAGACCUUCAAGGCUUAAAUUUCUCAACAAAGAGAGCUCGAGUAUUCUAUUUUCAUCUGCUACACUUAUUUCCCCUUCAUUAUGAUCAAACUUUACUUUGACGAUGCAUUCCAGUCUCUCGCAUCCACUCACUUCGAGACUUUUAAGCUGCACCAAACUUCGAGCUUGUGACAACGAGAAGAUAUAUGUCAAGUUGUUGCAUCCGUACACACUCAGUGCUGUAAGAGUUUGGAGGCUCACAUGUUGGGCGGGCGCCUUCCAUAUCUGCUUCAGUUCUGGUAACUCCUGCAUAUAUAACCUUGCUAAUCUUGAGAGCAUCAUAGGAUUCCCACUCUCUCCUUGCGGCGACUGAGAGGCAUCCAUUAUGCAUUCUAAAUCUUCACAAUUGUUGACAAAAAGAAAAGUCAACUUAUUUAAGCCCCUUGGAUCUAUGCUUGGCACAAUAUUAUGACAACUUAUUAUGUCAAACAAAGGUUUCAAUGCAGAAAAUAAUUCUUUCGUAUAUUCUUCUCCAAAUCAGAGGCAAUAUAUGAAGCUAAUUACAUCCUAAAAAAGGAAGAAAUAAAUUGUUUCUAUAUUUAAAUACAAGAUUGAUCAACUAAAAAGAUUCCCGGACGUAAUAACAAAAUCAAUUCUAUAAUUGACAGCACAUGCCGACAGCUCAUGCUAGCUCAUGCCGACACUCCCCCUCAAGUUGGAGCAUAGAUAUCUAUCAUGCCCAACUUGUCAAUUAUAUCAUGAAACACCCUUCCUGAUACUGUUUUUGUGAGUAUGUCAGCCAACUGAUCUCCAGAUUGAACAAAUGGGAACUGUAUAGUUUUCUCGUCAAGCUUCUCCUUGAUGAAAUAACGAUCUACUUCAACAUGUUUUGUGCGAUCAUGUUGUACAUGAUUCUGGGCAAUCUCUAUGGCUACUUUAUUAUCACAUUUAAGAUUCAUGGGUUUUGCAUAAUCAAUCCCCAAAUCUUUCAGUAUGUUCUUGAUCCAUAACAUCUCACAUACACCUUGUGCCAUUCCACGAAAUUCCGCUUCAGCGCUUGAUCUUGCCACAACCUUCUGCUUCUUGCUUCUCCAAGUGACGAGAUUGCCUUCAACAAAUGUAAAAUAACCUGAGGUAUAUCUUCUUGUUGUCUGGUCACCUGCCCAAUCAGAGUCCGUAUAUCCUUCAAUGUUUGAGACAGUAUUUUUUGAGAACAAUAAACCUUUUCCAGGAGCACACUUCAAAUAUCUCAGAAUUCGAUAGACUGCAUCCAUAUGUUCUUCACUUGGUGAAUGCAUGAAUUGGCUUACUAUACUUACGGCAUACGCUAUGUCUGGCCUUGUGUGGGAUAAAUAGAUUAACCUCCCAACUAGCCGUUGAUAACGACCCUUAUCAUUUGGUAAAAUCCCAAGCUUGUGAUUCAUCUCUAUAGGCGUUUCAACUAGUUUACAAUCAAGCAUACCAGUUUCAGUGAGGAGAUCUAACACGUAUUUUUGUUGUGAAAGAAAAAUUCCACUUUUCGAUCUUGCUACCUCAAUCCCCAAGAAGUAUUUAAGCUGCCCAAGAUCUUUCAUUUCGAAUUCAGUAGCCAAAUGUUCUUGUAGUGCUUUCAUUUCAGAUAAAUCAUCCCCUGUUAACACCAUAUCAUCAACAUACACUAUUAACACCGUCACUUUUCCGCCUUUGUGUUUUAUAAACAAAGUAUGGUCUGAAUUACUUUGUUUAUAACCAGCAGCUUUCAUUGUCGCUGAAAACCUCCCAAACCAUGCCCUAGGUGACUGUUUUAGUCCGUACAAGGACUUCUUCAGCUUACAUACUUCAUUCCUAUGCAUAGAACUAUGUUUGACACCAGGAGGUAGCUCCAUGUAAACUUCUUCUUCUAAAUCUCCAUUGAGAAAAGCAUUUUUGACAUCGAACUAUUUUAAGGGCCAAUCUCGAUUUGCUGCUAUAGAAAUAAUAAUACGAAUGGUAUUUAUCUUGGCUACUGGUGCGAAAGUGUCUUGGUAAUCUAAUCCAUACCUUUGUGUAUAUCCCUUUGCCACUAGUCUCGCUUUAUACCUAUCAAUGAUUCCAUCCGCUCUGAGUUUUACCGUGAAUACCAUCUACAUCCAAUUGUUUUCCUUUCCUUAAGUAGUGAAACCAGUUCCCAAGUGGCAUUUUUUUGUAGAGCUUCCAUCUCUUCAUUCAUCGCCUUAGUCCAUUUUGGAUCCUCCAAAGCAUCCUGUACACUACUAGGAAUAGAUAUAGUGGAUAAUUGAUUAAUAGUAAGUGCAUAUGAUUCACACAACCUAUGAGAUGACAUGUAGUUACUGAUUGGGUAUUUUAUUUUGGAUUUGGGAUCAGGUUCAUAUUGUUUAUUUGGAAUUCCUCUAUUUGACCUUUGUGGAUAUUUAGGAUUCAUGUCUUCUACAGAAAAAAAUGGUUCAUUAGACUCAUUAGACAAUGGAUUUGAAAUUACAUGAGGAGGAACACUUUCGGUUAAUUCUUCAGUUAAUGGUGUAGACAUGGGUAGCUCUAGUGGCCUUGAUUGUGCUUCAGACAUGUCCAGAAAAUUGGAGGGAUCACAUUCGGUUUCAGUCAUGUUAUCACACCCUUGUUGAACCUCAUUUCCAUCACUGUUUUGAAGUUUUUCGACCAUGUCUUCUAAUUCUACAAAAUCACCUCCUCCUUCAUUUUCCCUUUGACCAUUCUCUUCACACAAACUCUCCCCCUGGAGGGAAUGGUAAGAGACUCCCCCUGAGUAAUAAGGUUCUAAUUCAUGAAAAGAGACAUCCAAAGUUACAUGCAAUUUUUUUGUGUGUGGAUCAUAGCACCUAUAACCUUUUUGAAGAUCAGAAUAGCCAAUAAAAACACAGCGUUUGGCACAUGGAUCAAGUUUAGUUCGUAAACUUUUUGGAAUGUAAGCAUAAACAAUACAACCAAAUAUUCGGGGUUCAAGAUUAGGAAGAUGAGGAAUUGAGAGUAAGGAUUGCAUUUUUUGUUGGGGAGUUUGAAAAUCUAGCACUCGUGAAGGGGUUCGAUUAAUGAGAUAAGCUGUCCCCAAUAAAACCGAGGCAUGUUCAUGCCAAAAAGAGAAGCACGAACCACCUCUAAAAUCUGUCUAUUUUUCCUCUCAGCCAGCCCGUUUUGUUGUGGGGUGUAAGUGCAUGAGGUCUGAUGACGAAUUCCAUGAAUGUUUAAAAACUUGCCAAGAGAGGCAUCCAUAUACUCAGUACCAUUGUCAGAUUGAAGUACACGAAUCUGCUUUUGAUAUUGAGUACUUACCAUUUUGUGAAAUUCUUGAAAGGCUAGACAUACAUCGCUUUUUUUUAUAAGUAAAGACACCUAAAUCAUUCUAGUACAUUCAUCAAUAAAUGUCACAAAAAAACGAGCUUUAGAAAGAGAAGCAACUUUUGCAGGACCCCAAACAUCGGAAUGAAUCACCACAAAAAGGUUCUAGACUUUUAUUUAAACUUGGUAAAUAAGAAGUGCGAUGGCUUUUAGCCAUCUCACAAAUGUCACAAUGAAAAUUCAAAUCAUUUAGAGUUGAAAAAAGAUGAGGCUGUAAUUUUUUGAGAUAACCAAAAGAAAGGUGUCCUAAUCUACGAUGCCAUAACCAAACAUUUGCCCGAGUUCUAUCUUUAUUAGAAGCUUGAUUUGCCUGACUGAUAUUUGGUCCCUCAUUUUCUGUCAAUUCCAAGUAAUAGAGUUUACCCCGUCUAACACCAUAAUCAAGAAUCUUCCGAGUUAGGAUGUCCUGAAAAACACAAAAAGCGGGCCAAAACGUUACAGUGCAAGCAAGUGUGGAGGUAAUUUGGCUAACCGACAAAAGAUUAUAUUCAAGAGAUGGGACAACAAGAACUGUAUCUAAUGUAAGAGUAUUACUCAAGGUAAUAGACCCUUCCCCAAUAAUAGGAGAAGUACUACCGUUUGCAGUGGAGAUAACAGAUUGAGAAGAGGGAAGAACAGAUUUUAAUUGGCUAGAAUCUCUGGUCAUAUGCUCAGAUGCACCUGUAUCAAUAAUCCAUAUUCUAUUCUUAGAAGUUACAGAACAUACAGAUGUCUUACCAAUAAUACCUGGGUGGGCAACAUUUGCUGAAGGGGAUGGUUGUUCUUCAUCCUUUGCUGCUGUCACAUUAGCCUUCCCAGAUAUUUUCUUACGGGGCUUCUUUGAGAAAUCCCACCAAUCUGGAUAGCCAAUGAUUUCAUAGCAGCGUUGUUGUGAAUGACCUUUUUCUCCGCAGUGAGUGCACACAAGGUUGUUAACUUUGCUGGAUGAUUGAUUGCCUCGAUUUUUUGAAGAUCCAUUUCGGUUUUGACUGGCCAGCAUGGCAAGGUUCUCCGAAAUUAAAUUAGAGCCUCUCAUUGUUUGUCUCUGUUGGUAAUCCCUUCUAACAUAAGCAUAUGUGCUUUCUAAAUCAAGUUUUGGGUAUUUUCGCAAUAUUUCUCCACGAACCUGUUCAAACUCUGAGUCGAGGCCACUUAGAAAAAUAUGAACUCGAAGCCUAGCCAUUGCAGAAUGCAGCUGUAAUAGCCCUUCGACUGUGCCUUCUUUAGUGGUAGUCCUAUGAUCGAUUUCCUGAAAAAUGGCAACCAGUUCAUUGUAAUACGUUGGCAAUGGUCGCCCAUCCUGUUUGGUAGAGAAAGAUCUCUGGUUCAGCUCAAAAAUACAGGUUUCAUCGGUUCCAUCAUAGAAGGUUUUCGAUACAGCCUCCCAUAUAUCUUUGGCUGUAGGGAGACGAAUAAAUCGUUGCAUCAACGAUGGACUCAUUGAGUCAAUCAACCAGCUCUUGACUCUUUGAUUUUCAGUAAUCCAUGAUCCAAGAUUAGGAUCUCCUGGUGCUGGUUUCUUCGUUUCUCCAGUAAGAUAACCAGCUUUGUUGCGAGCACUAAUCCGCAUCUCUAUGAGUUGAGACCAUAAUGAGUAGUUGGUCUCAUCCAGAGUGAUUCCAGUUGGAAAUGCCGAGUUGUCUUGAUGAACAACAACUUGUGGUGCUGGUGGUGGGAUAAUAUCCAUUGAUACGCCUGUGAUAUCAGUCAUAGAGAUCACAACAACGGUGAAUAUUCAGAAUACGAAUACAAAUUUCGAGAGAAAAAAAGAAAAAAGAAAAUAUUCGGUUGUCAACACAAAUUCUCUUGAUGAGGAACCUGCUCUGAUACCAUGUCAAACAAAGGUUUCAAUGCAGAAAAUAAUUCUUUCGUAUAUUCUUCUCCAAAUCAGAGGCAAUAUAUGAAGCUAAUUACAUCCUAAAAAAGGAAGAAAUAAAUUGUUUCUAUAUUUAAAUACAAGAUUGAUCAACUAAAAAGAUUCCCGGACGUAAUAACAAAAUCAAUUCUAUAAUUGACAGCACAUGCCGACAGCUCAUGCUAGCUCAUGCCGACAUAUUAUCCUGCUCAAAUCAAGAAAUUCCAGAUUUUGAUACAAUGCUGAAAAAAUAUUGAGCGAGGUCGCUUCAAAAGGGUAAUCAAUGAUUAAGCUCCUUGUCUUAUCAGCAUCUUCCAUUUUAUAGUCAACUCCUUCACCUUUAAUCGUGUACCUUUGCAAUUUUGGGAAUGUAAAAUCUUUUGAAAGAUAUACAACAGAUCUGCCAACUUGGAAGUUAAACUCAGCAAGCCUAGCAUUACUUUCUUCUGAACUCAUCACUUCAACCUCCCAAUCUUUUAUCCGACCAUAAAAUUCUUCUAAUUGAGGAAAUUUUUUUAUCGUAACGGGAGAAACAGAACCAGUAUCAAUAUAUAGAAGUUUCAAUCUACGAAGUUCAUCCGACAAAUCUUCAGGAAUUUCAAUGGGAGAAUUCUCGAGAUAAAGAAGUUCAAGUCUUUUCAACUUUCCAAGAAAAGACGCGUCACUCACAUGACGUCCAAUCAACUGCAGAACUCUGAGGCUAUUGGCAAGGAAUCGAAGCGAUUUUAGUGAAAGGACUCCAUUGAUUAUAGUAACAACUUUCAAUGCUGGCAUCCCUUCAAAAAAAUUUUCUGGAACUUGCAAUUUGUAGCGAUAUAGAUUAUUGUGCAGUCGCAAAAUAUGAAGGUUAGGGCAUACCAAACGACUAGGAAGCUCUUCUUGUUUAUUUCCCAUUACAGAGAUUCCUCUAUAUUGCUCCAGGCCUUCUUCCAUUGCCCGUUCUACCAAUCCAAUGCCAACUUUACUAAAAAAUUUCUUCUCCACUAGUGCUUCUGAGCCUAUCCAUAUGGCUACAUCACGAACUAUGUCAUGCAUUUUCACAGAUCUGUCAUUACCAGUGUCUAACAGCAGUGAAGCAGCUUUGAGUCCCUCAAUUAUUCCACGCAGUAGGCUUCUGGCGUUCUCUAUCGACUCAGCUGGAUGCCAAAUCAACCCCACACCGUAUCCAACCAAAACCUCCAAAUAAAUGUCAUAAUCUUCUGGAAACAUCGAACACAACAAGAAGCAUAACUUGGAAUCCUCACCAUUCAAAUUGUCGUAACUAAAUUUAAGACAACCACAAACGUUUCGCUCAUCCUUAUCAAUCCCUUCGAUUGCAUAGAGUUUUGCUUCCCUUAGGUUAUGUAGAGCUAGAUUCCAUUCAUCAAAUCCUUUUCCUCUUAGUGCACUUCCAACAGCUUCAAUAGCUAAAGGCAGCCCCUUACAUUCUCCAGCAACAUCUUUGGAAACAUCAUUGAAGGUGGAGUCAUUCACAUCAAUGCCGGCAUUUUUUUGCAGUAAAGCCAAUCCUUCUUCUGGCGUUAGUGUACCCAGUGGAAUCUGCGAGUCACAACGCAUGCGUUCACAAACUGACUGCAGGCGAGUAGUUAGAAGGAUUUUGCAGCGAUUGUCUCUAUCACCAAUGGGUAUACCUAAUUUUUCCUUCAAGUUUAGUUCGUUCCAGACAUCAUCGAGGAUUAUGAGGAUUUUGGUGCUUUCGCUCGCAGAAAACAUCGAGCGCAGUUGGUCUGCUCCAUCUUUUUCAUCUUUCUGCUUUAAUUCCCAACCUAAUGAAUUUACCAGCUCAUUUUGAACAUUUAUUAUGUUUGGAUGCUGAGAUACAGUGGCUAGCCCCACUUUAUCGAAAAUCUUUUGUUGCCGAAGUUGACUGCCCACAAAUUUUGCCAAGGUCGUCUUUCCUACACCACCGAGGCCAUGCAAUCCCACCUUCUUUGUGCUCUCUUUUUUCAGCGCGUCAAUGAUCAGAUUGUAAGCUGAUUCUGUGGUCUUGUAAGUAGAAGAAAAAUAACUUGGUAAACUUAAUUCUCUCUCUAAUGGUGGAGGUUUAGCAAGGGCAGCUGUGUUGAAUUGGCUGUAGUGUUGUAGCAGAUCAAACAACUUCCUAGUCUUCUCUGAUGCUUUUCCGCCCAGACUAUAUCGGCAACCCCAUUCAGGACACAAUCCAUGAAGACUACUAUCCUUUUUAUCUAUCUCUGCUUUCAACUUUUGAAUAUCGCCCAAUUCCCCGUCUACAUCCUUCAGCCACUCCGUUACAUUUUGAUCGACUACUAUGUCGGGGCGUUUUUGUCGUUGAUCUUCUAUUCUCUUAUUGAUGACAUCUAGUGCCUUCUUCAACUUAGUUUGUUCAACCUCAAGUUUUUUCACAAUGCGGUCGAAACAGAAUAGAUAGGAAGUUCUUUGAUUUCAUUCACCAAAUAUUUUCCAAUCGAUUCUAAAAGUGGUUUAAAAAUUUCUUUUAAACAAUCUUUUAAAAUUUCCAUGCUAUUUAUCUGCAAAUAAAAAAGUUGAUCUCAAUACGCUAUAAGCAAAAGAACGAGGCUUGAUCACAAGAUCGAAUGAAGACGUUUAAUUACCUUUUUUUGUUAUGUGAAUGCACGUUUAUUAACACCAGCUUUUUUUUUUUUGGUCUAAUCCAUCCGGUAUCCGGUGACCACAUUGGGCCCCGACUACUCCGGAUUCGGAGAGAGGGCGUAAUUCUCCUCCCAACGUAGGCGACUCCACCAAGACUCGAACUGGGGAGCAAACCCAGUCGAGCCCCUGAGGGGUUCAGCCCGCUGCCAACUGAACCAACCAGUCGUUGGUUUAUUAACACCAGCUUUGAUCAAUAAGAGCAAAAUGCAAACGCCGGGCUUCAAGAGUUCUAAGUGGCCUUUAGCUGCAGAAUAGAAGAUGACAAAUAAGGUAAAACGUUCCCAGCAAACGUGAUAUGUGGUGGACUUAAAAUGAUACCUUAUUUGGGAUGAUAAAGAUUGGGGUAAAUUCUCUUUUGUUCUCAAAAUUUUGAACCUAUUAUCAGUUGUAGUAUUUGUAUUUUUAAAAAUUACCUAAAACAUGCAUGUCACUACUUUCAUAGCUAUUGAACAUUUCAUUUCAAAUAUAAAAUACUAUAAAUUAAAAAUCAAACAAAUCUAUCAUGCAACAAACGAAAAGUAAAUACUAAUAAUUAGGUUUUAAUGGAAACUAAUAUAAAACAUAGAGGUUUUAAUUAAUUUUUGUGAUUUCUUUUAAUGUUCGAUUUAGAAUUGAAUAAUUUGUAUAAGGAAAAUAAACUGCAAAAUAAGUUUAUAUGCCGAACUUAAAAUAGUUUCAUAUUAGUAAUCAUAUAAUUAUCAAAUUUUUUAAUAAAAUUUAUUUAAAAAUUGACCAAUUGCGUUUCAUGAGGAAAACAGAGAGCAUAAUGGACUUAUGUUGCGACUUGGGAUUGAAAGGCCAGAAGGUAGUGUUAGCCUAUAUGGCUAUAAAAUAUUGAUUUUGAUGAUAACAAACCACAUGUAUUGACUAAGCAAAGAUUUAUAAAUUAUGCUUUUAUAAUAAGAAAAUAAUGUUAUGGAAUUAAAGUAUUUUGGACUAAAAUGAAAGUAUUUUAAAAUCUUUGAUAGUGUUUUUAAAUUUCGGAUUUGGACCUAUUUAAAACUAUUUAAAUGUUUUUGGGUCAUUCUAUAAGUAUGGGUCAGUUGAAAUUUAAUGGAAAAGUUUACGACAUAGUCAAAGUUCGAGAGCUAUUUUCAAUUUGAGGAUAAAACAAUGUUGCAAUUGUUGGCUUGUUGCAACAUUCCAUAACUUUUGUGUAUUUGUGGCUUAAGUAUAUGGCAGUCCUUGAUAUUGUAUAUUACAUAUAUCCUGCCUUCAACUCACUGAGAGUAAGAGUGCCACUGUUGUCAGUGUCCAUCUCUCUAAAUUUUUCCGUUAGCUUUUGCUUUUCUCCUGUUGGAAGAUUUUCCACAAUGACCUGAAAAUCCACUCAGUUUUAUCAGUAGAGGAAGCACAAUUAAAUGCAUAAAUUUAAUGGCUUGCACAUAUAUAGCUAACUGAAUAUAAUAACAAGUACUUCGCAAUAAAACAUUGUUGGUGAGGAAGUGCAGAUGCAGAAAUUCGAUCAAGCAUUUAACUAAUGAUUGUCGCUGUUGUAUCCAAUUCUCAUACUUAGCCCUAAUCUGAGCUAGCUCCUAAAUGGGAAGAAUCUUUUUAAUUACAUGCGUAUGUAUAUAAUUAUUAGUUAGCUAGUUGUGGUCAAUGUGACCUGUAUUUUAUCAAUGGAAUUUUAAUCAGGUGUGCGCGACAUCACACAUUGUGCACUAGAUCAAUCCUCUUAUCAAUUAAUAUAUAUUAUAUAUAGAUAUAGACACGUAUGUGAGUGGAGGAAGAAAAAAAAAUUAAGAAUAAUUUUGGCAUUUUGAUGGGUUUUAUAGAGUAAAAUCUAUAUUUUCAAAUAUGAUAAUUCUUUAAUUUAAUUUGGUGUUAUGAAAAAAGGGCAUUUUAAAUAUGUUUUAAGUUAUAAAUAACUCCAUCCAAAAUUUAAAAAUGAAAUCUGGGGGGGGGGGGGGGGGGAGGAGGGGGGGAAUUUCACCCGAACUAACAAAGGCCCAGAGUAGCCGCGGCUUUUUUCACCAAUUCUCUAAUUCCCAAUGUGGUCUAAUUAUUUACAAGGAAUAUGAGAUUCUCUACCACUCCAAUUUAUCCCAUUGUUAGUAAUCUUAUUAGCUGUUUUAUAUCCUAUUUUUAUUAUGCUCCCCAAACAAAUAUGUUUCACCUAAAGGUGCCCAACGGGCUGCACCGUCCGUCUGAAUGAACGCAUGAGAGGCUCCACAUGACCCGGCAAUCUUUUUCUUUUUAAUGAGGGCGUGACUGAUAUGCUUUUUCAAGUCUAACGCUCUUUUUUUUAAAAUCCAUAUAUUUUUUUAAGCUCAUGUCAAAUUCGGUAGUAAGAGAAUGCAAUGCUAGUUAAUAAGUUAAAGUGCAUCCGUGCCACUUUUUUCUUGUUGUUUUAUUUGUAUGAUAAUUAUCAUGGACCCACGUAACUUUCUUUUCCAUUUAAAAUUUUAUAAUAUAUUAAAUUAGACAAAAGAAAUGAAUCCCACAAAUAAUUUAUUUUAUAAUUUUUUAAAUAAUACUAUUUUAAAAUAAAUUAUUAAAACAAAUUUUAUAUUCACUAAAAUUAAUCAUAUUCAUAUUAUAAAAUAUAAAAACAACAUUUGAAAAAUAAUAUCAAAUACACCCUUAAAUUUUAUAUCGGCACUAGAACCGAUGAACAAUUUUUGACAAAGAUGUUGCGACCUAAGUAGGGAUAGCAACUAAAUUCGGAUCCAACUCGGAUAUGUAAGGAUCCGAAAGAUCCAGAUCCAGAAAAUUUUUUAUCUGAAUAUUAAAAAAUGUUGAUCCGGAUAUAGAAAUUUGGGAUCUGCACGGAUUGGGAUGGAAGUACAUUCGGAAAAUUGGAUGUCGAGAUCCGGAUAAAUUUUGUUUCAAAUUAAAAAUAUAUAUUAAAAAUUAAAUAAAAAUUAAAAAAGUAAAUUUUAUUUGUGGAUUUAUGAUGUUGUUGUAUAUUAUUCAUGUUGAAUUAUUAAUUGUUGGAUUAUGAUUGAAUUUUGUUUGAAAUUAUUGGGUAAAUUUUUGAAUUUUAUUUUAAAUUAAAAAUAUUUAUUAAAAAUUAAAUAAAAAUAAACAUUAAAUUUUAUUUGUAAAUUUAUGAGAUUAUUGUAUGUUAUUCAUUUUGAAUUAUUAAUUGUUGAAUUAUAAUUAAAUUUUAUUUGGUAUUAAUAGGUAAAUUAUUAAACUUUCAAAUUAUAUAUUAAAUUAUUUAAUUUUAAAUUUUGCAGAUCCGAAUAUCUAGAAUAUUUGUCCGCAUAUUUUUUUACGAAUCCAGAUAUAGAAAUAUGAAUAUGGAUCCAAAUUCGGAUUUUGACAACCCUAGACCAAAGCAUGAAUGUGCCUAAAGUUUUUACUAAGAACAUGGAUCAUUCAAUGACCCGACAUGUUUUGCAGCUCUCAUUAGUAUAAUUGAAUAAUUAAUUCAUCUCUAUAUUCAGCUUACACCGUCUCAAAUUGCAUGCAAAUACGAAAGUACACAUCUGAAUCGUUCACUUGAGGAAAAUUAAUUUUAACGCAAUAAGUCCUAAUUCUCCACGUAGAAUUUUAAUUCAAAGCAUAGCAAAUUAGACAUAAUUCUAAUUUAUAUGGGAAAUAUAAUUAGCGAAGACACUCUUUAUAUAAACAUUAUUGUCAUAGGAUGCCAAACCUAAUAAGAUUCAAGAUCUUAACAUACUUCAUAUGAAAUUUGAUCUUGGCGCGUACCGACACGCUUAACAUCAAGACUCUACUUCAUAUAAUGUAACUUCAUGGAUUUUUUGCUCUCUUGUGAAAUUGACAAUUAUUGGCGCUGUGUGGCAGUGGUACAUAAUAAAAUAAACGUUUAUUUUUAGAAUAUUAUUAUUUAUCUCAAUUUUUUAUUUAAUAGUUAAUUUUAAUAAAUUCUUAAACUGUCAUAAUCAAUUAAUUUUUUACAUUAUGGCAUCUUAAAUAAAUUUUGGAUCUAUAAUAAAUAAAAACUGGUAACGUUUGUUCUAUUAAAACAUAAAACAACCGUAACAUUGGUUUUUACAUUUUGAAUUUUUCUUGCAUCACUAUUUAGAAAAAUGAUGUUAAAUCAACUCACAAAAUAUAUCAAGCCAUCUAAAAUCCAAAUAUUAUUACAUUUGUAUUUGCAUUGUUAAAUUGUUGGAACGACGGCAAAGCAAUUGAAAAGAGAUUAACAAAAAAGUAAAGAUUGGCCAAGGAUUAUUCAUGUUUAGGAAAUGCCUUAACUUUUGAUAUAAUCAUUGUUAUAAUUAUAUUGUAGAAAUAAUCAAUUACCUAAUGUUUGUGGUGGUAAAUAUUAUUAACUUGUUUUACUAUACCCAUGUUUAUGUUGGUCUCCUUUUUGUCCAUUUCUGUACAACGAAAUAUUUGCAUGUUUCGAUAGAAAUUGGUUUAAAUGACAUUUAAAAUAGUAUAUCCCCAGACAAUUAACGAAAAAUUUGGAUGGUAGGAUGAAGUAAUAAGUAGUUUUACAAAUUACCGUAUUAGAGGUAAAAAAAAAUCAAGAGGUUACUUGACAAUUAUGACAUUACUAACUACAAAUUUAACACAAAAAGUUUAAUUAACUUUUCUUUUUGAGAUGACAAAAUCUCUGGUGUUGAAAACAAUGAGGUUUGAGGUUCAAGCUUGAAUAUCAAGUUACAAUUAGUAGAUGGUCUUAGGACAUAUCAAAGAUUUCUUUAAAGACAAAAUAAUAAUUACAAGCAAUAGGAAUUUAUGGUAUUCAGAACAUGUAUAUCUUCGCACAUGAAGCUUGAGUCCAGCAAAAGAUGCAGCUAGCCAAUCCUUCAACUUCCAAAACCCCACAAAAUCUCUGUCAACAUUGUUAGAGUUAUAAAUAUAAAGAAUAUUUUUGUAAUGAUUCUGCUGAUGUGGCAGCUGAGUAAGCAAGGCUAUUAUUGUUAGUUUGUAAGUUUGUUAUGGAGCUAAGAAGUUAGUUAAUCACAGCUCACUCUCAACACGUGUGUGAGCAAAUGCAUAAGGUUCUGGAUCUUAGUAUAUAAGGUCAACAUAUGUAUUCAUAAUUCAUUGAAUAAGAUUCGAUCUAUUUUUUCUUAUAGUUUCUCUUAUUGCUCAUUAAAUUUUCCUUCAUUUUCUCUGCAACCAAACAAGCAUAAAUAGCUUGGUUAAACUUCAAUUUGGUAUCAGAGCCACAUCUAGUCUAAUCUCAUGGCAUUAUCAAGCUUGAACACAAACAUCUCUUCUUCAGCAACAACCUGUACUUUCACAACUCCAAUAAAACUUGAUCGAUCAAAUUACUUAAUCUGGAAAUCUCAAAUUCUAUCCUCAGUUCGAGCAAAUGAGCUUAAGAGUUUGCUUGAUGGAUCCAGAAUCUGUCCAGAUCAAUUUCUCUCAAGCACUCAAGGAAAUUCAGAUGCUAUGUUCAAUGCUUCUGCAAGUUCAACUAUUGCUUCACGAGAGAAUCCUGAGUUUAAUGUGUGGAGAAAGCAAGAUCAGAUGCUACUGAGCUGGCUGCUAUCCUCUAUCAGCAUUGAAAUCCUCAGCUUGUGGUAAACUCUAAAACCUCUUAUGAACUGUGGUCUAGUUUAGAGCAACAAUUUGGAUCUGAAACUGAUGUUAAGAAAGUUCAUCUCAAAAUGAUGUUGAAUAAUCUGAAGAAAGGAUCUAUAACUAUGACAGAAUAUUUUAGUAAGUUGAAGUCAGUUACAGAUGAGCUUGCUAUUGCUGGAAGUCCUGUUAGUUCUUUGGAUUUUAUAACUCAUCUCAUCUCUGGAUUAGGUCAGCCUUAUUAUCCAGUAGUUGUGUAUAUUGAAGCAAAUGUUCUAAAAAUGAGUAUUAAUGAGGCUUAUUCAAUGUUGUUGACACAUGAGGCACGUUUAGAAAGCAAUCAAUCUAAUUCUUUCAAGGAAGUGAAACAGAACUAUGCUGCUAACUUAGCUCAGGCUGGAAAUAAUCAAAAGAAAGUUAACAAUCAGGGAGGCUGGAAUAAUAAUAGUCAAGGAGGCUGGAAUGGAAACACUGGAAACAAACCUGGAUUUCAUAACUGGAAUGGAAACUUUACAAACAGAGGAGGUUUCAAUUCAGGAAGGGGACAAAAUUCAGGUAGAGGACAAUGGAAUAAUAACUGGAAUAACUGGAAUGGAAAUCAAGGUAGAGGCAAUUUUGCUGGUGCUGCUGGAAAUUUUUCUGGUAGAUUUCCUGGUGGCUAUAAUGGAUUUGGAAGAGGAGGAGGCAGAGGAAAUAUUGUUUGUCAGAUUUGUUUCAAACACAAUCAUACUACAGUUGAUUGCAAAGAUAGAUUUAACAGAAAUUUUGUUCCUAAUUUUUCUGUGCAAGGAAAUUUUCCAGAUCAGAAUCAAACUUCUAGAUCUGCUUUCAUGGCUACAUCAGAAGGAGUUGCUGACCAAGGAUGGUAUCUGGAUAGUGGAGCAACACAUCAUCUCACAAACAAUGUGGUGAACCUAGCUGAAGGUAAACCUUAUCUUGGAUCUCAGUUGCUGUUAGUUGGUAAUGGACAAGGUCUUAGAAUCACUUCCAUAGGCAAUAUCUGUCUCUUUACAUCCUUUGGCAAUCAAUUAAACCUUUCCAAUGUUCUGUGUGUUCCCAAAAUUACCAAGAAUCUUAUUAACUUAUCUAAACUUCUCUCUGACAAUCAUAUAAUCAUUGAAUUUGUUUCUAAUCUUUGUUUCAUUAAGGACAAGAUGGUCUCUUUAAGCUACUGACUCAAGAUACACCUCUUUCUGAUUCUAAAGCCUUGGGUCUCAAACCUAGUUCAAUGUUGUCUGUUUUUUCAAAUAAAGAGAAUGUACACUCUUUGAAAGAGUUGAAUAACCAAAUAAAUGUCUGUUCAAAUUUGAUCAAUUCCAAUAAUGAGAAUUCUGUCAGUUUUUUAGCUUCCAGUAGUGAGUCUAUGUAGUUGCUACACAAUAGGUUUGGUCAUCCAACCAAACAUGUCUUGCAAACAAUAAUGAAAAGUCUUCCCAUGCAUUCAACCCAUUCUCAAUCUCUUAAUUUUUGUGAUGCUUGUCAAUAUGGCAAAUUACAUUAAUUCCAUUUUCCAGUCACUGAUAUAAAAUCAAAAUUCCCUCUCCAACUCUUAUAUGCUGACUUAUGGGGUCCAGCUUCUGUGUUGUUUAUGGACGGAUACAAGUACUAUAUUUCUUUUGUUGAUGAUUUCACAAGAUAUUGUUGGAUAUUUCCACUCACACUCAAAUCUGAGGCAUUUGACACCUUCAAAUAUUUCAAGUCUCUUGUCGAAAAACAGUUUUCUUUAUCCAUCCAAACACUACAAACUGAUAUGGGGGGUGAGUUUAUAGCUUUCAGAUCAUUUCUCCAACAAGAGGGUAUUCAAUUUAGAUAUAGUUGCCCCCACACUCACCAUCAAAAUGGUGUGGUGGAAAGGAAGCAUAUGCAUGUUGUUGAAACUGGACUCACACUCUUAGCUCAAGCUCACUUACCUCUCUCUUUUUGGUGGGAAGCUUUUCAUACAGCCACUUACUUAGUGAAUAGAAUGCCAACACCUGUUCUAAACAAUUUAUCUCCUUUUCAGAAACUAUACAAUCAGCUUCCAUAUCACAAGUUUGCUAAAGUGUUUGGAUGUUCUUGUUUUCCUUUUCUUCGAAAUAAGUGAAAAUUAAACCUACAAUUCAAAAUAGAGGACUGUAAAUGCGUAUAAAUUGAAGAAGGUAAAUUUUGUGUGUGCGUAAAUAUUUUAGUUAACAACAAAAAAUUCUAACAAGUUAAUAUAAGAGUAUCAUAGCAGUACAAGAGAAUUUUUUUUUUUUUUUAAUGUUAAGAGUUAUCGUGAUACCCAAUAUAUAUGUGUGUGUGAGAGAGUGGAGGAAGAAAAAAAUAUUAAGAAUAGUUUUGGCAUUUUGAUGGGUUUUAUAGAGUAAAAUCUAUAUUUUCAAAUAUGAUAAUUCUUUAAUUUAAUUUGGUGUUAUGAAAAAAAAAGGGUAUUUUAAAUAUGUUUUAAGUUAUAAAUAACUCCAUCCAAGAUUUAAAAAUGAAAUCUUAGGGGGGAAAAAAUUUCACCCGAACUAAGGCCCAAAGUAGCCGCGGCAUUUUUCACCAAUUCUCCAAUUCCCAAUGUGGUCUAAUUAUUUACAAGGAAUAUGAGUAGGUGUGGGCACGGUUCGGUCCGGUUCGGUUUGGAUCGAAAUUAAGCAGAACCAAUUUAAAUCGGUUAUUUUAGAAAAAGAACUAAAUAAGAACCGAACUCAAUAAAAACCGAAGAUAAACGAAUCUUUUCGGAUUGGUUCGGUUCGGUUCGGUUUUUUCGGUUUUGGGCCUAUUGGGCCUAUUUUCAAUUUUUAAAUUGUUAGCCCAUUAGGCCUCAUAAAUGUAAUAAUUUUAUUCAACAAUUAAUUUAUCCUAAUUUCAUUACAAAUAUUAACAAUAAAUACAAAGUAUUCAAAACACAUUUUAUCAUUAAUAUCUUACUAACUACUAAUAAGGUACUUACAAAAUAUGAAAUAUUAAGAUUUCAAAAUACAUAAUCAAACUCCAAUACUCCAUCUACAUAAACAUAAUGUUGUAAAGAAAAAUAAAAAUAACAACAAUUAAAACUUACAACACAAAAUAAAAAGAAAAUUUGGAAACAAACACCAACAACAAUUUUUAAAUAUAUAUAUAUACCAGUAAUUGUGUGUGUUCAUGCCUAUUUUAGUUAUCUCACGCAACCAAUUAAAAUUUAACACGUGUCUAUUUAAAUAAAAUUUCAAGAAUAACUCGGUUUUUCGGUUCGGUUUUUUGGUUCAGCUGAGUGAACCGAAUAUCGAACCUGUAUUUCGAUUUUUUUUACAAACCAUAUAUUUCAGUUAUUUUUUAAAAUUAAAACUAGUCCGAACGGAACGGAAUGGUUCGAAUCAAUUUUCUCUAGUGCACGAUUUUUUUGCCCACCCCUAAAUAUGAGAUUCUCUACCACUCCAAUUUAUCCCAUUGUUAGCAAUCCUAUUAGCUGUUUUAUAUCCUAUUUUUAUUAUGCUCCCCAAACAAAUAUGUUUCACCUAAAGGUGCCCAACGGGCUGCACCGUCCGUCUCAAUGAGCGCACGAGAUGCUCCACAUGACACGGCAAUCUUUUUCUUUUUAAUGAGGGCGUGUCUGAUAUGCUCUUUCAAGUCUACAUACCUAACGUUCUUUUUUUAAGUGCAUAUAUUUUUUUUAAAGCUCAUGUGAAAUUCAGUAGUAAGAGAAUGCAAUACUAGUUAAUAAGUUAGAGCCUACAAAAUAAUAAUAAUAAUAAUAAAAUUUUCUUUAAGGGUUAACAUUUUAUUGUUAAUUUGAAUUUACAUACAGUUAUAGAUUAUAGUCUAUAAUAAUAUUAAUACUUACAAGUUUCAAAUUAAAAUUUAAUAAUUAACGUUUCAUUAACACAACUAUAUUAUCUAAUUUUGCAAUAACCAAUUAUAAUACAACAAUACAUAAUUCUAAUUUCAUAGACCAUGGUAAUAAAAUCUAUACGUUAAUGAAAAAUUUUAUUUUGAUAUACGUCGGUCUGCUUGUUAUUGAUGGCCGAUGGUCGUAUGCUAGCCUGCUAAUGAAGUGUGUUUAUUAUUGGUUUUUUCACGUGUCUUGCUUUACCACAUCUCUAGUCAAAUUGUGUUCUUAAAAUCCACAGCCUAACCUAGCCUCUGUGUGUGUCCUGUUGUGCCAUACUAUACAAACACGUAUCCAGUACAAUGCCACAUACCGGUCGGCCCUUAGCCAUCUCUAGUUUCACCCCUAAAUGAAAUCUAAACGGCUACUGGCAAGUAAGAAAACUUGUUAUUCUUUAUUUUGAAAAUAAAGGGAAUUGCUUAGUUUGAUAUUGUUUUUGGUAAGUCAUUUUUUUGUUUUGAAACAUUUUUCUGAGAUGUUGUUGUAUUUGGUGAAAAAUAAAUUAUUUUAUUUUAUACUUUUAAUGAAGAAAAGUAGAGAAAAACAUUUUGUUGUUUUCGACAACAUUUGCCUUAUAAGUGCACCCGUGCCAUUUUUUUCUUGUUUUAUUUGUAUGAUAAUUAUCAUGGACCCACGUAACUUUCUUUUGCAUUUAAAAUUUCAUAAUAAAUUAAAUUAGACAAAAGAAAUGAGUCCCACAAAUAAUUUAUUUUAUAAUUUUUUAAAUAAUACUAUUUUAAAAUAAAUUAUCAAAACAAAUUUCAUGUUCACUAAAAUUAAUCAUAUUCAUAUUAUAAAAUAAAUAUAAAAACAAUAUCUGAAAAGUAAUGCUAAAUACACUCUUAAAUUUUCUGUACAGCAUUAGAAUUGAUGAACAAUCUGACAAAGAUGCUGCGACUUAAGUAGGGAUGACAAUUAAAGCCGAAUUUGGAAAAAUUCAUGUCUGCAAAUUAAAAAAUGUGGAUUCGGAUAUAGAAAUUCGGAAUUCAUACGGAUCCAAAUAAAUUUUAUUUUAAAUUAAAAAUAUAUAUUAAAAAUUAAAUGAAAAAUUAAAAAAUAAAUUUUAUUUGUGGUUUUAUGAUGUUGUUGUAUAUUAUUCAUGUUGAAUUAUUAAUGGUUGGAUUAUGAUUGAAUUUUAUUUAAAAUUAAAAAUAUAUAUUAAAAAUUAAAUUAAAAAAAAUUAAAUUUUAUUUGUAGAUUUAUGAGAUUAUUGUAUGUUAUUCAUGUUGAAUUAUUAAUUGUUGAGUUAUGAUUGAAUUUUAUUUGAUAUUAUUAGGUAAAUUAUUGAAAUUUUAAAUUAUAUAUUAAAUUAUUUAAUCUUAAUUUUUACAAAUAUGAAUAUCUAGAAUAUCUGCCUGCAUCCGUUGCAGAUAUUAUCUGCUUCCAGAUCCACAUCUUUUUACGAAUCUAAAUAUAGAAAUAUGAAUGCGGCUCCGAAUCUAGAUUUUACCAACCCUGAACCUAAGCAUGAAUGGGCCUAAAGUUUUCACAACAAACAUGAAUCAUUAAAUGACACGAGAUGUUUUACAGCUCUCAUUAGUAUAAUUGAAUAAUUAAUUCAGCUCUAUAUUCAGUUUACACCGUCUCAAAUUGCAUGCAAAUAGGAAAAUGCACUUCUGAAUUGUUCACUUGAGGAAAAUUAAUUUUAACUCAAUAAGUCCUAAUUGUCCACGUAGAAUUUUAACUCAAACCAUAGCAAAUUAGACAUAAUUCUAAUUUAUAUGGGAAAUAUAAUUAGCAAAGACACUCUUUAUAUAAACAUUAUUGUCAAAGGAUGCCAAACCUAAUAAGAUUCAAGGUCUUAACAUACUUCAUAUCAAAUUUGAUCUUGGCGCGUACCGACACGCAUAACAUCAAGACUCUACUUCAUAUAUAAUAAUGUAACUUCAUGGAUUUUUCGCUCUCUUGUGAAAUUGACAAUUAUAGGCGAUGUGCCAGUGAGGCAGUGGUACAUAAAAUAAAGGAUAAAAGUUCAUUUAGUCCUUAUAUUUUAAUAUUAAUGUCUAUUUAGUCCCUGUAUUUGUUAAAAUACCUCGAAACAUUCCUGCCGUUAAAGUAUUGAUGCCCUUACUGUUACUUUUUAUUUUUUUAGCUUACUUUUACAAUAUUACCCUUUUAUAAUAAAUUUUUUGUUUGGACAUUAAUCAAAAUAAAAUAAUUAAUUAUCAAUUUAACCCUAAAAAAAUUAUAUUAAUUUUUAAUUGUCAAAAAUUAAAUUGUCAAAUAUCAAGUGUGCAAAUGGUGCUUGCAAAAAAAUUAAUAUAAUUUUUUUUAGGGUUAAAUUUGGUAAUUUAAUUAUUUUAUUUUUAUUAAUGUCCAAACAAAAAAAUUAUUAUAAAAGGGCAAUAUUGUAAAAGUAAGCCAAAAGAAAUAAAAAGUAAUGGUAGGGGUAUCAAUACUUUAACGGCAUGGAUGUUUCGAGGUAUUUUUAAAAAUACGGGGACUAAAUGGACACUAAUCUCAAAAUACAGGGACUAAAUAGACUUUUACCCUAAAAUAAAUGUUUAUUUUUAGAAUAUUAUUAUUUAUCUCAAUUUUUAUUUAAUAGUUAAUUUUAAUCCAUUCUUAAACUGUCAUAAUCAAUUAAUUUUUUACAUUAUCACAUCUUAAAUAAAUUUUGGAUCUGUAAUAAAUAAAAACUGGUAACGUUUGUUCUUUUAAAACAUAAAACAACCGUAACAUUGGUUUUUACAUUUUGAAUUUUUCUUGCAUCACUAUUUAUAAAAAUGAUGUUAAAUCAACUCACAAAAUAUAUCAAGCCAUCUAAAAUCCAAAUAUUAUUACAUUUGUAUUUGCAUUGUUAAAUUGUUGGAACGACGGCAAAGCAAUUGAAAAGAGAUUAACAAAAAAGUAAAGAUUGGCCAAGGAUUAUUCAUGUUUAGGAAAUGCCUUAACUUUUGAUAUAAUCAUUGUUAUAACAAUAAUGCUACACAUCCCAAAUUUUUUAUCCCAAAAAGUUAUCCCAAAUGAUAUGUCAUUAAUUGAGUGGUUGAUAAUUCUUUACAAGAUCCAAGUGAAUUAAUUGUAUUAUCUCACCAACCAAUUGAUUAAUGCCACAUCAUUUGGGAUAACUUUUUGGGAUAAAAAAUUUGGGAUGUGUAGCAUUAUUGUUGUUAUAAUUAUAUUGUAGAAAUAAUCAAUUACCUAAUGUUUGUGGUAGUAAAUAUUAUUAACUUGUUUUACUAUACCCGUGUUUAUGUUGGUCUCCUUUUUGUCCAUUUCUGUACAACGAAAUAUUUGUAUGUUUUGAUAGAAAUUGGUUUAAAUGACAUUUAAAAUAGUAUAUCCCCAGACAAUUGACGAAAUAUUUGGAUGGUAGGAUGAAGUAAUAAAUAGUUUUACAAAUUACCAUAUUAGAGGUAAAAAAAAAUCGAGAGGUUACUUGACAAUUAUGACGUUACUAACUACAAAUUUAACACAAAAAGUUUAAUUAACUUUUCUUUUUGAGAUGGCAAAAUCUCUGGUGUUGAAAACAAUGAGGUUUGAGAUUCAAGCUUGAAUAUCAAGUUACAAUUAGUAGAUGGUCUUAGGACAUAUCAAAGAUUUCUUUAAAGACAAUAAUAAUUACAAGCAAUAGGAAUUUAUGGUAUUCAGAACAUGUAUAUCUUCGCACAUGAAGCUUGAAUCCAGAACAAGAUGCAGCUAGCCAAUCCUUCAACUUCCAAAACCCCACAAAAUCUCUGUCAACAUGUCUGUUGUACUAAGCACAUUCAUAGGGGUAUCAACAGCUUACAGCUCCAAAAUAUUUUCCCCAAAAAGAGUUGAGAGAUUUCACUGAAGCUAAUUUGUGACUUGUGACUGCCCAAAUGUUCUAUAACACGGUAUGAUUAUUCUAGUAACACAAAUCCAACAGCAUGCAACAUAAUCUACUCUCUAACAUUGUGCAUUAGCAAAAUAAAACAGAGUAAAAAGAGAAACCAUGCCUGUGAAUCUCUUCUUUUCCCCCUGCCACCCCUUUUUUUGGUGAAGUCCAUCAAAUGAAAAUGCAGCAUGACCAUGUUGGCCACUGCCACUGCCAUUACUUCUUCAACUGUGGCUUUUGUUGCAGGAAAUAUUCAAGUGAAAGAUUGGAUUAUAUAAUUCAAGAUUCCAAUAAACCUGAGCUGCAAAGGUUGCCUUCCACUAGCCUAUCAGAGACUAUGCUUUCUAUUUUCCUAGUUUUUUAAUCAUAAUUUUGCAAGAUUUAUUUAUGGAAAACUGGGACAAAAUUUUAUGUAAGAUACCAUAAAGCCAAACACAAUCUUUUUAAUUCUCAGCAGCAAGAUUUAAAGUUAAAAAAGGGAAGCCAUAUAAAUAUAACUAUGUUUGGUACAAGUAACAAUUAUUUCAAGCUUUCAGAAAUGCUAGCAAGAGAUUGUAAGAGAACUUUACCUAGUCACAGAAUAUGUCAAACAUACUACCACCAACUGUCUUUAGCACGAUUGUUAUGGAAGUAGCUUUUGAAUCGGAAGAUUCCAGCUUCCACCAGGCACCAUUAUUUUCAUUCUUGAUACAAUCUGCAUCACUGGCAUUAGUUAUAUCAUCAACAUUUGCAUCCUCACUCUCAUCAUCCCAAUCAAGGCUUCUUCUCCAGCUCUGGAUUAUAAGUCCACUCCGACAUCUUCAAACAUCUCGGUCCUUCCAUUUGCCAACAACCGAUAUGGCUUCCUUCCUUGCCUUCCCCAUUAAUAUAUCACUCGAAGGAAAAAAAGCAUCAGCAAUUCUCUUCAACGCCUCAUCGUUUAUAACCCCCCAAAAAAAGGGUCUUCAGACACUUCAACUUUGCCUUCUGCAAAACCUCCACAAAAUCUGAAUUAUCCAACACAACAGCCAGACACUCAAUCCUUCUUUUGUCCAUCAUAUCCACCGUAUGAUUCCUCAACAAAAUAUGUACAGCUUGUGGCUUAUCUAACACUGUCUUGAUCCAAAACCCCGCUCUUUUCAACUCAUCUGCCAAACCAUAACCCACUUUUGGAGUCAAAAUUGUCCUUGCAGCCCUUUUAUAUUUUUCCAUCUCCAUCGAAUACUUGCCACUCAAAUGGAAUUACCAGACAGGAAUCCCAGUAACAAGUCCACUCAACUUCUUCUCAUCUGAUCCCUCUUUCACUCUGGCGGAAACAUUAAUAACCAUUCACCAGCCACAAAUUACCCAAGUAAGUACUCGUGUCGUCGACACUUACCCUUCACUUCAUCUACGCAAACGAGAAUUCAAAUUGCUUACUAGCUAGUGCUCGAGCAAAAGCCAGAAUAAAUUAAAUAUGUGUGUGUGGUAGCGAAGUUAUCUAUAUAUAUAUAUAUAUAUAUAUAUAUAUGAAGUUGGGACACGAGGAGAUGACGUGGCAUCACCAUUUCUCAUCUUUGUAUAUUCUCUAUUAUCUAAUAAAUAGAGAAUUUUUUUUUCAGAUUUAACUUUUCAUCUUCUCAUAAUUAAUUUAAUUGUUAUUACACAAUAACAAUUAUGUAAAAAUUUUAAUGAGGCAUAUUCUUUAUAAUGAACAUCCAAAGGGAAGUGUUAUGAAUUUAUUAAAAUAAAUGUAGAUGUUCAUAACAUAUAUCUCUUAUUCUCACCACUAUCUCUCAUUAGCAACCUUUAGCUUCCCUAUAACUCCCACUAUCUCACAAGGAAUUAUGAUCCAUAAUUUUUCAUUAAUUUCAUAGAGUGAUUAUGUAACUAUAAAAGGAGAGCUCAUCUUUUGUUCUGUACACACACAAUUAGAAUGAAUAAAAUCACUCUAUAAUAUAUUCUCUCAUUUUAUUCUUUAUCUUGCGUUGCUUCUUUAUUUGUAUUGCUGGUUAAUAGUUUUUUUUUUUUGUUUUUUAUAAGGCUGCCUCAUCUUCAAAAAAAAUCAAUUCAUAUUUUUUAUCAGUUUCAUAAAGUGUAAAGUAAAAAAAAAUAAUACUAAAUUCUUUUUUCAAAGUCGCAUGAAACGCGGUUCUAUUUUUUAGUAUAUAUAUAAAGCUGGAACUGGAGGAGGUGAUGUGGCAUCACCAUUUCUCAUCUUUGUAUAUUCUCUAUUAUUUAAUAAAUAGAGAAAUUUUCUUUUAGAUUUGGCUUUUCAUCUUCUCAUAAUUAAUUUGAUUGUUAUUACACAAUAACAAUUAUGUAAAGAUUUUAAUGAGGCAUAUUCUUUGUAAUGAAUAUCCAAGGGGGAGUAUUAUGAAUUUAUUAAAAUAAAUGUAGAUGUUCAUAACAUAUAUCUCUUAGUCUCCCCACUAUCUCCCAUUAACAAUCUUUAGCUUCCCUAUAACUCCCACUAUCUCACAAGGAAUUAUGAUCCAUAAUUUUUCAUUAAUUUCAUGGAGUGAUUAUGUAACUAUAAAAGGAGAGCUCAUCUUUUUGUUUUGUACACACACAAUUGGAAUGAAUAAAAUCACUCUAUAAUAUAUUCUCUCAUUUUAUUCUUUAUCUUGCGUUGCUUCUUUAUUUGUAUUGCUGUCUAAUAGUUUUUUUUUUGUUUUUUAUAAGGCUGCCUCAUCUUAAAAAAAAAUCAAUUCAUAUUUUUUUAUCAGUUUCAUCAAAUAUAAAGUAAGAAAAAAUGAUAAUACUAAUUUUUUUUUUCAAAGCCGCGUGAAACGCGGUUCUAUUUUCUAGUUAUACAAUAAAGCAAACCAAAAUAAAUUCUACACUCAUAUAUAUAUAUAUAUAUAUAUAUAUAAAGCUGAGACUUGAGGAGGUGAUGUGGCAUCACCAUUUCUCAUCUUUGUAUAUUCUCUAUUAUCUAAUAAAUAGAGAAAUUUUCUUUUAGAUUUGACUUUUCAUCUUCUCAUAAUUAAUUUGAUUGUUAUUACACAAUAACAAUUAUGUAAAGAUUUUAAUGAGGCAUAUUCUUUGUAAUGAAUAUCCAAGGGGGAGUGUUAUGAAUUUAUUAAAAUAAAUGUAGAUGUUCAUAACAUAUAUCUCUUAGUCUCCCCACUAUCUCCCAUUAACAAUCUUUAGCUUCCCUAUAACUCCCACUAUCUCACAAUGAAUUAUGAUUCAUAAUUUUUCAUUAAUUUCAUGGAGUGAUUAUGCAACUAUAAAAGAAGAGUUUAUCUUUUUGUUUUGUACACACACAAUUGGAAUGAAUAAAAUCACUCUAUAAUAUAUUCUCUCAUUUUAUUCUUUAUCUUGGGUUGCUUCUUUAUUUGUAUUGCUGUCUAAUAACUUUUUUUUUGUUUUUUAUAAGGCUGCCUCAUCUUAAAAAAAAAAAUCAAUUUAUAUUUUUUUAUCAAUUUCAUCAAAUGUAAAGUAAGAAAAAAUGAUAAUACUAAAUUCUUUUUUCAAAGCCGCGUGAAACGCGGUUCUAUUUUCUAGUUAUACAAUAAAGCAAACCAAAAUAAAUUCUACACUCAUGUGGGUGUUUCGUUCGCAAAAUCUGGACAAGAAAAAUAAUAUUGAUACAAUCUCCAAAUAAAGAGCAUUCCUCUUGGUAAAAUAGACAAAUCCUAUAAAUUUUGAUUAAUGGUGCCAAAUGAAAGAGUUGUAAUUUCAUGUACAUUUUGUUAACAUGAAUAAGGGUACAAAAUAGAUAACAAAGUGACAAAAACAAAGCUAAUCACAAUGAAUGAUAAGGCUUAGAGUAAACAAAAAGUUAUAAUCUUGAACAUAAGUGGCGCUCAAAGCCAUGAAUUUGAUAUCAUCCAUGAGGGGAGUUCAAACAAUAGCAUGUAAGAAGCAACAAGUGUUGAGAAAAAAAAAAUUUCAUUCUACCACAACAGAAUAAAUUGUAAAGAAAUCCCAGUUUGUAUAAAAGAAAGAAAACAAAAUUAAGGAAAACAUAAGCACAACAAAAUUCGACUGAUUAUUAAAAAUGAGAAAUGAGUUAUAAUGAGAAUUUUAGCUUUGUUGUGAAAUAAAUUGGGAAGUAUCCAAAGUACGCAUGUAAAUAAUAAAAAUGAUAAGAAGACGAAGGGAACAUAAUGAUAAUAAGCAAGCCAAAUAUUAAAAUGCAGAUUCUACGCUUCUGCCCCCCCAUACUUCAAGUUAGUGUCUCGCUAAUCAUUUUAGAUGUAUCAAUUACAAAGGGAGGCCAUCUAUUUAUAGUAAGCGUACGCCUCUAAUGCUUUGCCAAGUGUCCAUUGAUAAUAUCACAAGGGAAAUUAAAUUGGUGUAUGUGUAUUACACCUCCUAAAGUCAUGUUAAGAUAGUGUGCUGAUAAAGCUUGUUGCACGUGUGAUUGGUUAAGUCUGCUAGAAAUGCAAACGUGUAAAGCUGAGUCAGCAAGUUAGUUAAGGUUAUUAUGAAUGCUUAGAUUCAGCUCACGUGUAUUGUAUGUAAUACUUAGAUUCAGGUCAUGUAGAUUGUGUAAUCUCAAUAUAAAUACUUGAUGAUCAUGAUUCGACAUUCCUCACAGCAGGAGCUGUGGAUCUUUAGACAUCAGAUUUUAAUUUCUGUAAUGUUAAAUUUGGAUCCCAUAUUCGACAUUCCUCACAUCAGGAGCUGUGGAUCUUUAGACAUCAGAUUUUAAUUUCUGUAAUGUUAAAUUUCCCAAAACAUUAAAAAAAACAAUGCUGUAUACAUGGUGAAUGAUCUGGCGUAUCUAUAGGUAUUACCCAAGACAUUUCUGAGAACCUGAACUAGGAAUCCUUGUAUUUUUCUUUAUGUCAAGACAGUGACUUGAAGAUUUUAGAUUAUUUUUUUUGGCCAUUUUAUAAUUGUUGGCAUAUUGAACUUGAGUAAUUUUGAUAAACCAUAGUUCAGGAAUGUCUGAUAGAAAUAUUGGAGACUUGAACUUGAAUAUUAGAUUUGAAAUUAAAGAGGUAAGCCAUUAAAAUACAUCAAAGGAUUUGGAAAAUGGAGGAAUUGGAAUAUUGGUAUGAUGGGAUUACAAGAAAGGGAAACUUUUGCAUCAACAUCAAGCAUUGGGCAUUUUCAUUUGUCCUAUUCUAACACCAGUUAGGAAUAUCAACAAGGAGUUACGCUAUGAAUUAAGUAAUCUGCCAGUAAUGCAAGCAUUGAAUGUGAAGAGCUUCACAUAACUUUGAAUUAGCUUAUGAUUUAACACUAUUCCUUUUUGUGUGUGAUCAUGCAUUACGCCGUACUAGAUUUUUCUCUUUCUCUGCGGGAGAGAAAAGAAAGAGAAACAAUGGAUGCAAUAUAAAAAAAGUAAUACAUAUUUACCUAUUUAGUAGGCAAUUUACGCCAACGGUGACACUAUCACAUCAUGAGCGAGUUAUGUAAUAGUUCUUAGAUGAGAUCAUUCUUGCUGCAUUAUUAUUAGAAGUAUCUAUUUAUGCAAGAUUGAUAAUUUGAAUACACGUCCAAAUUAACAAGAGUUUUUAGGCAGUUUAAUUUAACUAACUAGCUAUUUAGAAUACACAUCAUAAUAAAAAAAAAGUACAAUUUAAGAUGUAUGAUUAGACUAUCUAUCUGCUCAAUCAAGACUGAGUGUGAUAUUUCCUCCGUAAACUCAUAGUUAGUUUUGUCACGCUUACAAAUCAAACUACAUUAACAUGAUUUAGGUAUUAGGGCAAGAUUGGAAAAAAAUGUCGAUAAUGCAAUGAUUAUGACGGAGAACAAACCUACAAACAGUACAGCGCAUGGACCUUUUUUCAAAAGAAAUUAUUCUUGAAAGAUAAAAAAAUUCCUUGCUUUUUACAUUAUUUUUUAAUGUAAAAAAUAUUCUCAGUUCUUGACUUGGUAUCAGAUUUUUACGUUACUAGAAAAAUCUAGUACGGCGUAAUGCAUGAUCACACACAAAAAUUUGAGGAGUUGAUGAUAAUCUCAAUAUAAAUACUUGUAAUCAACAAAUACAAUAAUAAGAGUCAUCAUUCUUCAUUUUCUCUCAGUUUCUCUCAUAUUUUCUCUGCAUCCAAACACAAUAUUCUCAGUUCUUGACUUGGUAUCAGAUUUGCAGUUUAAUUGUCAUGGCUUCCUUCCUUAAGCACAAAUUCAAACACAAAUCAGUCUCCUUCAUUCUUUACCGUCACAAAUGCGAUCAAACUGGACAGAUCUAACUAUACGAUAUGGAAAUCUCAGAUCCUCUCUUCAGUGCGUGCCAAUGGACUUGAAGGCUUUCUUAAUGGAACUAAAAUUUGUCCAGAUCAGUUACUUACUCAAGAGAUUGAAAGUUAUGGUGUUGAAAAUGCUGUUGUUGAAAGCUCAACUGAUAGAUCUCAGGAGAAUCCAGCCUUUGUUGCUUGGAAAAGGUAGGAUCAAUUGUUAUUAAGUUGGCUCAUGUCCUCCAUCAGUGUUGAGAUACUUAGUCUUGUGGUAAAUUCUGAUUCUUCUCAUAAACUUUGGACUAAUCUUGAAGAAAAUUUUUGGAUUAGAAACUAUGGCUAAGAAAGCACACUUAAAAAUGAUGUUAAGCAAUCUCAGAAGGGGAUCAAUGACAAUAACUGAGUAUUUUGCCAAACUUAGAGCUGUAACUAAUAAACUUGCUCUAACUGGUAGCCCUGUUUCUACUCUAGACUUUAUUAAUCAUCUAAUCUCGAGAUUAGGCCAGCCAUACUACCCUGUUGUUUUGUAUAUUGAAGCUAAUAUGAUGAAAAUAUUUGUCAAUGAAGCCUACUCUAUGCUUUUAACUCAUGAAGCAAGAAUUAAAUUUAAUCAUCCGAGUGCAAAUAAAGAAGCAAAGUUGAAUUAUGCUGCUAACAUAGCUUAGGCUGGACCUAGUAAUAACAAUAAGAAGUCUAGUAAUCAAGCUAAUUACUAUCAGGGCAACCAAGGUAACGGGAAUAGAAAUGCUCAUUGGUGUGGUAACAAUGGAGGAAGAGGUGGCUUUGGCAGAGGUUUUUCAGGGCAAGGAAGGGGUAAUUAGAAUAAUGGUGGUCAUUGAACAAUGGACCUUGGAGUAGUAGUCGAGCAGGUUAUAAUUGUUCUGAUAUAAACAUUAUGACAUGGUUGCUGGUGAACCUGUAAACAUAACCACAAAAGUAAGAAGGCAUAAUUUUUUUAUAAGAAACUCAAAAAUGUAUUAAUGAUGAAAAUUUUAAAAUAGAUAGUGGACCAUCUGUCCAGUAAGAAAACAAAAAACUGAAUAUUUGUGCUAUAAAAAGGCACACCCAAUCUCACCCCUAUAAAAGGCUAGAAUCAGCUACAAAUCCCUACCUCAAAACCCCAUCCCAGUUUAGAUGAAUGAAGAAAAAUGAUGAAUCUUGAAACUCCUUAGAAACUGAAGCCCAAAGUGAAGCAAGAAGAUGAACUCUAUCCCAAGCAAGCAAUAUGGCAUAUAUCUCCAUUAAUGGUUCAAAUAAAGUGAAUGGCUUUCUCUGAUGAGUGGGAAAUUGUCAAGAUCAAUAGUCAAACUCACGCAAAGUAAACGGACUUAAUUCUCAGAGGCUACUCAUUCUAAGUCUUAAAGAAAAUUUUUCUAAUUUCUAAAGAUUAUAUGGGGAAAAAAUCAUUAUUUUUAAGAUGGAAAAUUUGAUAUGGUGUUUAAUGUCUGAUCACAAUGAUAAUAUGAGUACUAACAAAAACAUCUUUAAUAGGCAUGGUGCGAGUAAAACACCUUUGUAAUGUACCUCAUCAAAUAUAACCCAAGCCACUUCGCGCGUAAUCUCUGAGCCUUUGUACUGCAUACUACGCCAGAUUUCAGUAGUCAUCACCUGAAAUUAAACUUCAUAUAAGCAAUCCACAAAUCAAAGCGCUGCAACACCCAAAAGAUGACACUACCAAGUUGACCUACCAAACAAGAAGCAUUAGGGUCAAUUGUGACAUCCCCAGUCAUCAAACCAACAUCUGAAACUCUUCUUUAAACUCUUCUGAUUGCUGAGUGCCUUAAUCGGUGAAGUAUAUAUCACACGUUGCUUAUUCCGCAACGACAUAGCAAUAGCAUACAAUGCUACCACAGUUUUCCCAGCAGAUGUAUGGGCCGAUACCUGUCAAAUAAAUGAAAGGCAAAUCCAAAUUAAAAAAAGAAAAGAAAAAAAAAACUAUUUUUAUUUUCACACAUGAUAACACUUCAUGCAAAAAUUCUUAAUUCUUAUCGGUGAGCUGAAAAGCAGAGCGCUUUGUACCAAAGCACUUCCAAAUUCGAAUUAAUGUUUUUACAAAAAAUUACAGCUUUAUAUAUUUGUAUGUGCGCGUGCGUAUAAUAAUAAUAAUAAUAAUUAACGAACCGUAACGGACUCGCCGUUGUCGAGGCACUUGAUAGCUUCGGACUGGAAUGGGUCGAGAGUGAAAGGGAAUUCCUUAGCAUGUUUAGCGUCAGCUUCAGCCACUUGACCAAGACGCAUUAAACAUAAAACGCGGCGUUUUCAUGGACUAGUACAUUCCAUGCUUCGAAAGUUUUAUGGUUUAGACUGAUUGGUUUGAUACAUUAUUUGUUUGUUGCGUUUUUCUUGCUUUAAAUAUUAUGUUGGAUACUUGGAUUGAUAAGUUUUGUACACGUUUAUAUUGCUCGCAGUAAAUAAUUUAUGACAUUUAAAAAACUAUCAACCGUCUAUCAAAAGAUUUCUACUAUAAAUAUAUAUACACAAAAAACUUUUAAUUUGGUCAAUUUGUUCUCUUAUUUAUUUUUGUUCUAUUUCUCUUUUCCUUUCCUUUCAUUUUAUUGUUUUAUGGUAUAAAAUAAAAAAAUAACCUUAAAAUUUAAGGUGAUGUUUGGUUGGGAGGAGAGAAUGUAGGAGAGGAAAGUAAUUUAAAUUCUCUUGUUAUUUCCAUUGUUUGGUUUGACAAAAUGUAUAAGAAUUAAAUUUUUAUUAGAAUUUAAUAUCCAUCAUAAUGUAGAAUUUGAAUUCCAUAUUAAGUAGCGAAGAAUUUAAAUUUCUCUUCUAUUAGAAACUAAAGGUUCCAAAAUUACCCUUCAACUUUUUAGCUUAUUUAAUGCCAUUAAUAAUAAUAAUUUAAUAUUAUAAAUGGACCUCCACCGGAAAGUCGCCGGACUACCCCCGGAUCUCGUCGGACCACCGCCGGAAGAUCGUCGGACCACUGCCGGAAAAUCACCGGACCACCGCCGACCUCGCCGGACCUCCGCCGCCGGCCACCGGAUCGCCAUUUAUAUAUAUAUAUAUAUAUUAUUACUAAUAUAAAUAGUUUAAUAUUUAAGGUAAAAGAUAAAUUUGUCUAAAGAAAAAAAUUAUAAUUCAUUUCCUUAUCAAAUUUUAUAUCAAACCAAACAACAAAAUUUAAUUUCACUACUCUUCUCUAUUCCUUUCUUCUCCAUUCCUCUCCAUUCCACUCUUUUCCACUCCUCCAUUUUCUUCAAACCAAACAUGACCUAAGGGUAAAAUACUCAUUUUACUAAAAUUCCGUUUAAUAUCAUAACGCUGUCAAUGGAAAAAUAUACGAGUGAUAUAAAUUAAAAACAAAUAAAUUGAAAGUUUUUAUGUAUUUUCCUUUUAUUUUUUUAAUAGCCGAUUGAGAUUUCCCUUCAUAUUUUUAAAUUCAAUAGGUUUAGACCGUUUAACAAAUCUUAAAUUAAAAAAACCCGCGGUGUAAUAACAAACUCACAUCAAACCCUGUACACUGUCAUCCCUAAUUAUAUUUACCACUUCAUACUCACAGUGAUAAUAACUGUGUAUCACAAUUGAUUUUGCAUACGGGUAAAAGUUCCAAGUCCGGAUAUUUAGUUAAUGAAAUUUGAUGAAAAGGGCAUGAAAGAAAAUAAGAAAUUAAAUAAUACAGGAGGUAUUAAUCAUUACAUAUUUAGUUAAUGAAAAUUGAUGAAAAUAUUUCUGCAGACGUGAGCCAUAAUUAUAUUACCGUUAAGAAUGAAGCAGAAGAGUUUCCCCAAACAAGCUAAAACACAGCACUUCAAUUUAAAGAAUUUUUAUAUCACAGUACCGGGGUAAAAAGUUUAAUGCAACAACAUACAUUAAGUUAAUUCCAUAAUCUAUCCCCAAAGAAAGACAAACACAAGCUUAUAAGAUUAAAACUUUGGAAAACAUUAGAGUCGGACAAAAUUGUGUAAUCUUCAGAGUUUGGAGCCUAGUUCAUCCAGGAAAGCAAAAGAAAUAAUAAUAAUAAUAAUAGUGGUGGUUUGAUCUCAAAAGGUGGCAUCAAAGUGGUAACUUUGAGGUAUUGGAAGCAAUAACGUCUUCAACUUUGUCCUGAUUUCGAAGUCCCUUAACCCAUCCGCCAUCAAUGGAUUGAAUGCUUCCAUUCAACCCAUCAUCCACAAAAUCACCAACCCGUUUCACCUUCAUCUCCUUGGGCUUAACAGGGUACUUUCCAGAGAAGCAAGCAAAACAAAAAAUCCGAGAAUCAUCGCCUAACAACUUGUUCAAGCUGUCAAUCGGCAGAAAAGCAAGCGAAUCACACCCAAUAAACUCCCUGAUUUCCUCAACGCUCAUCCUGUUGGAAAACAACUCCUCAGUACUUGGAGUGUCUACUCCGUAGUAACAAGAAGCUAUGAUUGGUGGGCUUGCAGCGUACCCAAGUGCAGCCACCACUCCAGAAUCUGGUACUGCAAUCACGACAUCACACUCAGCAGGAGCCUCGGUAGCAAGUACUUCCCCAAAAUGAUACCUCGACUCAUAAACAGACCUUCCAAAAACAACAGAAUUAGGCAAAGCAAAAUAAAUAUGCUCAACGAAGCACUGCUUAGGUUCAGGGUGAGGCAUCAAACAAGGUGAUUGAACCCCAUCUUUAUCCACCAUCAAAACUUCACCGGGAUAUACCGUAUGUGGCCUCAAUCAAAUAGUGCACAAGUCUCUGACGCAAAAACCAGAGCACCAUUACUCCUCCUACCCAUCACCAAUGGCAUAAACCCAUACGGGUUACGAACCGCAACAAGCUUAUCCUCAGUAACAAACACCAUUGAAUAAGCACCCUCAAGCUUCUCACAAACAUCCACAAUCCUCAAAAAGAACGGCCUAGCUUUCGAUAUCGGAAUCAAAUGGAGAACAACCACAGUAUCAGAACUAGUAUUGAAAAUGGAUCCAUUAUCUUCAAGCUUAGCCCUCAAAGUAUUAUAAUUAACUAAUGUGCAACACCAACAGAACCAAACCUGUACCCAGCAACAAAAGGCUGCACAUUCUUAAGCAUAGAACUACCCGCAGUCGAAUAUCUAACAUGACCAAUGGCCAUAUCACCCGGCAAUUGAUCAAGUUUAGACUGAUUAAACACAUCAGAGACUAAACCAACACCAGUAAUAGACUGAAGAACUUUGUUAUUCACAGCAACUAUACCUGCACCUUCUUGGCCGCGAUGCUGCAUCGCGUGUAGCGCCAAAUAGCACAAACGCGAGGCCUCUGGGUCACCAUAGAUGCCCAUAACACCACACUCCUCACGGGGCUUAUCGUCGUCAUCAUCAUCAAAACUGCCAAAACCGUCAUCUGGAUAUUCUUUAUUUGUGGUGAAAAACUCAGAGAUGGGGUUUUUUGAUAGAACAGUGAAGUUAUUUUUGUGGAUUAAAGAUUGUUGUUUCUGAGGAAAAAAAGGGUUUUUUUGCAGGGUUUUGGAGAAAAGAGAAAGAUGGGUUUUUUGCGACGGCUUAGGGUUAACAGAUGGAGAUGGGUUUGAGAGAGGGCAGAUGUUGGCGUGCCUGUUGUGGUGGCUGCCAUUAAUGGCUGAAUUUAUUCUAUUCUAUUUUAUUUAUUGGGUUGCCUUGCCCUUGCUCAAAGAAAAAACAGAGGAGGUGUGUGGAGGGAGACAGUGGCGAAGGGUACUUUAAGUAGAGGGGAACUUGUUCUAGGUUUUUUUCUGGAAUUGUGAGGGAAUCUGAUCCUGGGUUUGUGCAUAUGAUUCAAUUACUUAUAGGUGAUACUGUUGUGUCACCACAAAUUCUAAUUGGGAAGCUUCAGCUGUCAAUUUUUUUCCAAGGGUUAAUUAGGUAGAACUUUCAUGUCGUCGAUUUUAUUUGGAGAUUCUAAAAGUAGUUUCCAAAUAAAGAGAUGGACCAAAAUCAACAAUGUGACAAAGAUACUUUAGAUUUUUUUUCCUUGUGGGACAUGAAAAUUGAUGCAUGUUCCAAUGCAUUGCUCUAUCAGAAUUGGAAUUAAACUUAGUUUGUAUUCUCCUAUUCCGAAAGCAAAACUUAUAAGUGAUAUUAUAAGAAGAAGAAAUUAAGAACCAUAACAAAUUUGAUGAUUCUAAUUUGCUAGAAAUAUUGCAAUCCAAAACUAAGAAAGUUAAAACCAAUUAUUAGAAGAAAAAAGUAGGACGGAAGCUCCCAGAAUAUUGUUAUGUGUUGUAUUUUUUCAGUUUGUAUUUCCCAAUCAAUAAGGAAAAGUAAGUACACACGUUACAAAAAUUUAAUAAAAAAGAUUGGAGGUGACAAAACCGUCAAUUUUCUAAUUAACUUUCUCUCCUUUCGAAUUUCCUGAGUUUGGUAGAGACUGCUUAAGUGGUGUAUCUAUUAUAAACAAGCAAAACUAUGUUGCAACAGUGGUACGGUACCACUGUUGCAACAGUGGUACGGUACCACUGUUGCAACCAGCUAUUGAAUCUAUAGUUGUAUAGUUACAUUAGCAAGAUCCAAUAGCUAAACGAAACAAUAGUACCGUACCACUGUUGCAAUAUAGCUAGACCCAUUAUAAAUACCUGAAGUCAAAGUUAAUGUUUUAAUUGUUAAGAAAAGUUCGAAGAAGAAAUUUUUGUAUAAGAGAAUUGGGUUUAAAUUUAGAAUUCUUUGGAAGGAAAUGAGUCUAAAUUCCAAUAAUAUAAUUCAGCUCUAUUUAUAUAUAUCAUUAGUUGGGUGAAAAAUUAAUUUCCCUCAUUUGAUGUGAUUUUCAUCAUUUAUUUUCAUAUGAUGAUAAUUUUUUGUUUAGAGUGAAGUUAUUGGCACCCUUUCAUUAUCCUUAUAAAACCCUACUUCAAAUAAAAUUACACUUAAAGACAAUAGAAUUAAAUAACAUAGUUUUUUUUUUCAAACAAAUUACUCACAUUCAUAAUUUUUUUUUCUUCUAAUUUUCUAUAGGUUGCUUUGCAUCUAACUAAAAUAAAUUGUACAAAUUUAGAAUAAUUUAUUAUUCUUUUUAAAUUUCUUAUUGAUUAAAUAUUUGUGUAUUUAAGAUAGCUUUAAAAUUAUAAGAUAAAAUAUAUAUAAUUUAAGCCAAUGAUUAACAUUCAAAAAUUUCUCUCUCAUAAAAGUUUUUAAUUUGUGCGUAGGGUAAUAAUAAAAUUGCAAAAGAAAUGAGAAAUAGCAUAACACUAUUUUGAGUUUAAACAAUAAAAAAAUUAAAUGAAAAAUUAGAAGUGUAUUUAAAAAAAGGAUAUUUUUAAAAGUAAAAUAAAUAUAAUUAAAAAAAAAGAGUUUCAUGAGGGGUGCAAGCAAUAGUUCAACUCUUUUGUUUAUAAGUUUUAAGAUGUUGGUAUCCGUAGCUUAGCUUUUCCCUAAUUAUUAUAUUAAAAUGCAACAACAAUGAUGAUCAACCCUAAUUUCAUGGAGGUCAAAGAUUUUGGUCAUGCCGCAUUAAUUAGUUCGGUCAUACUUUCUACAAAUUUAUUUACAUUUAAUAAUUUGACCAAGACUAAGGCGCCGCCUGGAGUCAUAGAAUUUUAUAUGUCAAAAAUGCAUUUCACUUCAAUUAAGCCAUAAAUGUCGUUUAAUAUGCUUAUUUUGUAUUUUUUUAAAAAGUUUUAUUAAUUUUUUUUGUUUUUAAAAAUAUCAUUUAUUUAUUUUUAAAUUUUUUUUUUUAAAGGUAAAUAAGUGGGUAAAGUUCAAAUUCAAUUUUUAUCCCUUACGUCAUGGCUCCUAAGAUUUGAACUUAAGUGACCAAAUGUAUAAUAAUAGGCAUCUCAAAUAUCAUUUCUAAUUAUAUGUAAUUUAUUAAGUGAUUGUUAAUCUUUACAAGAUCCAAGUGAAUUAAUUGUAUUAUUUCACUACUAAUUGAUGAGUAUCAUAUUAUUUGGAAUAACUUUUGAAUAAAAAAAUUGUGAUGGAUGAAAUAUUCUUUUGAGAAUUUAUUGACUUAUCUCAUUUAUGAUUUAUUGUUGCAUUUAAGUGAUAUUGCAAAUAAUUUUUCCAAUAAUAUUAUUGUUUUGACGAGUAAGUUUGGAGUAAAUAAUACAUAUGGCAAGUGUGAGGUUUGUUAUUGCAUAUAUUUUGUGGAUCCAUUUUAAAGCCAAAAAAAAGGCAUUUCAAUUCAUUAUGAUUCCAGAUAAUUUCAAGCCAUAUGUCAUUAUUGGGAUAAAAAUAAAGUAAAAUGAUUAAAACUAUUUUUAUGUAAUUUAUAAAAAUUAAUGAAGCAACUGCAAAAAUUUUUAAACGAAAAACAAUUGAAAUGUGUGUGGAAAAAGAAGAAAAAAAUAAGGCAUUUAAAUAUCUUCUUAAAAAAUACGAUUGAGUAAAAUCAUUUUAACAGAAUGCUCUUCGAAAUGCAAUUCCACAUUAUUUUUUUUAUUGCAGUGGGAUAUUCCAAAAUUGGCACAACUCAUUAAGAAUUCGGCAACUAAAAUUUUAUUUAUCACUCUAUGCAUUUGACAAAUUAAAAAGAAAAAAAAAUCAUAUAUCUUCUGUUCAAAAGAAACCUUGGUAAAUAUUGUAAAACAAAUUACCAAUUUUUUUAAUUUAUGCCAUUAUAUCGUCGCUAUUUUCUCGCCCACUUUCUUAAAAUAGAAUCAAUAUUUAUUGAUGGGUUGGGUUCCAAAGUAAGUACCAAUUCAACAAAAUGGUUUUAUAGCAGAAAAAACACUUGUAAGACAUUCAGAACACAUUUUUCAAUUUUGUCUUUUGAAAAUGAGUCUUGAGUUUCCACAAGCCAAGAAGAAUGGCUAAAAAAUGUAUGGUAUCAAAGAAAGAGAAACACACACACACACAGAGAUUAGUGAGGAGAUAUAUGAGUGUGUAAUUUGUAUAUAUAUCCCCAUUAAUUGUUGAUAGUCCAAUGGGUAUAUGCAAAAGGAAAAAAUUGGCUGUCCUUUUAAGACAAAAUUGACUGUCACAUGAAAAUGUUAGCACACUUGCCACGCAACGAAAAUAAAGAUUCCAAGAACAAACUUUAUAGUCCCCUUUCUGUCCAAACAUAUGCGAUAGAAAUUAGUGUAAACGACACUUGAAAUAUAUAUGUAGAUCCUCACACAAUUGAUUAAAUAUUUAGAGUAGGAUGGAGUGAUAAAUAGUUUCACAAAAUUAUUGGAAUUAACUACUUAAUACAUGAGAUCUAUCUCAUUAAGUAUAAAAGAUUGAGUGCUGCUUCAAAAGCAUGACGUUGCUGGCAACAAAUUUAACACAAAAAUUUAAUUAACUAUCCUAGUUGAGAUAAUAAAAUCUUGUGUUGAAAACAAAAGGUUUGAGGUUCGAACCUUCUCAUUCAAGAAAAUCAAGUCAAAAUAUUACAUCUUCCAGCACAUAUCAAAGAUUUUUUCAAAGGCAGACUGAUAAUUCAGGGUAAAACAAAAAAAAACACAAGGACUAUAUGCUAUUCAAGACAGGUAUACCUUGGACAUGAAGUCUGAAUCCAAAACAAGAAGCACCUAGCUGAUCUUUCACUUUCAAUUUCCAAAAUCCAACAAAAUCUUUGUCAAAAUAUCUGAUCUAGUCUCAUAUUAAGCACAUUCAUAGCCGUAUCAACAGGUUCAAAAUAUUUUCCCCAAAAUGAGACAGAGAUUCCACUGAAGUUGAGUUGUGAAUGUCCCAACGUUCUGUAAUUAUAUGGUUCAGGAUACCAUGCCUAUUAAUCUUUUUUUUUCCUUUUAAAAAAAGGAAGCCAUAUAAAUAAUGCUUAAAACAUUAUUUGCAACAAGGAACAAUCAUUUCAUGCUUUCAUGUAUUAGAAACUUUCCAAAAAUGCUAGCAAGAAAAUGAAAUGGAACUUUACCUAGUCACAGAAUAUGUACUGCUGUUAGCCCAAUUGUUAUGAAGUGGCUUCUGCAUCAGAAGAUUCCAGCUCCCACCAAACAUUGUUAUCUCUCUUCUGAAUACAAUCUGCAUCGUUGGGCAUGAGUUAUAUCAUUAAUGUCUGCAUCCUCACUUACAUCAUCCCAAUCAAGUGCUUUUUCUCCAUAUCUGGAUUAUAAGUCCACUCCAAUCUCUUCAAAACAUCCUAGUCCUUCCAUCACAACUGAUACGACUUCCUUCCUAAUUACUUUCCCAUUAAUAAAUCGCUCCAAGAAAAGAAAGCAUUAGAAAUUCUCUUCAACACCCCAUCACUCAUAUCCCCUACAACAACCCUCUUCAGACACCUCAACAUUGCCUCUUGAAAGACCUCCAUAAAAUCCGAAUCAUCCGACACAACCACCAAACACCCAAACCUUCUUUUGUCCACCAUAUCCACCAUAUAAUUCCUCAACAAAACAUCGGCAUCUUGUGGCUUAUCUAACACCAUCCUGACCCAAAACCAUGCUCUUUUUAACUCAUCUGCAAAACCAUAACCCACUUUUGGAGUCAAAAUUGCGCUUGCAGCCAUUUUAUAUUUUUCCAUCUUUAUUGAAUAGUUGCCAACCAAAAGCACUCUCACAUUCCCUCUAGCUGAUUCUAUUUGAUUCGACCUUUUCUUUUGUUCCUCAUGAAUUUGCCUAAAAUGAUUAACAAGUUUGUCAUUAUUAUAAAAUCUCCUUCCACAAUCACCAAUACAUACGGCUUAGCAUGCCUAAUUACACCCCUGAUUUCUAAUUGGUUAAACAAUUCUCUUUCUUUCUUUGCUCUCUUACAACUUGAGGCACAUAACUAAACGCGUGGCUAUUAGCAUUUGCCACCAUGCAUUUAACAACCCCAAAUGAAGAUAUUAAUUUUUUUAGUUUAAUUGCUGCUUCAAAAUGGGGUACUGAAUUUGGAUUUUGUUAUCCAAAUACCAAAAAUUUCCCACAUUGUGAUGGACAGUUUUUAGUUCUAAAGUUGAUGACUGGUUUUGCGAAUCAGGCUUCAAAUGAGAACUUCUAAACAAUAAGACAAAUGAGUUUUUGAGUUUCUAAUCUUGUAAACUUUGUUCUAUUGUAUAAGUUAUGAAAUCGCUGAAACAUCACUACAGUUACAGGUCUUUAUGUGUCAAUGAACUGCAGAAGCCGAUCUUCACGUUUUCACGCGGAAGUGCACAUUUGUGAGGCGUACUCUUCAUGCACGAGGACGUGCAUGGUCAUGGCGGUGGGAGAAUGUCACGGACCGCAAUCGUGGCACCCAAGAUAUGUGCUUGUAUGCUAAUGUCGAUUAUGGUUGUGCUGAUUGUUGGAGACGUGCUUCAGGGGCGUGCAUGUGGGGAAUAUAAUGGCCCUAGACUCUUUGGAGUUCAGGCAGGCCAACCCGGUUUAGUUUGGGGAGCUUGUUGCUAGUCGAGGACUUAACCUUGAAGAGGGGUCUAGGCAAAACCCUACACACACUAGUUGGGAACUGGAGUCGUUCUCCUAACAAGCCCAAGGCAGGGCGAAACCAGUCGAUAUUGUGCCACUUCCACUAGGCUUACUCUCGUAGUAUGGGAUGCGGGAGUGCCGCACGGGUUCAAAACCUCUCGUCUCGUGACACUCUGCUCAAAAGCUAUGCUGCAAGAUAUAACAUCUUUGCAAUGUUAUACUUUCUAAAAGUAAUAAGAAAUCAUUUUAAAAAAAAGUAAUAAGAAAUGAAACCAAGGGGUAAAUCGAACACCAAAAGAAAUUUAGUCGGCCAACCACAUUAUGUUCCCACACAGUCCACUAAUUAAGUUAAUAAUUAAAGGGAAUCAAAAUCUAAGAAAUCUCAUCUUCAAGCAGAAUACAAACACACCGCGAUUGAAAAUCACAAAAUCGUAAAAAGAAGUUGACUUGAAAAGGGGUGGGCCGCCUCAUUUGCCCACCAACCACACCACACACACAAACACUCCAGCACACACACAAACUCUCUAGCUUUUGUAAAAAACUCUCUUGUAUAUUCUCUCUUUGUCAGUAAUAAAAUCAUAUUCAGCCCUAUUGCUCUACUUCUCUCUAGCAUUUUCCUCAAGUGUUCUUGCUUCGCUAGUUUGAGGAGUGGUCUAGGCUUGCUUAGCAACUUGUUUGCUACAAGGACAUCUUGGUCACAAAACAUGGACAUGCAAGGAAAAAAAAAAUAUUGAUACGUUCUAAAAAUAAUACGCAUUCUUCUACAGUGAACCAAAAAAUUUAGGCUAAUGGUAGCAAGUGAAGGAAUUGUGAUUUCAUGUGCAUUUUGUUGACAUGAAGGUAAAGAACUUUUUUAUAGUUUAUAUUGUUUAAUAUAACAUUUGAAUUGCAAAAUAGGGGUACAAAAUAGAUACACGAAGGGAUAAAACUAAGCUGAUUAUGAUAAAUAUUGAAUUAUAAGAUUUAGGUUUAAUCAUAAAGACAUAAGUGGCCCACAAAGUCACGAAUUGAUAUCAUACACGAUGCAAGUUCAAACAACUGCAUAAUAAGUUGCCCCAAUCUAAACUAUUAAUCUAGUAACUAUUCUAGUCGAUGGGGGAUAAUUUUCCUAUCACCAUUUAUCACGUGCAAGCCAAAUUUGUUGCUUGGUUCUUACAUGUGGUAAGGUAAUAUGAAUCCACUUGUGCAUAAAUUUGGCUCCGAUAUUAUAUAGAAGCUUAUGACCCAAAAUUAUACUUAAAAGUUAUUUCAAGAUUUGAGGGUUGCCUCAAGGUAAUAUUAUUAUUAGCCUGGUAACCCUUUUUUUGGUUGAUAUGUGAUAUUUUCCCUAUAACUUUUAUUAAUCUUUAUGCCUAUGUUUUGUCAUUUAUCCCAAAAUAUAACAUUAACAAAAGUUCCAAAAUUUCCUUCAAGAGAUAUACUUGAGACAAGUAAUUUGUGCAAUAACUUUGUGAAUUGAUGAGCAAAUUCAGAGAAAAGAAUAUAUGUGCCAAACGUAAUGUUUAUUAUUGUGUUUAUUUGUAGAGCUAUUUAAAGCCCCAAAAAAAAAAAAAAAGCACCGGUCCGCUAUUAUUUCAAAUAAGUUCAAGCCCUAUGUCAUUAUUGGUACAAAAAUGUAUUAGAAUGGUUAAAAACUAUUUGUAUUUAACUUAUAAACUUAGGAAAUUAUCAACUGUCCACCCUUAAAUUGCAUUGUUAUAAAAAAUAUUACAACAUUUUCAGGUUGUAUCAUUCAUCUACCAUAAAUUUACAAUCUGCAUCAUUUAUCCACCAAAUCAUUAACUUUGUUAAAAAGUGAUAGACGUCACAAGGGUAAUUUAGACAUUUAACACACACAAAAAUAAAAGAGAAAUUAUCUAAGCUUACCAUGUUAUCAAAAUUGCUACAAAAUUUUAAAUUUAUUCAAUUUUCCAAUCUAAGUUUAUGCCUCCAAGAUGUUAAUUGCAGUUUGUAAUUAAUGAGUUCAUAAGGAUAAUUUAGACACUCAAUAUGCAAAAUAAAAAAUAAAAUAAUGGCUUAAAACAUUAAAACAAAAAACUUGAUAUUCAAUUAAAUACACAUAAACUCUAUUUUUUUCUUAAUUAAAAAUAUUCUAAUUUUUUUUCUCAAUUUAUCAUCAUAAAUUUACAUUAAUAAACUAAAUCCACAAAUUACCCUAAUUCAUAAAUGCCCAAUCAGUCUAAUAGUUUACUUCGAUUUCAUAAUUAAAAAAGCUAAAUUUAUUAUAUUAGUUAUGGUGCAAAGUCAAAAAUGCCCUUAAAUUCAAGGGUAAAAUAACAUUUUAUUUAAAUUCUAUAAAUUAUUCUAACAAUGUUAACAUUUUGGUGGACGGUUAAUAUAAAUUGCAAACUUAAAAUAGAAAAUCAAAUAAAUUCAAAUUUUCAAACUAUUUAGGGCAAAUUUAGGAUAUAUGGUUAAUAAUUUUCCCAUGUCUUUUUACAUUGGUUGAUACAAGUUACAAACUUAAAAUAGAAAAUCAAAUAAAUUUAUAUUUUCAAACUAUUUAAGAUAAACUUAGGGUAUAUGGUUAAUAAUAUUCCUUUAUCUUUUUACGUUAAAUUGAGUUUCAAAGGUAAAAUGAUCAAUUUAUUAUAAUUCUGUUAAUUUUUUAGUGGAAACAAAUGAUAUAAUAGACGAAUGAUAUAAAUUGUAAAAUUAAGGUGCAUGAAUGAUACAACUUUAAAAUAUUGUAGUAAUUUUAAUAAUAGAACAAUUUAAGGGUGGAUUGGCAAUAAUUUAAACUUUAAUGAAGCAGCUAAAAAAAAUUUUUAACAAAGAAAAAUAAUUGAAUGCUUUGUGAAACCAAAAAUAAUUGAAAUGCUUUAAGAAAAAUAAAGGAAAUUAAAUAUCUUUAUAAAACCAUAAUUGAGUAAAAUCAUUUUACAAAAUGCUCUUUCAAAUGCACAUUCCACAAGCCAGGGAGAACGGGUGGCUAACAAAAAUCUCACUUUUUAUGAGUUUAUAAAAUCUCACUUUUGCAGAAUCCAAAAAUAGCCAAUACUAAUCACACAAAAAAUAAAAAUUAUUGCUGUCACGACAUUACACACUUUCUUCGCGGUUUAUAAAGCUAGAACAUUUUGAAGUUCCUCAAUACAAAAUGCGUGCUGCUACUAAAUUGGCCCAAUUAAUGCCCAUCGAAAAGGCCAUCAAUUUAGCCAUCAAUUUUGUCAAAAUUUCAACAAUUAAGAAACAAUGAUCGCAAACGGAACAUGUGAAUUUUGAAGUUGAAGAAAUCUUGAGAUACAUACAACAAAGCCUUGAAACUUUAUUCUUCACAAUUUGAGCACGCACUAAAUAUUAAACAAGUAUAGAACAAAGCUUAUUUUUAGCUUCUUGUGCGAACUGAACACGCUGAAUGAAGCUUUUUUUUUUUUGGAUUUUUGGAAUUUUUUAAAGUCAUUUAUGUUCGCUGCCAUCUUUUUCUUCGCUGGCGUCUUCCUCUCGGGGCUGGCAUCUGCCUCGUCUGUAGUUUGCUGUGCCUAUAUAUCCAACCAAUAAAUUGGGCAUUAAAUACGAAUGAAUGAUGAAUAAAAUGAUUAAAAAAAAACAGAGAAAAUUAUAAUAUAACACAUAUAUAUUGAAAGAGAAAUUUUGAUUUUAGGAUAGAUCAAUUAGCUAUCACAAACGAAAACAUGAACCAACUGUGUAUAGAGUCAAUUAACUAAAGUUCUCAAGAGUUGACCUGUGCUCCUGAAUUCUUGGACUCAUCUAUCUCCUUCUGAAUUUCCACGAAGCUUGGGACAAUUACGAACAACUUUAUGGGAUGCAGAUGGAAAUGGGAUCUGAUAACCCGCAGGCCAAAAGUUGGUGAGGUUUGGUAAGUCUUCCAGUAUCAAGUCCCGAAGUUCAUUCAUAACAAUUUCAUUGUAAUCCGUGACGUCUGCUCCAUCUUUAUGCCAGAAUACUUCUUCUAAUUCAUCAUUAGCUGCUAUACAUAGGUGCUUCAGUUUUUGAAGACUUUGAGCUAUGCUGAUAUGAAAUAGAUGCUUUAGUUUGGGGCAAUCAAGGACAGCGAUAUUUGUGAGUUUUGGGAAACAAACAGGUUGGAGAUGAUCCUCAUCCUCAUCCUCAUCAAUGAUUUGCUCUAAUUCCUGACAAUUCACAAUAGAUAACACCUCCAAUUGCAACAGAUUUCGAGCAAGUGUUGAUGAGAAGAGACGUCUCAGCAUAGUGCACCCGUCCACCCUUAAUCUGGUAAGACUUUGCAGGCUAAAAUUAUGCGUGGGACCUACGUGAUAUAAUACUUGCAGUUCUCGAAUGUUUUCCAACCACAACGACUUCAAACAUGGGAAUAGUUUAUUUUCUUGUCCCUCAGCGAUAAUAGCUUCCACUUGAAAUACCACCUGUACUCCAAUUUCCAAAAUAUUCAAUUCUUCCAAAUUUUUUAAGCCGUGCUUCAACAGUGCUGGAAUCGUGUCACUCAAAUGGGAACAAUUGGCCACAUCUAGAGUAUUUAAGUUCUGAGACAAAUAAAUAAAUAACUUGAUGCAAUUAAAAUCUAUUAGCAGCUAGGAUUAUCACAUGAUAAGUGAUGAACACCGCAAAAAUAUCAUAAUACAUAUGUAAACUAAUAAAAUAAUUAAAAAGUAAUGGAUUUAAAAAAAAAUGAAAUUAGUUAAAAGAGAUCAUGUGAAGUGAUAUAAAUGUGACAUUAUAUUGUUUGAGAAAAAUUAGUAUUCUAUUAAUUUCUAUGGAUUGAUCAACUAAUUAAUUGAAUUUGAGUAAUAUAAUAUACACUUCAGUAGUGUUUGCAUCAAUUCUUUCUAAACCGAAAUGAGAUAUGACUUUCAUUUGAAAAAUGAUUUUAGGCCCUAAAAUAAAGGAAUUUCCUUAAGAUAUUUGAGCAUUAUUAUUAUCAUCAUCACAUCCACGAUCAUCAUCAUCUCCAUAGGACCAAAUAAUUAAUGGCUGAUCAUAAAAUUUAUUGCUAAACUAUCAUUUCGAGUAAAAUUGAAGGAAAAGAAAAAACAUAAACACAAACAAACAUACCUCUUUGAGAUAUUGCAAAUUGGCUUUAAGUUCAGUACUGUUGAUGGUCAAGUUGGGACAGUCAUGAAGCUGUAACUCUUCCAAUGCUGUCCAAAUUGAACAAUAAUUUUCUGAACAAAAGCUCUUGAGUUCUGGGAGUUCUUGAAGUGUUAAUCUUCUCAACAAGGGGAGGGCGAGCAUCGUAUUUCCACCUUCGACACUUAUUUCCCCUUCAUUGUGAUCAAACUUUGCUUCGACAAUACAUUCCAGUCUCUUGCAAAAAGUCACACUGAGACUUUUAAGCUGCUCCAAACUUCUAGCUUGUGACAACGUGAAGAUAUAUGUCAACUUGUUGCACCUUUGCACAUUCAAUUCUGUGAGAGUUUGGAGGCUGAUCACAUGUUGGGCGGGCGCCUUCCAUAUCCACUUCAGUUCUGGUAAUUGGAACAUAUUUAACUCUACUAAUCUUGAGAGACUCUUUCCAUGCAGCGACUUAGAGGCAUCCAUUAUGCAUUCUAAAUCUUCGCAAUCGCGAACAUCAAGACAAGUCAACUCAUUUAAGCCCCUUUCAUCUAUGCUUGGCACAAUAUUAUGACAACCUAUUAACCCCCUCAAACGAAGAAAUUUCAGAUUUUGAUACAAUGCUGAAAAAAUAACGAGCGAGGUCGCCACUUCAUGAGGGUAAUUCUCAAUGAUUAAGCUCCUUGUUUCAUCACCAUGUUCCAUGUCAUGAUCAGAUAAUUGACCAUUACCGAUGACGUACCUUUGCAUUUUCGGGAAUGUAAAGUCUUUUGGAAGACAUAUAACUUGGGAGUUCAACUCAGCAAGCCUAGCAUUACUUUCUUCUGAACUCAUCUCUUCAACCUCCCAAUCUUUUAUCCGACCAUAAAAUUCUUCCAAUUGAGGAAAUUUUUUUAUUGUAAUGGGAGAAACAGAACCAGUAUCAAUAUAUAGAAGUUUCAAUCUACCAAGUUCAUCCGACGACAAUUCUUCAGGAAUUUCAAUGGGAGAUGACUGGAGAUAAAGAAGUUCAAGUCUCUUCAACUUUCCAAGAAAAAACGCGUCACUCACAUCACACCGAAUCAACUGCAGAACCUGGAGGUUGGUGAGGCUCUGAAGCGAUUUAAGUGAAAGAACUCCACCUAUUAUAGUGACAACUUUCAAUGCUGGCAUCCCUUUAAAAAAAUGUUCUGGAACUUGCAAUCGGUGGUCGUAUUCAGGAUUCUCCAAUCGCAAAAUAUGAAGGUUAGGGCAUACCAAACUACUAGGAAGCUCUUCUACUUUAUUUCCCAUUACAGAGAUUCCUCUGUAUUGUUCCAGGCCUUCUUCCAUUGCCCGUUCUGCCAAUCCAAUGCCAACUUUACUAAAAAAUUUCUUCUCCACUAGUACUUCUGAGCCUAUCCAUAUGGCUACAUCACGAACUAUGUCAUGCAUUUUCACAGAUCUGUCAUUACCAGUGUCUAACAGUAGUGAAGCAGCUUUGAGUCCGUCAAUUGUUCCAAGCAGUAGGCUUCUGGUGUUCUCUAUUGACUCAGCUUGAUACCAAGUCAACCCUACUGCAUAUCCAACCAAAUCCUCCAAAUUAAUCUCAUAAUCUUCUGGAAAUAGCGAACACAACAAGAAGCAUAACUUGGAAUUGUCAUCAUUCAAUUCGUCGUAACUAAAUUUGAGACAACCGUAAACGUCUAAGUUCUCCUCAUCAAUACCUUCUAUUGCAUAGAGUUUUGCAGCCUUUAGGUUAUGUAGAGCUAGGUUCCAUUCAUUAAAUCUUUUUCCUCUUAGUGCACUUCCAACAGCUUCAAUAGCUAAAGGCAGCCCCUUACAUUCUCCAGCAACUUCUUUGGAAACAUCAUUCAAGGUGGAGUCAUUUACAUUAAUUUUGGCAUUUUUUCGCAGUAAAGCCAAUCCUUCUUCUGGCGUUAGUGUACUAAGUGGAAUCUGUGUGUCACAACCCAAAGAAUCACAAACUGACUUUUUGCGAGUGGUUAGAAGGAUUUUGCAACAAUUAUCUCUACCACCGACGGUAAUACCUAAUUUUUUCUCCGAGUCGAGUGGUUUCCAAACAUCAUCAAGGAUUACGAGGAUUUUGCUGCUUUUACUCUCAGAAAACAUCAAGCGCAAUCGGUCUGCUCUCUCUUUUUCAUCUUUCUCAUUUAGUGCCCAGCCUAACGACUUUGCCAACUCACCUUGAACCUUUAUUAUAUCUAGAUCCUGAGACAUAGUGGCUAUCCCCACCUUAUCGAAAAGCUUUUGUUGCCGAAGUUGAUUGCCCACAUAUUUUGCCAGGGUUGUCUUUCCUACACCACCGAGACCAUGCAAUCCCACCAUCUUUGUGCUCUCUUUUUUCAGUGCGUCAAUGAUCUGAUUGCAAGCGGAUUCUGUGGUCUUGAAAAUAGAAGUAAAAUGCCUUGGCAAACUUAAUUCUCUUUCUAAUGGUAGAGGUUUAGGAGAGGCAACUGUGUUGAAUUGGCUGCAGCCUUGUAGCAGAUCGGACAACUUGCUAGUCUUCUCUGAUGCUUUUCUGCCCAGACGAUAUCGGCAACACCAAUUAGGACACAAUCCAUGAAGACUACUAUCCUUUUCAUCUAUCUCUGCUUUCAACUUCCAAACAUCGUCCAAUUCUUCGACUCCAUUAUUCAGCCACUCCAUUACAUUUUCAUCGACUACUAUGUCGGGGCAUUUUCGCAGUUCAUCGUCUAUUCUUGUUUUGAUGCCAUCUCGUGCCUUCUUCAACUUAGUUUCUUUAUCCUCAAGUUCUUUAACAAUGCUGUUGAAACAGAACAUAUAGCGAGCUUGGUCAAUGGCUGCAUUCACCAAUAAUUCUUCAACCUUUGAUUUUAAAGCUUCCAUGCUAUUUAUCUGCAAAUAACGAAGUUGAUCUCAGCACACUAUUAGCGAAACAACAAGGCUUGAUCACCAGACAAAAUGAGAACGUUUAAUUACCUCUUUCUGCACUGUGAAUGCACGUCUAUUAACACCAGCUUUGACCAAUAAGAGCAAAAUGCAGAGGUGGGGCCUUAAGAGUUUCGGUGGCCUUUAGCUGCAAAACGGCAGAUGACAAAUAAGGUGAACGUUCCUAGCAAACGUGAUUUACGGUGAAUUAUAUUCAAAUUAGAUUAUUUUAAAAGUUGGUAAAUUAUUUAUCACUCUAUCUUAAUGAUACCUUAUUUGGGAUGAUAAAGAUUGGGGUAAAUUCCCUUUUAUUCUCACAUGUUUAUAGUAUUUAUAUUUUUAUAAAUUACCUAAAACAUCCAUGUAACUUACUUUUAUAGCUAUUGAACAUAUCAUUUCAAAUAUAAAAUACUAUUUCUGUCUAAUAUAAAUUAAAAAUCAAACAAAUCUAUCAUGCAAUAAAUGAAAAGUAAAGAAUAUUAAUUAGGUUUUAAUGGAAACAAAUAUAAAACAUAGAGGUUUUGAGUAACUUUUGUAUUUUUUUUAAUGUUCAAUUUAGAAUUGAAUAAUUUGCAUAAUGAAAUUUUGAGGUUUCUAUAAUUUAUAUGAAGAUAAACUGCGAAAUAAGUUUAUAUGCCGAAAUUAAAAUAGUUAUAUAUUAGCAAUCAUAUAAUAAUAAAAAAUUUUAAUAAAAUUUAUUUAAAAAUUGGCCAAUUGUGUUUCAUGAGUAAAACAGAGAGCAUAAUGGACUUAUGUUGGGUCUUGGGAUUGAAAGACUAAGGGUAAGGGGCCGGGAGGUAGGACGGUAGGAAAAUUAAUUUUUGUUAUUUUUAAAGUAUGGUCAACAUUAGUGACUUGGAGGUGAUUGCCGUUAAUCAAUUACCUUUAACUUAAGAAUUAAUACAAAUAAAUGGAAAAAAUAAUUUAAUGAAAAUUAAUUUAAUAAAAAAUUGCACUAAAAACUUAGAACUCAAAUUCUCGAUCAUUUUAUCCGUACGUUUUAAUCCGACGCUCAGAAUUGGCAUAAAACAAACUAAUAUAGCCAUUGGAAAUAAAACAAACAUCAAAUCAAGAGCCUAUGAAACAAUAUUAUCUCGUACCUUCUUCCUUAUAGAUCCUCAAUUGCUGUUGAAAGCUGCAUAUGACAAUAUAAAUAAACAUGAGAUCAAAACAUCAUAGGAUAUAUCUAGCCAAUUAACAUCAUAUAUAACUCCUUGUUCUCAGUCAAAUCUUUCAUUCUUAGAUUAAAAAAAAAAUGAAAUAAUAACUGUUAAGUGAUAUAGGAAGCAAAAGUAACACACCGAAAUGAAAGCAGCUAGUUCACAGAUGACAGAUGCGGUGACUUCAAGAGCAUGAAAAAUGAUUAAACUUUGGUAGAAGGGUCUGAGCCGUGUUUCACAAGUUGCUAUUGACUUCGUGGCUUCGCUUUUAUUUAUUAUUAUUAUUUUUUUAAAUUCUAUAUCAGUGAGAAUUGAAAUGUGGAAAGUGAAAUGAUACACAUGCCUUAUCAUCUAUCAUGAGGGGUGAUUUGGUAAAACCGAUUUAAAAUAAAAAAAGUUUAAAAAAAUUUAAAAAGAUGCUUUGUGUCUGACUGCUUGUAUUUGGGGUAUUUUUCGGGUUGUUGAGACUUGAGAGUGAGUUUAAUUAAAUAUAAGAUUUUCAUUUUUCUUAUUAUAUUUUUCUCUUUAGAAUGAAUUUAAAUCUCAUUCUUAUUAAAUUCAUUUUUUUAAAUGAAAAUAGAUUUCUCUCCACACAUUUGAGAUAUAUUUUAAAAUUAAUGUUAAGCAUAUCUCUAAAUUAUAUUAUAAAUAUUUUUAUUUAAAAUCUCAACAGAUUUCAUAACACACAGAGAGAAAUACAUAUAUAUGUUGUAAUGUUUUAAUGAUGGAUCUCUAAAGUUAUCAAGUUAAAAAAUAAAUAAAUAAAUAAAAAAUACACACUUCAACUUAUUAUAUGAUAAAAUAUAGUAUAUUAAAGUGAGUAUUUUUUGUGUGAAAUAAAAUUAAAGUGAGUACUAUUACCACCUCACAUCUUAUAAAUUCUAGAAAAUAAUCAAGGCUUGACAUACUUUUAUUUAUGCAAAAGCAUAAGAAAAUAAUUCAAAGUACUAAUUAGUGUACUAUUCCUCAAAAUUCUAGAAUAGAUUUGUUAGUUCUCUUUAGCCAUAGAUUGGUCCGUGAUUGGCACCGCAAUAGCUCAUAAUCACCUCAACAAUUGUUCCACACGGCCCAACAUGACACAUUGUAAACUAGUCUACAAGAAUUUUUUGAGUGGCUUUCUAGCAAUAUUCUUAGAGAAAGUGUUUAGUAGUUUCAAAUCUUCUUUUUUUAACACAAAUGUUGGCAUGAUAUUCUUAAUAUAUUUCUAAAAUCAAAAUAAGAUGCAUAGAGGACGAUAAUUUUAUUUCAUAAUUGAAUUUUUUGCAAAGAAAGUUUGAACAUGAGAGUGAUGAGAGAUGAGAAUAUUGAUGAUGGUGUGUACUUUGAAUGGAAAAAUAGAUUGGAAAUAUAUAUAGACAUAUUAAAAGAAAAAAAUUUGGUCUAUUUCAUAAGAGAAAUAAAAAAUUAUAAACGCGGGUGUUAAAAUGUAUUCAGAAUUUAUAAAUUUUUAUAAAUAUGAUAAUCAUCAGACCCUUAUAAAAGUAUAACAAAAAAGUUUAAAAUUUUUUAAUAAAUGUAGAAGAGAUGAACGAAGAAAUCAUCCACCAGUUCAGAAUUAACAAUCAAAGAUAUGAGGACUUGAUUGAAGAAAUGAUGAAAAAUAAAAGGAAACUGGGUUGGUUAGCGGGACCCUAAUAUUAAUGGUGAAAAAUAAAAGGACACUGGGUUGGUUGGCAGGACCCUAAUAUUAAUGGCAAAAAAUAAAAGGACACUGGGUUGCUAUCAAUUUCGAUCGUGUAGGUUCAUAGCCGGGGAAGUAAUUGGGCACAAAUAUCUCGGAUGAGAAAUAACCAUUUUAUCCCGCAACCAUAUGUUUAUGGCCUCUAAAAAUUUUCACCUCUUUCACUUUCUGGAACCCGUGCUUUCUGGCACAUGCACAAAUACUUGGUUGCUACUUAUAGAGCGUUUUUGGAAUUGCAACAACAUGGUGCUCUUUGAUAAUUCAAAAAUCCAAUAUAAUUUAUAGAGAAUUACAGAAUUGUGGUACGUGAUAAUUUGCUGAUGCAAUGAGGCGCCGAAAUUCUUAUACAUGUGAUUUAAGUUAUAUAUGUAUAAUUAAGUAAUUAGAAUAUACUAGUUGGGGGUAUUUGUGUCCAUGAAAAUUUACAGCUGGUUGUUGACAUUACACUGCGGGUGUGUAAGUGUAAUCAUGGAUCUGACCAUUCAAAUUUAAAAAAUGGGGGUCCCGCUAGCUUACGGAGUUAGUAAUUAUUAGAUAUGCAUAUAUGCUCCCAUACGAUAAUCUUAUCAUAAAUUUGAAGGAUACGAGGACUUGAUUGAAGAAAUGAACGAAUAUUUGAAUUAAAAAAAAUUUUAGAAUAAAGACAAGUAUUAAUUUACUAUGAAUGCAACUUACAUAAGCUGUAAGUUAGCGGGACACUAUUAAAUCACAAGCAAAAAGCAAUCUGACUUCUUCUUGAUUCCGUAAUUUGGCUGUCAAAAUGUAAUCUAUAAAAAUUACGAUACCUCGAUUCAAAAAAAUGUUGUUUCUGAUGAAAUAAAUGAAAAUUGAACGUACAAUCUGCCACGAACACUGUUUAAUUAACCGUUUAUUUCCCCUUAAAUUUUUAAUCUCAAUGAAACAUAGAUCUAAUGGGAACUACAUAUAUAUAAAAAUACUAUAGAUUGAAGAAGUUGAAUUUUUCUUGUGUGUUAAGUAUUUUUAGUUAAUACGAAAGGAUUCUAGCAAGUUAAUACAAAAGUAUCAUAAAUUCAUAGUAGUACAAGAGAUUUUUUUUUUCUUUUGAUAUUAAGAGUUUUCGAGAUAAAAAAAAAAAAAUAGGUGAAAGAAGAAGAUGAGAGAAGAAAAAAUAUUAAGAAUAGUUUUGGCAUUUUGAUGCGUUUUAUAGUGUAAAAUCUAUAUUUUAUAGUAUAAAAAGGUACACCCAUAAUUUAAUGAUAAAAUUUUAGGAAAAAAUUGCACUCGUCAAAAAAAAAAAAGAAAAGGCUCAGCUUAGCCCAAAAAUUUUUUAUUAAUCGUCUAGUCGCUAAUGUAAUCUCUUUUUUAUGAGAUUCUUUGGCGUUUUAGUUUAGUCCAUUGUUAGCAAUCCUAAUAGCUUUUAUGUGCAUCUAUUUUUAUUUGGAAUAUGUUUCAAGCUUGAAUAAAAUCUGCGGGACAACUGGUAAGUAAUAAAGCUCAUCAUUUUUUUAUUUUGAAAAUAAAGGGAAUCACUUACACUUAGCAUGAUAUUAUUUUUGAUAAGUCAUUUUUUUGGUAGAUUAUUUUUUCUAACACGCUCUUAGAUUUAGUGAAAAUAAAUUGUAUACUUUUAAUGAAGAAAAGUAAAGAUCAACAAAAUAUUUUGUUCUUUGCGACAACUUUUGCGUUCUCAAGUGCGCCUGAUACCCUUUUUUUUUUAACAUGGGCCCACGUGCCAUGUUUCCAUUUCAAGUUUCAUAAGUUAACAGUAGAAAUGGGUUCCACAGAUAAUUUAUUUUAUAAUUUUUUUUAAAAAUUACUAAAAUAUAAUAAAUAAGGUAAUAAUAAUUAAUAAAAAAGUAGAUUUUAAGAUGGAAAAAUCUUUUUGUGUACUUAAUAAAAAGAUGAUAAGAAUGGGAUGCUUUUAGUUUACAUUCUCAUAGCUAUUUAUACUGAAAAAUUACAUCAAAAUUUAAUUAAUAAAUCAGUGAACUGCAGACUUAUUAAAUUUAAGCUAUUUUAAUAAGUCAUAAAUAUACUAAAUUAAAAUAGUAAUAAACCCAUUGUUACACAAUACUCUCCAUUGAGUGUUCACCAUUUUAAGAUAAUCAUAAAAUGACACCGGAAGUGCUAUUAUAGCUGUCUCAUGGAAAGCCUUCACCAAUAAAAAGGAGGAUAGAGCACAUACAUCCAGUUUUUAUACCCUUUGAUGCUCAGUCGACACGUGCCAAUGCUAUAGACUAGCUUUUCGAAGGUUGAAGUGGGUAUGCUAUUAGUAAAAAGACCUGCAAAAUUAUAGUGUACCUAUUUGACAUCAACUUUUUUUAUCUGCUGGAGCUUAUGAUUAUAGAAGAUCUUCGGUAAGAUGUGUUUGAUUUUAUCUUCUUUUAUAUAUCCUCCUCUAACUUGUGUAAUAGUAGUAAACCCCUGCCCGUUUUUAUUUCGUUUAGUAUUUUCUAAAUGGCCGAAGGAAAAUUGGUAAAAACUCAUUUAAAAAUUAAAAAAAAAAAUCAAAGAAAUUCAAGAAGAAGCUUUGUAUCUGUCAUUUGUAUUUGGGGUAUUUUUUUGGUUGUUAAGUGAAUGAGCUUAAAUCUAAAACAUUUAUUUAUAUAUUUCUUGUUGGAAAGAAUUUAAAUUUUAUUCUUAUUAGACUUAUUCUCUUUAAACAAAGGUAGAUUUUUCUCUAUGUGUUUAACGUGUAUUUUAAAAUUAAUGUUCAACAUAUCUUUAGAUUCUAUUAUAAAUAUUCAUAUCUAAAAUCUCAACAGAUUUCAUAAUAUAUAAAUGUAUAUAAAGAGAGAGAAUAACGUUUCUAAUAAGAAAUUUAUUAAGUUAAAGAAUAAUUCAAAAGAUAAAUUUGUAUUAAACCCAUUUAUAUGAUUAAUUAAGGUUUUAAACAAAUUUUGGACUUGUUCUAUUGUAGAGCUUAAAUUCAAAAUGGAAGAGUGAAGAAGGGAAAAAGAAGACGAAUAAAGAAGAAAAGAGGAGAACAACUUAUACAAAAUAGGGAGAACGAAAAAGUGAAGGGCAGAAAAAGAAAAAGAAUAAAGAAGAAAUUAAUCAUCGCUGAUAUGAAAAUAAUUCCUUCUUCUUUAUUGUUCUUAGUGGUUCUACUUUUUUUUAUUGGAUUCUAAAUUUUUGUCGUAGAUGGAUUAUAAGAACUAGAAAAUUAUAAAGAUAAUUUUUUAAUUAUUCGAUUAAUUAAUUCCAGCAGAAGACAAGAAAUUGAUUCUGCUUCGUUAGAAAGCCAUCACAUUCUAUACGCAAUUGCAAAAAGUAUAUAUUUUUGUCUGUUUUAGACAAGAAUAAAAGGGAUACCUGGUAUUGCAAAUCUAGACACGUUUUAGUGCUUUAUGUCCGAAUGAAUUCUUUCUUGCAACAAUAAACUUGGCCGAUCAGGAUUUGCCGUUUACAUAUGUAGGUCCUGUUGGUUCUGUAGUAGGACUCAUAAAUUUUUAUUUUUAAUUUACUGAAUCCAUAAAUUUAAAAUAACGGUGCAACUCCUGAGGAUGACAAUGGGGCGGGUGAGGUCUUGGAGUCCUGAAAAAAUUUAUAUCUGCAUAUUAAAAAAUGUGGAUCCGAAUAAGAAAAUCCGCAUGAAUCCGAAUGCAAGUGCAUUUGGAAAAUCGGAUAUCGAGAUCUGGAUAAAAAUUUAUUUCAAAUUAAAAAUUAAAUUAAAUAUAUAUUAAAAAGUAAAUGAAAAAUUAAGAAAGUAAAUUUUAUUUGUAGAUUUAUGAUGUCAUUGUAUAUUAUUCAUGUUGAAUUAUUAAUUGUUGGAUUAUGAUUGAAUUUUAUUUGAUAUUAUUGGGUAAAUUAUUGAAUUUCAUUUUAAAUUAAAAAUAUUUAUUAAAAAUUAAAUUUUAUUUGUAGAUUUAUGAGAUUAUUGUAUGUUAUUCAUUUAAAAUUUUUAAUUAUUGAAUUAUGAUUGAAUUUUAUUUGAUAUUAUUAGGUAAAUUAUUAAACUUUUAAAUUUUAUAUUAAAUUAUAAGCAGUAGGAAAUUAUGGUAUUCAGAACAUGUAUACCUUCGCACAUGAAGCUUGAGUCCAGAACAAGAUGCAGCUAGCCAAUCCUUCAACUUCCAAAACCCCACAAAACCUCUGUCAACAUAUCUGCUCUACUUCAAUAUCAAGCACAUUCAUAGCGGUAUCAACAGCUUACAGCUCCAAAAAUAGUUUGAGAUUUCAUUGAAGCUAAGUUGUGACUUGUGACUGUCCAAAUGUUCUGUCACACGAAAUGAUUAUUCUUGUAACACAAAUCCAAUAGCAUGCAAUAUAAUCUACUCUCUAACACUGUGCAUUAGUAAAAUAAAACAGAGUAAAAAGAGAAACCAUGCCUGUGAAUCUCUUCUCCUCCCCCCACCACCCCUUUUUUUGGUAAAGUCUAUCAAAUGAAAAUGCAGCAUGACCACAUUGGCCACUACCACUGCCAUUACUCCUUCAACUGUGCCCUUUGUUGCAAGAAAUCUUCAAGUGAAAGAUGGAUUAUAUAAUUAAAGAUUCCAAUAGAAGCAGCAAAGGUUGCCUUCCACUAGCCUAUCAGAGAAUAUGCUUUCUAUUUUCCUAGUUUUAAUCAAAAUUUUGCAAGAUUUAUUUAUGGAAAACUUGGACAAAAUUUUAUGUAAGAUACCAUAAAGCCAAACACAAUCUUUUUAAUUCUCAGCAGCAACAUUUAAAGUAAAAAGAUGGAAGCCAUAUAAAUAUAACUAUAUUUGGUACGAGGAACAAUUAUUUCAAGCUUUCAGAAAUGCUAGCAAGAAAUUGUAAGAGAACUUUACCUAGUCACAGAAUAUGUCAAGCAUACUACCACCAACUGUCUUUAGCACAAUUGUUAUGAAGUAGCCUCUGAAUCGGAAGAUUCAAGCUUCCACCAGGCACAAUUAUUUUCAUUCUCCAUACAAUCUGCAGCAGUGGCAUGAGUUAUAUCAUCAACAUUUGCAUCCUCACUCUCAUCACCCCAAUCAAGGCUUCUUCUCCACCUCUGGAUUAUAAGUCCGCUUCGACAUCUUCAAACAUCUCGGUCCUUCCAUUUGCAAACAACCGAUAUGGCUUCUUUCCUUGCCUUCCUCAUCGUUUAUAUCCCCCCAAAAAAGGGUCUUUAGACACCUCAACUUUGCCUUCUGCAAAACCUCCACAAAAUCUGAAUUAUCCAACACAACAGCUAGACGCUUGAUCCUUCUUUUGUCCAUCAUAUCCACCGCAUGAUUCCUCAACAAACAUCUGCAGCUUGUGGCUUAUCUAACACUGUCCUGACCCAAAACCCCACUCUUUUCAACUCAUCUGCCAAACCAUAACCCACUUUUGGAGUCAAAAUUGUCCUUGCAGCCCUUUUAUAUUUUUCCAACUCCAUUGAAUACUUGCCACUCAAAUGCACUCUCCUACCUCUAGCUGAUUCUACUUGAUUCAACCUCUUCUUUUGUUUACACUCAUGAAUUUGGAUAAAAUAAUUAACAAGUUUGUCAUUAUUAUAAAAUCUCCUUUCACAAACACCACAUAAAUAUGGCUCAGCAGGCUUAAUUACACCCUUGCUUUCCAAUUGGUUAAACAAUUUUUCUCUUCUCUUUGCUCUCUUACAACUUGAGGCACAUAACUAAAUGCAUGGCUAUUGGCAUAUGCCACCAUGUAUUUAACAACCCAAGUGAAGAUAUUGAUUUGGGGGUUUGUUGUCCAAAUCCCUAAAAAUUCACACAUUGCGUUGGACAGUUUUUAGUUCUACAAUUAAUGAUACGUUAUGUGAAUUAAGCUCCAAAUGAGAACAUCUAAACAAUGAGACAAAUGGGCUCUAGGUUUCUAAUCAGUAAACAUCGUUCAGUCGCAUAAUUUAUGAAAUUUUUGAAACAUCACUACAGCUACAGGUCUUUAUGUGUCAAUGAACUGCAGAAACUAAUGAUCUACUAGUAGUAGACGUUUGUUGUCCCCACCGUUCCAGGAAGAAAAAUAAGUAGAAGAACUACUUUUAGACCAAAAUUAAAAAAUUGAAACUAUCUUGAAAGACUUUCCCUUCAACUAAGUAAAAAAGAAAAGAAAAAAAAAAGGUAUUAGACAAGCAUUUUCAAAGGAAAAAGAUCAUCCAUUUAUUGUAUGUACUCAGGAAAAAUAAAUGUACUAAUAGGUAGAAACACAGCAAUAAAACUCAAAAACUAACAUCUAUAAAGCUCAAUAACAAUUAUGAAUUAGAUAUUUUGGUCCCUUCAUAAUUCCUCCUCUUGACUUCACAUUUCCCCUCAGCCCGUGAUAAUUUUACCUAUUGAAUUCACAUUUCCCCUCAUCCAUUGAAUUUUCCCAAUAACAAGAUGAGUCUAAAUCUGUUAGGAAAUUGAUGGGUGAAGCAGACACGCAGCUAAAGUAAAAUUGGAAGAAAAUAAAGAACAAGCACAAUAGAGGACACCAGAAAUUACGUGGUUCGGCUUUUAGCCUACGUCCACGGGCGAAGACAGAAGGAAAUAUUUUACUAGUGAAAAUGAGUUACAAGUAUUGUAGUAUUUUAGCUCACUUCCCAAAACCCCAAUACACCCAAACUCUCUAACUCACUAGACACUCAAGAGUUUAUUAAACUCUUAAAACUCUCAACACUCAAGAAAGCAAUGCUUCUCUCUCGAUGGAAAUUGAAUACAAAUGAAUGAGUGAGCACUUCCUUUUAUAGCCAAAAAAUGGCUAUUAAAUUAAUAUAUAUAUGUAUAUAUUUCAAAUGUAGUUACCAACUUCUUCUUUUUCUCCAUUUGGAUGGCACCAUUUUCUUUGGCCGGCUGCACCAUUUUCUUUUUUCAAAUGUCAAACCUGUGUGCUCAUUUUCCUUUCCAACUUGCUGCAAAAUUCCUCUUCUUUGAACAACAUGGAUGUUGACCAUCUAGAUGGCUGCUUUUGACAUUUCUCCCACUUGGAGAUUAGAUUGAGAAGCAAUCAAUCUCCACACCAUCCUUUCUGCUUCGCCAUAAUCAUGUUGCCUACGUUUCUGCUAGACCACAAGAGGAUCUACUCCAGACAAACUUAUCAGUAUUUAUCGGCUUGGUCAAAACAUCUGCUAGGUUCUCUUUGGUAUGGAUUUUCUGCAAAUCCACACUUCCAUCUUCCACUACUUCUCGAACGAAGUGAUACUGAACUCCUAUGUGCUUUGUCCUGGAAUGAAAGGCUGGAUUCCUUGCAAUGUGCAAGGCACUCUGACUGUCACAAAAUACAGGAAUUUUCUGUUGUUUGUGCCCGAGCUCCUCCAAUAACCUUUGUAUCCAAAUAGCUUCCUUGCAAGCUUGUGUAGCUGCCAUGUAUUCUGCUUCUGUUGUAGAUAAAGCCACAACGGUCUGCAGUUUCGAAACCCAGCUUACAGCUGCUCCCGCAAGUGUAAACACAUAACCAGUAGUGGAUUUUCUUUUAUCAAGAUCUCCUGCAAAAUCUGAAUCCACAUAGCCCCUGACAGUAAACUCUGAUCCUCCAUAACAUAACGCAACAUCUGAGGUUCCUCUUAUGUAUCUCAGAAUCCUCUUAACAGUUAUCCAAUGCUCUCUACCAGGAUUCGCCAUGUAUCGACUAAUUGCUCCCACUGCUUGUGCAAUGUCUGGUCUUGUACAUAUCAUAGCGAACAUCAAACUUCCCACUGCUGAUGCAUACGGUACUCGAGACAUCUCCUUCCUCUCUGCUUCAUUACUAGGACACAUACUUGAGGAUAAUUUGAAAUUAACAGGAAGUGGGGUAGAAAUUGACUUACAAUCUUGCAUGUUGAAGCGUCGCAAGAUUUUCUUCAAGUAAUUCUUCUGCGAAAGCCAAAUCUUCCUGUUAUUUCUGUCUCGGUGAAUUUGCAUCCCUAGAAUCUUGUUUGUUGGUCCCAAGUCCUUCAUGUCAAACUCCCUAGCUAACUGUGCCUUCAAUUCUUGGAUUCGAUCUUUGUUGGGACCUGCUACCAACAUGUCAUCCACAUACAAUAGCAAAAUAAUGAAAUCAUUAUCUUCAAACCUCUUGUAAUAUGCACAAUGGUCUGAACUGAGUCUGUUGUAUCCAAGGCUCAUGAUGAAGGAAUCAAAUCUCUUAUACCAACACCUCGGCGCCUGUUUGAGACCGUAUAGAGAUUUGUUCAACCUGCAAACCAAGUUCUCCUUUCCUGUUUCUGCAAAACCUUCUGGUUGGAGCAUAUAUAUUUCUUCUUCAAGUUCUCCAUGAAGAAAUGCAGUUUUCACAUCUAACUGCUCUAGAUGUAAGUCAAAUGUAGCACACAUUGCCAAGACUACUCUGACUGUUGUGAGUCGAACCACGGGCGAAAAUAUCUCGUUGAAGUCAAUGCCUUCUUUCUGAGCAUAUCCUUUCACUACCAAUCUUGCACGAUACCGCUCCACUUGGUCAUUACCAUCACGCUUGAUCUUGUAGACCCAUUUGUUUCCAAUGGCUUUUCUUCCAUGUGGUAGUGGUACAAGUUCCCAUGUCUUGUUCUUGUGUAGAGCUUCAAUUUCUUCCUGCAUUGUUGUCAUCCACAAAGCAAUAUCUGAGCUUUCUAAAGCUUCAUGGAAAGUUGAUGGCUCUCCAUCCUCCGUUAAAAGACAGUAUGCAACGUUGAUCUCUGUGACAUACUCCGAGUGCCACGUUGGCGGUCGUCUCUCACGAGUUGACCGACGAACUCUGGAGCCUCGGACUCGACUGGUUCUUGUUCCUCGUUCUCUGGUGCUGCUUCAGAAGAAUCUGAAUCUUCUGGAUUAUUUUCCACAUAUACUGGUACAAUCUCUGACUUUUCUUUUACAGUGCUUUCAUCCUCAUCUUUCCUUUGCAGUUGAUCUUCUAUAAAGAUAACAUCUCUGCUGAUGACGAUCUUGUGGGCAGUGGGGUCCCACAGACGAUACCCCUUUACUCCAUCAGCAUACCCUAAGAAGAUACAUCUUCUAGAUUUUGGAUCCAGCUUUGUUCUUUCUUGGGCAUUGUACAUCACGUACACAGGACAUCCAAAUGCAUGUAGGUAGGAAUAAUCAGCUGGCUUUCCAGUCCACAUCUCCAUCGCUGUCUUCAACCCAAUAGCUGUAAAUGGCGACCGAUUUACUAUAUAACAGGCGGUUUUGGCUGCUUCUGCCCAGAAUGAAUUGGGUAAACCAGCAGUCCUCAACAUAGCUCUUAUUCUUUCUGUAAGAGUUCUGUUCAUCCGCUCCGCUACUCCGUUUUGUUGAGGAGUGUAUGCCACCGUGAACUGCCUCUGAAUACCUUCUUGCUUACAGAAAGCAAGAAACUCUCCGUCUGUAUAUUCUCCACCAUUGUCUGUCCUUAAGCACUUGAUCUUUUUACUAGAUUCAAGUUCCAACCGCGCUUUGUAUUCUUUAAACACAGGAAAUACAUCUGACUUUUUCUUAAUUGGAUACACCCAACAUCUUCUGGAAUAAUCAUCAAUGAAAGUCACCAUGUACUUUGCACCUCCCAUAGAUAUAUCCGGUGAUUCCCAAACAUCAGAAUGAAUCAAGUCUAGAAUGCAUUUACUCCUAGCAAUAGAUCUACUGAAUUUUAAUCUAUGCUGCUUACUUGUAACACAAUGCUCGCAAAAUGGUAAACUUACCGAUUUGAGCCCCGGAAGCAAUUUUCGCUCAGAGAGAAUCUUCAAACCUUGUUCUGACAUGUGGCCAAGUUUGAGAUGCCACAUCAUCGUUGAUUCUUCUCCAUUUGAUGCGACACACGCAUCAGCCUCCUGUAGUGUUUCUCCUUUAAGCAUGAAUAAAUUAGCACCGAUCUUUUCUGCCUUCAUCAAUACAAGCGCACCUUUAACGAUCUUCAUUAUUCCAUUUUCCACAUGAGUUUUGAACCCAUGACUAUCCAUUUGUCCCAAAGACAAUAGAUUUUUCUUCAGGCCAUUGACAUGUCGUACCUCCCCAAUUGUGCGAAUUGUACCAUCAAACAUUUUUAUUUUGAUAGUACCAAUACCAGCGAUCUCCAAGGCAUGAUCAUCUCCCAUAUAUACAGAUCCUCCUGAGAUAGGUUCAUAUGUGUGGAACCAUUCUCUCUUAGAGGUCAUGUGCCAGGUAGCUCCUGAGUCUAUAAGCCAGACAUCAGAUAGUCGUUUUCUGCCUUCUGAAACAGUUGUUGCCUCGCUGUAGAGAAUUUCACCAUCAUCUGAGGUACUUGCUACACAACCCUGAGCAUUUGAUGACUCAGGUUCUUUGCCCUCUCUUCUCUUCUGGUUACUCCAACACUCUUUCUUGACGUGCCCUUUCUUGCCACAGUUGUAGCAUUUAACAUUCUUCUUACUUCUGGAUUUUGAUCUACCCUGAUUUUGACUCCCACUGGGGCCACGUUCCGUUGAUCUCCCUCUCGUCACUGAUAGCGCUUCUGCUUGCUGCGAACUUGCUUGUCUGUUUUCCUUGUUUUUCCGCCUGCUCUCCUCAUUUAAUACGGAGGCUGCAACAUCGUCGAAAACUAGACCCUCCACUGGAUUGUUGUUCGUCAGGUUGAUGAUGAGUUGAUCAUACGAAUCUGGUAGACUUUGAAGUAGAAGCUCUGCACGUUCAUUUUCCUCUAUAUUAUGACCCAACGUUGUGAGUUGUGAAAAUAGAGUCUUCAAUGUGUUGAUGUGGUCGGUCACCAUUGUAGAUUCCGCCAUUCGAAGAGUAUAGAGUUUUCUCUUCAAGAAGAUUUUGUUGUGUAGUGACUUGGCCUCGUACAAUUUUGUGAGAGUAUCCCAAAUUUCCUUCGCCGUAUUUUUCUCUGCCACACUGGAUAAUACUCCAUCCGCAAGUGCCAAGUGUAGAUCAGAAAUAGCGUUGCCGUCUACCUCGUUCCACUUGUCAUCAGUUAUCUCUAUGGGCCUUUCUCCAAUUGCUGCCAAACAAUUAUUUUUCCUCAAUACAGCUUUCAUCUUCAUUUUCCACAACGAAAAAUUAUUUCCGUUAAACUUCUCAAUUUCAUAUUUUGCCGCCAUUUUGUUGAUAAUACUGCACACAAGCUAGUGUACCACCUUGAAUAGUUGUGAGUAUGUGUGAGAAUGCACACCAGGAAAGUUCCCAGGAAAGACUAGAGGGGUCACAAUGGUCCCACUUAAAACCCAAACUCCUUAAGCUCUUAUCGCCUUUGUGACAGAACUUUCCUAGACAUGUACAGAACCACACAGUUGCUUUACUCACACCACUAUUCCCUGCUUUGCACCGCAAAAUUCUUGGAUGGCUUCCACCGUUUCACGUGAAUAGUACCGUAUACGUGAAUAGUGCCGUAUACGUGAAUAGUGCCGUACACCGUAUACGUGAAUAGUGUCGUACACCGUAUACGUGAAUAGUAUCGUACACCGUAUACGUGAAUAGUGCCGUACGCCGUAUACGUGAAUAGUCCCGUACGCCGUAUACGUGAAUACGUGAACAAUUCCUGACUCCAAAAAUACAACCAAUAGCUCUGAUACCACUGUUAGGAAAUUGAUGGGUGAAGCAGACACGCAGCUAAAGUAAAAUUGGAAGAAAAUAAAGAACAAGCACAAUAGAGGACACCAGAAAUUACGUGGUUCGGCUUUUAGCCUACGUCCACGGGCGAAGACAGAAGGAAAUAUUUUACUAGUGAAAAUGAGUUACAAGUAUUGUAGUAUUUUAGCUCACUUCCCAAAACCCCAAUACACCCAAACUCUCUAACUCACUAGACACUCAAGAGUUUAUUAAACUCUUAAAACUCUCAACACUCAAGAAAGCAAUGCUUCUCUCUCGAUGGAAAUUGAAUACAAAUGAAUGAGUGAGCACUUCCUUUUAUAGCCAAAAAAUGGCUAUUAAAUUAAUAUAUAUAUGUAUAUAUUUCAAAUGUAGUUACCAACUUCUUCUUUUUCUCCAUUUGGAUGGCACCAUUUUCUUUGGCCGGCUGCACCAUUUUCUUUUUUCAAAUGUCAAACCUGUGUGCUCAUUUUCCUUUCCAACUUGCUGCAAAAUUCCUCUUCUUUGAACAACAUGGAUGUUGACCAUCUAGAUGGCUGCUUUUGACAAAAUCAUCAAUCUCAUUAAACACUCACAUCUACUAAAUAAUAUCGCAUGCAGUAACUUUAAGUAAGGAUCUAAAACUUACAAGAAAAAGAAAACUACUGUUUAUUAAUUUCAAAAUUUACACAAAAUUACAAAUGAUUUUAUAAACUGUACCAAAACAUGUUCUCUAAAAGAGAUUCAUUAUCCUGCAUUUUCAAAAACAAUAUAAACUAACACUAGAAUAGCCAUUUGAUAAUGAUGUGAAUUUGGGCAGCACCAAGAAGCAGUGAGCCCCAUUUGGUGAAAGCAAAAAGAAAAAAAAUUAAAAUAAAGCACUAUAAAUUCUAAUCAAAUUAUUAACAUUAGCUACACAUCAAGAAACCAGAAUAAAAUCGUUAUCUAAACCACAUACUGAAAAAGAAAAAACAAUGCAGUUAAAAUUCUAUCAUUUUCACUUACAAACAAAUAAAGAAAAAAUUAAGAACAAAGGUUGAAGCAAAGAAUGAUUGUACCUUGAGGUACUUGAGGUUAAUGUUUCCAUAAACGAGACCGAGCGAAAAAGCCGAAACCAGAGCAACCUAUUCUUACUACUCAAAAACACGCCCAGAUCAGAAAAUAAAUGAUCAUUCAAUAACAAUUCAUAGGAAAAUGAUGUUUGCCCCGGGUCAAACCCCGAAAAUAACUUAAACGGCGUCGUUUUGAUUUUUUUUUUUCUUUUGGAAUACUCCAAAACGACGACGUUUCUGAUGAUAUUUUGAGAAGAAUAAAAUCUAUCUUCCUCUUCGUUUUCGUUUCUUCGUUUCACCUGUGAAAGAACAGAGCAACAGAGCAACAGAGAUCCCAACUUGGUCUUGUUCCGUUUGACCGUAAAUCUCUUCAUUUCUUCGUUUCUUCGUUUCUUCAAAUAACGGCAAUAUCACCCAAAACAAAGUUUCAUGCAAUGUUGUAAAAAAUAAAUUAUGAUUUGAGAACUGAAAAAAUAAUAUGAGAACUAAAAAAAUGAGACAAAUCAAGAAUAUGAGAACUGAAAAAAUUAAUUCAAUGUUACAAUGUUACAAUGUUCUAAAAACGAAGGCCAACUUCCUAAAAUAAAAUUAAAAAACAAAAUGCUACAAUGUUAAUCUUCGAAAAUUAAACUGAAAAAAUGAGACAGUACCGAAAAAAACAAAUCUUCGAAAAUUCAAGCUUGGCACAAUGUUAAUCUUUCGUCCAAACUCAGCUUUCAACCGUCCAAAUUCAGCUUGUCCAAACUCAGCUUUCAACCGUCCAAACUCAGCUUGUCCAAACUCAUCUUUCAACCGUCCAAACUCAGCUUUCAAGGACACAUUUCGCAGCCGAAACUCAGCCGAAACUCAGCUGCUGUUGGUCUUGUUCUUCAAUGGGUACCAAACGAAAAAGAAACGAAAAAGAAACUCAGACGCUUUCAACUCAGCUUCCAAGGACAAAUUUCGCAGCCGAAACUCAGUCGAAACUCAGUUGCUGUUGGUCUUGUUCUUCAAUGGGUGCGAAACGAAAAACAAACUCAGAUGAAGAGGAUGGAGCUUUAAUUAGUAGAUCCCGUUCUGCUGUCGAUGAGUGCUCCGGCUGUGGAUCUCGGUCGAGGAUGGAAGAAACGAAAAAGAAACGAACAAACGAAAAAGAAAAUAAAAGAAAACGACGCAAAUCAUUCAAUAAACAAACGAAAAAGAAAAAAAAAAAAGAAACGACGCAAACGACGCCGUUUAAGUUAUUUUCGGGGUUUGACCCGGGGCAAACAUCAGCACUCUUUCCUUUAUGAAUUGGGAAAAUGCUACUUUCCCCGGGUCAAACCCCGAAUUAUUUCAAAACGGUGUCGUUUUGUUUUUUUUUUUUCUUUUUACUUGCAUGAAACGUGGUCGUUUGAGCUAGUAAAAACAAAACAAACUAAAGCAGAAAAAACUCAAGUGCUUAUCUUCUCUGCCCCUUUCUUAAUUUCCUUUUGACAAACCACGGAAUCACACCCACAAACAACAAUCACCCACAGUCACGCGAACAGCCGGCACAGACGAAGGAUGAGCCCACAGACGACGGACCACCGCAUUGAAAUCUCUGUCCACAUCACCGGCACCAUCAUCGUAGGUCUGUAACAAACUGUCGUAAGUUAAACCCUUCUCACCGUCGAUGAACUCGACGUAAGUACGGAAUACUUCGUCGAGAAUUGCGUUGAUUUGUUCGUCGCUGAAUUUGACUCGAGGGUUUACGGCCACCACUAAAGCCGCCAUUUCUUCUCUAUUACGGCCACCGUCGCGGUUCGUGUCAAAUUGUUGAAAAAUUCUCUUCACUUUCUCUGAUCUGCUUCCUCUCGUAGCCAUUUUUUUUUUCUGUUUUUCUGGGGGUCAGUUUGGUUUCUCAGUGUUUGUUUGAGAAAGCGGAAUUAGUAGAUAAGGGAAUAUAAGGAAAAGUUGAUAAAAAGGCAAAGGGUGGUUACUUUAAUUGUUGGUGAGAAUAAUGAUGAUGAUGGCUUAAUUCUGGGUUUUGUUGGAUCUGAAUGAAUUCUUAACGGCAAAAGUUAAAGAGUAGAAGAAGAGCAAGAGGACGGACUCUCAUUCUUUCCCUUUUUUCUUUUAAUUUUAAAUAUAUCAAAAACGGCAGCGUUUUGGAGAAACAAAAAAGAAAAAAAAAUUAAAACAAAACGACGCCGUUUUUGUUUUCGGGGUUUGACCCGGGGCAAACAUCAGCACUCAUUCAUAAAAACUCCAUCCCAUCGCAUUUAAAACAAAACAAAGAAAAUAUUGAUUAGAAAAAAAAUUACACGCAUGGAAUAAAAGAAUAUAAAAAUGGAAUUACCAGAGGGAGCUAGUGCCGGAGUAGGAACCAGAAGGCAGCGCCAUAUGAUGCUCUUGUUAUGGUUUUCCUUCUUGUGGGUCUGCGCUGAAGUCGAAGAUGAAGAAACAAGAAAGAGCCAGCAAAUUGAGAAAUCGACUACCAUCUUCGAUUCCGACUCGCAUGGCCAUUUUUCUUUGAUGAAUGAAAUAUUGUUUUACUCCCUAAUUCUUAACCAAAUUACAAGUUUUGACUUCUGUUUGUAUGUUCUUUCAUACGGGUUCUUGUUCACAGGAAUAACAAAUGGGCCGGACGUGUGGCUAAGCCCGGGCCUGGUGUCGAUAGCCAGGCCUGGGCUUUUACGAGCCCAGGCAUUUUAUUCUGAGUAUGAUCCUUAUAUCACUUCACUUUUGUAAUCGUAAUUUUAUUGUACUGAAAAUUAUAUGAACGAUUAAUAUGAAUUUAAUUAAACAAACAUGUCUUUACAACUCAUGCAACCUUACUAUUUUCUAAUCCUAAUAUGUGAUAUAAUUAAUUUUACUGAUAAAAUCAAAAUAAUUUUUAAACAAUGAAGAAAUAAAUUAUAAUAACAGUAAAUUUAUUACGAAAAAGUAUGUUUACAAAAUUUAUUUUAAAUGAUAUGAAAUCUAAUUAAAAUUCUAUUCUAAUUUUAUGCCCUUUUUUACAAUUUUAUUAAAAAGUGGGAUCUCUUAAGAUUUUAGGAGUGUUGGAAUUCUAUUUUUCCAGAUUUGAAUUUUAGUGACCUUUACUUCAUUUAAAUUUUUUGUUAUAAACUUGCAAGCAAGUGCAUUUAGGAUAUCUUUGGUGAACUGGAUUGUAACAAUAAUUUUAUUUAUUAAAAUUAUUAAAAGUAUUUAAUUAAUAAAACUUCACGUAUCCUCGGGUCUAACCAAUCAAAUUCUUUCUCUCAAAAGUACACAAAAGUGAGAUUGGCUCUUGCCUAUUAGUUAACAUAUGCAUAUUAAUUAACACUGACAGAUAUAUAGAUAUACAGCACAGCUAGCAGCACAUUCGACUUACAGAUAUACAGAACUUGAACAUAAUUCACAUAUCUGAAGGGAGAGGGAUAUCGAUGUUGCGGCCUGCAAUUCAUAACAUAUCAUCGGUCAUUUAAUCUAGAAUUGAGGAGAGAAAAUGAGUCUAAAUUCGAAAACUUUGGCACUAUUUACAUAUCAUUAUUUGGGUGAAAAUUCAUUUCUCUGCUUUGAUAUGAUUUGGUCUUUCAUUGUUACGGUGCCAAUUUUUUAUUUAAAGAUGUAAGGUAGUGGUACUAUAGCUUAUAUUUUCCGUAAUUACUAUCCGGUAAGUACAAAAAUAAAAUACUAGUUUAAAAUAUAAAAAUGAAAAAUUAUUUUUAUAACCAAUAUUCAAUUAAAUACAUUUAAAACUCUAUUUUUUCUUAAUAAAAAAAAUUCUAAUUUAUUUUCUCAAUUUAUCUAAACAACUUUACCUAAUCAAGCUAAAUCUACAUAUUACCCUAAACCUUAAUUCAUAAACACCCAAUCAAUCUAAUUGUUAAAUCUUAUUUCAUAAUAAAAAAAAAUUAAUUUCUUUUUUAUUAUUUAUGGUGCAAAGGAAAAAAUGAAUUUAAAGGUAAAAUUGAUAUUUUAUUUAAAUUUUGUUAAUAUUCUAAUAAUAUUAAUGUCUUGGUGGUUAAUAAAAGCAUAAAGUUAAACUUUUGUAGUAUUUUUAAUAAUAUGGUAAAGAUAUAUGUUUGAUAAUUUUCUUAUGUCUUUUUACGUUAAAUUGAGUCUCAAGUAUAAUGAAUAAAUAAUACAUAUUAUAAAAUUAGUGUAGAUAAAUAAUACAACUUGAAAAUAUUAUAGUAUUCUUAAUAAUAGAGAAAUUUAAAGGUGGAUAGUUGAUUGUUUAAUGAAACAACUACAGAAUUUUCCUUUCAAAUAUCUUUUUAAAAAACAACAGAAUGACCUUUCAAAUGCCCAUUCGACAAGCCAAGAAGAAAGGGUAGCUAACAAAUUUACAAGUACCAGAGAUCCAGAAACACAUUUAUAGCCAAUCCAUUUAUGAGUUACAUUCAACACUCUCACAAACUUAAAAAAUAAAAAUUAUUACUGCCAAGACGCACACUUUUUGACAUCUAAAAAGCUAAACAUUUGAAGUUCUUUGAUACAAAAUGCAUACUAAAUUGGCACAGUUAAUGCCCAUCGAAAGGGUCAUCAAUUUAGCCAACAAAUUUGCCAAAGUUUUAACAGUGACCACAAACGGAACAGGUAUAGAAUAAAAGCUUGUUCGGUUCUUGCGCGAAGUGAACCCCUCUGAAACGCUAAAAGAGGAAAUACAAAAUAAAGAAGACCAUAUUACGUGGCUAACUAACAGCCAUUCCCAAAGAAAUAGAGUGACGAUAAUGUGCUUCUUUUUUUUUUUUUAGAAAAGAACACAGACCCCUAAUAUUUAAAUAAAAAACAUAAAAUUUCUUAAUAUUUAAAAAAAAACAUUCAGACCUUAUUGUUUAACAGAAACUGUUUUUUUAACAGAAAUUAUAAUUUUAAAAUAUAAUUACCAUUAUAUCCUUAUAACAUAUUAAAACUAAUUAUUCAUUGUCCAAUUUAUCUUUAUAUUAUUAAUAAAAUUACGAAAAUAAAUUUGAUAAAGAAAAUUUCAUGCACAUCUAAAAAUUGAUAAAGAAAAAAAAAUAACAAAAGUAAUUAGUAAGAAAUCUCCAAUAAACCGACAAAUUAAGAACCCUGUUCAUCAAACUACCAUAAACCAAAAAAAAAAAUUCUCGUAAUCAUUUAUUUAUAUUCUUGCACAUACAUCACAUAUGCAUCAAGCAUGCUAGAGAAGUUAAUUUAGUAAAAAAAAAUGAAAAUUAAAGAGAAUUCAACAGGCAAGAUCAGCAACCAAACGCAAGCACAAGCAGCAGCCAAACGCGAGAUUCAACAAGCAAGAUCAGCAACCAAACGCGAGCACAAGCAGCAGCCACAAGCGAGCACAAGAAGCAGCUAAAAGCGAGCACAAGCAGCAGCCAAACGCGAGCAAUUCCAACAGCCAAACGCGAGCGAUUCCAACAGUUCCAACAGCACAAGCAGCAGCCAAACGUCGAUUGCGAGCAGAUCCAGCAACCAGACGCGGUCUCGAUCGACGCACGAGCAGUUCCAGCAGCUUCUGGUAGCGUGAGCAGUUCCAGCAACUUCCGGCAGCCCUAGCAGCUUUCGGCAAAGGCAAACCGUGAGUGUGUGUUAAAAGAUUUGUCUGGAAUCAGCGUGUGAUGUGUGUGUGGGGUUUGUUUGUGCGUGUGAUGUGCGUGUGGGGUUUUAGUCAAUUCACUUGUUUUUAAUUUAUAAUUACGAUAUUAACCUUGUAAUGAUUUAAGGAAACGAUUUCCGUUAAGUAAUGGGUCCGAAUGUUUUUUUUAAAAUAUUAAAACGUUUUGUCUCUUACUCAAACGUGGGUCUCUGUACCCUUUUCCCUUUUAUUUAUUCUUCGCUGGCAUAUUUCUCUUCAUCUUCUUCUUCACUGGCAUCUACAUUGGCGUCUCCCUCUUGGUUGGCAUCUUCCUCGUUUGUUGUUUGCGGUGGCUGUCCAACCAAUAAAUUGGGCAUUAAAGAACAAACAGAUAAAGUUAUAACAAUAAGAAUUAUAAACAUAAAAAGAAAAAAAAAAGAUAUUUGAAGGGAAAUUUUGGUAGAACUCCAUGGCUCAUCUAUGAAAUUAAUUUAAAGUUCUCGAGAGCUUACCUCUGCUCCAGAAUUCUCGGAAUCAUCCAUCUCCUUCUGAAUUUGCAGGAAGCAUGGGACAAUUACGAAUAAUUGCAUUCACUGCAGAUGGAAAUGGGAUCUGAUAUCCCGUAGGCCAAAAGUUGGUGAGGUUUGGUAAAUCUUUCAGCCUCAAGUUCCGAACUUUAUCCAGAACAAUUUCAUCGUAAUCCAUGACGUCUGCUCCAUCUUUAUGCCAGAAUACUUCUUCGAAUUCAUUAUUUUCUUCUAUGCAUAUACGAAUUAGUUUUUGAAGACUUGGAGCUACGCUGAUAUGAAAUAGAUGCUUUAGUUUGGGACAAUAACAGACAGAGAUCUCUAUGAGUUUUGGGAAACAAACAGGUUGGAGAUGAUCCUCAUCCUCAUCAAUGACUUGCUCUAAUUCCAGGCAAUAUAGAAUAUCCAACCUCUCCAAUUGCAACAGAUUUCGAGCAAGUGUUGAUGAGAGGAGACGUCUCAGCUUAGUGCACCCCCUUACGGUUAAAUCAGUAAGAUUUUGCAGGCUAAAAUUAUGCGUGGGACCUUCAUAAUAUAAUACUUGCAGUUCGUCAAGAACUUCCAAUUUCAACUCUUUCAAACAUGGGAAAUGUUUGUUUUCUUGUCCAUCAGCGAUAAUAGCUUCCGACUGAAAUAACACUUGCACUUCAAUUUCUCUUAUAUUCAAUUCUUCCAAAUUUUUUAACCCACGCUUCAACAGUGCGGGAAUUGUGUCACGCAAAUGGGAGCAAUCGUCCACGCUUAGAAUUCGUAAUUUCUGAGAAAAAUAAAUAACUUGAUGCAAUCAAAAUCUAUUAGCAGCUAGGACUAUCUCAUGAUAAUCAAUAAACUAACACCAAAAAAAAAAAAAAUUCCAAAUCCGUACAAAAUAGUUAUAUUUUAUGAAAGUAAUAUAUUUAUUAAAAAAAUAAAAUUAAUUAAAAGAGAUCAUGUGAAGUGAUAUAACGGUGAAAUCUGUUUGUUUAUGAAAAAAUUGUAUUCUAUUUCUAUGGCUUGAUAACUACUUAAUUGAAUUUGUUUAAUAUUAUAUAUGCUUCACAAGUGUUUUCAUCCGACCUUUUUUUUACCCCCUUCAAAACAAAAACGAGAAUUUGACUUUCAUUUGAAGAAUGAAUUUUAGGCCCUAAAAUAAGGAAGUUUUCCUAAGAUAUUGGAUCUUAUUGUGAUCAUCACCGUUAGCACUACCAUCAUCAUCAUCUCUCUACAAAGCCAAAUGCAAGGUGAUAUGAAUGGCGCAUCAUAAAAAUUAUUAAUAAACUAUCACUUUGAGUAAAAUUGAAGAAAAAAAAAAGAAAAAAACAUAAACACAAACGGACAUACCUCUCCAAGAUACUGCAAAUUAGCUUCAAGUUCUGUAUUGUUGGCGGUCAAGUUUGGACAGCAUCUUAGGUCUAACUUUUCCAACGCUGGCCAAGUUGAAUAAUAAUUUUCUGAACAGAAGCUGGUGAGUUCGGGGAGAUCUUCAAGGCUUAAUUUUCUCAACAAAGAUAGCUCGAGUAUUCUAUUUUCAUCUGCUACACUUAUUUCCCCUUCAUUAUGAUCAAACUCCGCUUUAACGAUAAAUUUUAUUCUCUCGCAUCUGAACACUGCAAGACUUUCAAGCUGCUUUAAACUUCGAGCUUGUGACAACGAGAAGACAUACGUCAAAUUGUUGCACGCGUACACAUGCAAUGCUGUAAGAGCUUGGAGGCUCACAUGUUGGGCGGGCGCCUUCCAUAUCUGCUUCAUUUCUGGUAACUCCAGCAUAUAUAACCUUGCUAAUUUUGAGAGCAUCAUAGGAUUCCCACUCUCUCCUUGCGGCGACUGAGAGGCAUCCAUUAUGCAUUCUAAAUCUUCACAAUUGUUGACAGAAAGAUAAGUCAACUCAUUGAAGCCCCUUGGAUCUAUGCUUGGCACAAUAUUAUGACAACCUAUUAUCCUGCUCAAAUCAAGAAAUUCCAGAUUUUGAUACAAUGCUGAAAAAAUACGGAGCGAGGUCGCUUCAAAAGGGUGAUCAAUGAUUAAACUCCUUGUCUUAUCACCAUCUUCCAUUUUAUAGCCAACUCUUUCACCUUUAAUCAUGUACCUUUGCAAUUUUGGGAAUGUAAAAUCUUUUGAAAGAUAUACAACAGGUCUGCCAACUUGGAAGUUAAACUCAGCAAGCCUAGCAUUACUUUCUUCUGAACUCAUCACUUCAACCUCCCAAUCUUUUAUCCGACCAUAAAAUUCUUCUAAUUGAGGAAAUUUUUUUAUCGUAACGGGAGAAACAGAACCAAUAUCAAUAUAUAGAAGUUUCAAUCUACGAAGUUCAUCCGACAAAUCUUCAGGAAUUUCAAUGGGAGAAUCCUCAAGAUAAAGAAGUUCAAGUCUCUUCAACUUUCCAAGAAAAGACGCGUCACUCACAUGACAUCCAAUCAACUGCAGAACUCGGAGGCUAUUGGCAAGGAAUCGAAGCGAUUUUAGUGAAAGGACUCCAUUUAUUAUAGUAACAACUUUCAAUGCUGGCAUCCCUUCAAAAAAAAUUUCUGGAACUUGCAAUUUGUAGACAAAUAGAGUAUUGUGCAGUCGCAAAAUAUGAAGGUUAGGGCAUACCAAACUACUAGGAAGCUCUUCUUUUUUAUUUCCCAAUACAGAGAUUCCUCUGUAUUGCUCCAAGCCUUCUUCCAUUGCCCGUUCUGCCAAUCCAAUGCCAACUUUACUAAAAAAUUUCUUCUCCACUAGUACUUCUGAGCCUAUCCAUAUGGCUACAUCACGAACUAUGUCAUGCAUUUUCACAGAUCUGUCAUUACCAGUGUCUAACAAUAGUGAAACAGCUUUGAGUCCGUCAAUUGUUCCAUGCAGUAGGCUUCUGGUGUUCUCUAUUGACUCAGCUUGAUACCAAGUCAACCCUACUGCAUAUCCAACCAAAUCCUCCAAAUGAAUCUCAUAAUCUUCUGGAAACAACGAACACAACAAGAAGCAUAACUUGGAAUUGUCAUCAUUCAAUUUAUCGUAACUAAAUUUGAGGCAACCGUAAACAUCUAAGUUCUCCUCAUCAAUACCUUCUAUUGCAUAGAGUUUUGCAGCCUUUAGGUUAUGUAGAGCCAAGUUCCAUUCAUUAAAUCCUUUUCCUCUUAGUGCACUUCCAACAGCUUCAAUAGCUAAAGGCAGCCCCUUACAUUCUCCAGCAACUUCUUUGGAAACAUCAUUCAAGGUGGAGUCAUUUACAUUAAUUCUGGCAUUUUUUCGCAGUAAAGCCAAUCCUUCUUCUGGCGUUAGUGUACUAAGUGGAAUCUGUGUGUCACAACCCAAAGAAUCACAAACUGACUUUUUGCGAGUCGUUAGAAGGAUUUUGCAACAAUUAUCUCUACCACCGACGGUAAUACCUAAUUUUUUCUCCGAGUCGAGUGUUUUCCAAACAUCAUCAAGGAUUACGAGGAUUUUGCUGCUUUUACUCUCAGAAAACAUCAAGCGCAAUCGGUCUGCUCUCUCUUUUUCAUCUUUCUCAUUUAGUGCCCAGCCUAACGACUUUGCCAGCUCACCUUGAACCUUGAUUAUAUCUGGAUCCUGAGACACAGUGGCUAUCCCCACCUUAUCGAAAAUCUUUUGUUGCCGAAGUUGAUUGCCCACAGAUUUUGCCAAGGUCGUCUUUCCUACACCGCCGAGACCAUGCAAUCCCACCAUCUUUGUGCUGUCUUUUUUCAGUGCUUCAGUGAUCUGAUUACAAGCCGAUUCUGUAGUCUCGAAAGAAGAAAAAAAUCUUGGAAUAGGCAUUUCUGUGUCUGAUGGUAGAGGUUUAGGAAGGGCAACUGUGCUGAAUUUGCCGCGGUCUUGUAGAUCGGACAACUUGCGAGUCUCUUUUGAUGCUUUUCUACCCAUCCAAUAUCGGAAACCCCAAUUAGGACACCAUCCAUUAAAACAACUCUUCUUUUCAUCUAUCUCUGUUUUCAAAUUUCGGACAUCGGCCAUUUCUUCGACUACAUCCGCCAGCCACUUCUCUACAUCUUUCUCAACUACUAUAGCGCAAUGUUUUUGUCGUUCUUCUUCUACUUUUUCGUUGAUGCCAUCUUGUGCCUCCUUCAAAUUAGUUUCUUUGAAACAGAACAGAUAGCGAGCUUGUUUUACAGUAGCAUCCACCAAUAAUUCUCCAAGCUUUGAUGCAAUAGCCAAUAAAAUUUCCAUGCUAUUUAUCUGCAAUUAACAAAGUUGAUCUCAGUACGCUAUAAGCAAAACAACAAGGCUUGAUCACAAUGUUUAAUAAGUUUUUUACUGAACGUUUAAUUACUUUCUUCUAUUCUGCGAAUGCACGUUUAUUAAUGCCAGCUUUGAUCAAUAAGAGCAAAAUGCAAACGCCAGACUUUAAGUAGCCUUUAGCUGCAAACAGAAGAGAAGAAAUAAGGUAAACGUGAUAGAUGGUGGAUUAUAUUGAAAUUAGAUUACUUUAGAAAUUUUUAAAAUUUGAAGAUAAUUAUCCCAUUCUUACUUCAAUCAAUAUUCUAAUACAAUAAUUCCAUAAAUCUCAAAUAAUAUCUUAAGAUUUUUUGUUUUCCUCAAACACUCAUAUGAUUAGUUUAAUUAUUUAUUACUCUAUUUUACUACAUAAUUGAUGCAAAUAACACUUUGUUUGGGAUGGUAAAGAUUGGGGUAAAUUCCCUUUUAGUCUCUAAAAUUUGGGCCUAUUAUAGCUAUUGAACAUACUUUCAAAUGUAAAAUAGUAUUUUCUGUCUAAGAUAAAUUAAAAAUCAAACAAAUCUAUCAUGCAACAAAUGAAAAAUAAAGAAUAUUAAUUAAGUUUUGAUGGAAACAAAUAUAAAAUAUAGAGGUUUUGAGUAAUUUUUGUAUUUUUUUAAUGGUUGAGUUAGAAUUGAAUAAUUUGCAUAAUGAAAAUUUGAGGUUGUAUAAUUUAUAUGAAGAUAAACUGCAAAAUAAGUUUACGUGCAGAAUUUAAGAUAGUUAUAUAUUAGUAAUUAUGCAAUUAUCAAAUUUUUUUAAUAAAAUUUAUUUAAAAAUUGGCCAAUUGUGUUUCAUGAAGUAAACAAAGAGCAUAAUGGACUUAUGUGGGUGCUUGGGAUUGAAAGACUAAGAGGCCAGAAGAUAGGACGGUACGAAAGUUAAUUUUAAUUAUAAGGUAUGCUCAACAGAAGUGACUUGGAGGUGAUUGUCGUUAAUCUAUUAUCUUUAACUUUAGAAUUAAUACAAAUAAAUGAAUGAAAAUUAAUGUAAUAAAAAAAUCGCACUAAAAACUUGGAACUUAAAUUCUCAAUCAUCUUUUCCGUAUGUUUUAAUCCAACGGUCAGAAUUGGCAUAAAACAAACUAGUAUAGCCAUUGGAAUUAAGUAAAAUAAACAUCAAACUAAGAGGCAAGAGCCUAUGAAAGCAAUAAUAUCUCAUACCUUCUUCCGUUUAUAUCUUCAAUUACUGCUGAAAGCUCUAGCUAGAGAGUCGCACAAGCUCGGAGAAAAUUAAAAGCUGCAUCUAGCAAUAUAAAUAAACAUCAGAUCAAACCAACAUAGGAUAUAUCUAGAUAAUUAACAUCAUAUAUAACUGCUUAUUCUCAGUCAAAUCUUUCAUUCUUAGAAAAAAAAAAUUGAAAUAAUAACUGUAAGUGAUAUAGGAAGCAAAAGUAACAUACCAAAACGAGAGCAGCUAGCUCACAGAUCUGGUGACUUCCAAGAGCAUGAAAAAUGAUUGAGGUUUAAUAGCAAGGUCCGAGUCAUGUUUCAUAAGUUGCUAUUGACUUCGUGGCUUCGCUUUUCUUUGUUUUUUUUCGUUUUUUGUGUUUGUUUAUAUAUAUAUAUGAUGAGGGGGUAAUAAUUUUUUUGGGUUCGGCUAUAUUGUAGUUUAUCUACGGUGGAGCGCAAAUCACAGCCACACACAUAAAGUGAUAAUUAAUAAAUAAUGAAUUAUAAUGAGAUUUUUACUAUUUAUCAUUUUGCGUGUGUGAUUGAGAUUCGUGCUCACUGUAGGUGAAAUUCAACAUAGCCAUACCCUUUUAAAAACCUUUCGUGAGGUUUAAGGUCACUCGGAUAGACUAUAUUUCGGAACUACCAAAUAUCCCCCUGCCCAUUGUACUCUGUUUAGCAUCUUUUGGAUGGUUGAGGGUAAUUUGGUAAAACUCAUUUAAAAAUAAAAAAUUUCAAAGAAAUUCUAAAAGAAGCUUUGUAUCUGGCCAUCUGGGGUAUAUCCUUGGAGUUGUCGUGGGAAUGAGUUUGAAUCUAAAGAUUUUCAUUCUCUUAUUUUAUUUAUUUCUCCUAGGAAUGAAUUUGAGCCUUAUUUUCAUGAGACUCAUUCUUUUUAAAUAAAGAUAGAUAUCUCCCUACAUAUUUGAGGUAUAUUUUUAAAAUUAAUGUUCAACAUAUCUGUGGAGUGUAUUAUAAAUAUUUAUGUCUAAAAUCUCAACAGAUUUCACUAUAUAUAUAUAUAUAUAUAUAUAUAUAUAUAUAUAUAAGCGGGAUUAGCUAAACAAUAAAAAGAACACAUUAUGAUUGGAAAUACGGAAUUAGAAUUGUGAUUAUAAUAUGAAUUUUAAUUGAAAUUGAAAUUGUAAUUGCAACUAGAAUUGUAAUUGCGAUCGGAUAUGUAAUUAUCAAUGUAAUAGAAGUUGUAAUUAUUACGGCUAUUGUAAUUGUUCUUGUGUAAUUGCAACUGUGUUUUUAAUUUUAAUUACACUUAAUAAUACAAUUAUAAUUGUGAUCAUAAUUGCAAUUGUAAUUACAAUUGUAUCUUUAAAAAAAAAUUAAUUACAGUUGUUAUUCUAUUUAUUGUUACAAUUACAAUUUUAUUAUCGUUAUUCUUAUUGUAAUUGUUGUUAAAUAUUAUUAGAAUAAAAAUAUUAUUAGAAUAGCCAUUGUAACUGUCAAUGGAAUUACGAGUACAAUUGUUAUUGUAAUUAUUAUUGUAAUUGGGAUUAAAAUUGAAAUUGUAACAAAGUAAAUGGAAUUACAAUUGAAAUUAAAUUUGUAACGGUUGUUUAAAUUAAUAAUAAAAAAAUGAAAUUGAAAUUAUUGAUGUAGUUAUUAUAAUUGCAAUUGUAAUUUUAGUUGUAAGAAAGUUCAACUGAAAUUAUCAAUCGUAAAUAUAAUUAAAAUUGCAAUUAGAAUUGUUCAACAAACAUUUACAGAAAAAAGUGUCAAUGCUAUUUUUUAUUUUUGAAAAAGAAAGAGAAGCAACAGUAACCAAAUUCUUAGAGCAGUAUAAAUGCUGCGUUUAAUUGUCAGUAAUCUAAAUGGGUUGGAAUGAGUAUGAGCUGUAAUGGAAAUGGGGAAUGAAAAUCAAAAUAAGUUGUUUACUUGAGCUAUAGGAAUCAAAAUCGAAAUAGACUGAAAUUCUAUUGAUGUGUUUAUUUUAUUUUGAAAUAAGAACCGAAAUAAGUUAAAUAAUUCUAAAUUACUAAAAUGUUGUUAGUUAAUUAUAAUAUAAUUAUUUUAUUAUCGUCGCCAUCAGGGGCGGAUUCACCUUAGGACCAGUGGGGACUUAAGCCCCCACUGGAAAAUUUUUUUUUUAAUAAUUAAUUUAGUUUUCUUAAAAUUCUCAAUAAUUUUUUCUAAAGCCCCCACUAAUUUAUAGUCAAGCCUAUAAUUUUUUCUAAAGCCCCCAGUGAAUCACUAUGAUUUUUUCUAAAGCCCCCAGUAAAUCACUAUGCUGUCUCCGCCCCUGGUCGCCAUCAUCAUCAUUAUCAUUACCAUUAUCAUAUUUUUUAAUUUUUAUUAUUAUAAAAAUAAUUGUUAAUAAUAAUAAUAUUAAAAAUAAUAUCAUUAAUAAUUUAUUAAAAUGCCUUUUGUUAAUUAUUGUCUAAUGAUGGUGGUGGUGGUGGUGGUGAUAAUAAUGGUGAUAAAUAAUAAUUAAUAAAUUAAUAACAAUAAUGACGACACCAAUAAUAAUAGUAAAAUUUGUAAUAUAAAUAAAAUAAUUAAUAAUAAUUAUUAUUAUUACAAUAAUAAAUAAAUAAUAGAAAUAAUUAAUAAAUUAAUAACAAUAACAACAAUAAUAAUAAAUUUUAUAAUAAUAUAAAUAAUAAAAUAACAACAACAACCAAUUAUAACAACAAUAAUAACUAAAUUCCAUAAUAAUAAUAAUAAUAAUUUUCAGUUUUUUUCAAUUUAUAUUUUUAAUUUCUAAAGAGGGUGUAUUUAAAACGUAUUAGAAAUAAUUUUGUUAUUCUAGGGAAUGGAGUUUCCAUUCCCAACUCUUCUUAAGAAAUCACAACUCUAACAAUCAAUCUAAAAUUUAUGAGGAGUCAUGAAACUCAUUCUGAUUCCGAAACUUAAUUUAACAAAUAAACAAAUUAUUCAUUUCAAUUCAUUUUCUCCGAUUCCCGAGUUGUAAAACACAGUAUAACUUUUUUUUUUUUUUGUUGUUGUUUCAGCUGGGCGACCACAAGUUGUUGCUGUCAGUUGCCCGCAAAUUCUCGACUAUUUCAAAAUAACUUCCAGUCGCUGAUUGUACAAGGCAUCAAAUCCAGUGCUCUAUAUUUGUUUAAAAACAUUUUAUUACAUGGGAUCUUUUAAUAGAUCCAGUGCAUGCAGCCGUAGCCGUUGUGGGGUUUCGACAACUUUUGUCUUAUAUGGCGACUUUUUGUUGUUGUUUUAUUUGUAUGAUGACUAUCAUGGACCUACGUGCCCGCAUUUAAAACUUCAUAAUAAUUUAAAAAAACAAAAGAAAUUGGUCUCACAUUAUAAUUUGUUCAAACAAUAUUAUUUUAACACAAACGAUCAAAAUAAAUUUUAUAUUCACUAAAAACUUAAUAUAUAUAUAUAUAUAUAUAUAUUAUAACAUAAAUAUGAAAACAACAUUUGAAAAAAAAAUACAUAGGCACCUUUAAAUUUGAUGUAUAGCACUAGAAUAUUCUUUGUUGUAGGUCGCUUCUUUUGUAUUUAAAAUUUUCUAAUAAUUUAAAUAAAAUAAUAGAAGUGCGUCUCACAUAUAGUUUAUUGUAUAAUUUUUUCAAACAAUAGUAUUUUAAUACAAACGACCAAAGCAAACUUCAUAUUUACUAAAAAUUAACCAUAUAUAUUAUAACAUAAAUAUGAAAACAACGUUUGACAAAAAUAUAAAGGCACCUUUAAAUUUAUUGUACAGCACUCUAUCAAUAUUUGUCGUAGGUCUUUCUUUUGCAUUUAAAAUUUCGUAAUGACUUAAAUAAGACAAAAGUAGUGGGUUUCACAUACGAUUUAUUAUAUAAUUUUUUAAACAAUAUUAUUUUAAUACAAAUGACGAAAAAAAAACUGUAUAUUCACUAAAAAUUAUAUAUAUACACACACACACAUAUACAUAUUAUUACAUAAAUAUGAAAACAACAUUUGAAAAAAAUACAAAGACACCUUUAAAUUUAUUGUAGAACACUCGAUCAAUUCUUAUCUUAGGUCCCUUCUUUUUCAUUUAAAAUUUUGUAAUAAUUUAUAUAAGACAAAAGAAAUGGACUUGACACAUAAUUUAUUGUAUUUUUUUUAAGGUUGUAUAUUUUUUUCAAAUAAUAUUAUUUUAAAAUUUCAUAAUAAUUUAAAUGAGACAAAAGAAAUGGGUCUCACAUAUAAUUUAUUGUAAAUUUUUUUUUCAAACAAUAUUAUUUUAAUACAAACGACCAAGAGAAAUUUCAUAUUCACUAAAAAUUAAUCAUAUUUACAUUAUAACAUAAGGCAAUUCCUAAGUUACGAUUUGUGUAACUUACGGCCUGGCAAAUUUUAAGUGUUAAAUGUGCUUGUAUCCAAUCCAACGGACGACAUCAAAUUUAUCACAAAGUAGUAACGAGUGGUAACUCGACUGAACUGAUUGUUUCAAGUGAUGGGCUACCUGUCCUUGCCUCUCUCUUAAGAAUCUAAGCAGCGAAGAACUUGACUUGGAAAUUGGCGAGGAAGGACUGUUUAUCGGAGAUGAGUAUAGAGGUGGUGACCUCCCAAGUAGCGUCGGCUUGUUGAAACUGAAUGAGCCACUAAUUCGCUGCCACGCGGUUGCAUAAUUAGUUCUUGUGAUUCAACCCAUGAAAAAUUGCUCCACCUGAAUUUGCAAGUCCAUCUGCAUCACAUGACAAAUUCGGUUGCGGAUUUUGAGGAGGAUGGUCUUGGAGGAUAUGAAACUCCUCUUGCUUAACAUUUUGGGUCUUCCUAAUUUUUGUUUCUUCAUACAAUAGCAAACAUUUGAGGUUAAAGCCUAUUUAAUCUAUUUAUUUUUUAAAAUAUCUUAAAACAUCCUUAUCGUUAAAGUAUUAAUACACCUGCCGUUAUUUUUAUUUAUUUUGGCUUAUUUGUACAAUAUCACCCUUUUAUAAUAAUUUUUUUAUUUAGACAUUAAUAAAAAGAAAAUAAUUAAAUUACCAAUUUAAUUAUAGAAAAUAAAAAAAAUUAUAAUAAUUUUUUUACAAGCACCAUUUGCACACUUGGUAGUUUGCAUACAAUUUUUGACAAUUAAAAAUAAUAUAAUUUUUUAUUUUAUUUUUAGGGUUAAAUUGGUAAUUUAAUUAUUUUUUUAUUAAUGUUCAAAAAAUAUUAUAAAAGGGUAAUAUUAUAAAAGUAAGCCAAAAGAAAUAAAAAGUAACGGUAGGGGUAUCAAUACUUUAACGGCAGGGAUAUUUCGAGACAUUUUAAAAAAUAUAGAAACUAAAUAAAUACUAAUCUUAAAAUAAAAGGACUAAUAAACUUUUACGUUUGGGAUUUAUUUCAGUGAAAUCCACCAUAAAGCCCUCAAAUCUCUAAUACUCGCUUCUUUGGGAAGAUCUUUCACUUAACCAAUCACAAAAAAAGAUGUCUCUCUUUAAAGUUAAGGAAAAGGCACAAAGAAACAUUAAACAUAACCGACCACAGAAAAAAUCCAAUUUUCAGUUUAAUGUUUAAAAUUCAAUAAAGUUAAGAAAGCAUGUUUCACUCUUUCAGGGAUUGCAUCCCUUGUCAAUCAAUCGUUUCUUCGUGCAUGGUCCAACCUGAAUAUGUCAUUCAACCCGUAAAAGCUUCCCUGAAGUUUUGGCAUCAAAUGGAACAUCUGCUGAACCCACAAGUUGGAGAUUAUCGGAGACAAAAAUAAGCACGCUGCCAGCGGGACUACAGAGCUGGCAAUUGAUGGUGGUGAUGGAGUGUUGGCACUGCAGGAAGGGAUGGCUAGUGAACUCAGCAACGAUAUUUUGCGAGUCUACGCCUCCCUCUCUUUUUUAAUUUCGCAUUUACUGUUUCCGCUAGAGACUCACGUGACCGAGAGAGAGAGAGAGAGGGGUCUUCUUAAUUUAAUGUUUAGAAUUUAAUCGUGAAACGACCUCGUUUUUAUUUAUCGCCAUGGAUUAUAGAAGGUAAUCUUUUACGCUACGUUUGAAAGAUAUAAUUGGAUUAAAUUAGAGUUGAUUAUAUAAUACUAUCUUUUGUUUGGUACAAUAUUAGACAAGACUAUGCUAAUUUAAUUUAAUAAAGCUAAAUACUAUUUAAAUAAUAUAAUAUUUUUAAAUUAUAUUGAUAAUUGUUUACUUUAAUAUUUAAUAUCCAAUAUUAGUUUAAGUAAAUUAAUGAAUAAAAUUUUGAUGUUCUAUAUAAAAUAAAAUUACAUGUUGAAAAAAUUAUGAAAUUAACUUCUAUGUUUAAUUUUUUUUUCUAAAUAUUAGGUUAAAUGAAAAAUAAAAUAGUGAAAAAAAUACACAAAUUCUUCAUUUAAUUUUAUCCCACCUAAACCCAUAUAAAUAUGAGGACUAAUAAUCCCAAUUUUUUUGACUAAAUCUUAAUCUAUCCUAUUAGUUCAUGACACCUAAACAUAUUUUAGGAUUAAAUUAUUUUAUUAAUCUUAAAAUAUAAUCCAAUCGCACAAUUUAUCCAACCUUCCAAACAUAACCUUAAUUGACUCUUUUACCAUCGCUCUCCAACCGUUUCAACCAAUUACAAUUUCCUUACUGUUACGUACAUGUGGCAUAUUUUUACUGGUUGACUAAUUAAAUCACGGGCUGUAACAUACAGUAAAACGUAACUUAGGGUGACCCCAUAACAUAAAUAUGAAAACGGGAAAAUUCUAUAAUGUCGUAAUUAAAUUUACGGCAUUGAUGCCGUAAUAGACGUGGACCGUUAGAUUAAAUCAACGAUUCACAAUAAUAAUAAAAUAAUAAAAAAAUUUAAUUAAAUUAUAUAUAACCGGUUUAUAACCGGUUAAGUACUUUUUAAAAUAAAAUUCCGGUGAUAUAAAUUUAAAGGAAAAAAGGAUUUACUUUUUAAAAGAAUAAAAAAAAAUACAAAGGGAAAACUUGAUCCCUAAUUAACGAAUUGCAAAAGAUAUAGUCACACCCACUGCUGCGUUAACUUCCGUUCGGGUGCACCGGCGAUACGUCUGCAGAUUGCAACCAUUCUUUGAGUUGAUUUUCUGUCUUGUUCGAAUUGUUGAGUCUCUGUCGUUGCUGCCUCUGUCUUGGUUUUGGCAGUCGUCACCUGUGCAAGGUAAGUUUAAUCCUCUUUCUCGUUCGAAUUGCUAAGCAAUUUCGUUUUCUUUGCUGAAUUUGCUAAGUAAUUUAAUUCCAGAUUUCUCAUUCAAUUUUAUAUUAACUGACAUAGUAUCAUCGUCAUAAUUUGUUCACGGAAUUCUUAGAUUCAAUUCCGCUGGAAUUAACAAGUCUCUGCACGCCGGAUUUGUUCACGGAAUUAAGAAGGUCUGUGCAAAGUGUUUGGGUUUGCUGGACCACAUAGACAUUGCCCACUUGCCUGGCAAUCUGUCACUAUACCGGCUGGACCACAUAGACAUCUUUCUCAAAGUCUUUGAGUGAAUAGUAAGUUCAUACUCUCCAUUUUCUAGUGUAUAUAUAUCUCAAUUGUGGGAAAGAAAUCUGUAAUAAUUCACUGCUACUAACAGAUCAUAAUUUAGUACAAGUUCACGCUCAUGAUAAUUUGUAAUAAGAUGUCUGUUUUCCAGCAAUUGUUAAACUUGCAAUCAUUGUUCACAAUUGCAGCCUGCAUCUUUGCCGUAUUUCUCAUUUUCAAAUGGUUUCUUAUCCAACCACUUAGCACCAAAAAAACUUCAAAGUAGGUUGAUGAUUUUCUUGAGGUAGUCAUUCAAGAACAUGAGAAUAAGAUGAGUGACAAUUCUCAAGUUGAAGAUCAUAAGGACUUUAUAGAUGUCUUGUUUUGGCUUGAGAAAGAAAAUAAUUAGCUGCUGUUUUUAGGUUAAAUUUUCUGUUGUUUCUGGGUAAAUUGGCUGGUGUUUUUCAGUUAUUUUUCUGCUGUUUUUGGGUUAUAUUUUUUGCUGUUUCCAGGUAAAAUGUUCUGGUGUUUUGGGCUUCAUUUGCUGCUGGUUCUAGGUUAAAUAUUUUGCUGUUUUUGGGUAAAUAUACUGCUAUUUUUCAGUUAAAUUUUCUGCUGUUUUUGGAUAAAAUUUUUGCUGUAUUUGGGAUGAUUUGCUACUGUUUGUGGUUAAAAUUUUCUGGUGUUUUGGGCUUCAUUUGCUGCUGUUUUUAGGUUAAAUUUUCUGCUGUUUUUGGGUAAAUUGGCUGCUGUUUUUCAGUUAAAUUGUUUGCUAUUUUUGGAUAAAUUUACUGCUGUUUUUGGGUUAUAUUUUAUGCUGUUUCCAGGUAAGUCUUUUUGGUGUUAUGGGCUUCAUUUACUGCUAUUUUUUGGUUAAAUAUUUUGCUGUUUUUGGAUAAAUUUACUGCUUUUUUGGAUAAAUUUACUGCUGUUUUUGGGUUAUAUUUUUUGCUGUUUUCCUGGCAGUCUGUCACUAUGUCGGCUGGACCACAUAGACAUCUUUCUCAAAGUCUUUGAGUGAAUUGUAAGUUCAUACUCUCCAUUUUCUAGUGUAUAUAUAUCUCAAUUGUGGGGAAGAAAUUUGUAAUAAUUCACUGCUACUAAUAGAUCAUAAUUUAGUACAAGUUCACGCAUAUGAUAAUUUGUAAUAAGAUGUCUGUUUUCCAGCAAUUGUUAAACUUGCAAUCCUUUAUCACAAUUGCAGCCUGCAUCUUUGUCGUAUUUGUCCUUUUCAAAUGGUUUCUUAUCCAACCACUUAGCACCAAAAAAUCACUACCACCUUCUCCCCCACAGCUCCCAAUCAUUGGAAACCUUCACCAACUGGGCUUGUUCCCUCAUUGCUCACUCGGUGCUUUGGCACAAUGCUAUGGCCCCCUGAUGUUGCUUCACUUAGGCAAAGUGCCAGUGCUUGUUGUCUCUUCUGCUGAUGUUGCCUGUGAGAUCGUUAGAAAUGUAAUCUUUGCAAUCAACCAAAAUUAACCCCAUUUGUAAAACUUUUAAACGGUUGUAUAGAUGUCUCUAUGACACCUUAUGGUGAGUACUUAAGAAAAGUUAAAAGCUUAUUUGUUGUACAACUUUUAAGUAACAAAAGGAUUCAUUAUUCUUUUCGUGAUGUUAGAAUAGAAAAAUAUAAUGAUCAAGGAGAAGUUGGUAGUAAGUUUAGGAAGCAGUUUAAGGACUUUAUUGAGUUGAUGGCUACUUUUCAUGUGGGAGAUUAUAUUCCAUGGCAAGGUUGGUUGUGCUAUUUUAAUAGCUUGAAUGCCAAGCUUAAGAAAACUUCAAAGGAGGUUGAUGAUUUUCUUGAGGUAGUCAUUCAAGAACAUGAGAAUAGGAUGAGUAACAAUUCUCAAGUUGAAGAUCACAAGGACUUUAUAGAUAUCUUGCUUUGGCUUCAGAAAGAAAAUAUUUUAAACUUUCCUAUUGAUAAAGCUUCAUUUGCUGCUAUUUUUAGGUUUAAUUAUCUGCUGUUUCUGGGUAAGGUGGCUGCUGUUUUUCAGUUUAUUUUUCUGCUGUUUUUGGAUAAAUUUACUGCUGUUUUUGGGUUAUAUUUUUUGCUGUUUUAAGGUAAUUUUUUUGGUGUUUUGGAUCCUCUUCUUUCUCCAAUUGCAGGGCCUGAAGAUAUAAACAUCAGCUAUCAGGAAGCCCAAAGUAACAAUGAUGAGAGUAAAACUACCAAGAAUUUCAAUAAUUCCAUAUUUAAAGUUUAUAGAAUUUGUUACUAGAAUACUCUGAAUGGCUAAGUAAUUUCUCAAAAGAUUUGGAAACAAUGAAACAUAUGUUUGACUUACAAUUGAUCAAAAAAUAGGUCCAUCAACAUUGUUUUCCCGGUCCCUACUCCCCCAUAAAGGUACAAUCCUUUGACAGGUGAGUAUGAAGAUUGUGGUAGUAAACGUGACCACAGCCACCGACUCCUGUAGACAAACAGGACUAUCUGUCAAAUAGUUAUGUAAAUUCGCACCACAUUAACAUUGUAGAAUUACAAAUUUAAAAAAAGAAAAAUAGACCAGAUGAACAGGGGAGUGAUCCUGCAAUAUUAAAAUGUAAUCCAUUAGUUGAAAUCUGAACAAAAUUAGAGUAAACUGUAAUAUUUACCUUUCAGAUUUCUCAGAAGAUGAAUAGCGAUCUAACUUCCAGGCAUCAGCUGAUUCAACAAGCUAAUCAUACAGUCUUUGAAGUUCUCCUAACGCUCCUAACUGCCAAAAAAAAAAAUUUCACUGUAAGGGCAACUUUUACAUCAUUAAACAACAUAGUAGAUGGUCCACUCACUUCUUAGUCAUCAGGGAACUGACCGUUCCAGUGGUGCCAACUUUGAUGGAUCCUCCACUGCUCUUGAUAGUUUCUAGUGUAUGAACCAUGUUUUUCCACAAGUUUCAAUUAGAAGUCUAAGAAAAGAUCUUCCAAAAGAUGAAGUUCUUUGCCCUCAAAGCUCGCUUGGAGAAAGAUUGCAGAUGAAAGGAAUUAAAAUCCUGCAAAGCAAUAACACCACCCAAUGCAUGUAGAUUUGAGUUGUAUUUUCUGGUUGAAAGGUAGCUCAUAUUCUUAACAUUAAAGUUAUUUUUUUUCCCCAAAAAAUGAUAUAGUUACACUGGCAAACUAUAAAGCUGCAAAUUGAAAGAAAAGCCGGAUAAUUCCCAGAAAAUACUAUUUUCUUCUACAGUGACGUUGAGACUUAAUGGGAAAUGUUUUUUUUUUUCCGCCUUUUAUUUUCAAAAAAGGGGAAAAAUAGAUAGUAUAAAAUUUUUUUUUUUUAACUUUUUUGCUGUUGAUGGUGCCAUAAUUGUUAUAAUAUUGAAUUUUUUUAAUAAAUAAUAACUAUAAAAAUAUUUUAAUUAAUUAUUAUAAAUUUUAAUUAGGUAAUAUUAAAUAAAUAAUAAUAAUAAAAGAUUAAUAAAUUAUAAUGAAUUAUAAUUAUAAUAAUAUUAUAAUAAAUAAUAAUGAAAUAAUUUCAUACUGAUAGUAAUACAACAAAAUUAUAAAUAUAAUAAUAUUUUUACUAAAUAACAAUAUAAUAAAAUAUUAAUAAUAAUAACUUAUUAUUAUAAUAAUUAUUAUAAAGUUUGAUUGCAAUAAUAUUUUCAUAAAUAAUAAUCAUAUAACAAAAUCAUGAAAUUAAUAAAUAAUAACAAUAAUGAAUUAGUAAUCAUAAUUAUAAUACUAUUUUAAUAAAUAUGAUGAUGAUGAUGAUGAUGAUGAUGAUGAUUAUUAUUAUUAUUAUUAUUAUUAUUAUUAUUACAAUAAUCAACAAAGGGCAUUAAAGUAAAUUAUGAUAAUUCAUUCUGAUUUCAAGACAAAUUAAACACAUCGAUGGAAAUGAAUCUCAUUCCGACUUCAAUUUCUACAACUCAAAUAAAUAACUUAUUCUUAUUCACAUUCUUGAUUCUAAUUGUAGCCCGUUCCGAUUACUGAUUAGUAAAUGCACCAUGAGCAGAUUAUUGUGGUUUAAUUGGGUCUGUUUCAUUUCAAGUUUCAUAUCAUUUUCAUUGUUCAAUUUAAAAUUUUGAUUUGACCUUCAACCUAAUCAACUUAACCAGAUGAUAUAAGGUUUGGGUAGAAUUGGGUUAAACAAGUUUAUUUAGUUAAGUUUGAUGGAUUUUAUCUCAGCUCAUUAAAAAGUAGACCAGGUUAGAAUUUCACUAACCCUAUCAAAUCCAACUCAUGCUCACCCUUAUAUCAUUCUAUCUAAAUCAUAAAAUGCCAAUAAUCCAACUCUUUAACCAUUUUCACAUUGGAUUUAAGUUGAGGCAAUUGACCUGAACUAAAUAACCUAAAUUUCAAAUAAAUGUGAAAUAACACAAAAAAUUUCUAAACCACACAUAUGACUCGUAAAUUGAAGGUAAAACAGGUAAAUUAGCGUUAGAGUGGUAAAUUGGUAUACAAAAUUUAUAAAAAAAAUAGAAAAAAAACUAGUAAAUUGAUAGAAAAUGUAGUAAAUAAAUGUUGGAGUUGUAAAUUACAAGAAGAAAUUGUAAACAAAACAAAAACUUAGAAAAAUGACAUAGAACUUGUAAAUUGAAAUUAAAUGUGAAAUGAAACAAAUAAUUUGUAAACCACACAUAAAACUAGUAAAUUAAUGGAAAAAGGGGUAAAUUAAUGUUGGAGUUGUAAUUGGCAAGAAGAACUUGUAAACAAAACAAAAACUUAGAAAACUUACAUACAACUAGUAAAUUGACAUUACGUGUGAAAUGAAACAAAAAAAAGUGUAAAUCACACAUAAAACUAGUAAAUUGAUGGAAAAAAUGGUAAAUUAAUGUUGGAGUUGUAAAUUGCAAGAAGAACUUGUAAACAAAACAAAAACUUAGAAAAAUGACGUAGAACUUGUAAAUUGACAUUAAGUGUGAAAUGAAACAAAAAAUGUGCAAAUCACACAUAAAACUAGUAAAUUGAUGGAAAAAUGAGUAAAUUAAUGUUGGAAUUGUAAUUUACACGAAGAACUUGUAAAUAAAACAAAAAAUUAUAAAAAUGACAUAGAACUAGUAAAUUCACAUUAAGUGUGAAAUAAAACAUAAAAUUUGUAAACCACACAUAACACUAGUAAAUUAAUGAAAAAAAUGGUAAAUUAAUGUUGGAAUUGUAAUUUGCACGAAUAACUUGUAAAUAAAACAAAAACUUAUAAAAAUGACAUAGAACUAGUAAAUUCACAUUAAGUGUGAAAUAAAACAUAAAAUAUGUAAACCACACAUAAAACUAGUAAAUUAAUGAAAAAAAAUGGUAAAUUAAUGUUGGAAUUGUAAUUUGCACGAAGAACUUGUAAACAAAACAAAAACUUAUAAAAAUGACAUAGAACUAGUAAAUUGACAUUAAUUGUGAAAUAAAACAAAAAAUGUGUAAAUCAUACAAAAAACUAGUAAAUUGAUGGAAAAAUGAGUAAAUUAAUGUUGGAGUUGUAAUUUGUACGAAUAACUUGUAAACAAAACAAAAACUUAGAAAAAUGACAUAGAACUAGUAAAUUCACAUUAAGUGUGAAAUAAAACAUAAAAUAUGUAAACCACACAUAAAACUAGUAAAUUAAUGAAACAAAUGGUAAAUUAAUGUUGGAAUUGUAAUUUGCACGAAGAACUUGUAAACAAAACAAAAACUUAGAAAAAUGACAUAGAACUAGUAAAUUGACAUUAAUUGUGAAAUAAAACAAAAAAUGUGUAAAUCACACAUAAAACUAGUAAAUUGAUGAAAAAAUGAGUAAAUUAAUGUUGUAGUUGUAAUUUGUACGAAAAACUUGUAAACAAAACAAAAACUUAGAAAAAUGACAUAGAACUAGUAAAUUCACAUUAAGUGUGAAAUAAAACAUAAAAUAUGUAAACCACACAUAAAACUAGUAAAUUAAUGAAACAAAUGGUAAAUUAAUGUUGGAAUUGUAAUUUGCACGAAUAACUUGUAAACAAAACAAAAACUUAGAAAAAUGACAUAGAACUAGUAAAUUCACAUUAAGUGUGAAAUAAAACAUAAAAUAUGUAAACCACACAUAAAACUAGUAAAUUAAUGAAACAAAUGGUAAAUUAAUGUUGGAAUUGUAAUUUGCACGAAGAACUUGUAAACAAAACAAAAACUUAGAAAAAUGACAUAGAACUAGUAAAUUGACAUUAAUUGUGAAAUAAAACAAAAAAUGUGUAAAUCACACAUAAAACUAGUAAAUUGAUGAAAAAAUGAGUAAAUUAAUGUUGUAGUUGUAAUUUGUACGAAAAACUUGUAAACAAAACAAAAACUUAGAAAAAUGACAUAGAACUAGUAAAUUCACAUUAAGUGUGAAAUAAAACAUAAAAUAUGUAAACAACACAUAAACAAGUAAAUUAAUGAAAAAAAUGGUAAAUUAAUGUUGGAAUUGUAAUUUGCACGAAGAACUUGUAAAUAAAACAAAAACUUAUAAAAAUGACAUAGAACUAGUAAAUUGACAUUAAUUGUGAAAUAAAACAAAAAAAAUGUGUAAAUCACACAUAAAACUAGUAAAUUGAUGGAAAAAUGAGUAAAUUAACGUUGGAGUUGUAAUUUGUACGAAUAACUUGUAAACAAAACAAAAACUUAGAAAAAUGACAUAGAACUAGUAAAUUCACAUUAAGUGUGAAAUAAAACAUAAAAUAUGUAAACAACACAUAAAACUAGUAAAUUAAUGAAACAAAUGGUAAAUUAAUGUUGGAAUUGUAAUUUGCACGAAGAACUUGUAAACAAAACAAAAACUUAGAAAAUGACAUAGAACUAGUAAAUUGACAUUAAUUGUGAAAUAAAACAAAAAAUGUGUAAAUCACACAUAAAACUAGUAAAUUGAUGAAAAAAUGAGUAAAUUAAUGCUGUAGUUGUAAUUUGUACGAAAAACUUGUAAACAAAACAAAAACUUAGAAAAAUGACAUAGAACUAGCAAAUUCACAUUAAGUGUGAAAUAAAACAUAAAAUAUGUAAACAACACAUAAAACAAGUAAAUUAAUGAAAAAAAAUGGUAAAUUAAUGUUGGGAAUGUAAUUUGCACGAAGAACUUGUAAACAAAACAAAAACUUAUAAAAAUGACAUAGAACUAGUAAAUUCACAUUAAGUGUGAAAUAAAACAUAAAAUAUGUAAACCACACAUAAAACUAGUAAAUUAAUGAAAAAAAUGGUAAAUUAAUGUUGGAAUUGUAAUUUGCACGAAGAACUUGUAAACAAAUCAAAAACUUAGAAAAAUGACAUAGAACUAGUAAAUUGACAUUAAUUGUGAAAUAAAACAAAAAAUGUGUAAAUCACACAUUAAAACUAGUAAAUUAAUGAAAAAAAUGAGUAAAUUAAUGUUGGAAUUGUAAUUUGCACGAAGAACUUGUAAACAAAACAAAAACUUAGAAAAAUGACAUAGAACUAGUAAAUUGACAUUAAGUGUGAAAUAAAACAUAAAAUAUGUAAAUCACACAUAAAACUAGUAAAUUGAUGAAAAAAUGAGUAAAUUAAUGUUGGAAUUGUAAUUUUCACGAAAAACUUGUAAACAAAACAAAAACUUAGAAAAAUGACAUAGAACUAGUAAAUUCACAUUAAGUGUGAAAUAAAACAUAAAAUAUGUAAACAACACAUAAAACAAGUAAAUUAAUGAAAAAAAUGGUAAAUUAAUGUUUGAAUUGUAAUUUGCACGAAGAACUUGUAAACAAAACAAAAACUUAGAAAAUGACAUAGAACUAGUAAAUUGACAUUAAUUGUGAAAUAAAACAAAAAAUGUGUAAAUCACACAUAAAACUAGUAAAUUGAUGAAAAAAUGAGUAAAUUAAUGCUGUAGUUGUAAUUUGUACGAAAAACUUGUAAACAAAACAAAAACUUAGAAAAAUGACAUAGAACUAGCAAAUUCACAUUAAGUGUGAAAUAAAACAUAAAAUAUGUAAACAACACAUAAAACAAGUAAAUUAAUGAAAAAAAUGGUAAAUUAAUGUUGGAAUUGUAAUUUGCACGAAGAACUUGUAAAUAAAACAAAAACUUAUAAAAAUGACGUAGAACUAGUAAAUUCACAUUAAUUGUGAAAUAAAACAAAAAAUGUGUAAACCACACAUAAAACUAGUAAAUUAAUGAAAAAAAUGGUAAAUUAAUGCUGUAGUUGUAAUUUGUACGAAGAACUUGUAAACAAAACAAAAACUUAGAAAAAUGACAUAGAACUAGUAAAUUCACAUUAAGUGUGAAAUAAAACACAAAAUUUGUAAACCACACAUAAAACUCGUAAAUUAAUGAAAAAAUGGUAAAUUAAUGUUGGAAUUGUAAUUUGCACGAAGAACUUGUAAACAAAACAAAAACUUAUAAAAAUGACAUAAAACUAGUAAAUUGAUAUUAAUUGUGAAAUAAAACAAAAAAUGUGUAAAUCACACAUAAAACUAGUAAAUUAAUGAAAAAAAUGGUAAAUUAAUAUUGGAAUUUUAAUUUGCACGAAGAACUUGUAAACAAAACAAAAACUUAGAAAAAUGACAUAGAACUAGUAAAUUGACAUUAAUUGUGAAAUAAAACAAAAAAAUGUGUAAAUCACACAUAAAACUAGUAAAUUGAUGGAAAAAUGAGUAAAUUAACGUUGGAGUUGUAAUUUGUACGAAUAACUUGUAAACAAAACAAAAACUUAGAAAAAUGACAUAGAACUAGUAAAUUCACAUUAAGUGUGAAAUAAAACAUAAAAUAUGUAAACCACACAUAAAACUAGUAAAUUAAUGAAACAAAUGGUAAAUUAAUGUUGGAAUUGUAAUUUGCACGAAGAACUUGUAAACAAAACAAAAACUUAGAAAAUGACAUAGAACUAGUAAAUUGACAUUAAUUGUGAAAUAAAACAAAAAAUGUGUAAAUCACACAUAAAACUAGUAAAUUGAUGAAAAAAUGAGUAAAUUAAUGCUGUAGUUGUAAUUUGUACGAAAAACUUGUAAACAAAACAAAAACUUAGAAAAAUGACAUAGAACUAGUAAAUUCACAUUAAGUGUGAAAUAAAACAUAAAAUAUGUAAACAACACAUAAAACAAGUAAAUUAAUGAAAAAAAUGGUAAACUAAUGUUGGAAUUGUAAUUUGCACGAAAAACUUAUAAAUAAAACAAAAACUUAUAAAAAUGACGUAGAACUAGUAAAUUCACAUUAAUUGUGAAAUAAAACAAAAAAUGUGUAAACCACACAUAAAACUAGUAAAUUAAUGAAAAAAAUGGUAAAUUAAUGAUGUAGUUGUAAUUUGUACGAAGAACUUGUAAACAAAACAAAAACUUAGAAAAAUGACAUAGAACUAGUAAAUUCACAUUAAGUGUGAAAUAAAACAUAAAAUUUGUAAACCACACAUAAAACUCGUAAAUUAAUGAAAAAAUGGUAAAUUAAUGUUGGAAUUGUAAUUUGCACGAAGAACUUGUAAACAAAACAAAAACUUAUAAAAAUGACAUAAAACUAGUAAAUUGAUAUUAAUUGUGAAAUAAAACAAUAAAUGUGUAAAUCACACAUAAAACUAGUAAAUUAAUGAAAAAAAAUGGUAAAUUAAUAUUGGAAUUUUAAUUUGCACGAAGAACUUGUAAACAAAACAAAAACUUAGAAAAAUGACAUAGAACUAGUAAAUUGACAUUAAUUGUGAAAUAAAACAAAAAAAUGUGUAAAUCACACAUAAAACUAGUAAAUUGAUGGAAAAAUGAGUAAAUUAACGUUGGAGUUGUAAUUUGUACGAAUAACUUGUAAACAAAACAAAAACUUAGAAAAAUGACAUAGAACUAGUAAAUUCACAUUAAGUGUGAAAUAAAACAUAAAAUAUGUAAACCACACAUAAAACUAGUAAAUUAAUGAAACAAAUGGUAAAUUAAUGUUGGAAUUGUAAUUUGCACGAAGAACUUGUAAACAAAACAAAAACUUAGAAAAUGACAUAGAACUAGUAAAUUGACAUUAAUUGUGAAAUAAAACAAAAAAUGUGUAAAUCACACAUAAAACUAGUAAAUUGAUGAAAAAAUGAGUAAAUUAAUUACCUGCUACUUAGGUAACAUGUUACCUAUUUAUUUAGAAUUAAUGGUAGAGAUUUUUUAUUCAAAUCUAACAGUCCACGUCCAUUACGGCAUCAAUGCCGUAAAUUUAGUUACGGCAUUAUAGAAUGACCCAUGAAAACGACAUUUGAAAAGAAAAAUACAAACGCACCUUUUCAUUUGAUGUGCAUUACUAGAACAAUUUUUGACAAAGAUCAUUUGAUGUGCAUUACUAGAACAAUUUUUGACAAAGAUGUUACAACCGAAAGAAUGAAAAGGUCUAAAGUUUUAGGGUGAACAUGGACGAAUUGAUGACACGACAUGUUUUACAGCUCAAUGUCGUUAAUUAAUAUAUAUAAUUGAGUAAUUUCAUCUCUAUAUUAAGCACGCGCCGCCUCAAAUUGCAUGCAAAUACAAAAACAAACUUUUGAAUUUGUUUUUUGAAUUUUUAGGUUAACAAUUGAUUUUUUAUUUUACAUUUUUUUGUUUUUAUUUAACAAUUAAUUUUAAUCAAAUCUUAAACUGUCGUAAUCAAUUAAGAUUUUUCAUUAUGACUCCUUAGCUAAAUUUUGCUCCUUAACUAGAUUUUGGAUCUGUAAUAAAUAAAAAAAUUGGUAACAUUUGUUCCUUUAAGAUAUAUGUUUGAGGGAAAAAUAGGAAAGGCAAUAAAGCGCUACGUGUUAACUAAUGGAAUGAUUCCGACACAAUUUGAGGUACCCCACACAAUUAAAGGUACCCUAUAUAAAUAGAGAUACCCCAUGUAAAUAGAGGUACCCACACAAUCAGAGGUACCCCGUACAAUUAGAGGUACCCCACGUAACUCGAGGUACCUUCGAAAAUAUCCGCCAUGAGAAACGUCUCCGCCUCCUAAAAGAUAUUAUUCGAUUUUAUCAGAAUUAAGAAUAAAAAACGACGCCCUAAAAGGAGGGACAGCCGCCUGCGACCUCUGCCAAAAGUGAAGGACACUGUCCCAAGGAUAGUGGUCCCCAACCGCCUACUCGACAGCUACUGCAAAGGUACCCUGGACCACUCUCCAGUGCGCGCCACGUUUCUAAAAGAUGAGAUAUGCCGCGAACAUACAGAUAACGGCCAAAAAAAUUAUAAAGAGGUAAAAGGACGUUAGCCAAAAAGGGUAUGCCACGUGGCAGCUGAGGUACUCCAUAUAUAAAGGCGCCUAGGUUUCAUUUUCCAUCAGGCUCUCAUUCGCCUAAAAAACACUCACACUCCAAAAAUAGGUUUUUUUAACCUUAAACCCUAAUUUAUAGAGGGCUAGCCAGCUCUCUUUACCAUAAAAGCUUGAGUUUGCUAACUUGAGCGUCGGAGUAUGAACGCCAGGUUACCCCGGCUUCACCUCUAACCUCUAUUUCACUGUUUUGUAGGCGUGAAGCUCAUUUUGAAGGACACCUCUCUUGUUUUUGACCUUCCACCAUUAUUACCACUCUCUCUCCCCUUCUCACCUCCCCCGAAUUUCAGAUACACUGCACCGCACCGCACACAAUAUACUAGUGAGGUACCCCAUCUCCCCCAAAAAUAUAAAUUCAUUGUUCUAGAUUGGUUUGACUUUUCCUACCCCAAAAUCAGUUGAAAACAAUUGGCGCCGUUUGUGGGAAGUCGCACAAAAAGCCUCAUCUGCGAUUACCAAACUAGUUGUUGUGUGUGCUCCAAUACAUAGCACCCGACGUACCUCCCGAAGGUUUAAUGGGGGAUCCUACAAGAAUAAGAGAUGACAGCAGCAGUGAAGGAAGUGAUCCCGCAAGAAGGGUAGCCCGCAUCAGCAAAGCAAGGGUAUCAAGUAAUCGACGGGUGUUCGCCAAGAUGAGGAACCUAUUUCUCACAAGCGUUUUGAAGAUCUUGCCCACGCAAUACUUAGGGCGUUUGGAUCUCGGGCACCCGAAAGUUCACUUCCACCAGUGACGCUAGAUGCUCCACCACCUCAAAUGGGCGACCAAGCUAUGGUCAGAAAAGAGGUACCCGAGGCCAGCAAACUAAAGCAUAGGCCAUUGGGUACCCGUUCUAAGUUUCAAACCAUGGGCUUCCGCGACAAGCGUUCCACCGCCUCUUGCAAUUCCCGUAGCAGCCAGGGUACGAGGCGUGCAAAGCAUACCCACGAGGAUCUUCGUGAGAAGUUAAACGCCAAAAAGGCUUCUCAAAUGACGGCGACAUUAUCGGGUACACCGAGGGUACCCCUCGAACUUGUGGAAAAGAUGGAGAACCUGGAAGCCCAAGUGAAGCUCCUCUCCAAGAAGCAAAACAUCACAGCUGCACCAACGCCAAUGACCUACCAAUCUCCAUUCACUAUGGAAAUUAGGACAGUAGCUCUCCCCGAGGCGUUCGUCAUGCCUCAGAUACUCCAAUACUCGGGUACCACUGAUCCCUCGGAGCAUGCUGAGCUAUACUGUGAUCAAACACUUAUCAAAGGUGUAGAUGAGAGCGCCAUGUGUAGGAUGUUUACACACACACUCACGGGCCCCGCGAAGUCGUGGUUUCGCUCUUUGAAAGCGGGUAACAUAUCUUCCCUACACCAAUUGCUAUUCGAAUUUACUAAACAGUUUUCCUACGCCUCCACUCAAGAUAGGGUAACCUCCAAACUUGGCUUUAUCAAGCAAGGGGAAGCCGAGCCUUUGGCGAAGUACGUGAGUCGUUUCCACUAAGAGGUGUUGCGAACCGGGGUAUUUGGAAACCAAUACACAUUGACCCAUUUUGAGAAAAAUUUAAAGCUGGGCAAGUUAUGGCGUUCUUUUCAAAAGAAGAGCCCACUCUCAUAUGGGGAUGCCCGUUCCCGAGCGUUCCAGCAGGUGGAAAUGGACGAAAAAUGCCAAUUGAAGCGCCAAGAAGAUAAGGCUGAUGUUACAAAGAACAAGGAGAAACCCAAGAGGGUGGAGGCCCCAAUACCACGGGUACUCUGAGCACGAAGCCCUCCACGGGCUGCCCUGCGGGGACGAGGGUAUAACCCUCAGGAUACCUCAAGGGUACCCCAACCUCCAAGAACGCCACCACCGGAUCAGCGAGAGCCACCACCGAGGCCUCGGUACGAAUCUUACCAGAAUCGAUCCCCAGAGCAUAUCUUCUACCAUAUUCGGGAUAGCGGCCUCCUCCGUCCUCCUAAGCCAAUGAAGAAGUACCCCAACAUGAAGCGUAGCCUGAAGUAUUGCGAGUUCCAUGAGGACUUUGGUCACAGCACAGCCGAGUGCUUCACCUUGCGAGAGGAAAUUAAAUCUUUGAUUCUCAGCGAGUACCUCAAAGAAUUUAUUGCUGGCAUGAGAAAAGCUCGGAAAUCUGCGGAACAAGAUAAAGGCAAGCGGGUAGCUGAUGGCAGUCCUGAACGAGAGGUACCCCCUGGACACAAAAAAUGCGUGUAUGUCUGAAUGAUCAUGGGCGGACCGACUUUAGCGGGCCAAUCUAGGAGGGCUAUUAAAAGUUAUGGUAGAUUGUUGUUAAUAACCACCAAUAUUGGCAGAGAAAUCAACCUUAAUGAAUGGGGUACACCGAAGGUACCCCACCGUGUUGUUCAUAUGAUUGAUUUUCUUAUUGUAGAUCACCCGGGUGCCUACAAUAUUAUAUUGGGUAGGCCUUUCUUAAAAGCAACUAAAGCGGUGGUAUCCAUGCACUACCUCGCCAUGAAAGUCCCGGUUGCCCAAGAAGUUAUCACCAUUAAAGGGGACAAGCAAUCGGCUCGUGGAUGUUAUUCCGUGGCCUCCAAAGUCACUUACCAAAUAGCUUCCGAUCCGCCAAUGAAAGGGUAUCCCAGUAGCAGCCAGCCCACACCUUCCCCCUCAAAGCGAGCACUUGCUAGACAGCGGAGAGCAGUACUAAAAAAAUCUCCUAAAGUAGCCCACCCACAAAAACAGUUGGAGUCUUCACCAAUGGGAGUAGAAGCAGUUACGGGGGAUAAGUUGAGGGUAUCCCACGGGGACCAGGAGGAGCCCAGAUGUGAAGUUGAGGUACUUUUGGAUCCCUGAAUAUUGAAAGAUGAAAAGCGGGGUACCCUAGUUGAAGACCUUAUUUCAGUCUCGAUUUGUGCCACAGACCCAACAAAGACUGUGAAAAUAGGCUUCAAUCUUUCGGAGGAACAAAGAGAGAGGUUCAUAACCUUCCUACGCGAGCACUACGACAUAUUCGCCUGGUCCCACUCGGAUAUGCCAGGUAUCCCACCUUCUCUCUCUUGUCAUAAACUCAAUGUCAGCUCGCAUUAUAAAUCGGUCAAACAAAAGCGUCGCACCUUCAACCACGAGAGGUACGAUGCAAUUAAACAAGAGGUAGACCGCCUAUUAGCAGCGAGGUUUAUUCGGGAAACAGUGUACCCCGAUUGGGUAUCUAACAUUGUUCUUGUCAAGAAAUCAAAUAGAAAGUAGCGUAUAUGUGUGGACUUCACCGAUUUGAACAAGUCCUGCUCCAAGGAUAGCUUCCCGCUUUCCCGGGUAGACCAGCUGGUUGAUGUAACAGCGGGGCAUGAGAUGCUUAGUUUUAUGGACGCCUUCUCCGGGUAUAACCAAAUUUCGAUGUAUGAACCCGAUCAAGAGAAAACGACCUUCAUCACCAACCAGGGGUCAUACUGUUAUAAGGUUAUGCCGUUUGGUUUGAAGAAUGCCGGGGCUACCUAUCAGCGGCUAAUGAACAAAAUUUUCAAGGAACAAAUCGGGCGCACCAUGGAGGUGUACAUAGACGACAUGAUCACAAAAUCAGUGCAUACGGGGGAACACCUGGGACACCUCAGAGAUACCUUUAUCGUUUUGAGAAGACACCAGAUGCGGUUUAACCCUGAAAAAUGUGCAUUCGGGGUCACCUCAGGAAAGUUUCUCUGGUUCAUGGUACAACAACGGGGGAUUGAAGCCAACCCCGAUAAAAUUCACACAGUUCUUGACAUGAAAUCGCCAAGCACCGUCAAAGAGGUUCAAAGCUUGGUAGGCCGGGUAGUUGCCCUGAGUUGCUUUAUCUCCAAGGCUACCGACCGGUGUAAGUCUUUUUUCAAAGCUUUGAAGACCGACAAGAAGCUCCAAUGGACACCCGAUUGCGAAGAAGCUUUCCAAGAACUGAAGGGGUACCUCGUGAAUGCUCCAGUACUUACCAAACCUGAGCUGGGAGAGGUGCUUCUGUUGUAUCUCGUCGUAUCCGAGCAUGCCACCAGCUCUGUGCUACUCCGAGAAGAUGAGAAUGGGGUACAACGACUUAUUUACUACACUAGUAAAGCUAUUGUUGAUGCCGAAAAGAGGUACCUCACCUCUGAGAAGAUCAUUUUGGCAUUGGUUGUCUCCGCACGGAAGCUCAAACCAUAUUUUCAGGCUCACACCAUUGUAGUCGUCACCAACCUUCCCCUCUGACAAAUCCUCCAAAAAUUAGACAUGUCUGGAAGGCUUCUCCGAUGGUCCCUCAAAUUAAGCAAGUUCGACAUCAUCUUCAAGCCUCGUUCCGCGAUUAAAGCCCAGGCCAUCGCGGAAUUCGCCAAUGACUCAAGUGGUGAAGGUGAUUUGAGAUACAUGUUAGAUACCCCACCCACCGAUGAAGAGGAGCAGGUCUGGGAAAUAUAUAUGCAUGGUUCCUCUAAUUCACGCGGAAGUGGUGCGGGCAUUAUUAUUAUCGACCCGAACAAGGUGAAAAUAUGCUACGCUUUGCAAUUUGGAUUCAAAGUUUCAAACAACGAAGUCGAAUAUGAGGCCAUCAUAGCGGGGUUGAAGAUGUCGAAGGCUUUGGGAGCGAAAAGAGUACACGUCAAGAGCGACUCCCAGUUGGUGAUAAGCCAAAUUACCGCACAAUAUCAAGCGAAAGAGGAAAACAUGAAAGGGUACCUCGGAAAAACCAGAGAGUUGAUGUCCCAAUUUUGUGAGGUUAAGGUGGAAAGGGUACCCCGACUGGAGAACAGCGAAGCCGACACCUUGGCGAAAAUGGCGUCCCUUGGGGUAGCCCAGUCAUCUGGCCCCAUCACAACAUAACACAUACCUGCAUCCAGUGUUGGUCUCCCAAAGCCAUUGGAAGUAAGAUCACUGUCCAAUGAGGUGUUUUGGAUGGAGCCUAUCAUAAGGUACCUCAAGAACGGAGACCUCCCCUUAGAUAAAAGUGAAGCAAGAAGACUAAAGUAUAAAAUCGCACAGUAUUGCCUGAUCCAGAAUACCCUAUACAGAAGAGAGUUCACUCUUCCUUACCUUAAAUGCUUGGAAAACGACGAGGCCGAGUAUGUCAUGAGGGAGAUACAUGAGGGGAUUUGUGGCAAUCACUAUGGACCACAAUCACCGGUGCAAAAAGCCCUCCGUCAGGGGUUGGCCAACCAUGCAGGAAGAUGCCAAGAAUAUGGUACGAAACUGUAACAAAUGUCAAAGGUUUGCCAGGGUACCCCACCUACCCUAGAGAAGCUAACAGUUAUAUCUUCCUUUUGGCCCUUCGCUAUAUGGGGAGUGGAUCUCAUUGGACCGUUACCUACCAGAAAGGGGCAAGCAAAACAUGCAAUUGUGGCGGUAGAUUUUUUUAUAAAAUGGGCGGAAGCGGAGCCACUAAUAAGCAUUACAGAAAGGAAAACUACCAAAUUCAUUUGGAAGAACCUCAUUUGCAGAUUUACGAUCCCCUAUGCAAUUGUUAGUGAUAACGACAAGCAAUUUGAUAAUGAAAAUUUUAAAAACUUUUAUUCGAAGUUGGGGAUAGCCAACCGAUUUGCUACACCUGCCCACCCCCAAUCUAAUGGGCAAGUCCAGGCCGUUAACAAGAUUAUCAAAGGUAUCCUGAAGAAGAAGCUAGAAGAAAGAAUAUGAGCAUGGGUAGACGAGCUACCUGGGGUUCUGUAGGCUUACCGGACUACUCAAAACACUUCCACCAGGGAGACCCCGUUUUUCCUCGCAUUCGGUGUUGAUACAGUGAUUCUAGCAGAAAUCGGGGUACCUUCUCACAGGGUUGAAUACUUUGAUGAGGCCGAGAACACCUCAUUGGUUGCUUCAAACCUUGAUUUGGUGGCUGAAAAAAGGGCUAAAGCAGAAUUGAGGACAGCCAUAUAUCAGCAUCGCAUUUCGGGUCUAUAUGAAAAAAGGGUACGCCCUCGAUCCUUCAAGAAAGGAGACUUCUUGAGAAGGAUAACUCAGAAUACUAGGGUACCCUGCGAAGGCACUUUUGGGGCAAAUUGGGAAGGACCCUACCGCAUCGACAAACCCAUUGAGACAGGUGCAUACAGGCUACUCCACAUGGAUGGCACAAUCGUGAGGCACCCUUGGAAUAUUGCAAUGCUACGGAAAUAUUACUAAAGGAAAAUGUCUUAACCUCUAGUCUUUUUCUGAUUAUUUACUUUCUUUAAUGUCUUUGUGUGGUAGGCCAAAUGGGGUACCCCAAAUGCCCUAUGUUGGUCAGUUGCAACUUUAGAGUUUCUUUAAUUUUCAAAUGAAAAGGAUAGGAGGCCUUGCGGUCUCUCAUUCUCCUUAGGGUAACAAAACUAAGUCAUGUAUUGAUCAACGCUUUCGUUAUCUAUAAAUGCAUUUUCUUUCUCAACAAAUAUGAUGUGGGUUCUUUCUCUAUUUUUCGCCACUUUGAUCUUAGAAUGCGGAUUAUAUUCAUUUAUCGCCAUUAAUAUACCCUCGCAUAUGGUUAUAUGCAAUUCUCGCCAUACGCUUGUCAAUUAUGACUAACCUAUCACAGGACCAGCCAGGGUACCUGAUAUGCCUAGAUCGUGACGAUCUAUGUAAAGCCAAUAUGGGCAACAAAGUGAACAGCCUUUCUGCGGAAACAUGACAAAGCCACCUAAACAAAGAGAUGGAGGGUCAAAGAGGACCCGAGGGUGGAGUAAAACCGGCAUACCCUAGCACCAUGAGGUUCAGCUUAGGUAUGAGUACACUCACACUUCCGUCCUCUUACUUGAGUAAAGUAGGGGGUAAGCUAUUCAAAAAUUCAGAGAGAACUUCUAAGGAAUAAGAAAGUGAUUGGUUGGACCAAUUGCGCACUUUCAAUUUUUGAUCGAGAUGUCGCGAUGAUGUUUUGAUUACCUAUUUGUGGGAAAUCUGCCAUGGUUGCCGAGAAGGGUAUGCACCAAAUUCGCCGAUUUGUGUAAACCAGCAGGCGCCUGAUGUUGAAUAUUUUUUAAGGUACCAGGGGUACCCCAUUUAAAAAAGAAAAAAGAGGUACCCUAGACAUUCACAAGAUAACAGUUUAGCCAAGCAUUCAUUUGCAGAAUAACAAGCAUACAAAGUACAAGAAGACUCGGUGGCAUGGUAUCAUAACAAAGGAGAAGUCCCAAUAAUACAAAAUAUCCCAAGAAACCAAAAAGAAAGAAACAAGGUCCAAAUAACAAAAUAUGGAUAGAUCCAAAAAAAUAAGAGCACAACAAAAAGGCUACACUGAGGGGGGAACGCCAUCCCCAACAUCUGUCUCCAGAGGGCGAUCAGCAGAGGACUCCGAAGUACCCGGAAUAUGAGCAGCUGAAGUAUGAGCAUCCGAGGCAGGCAACGGCUGAAGCGCACGGGGUACCCUAGGCGACCCGGAAGGGGUACCCUACCGUGCCUGGGAAGACUUCUUCCUUUCUGCAAUUGUCUUCAGAAUCGUAGCCUUGUUGACAAAUUUCUGCACACGGGGUACCUCCAGUUCUGGAUCCACACUCUACACCUCUGUCAUGAUAAGUGAGAAUGCAUCCUCCGCCAUUGUCUUUUGUCGAGAUAGCAGAUCUCCGUUGGUGGCCCUCAACUCCUCACAAUCCUUCUCCAUCCGAGCUUUCUCUCCCGACAGGCCAGCAAUGCGUUCUUGCAAAGUCUUAACUUCUCGAGCAAGAUGAUCCUCGCGAGAUUGAUGGCUUUGGAGCUCACUCCUUAACUUAUCGACCUCUGACUGGGCGACAACAAGGGAGUCGAGGUCGGAAAGGCAGUGGCUAAGGAGAAAUGAUGCUUGCGGGUCAUGAAAGACAUGUUAAAUAUAUAUGUAUGGUAAUAGGAUUAAAUAAGUAAAAAAAAUAAUGAAGGGUACACCCGGGGUACCCCAGAAAAGCCUACCUCUUGGGUAGUCCUAAGUGCUUGACCAUAGCGCUGACUCAAACUCAUCUUGUCAGCCUCUUCAGCAACCUCGGAGGUGACAUUUUCAGCAGAGUAGUAAAAACAGCGAGCCAUGUGUGAAACCUCCUUAUUGGCAGCUGGGUCUAGGUCACAUUCGCAUAACUCAUCGAGGAAAGUGGAAACUAGCCCGAAUUUUGUUUUCCUUGAGCGAGGGGUAUCCUUCGACCUGCUGUGGGAGGUACCCUGAGAUUUCCCCUUUGGAGCGGGAGCUGGAGGAGGUCAGGAGCCUUUCGGGGGUACCACCGAAUCCUGAGAUCUGGAAGCACCGCCCACUACUCCUUGGAAAAAGGAGUAAAAAGCGUCACCCGCUGAUUCCAUAAUUGCACCCAAUGCACAAACGUUGUGUUAGCCGGACAAGUACUAAGUACUACAAAAGCCAAAAUGGGAAAUGAAAAGUGGGGAAACAAAAUAAAGAUACGGUGAUAACGGGGUACUCUAGUACCGUAGAUAAUAAUAGAGUACCCCUCGACACCCGAAUCAUACAUGAGUCACCCCCGGGAGCAGAUGGAGGACUUCGGUUAAUCAGCCCCACUCUCCACAAUCUACUCUCCUCCAGCACAUCACUACCCCUUUGUGCACCUCGAAACCUGUCCACAAACUUCUUCAUCUCCCUCCCCACCUCUUGAACUGGGCAUGAUCCUUUAGCCCAUGUCACACCUGCAAAAGCAUAAAGAACCCAGGGUUAGCGAGACAUUGAGGCGAAAGACUCCGAUAAAGAACUAUAAGUAAGGGAGAUACUUACAGUCUACAUUGAAGAAAUGAGGAACCUCCACGGGGUUGCCCUUUUCACCCAAAGUCUCUGUCCCCCACCUACCCUCAGCAACGAACCAUCCCUUUCGGUAACCCUUCUUCAAGGCGGGGUUCCCCUCAACAAUAUGGCCAUGAUCCCCCCAAGGGGAGAAGUAAGCAAUACCGAGACCCUUAGGCUUUUUAAAUUGAUAAAGGCCCCUCAACUCCUGAACAGAAAUGUUGUGCUUCAAGACCUCCAACCAUAACACAUGUAAUCCUGUGAGUGUCCUCCACCCCAGAAGGGACAGCUGCCCGGGAGCUACCCGCAAGUAACUAAACAUUCUCAUAUAGAAAGGUUGGAGGGGCAGCGGAAUCCUAGAUCAAAAAGGUCAAUAUGGAGAGCAAUCCCAUCAGACUUCGGACACUCAGGUCGCUUAUCUACAUGGGGUACCCUAAGCUGAACAGAAGGAGAAAUAUUGUAUUUAGCUCUAAUUUUUUCUAAGUCCCCCAAGGUAGCCCUCCUAGAGCCUAGGAAAAAAAAAGUUGCCAGAUUUUGAAGGUGUGGCAGGGGGAGAUUUGGGAGGCUAGUCCGAGGAACGAACGGGAACCUUGGGUUUAGAUGACUUACUCUUCUUUCGAGGAUGGGGGAUUGGCUGUUUACUAGGAAAGCGUGGGCUGACACGAGGGGUACUCCUAGGGGGAGGGGGUUCAGAAUGAGAAUUACAACUCCUAGAGGAAUUAGGGGGGACCGAUCCCCCUCGUUAAUGGAGAUGUGGGAAGGGGAACCCGCAGGAGGGCUGUCAACCCUACUAGCCCCAACUGCAUGUCGCUUCCUCAGGGGUAUCGUGUGUUUCUUGCCCAUCUACUUUCCCCCAACGACAUAUCCACCAGGCCACAAGUCCCCAACAAUACACCCAACGAUACACCCAACAAUACACCCAACAAUAUAUCCAACAAGCCACAAGUUCCCCAAACAACACAUCCACAAGCCCCCAACAACACAUCCACAAGCCCCCAACAACACAUCCAACAAGCCACAUGUUUCCCAAACAGCAACAUAUUCAUACCAAGCACCAUCCACCACACAUCAACCACCAAAUGCAAACACCAACCAACAAAAAAAAAAACAAAAACAACAAAAACCAAAAAUAAAUUUUUCUCGGAGUAUGCAAAAUAGUGCCACUGUGAAUAUGCCAAAGGAGGAGAAGCAAAGAGGGAUACCUGUGAUUCACCAAUUCGGCAGAUCAAGAUUGAUAAUCGCAGCGAGACGAAGCUGCAGGCAACCAAAAAUAGUGGGUAAAAAUAUGCAAGUAUAAAAAUAAAAAUAAGCUUAAAUAUAUAUAGUUAUUUAUAAAUAAAUGAAUGAAUAAAAUGAAGAACGAAGAAGCUGCAGCAACCGGCGUCAGCUGUCAUGGCUGCAACCACCGAGAACCGACGCCGGAGAUCACGAGAAGGAUGCCGAAAACCACCAAAAGAGGACGCCGACCGAAACCAAAAAAAAAAAAAAAGGAGCUUGGAGAUAUAAAAAAAAGUCAGAAUAAAAAAAAAAAGAAAGGGAAGAGCUUGGAUGAUAAAAAAAAAAUGGGAGAAGCCUGAAGAUAAAAAAAAAAAAAAAAGAGGAAGUAAAAAAAAAAGAAGAGCUUGAAGAUAUAAAAAAAAGAAGUCAGAAUUAAAAAAAAAAAAAAAGGAAGCUUGAAGAUAUAAAAAAGGAAGCUUGGAGAUAUAUAUAAAAAAAAAAGAGGAAGUCAAAAAAAAAAAGGAAGCCUAGAGAUUAAAAAAAAAAAAAAAGAGAAAAGCCUCCAGGAUGAUUUAGAAGAAAAAGAGAGGAGCAUAGAUAAAAAAAAAAAAAAGAGGCCACAUGAAGAGACGAAGAAGCAAAAUGGGGGGUAGAAGAUGGCUUACCACAAAGAGAUCACUGCACCACCAGCCGAACGCCGUCGUCACGCCACCGGAACAUCUCGGUAGACGCCGCCGUCACAAGGCCAGCCAAAAAAAAAAGAAAAAAAAAGAGGAAGAUGAAGAAAAGAGAAAGAAAAUGACAGUGAUAAAAAAAAAAGGGGUGUGAAAGUUGCCUGGAAGGAAUUAAAGAAAAGACAAAGGAAGGAAUGCAAAAGAAAAAGAAAAUGUGACAGUAGGCUGGGAGCAAAGAAAAAAAAAAGGGAGAUGGAAGACGAAAGGACAAGAAGAAAAAAGUAGAAUAAAGAAGAAAAAGUGGAGAUGGGGAGGCGUUGGAAUGUGAAAAGUUUUUGGGGAUGGCAAAAUGAAAAAGAAUAAAGGGUGAAUGAAAACGUGCAGAAGGUGAUUUAUUUAAAAAAAUGUGAAGUUGGUGGUUGAAAUGAUUUGACUAGUUUUUGAAUUUUAAAAGCCAAAGCAAGCAAGAAGCCACUGGAAGUAAUGGGAGAUUAUGUUGGGAUUUUCAAAAUAAAUGAGAGAAAAUUGACACACGUCAGGAGUUUUUAAUUCAACUUGACAGAACACGCUGCCCAAGAAAGAAGUUAAGGGAUGUUUGCGUGAGAUUGAUAUUUUCAAAAUUUAAACUGCAUGUCAGACAGCUGCCACUUCCCAAGAAAAAGGAGAGAGACAUAUGAAGACAACUGUUUGUUCUCAUCGUAAAAAAAAAAGGGGUGGUAAAAGGAAAAGACAGAGAGAAGAUUUUUUAAUUCGAAGUACACAAAGUUUAGUCAAGGGAAGAAACUCAGUAAGGUACCCCCAGUCCAGCCACGUCGCCACGUGUCACUCAUACAAUGAGUUUCUUUUGCCUCCAAUAAUUCUCGCCAAAAAGAAACUAGGAGGAUGUUGUUUGAGGGAAAAAUAGGAAAGGCAAUAAAGCGCCACGUGUCAACCAAUUGAAUGAUUCCGGCACAAUUUGAGGUACCCCGCACAAAUAGAGGUACUCCACACAAUUAGAGGUACCCCAUAUAAAUAGAGGUACCCCGCAUAAUUAGAGAUACCCCAUGUAAAUAAAGGUACCCCACACAAUUAGAGGUACCCCGUACAAUUAGAGGUACCCCACGUAACUCGAGGUACCUCCGAAAAUAUCCGCCAUGAGAAACGUCUCCGCCUCCUAAAAGAUAUUAUUCGAUUUUGUCAGAAUUAAGAAUAAAAAACGACGCCCUAAAAGGAGGGAUAGCCGCUUGCGACCUCUGCCAAAAGUGAAGGACACUGUCCCAAGGACAGUGGUCCCCAACCGCCUACCCAACAGCUACUACAGAGGUAUCCUAGACCACUCUCCAGCGCGCGCCACGUUUCCAAAAGAUAAGAUACGCCACGAACAUGCAGAUAACGGCCCAAAAAAUUAUAAAGAGGUAAAAGGACUUUAGCCAAAAAGGGUACGCGGCGUGGCAGCUGAGGUACUCCAUAUAUAAAGGCGCCUAGGUUUCAUUCUCCAUCAGGCUCUCAUUCGCCCAAAAAACACUCACACUCCAAAAAAUAGGUUUUCUUCAACCUUAAACCCUAAUUUACAGAGGGCUAGCCAACUCUCUUUACCAUAAAAGCUUGAGUUUGCUAACUUGAGCGUCAGAGUGUGAACGCCGGAGUACUCCGGCUUCACUACUAACCUCUAUUUCACUGUUUUGCAAGCGUGAAGCUCAUUUUGAAGGACACCUCUCUUCUUUUUGACCUUCCACCAUUGUUACUACUCUCUCUACCCUUCUCACCUCCCCUGAAUUUCAGAUACACCGCACCGCACCGCAAACAAUAUACUAGUGAGGUACCCCAUCUCCCCCAAAAAUAUAAAUUCAUUGUUCUACAUUGGUUUGGCUUUUCCUACCCCAAAAUCAGUUGAAAACAAUAUAAAAUAACCGUAACAUUGGUUUUUACAUUUUGAAUUUUUCUUGAAUUACUAUUUAGAAAAAUGAUGUUAAAUAAAUCUCACAAAAUAUACAAAGCCACCUAACAUCCAAAUAUUGAUUACAUUUAUUUUGUAUUGUUGGAAUGACGCCAAAGCAAUUGAAAAGAUAUAAAAAAUAAAUAAUAAUGAUGAAGAUUGGCUACGCGAUUUCACUGAAGCUAAGUUGUGACUUGUGACCAUCCAAAUGUCCGUAACAAGUUAUGAUUAUUCUCGCAGCACAAAUCCAAUAGCAUGCAACAAAAUCCACUCUUAACACUUGCCUCUGAAGAAAAUAAAACAGAGUAAAAAGAGCAACCAUGCCAGUGAAUCUCUUUACUUUUCUCCUUAUAAUUUGGGUAAACUCUAUCAAAUGAAAAUGCACCAUGACCACUGACCACAUGGGUCACUGCCACUACCAUUUACUUCUUCAACUGUGCCUCCUGCUUUAAGAAAUCUUCAACUGAAAGAUGGACUAUAUAAUUCAAGAUAAAAAAUACACCUGAGCUGCAAAGGAUACUAUCCACUAGCCUAUCAACGACUAUACUUUAUAUUUUUCUAGUUUUUGAAUCAAAAUUCUGCAAGAUUUAGUUUGGAAAACUUCGACACAACAACCAAACACUCAGUCCUUUUGUGCAUUAUAUCCACCGUAUGAUUCCUUAACAAAACAUCGGUAGCCUGUAGCUUAUCUGACACUGUCCUGACCCAAAGCCCCGCUCUUUUCAACUCAUCUGUCAAACCAUUACCCACUUUUGGAGUCAAAACUGCCCUCGCAGCCCUUUAAUAUUUCUCCAUCUUCAUUGAAUACGUGCCACCCAAAUGCACUCUCUUCCCUCUGGCUGAUUCUGUUUGAUUCAACCUCUUUUCUUGUUUACACUCAUGAAUUUGCAGAAAAUAAUUAACAAGUUUGUCAUCAUCAUAAAAUCCUUCCACAAUCACCACAUACAUUCUGCUGAGCAGGACUCAUUACACCCUUGUUUUAAACAAUUUUUUCUCCAAUUGGUUAAACAAUUUUUUCUCUUCUCUUUGCUCUCUUACAACUUGAGGCAUAUAAUUAAAUGCGUGGCAAUUAGCAUAUGCCAUGAUGUAUUUAACAACCCCAAAUGAAGAUACUGAUUUUUUUUCGGCUUAAUGGUUGCUUCAAAUGGGGGAACUGAAUUUGGGGGUUUGUUGUCUAAAUCCCAAAAAAUUCCACAUUAUGUUGGACAGUUUUUGGUUCUACAGAUGAUGAUCGGUUUUCCAAAUAAUGGUUCAAAAGGAAACAUCUAAACAAUGAGACAAAUGGGUUCUGGAUUUCUAAUCCUGUAAAUGUUGUUCUGUCGCAUAAGUUAUGAAAUUUCUGAAGCAUCACUAUCCCCGUCGUUCCUGGGAGAAAAAAAAGUCGAAGAACUGCUCGUGGAACAAAAUUAGAAAAUUUAAACAAUGUUGAGAGACUUUCCCUUCAACUAACAGUUAAAAGAAAAAAAAGUAUUAGAUAAGCAUUUUCAAAGUAAAAUGAUCACCCAUUUGUUGUACUUAGGCAGGAAAAAUAAAUAUAUCAACCCCAUUAAACCCUCACAUCUGCUAACUAAUAAUGCAUAGACUAACUUUUACGUAAGGAUAUAAAACUUACAAGAGCAAGAAAACUACUGUUUAUUAAUUUCAAAUUUUACACAAAAUUACGAAUAAUUCUAUAAGCUGCACCAAAACAUGUUCUCUAAAAGAGAUUCAGUAUCCUACAUUUUUGGAAGCAAAAAAUUAUUUCUGGAUGGUAUAAACUAAUACUAGAAUAACCAUUCGUUAAUGAUGUGAGUUUGGGCAGCACCAUGAAGCGGUGAGCCCCGUUUGGUGAAAACGAAAAAUAAUUAAAAUAAAGCACUAUGAAUUCUAAUCAAAUUAUUAACAUUAGCUAAAUAGACAGCAAGAAACCAGAAUAAAUUCGUUAACUAAACCAAAUAUUUAAAAAAAAAAAAAAAGGCAGUUAAAUCCUUAUCAUUUUCAGUUAGAAACAAACUAAAGCACAAAUUAAGAACAAAGAUUGAAGCAAAGCAUGAUUGUACCUUGAGGCACUUGAGCUUAGUGUUCCCAUAAACAAGACCGAGCGAAAAAGCCGAAACCAGAGAAACCUAUUAUUAUCACUCAAAAACCCAGAUCACAAAAUGAAUGAUCUUUCAAUAACAAUUCAUAAAAAUUCCGUCCCAUCAUAUACAGAACAAAACAAAACAAUGAAAAUAUUGAUCAGAAAAGAAAUUACAAAAAUGGACAAAAAGAAGAUAAAAAUAUGAUGCUUUGCUAUGCUUUCCUUUCUUGUGGGUGGCAGAUAAAGAAACAAGAAAGAGCCAGCAAAUUGAAAAAUCGACUAAUAUAUUCAUUCGACUCCGACUCGUAUGGCUAUUUUUCUUUGAUGAAUGAAAUAUUAUUUCACUCUCUAAUUCGUAACAAAAUUACAAGUUUCGACUUCUGUUUGUAUGUAAUCGUAAUUUUAUUGCUUGACAGGCCUGGGCUUUUACGAGCCCAGGAAGUGUAAUCGUAAUUUUAUUGUGCUGAAAAUUAUAUAAACGUUAAAUACGAAUUUAAUCAAACUAACAUGUCUUUACAACUCAGGCAACCUUACUAUUUUCUAAAGAUAUAAUUAAUUUUACUAAUAAAAUCAAAAUUAUUUUUAAACAACAAAGAAAGAAAUUAUAAUAACAAUAAAUUAAUUAUGGAAAAGUAAGUUUACAAUAAUACGAGUCAUCAUUCUUCAUUUUCUUUCUGUUUCUCUCAUAUUUUCUCUGCAUCCAAACACAAUAUUCUCAGUUCUUGACUUGGUAUCAGAUUUGCAGUUUAAUUGUCAUGGCUUCCUUCCUUAAGCACAAAUUCAAACACAAAUCAGUCUCCUUCAUUCUUUACCCUAACAAAUGCGAUCAAACUGGACAGAUCUAACUAUACGAUCUGGAAAUCUCAGAGCCUCUCUUCAGUGCGUGCCAAUGGACUUGAAGGCUUUCUUAAUGGAACUAAAAUUUGUCCAGAUCAGUUACUUACUCAAGAGAUUGAAAGUUAUGGUGUUGAAAAUGUUAUUGGUGAAAGCUCAGCUGAUAGAUCUCAGGAGAAUCCAGCCUUUGUUGCUUGGAAAAGGUAGGAUCAAUUGUUAUUAAGUUGGCUCAUGUCCUCGAUCAGUGUUGAGAUACUUAGUCUUGUGGUAAAUUCUUAUUCUUCUCAUAAACUUUGGACUAAUCUUGAAGAAAAUUUUUGGAUUAGAAACUAUGGCUAAGAAAGCACACUUAAAAAUGAUGUUAAACAAUCUCAGAAAGGGAUCAAUGACAAUAACUGAUUAUUUUGCCAAACUUAGAGGUGUAACUAAUAAACUUGCUCUAACUGGUAGCCCUGUUUCUACUCUAGACUUUAUUACUCAUCUAAUCUCUAGAUUAGGCCAGCCAUACUACCCUGUUGUUGUGUAUAUUGAAGCUAAUAUGAUGAAAAUAUUUGUCAAUGAAGUCUAUUCUAUGCUUUCAACUCAUGAAGCAAGAAUGAAAUUUAAUCAUCCGAGUGCAAAUAAAGAAGCAAAGUUGAAUUAUGCUGCUAACAUAGCUUAGGCUGGACCUAGUGAUAACAAUAAGAAGUCUAGUAAUCAAGCUAAUUACUAUCAGGGCAACCAAGGUAACUGGAAUAGAAAUGCUAAUUGGUGUGGUAACAAUGGAGGAAGAGGUGGCUUUGGCAGAGGUUUUUCAGGGCAAGGAAGGAGUAAUUAGAAUAAUGGUGGUCAUUGGAACAACGGACCUUGGAGUAGUAGUCGAGCAGGUUAUAAUUGUUCUGAUAUAAACAUUAUGACAUGGUUGCUGGUGAACCUGUAAACAUAACCACAAAAGUAAGAAGGCAUAAUCUUUUUAUAAGAAACUCAAAAAUGUAUUAAUGAUGAAAAUUUUAAAACAAAUAGUGGACCAGCUGGUCACUAAGAAAACAAAAAACUGAAUAUUUGUGCUAUAAAAAGGCACACCCAAUCUCACCCCUAUAAAAGGCAAGAAUCAGCUACAAAUCCCUAUCUCAAAACCCCAUCCCAGUUUAGAUGAAUGAAGAAAAAAGAUGAAUCUUGAAACUCCUUAGAAACUGAAGCCCAAAGUGAAGCAAGAAGAUGAACUCUAUCCCAAGCAAGCAAUAUGGCAUAUUUCUCCAUUAAUGGUUCAAAUAAAGUGAAUGGCUUUCUCUGAUGAAUGGGAAAUUGUCAAGAUCAAUAGUCAAACUCACGCAAAGUAAACGGACUUAAUUCUCAGAGGCUACUCAUUCUAAGUCUUAAAGAAAAAUUUUCUAAUUUCUAAAGAUUAUAUGGGGAAAAAUCAUUAUUUUCUAACAUGGAAAAUUUGAUACGGUGUUUAAUGUUUGAUCACAAUCAUAAUAUGAGUACUAACAAAAACAUCUUUAAUCGGCAUGGUGCGAGUAAAACACUAUCACUUCAUCUUUGAUGGAAAGAUGAUAAUAUAAGGAGAUGGUGAAAUGGUUUUGAUCUCUGGUAGCUUGUAAUUAAAAGAAAACAAAAAACUACACUAUUAUUAAUGAUUACCGAAGCUACAGAAGUAUCAAAAUCGGAAAGCAAACAAUUGCAAAACACAUCAAUGACUGAAGGUUAGGUUCUAAAACUUCCGUAUUUAAUUUUCAGAGCAUGUUAUGUAUUAUUCAGAAAUAUGAUUUCACUUCAGGCACUAGACCAAGACGCAUUAAACAUAAAACGCGGCGUUUUCAUGGACUAGUACAUUCCAUGCUUCGAAAGUUUAUGUUUUAGACUGAUUGGUUUGAUACAUUAUUUGUUUAUUGCGUUUUUCUUGCUUUAAAUAUUAUGUUGGAUUGAUAAGUUUUGUACACAUUUAUAUUGCUCGCAGUAAAUAAUUUAUGACAUUUAAAAAACUAUCAACCGUCUAUCAAAAGAUUUCUACUAUAAAUAUAUAUACAAAAAAAAACUUUUAAUUUGGUCAAUUUGUUCUCUUAUUUAUUUUUGUUCUAUUUCUCUUUUCCUUCCCUUUCAUUUUAUUGUUUUAUGGUACAAAAUAAAAAAAUAACCUUAAAAUUUAAGGGUAAAAUACUCAUUUUACUAAAAUUCCGUUUAAUAUUAUAAAGUUGUCAAAUGUCAAUGGCAUAGUACACGAGUGAUACAAAUUAAAAACAAUAAAUUAAAAGUUUUUAUGCAUUUUCCUUUUUUUUUUUAUAGUCGAUUGAGAUUUCCCUUCAUAUUUUAAAAUUCAAUAGGUUUAGACCGUUUAACAAAUCUUAAAUUAAAAAAACCCGCGGUGUAAUAACAAACUCACACCAAACCCUGUCCACUGUCAUCCCUAAUUAUAUUUACCACUUCAUACUCACAGUGAUAAUAACUGUGUAUCACAAUUGAUUUUGCAUACGGGUAAAAGUUCCAAGUCCGGAUAUUUAGUUAAUGAAAUUUGAUGAAAAGGGCAUGAAAGAAAAUAAGAAAUUAAAUAAUACAGGAGGUAUUAAUCAUUACAUAUUUAGUUAAUGAAAAUUGAUGAAAAUAUUUCUGCAGACGUGAGCCAUAAUUAUAUUACCGUUAAGAAUGAACCAGAAGAGUUUCCCCAAACAAGCUAAAACACAGCACUUCAAUUUAAAGAAUUUUUAUAUCACAGUACCGGGGCAAAAAGUUUAAUGCAACAACAUACAUUAAGUUAAUUCCAUAAUCUAUCCCCAAAGAAAGACAAACACAAGCUUAUAAGAUUAAAACUUUGGAAAACAUUAGAGUCGGACAAAAUUGUGUAAUCUUCAGAGUUUGGAGCCUAGUUCAUCCAGGAAAGCAAAAGAAAUAAUAAUAAUAAUAAUAGUGGUGGUUUGAUCUCAAAAGGUGGCAUCAAAGUGGUAACUUUGAGGUAUUGGAAGCAAUAACGUCUUCAACUUUGUCCUGAUUUCGAAGUCCCUUAACCCAUCCGCCAUCAGUGGAUUGAAUGCUUCCAUUCAACCCAUCAUCCACAAAAUCACCAACCCGUUUCACCUUCAUCUCCUUGGGCUUAACAGGGUACUUUCCAGAGAAGCAAGCAAAACAAAAAUUCUGAGAAUCAUCGCCUAACAACUAGUUCAAGCUGUCAAUCGGCAGAAAACAAGCGAAUCACACCCAAUAAACUCCCUGAUUUCCUCAACGCUCAUCCUGUUGGAAAUCAACUCCUCAGUACUUGGAGUGUCUACUCCAUAGUAACAAGAAGCUAUGAUUGGUGGGCUUGCAAUUCUCAUGUGAACCUCUUUAGCUCCAGCCUCCUUAAGCAACCUAAAAAUUUUUGAUGAAGUUGUUUCUCACACUAUCAAAUCAUCCACAACCACAACUCUCUUUCCCUCCAACCACAACCUUACAGGAGACAGCUUAAGCUUGACACCAAAGUCCCCAAUUUUCUGGGAAGGCUCAAUGAAAGUUCUCCCAACAUAAUGUGACCUUAUCAACCCUUGUUGAAAUGGCACCCCGGCUUUCGCAGCGUACUCAAGUGCAGCCACCACUCCAGAAUCUGGUACUGCAAUCACGACAUCACACUCAACAGGAGCCUCGGUAGCAAGUACUUCCCCAAAAUGAUACCUCGACUCAUAAACAGACCUUCCACAAACAACAGAAUUAGGCAAAGCAAAAUAAAUAUGCUCAAAGAUGCACUGCUUACGUUCAGGGUGAGGCAUCAAACAAGGUGAUUGAACCCCAUCUUUAUCAACCAUCAAAACUUCACUGGGAUAUACCUCUCUCUCUCUCUCUCGCCCCCUCUCUCUCCCUCUCUCUCCCUCUCUCUCCCUCUCUCUCGUAUGUGGCCUCAAUCAAAUAGUGCACAAGUCUCUGACGCAAAAACCAGAGCACCAUUACUCCUCCUACCCAUCACCAAUGGCAUAAACCCAUACGGGUCACGAACCGCAACAAGCUUAUCCUCAGUAACAAACACCAUUGAAUAAGCACCCUCAAGCUUCUCACAAACAUCCACAAUCCUCAAAAAGAACGGCCUAGCUUUUCGAUAUCGGAAUCAAAUGGAGAACAACCACAGUAUCAGAACUAGUAUUGAAAAUGGAUCCAUUAUCUUCAAGCUUAGCCCUCAAAGUAUUAUAAUUAACUAAUGUGCAACACCAACAGAACCAAACCUGUACCCAACAACAAAAGGCUGCACAUUCUUAAGCAUAGAACUACCCGCAGUCGAAUAUCUAACAUGACCAAUGGCCAUAUCACCCGGCAAUUGAUCAAGUUUAGACUGAUUAAACACAUCAGAGACUAAACCAACACCAGUAAUAGACUGAAGAACUUUGUUAUUCACAGCAACUAUACCUGCACCUUCUUGGCCGCGAUGCUGCAUCGCGUGUAGCGCCAAAUAGCAGAAACGCGAGGCCUCUGGGUCACCAUAGAUGCCCACAACACCACACUCCUCACGGGGCUUAUCGUCGUCAUCAUCAUCAAAACUGCCAAAACCGUCAUCUGGGUAUUCUUUAUUUGUGGUGAAAAACUCAGAGAUGGGGUUUUUUUAUAGAACAGUGAAGUUAUUUUUGUGGAUUAAAGAUUGUUGUUUCUGAGGAAAAAAAGGGUUUUUUUGCAGGGUUUUGGAGAAAAGAGAAAGAUGGGUUUUUUGCGACGGCUUAGGGUUAGCAGAGGGAGAUGGGUUUGAGAGAGGGCAGAUGUUGGCGGUGCCUGUUGUGGUGGCUGCCAUUAAUGGCUGAAUUUAUUUUAUUUUAUUUUAUUUUUUGGGUUGCCUUGCUCAAAGAAAAAACAGAGGAGGUGUGUGGAGGGAGACAGUGGCGAAGGGUACUUUAAGUAGAGGGGAUCUUGUUCUAGGUUUUUUCCUGGAAUUGUGAGGGAAUCUGAUCCUGUGUUUGUGCAUAUGAUUCAAUUACUUAUAGGUGAUACUGUUGUGUCACCACAAAUUCUAACUGGGAAGCUUCAGCUGUCAAUUUUUUUCCAAGGGUUAAUUAGGUAGAACUUUCAUGUCCUCGAUUUUAUUUGGAGAUUCUAAAAGUAGCUUCCAAAAUCAACAAUGUGACACAGAUGCUUUAGAUUUUUUUCCUUGUGGGACAUGAAAAUUGAUGCAUGAUCCAAUGCAUUGCUCUAUCAGAAUUGGAAUUAAACUUAGUUUGUAUUCUCCUAUUCCGAAAGCAAAACUUAUAAGUGAUAUUCUAAGAAGAAGAAAUUAAGAACCAUAACAAAUUUGAUGAUUCUAAUUUGCUAGAAAUAUUGCAAUCCAAAACUAAGAAAGUUCAAACCAAUUAUUAGAAGAAAAAAGUAGGACGGAAGCUCCCAGAAUAUUGUUAUGUGUUGUAUGUUUUAGUUUGUAUUUCCCAAUCAAUAAGAAAAAGUAAGUACACAUGUAACAAAAAUUUAAUAAAAAAGAUUGGAGGUGACAAAACCGUCAAUCUUCUAAUUAACUUUCUCUCCUUUCGAAUUUCCUGAGUUUGGUAGAGACUGCUUAAGUGGUAUAUCUAUUAUAAACACCUGAAGUCAAAGUUAAUAUUUUAAUUGUUAAGAAAAAUUAGAAGAAGAAAUUUUUGUAUAAGAGAAUUGGGUUUAAAUUUAGAAUUCCUUGGGAGGAAAUGAGUCUAAAUUCCAAUAAUAUAAUUAAACACUAUUUAUAUAUAUAUCAUUAGUUGGGUGAAAAUUUAAUUUCCAUCCUUUGAUGUGAAAAACUCUCUUGAUCGUCUAUUUUCAUAUGAUGGUAACUUUUUGUUUAAAGUGAAGUUAUUGGCACUCUUUCAUUAUGCUUAUAAAAUCCUACUUCAAAUAAAAUUACACUUAAAGACAAUAGAAUUAAAUAAUAUAAUUUUUCUUUAAAACAAAUUACUCAUCUAAUUUUCUAUAGGUUGCUUUGUAUCGAAUUAAAAAAAAAAUUGUACAAAUUUAAAAUAAUCUAUUAUUUUUUUCAAAUUUCUUAUUGAUUAAAUAUUUGUGUGCUUAAGAUAGCUUUAAAAUUAUAAGAUAUAAUAUAUAUAAUUUAAGCCAAUGAUUAACAUUCAAAAAUUUAUCUCUCAUAAAAGUUUUUAAUUUGUGCGUAGGGUAAUAAUAAAAUUGCAAAAGAAAUGAAAAAUAGCAUAGCACUAUUUUGAGUUUAAACAAUAAAAAAAUUAAAUGAAAAAUUAGAAAUGUAUUUAAAAAAGGAUAUUUUUGAAAAUAAAAUAAAUAUAAUUUAAAAAAAAAAGAGUUUCACGAGGGGUGCAAUAGUUCAACUCUUUUGUUUAUAAGUUUUAAUGUGUUGGUAUCCUUAGCUUAGCUUUUCCCUAAUUAUUAUAUUAAAAUGUAACAACAAUGAUGAUCAAACCUAAUUUCAUGGAGGUCAAAGAUUUUGGUCAUGCCGCAUUAAUUAGCUCGAUCAUACUUUCUACAAAUUUAUUUACAUUUAAUAAUUUGCCCAAGACUAGGUAAGGCGCCGCCUGGAGUCAUAGAAUUUUAUAUGUCAACAGUGCGUUUCACUUCAAUUAAGCCAUAAAUGUCGUUUAAUAUGCUCAUUUUGUAUUUUUUAAAAAAAAGUUUUAUUAAUUUUUUUUUGUUUUUAAAAAUAUUAUUUAUUUUUUUAUUUUUUUAAAGGUAAAGAAGUGGGUAAAGUUCAAAUUUAAUUUUUAUCCCUUACGUCAUGACCCCUCAGAUUUGAACUUAGGUAGCCAAACGUAUAAUAAUGAUAUCUCAAAUUUCAUUUCAAAUGAUAUGCAAUAUAUUAAGUCAUUGUUAAUCUUUAUAAGAUCCGAGUGAAUGAAUUGUGUUAUCUCACUAAUUAAUUGAUGAGUGUCAUAUCAUUUAUGAUAACUUUUGUAUAAAAAAAAUUGCGAUGGAUGAAAUAUCCUUUUGAGAAUUUAAUGGUUUAUCUCAUUUAUGAUUUAUUGUUGCAUUUAAUGAUAUUGCAAAUAAUUUUUCUGAUAAUAUUAUUGUUUUGACGAGUAAGUUUGGAGUAAAUAAUACAUAUGGCAAGUGUGAGGUUUGUUAUUGCAUUUAUUUUGUGGAUCUCUUUAAAAGCCAAAAAAAGGCAUUUCGAUUCAUUAUGAUUCCAGAUAAUUUCAAGCCAUGUCAUUAUUGGGAUAAAAAUAAAGUAAAAUGGUUAAAACUAUUUUUAUGUAAUUUAUAAAAAUUAAUGAAGCAACUACAAAAUUUUUUAAACGAAAAACAAUUGAAAUGUGUGUGGAAAAAGAAGAAAAAAAUAAGGCAUUUAAAUAUCUUCUUAAAAAAUACGAUUGAUUAAAAUUAUUUUAACCGAAUGCUCUUCCAAAUACAAUUCCACAUUUUUUUUAUUGCAGUGGGAUAUUCCAAAAUUGGCACAACUCAUUAAGAAUUCGGCAACUCAAAUUUUAUUUAUCUCUCUAUGCAUUUGACAAAUUAAAAAGAAAAAAAAUUCAUAUAUCUUCUGUUCAAAAUAAACCUUGGUAAAUAUUGUAAAACAAAUUACCAAUUUUUUUAAAUUUAUGCCAUUAUAUUGUCGCUAUUUUCUCGCCCACUUUCUUAAAAUAGAAUCGAUAUUUAUUGAUGGGUUGGGUUCCAGAGUAAGCACCAAUUCAGCAAAAUGGUUUUAUAGCAGAAAAAGCACUUGUAAGACAUUCAGAACACAUUUUUCAAUUUUGUCUUUUGAAAAUGAGUCUUGAGUUUCCGCAAGCCAAGAAGAAUGGCUAAAAAAUGUAUGGUAUCAAAGAAAGAGAAACACACACACACACAUAGAUUAGUGGGGAGAUAUAUGAGUGUGUAAUUUGUAUAUAUAUCCCAAUUAAUUGUUCAUAUAGAUUAUAUGAACAAUUAAUGUGUAUAUGCAAAAGGAAAAAAAAUUGGCUGUCCAUUAAGACAAAAUUGACUAUCACAUGAAAAUGUUAGCACACUUGCCACGCAACGAAAAUAAAGAUUCCAAGAACAACUUUAUGGUCCCCUUUCUGUCCAAACAUAGGCGAUAGAAAUUAGUGUAAACGACACUUGAAAUAUUUAUGUAGAUCCUCACACAAUUGAUUAAAUAUUUAUAGUAGGGUGGAGUGAUAAAUAGUUUCACAAAAUUAUUGGAAUUAACUAUUUAAUACAUGAGAUCUAUCUCAUUAAGUAUAAAAGAUUGAGUCAUGCUUCAAAAGCAUAACGCUGCUGGCAACAAAUUUAACACAAAAAUUUAAUUAACUAUCCUAGUUGAGAUAAUAAAAUCUUGUAUUGAAAACAAAAGGUUUGAGGUUCGAACCUUCUCAUUCAAGAAAAUCAAGUCAAAAUAUUACAUCUUCCAGCACAUAUUAAAGAUUUUUUCAAAGGCAGACUGAUAAUUCAGGGUAAAAAAGAAGAAAAAAAAAGAAAAGGAAUAUAUGCUAUUCAAGACAGGUAUGCCUUGUACAUGAAGUCCGAGUCCAGAACAAGAAGCACCUGGUUGAUCUUUCAAUUUCCAAAACCCAACAAAAUCUUUGUCAAAAUAUCUGAUCUAGUCCCAUAUUAAGCACAUUCAUAGCCAUAUCAACAGGUUCAAAAUAUUUUCCCCAAAAAGAGAUAGAGAUUCCAUUGAAGUUGAGUUGUGACUGUCCCAACGUUUUGUAAUUAUAUGGUUCAGGAUAUCAUGCCUAUGAAUCUUUUUUUUUUCUUUUUUUCCAUGUUUCGAAGUCUAUCAAAUGAAAAUGUAAUUAUAUGGUUCAGGAUCUCAAUAUGCCGCAGCUGCAAAGGUUGACUUCUACUAUCCAAUCAAUGUCUAUACUUUCUAUUGAAUUUCCUUGUUUUUUUUUAAAUUACGAGAUUUAUUUUUUAGAAAUCUUUGACACAUUUUAUGUAAGAUACCAUAAAACCAAAUACAACCUUUUUGAUUCUCAGCAACAACGUUUUUUUUUCCUUUUAAAAAAAGGAAGCCAUAUAAAUAAUGCUUUAAACAUUAUUUGCAACAAGGAACAAUUAUUUCAUGCUUUCAUGUAUUACAAACUUUCCAAAAACGCUAGCAAGAAAAUGAAAUGGAACUUUACCUAGUCACAUAAUAUAUACUGCUGUUAGCACAAUUGUUAUGAAGUGGCUUCUGCAUCCGAUGAUUCCAGCUCCCACCAAGCAUUGUUAUCUCUAUUCUAAAUACAAUCUGCAUCGCUGGGCAUGAGUUAUAUCAUUAAUGUCUGCAUCCUCACUUACAUCAUCCCAAUCAAGUGCUUUUUCUCCACAUCUGGAUUAUAAGUCCACUCCAAUCUCUUCAAAACAUCCCAGUCCUUCCAUCACAGCUGAUACGACUUCCUUCCUUAUUACUUCCCCAUUAAUAAAUCGCUCCAAGAAAAAAAAAAAAAGCAUUAGCAAUUCUCUUCAAUGCCCCAUCAUUCAUAUCCCCUACAACAACCAUCUUCAGACACCUCAACGUUGCCUCUUGAAAGACCUCCACAAAAUCCGAAUCAUCCGACACAACCACUAAACACCCAAACCUUCUUUUGUCCACCAUAUCCACCUUAUAAUUCCUUAACUAAACAUCGACAUCUUGUGGCUUAUCUAACACCUUCCUGACCCAAAACCAUGCUGUUUUCAACUCAUCUGCAAAAACAUAACCCGCUUUUGGAGUCAAAAUUGCACUUGCAGCCAUUUUAUAUUUUGCCAUCUUUAUUGAAUAGUUGCCAACCAAAAGCACUCUCACCUUCCCUCUAGCUGAUUCUAUUUGAUUCGACCUAUUCUUUUGUUCACCCUCAUGAAUUUGCCUAAAAUGAUUAACAAGUUUGUCAUUAUUAUAAAAUCUCCUUCCACAAUCACCUAUAUGGCUUAGUAGGCCUAAUUACACCCUUGAUUUCUAUUUGGUUAAACAAUUCUCUUUCUUUCUUUGCUCUCUUACAACUUGAGGCACAUAACUAAACGCGUGGCUAUUAGCAUUUGCCACCAUGUAUUUAACAACCCCAAAUGAAGAUAUUAAUUUUUUUAGUUUAAUUGCUGCUUCAAAAUGGGGUACUGCAUUUGGAUUUUGUUAUUCAAAUACCAAAAUGUUCCCACAUUGUGUUGGACAGUUUUUGGUUCUAAAGUUGAUGAUUGGUUUUGCCAAUCAGGCUUCAAAUGAGAACUUCUAAACAAUAAGACAAAUGGGUUUUUGAGUUUCUAAUUUUGUAAACUUUGUUCUAUUGUGUAAGUUAUGAAAUCGCUGAAACAUCACUACAGCUACAGGUCUUUAUGUGUCAAAGAACUGCAGAAGCUGAUGAUCUACCAGUAGUAGACUUCUAUUGCCCCUGCCGUUCUAGGAAGACAAACAAGUUCAGGAACUACUUCUGGACCAAACUCAUAAUAUUGCCACCGCUUUGUGCCAAUCUGAGACGGAAAGAAGAUUGAAGUUCCUAAAUAAGGCACAUCAUGAUUUAAUAGAAGCACCACUAUAAGGAAAAAUGGAUUUCAGGAAAGCACUAAAAUAUGACAUAAUCUCCCCCUAAUAGUCUAAAGUAUCAACCAAGCAAAAACACAUAAACUAGUUGAGAUACAAAGUUAUCAUAAAAGUCAGUUUUGAUCACAAAUCCAUUAAAAUUAAAAGACAUUAGAAAGUUAGAGAACAUUAUAAUUUAGGACUCAGCUAAGUUGCAGAUUCUGUAACUAACAGCUGAGUCCACAUUGGCCUUACAUCAGCUGAGUUUGGGUUGCUUUUCCUCUCUCCUGCAACGCGUACGUGGAAGCGCCCCAUUUGCUGUGUUCUAUACCGAGUUGGUACCGUAACAAGCUCCUAUAAUUUAAGUUUGAUUACUGUAGACAAUAGUCUGCCUCUGCUCAAAAGCUAUGCUGCAAGAUAUAACAUCUUUACUUUCUAAAAGUAAUAAGAAAUGAAACCAAGGGGUAAAUCGAACACCAAAAGAAAUUUAGUCGGCCAACCACAUUAUGUUCCCACACAAUCCACUAAUUAAGUUAAUAAUUAAAGGGAAUCAAAAUCUAAGAAAUCUCAUCUUCAAGCAGAAUACAAACACGCCGCGAUUGAAAAUCACAAAAUCAUAAAAAGAAGCUGACUUGAAAAGGGGUGGGCCGCCUCAUUUGCCCACCAACCACACCACACACACAAACACUCCAACACACACACAAGCUCUCUAGCUUUUGUAAAAAACUCUCUUUAAUAUUCUCUCUUUGUGAGUAAUAAAAUCAUAUUCAGCCAUAUUGCUCUACUUCUCUCUAGCAUUUUCCUAGAGUGUUCUUACUUCGCUAGUUUGAGGAGUGGUCUAGGCUUACUUAGCAACUUGUUUGCUACAAGGACAUCUUGGUCACAAAACAUGGACAUGCAAGGAAAAAAAAAUAUUGAUACGUUCUAAAAAUAAUACGCAUUCUUCUAUCGUGAACCAAAAAAAUUUAGGCUAAUGGUAGCAAGUGAAGGAAUUGUGAUUUCACGUGCAUUUUGUUGACAUGAAGGUAAAGAGCUUUUUUAUAGUUUAUAUUGUUUAAUAUAACAUUUGAAUUGCAAAAUAGGGGUACAAAAUAGAUACACGAAGGGAUAAAACUAAGUUGAUUAUGAUAAAUAUUGAAUUAUAAGAUUUAGGUUUAAUCAUAAAGACAUAAGUGGCCCAAGUCACGAAUUGAUAUCAUCCAUGAUGCAAGUUCAAACAACUGCAUAAUAAGUUGCCCUAAGCUAAACUAUUAAUCUAGUAACUAUUCCAGUCGAUGUGGGAUAAUUUUCCUAUCACCAUUUAUCACGUGCAAGCCGAAUUUGUUGCUUGGUUCUUACAUGUGGUAAGAUAAUAUGAAUCCACUUGUGCAUAAAUUUUGCUCCGAUAUUAUAUAGAAGCUUAUGACCCAAAAUUAUACUUAAAGGUGAUUUCAAGAUUUCAAGGUUGCCUCAAGCUAAUAUUAUUAUUAGCCUGGUAACCCUUUUUUUUUUGUUGAUAUGUGAUAUUUUCCCUAUAACUUUUAUUAAUCUUUAUGCUUAUGUUUUGUCAUUUAUCCCAAAAAUAUAACAUUAACAAAAGUUCCAAAAUUUCCUUCAAGAGAUAUAUUUGAGACAAGUAAUUUGUGCAAUAACUUUGUGAAUUGAUGAGCAAAUUCAGAGAAAAGAAUAUAUGUGCCAAACGUAAAGUUUAUUAUUGUGUUUAUUUGUAGAGCUAUUUAAAGCCCAGAAAAAAAAAAGCACCAGUCCGCUAUGAUUUCAAAUAAGUUCAAGCCCUAUGUCAUUAUUGGUACAAAAAUGUAUCAGAAAGGUUAAAAACUAUUUUUAUUUAACUUAUAAACUUAGGAAAUUAUCAACUGCUCAGCCUUAAAUUGUGCUAUUAUAAAAAAUAUUACAAUAUUUUCAGGUUGUAUCAUUCAUCUACCAUAAAAUUAUAAUUGCAUCAUUUAUCCACCAAAUCAUUAACUUCGUUAAAAAGUGAUAGAUGUUACAAGGGUAAUUUAGACAUUUAACACACAAAAAAAAUAAAAGAGAAAUUAUCUAAGCUUACCAUGUUAUCAAAAUUGCUACAAAAUUUUAAAUUUGUUCAAUUUUUCAAUCUAAGUUUAUGACCUCCAAGAUUUUAAUUGCAAUUUGUAAUUAAUGAGUUCAUAAGGAUAAUUUAGACACUCAAUAUGCAAAAUAAAAAAAGAAAAGUAUCAUUUGUAUACCUUAAAAUUUGCUGUAUCAAUCGUCCACCUUAAAUUGAAAAAAGUUAUCUACCGACCACUAAACCAUUAGUUACCGUUUGAAAGUUAACGGAACUGUAGCGAAUUGACGAUUUUACCCUUGAAAUCUCAAAAAAAAAACUCUUAUUAUCAAUUAUAUACCCUUAAAUUAUUACUAGUAUCUAUGAAAAGACUAUAUUACCCCUUUGACGUCAUCAUGUUUAAACGGCAACUAACGCUUUGGUGGACGACAGAUACAUUUUGUCAAUUUAGGAUGGACGACUGAUAUACCCUGAAAGUGUUGUAGUAAAUUUGAUAACGGAGUAAACUAAGGGUAUACAAAUAAUAAUUUCCUAAUAAAAAAAUAAAAUAAUGGUUUAAAACAUUAAAACAAAAAACUUGAUAUUCAAUUAAAUACACAUAAACUCUAUUUUUUUCUUAAUUAAAAAUAUUCUAAUUUAUUUUCUCAAUUUAUCAUCAUAAAUUUACAUUAAUAAACUAAAUCCACAAAUUACCCUAAACCCUAAUUCAUAAAUGCCCAAUCAAUCUAAUAGUUUAAUUAGAUUUCAUAAUUAAAAAGCUAAAUUUAUUAUAUUGGUUAUGGUGCAAAGUCAAAAAUGCCCUUAAAUUCAAGGGUAAAAUAACAUUUUAUUUAAAGUCUAUAAAUGAUUCUAACAAUGUUAACAUUUUGGUGGGCGGUUAAUAUAAGUUACAAACUUAAAAUAGAAAAUCAAAUAAAUUCAAAAUUUCAAACUAUUUAGGGCAAAUUUAGGAUAUAUGGUUAAUAAUUUUCCCAUGUCUUUUUACAUUGGUUGAUAUAAGUUACAAACUUAAAAUAGAAAAUCAAAUAAAUUUAUAUUUUCAAACUAUUUAGGGAAAACUUAGGGUAUAUGGUUAAUAAUUUUCCGUUGUCUUUUUACGUUAAAUUGAGUUUCAAAGGUAAAAUGGUCAAUUUAUUAUAAUUCUGUUAAUUUUUUAGUGGAAGCAAACGAUAUAAUGGACGAAUGAUAUAAAUUGUAAAAUUAAGGUGUAUGAAUGAUACAACUUUAAAGUAUUAUAGUAAUUUUAAUAAUAGAACAAUUUAAGGGUGGAUUGGCAAUAAUUUAAACUUUAAUGAAGCAACCAAAAAAUUUUUUUAACAAAAGAAAAAUAAUUGAAAUGCUUUAAGAAAAAUAAAGGAAAUUAAAUAUCUUUAUAAAAAUAUAAUUGAGUAAAAUCAUUUUACAAAAUACUCUUUCAAAUGCACAUUCCACAAGCCAGGGAGAACGGGUGACUAACAAAAAUCUCACUUUUUAUGAGUUUAUAAAAUCUCACUUUCGCAGAAACAAAAAAUAAAAAUUAUUGCUGUCACGACAUUACGCACUUUCUUUGCCAUCUAGAAAGGUAGAACAUUUUGAAGUUCCUCAAUACAAAAUGCGUGCUACUACUAAAUUGGCACAAUUAAUGCCCAUCGAAAAGGCCAUCAAUUUAGCCAUCAAUUUUGUCAAAAUUUCAACAAUUGAAGAAACAAUGAUCACAAACGGAAUAGGUAAAUUUUGAAGUUGAAUAAAUCUUGAGAUGCAUACAACAAAGCCUUGAAACUUUAUUCUUCACAAUUUGAGCACGCACUGAAUAUUAAAGCAAAUAUAUAUGAAAAAAAAAUCAUAAAGCUACCAAAAGGAACCACAAAAUCAUCAAUAUUAUCGUUUAAUAUGGAGAACGGCCUGCGCAUCCAAAUUGUGCGAACUGAACACGCUGAAAUGUGUGUUUUGUUUUUUGGAUUUUUGGAAUUUUUUAAAAAUCAUUUAUGUUCGCCGCCAUCUUUUUCUUCACUGGCGUCUUCCUCUCUUGGCUGGCAUCUGCCUCGUCUGCAGUUUGCUGUGCCUAUUUAUCCAACCAAUAAAUUGGGCAUUAAAUACGAAUGAAUGAUGAAUAAAAUGAUAAAAAAAAAACAAACAGAGAAAAUUAUAAUAUAACACAUAUUUAUUGAAAGAGAAAUUUUGAUUUUAGGAUAGAUCAAUUAGCUAUCUCAAACGAAAACAUGAACCAACUAUGUAUAGAGUCAAUUAAUUUAAAGUUCUCAAGAAUUACCUCUGCUCCAGAAUUCUCGGAAUCAUCUUCUCCUUAUGAAUUUCCACGAAACUUGGGACAAUUAUUAACACCUCUUCUAAAGUAUGCAGAUGGAAAUGGGAUCUGAUAACCCGCAGGCCAAAAGUUGGUGAGGUUUGGUAAGUCUUCCAGUCUCAAGUCCCAAAGUUCAUUCAUAACAAUUUCAUUGUAAUCCGUGACGUCUGCUCCAUCUUUAUGCCAGAAUACUUCUUCUAAUUCAUCAUUACCUACUAUGGAUAGGCGCGACAGUUUUUGAAGACUUGGAGCUACGCUGAUAUGAAAUAGAUGCUUUAGUUUGGGGCAAUAAUAGACAGAGAUCCUUGUGAGUUUUGGGAAACAUACAGGUUGGAGAUGAUCCUCAUCCUCAUCCUCAUCAAUGAUUUGCUCUAAUUCCAAGCAAUUCGAAACAGAUAACUCCUCCAAUUGCAACAGAUUUCGAGCAAAUGUUGAUGAGAAGAGACGUCUCAGCAUAGUGCACCCGUCCACUGUUAAAUAGGUAAGACUUUGCAGGCUAAAAUUAUGAGUGGGACCUUCAUGAUAUAAUAAUAAUUGCAGGUCUCCCAGAUUGUGCAAGGUCAAUGUCUUCAAACGUGGGAAUAGUUUGUUUUCUUGUCCCUCAGCGAUAAUAGCUUCCACUUGAAAUACCACCUGUACUCCAAGUUCUCCAAUACCCAAUAUUUCCAAAUUUUUUAAUCCGUGCUUCAACAGUGCUGGAAUCGUGUGACGCAAAUGGGAGCAACUUUCCACACCUAGAGUAUUUAAGUUCUGAGACAAAUAAAUAAAUAACUUGAUGUAAUUAAAAUUUGUUAGCAGCUAGGAUUAUCACAUGAUAAGUGAUGAACACCGCAAAAAACAAAAACAGAAAACAAAAUCCAUACAAAAAUAUCAUAAUACAUAUGUAAACUAAUAAAAUAAUUAAAAAGUAAUGGAUUUAAAAAAAAUGAAAUUAGUUAAAAGAGAUCAUGUGAAGUGAUAUAAAUGUGACAUUAGAUUGUUUUAGAAAAAUUAUUAUUCUAUUAAUUUAUAUGGCUUGAUCAGCUAAUUAAUUGAAUUUGAAUAAUAUUAUACACACUUCAGAAGUAUUUGCAUCAAUUCUUUCUAAACCAAAAUGAAAUCUGAUAAAAUAAUUAUUAUCAUUACCACAUCCACCACCACCAUCAUCAUCUCCAUAGGAUCAAAUAAUUAAUGGCUGAUCAUAAAGUUUAUUGCUAAACUAUCAUUUUGAGUAAAAUUGAAUGAAAAGAAAAAACAUGAACCCAAACAAACAUACAUUUUCAAGAUACUGCAAAUUGGCUUCAAGUUCAUUAUUGUUGAUGAUCAAGUUGGGACAAUAAUCAAGGAUUAGCUCUUCCAAUGCUGUCCAAAUUGAACAAUAGUUUUCUGAACAGAAGCUGACGAGUUCUGGGAGUUCUUGAAGUGUUAAUCUUCUCAACAAGGGGAGGGCGAGCAUCGUAUUUCCACCUUCGACACUUAUUUCCCCUUCAUUGUGAUCAAACUUUGCUUCGACAAUACAUUCCAGUCUCUCGCAAUGGCUUACACAGAGACUUUUAAGCUGCUCCAAACUUCGGGCUUGUGACAACGUGAAGAUGUAUGUCAACUUGUUGCACGAAUGCACAUUCAAUUCUGCAAGAGUUUGGAGACUGAUCACAUGUUGGGCGAGUGCCUUCCAUAUCCACUUCAGUUCUGGUAAGCCCCACAUAGAUAACUUUGCUAAUCUUGAGAGACUCUUUCCAUGCGGCGACUUGGAGGCAUCCAUUAUGCAUUCUAAAUCUUCGCAACCGUGGACAUCAAGACAAGUCAACUCAUUUAAGCCCAUUUCAUCUAUGCUUGGCACAAUAUUGUAACAACCUAUAAUCCCACUUAAACAAAGAAUUUCCAGUUCUUGAUACAAAGCCGAAAAAAUACCGAGCGAGGUCGCUUCAGGAGGGUCGUUACUAAUCAUUAAGAUCCUUGCCUUAUCAAAAUGACGUACCUUUGCAAUUUCGGGAAUGUAAAGUCUUUUGGAAGACAUACAACAGAUCCGUCGACUUGGGAGUUCAACUCAGCAAGCCUAGCAUUACUUUCUUCUGAACUCAUCCCUUCAACCUCCCAAUUUUUUAUCCGACCAUAAAAUUCUUCUAAUUGAGGAAUUUUUUUUAUCGUAAUAGGAGAAACAGAACUGAUAUCAAUAUAUAGAAGUUUCAAUCUACUAAGUUCAUUCCUCAAUUCUUCUGGAAUUUUAAUGAGAGACUUCUUGAGAAAAAGAAUUUGAAGCCUCUUCAACUUUCCAAGGAAAGAUGCAUCACUCACCUUACAUCGAAUCAACUGCAGAACCUGGAGGUUGGUGAGGCUCUGAAGCGAUUUAAGUGAAAGAACUCCACCUAUUAUAGUGACAACUUUCAAUGCUGGCAUCCCUUUAAAAAAAUGUUCUGGAAUUUGCAAUUCGUAAUUAUAUACGGUGUUCUCCAAUCGCAGAAUAUGAAGGUUAGGGCAUACCAAACUACUAGGAAGCUCUUCUUCUUUAUUUCCCAUUACAGAGAUUCCUUUGCACUGUUCCAGGCCUUUUUCCACCGCCCGUUCCAGCAAUCUGAUGCCAUUUAUACUAAACAAUCUCUCCUCCUUCUCCUUCUUCUCUGUGCUUAUCCAUAUGGCUACAUCACGAACUAUGUCAUGCAUUUUCACAGAUAUGUCAUUACCAGUGUCUAACAGUAGUGAAGCAGCUUUGAGUCCGUCAAUUGUUCCAUGCAGUAGGCUUCUGGUGUUCUCUAUUGACUCAGCUUGAUACCAAGUCAACCCUACUGCAUAUCCAACCAAAUCCUCCAAAUUAAUCUCAUAAUAUUCUGGAAAUAGCGAACACAACAAGAAGCAUAACUUGGAAUUGUCAUCAUUCAAUUUGUCGUAACUAAAUUUGAGACAACCGUAAACGUCUAGGUUCUCCUCAUCAAUACCUUCUAUUGCAUAGAGUUUUGCAGCCUUUAGGUUAUAUAGAGCCAGGUUCCAUUCAUUAAGGUAGCGUUUACUUUUUGGAUUGGAUUGAGAAUCUUGGGGAGUGGGAAUCCUAAGAUUGGGAGUGUGGAGUGGGAGUGGGAGUAGGUUGUUUACUUACACUAGAAUGGAAGCAUGGAAUGGAGAUCAGAAUUCAAUUUAUGUGUUUACUUUGUCUUGGAUUGGGAGUAAAUAGUUUCAAAUUAUAAUUUUAUCCUUAUUUAAAGAAUUAUAAUUUUUAAUUACAAAACUAAUAAAAAAUAUAUUUAAUGAAUAAUAUUUAUUUUAUUAUAUUUGUAAAUUUAUUAUAAUUAUUAAUAUUCUUAAUUAUGAACAAUAAAUUAUUAAUUGUAAUUUUAAUAUAAAAUGAAAUGUUAUUUUAUUUUAUUUAAUAUAAUUAUAUUAAAUUUAUUAUUAUAUAAAAUAAUAAUAUUAUAUUAUUUAGUACAAAAUUAAUAUUUUCUUAGAAUAAAGUAUUUAUUAUUAUUAUUAAAUAAAUAUAGUACUAUUAUUUUUAAAAUAAAUAUAAUAAUAUUAUAUUUAUUAAUUCUCUAUUAAUAUAAUAAUAUUAUUUUAAAAUAAUUUUAACUUAGAAUCAAUGUAAAUUAUUAUUGAGUUAAAUAUAAUAUUAUUAUUUAAAUAAAUAUAAUAUUAUUUAUUUUAUUUUAUUAAUUAUAAAACAUAAAAUAAAAAAAAGAGUAGAAAUGGGAGAGGUGGGAGUGGAUUCCCACUCCCACCUCCCCCAAUGGGAGUCCCACUCCCACUCCCCACUCCAAAAAUGGAUGGGGCCCACGGAGUGGGACUUCCAAUCCCUCUCCAUUUUAAGUAAGCAAACGCUGGAGUGGGAGGAAUCCACACUCCUCACUCCCACUCCAACAAGUAAACACAACAUUAAAUCCUUUUCCUCUUAGUGCACUUCCAACAGCUUCAAUAGCUAAAGGUAGCCCGUUACAUUCUCCAGCAACUUCUUUGGAAACAUCAUUCAAGGUGGAGUCAUUUACAUCAAUGCCGGCAUUUUUUCGCAGUAAAGCCAAUCCUUCUUCUGGCGUUAGUGUACUAAGUGGAAUCUGUGUGUCACAACCCAAAGAAUCACAAACUGACUUUUUGCGAGUGGUUAGAAGGAUUUUGCAACAAUUAUCUCUACCACCAACGGGAAUACGUAAUUUUUUCUCCAAGUCGAGUUGUUUCCAAACAUCAUCAAGGAUUACGAGGAUUUUGUUGCUUUUACUCUCAGAAAAUAUCAAGCGCAAUCGGUCUGCUCUCUCUUUUUCAUCUUUCUCAUUUAGUGCCCAGCCUAACGACUUUGCCAGCUCACCUUGAACCUUUAUUAUAUCUGGAUCCUGAGACACAGUGGCUAUCCCCACCUUAUCAAAAAUCUUUUGUUGCCGAAGUUGAUUGCCCAGAGAUUUUGCCAAGGUCGUCUUUCCUACACCGCCGAGACCGUGCAAUCCCACCAUCUUUGUGCUCUCUUUUUUCAGUGCUUCAGUGAUCUGAUUACAAGCCGAUUCUGUAGUCUCGAAAGAAGAAAAAAAUCUCGGUAUAGGCAAUUCUUCGUCUGGUGGUAGAGGUUUAGGACGGGCAACUGUGCUGAAUUUGCUGCGGUCUUGUAGUUCGGACAACUUGCUACUCUUCUUUGAUGCUUUUCUACCCAGCCAGUAUCGCCAACCCCAAUUAGGAUACCAUCCAUUAAGACAACUCAUCUUUUCAUCUAUCUUUGCUUUCAAAUUUCGAACGUCGGCCAUUUCUUUGUCUACAUCCUCAAGCCAUGUCUUGACAUCUUCCUCGACUUCUAUAGCACGGUGUAUUUGUCGUUCUUGUUCUACUCUUUUAUUGAUGCCAUCUUUUUCCUUCUUCAAAUUGGUUUCUUUAACCUUAAGUUCUUUAUCUAUGCUGUUGAAACAGAGCAGAUAACGAGCUUGGUUUAUGGUUGCAUCCACCAACAAUUCUCCAAGCCUUGAUGCAACACCUGACAAAAGUUCCAUGCUAUUUAUCUGCAAUUAAUAAAGUUGAUCUCAGUAAGCUAUAAGCAAAACAUAUGAGGCUUGAUCACAAGAUCGAACGAGAAAGUUUAAUUACCUUUUUCUAUUAUGUGAAUGCACGUUUAUUGACACUAGCUUUGACCAGUAAGAGCAAAAUGCAAACGCCGAGCUUUAAGUGGCCUUCAGCUGCAAAACAAAAGAGAAGAAAUAAGGUAAUUUAUUAUUAUUAUUAUUAUUAUUAUUAUUAUUUUUAAGGACGGAUAAAGGUUAGCUAGCUUGCAGACAAAUUUACUAAAAUCAAGACAAACCUAAGAGUUUUCCUAAUUUGUUCAAACAUGGAAUAAGCGUUUCACAACAGUAUAUCCAUAAAGUAAUAAUAUUAUUUUAAAUUAUAUUAAUGCCUUUGGUAGUGAAUUCAAUUAGGGUUAUUUUAGUAAUAUAAAUUUUCAUUAAAAUUAAAGUGUCCAAAUUCUAAUUUAGAUUUUUCAAAUGUAAAAUAAUAUUUAUUUAUCUGAUAUAAAUUAAAAUUCAAACAAAUGUAUCAUGCAACAAAUGAAAAGUAAAGAAUAUUAAUUAGGUUUUAAUCGAAACAAAUAUAAAUAGAUGUUUUGAGUAGUUAAUUUUUGUUAUUUUAUGCUAUUGGUAGUUUGUGGAUUAAAUAAUUUGUAUAAGGAUAAAUGGGGGUUUGUAUAAUUUAUACGAAGAUAAUCUCCAAAAUAAGCAUAUAUGUCGAAUUUAAAAGUGUUAUAUAAGUAGUAAUCGUAUAUGCAUCAAAAUUUUUAAUAAAAUUUAUUUAGAAAUUGGCCAAAUGGGUUUUAUGAAGAAAAUAGACGGGCAAGUAAUUAUGUAACAAGUAAUUUGUAGGUUGUGGUACUUCUCCAUACUUCAAAUCACUUUUAUCUAAUCAAUUGAUAAAUUUUUUUGGGCUCCAACAAAAUGAAAAGAAAAAGUUAAAAAUAAUUCUGAAAUAAAAAACGUUAGGUACUGCCUAUAAGCUAUACAAUUUUACCUUUUCUUCUAUCACAAUUAGUAUUAGAAAUGAAAAUAGUUUCGAAAUAAAUGUAAUUAGGAGGUAAUAUUAUCUCAACAAUACCUUAUAGGGAAAAAGACAUCUACAUCCUAAAGUUCGGAGAAAUAGUCGUAAAGACCCCAGGUUUUCAGAAAGGGAUAUCAAGACCCUUUUUUGACCGUAAUACCCUUUAAAUCUAGUAAUUAGAAAAUUGACUUUAAGAUUUUUUAAUUGACAAAUUUAAUAUAAAUAAUAUAAUCUAUCUAGUAGAUUAAUAAUAUUAACAAUAAAAAUAAUAUUAAAAUUUAAGUUCUUAUAUUUAUUUUAAUAAUAUAUUUUUAUUUAUUAUAAAGAUUUUAAAUAAAUCCUUGGGUUAAAUAGGUUUUCCAGUUAACAAAAUAUACCCCUAUUAAUAAUAUUGAAAUUACUUUCUACAUAAUAUUUAAAAUAAUUAUAAUUUAUUUAUUUUAAUAUUAUGUUUCUAUUUAUUAUUAAAAAUUACUUUAUUAGAGUAAAUUUUUAUUAAUUAAAGCUUUAAAAUCAAUUUUCUAAUUACUAAAUUAAAGGGGUAUUAUAGUCAAAAGGAGUCUUUCCUUUUUGAAAACUUAGGGUUUUUGCGACCAUCUCCCCAAACUUUGGAGUAUAGGUGUCCUUUUCCCGACUUCAUAUAAAGAUAUUCCAUAAGGUCUUAUAAUAACUUAUAUUAUAUGAAUUUAAUUAAAAGAUCAUUAAUACUUAAAUAAUAAUAAUUAUAGAAGACAUUGUAAUAAAUUAUUUGAUAUAUAUUAUUAAUGAUACUAUAUAUAUGUGUAUAUAACUACAUGAUGGCUUGGAUAUAUAUUGUUAGUGGUAAUAAAUGUUUUAAAAAAAAUUUAAACUAAUGAUUUCAAGUGAUUCAAUGGUGGAUAAUUUAAAAUCAUAAAAUAUUGUUUUGACUUUCAAUAUCAACCGUUAGACUGUGAGAAAUUAAUUGCUCAAUAUUUUGUGUAAAAGUUUUAAAUUAAAAUAUCCCAAACCAUUUGUUUUACUUAAAAUACAAAAAAUAUAUAAAGAAAUUUUCUCAUUAAUUUUCAUAUUUUAUUAGAGGUAAUAUUUUAUGUAUCGUCACCAUUAAUUGCCAUCAUUAAAGUAGUGACUCUUAGUAAUAUAAAAUUUUAUAAUUAGUUAAUUGGAAUCAAAUGAUAUCAAAUAAAAUAAUAUUUCAUGAUUCAUAAAUUAAAGCUAAUUAAGAAUAUAUGUUAGUUUUAACUUUUAUGAAAUCAACUAAGUGAUAUUAGAAAAUAAAAUGAAAUAAACUAGUGAAACUUAAAUUUUAUAAGGUUUGAAUAAUUUUCUACCAUGUAAGAAUAUUAAUUGUGACAUAAACCAUAGUUUCAUGGUAUAUGUAUGCCAAAUGGGGUAACAAAUAAUAUAUACUUCAGGAUCAUGAUAGUAUAUAAAGUAGUGGAUAUUUUAAUAUCUAACAUAAAAUUCUUUAAGACAUAGGUGGUCAAUUAUAUAUAUUUUAGGAUAUAGACAAUCUCAAUCAAGAGUUUAUUGAUGUGAAUAGAUGGCAUUCACUUAAAUGUAUAUACUUAAUUGUGUUGUUUAUUGGUAUUACAUGUAACAAAAUUUUAUAUUAAAUUUUGAAGUUUUAUAUUGUUGUUUCUAUUGAAUUUAUAAAUACAAUAAAAUUAUACCAACAAUUAGAUUCUCAUAUCCGUUGACGACAAUUUUUUAUACUAUUGGAACUCCAAUCUUUGAAGCUACACAAUAGUUAAAGUACCGACAUCAAUAGAACUUCCGUUCAUUGUAGAUCUAUAGUCAAAGUUUCGAAUCUUAAAAAUUUGACAGCAGAUUUAUGUCAAAUGAAAGCUUGUUACCAGUGAUUCUUAUACAAUUAUGUUGUUAUAGUAAUAAGGAUUCUAAUGGUACUAAAAUGCACUCCAUUAGACAUAAAGAUCCGACGACUAGUGGCGACAAUAACUAUCAUUAGUGACUUGGAGGUAAUUGCCGUUAAUAAAUUAUUUUUAACUUAAUAAUUAAUACAAACAAAUAAAAAAGUAAUUUAAGGAAAAUUAAUGUAAUAAAUAAUUGAAUUAAAAAAAAUAAAACCUAAAUUCUCGACCAUUUAUCCGUAUGUUUCGAAUCCAACGUUCAAAAUUGGAAUAAAACAUAGUAUAGCCAUUGGAAGUAAAACAAACAUUAAAGAGACUAGGAAAAAAUAUCUCAUACCUUCUAUAAUGAUACAUCCUCAAUCACUGCAGAAAGCUCCAAUUAAAAAGUCGCACAAGUUCGGAGAAAAUUACCUAACAACACAAAUAAACAUCAAAUCAAAGCAACAUAGGAUCCAGCUAAUUAACAUCAUAAGUAAGUCCUUGUUCUCAGUCAAAUCUUGCAUUCUUAGGAUAAAAAAAAAAUUGAAAGAAUAACGGUAACUGGAAAGUUUGACGACAUAAAGAUCUAGCUAAAUUUUAAGAAGCAAAAGUAAAUAAUGAAAGCUCAAUAAAAGAUCAUCAGCAUUAACAUACCGAAAUGAGAGCAGCUCACAGAACUGGUAAUUUCCAAGAACAGGAAAAAUAAGUGAGCUGAUAUUGAGGACAACUAAAAUAGUCAUGGAGUAAUUUGCUAUUGAGGACACCUAAAAUAAGAAAAUUAAUUAACAUUGCUCUAUACAGCAUUUCAAUAAUUUGACUAUUAAAAAAAAAAAUUUAUCUAGAUCACGAUUUCUCAAAAUGAUGCUUUUUCUAAUUAAAUAAAUCAAAAUGCCUGCUUCUUUCUUUUUCAGAAAAGAAAAAGUGGCAAUGGCAUCAAUUUUUUGCUAGAUUUUUAUCACCAAAAGCACAAGCAAGGAAUAAGAAUACUCUCUGAAACCAACCAUGUAAAGAGUAGAAGUAAGUGGUCAAUUGUAAAUUAGUCUUUCUUUUUUCUUUGUUAUUUUUUCAUUUUUUGAAUGUGAACUAAAUAAAUUUAAGGGUGAAGCUAUUACACCUUGAAAACUAUAACUGAACACCCAUUUUUUUUUAAUUAAAUUUUUAUUACUAAAAUAACCAUGGAGUAAUUUGCUACUAAGGAAAACUAGAAUAAUAAAAUGAAUAAUGAUUGCUCUAUACACCCUUUUCUAAGUCUAUCGUCUUCUUAAUUUCAUAAUUUGGCUGUCAAAAAAUAAUCUAUCUAGAUCACGAUUUCUCAAAAUGAUGCUUUUUCUAUCUAAAUAAAUGAAAAUGCUUGUUUCUUUCUUUCUCGAAAAGAAAAAGUGGCAAUGGCAUCAAUUUUUGCUUGCAAGCACAGCGAGGAAUCAGUAUACUCUCGGAAACUAACCAUAUUAAGAGUAGAAAUAUUUAUUUGGUUAUCACGAAGUAAGUUAGAAAUCAAUUAUAAAUGGUCUUUUUUUUUUAUUUUUUAAUGUGAACUAUAUAAAUUUAAGGUGAGGUUAUUUACACUUUGAAAAACAUUCUGAAAACCAUUAUUUCAUUAAAUUUUUUAUUAUUAAAGGUCCGUUUGGGGCAGCUACGCUGAAGCAGCGCAGCUGCCCCAAACGCUCUCUAAAAUAGCCAUGGAGUAAUUUCUUACUGAGGAAAACUAGAAUAAUAAAAUCAAUUAUCAUUCUUCCAUGAACCCGUUUCUAGAUGUAUCUUCUUCUUGAUUUGGUAACUUGGCUGUCAAAAAGAAAUCUAUCUAGAUCACGAUUCCUCAAAAUGAUGCUUUUUCGGAUGAAAUAAAUGAAAUUGAACCUACAAUCUGCCACAAACACGUUAUAAUGAGCCUAAUGAAAAGCAGUAUGAGAAAUUUUGCUUCCAUGUUGUUUCUUCCAUAUGUAAAGGUAGUAAAAAGAAAUUUAAGUCCUAGAAUGGAUGAAGAAUUAUCAAUAAUUAAAAUAAAAAUGGAUGAAGAAUUAUCAAUAAUUAAAAAAAAAAAAAAAAACAGAGUUAUAAAAGAAUCACAGUUCCACCAAAAAUUAAGAGUUAUUUUAUUUGGUGGUUUCCUAUCCCGAAAGCAUUACUUGUAAAUAUGUGCUAACAAGUAAUAAUUAAGAAAGUUAAGGCCAAUCAUUUAGCAGGGAGAAAAAUGGAAACAUCCGGAAUAUUGUUAUGUGUUUUCAGUUAUCUACCAAUCAAUAAUGAAAAAUUAAAUACGCAUGUGACGAAAAUUUAAUAAAGAGAACUGGAGGUGACAAAAUUUUUAUUAUUCUAUCUUUCUCUCUGAAACUUCCUUAAUUUGGUUGGGAAGUGCUUUGUCUUAGGCAGUGGAUCUGUUAUAAAUACCCUUUGCUAAAGUUAAUAUUUUGAUUGAAGAAAAAAAUAGAGGAGAAAAAUUUUAUUAAAGUAUAACAUAAUUUGAUAAAUUUAGAAUUGAGGAGAGAAAAUGAGUAUAAAUUCGAAAAUUUUGGCACUAUUUACAUAUCAUUAUUUGGGCAAAAAUUCAUUUCUCUGCUUUCAUAUGAUUUGGUCUUUCAUUGUUACGGUGCCAAUUUUUUAUUUAAAGAUGUAAGAUAGUGGUACUAUAGCUUAGAUUUUCCGUAAGUACAAAAUAAAAUACUAGUUUAAAAUAUAAAAAUGAAAAACUAUUUUUAUAACCAAUAUUCAAUUAAAUACACUUGAAACUCUAUUUUUUCUUAAUAAAAAAAUUCUAAUUUAUUUUCUCAAUUUAUCUAAACAACUUUACCUAAUCAAGCUAAAUCUACAUAUUACCCUAAACCUUAAUUCAUAAACACCCAAUCAAUCCAAUUGUUAAAUCCGAUUUCAUAAUUAAAAAAGCUAAAUUCUAUUUUAUUAUUUAUGGUGCAAAGUAAAAAAUGCCCUUGAAGUUAAGGGUAAAAUUGAUAUUUUAUUUAAAUUUUGUUAAUAUUCUAAUAAUGUUAAUGUCUUAGUGGUUAAUAAAAUCACAAAGUCAAACUUUUGUAGUAUUUUUUAUAAUAAGGUAAAGAUAUAUGUUUGAUAAUUUUCCUACGUCUUUUUACGUUAAAUUGAGUCUCAAGAGAAAAAUGAUUAAUUUGCUACAAUUCUGUCAGUUUUCUGAUGGAAGAUAAUGAUACAAUGAAUAAAUAAUACAUAUUAUUAAAUUAGUGUAGAUGAAUGAUACAACUUGAAAAUAUUGUAGUAUUCUUAAUAGUAGAGAAAUGUAAAGGUGGAUGGUUGAUAAUUUAAUGAAGUAACUACAGAAUUUUCCUUUCAAAUAUUUUUUUAAAAUAUAUGAUGAGUAAAAAUCAUUUUACAGAAUGAUCAUACGCAUUUUGUAUCACAAACGAAAACAUGAACCAACUAUGUAUAGAGUCAAUUAACUAAAGUUCUCAAGAGUUGACCUGUGCUCCUGAAUUCUUGGAAUCAUCAAUCUCCUUCUGAACUUGGACGAAGCUUGGGACAUCAACGAUUACAUUGUUUGCAGAUGGAAAUGGGAUCUGAUAACCCGCAGGCCAAAAGUUGAUGAGGUUUGGUAAAUCUGACAGUAUCAAGUCCCCAAGUUCAUUCAUAACAAUUUCAUUGUACUCCGUGACGUCUGCUCCAUCUUUAUGCCAGAAUACUUCUUCUAAUUCAUCAUUACCUAUUAUCCAUAUGUACUUCAGUUUUUGAAGACUUGGAGCUACGCUGAUAUGAAAUAGAUGCUUUAGUUUGGGGCAAUAACCGACAGAGAUCCUUUUGAGUUUUGGGAAACAUACAGGUUGGAGAUGAUCCUCAUCCUCAUCCUCAUCAAUGAUUUGCUCUAAUUCGAAGCAAUUCCAAACAUAUAACGCCUCCAAUUGCAACAGAUUUCGAGCAAAUGUUGAUGAGAAGAGACGUCUCAGCAUAGUGCACCCGUCCACUGUUAAAUAGGUAAGACUUUGCAGGCUAAAAUUAUGCGUGGGACCUACGUGAUAUAAUACUUGCAGUUCUCGAAGGUUUUCCAACUGCACCUCCUUCAAACAUGGGAAUAGUUUGUUUUCUUGUCCCUCAGCGAUAAUAGCUUCCAAUUGAAAUACCACCUGUACUCCCAGUUGUCUAAUACCCAAUUCUUCCAAAUUUUUUAAGCCGUGCUUCAACACUGCUGGAAUCGUGUCACUCAAAUGGGAACAAUUGUCCACAUAUAGAAUUUUUAAGUUCUGAGACAAAUAAAUAAAUAACUUGAUGCAAUUAAAAUUUAUUAGCAGCUAGGAUUAUCACAUGAUAAGUGAUGAAUACCGCAAAAAACAAAAACAGAAAACAAAAUCCAUACAAAAAUAUCAUAAUACAUAUGUAAACUAAUAAAAUAAUUAAAAAGUAAUGGAUUUAAAAAAAAAUGAAAUUAGUUAAAAGAGAUCAUGUGAAGUGAUAUAAAUGUGACAUUAGAUUGUUUUAGAAAAAUUAUUAUUCUAUUAAUUUAUAUGGCUUGAUCAACUAUUUAAUUGAAUUUGAAUAAUAUUAUAUACACUUCAGAAGUAUUUGCAUCAAUUCUUUCUAAACCAAAAUGAGAUAUGACUUUCAUUUGAAGAAUGAUUUUAGGCCCUAUAAUAAAGAAAUUUCUCCAAAAUAUCUGAGCAUUAUUAUUAUCACCACCACAUCCACCACCAUCAUCAUCUCCAUAGGAUCAAAAAAUUAAUGGCUGAUCAUAAAAUUUAUUGCGAAACUAUCAUUUUGAGUAAAAUUGAAUGAAAAGAAAAAACAUGAACCCAAACAAACAUACCUCUUUGAGAUACUGCAAAUUGGCUUCAAGUUCAUUACUGUUGAUGGUCAAGUUGGGACAGUUAUGAAGGUCUAAAUUUUCCAAUGCUGUCCAAAUUGAACAAUAAUUCUCUGAACAUAACUUGGUGAGUUCUGGGAGAUCUUUAAGUUUUAAUUUUCUCAACAAAGGGAGGGCGAGCAUCGUAUUUCCAUCUCCAACACUUAUUCCCCCUUCAUUGUGAUCAAACUUUGCUUCGACAAUAUAUUCCAGUCUCUCGCAAUAAGUCACAAUGAGACUUUUAAGCUGCUCCAAACUUCUAGCUUGUGACAACGUGAAGAUGUAUGUCAACUUGUUGCACAUAUGCACAUUCAAUUCUGUAAGAGUUUGGAGACUGAUCACAUGUUGGGCGGGCGCCUUCCAUAUCCACUUCAGUUCUGGUAAUUGCAACAUAAAUAACUCUGCUAAUCUUGAGAGACUCUUUCUAUGCGGCGACUUAGAGGCAUCCAUUAUGCAUUCUAAAUCUUCGCAAUCGCGGACAUCAAGACAAGUCAACUCAUUUAAGCCCCUUUCAUCUAUGCUUGGCACAAUAUUGUAACAACCUAUAAUCCCACUUAAAUAAAGAAUUUCCAGUUCUUGAUACAAUGCCGAAAAAAUACCGAGCGAGGUCGCUUCAGGAGGGUAAUUAUUAAUUAUUAAGCUCUUUCUCUGACUAACAUAUUUCAUUUUAUCAACAACUCCUUCAACUUUAUAGAUGAUGUACCUUUGCAAUUUCGGGAAUGUAAAGUCUUUUGGAAGACAUACAACAGAUCCGUCGGCUUGGGAGUUCAACUCAGCAAGCCUAGCAUUACUUUCUUCUGAACUCAUCCCUUCAACCUCCCAAUUUUUUAUCCAACCAUAAAAUUCUUCCAAUUGAGGAAAUUUUUUUAUCGUAAUGGGAGAAACAGAACCGGUAUCAAUAAAUAGAAGUUUCAAUCUACGAAGUUCAUCCGACAAUUCUUCAGGAAUUUCAAUGGGAGAAUCCUCGAGAUAAAGAAGUUCAAGUCUCUUCAACUUUCCAAGAAAAGAUGCGUCACUCACAUCACAUCCAAUCAGCUGCAGAACUCGGAGGCUACUGGCGAGGAAUCGAAGCGAUUUUAGUGAAAGGACUCCAUCUUUUAUAAUAACAACUUUCAAUGCUGGCAUCCCUUCAAAAAAAUGUUCUGGAACUUGCAAUUUGUAGUCACAUAGAGUAUUGUCCAAUCGCAAAAUAUGAAGGUUAGGGCAUACCAAACCACUAGGAAGCUCUUCUUCUUUAUUUCCCAUUACAAAGAUUCCUCUGUAUUGUUCCAAGCCUUCUUCCAUUGCCCAUUCUGCCAAUCCAAUGCCAACUUUACCAAAAAAUUUCUUCUCCACUAGUACUUCUGACCCUAUCCAUAUGGCUACAUCACGAACUAUGUCAUGCAUUUUCACAGAUCUGUCAUUACCAGUGUCUAACAGCAGUGAAGCAGCUUUGAGUCCUUCAAUUGUUCCACGCAGUAGGCUUCUGGCGUGCUCUAUUGAUUCAGCUUGAUACCAGGUCAACCCCACUACAUAUCGAACCAAAACCUCCAAAUUAAUCUCAUAAUCUUCUGGAAACAGCGAACACAACAAGAAGCAUAACUUGGAAUUGUCAUCAUUCAAAUUGUCGUAACUAAAUUUGAGACAACCGUAAACGUCUAGGUUCUCCUCAUCAAUACCUUCUAUUGCAUAGAGUUUUGCAGCCUUUAGGUUAUGUAGAGCCAGGUUCCAUUCAUUAAAUCCUUUUCCUCUUAGUGCACUUCCAACAGCUUCAAUAGCUAAAGGCAGCCCGUUACAUUCUCCAGCAACUUCUUUGGAAACAUCAUUCAAGGUGGAGUCAUUUACAUCAAUGCCGGCAUUUUUUCGCAGUAAAGCCAAUCCUUCUUCUGGCGUUAGUGUACUAAGUGGAAUCUGUGUGUCACAACCCAAAGAAUCACAAACUGACUUUUUGCGAGUGGUUAGAAGGAUUUUGCAACAAUUAUCUCUACCACCGACGGGAAUACCUAAUUUUUUCUCCGAGUCGAGUUGUUUCCAAAUAUCAUCAAGGAUUACGAGGAUUUUGCUGCUUUUACUCUCAGAAAACAUCAAGCGCAAUCGGUCUGCUCUCUCUUUUUCAUCUUUCUCAUUUAGUGCCCAGCCUAACGACUUUGCCAGCUCACCUUGAACCUUUAUUAUAUCUGGAUCCUGAGACACAGUGGCUAUCCCCACCUUAUCGAAAAUCUUUUGUUGCCGAAGUUGAUUGCCCACAGAUUUUGCCAAGGUCGUCUUUCCUACACCGCCGAGACCAUGCAAUCCCACCAUCUUUGUGCUGUCUUUUUUCAGUGCUUCAGUGAUCUGAUUACAAGCCGAUUCUGUAGUCUCGAAAGAAGAAAAAAAUCUUGGAAUAGGCAUUUCUGUGUCUGAUGGUAGAGGUUUAGGAAGGGCAACUGUGCUGAAUUUGCCGCGGUCUUGUAGAUCGAACAACUUGAGAGUCUCCUUUGAUGCUUUUCUACCCAUCCAAUAUCGGAAACCCCAAUUAGGACACCAUCCAUUAAAACAACUCUUCUUUUCAUCUAUCUUUGCUUUCAAAUUUCGGACAUCGGCCAUUUCUUCGACUACAUCCGCCAGCCACUUCUCUACAUCUUUCUCAACUACUACAGCGCAGUGUUUUUGUCGUUCUUCUUCUACUUUUUUGUUGAUGCCAUCUUGUGCCUCCUUCAAAUUAGUUUCUUUAUCCUCAAGUUCUUUAACAAUGCUGUUGAAACAGAACAGAUAGCGAGCUUGUUUUACGGUAGCAUCCACCAAUAAUUCUCCAAGCUUUGAUGCAAUACCUGCUAAAAUUUCCAUGCUAUUUAUCUGCAAUUAACAAAGUUGAUCUCAGUACACUAUAAGCAAAACAACAAGGCUUGAUCACAAGAUCGAACGAUAAUGUUUAAUUACUUUUUUAUUGAAUGUUUAAUUGCUUUCUUUUAUUCUAUGAAUGCACGUUUAUUAACGCCAGCUUUGAUCAAUAAGAGCAAAAUGCAAACGCCAGGCUUUAAGUAGCCUUUAGCUGCAAACAAAAGAGAAGAAAUAAGGCAAACGUGAUAGAUGGUGGAUUAUAUUGAAAUUAGAUUACUUUAGAAAUUUUUAAAUAAAAAUAUCAAACAACAAAUUUAAUAGAAUCUAGAUAAAUCGAAGAGUUUGUUGUGCAUUGCGAGUGAAGACAGGCAGUUACAUGGGGGAAUCUGGUAAGAGUGAUGAAAAUUAAAAAGCCAUCCAUAAUUAAAGUUAAAAAGAGUAUUAGAGAUUAGAGGGGUUCAACAUCUUAUGCAAGCCCACUCAUGAUAAAAUUUGAAGAUAAUUAUCCCAUUUUUACUUCAAUCAAUAUUCUAAUACAAUAAUUCCAUAAAUCUCAAAUAAUAUCUUAAGAUUUUUUUUUCCCCAAACACUCAUCUAUUUGAUGAUUAAUUUAAUUAUUUAUUACUCUAUUUUACUACAUAAUUGAUACAAAUGACACUUUGUUUGGGAUGGUAAAGAUUGGGGUAAAUUUCCUUUUAGUCUCUAAAAUUUGGACCUAUUAUAGCUAUUGAACAUACUUUUCAAACGUAAAAUAGUAUUUUCUGUCUAAUAUAAAUUAAAAAUCAAACAAAUUUAUCAUGCAACAAAUGAAAAGUAAAGAAUAUUAAUUAAGUUUUAAUGGAAACAAAUAUAAAAUAUAGAGGUUUUGAUUAAUUUUUGUGAUUUUUUUAAUGUUUGAGUUAGAAUUGAAUAAUUUGCAUAAUGAAAAUUUGAGGUUGUAUAAUUUAUAUGAAGAUAAACUGCAAAAUAAGUUUACAUGCAGAAUUUAAGAUAGUUAUAUAUUAGUAAUCAUGCAAUUAUCAAAUUUUUUAAUAAAAUUUAUUUAAAAAUUGGCCAAUUGUGUUUCAUGAAGUAAACAGAGAGCAUAAUGGACUUAUGUGGGUACUUGGGAUUGAAAGACUAAGGGUCCGUUUGAGAUUUUUUUAGAAGGUUUAAAAGUGAUUUUGAAAAUUUAAAAGCUAAUUUUAGUGUUUGGUACAAAAAAAAUCAAAAUUACUUUUGUCAAAAUCAGCCCCUCCUAUAGCUGAUUUUGAAAAGUAGGGAAUAAGUAACUUUUAGAUUCUGAUUUCGAGAAUCUAUUUUAUCUUUUAAUACAAUUUCAUAAAUAUCGUUAAAAUUAUUAGAUAAACCCAAAAUUAUCCUUAUUCAAAUUGGAAACAAAAUAAAUAUUUUAAUAAAUUAUUAUUAUUAGUCAUUUAUUUUCUCUCAGCAGUUUAACAGUAAAAUUUACCAAAUGUCUAUAACUGCUUUCAAAACUCACAGUACUUCUCAAAACAAAAUUUACCAAAUACUUAACUUAUUUUCUUUACAGCUGAUUAUUUCUACGGCACAACUAACAACAAUUAUUUUAAAAGUUACAACAUUCCCAAACUGACCCUAAGAGGCCCGAAGAUAGGACGGUAUGAAAGUUAUGAAAGUUAAUUUUACUUGUAAGGUAUGUUCAACAGAAGUGACUUGGAGGUGAUUGCCGUUAAUCAAAUAAAUGAAUGAAAAUUAAUGUAAUAAAAAAAUCGCACUAAAAACUUGGAACUUAAAUUCUCAAUCAUCUUUUCCGUACGUUUUAAUCCAACGGUCAGAAUUGGCAUAAAACAAGCUAGUAUAGCCAUUGGAAUUAAGUAAAACAAACAUCAAACUAAGAGGCAAGAGCCUAUGAAGCAAUAAUAUCUCAUACCUUCUUCCGUUUAUAUCUUCAAUUACUGCUGAAAGCUCUAGCUAGAGAGUCGCACAAGCUCGGAGAAAAUUAAAAGCUGCAUCUAGCAAUAUAAAUAAACAUGAGAUCAAAACAACAUAGGAUAUAUCUAGCUAAUUAACAUCAUAUAUAACUCUUUGUUCUCAGUCAAAUCUUUCAUUCUUAGGAGGAUAAAAUAAAAAAAUUUAAAUUUAAAUAUUUUAUUAAUUUUUAUAAAAUAUUUAAAAAAUAUUUUAUAAAAUCAAUUAAUUCAUGGUAUUAUUAAUUUUCAUGAUUAUUUUUAAUAUUAUAUUUGUGAUUAUCAAAUCUAAUACAAUCAAAUAAUGCAAUAAAUUAUUAAAUGGUUAAUUUUAUUGAUAAAUUAUUAAAUUACAAGUAUUGAAAAUUUAAUCUCAAGAGUUAGUAGAAGUAAAAGUACAAAUUUAAUUAGAUCAUAGAUAAUACAUAAAAAAUAAAUUUUAAGUAAAUCAUAAUAAAAAAAUAAUUAUUCAAUCCAUUAAUAUUAGGUGUAAAUAAAAAAAAUGACAUAAACAAAAGUGUCAUAAAUCGACAACUUUUUUCUUUAAUCUUAUCCCAACUAAACCCAUGUGUAAAUUAGGAUUAUUGAUCUCAUGAUUUUAAGAUUAAACUCAAAUUUAGUCCCCCUUAAUCCAAUUAAACUAAACUUGCCAAACAUGGGAUAAAUAUUUAAUUCCAAAAUUAGUCCAAUCCCAUGCUUAGGGCCAGUCUAGGAAUGUUGUACUUUUUAAAAUAAUUGUUAUUAGUUGUGUUGUAGAAAUAAUCAACUGUGAAGAGAAUCAGAUAAGUGUUUGGUAAAUUUUAGUUUUAGAAGUACGAUGAGUUUUGAAAUCAGUUAUGAGCAUUUGGUAAAUUUUAUUUUUAAACUACUGAGAGAAAUCAAAUGACUAAAAUGUACAUUAUAUAGGAUAAAAUUUACUUAUACAUAUAAAACUAUGUAUAUAUAAUAUUUUUAAUUGUGUACUUUAAUAAUUUUUACUAAAAAUAAAAUUUAUAAUAUAUUUAUUUUAUUUCUUUAUUUCUUUAUCUUAAAACAAUUGAUAAUUAAAUUUAUAAUAUGGUGAAACAAAUUUAAUAAUAAUUCGACCAACAAAUUGAUAUUAAUAAAUUUAUAUUGAUAAAUUAUAAUAAAAUAUUAUUAAAAUAUUGAUUUUGUUUACAAUUUGAAUAAGGAUAAUUUUGGGUUUAGAUAAUAAUUUUAAGGAUAUUUAUAGAAUUGUAUUAAAGGAUAAAAUUGAUUUUCAAAAUCAAAAUUUAAAAAUUACUCGUUUUCUAUUUUUCAAAAUCAGUUGUGUGAUGAAUUAAUUUUGACAAAAGUAAUUUCAAUUUUUUCCACCAAACAAUAAAAUUAACUUUUAAAUUUUCAAAACCACUUUUAAACCUCUCAAAAAGCAAUUCCAAAUGGGCGCUUAAUCCAAUCAUCCAAAAUCGGGCUAAAAAGUUGCACUAAAAACAAGCUCGUAUAGCCAUUGGGAGUAAAACAAACAUCAAAUUAAGAGCCUAUGAAACAAUAAUAUCUCAUACCUUCUUUCUCAUAGAUCCUCAAUUACCCCUGAAAGCUCCGGUUAGAGAGUCGCACAAGCUCGGAGAAAAUUAAAAGCUGCAUCCAGCAAUAUAAAUAAACAUCAGAUCAAAACAACAAAGCAUAUAUCUAGCUAACUAAACAUCAUCUAUAACUCCUCGUUCUCAGUCAAAUCUUUCAUUCUUAGGAGAUAAAAAAAAGAUUGAAAUAAUAACUGUAACUGAUAUAGGAAGCAAAAGUAACAUACCAAAACGAGAGCGGCUAGCUCACAGAUCUGGUGACUUCCAAGAGCAUGAAAAAUGAUUGAGGUUUAAUAGCAAGUUCACAGAUGACAGAUGUGGUGACUUCAAGAGCAUGAAAAAUGAUAAAACUUUGGUAGAAAGGUCAGAGCCGCGUUUCACAAGUUGCUAUUGACUUCGUGGCUUCGCUUUUAUUUAUUAUUAUUAUUUUUUUAAAUUCUAUAUCAGUGAGAAUUGAAAUGUGGAAAGUGUAAUGAUACACAUGCCUUAUCAUCUAUCGUGAGGGGUGAUUUGGUAAAACCGAUUUAAAAUAAAAAAGUUUUAAAAAAUUUAAAAAGAUGCUUUGUGUCUGACUGCUUGUAUUUGGGGUAUUUUUCGGGUUGUUGAGAGUGAGUUUAAUUAAAUAUAAGAUUUUCAUUUUUCUUAUUCUAUUUUUCUCUUUAGAAUGAAUUUAAAUCUCAUUCUUAUUAAAUUCAUUUUUUUAAAUGAAAGUAGAUUUCUCUCCACACAUUUGAGAUAUAUUUUAAAAUUAAUGUUCAGUAUAUCUCUAAAUUAUAUUAUAAAUAUUUUUAUUUAAAAUCUCAACAAAUUUCAUAACACACAAAGAGAAAUACAUAUAUAUGUUGUAAUGUUUUAAUGAUGGAUCUCCAAAGUUAUCAAGUUAAAAAAUAAAUUAAAAAAAUAAAAAAUACACACUUCAACUUAUUAUAUGAUAAAAUAUAAUAAAUUAAAGUGAGUAUUAUAUUUAUUUUUUAUUUUAUCUCUUAACUUAAUAACCUAAAAUAUAUUUAUUUAAUAAUGAUUAUAUAUAUAUAUAUAUAUAUAAUUUUUUAAAAAAUAAACAAUUUAAGUGAAGCAAAGGACAUUUUAGAGGCAUUGCGAGACUACCAAUUUACCAUUUUGGGUUGCAAUAAAGUGAAAACUGUAGACUACCAAUCAACCAUUUUAUUGAAUCGGGUCCCGCUGACUUACAGCUUAUGUAAAGUUACAUUCAUAACAAAUUGAUACUUGUCUUUAUUAUAAAUUAUUCUUUUAUUCAAAUAUACGUUCAUUUCUUCAAUCAAGUCCUCAUAUUCGUUCAAUUUAUGAUAAGAUCCUUGUAUGGGAGCAUAUCUGCAUAUGUAAUAAUUAUUCUUCUAUUUCAGAUAGUUUUUGUGAAAAAAUACUUUUAUCAAUUAUUUAUGUUUACUAAUUCUUAUGUCUUUUUUUUAUUACUUUUCAUAGCUCUAUAUAAAUGUUUGCUAUAGAAUUUGUGUUAUUUCGCUAUAAUAUAAUUUAUAUUGUAAACCUCUGUUCAUCUGUAAAUAAAAUGACAAUUUUUUUGUUUACUCCUAAAAAAUAUGAAAAUAUUAAUUUACUCUCAUAUUUAUUUAGAAGACAAUGGCAAAUAAGGUCGCAUUGAUAAUUUUUUUUAUUUACUUAUUAAUUAAUUAGAGUAAAUUAAUAUUUUCAUAAUGAGAGAUACAUUGAAGAUUGUCAUUCUUAGUAGAGGGUAAAUUAAAGUUUAUCUAAUUAAUUUAAAAUAUCAUUAAAAUUUAACAUUCUAAUCUGGAUUAAAUUUCUGGGGGGGGGGGGGGGAGAACGUCCUUAUUCGGAUUAGACUCAGCUGGAAGAGGCACAUCCUUAGCUGGAUCAAUUUGUUCAAGAUUGGAUGCAUCCAUCGGUUUCAAAUUUGUCUCUUGUAAGUAUCAUCGGAUUUCUUUACUAAAAUUUAGAUUAUCAAUCACAUCUAAAACUUAUUGAAUGAUACAUUUCAUUUCUAUAAAAUUGAGUUACUAUUACCACCUCACAUCUUAUAAAUUCUAGAAAAUAAUCAAGGCUUGACAUACUUUUAUUUAUGCAAAAGCAUAAGAAAAUAAUUCAAAGUACUAAUUAGUGCACUAUUACUCAAAAUUCUAGAAUAGAUUUGCUAGUUCUCUUUAGCCAUAGAUUGGUCCAUGAUUGGCACCGCAAUAGCUCAGAAUCACCUCAACGAUUGUUCCACACAGCCCAACAUGACACACUGUAAACUAGUCUAACAUGAACUUUCUGAGUGGCUUUCUAACAAUAGUCUUAGAGAAAGUGUUUAGUAGUAUGAAGUCUUCUUUUUUUAACAUAAAUGUUGGCAUGAUAUUCUUAAUAUAUUUCUAAAAUCAAAAUAAGAUGCAUAGAGGACUAUGAUAAUUUUAUUUCAUAAUUGAAUUUUUUGCAAAGAAAGUUUGAACAUGAGAGUGAUGAGAGAUGAUAAUAUUGAUGAUGGUGUGUACUUUAGAUGGAAAAAUAGAUUGGAAAUAUAUAUAGACAUAUUAAAAGAAAAAAAAUUGGUCUAUUUCAUAAGAGAAACAAAAAAUUAUAAACGCGGGUGUUAAAAUAUAUUCAGAAUUUAUAAAUUUUUAUAAAUAUGAUAAUCAUUAGACCCUUAUAAAAGUAUAGCAAAAAGUUUAAUUUUUUUUAAUAAAUGUCGAAGAGAUGGACGAAGAAACCAUCCACCAGUUCAGAAUUAAUAAUCAAAGAUAUGAGGGCUUGAUUGAAGAAAUGGUGAAAAAUAAAAGGACAGUAGGACACUGGGUUGGUUAGCGGGACCCUAAUAUUAAUGGUUAAAAAUAAAAGAACACUGGGUUGGUUAGCGGGACCCUAAUAUUAAUGGUUAAAAAUAAAAGGACACUAGGUUGCUAUCAAUUUCUACCGUGUAGGUUCAUAGCCGGGGAAGUAAUUGGGCACAAAUAUCUCGGAUGAGAAAUAACCAUUUUAUCCCGCAACCAUAUGUUUAUGGCCUCUAAAAAUUUUCACCUCUUUCACUUCUGGAACCCGUGCUUUCUGGCACAUGCACAAUACUUGGUUGCUACUUAUAGAGCGUUUUUAGAAUUGCAACGACAUGGUGCUCUUUGAUAAUUAAAAAAUCCAAUAUAAUUUAUAGAGAAUUACAGAAUUGUUUGGUACGUGAUAAUUUGCUGAUGCAAUGAGGCGCCGAAAUUCUUAUACAUGUGAUUUAAGUUAUAUAUGUAUAGUUAAGUACUUAGCAAGCACUAGUUGGGGGUAUUUGUGUCCAUGGAAAUCUACAGCUGGUUGUUGACAUUACACUGCGGGUGUGUAAUUAUUACAUAUGCAGAUAUUCUCCCAUGCGAGGAUCUUAUCAUAAAUUUAAAGGAUACGAGGACUUGAUUGAAGAAAUGAACGAAUAUUUGAAUAUAAAAAAAAGGGUAAUUUUUAAAAACCUCUCCUGAGGUUUGGGCUUGUUGCAAGUAGAUGGCGAGAAUUUACUUAUUUGUAAAAAAUUCCCUACCAUCAGUUAACUUUAAUAUUGACCGUUAGUUGACUGUACAAAGACAAUAUUACCCUUAACAACAGUUUGUAGAUUGAAAUAACAAAAAAAAAAAUUAAAAUUGUUGGCUAUUUUACCCUCUUUAAAUUAUUGAUAUUUUCUUAAAGUUCCUACAAGAAAGAUAAAAUUAAAAAAUUAAAAAAUCUUCUUUAAAUUAUUGAUAUUUUCUUAAAGUUCCUGCAAAAAAGAUAAAAUUAAAAAUUUGAAAAUGAAAUAGUUAUAAUAUUUACCUAUGAUAUUGUAAAUCUUUGGAAUUGACAAGGAUAAAAUUGUCAAAAAAUAGGGUUUGUGCUUUUCGCGCCAACAAUUUUAAUUUUUUUUUUAGUUAUUUCCGUGUAUAAACUGUUGUUAAGGGUAAUAUUGUCUUUGCACAGUCAACUAACGGUCAAUGUUAAAGUUAACUGACGGUAGGGGGUUUUUUACAAAUAAAUAAAUUCUCGCCAUCUACUUGUAACAAGCCCAAAUCUCAGGGAGGUUUUUAAAAAUUACCCAAAAAAAAAUUUAGAAUAAAGACAAGUAUUAAUAUACUAUGAAUGCAACUUACAUAAGCUGUAAGUUAGCGGGACACUAUUGAAUCACAAGCAAAAAGCAAUCUGACUUCUUCUUGAUUCCGUAAUUUGGCUGUCAAAAUGUAAUCUAUAAAAAUUACGAUACCUCGAUUCAAAAAAAUGUUGUUUCUGAUGAAAUAAAUGAAAAUUGAACGUACAAUCUGCCACGAACACUGUUUAAUUAACCGUUUAUUUCCCCUUAAAUUUUUAAUCUCAAUGAAACAUAGAUCUAAUGGGAACUACAUAUAUAUAAAAAUACUAUAGAUUGAAGAAGUUGAAUUUUUCUUGUGUGUUAAGUAUUUUUAGUUAAUACGAAAGGAUUCUAGCAAGUUAAUACAAAAGUAUCAUAAAUUCAUAGUAGUAAAAGAGAUUUUUUUUUUCUUUUGAUAUUAAGAGUUUUCGAGAUAAAAAAAAAAAAAAUAGGUGAAAGAAGAAGAUGAGAGAAGAAAAAAUAUUAAGAAUAGUUUUGACAUUUUGAUGCGUUUUAUAGAAUAAAAUCUAUAUUUUAUAGUAUAAAAUGGUACACCCAAAAUUUAAUGAUAAAAUUUUAGGAAAAAAUUGCACUCGUCAAAAAAAAAAAAAGCUCAGCUUAGCCCAAAAUUUUUUUAUUAAUCUUCUAGUCGCUAAUGUAAUCUCUUUUUUAUGAGAUUCUUUGGCGUUUUAAUUUAGUCCAUUGUUAGCAAUCCUAAUAGCUUUUAUGUGCAUCUAUUUUUAUUUGAAAUAUGUUUCAAGCUUUAUAUAAAAAAAAAUAUAUAUAUGUUUCAAGCUUGAAUAAAAUCUGCGAGACAACUGGUAAGUAAUAAAGCUCAUCAUUUUUUAUUUUGAAAAUAAAGGGAAUCACUUACACUUAGCAUGAUAUUAUUUUUGAUAAGUCAUUUUUUUGGUAGAUUAUUUUUUCUGACACGCUCUUAGAUUUAGUGAAAAUAAAUUGUAUACUUUUAAUGAAGAAAAGUAAAGAUCAACAAAAUAUUUUGUUGUUUUCGACAAUUUUUGCGUUGUCAAGUGUGCCUAGUACCCUUUUUUUUUUGAACUUUUGAGUUGUUGUUUAAUUUGUAUUAUAAUUAAUUAUCAUGGACCCACGCGCCAUUGUUUCCAUUUCAAGUUUCAUAAUUUAACCGUAGAAAUGGGUUCCACAGAUAAUUUAUUUUAUAAUUUUUUUAAAAAUUACUAAAAUAUAAUAAAUAAGGUAAUAAUAAUUAAUAAAAAAGUAGAUUUUAAGAUGGAAAAAUCUUUUCGUGUACUUAAUAAAAAGAUGAUAAGAAUGGGAUGCUUUUGGUUUACAUUCUCAUAGCUAUUUAUACUGAAAAAUUACAUCAAAAUUUAAUUAAUAAAUCAGUGAACUGCAGACUUAUUAAAUUUAAGCUAUUUUAAUAAGUCAUAAAUAUACUAAGUUAAAAUAGUAGUAAACCCAUUGUUACAGAAUACUCUCCAUUGAGUGUUCACCAUUUUAAGAUAAUCAUAAAAUGACACCGGAAGUGCUAUUAUAGCUGUCUCAUGGAAAGCCUUCACCAAUAAAAAGGAGGAUAGAGCACAUACAUCCAGUUUUUAUACCCUUUGAUGCUCAGUCGACACGUGCCAAUGCUAUAGACUAGCUGAUAAUCUACUAAGGUGACGCAUGCCAAUGCUAUAGACUAGCUUUUCAAAGGUUGAAGUGGGUGUACAUUUAGUAAAAAGACCUGCACAAUUAUAGUGUACCUAUUUGACAUCAACUUUUUUUAUCUGCUGGAGCUUAUGAUUAUAGAAGAUCUUCGGUAAGAUGUGUUUGAUUUUAUCUUCUUUUAUAUAUCCUCCUCUAACUUGUGUAACAGUAGUAAACCCCUGCCCGUUUUUAUUUCGUUUAGUAUUUUCCAAAUGGCCGAAGGAAAAUUGGUAAAAACUCAUUUAAAAAUUAAAAAAAAAAUCAAAGAAAUUCAAGAAGAAGCUUUUGUAUCUGCCAUUUGUAUUUGGGGUAUUUUUUUGGUUGUUAAGUGAAUGAGCUUAAAUCUAAAACAUUUAUUUAUAUAUUUCUUGUUGGAAAGAAUUAUAAAUCUUAUUCUUAUUAGACUUAUUCUCUUUAAAUAAAGGUAGAUUUUUCUCUAUGUGUUUAACGUGUAUUUUAAAAUUAAUGUUCAACAUAUCUUUAGAUUCUAUUAUAAAUAUUCAUAUCUAAAAUCUCAACAUAUUUCAUAAUAUAUAAAUAUAUAUAAAGAGAGAAUAACGUUUCUAAUAAGAAAUUUAUUAAGUAAAAGAAUAAUUCAAAAGAUAAAAUAACACACUCUAAUAUAUUAUAUAAUAAAAUAUAUUGUAUUAAAAUACAUAUUUUGUUUACUUUUUUUAAUAUAUCUCUUAAUAACUUAAGAAAUCCUUUAUUUAACUAUAUAUAUAUAUAGAGAGAGAGAGAGAGAAAUGUUUGCGGGAAAUAGUUUUAAAGGUUUAAACUGUAAGCUUUGAAAGCUGUGAAGUUUUAAAAAUUUUUCGAAUUUUCCCGCACUUUAAAAUUACUGACCGGAAAACUAUUAUAUAUAUAUAUAGUUUUUUUAAAAAUAGACAAUUUAUGAGUUAAACAACGGACAUUUUUGUCGGCCAAUACAUCAACUUUUUAGCUGGAUUAUUACCACCAUCAAAACUAAAUUAUUGCAAGCACUAGCAAAAAGCAAUCAAUGAUUUCGCAAUUUGGCUGUCAAAAAGCAAACUAGAUCACGAUUCCUCAACUAAAAAUGGUGCUUUUUUUUAUUAAAUAAGUGAAAAUUAAACCAACAAUUCAAAAUAUAGGAUUGUAGAUGCGUAUAAACUGAAGAAUAAACUGAAGAAGGUAAAAUUUUUCGCGUGUGUAAAUAUUUUAGUUAACAUGAAAGAAUUCUAACAAAGUUAAUAUAAGAGUAUCAUAGCAGUACAAGAGUAAAUAUAUAUAUGUGUGUGUGAGUGAAGGAAGAAAAAAAAAUUAAGAAUAAUUUUGGCAUUUUGAUGGGUUUUAUAGAGUAAAAUCUAUAUGUUCAAAUAUGAUAAUUCUUUAAUUUAAUUUGGUGUUAUGAAAUAAAGGGCAUUUUAAAUAUGUUUUAAGUUAUAAAUAACUCCAUCCAAAAUUUAAAAAUGAAAUCUUAGGGGGUAAACAAUUUCACCCGAACUAACAAAAGCCCUAGCCCGGAGGCCCAGAGUAGCCGCGGCUUUUUUCACCAAUCUAAUUAUUUACGAGGAAUAUGAGACUGAGAUUCUCUACCACUCCAAUUUAUCGCAUUGUUAGCAAUCCUAAUAGCUGUUAUAUAUCCUAUUUUUAUUAAAAAAUGUGGAUCCGGAUAUAGAAAUUUGGGAUCCGCACAAAUCUAGAUGCAAGUGCAUUCGGAAAACCAGAUAUCGAGAUCCGGAUAAAUUUUAUUUUAAAUUAAAAAUUAAAUGAAAAAUUAAGAAAGUAAAUUUUAUUUAUGGAUUAAUGAUGUCGUUGUAUAUUAUUCAUGUUGAAUUAUCAAUUGUUGGAUUAUGAUUGAAUUUUAUUUGAUAUUAUUGGGCAAAUUAUUGAAUUUUAUUUUAAAUUAAAUAAAAAUAAAAAAUUAAAUUUUAUUUGUAGAUUUAUGAGAUUAUUGUAUGUUAUUCAUUUUGGAUUGUUAAUUGUUGAAUUAUGAUUAAAUUUUAUUUGAUAUUAUUAGGUAAAUUAUUAAACUUUUAAAUUAUAUAUUAAAUUAUUUAAUUUUAAUUUUUGCGGAUCUGAAUAUUCAGAAUAUCCGCCUGCAUCGGUUACGGAUAAUACCCGCUUCUGGAUCCACAUCUUUUUCUACGAAUCCAAAUAUAGAAAUAUGAAUGCGGAUCUAAAUUCGGAUUUUGCUGACCCUAAACUUAAGAAUGAAUGUGCCUAAAGUUUUUACAACGAACAUGGAUCAUUCAAUGACAUGACAUGUUUUGCAGCUUUCAUUAGUAUAAUUGAAUAAUUAAUUCAUCUCUAUAUUCAGCUUACACCGUCUCAAAUUACAUGCAAAUACGAAAGUACACUUCUGAAUCGUUCACUUGAGGAAAAUUAAUUUUAACUCAAUAAGUCGUAAUUCUCCACGUAGAAUUUUAAUUCAAACCAUAGCAAAUUAGACAUAAUUCUAAUUUAUAUGGGAAAUAUAAUUAGCGAAGACACUCUUUAUAUAAACAUUAUUGUCAUAGGAUGCCAAACCUAAUAAGAUUCAAGGUCUUAACAUACUUCAUAUGAAAUUUGAUCUUGGCGCGUACCGACACGCAUAACAUCAAGACUCUACUUCAUAUAUUAUAAUGUAACUUCAUGGAUUUUUCGCUCUCUUGUGAAAUUGACAAUUAUAGGCGCUGUGUGGCAGUGGUACAUAAUAAAAUAAACGUUUAUUUUUAGAAUAUUAUUAUUUAUCUCAAUUUUUUAUUUAAUAGUUAAUUUUAAUCAAUUCUUAAACUGUCAUAAUCAAUUAAUUUUUUACAUUAUGGCAUCUUAAAUAAAUUUUGGAUCUGUAAUAAAUAAAAACUGGUAACGUUUGUUCUUUUAAAGCAUAAAACAACCGUAACAUUGGUUUUUACAUUUUGAAUUUUUCUUGCAUCACUAUUUAGAAAAAUGAUGUUAAAUCAACUCACAAAAUAUAUCAAGCCAUCUAAAAUCCAAAUAUUAUUACAUUUGUAUUUGCAUUGUUAAAUUGUUGGAACGACGGCAAAGCAAUUGAAAAGAUAUUAACAAAAAAUAAAGAUUGGCCAAGGAUUAUUUAUGUUUAGGAAAUGCCUUAACUUUUGAUAUAAUCAUUGUGAUAAUUAUAUUGUAGAAAUAAUCAAUUACCUAAUGUUUGUGGUGGUAAAAAUUAUUAACUUGUUUUAGUAUACCCGUGUUUAUGGUGGUCUCCUUUUUGUCCAAUUCUGUACAACAAAAUAUUUGCAUGUUUUGAUAGAAAUUGGUUUAAAUGACAUUUGAAAUAGUAUAUCCCCAAACAAUUAACGAAAUAUUUGGAUGGUAGGAUGAAGUAAUAUAGUUUUACAAAUUACCAUAUUAGAGGUUAAAAAAAAUCAAGAGGUUACUAACUACAAAUUUUAACACAAAAAGUUUAAUUAACUUUUCUUUUUGAGAUAACAAAAUCUCUGGUGUUGAAAACAAUGAGGUUUGAGGUUCAAGCUUGAAUAUCAAGUUACAAUUAGUAGAUGGUCUUAGGACAAAUCAAAGAUUUCUUUAAAGACAAAAUAAUAAUUACAAGCAAUAGGAAUUUAUGGUAUUCAGAACAUGUAACCUUCGCACAUGAAGCUUGAAUCCAGAACAAGAUGCAGCUAGCCAAUCCUUCCAACUUCCAAAACCCCACAAAAUCUCUGUCAACAUGUCUGCUCUACUUCAAUAUUAAGCACAUUCAUAGCGGUAUCAACAGCUUACAGCUCCAAAAUAUUUUCCCCAAAAAGAGUGAGAGAUUUCACUGAAGCUAAGUUGUGACUUGUGACUUGUGAGGCCAUCUUUUUUUAUAGUAAGCGUACGCCUCUAAUGCUUUGCCAAGUGUCCAUUGAUAAUAUCACAAGGGCAAUUAAAUUGGUGUAUGUGUAUUACACCUCCUAAAGUCAUGUUAAGAUAGUUAGUGAGCCGAUAAAGUUUGUUGCACGUGUGAGUUGGUUAAGUCUGCUAGAAUUGCAAACAUGUAAAGCUGAGUCAGCAAGUUAGUUAAGGUUAUUAUGAAUGCUUAGAUUCAGCAAGUUAGUUAAGGUUAUUAUGAAUGCUUAGAUUCAGCAAGUUAGUUAAGGUUAUUAUGAAUGCUUAGAUUCAGCAAGUUAUGGUGUUGAAAAUGCUGUUGGUGAAAGCUCAGCUGAUAGAUCUCAGGAGAAUCCAGCCUUUGUUGCUUGGAAAAGGUAGGAUCAAUUGUUAUUAAGUUGGCUCAUGUCCUCCAUCAGUGUUGAGAUACUUAGUCUUGUGGUAAAUUCUGAUUCUUCUCAUAAACUUUGGACUAAUCUUGAAGAAAAUUUUUGGAUUAGAAACUAUGGCUAAGAAAGCACACGUAAAAAUGAUGUUAAGCAAUCUCAGAAAGGGAUCAAUGACAAUAACUGAGUAUUUUGCCAAACUUAGAGCUGUAACUAAUAAACUUGCUCUAACUGGUAGCCCUGUUUCUACUCUAGACUUUAUUACUCAUCUAAUCUCUAGAUUAGGCCAGCCAUACUACCCUGUUGUUUUGUAUAUUGAAGCUAAUAUGAUGAAAAUAUUUGUCAAUGAAGCCUACUCUAUGCUUUUAACUCAUGAAGCAAGAAUUAAAUUUAAUCAUCCGAGUGCAAAUAAAGAAGCAAAGUUGAAUUAUGCUGCUAACAUAGCUUAGGCUGGACCUAGUAAUAACAAUAAGAAGUCUAGUAAUCAAGCUAAUUACUAUCAGGGCAACCAAGGUAACGGGAAUAGAAAUGCUCAUUGGUGUGGUAACAAUGGAGGAAGAGGUGGCUUUGGCAGAGGUUUUUCAGGGCAAGGAAGGAGUAAUUAGAAUAAUGGUGGUCAUUGGAACAAUGGACCUUGGAGUAGUAGUCGAGCAUGUUAUAAUUGUUCUGAUAUAAACAUUAUGACAUGGUUGCUGGUGAACCUGUAAACAUAACCACAAAAGUAAGAAGGCAUAAUCUUUUUAUAAGAAACUCAAAAAUGUAUUAAUGAUGAAAAUUUUAAAACAGAUAAUGGACCAGCUGUUCAUUAAGAAAACAAAAAACUGAAUAUUUGUGCUAUAAAAAGGCACACCUAAUCUCACCCCUAUAAAAGGCUAGAAUCAGCUACAAAUCCCUAUCUCAAAACCCCAUCCUAGUUUAGAUGAAUGAAGAAAAAAGAUGAAUCUUGAAACUCCUUAGAAACUGAAGCCCAAAGUGAAGCAAGAAGAUGAACUCUAUCCCAAGCAAGCAAUAUGGCAUAUUUCUCCAUUAAUGGUUCAAAUAAAGUGAAUGGCUUUCUCUGAUGAAUGGGAAAUUGUCAAGAUCAAUAGUCAAACUCACGCAAAGUAAACGGACUUAAUUCUCAGUGGCUACUCAUUCUAAGUCUUAAAGAAAAAUUUUCUAAUUUCUAAAGAUUAUAUGGGGAAAAAUCAUUAUUUUCUAACAUGUAAAAUUUGAUACGGUGUUUAAUGUCUUAUCACAAUCAUAAUAUGAGUACUAACAAAAACAUCUUUAAUCGGCAUGGUGCGAGUAAAACACCAUCACUUCAUCUUUGAUGGAAAGAUGAUAAUAUAAGGAAAUGGUGAAAUGGUUUUGGUCCCUGGCAGCUUGUAAUCAAAAGAAAACAAAAAACUACACUAUUAUUAAUGAUUACCGAAGCUACAGAAGUAUCAAAAUCGGAAAGCAAACAAUUGCAAAACACAUCAAUGACUGAAGGUUAGGUUCUAAAACUUCCGUAUUUAAUUUUCAGAGCAUGUUAUGUAUUAUUCAGAAAUAUGCUUUCACUUCAGGCACUUGACCAACACGCAUUAAACAUAAAACGCGGCGUUUUCAUGGACUAGUACAUUCCAUGCUUCGAAAGUUUAUAUUUUAGACUAAUUGGUUUGAUACAUUAUUUGUUUAUUGCGUUUUUCUUGCUUUAAAUAUUAUGUUGGAUUGAUAAGUUUUGUACACAUUUAUAUUGCUCGCAGUAAAUAAUUUAUGACAUUUAAAAAACUAUCAACCGUCUAUCAAAAGAUUUCUACUAUAAAUAUAUAUACACAAAAAACUUUUAAUUUGGUCAAUUUUUUCUCUUAUUUAUUUUUGUUCUAUUUCUCUUUUCCUUCCCUUUCAUUUUAUUGUUUUAUGGUACAAAAUAAAAAAAAUAACCUUAAAAUUUAAGGGUAAACUACUCAUUUUACUAAAAUUCCGUUUAAUAUUAUAAAACUGUCAAAUGUCAAUGGCAUAGUACACGAGUGAUACAAAUUAAAAACAAUAAAUUGAAAGUUUUUAUGCAUUUUCGUUUUAUUUUUUUUAUAGCCGAUACAAAUUAAAAACAAUAGGUUUAGACCGUUUAACAAAUCUUAAAUUAAAAAAACCCGUGGUGUAAUAACAAACUCACAUCAAACCCUGUCCACCGUCAUCCCUAAUUAUAUUUACCACUUCAUACUCACAGUGAUAAUUAUAUUACCGUUAAGAAUGAAGCAGAAGAGUUUCCCCAAACAAGCUAAAACACCGCACUUCAAUUUAAAGAAUUUUUAUAUCACAGUACCGGGACAAAAAGUUUAAUGCAACAACAUACAUUAAGUUAAUUCCAUAAUCUAUCCCCAAAGAAAGACAAACACAAGCUUAUAAGAUUAAAACUUUGGAAAACAUUAAAGAGUCAGACAAAAUUGUGUAAUCUUCAGAGUUUGGAGCCUAGUUCAUCCAGGAAAGCAAAAGAAAUAAUAAUAAUAAUAAUAAUAGUGGUGGUUUGAUCUCAAAAGGUGGCAUCAAAGCAAUAACGUCUUCAACUUCCAUUCAACCCAUCAUCCACAAAAUCACCAACCCGUUUCACCUUCAUCUCCUUGGGCUUAACAGGGUACUUUCCAGAGAAGCAAGCAAAACAAAAAUUCUGAGAAUCAUUGCCUAACAACUUGUUCAAGCUGUCAAUCGGCAGAAAAGCAAGCGAAUCACACCCAAUAAACUCCCUGAUUUCCUCAACGCUCAUCCUGUUGGAAAUCAACUCCUCAGUACUUGGAGUGUCUACUCCGUAGUAACAAGAAGCUAUGAUUGGUGGGCUUGCAAUUCUCAUGUGAACCUCUUUAACUCCAGCCUCCUUAAGCAACCUAACAAUUUUUGAUGAAGUUGUUUCUCACACUAUCGAAUCAUCCACAACCACAACUCUCUUUCCCACCAACCACAACCUUACAGGAGAGAGCUUAAGCUUGACACCAAAGUCCCUAAUUUUCUGGGAAGGCUCAAUGAAAGUUCUCCCAACAUAAUGUGGCCUUAUCAACCCUUGUUGAAAUGGCACCCCGGCUUUUGCAGCGUACUCAAGUGCAGCCACCACUCCAGAAUCUGGUACUGCAAUCACGACAUCACACUCAACAGGAGCCUCGGUAGCAAGUACUUCCCCAAAAUGAUACCUCGACUCAUAAACAGACCUUCCAAAAACAACAGAAUUAGGCAAAGCAAAAUAAAUAUGCUCAAAGAUGCACUGCUUAGGUUCAGGGUGAGGCAUCAAACAAGGUGAUUGAACCCCAUCUUUAUCCACCAUCAAAACUUCACCGGGAUAUACCUCUCUCUCUCUCUCUCUCUCUCGCGUAUGUGGCCUCAAUCAAAUAGUGCAGUGCACAAGUCUCUGACGCAAAAACCAGAGCACCAUUACUCCUCCUACCCAUCACCAACGGCAUAAACCCAUACGGGCCACGAACCGCAACAAGCUUAUCCUCAGUAACAAACACCAUUGAAUAAGCACCCUCAAGCUUCUCACAAACAUCCACAAUCCUCAAAAAGAACGGCCUAGCUUUCGAUAUCGGAAUCAAAUGGAGAACAACCACAGUAUCAGAACUAGUAUUACAAAAUGGAUCCAUUAUCUUCAAGCUUAGCCCUCAAAGUAUUAUAAUUAACUAAUGUGCAACACCAACAGAACCAAACCUGUACCCAGCAACAAAAGGCUGCACAUUCUUAAGCAUAGAACUACCCGCAGUCGAAUAUCUAACAUGACCAAUGGCCAUAUCACCCGGCAAUUGAUCAAGUUUAGACUGAUUAAACACAUCAGAGACUAAACCAACACCAGUAAUAGACUGAAGAACUUUGUUAUUCACAGCAACUAUACCUACAUCUUCUUGGCCGCGAUGCUGCAUCGCGUGUAGCGCCAAAUAGCACAAACGCGAGGCCUCUGGGUCACCAUAGAUGCCCACAACACCACACUCCUCACGGGCUUAUCGUCGUCAUCAUCAUCAAAACUGCCAAAACCGUCAUCUGGGUAUUCUUUAUUUGUGGUGAAAAACUCAGAGAUGGGGUUUUUUGAUAGAACAGUGAAGUUUUUUUUGUGGGUUAAAGAUUGUUGUUUCCGAGGAAAAAAAGGGUUUUUUUGCAGGGUUUUGGAGAAAAGAAAAAGAUGGGUUUUUUUGCGACGGCUUAGGGUUAGCAGAGGGAGAUGGGUUUGAGAGAGGGCAGAUAUUGGCGGUGCCUGUUGUGGUGGCUGCCAUUAAUGGCUGAAUUUAUUUUGUUUUAUUUUAUUUUUUUGGGUUGACUUGCUCAAAGAAAAAAGAGAGGAGGUGUGGAGGGAGACGGUGGCGAAGGGUACUUUAAGUAGAGGGUUACUUGUUCUAGGUUUUUUUCUGGAAUUGUGAGGGAAUCUGAUCCUGUGUUUGUGCAUAUGAUUCAAUUACUUAUAGGUUUAUUGUUGUGUCACCACAAAUUCUAAUUGGGAAGCUUCAGCUGUCAAAUUUUUUCCAAGGGUUUAUUAGGUAGAACUUUCAUGUCGUCGAAUUUAUUUAGAGAUUCUAAAAGUAGUUUCCAAAUAAAGAGAUGGACCAAAAUCAACAAUGUGAAACAGAUACUUUAGAAAUUUUUUCCUAUUCCGAAAGCAAUAGGAAUGUUCCAAUGCAUUGCUCCUACCAGAUUUGGAAUUAAACUUAGUUUGUGUUUUCCUAUUCCGAAAGCAAAACUUAUACUUACUGUAUAAGUGAUAUUCUAAUAAGUAGAAAUUAAGAACCAUAACAAAUUUGAUGAUUCUAAUUUGCUAGAAAUAUUGUAAUCCAAAACUAAGAAAGUUAAAACCAAUUAUUAGAAGAAAAAAGCAAGACGGAAGCUCCCAGAAUAUUGUUAUGUGUUGUGUGUUUUCAGUGUGUAUUUCUCAAUCAAUAAUGAAAAGUAAGUACACAUGUUACAAAAAUUUAAUAAAAAAGAUUGGAGGUGACAAAACCUUCAAUCUUCUAAUUAACUUUCUCUGCAUUGGAAUUUCCUUAGUUUGGUAGAGAUUGCUUAAUUGGUGUAUCUAUUAUAAACACCGUAAGUCAAAGUUAAUGUUUUAAUUGUUAAGAAAAGUUAGAAGAAGAAAUUUUUGCAUAAGAGAAUUGGGUUUAAAUUGAGAAUUCUUUAGGAGGAAAUGAGUCUAAAUUCUAACACUAUAAUUUAGCACUAUUUAUAUAUAUAUAUAUAUAUAUCAUUAAUUGGGUGAAAAAUUAGGGUACGCCUAUGUUGUAACAGUUGCAAAGUACCACUAAUUUUUAUCUUUUGUGAUGUCAAAUUUCAUUUAAUCUCUUAUUUUUUUUUUAUAAUUUAUUUAUAACGUUAUGUGUUUUGGCAGGUGAAUUUUUAAAAUAUAAUUUUAUUUUAUUUAAUAUAAUUUAUUUUUUUUCUUUAUAAUUUAUUUAUAAGUUUAUGUGGUUUGGCUGACGAUCUAUUAAAAUGUAAUUUUAUUUCAUUUAAUAUCAUUUAACUUCUAAAAGAACAAAUAUAACAAUAAGCCUUUAACUAGAUAAUAUUAACUAAUAUUUUUAAUAAAAUAAAAUAUUAAAAAUAUAUUCUUUUAAAUAAAAUAAAUAAUAUUAAAAAAUAUUUAUUUUUUAGGACUCACAAUUGCUUAUUCUAUUUUAUUUAAUAUUAUUUAAUUUUGAAAAAUAAAUAUAAUAAUCUAUGAGUAAAUAAUAUUAAAUAAAAUCAAAUAAAAAUUAUUAAAAAUAAUAUUAAUUUUUUUUAGACUCAUUAUUGAUUAUUUCAUUUUAUUUAACAUUACUUACUUUCAUGAAGGAAUAAAUAUAACAAUAAGCCUAUGACUAUAUAAUGUAAAAUAAAAUAAAUAAAUAAUAUUAAAAAUAUUUAUAUUUAAUAAAAUAAAUAAUAUUAAAAAUUUAUCUUUUUGAAUAAAAUAAAUAAUAUUAAUUACAAAUUAUAUUUUUUUAAGACUCACAACUGAUUAUUUAUUUUAUUUAAUAUUAUUUAGUUUUUUUAAAAGAAUAAAUAUAAUAAUAACUCUAUAACUAAAUAACAUUAAAUAAAACAAAAAUAAAUACUAUACAUAAUAUUAAAUAAAAUAAAAUAAAUUAAUAUUAAAAAUUAUAUUUAUUUUUUAAUGCUUACUACUGAUUAUUUUACUUUAUUUAAAAAAAUUUAAUUUUUUGAAAGAUUAAAUACAACAAUAAACUUGUAACUAAAUAAUAUUAAAUAAAUGAGAUUAAUAAUAUUAAAUAAUAUUUUUAAUAAAUAAAUGAUAUUAAAAAUUAAUUUUUUAAAUAAAAUAUAUAAUAUUAAAAUAAAAUUUAUUUUUUAAGACUCACUACUAAUUAAACAACAUAAAAUUUUAAACAAUUUGGACUUAUGUGAUAAAAGUUUUAAUUCUUUAGCUCUUUUGCGUUUUUGAUAAAUAGCAGGGAGCAUAAUGUUAAUAUUCAAAUAAACAAAUCUCUACCCUUCAAUCUAUCUUUUCAUUAAAUCCAAUGAUGAAGAAUUGAAACCAUAAAAAAUAAAAUUAGGUGGUACCUUGCAACUGUUGCAAGGUAGUUAAGUCCAAAAAAUUACAUUUGAUGUGAUUUUGAUCGUUUAUUUUUAUAUGAUGGUAAUUUCUUGUUCAGAGUGAAACUAGGGGUGGGUACGGUUCGGUUCGGAUCGAAAUUAAGAAGAAUCGACUUAAAUCGGUUAUUUUAUAAAAAGAACCGAAUAAGAACUGAAUUCAAUAAGAACUGAUUUAACAAGAUUCGUUUGAGUUCGGUUCGGUUUGGUUUGGUUUUUUUCGGUUCUGGGCCUAUUGACCCUAUUUUGAAUUUCUAAAUUUUUAGCUCAUUGGGCCUCAUGAAUGUCAUAAUUUUUUUCAACAAUUAAUUCAUCCUAAUUUCAUUACAAAUAUUAACAAUAAAUACAAAGUAUUCAAAACACAUUUGAUCACUAAUAUCUUACUAACUACUAAUAAGGUACUCACUACUCACAAAAUAUGAAAUAUUAAGAUUUCAAAAUACAUAACCAAACUCUAAUACUCCAUCUACAUAAACAUAAUGUUGUAAAGACAAAUAAAAAUAACAACAGUGAUUCGGUUCUUCGGUUCGGUUUUUUCGGUUCAGUUGAGUGAACCGAAUAUCGAACCGGUAUUUCGGUUUUUUUAUAAAUAAUAUAUUUAAGUUUUUUUUAACAAUUAAAACCAAACCAAAUUAGAACCAAACUGUCGGUUUGGUUCUUUUUUUAAGAAUACAGUUUUUUUGUCCAGUCCUAAGUGAAGCUAUUGGCACCCUUUCGCUAUAUUUAUAAAAUCCUACUUCAAAUAAAAAUUACACUUAAAGACAAUAGAAUUAAACAAACAUGUUUUUUUUUUCCCAAACAAAUUACUUACAUUCAUAAUUAUUUUUCUUCUAAUUUUCUACAUGUUGCUUCAUAUCUAAGUAAAAUAAAUUGUAUAAAUUUAGAAUAAUCUAUUAUUCUUUUUAAAUUUCAUAUUGAUUAAAUACUUUUGUGCUUAAGAUUGCUUUAAAAUUAUAAGAUAAAAUAUGUGUAAUUUAAGCCAAUGAUUAACAUUCAAAAUUUUAUCUCUCAGAAACAUUUUUAAUUUGUGUGCAGGGUAAUAAUAAAAUCGUAAAAGAAAUAAAAAAUAGCAUAACACUACUUUGAGUUUAGAAAAUAAAAAAAUUAAACAGAAAAUUAGAAGUGUAAUCUAAAAAAAGGAUAUUUUGUAAAAUAAAAUAAAUAUAAUUAAAACAAGGUUUCAUGAGGGGUGCAAUAGUUCAACUCUUUUGUGUAAAGUUUUAAGAUGUUAGUAUCCGUAGCUUAGUUUUUCCCUAAUUAUUAUAUGAAAAUGUAAUAACAAUGCUGAUCACCCCAAUCUCAUGGAGGUCAAAGAUUUUGGUCAUACCGCAUGAAUUAGUGCUUUUGGUUGGCAAAUACUUGUAUAAAUUUAUUAACAUUAAAUAAUUUGACCAAGACUACGUAAUGCGCCGCCUGAAGACUGGAGUCAUCGUAUUUUAUACGUCAAAAGCGCGUUUCAGUUCAAUAAGCCAUACAUGUCGUUUAAUAUGACCAUUUUGUACUUUUUUUAUAAAAAAAAAAUUAUUUAUUUUAUUAAAAUAUUGUUUAUUUAUUUAUUUUUUUUAAAGGUAAAGAGGUGUGUAAAAUCUAAAUUCAAUUUUUAUCCCUUAUGUCCUGGCCCUAAGAUUUGAACUCAGGUGAACAGCCAAAUGUAUAAUAACAUGUAUUUCGAAUUUCAUUUUAAAUGAUAUGCAAUUCGUUAAGUGAUUGUUAAUUUUUUAUAAGAUACGAGUGAAAGAAUUAUAUUAUCUCACUAAUUAAUUGAUGAGUGUCAUAUCAUUAUGAUUCCAAAUAAUUUCAAGCCAUGUCAUUAUUAGGAUAAAAAUAAAGUAAAAUGGUUAAAACUAUUUUUAUGUAAUUUAUAAAAAUUAAUGAAGCAACUACAUAAUUUUUUAAACGAAAAACAAUUGAAAUGUGUGAGGAAAAAGAAGAAAAAAAUUAGGCAUUUAAAUAUCUUCUUAAAAAAUAAGAUUGAGUAAAAUCAUUUUAACAGAAUGCCUUCCAAAUACAAUUCCACAUUUUUUUUUAUUGCAGUGGGAUAUUCCAAAAUUGGCACAACUCAUUAAGAAUUCGGCAACUCAAACUUUAUUUAUCUCUCUACGCAUUUGACAAAUUAAAAAGAAAAAAAAAAUUCAUAUAUCUUCUGUUCAAAAGAGACCUUGGUAAAUAUUGUAAAACAAAUUACCAAUUUUUUUAAUUUAUGCCAUUAUAUCGUCGCUAUUUUCUCGCCCACUUUCUUAAAAUAGAAUCAAUAUUUAUUGAUGGGUUGGGUUCCAGAGUAAGCACCAAUUCAGCAAAAUGGUUUUAUAGCAGAAAAAGCACUUGUAAGACAUUCAGAACACAUUUUUCAAUUUUGUCUUUUGAAAAUGAGUCUUGAGUUUCCACAAGCCAAGUAGAAUGGCUAAAAAAUGUAUGGUAUCAAAGAAAGAGAAACACACACACACACAUAGAUUAGUGGGGAGAUAUAUGAGUGUGUAAUUUGUAUAUAUAUCCCUAUUAAUUGUUGAUAGUCCAAUGGGUAUAUGCAAAAUGAAAAAAAUUGGCUGUCCUUUAAGACAAAAUUGACUGUCACAUGAAAAUGUUAGCACACUUGCCACGCAACAAAAAUAAAGAUUCCAAGAACAACUUUAUGGUCCCCUUUCUGUCCAAACAUAUGCGAUAGAAAUUAGUGUAAACGACACUUGAAAUAUAUAUGUAGAUCCUCACACAAUUGAUUAAAUAUUUAUAGUAGGGUGGAGUGAUAAAUAGUUUCACAAAAUUAUUGGAAUUAACUGCUUAAUACAUGAGAUCUAUCUCAUUAAGUAUAAAAGAUUGAGUGCUGCUUCAAAAGCAUGACGUUGCUGGCAACAAAUUUAACACAAAAGUUUAAUUAAUUAAAAUCUCGUAUUAAGAACAAAAGGUUUGAGGUUCGAACAUUCUCAUUCAAGAAAAUCAAGUCAAAAUAUUACAUCUUCCAGCACAUAUCAAAGAUUUUUUCAAUUUCCAAAACCCAACAAAAUCUUUGUCAAAAUAUAUGAUCUAGUCCCAUAUUAAGCACAUUCAUAGCUGUAUCAACAGGUUCAAAAUAUUUUCCCCAAAAAGAGAUAGAGAUUCCAUUGAAGUUGAGUUGUGACUGUCCCAACGUUUUGUAAUUAUAUGGUUCAGGAUACCAAUAUGCCGGAGCUGCAAAGGUUGACUUCUACUAUCCUAUCAAUGUCUAUACUUUCUAUUGAAUUUCCUUGUUUUUUUUUUAAUUUGCGAGAUUUAUUUUUUGGAAAUCUUUGACACAUUUUAUGUAAGAUACCAUAAAGCCAAAUACAACCUUUUUUUAUUCUCAGCAGCAACUUUUUUUUUUCCAUUUAAAAAAAAGGAAGCCAUAUAAAUAAUGCUUAAAACAUUAUUUGCAACAAGGAACAAUUAUUUCAUGCUUUCAUGUAUUAGAAACUUUCCAAAAACGCUAGCAAGAAAAUGAAAUGGAACUUUACCUAGUCACAGAAUAUGUACUGUUGUUAGCACAAUUGUUAUGAAGUGGCUUCUGCAUCAGAAGAUUCCAGCUCCCACCAAGCAUUGUUAUCUCUCUUCUGAAUACAAUCUACAUCGUUGGGCAUGAGUUAUAUCAUUAAUGUCUGGAUCCUCACUUACAUCAUCCCAAUCAAGUGCAAAACAUCCUAGUCCUUCCAUCACAACUGAUACGACUUCCUUCCUAAUUACUUUCCCAUUAAUAAAUCGCUCCAAGAAAAAAAAGCAUUAGCAAUUCUCUUCAACGCCCCAUCACUCAUAUCCCCACAACAACCGUCUUCAGCCACCUCAACGUUGCCUCUUGAAAGACCUCCACAAAAUCCGAAUCAUCCGACACAACCACCAAACACCCAAACCUUCUUUUGUCCACCAUAGCCACCAUAUAAUUUCUCCCCAAAACAUCGGCAUCUUGUGGCUUAACUAACACCAUCCUGACCCAAAACCGUGCUCUUUUUAACUCAUCUGCAAAACCAUAACCCACUUUUGGAGUCAAAAUUGCGCUUGCAGCCAUUUUAUUUUUUUCCAUCUUUAUUGAAUAGUUGCCGACCAAAAGCACUCUCACCUUCCCUCUAGCUGAUUCUAUUUGAUUGGACCUUUUCUUUUGUUCACCCUCAUGAAUUUGCCUAAAAUGAUUAACAAGUUUGUCAUUAUUAUAAAAUCUCCUUCCAUAAUCACCAAUACAUACGGCUUAGCAGACCUAAUUACACCCUUGAUUUCUAAUUGGUAAACAAUUCUCUUUCUUUCUUUGCUCUCUUACAACUUGAGGCACAUAACCAAACGCGUGGCUAUUUGGAUUUUGUUAUCCAAAUACCAAAAAUUUCUCACAUUGUGUUGGACAGUUUUUGGUUCUAAAGUUGAUGACUGGUUUUGCGAAUCAGGCUUCAAAUGAGAACUUCUAAACAAUAAGACAAAUGGGUUUUUAGUUUAUAAUCUUGUAAACUUUGUUCUAUUGUAUAAGUUAUGAAAUCGCUGAAACAUCACUACAGCUACAGGUCUUUAUGUGUCAAUGAAUUGCAGAAGCUAAUGAUCUACUUGUAGUAGACUUCUAUUGCCCCUGCCGUUCUAGGAAGACAAACAAGUUCAGGAACUACUUCUGGACCAAACUCAUAAUAUUGCCACUGCUUUGUGCCAAAAUCUCAGAGGAAAAGAAGAUUGAAGUUCCUAAAUAAGGCACAUCAUGAUUUGAUAGAAGUACCACUAUAAGGAAAAAUUGAUUUCAGGAAAGCACUAAAUUAUGACAUAAUCUCCCCCUAAUGGUCUAAAGUAGUCAAGAAAUGAUAUUAACCAAGUAAAAACACAUAAACUAGUUGAGAUACAAAGUUAUCAUAAAAGUCAAUUUUGACCACAAAUCCAUUAAAAUUAAAAGUCAUCAGAAACUUAGAGAACAUUAUAAUUUAGGACUCAGCUAAGUUGCAGAUUCUGUAACUAACAGCUGAGUCCACAUUGGUCUUGCAUCAGCUGAGUUUAGGUUGCUUUUCCUCUCUCCUGCAACGCGUACGUGGAAGCGCCCCAUUUGCUGUGUUAUAGAACGAGUCGGUACCGUAACAAGCUCCUAUAAUUUAAGUUUGAUUACUGUAGACAAUAGUCUGCCUCUGCUCAAAAGCUAUGCUGCAAGAUAUAACAUCUUUGCAAUGUUAUACUUUCUAAAAGUAAUAAGAAAUGAAACCAAGGGGUAAAAUCGAACACCAAAAGAAAUUUAGUCGGCCAACCACAUUAUGUUCCCACACAGUCCACUAAUUAAGUUAAUAAUUAAAGGGAAUCAAAAUCUAAGAAAUCUCAUCUUCAAGCAUAAUACAAACACACCGGGAUUGAAAAUCACAAAAUCAUAAAAAGAAGCUGACUUGAAAAGCUCAAAUAUACGUUCAUCAGCCUCUCAACUUAUAUCUAAGAACAAAUGCCUGCAGCCUGUGAAGACAUAGAUAAUUGAAGCUGAGGAGGCAUAUUUAAACAGAUGAUUAAACUCAUGCGAUUAAAAUUAUAAUUCAAUAAUCGAGCACAUAAAAUAACAAGCAACUAGUUGUAUAUAUACCAAGCAACUUUAUGAAGUUAAAUAUACCAACGCCAAUACUCUUAUUUUUAUCCAAAUAUAGAAGACCAAUGCAUCAAACAAGGAAAAUGAAAUAUUGUUAAUAACUCAAAAACCACUAGUGUCAAGAACUAAAACUAAUAAGUAAAACCCAUUAAUCAGACACAACCACAUCAAAAUCUCUAAAAAUUGAGGUCUAAACAUUGAAAACAAUUAGACAUAUAUAACAGUCAAUCGAAACAAAGCCUCAAAAUAAUAAUGAACUACAAUAAGACAGAAACUAAAUUGUAAACAAGCGCAUACUCAGUAACAGUAAUCAAGUAACAAGUCAAAACCAGAAUCAAACGUAGAAUUUUGAAAUCCAUACGAACUCUAACGUAUUAGAAUGAAAGAAUAAAGGACGAUCGAUAAACUAGAAUCAAACAAAACAUGCCCAGUUAAAAAACGAAGGUAAAUAAAUAAAAAUGAUAUAAAAUUGCGAAAAAAAUUAAUGAAAUGACGAGAAAAUCAUAGGAAUCCUAUGAAGAGGAAGGUAAACAAAACCUUCGAGAGCUGAGAAGAUGCCUUUUUUGUUCACUUUUGUGCCUAUACAUACAUUUUUUUUUUUUUGUAAUUUUGAAGAAAGUAUUGGUUAAAUAUUGUCAGAACGAAAUAUUAAUAAUAGAUCCUGGCAAUUUCAACAAGGACAAUCUUCGAUUCAAAUGUACCCCUAUGAUAAAGAAAAAGCCAGCUUGGCUAAAUUUUGAGCACCACAUUACAAAAUCUAGGUGCAUGUUUAACUAUGCAUAAAAUGAAACCUCUAUUAAUUGUAAGUCCCUUGACCUCUGGAACCAGCCAACCAGUAUCUUUCCUGUUAGAACAAACUUCCAUCGAUCAGACUAAUAAUAUUUACUGAAUCAUGUUCUACAGUUAAUGGAGUUGGACCCAAGGCAAUUGUUAGAAGUCCGCCUAGACAUAGAGUGCGCUUAGAAGUGGGAUGCUUAGAAAUGGGCCGCCAACACAACCAGCCAACCGUAGUGUGCUUAGCAAAUCACUGAAACCCGGCCAAGAUCUAGAACUAUCUACAAAUUGUAAAUAAGCUAAAAGUUUCUAAGUUUCUCUACAUAGGUCCCUAGGAUAUUUAUGGAAGUUGCUAGGAAGUUUUCCUCCCCUAGAACUCUAAUACCUAUACCCCUCUCAUUUGCCACCAACCACACAGACAAACACUCCAGCACACACACAAGCUCUCUAGCUUUUGUAAAAAACUCUCUUGUAUAUUCUCUCUUUGUGAGUAAUAAAAUCAUAUUCAGCCAUAUUGCUACACUUCUCUCUAGCAUUUUCUACAAGUGUUCUUGCUUCGCUAGUUUGAGGAGUGUUCUAGGCUUGCUUAACAACUUGUUCGCUAUAACGACAUCUUGGUCACAAAACAUGGACAUGCAAGAAAAAAAAAUUGAUACGUUCUAAAAAUAAUACGCGUUCUUCUACAGUGAACCAAAAAAUUUAGGAUAAUGGUAGCAAGUGAAAGAAUUGUGAUUUCACGUGCAUUUUGUUGACAUGAACGUAAAGGACUUUUUUUUAUAGUUUAUAUUGUUUAAUAUAACAUUUGAAUUGCAAAAUAGGGGUACAAAAUAGAUACACGAAGUGAUAAAACUAAGCUGAUUAUAAUAAAUAUUGAAUUAUAAGAUUUAGGUUUAAUCAUAAAGACAUAAGUGGCGCACAAAGUCACGAAUUGAUAUCAUCCACGAUGCAAGUUCAAACAACUGCAUAAUAAGUUGCCCCAAGCUAAACUAUUAAUCUAGUAACUAUUCCAGUCGAUGUGGGAUAAUUUUCCUAUCACCAUCUAUCACGUGCAAGCCGAAUUUUUUGCUUGGUCCUUACAUGUGGUAAGGUCAUAUGAAUCCACUUGUGCAUAAAUUUGGCUCCGAUACUAUAUAGAAGCCUAUGACCCAAAAUUAUACUUAAAGGUUAUCUCAAGAUUUGAGGAUUGACUCAAGCUAAUAUUAUUAUUAGUCUGGUAACCUUUUUUUUUGUUGAUAUGUGAUAUUUUACCUAUAACUUUUAUUAAUCUUUAUGCUUAUGUUUUGUCAUUUAUCCCAAAAUAUAACAUUAACAAAGUUCCAAAAUUUCCUUCAAGAGAUAUAUUUGAGACAAGUAAUUUGUGCAAUAACUUUGUAAAUUGAUGAGCAAAUUCAGUGGUGAAAGCUUGCAUAGUAAUAUAAGGGUUGAGGUUAUCUUUUAACUAAUAAAAGUUAAAUAUGAAAUUUGCAUCUUCUUUUUGUUGUUUUUUAUUAACCGGAUGUAAUUUUUGUUUGAUAAUUUUCUAAUUAUUUUGAGGAAAAUAUGUUGCAGGAGCAUGUUGUGAUGCAUAAGUGUUCAGAACCGAAUAAAAGGAAAGAGUAGUCCAUCCAAAGUCACCACUUAUUCAAAUAUGUGCAGGCAGAACACGUUAUCGGGGGGUCUCGAUACGAAGACCUUUAAGUACUAAUGACGAGAUAUUGAUUAACUUCUGCAUGGAUGAAAAUUUGAAUAAAGGGUAACGUAUUAGUUAUGUUGUUGAACUAAUACUGGCAUGCAUAUAAAAAGUUAUUUGAUUGUGUUCGAGCUUCGAAUAAACGAAUUUAAUUGUAGGAAAUCAAUAAUUGUGGCUAAAUUGUCUCGAUGAUAGAAUUUGCAUUCCAGGAAAAUAGUUUUUAAGACGAGCUUCAAUUGCAUCACCAGACAUGAUAUUAUGUCUCUAUCUCCUAAAAGUACAAUCAAUGUGAAGGUACAACCACCUUCUGUCAAGUGUUGUACUUGUAUGAAUAGUAUAUAUUUAUAAUGAUUGCUCUUAGAAUUUACUUUGUUUUAAAGUUUUUGUUAAUUUUUUAUAUGUUGAAUGAAGUCGAUACCUCUUACAUGAAAGUGUUAAUAUUUGCACUUUUCAGAUUGUUUCUGCUGUCUCGGAAUUGUUAUUUACGAAAGCGAUUGAAACGUUGGAAACAGUCAUUUUAGCCUUUUUCUGCCAGCGUAUUCUGCUGUAAGGCGUUUCUGUUAUAUUAUAAUCUUGGAAUUUUAUCCCCUAAGGGACAACUUAACAUAUAAUUUCGUGUGUUCACUGAGUGUGGUGCAUCUGUUUACAUAUGCAUGUCAGUUGAGAAAUUGUGCUUGCAAUUACAUUUACAAGUUUAAACGAAAUUUGGUUUUCAAGUUUGGCAACCCACUAUUUCCAUUGCCUAGAAUUUUUUGUUGGGCUGUGAUAGCGUUGAUGUCCUAGAAAUUGUACAGUUGCAGGAUAACAUCGGUGGAGACCCCGCAGACCUCACUUUUGGUAUUAAACAAUUUAUCAAUGGUGAUUUAUACCUGGCGAAUAUUGGUUCGUGUAAGCAGGUAAGCAUUAUUUACUUAAGCAUUUAGUAAACCUCGUUUUUAGUUAAUUUUGAUGUUAUGUGUCAGUUUAUUUCACCCUGAUUUUGCAAUCAUCAAUAUAUUUUUGUCCCUGUGAACCAUGGUUUUACACACUUGUACUUAUUGGUUAUAUUAAUAUACGAAAUGUGGGUGGAGAUAUGGGAUUCAAUGCCCAGUGCAAUGAAGUCACAAAUGUUUGUUGUUGAAUGCAAACGAGCAGUGAGUUAACAAUCUAGAUGCCAAUGGAUGUGUACUUUCUCCAAAAAAUAAAUAAAUAAAUAAAUGAACCACUGUUGUUGUAAAUAAUCCUCCUCUGUUUUAAAAGGAAAUGUCAUGUGUUUCUAGGAUUAUAAACUGCAAUCUACCUAUUGACUGGUGUUCCUACAACUAAGAUUCAUUGAGAUGGCGUUGCAGUAUUGUGGCUCAAAUUGUUUAUUGGGAAGGUUAAACAUGAGUGAGUUCGUAAUCCAACUUUGUACCAGAAAGGACAGUAUACAUAACGAAUUAGAUUGUGCAAUAUAUGUUAUGUUGAUGAUAGAGAGGUAUAAAAUCUAGUCGUGCUUUCUGUGGAAGAGGUGCGUCAAUGUUUUAAACUAUUCAAUGCUAUAACCCAGGCCGUUCAUAAUAUUUAUAUAUUGGAGCAAUUUUUACCGCCUCCUAAUUAUUGUGUUUGUGCAUUUCAUUCAGAUAAAGUUUGAUUCAGGUAGUGAGAGGGCACGCAUUGUGAUAGAUCUCAUGAGAUACCAGUUUCAACUAUUUAAAGGACAAGGUUCGUUUUAAGGCUGAAAAGCAUCGAUGACAUCUUGACCAUGAAGCCCAUUCAAUUUAUGAAGCAAUUGAAAAAAAGCGCUUACUACAGCUUCGGACUGCGAGCCAAAUGGGCCAUGGUCGCCGCCAUUAAGCCGGAUUUGCUUUUACGUUCAAUUGUAUAAGUUAACAUCCAUGCUUUGAAGAAAGAAAAAAAAGUUAGGUUUGACAAUUGUAGUUCUUCAUUUGAAAAGCACAAUCAACCACUCAUAAUCGUGACUGCUAAACAACUCAUGUUUUGUUGCUGGCAUAGAACAAUCAAGUUUCCAUUGUGGAUGCCGCAGUGUCUCACUACUGAAUUUUAUCAUUUAUGAGUUUACAUUGUCGUCAAUUUUUAAUAUGUCUGUCAGCAGCUGUACCUGGAGUAUUAUAUCAGCGAAUGGUGUUAGCUGAAACAACGUCUCCUCUGAACUCUGCAUAUUUUAUGAUACUGAUACUUUGGCCUGGACAAGUUACUAAAAUUUUCAAUUGCCAUGGCCCUGACCCAAAGCUUUUUGUAUUAAUUGAACUCAAGGAUGGAUUGAAGUUACACAAGUUUUGCUUAUUUAUGCUUGGCAUAAGUAUAAACAAUGUUUAUCAACUGCCAUAUUAGUUAACCCCUAACAUAAUCAUGCAACCUCGUCCAAUUUUUUACUUGUCAGUACCUCUUAAAUAUUCUGUUAAUAACAAAAUAAAUGGAUACAGUGGUUGAGAACAUGUUUCCAUUACGUCCCUAACCUCUAGAUAUUUUUGGAGUAGUGCCAAUGUUAUUUUACAGAUUCCAAAUAUGGGUGUAGUUAGUUGGUGUAGAUGAUGAGGUUGCAAUGCAGUUCGAUAGACUUGCAAAGGCACUUGUGUUUAGACUGGCUGAAAAUUCACUUGUUGUACUAGCUGAAAAUUCAUGGAACCAUGACUCUGAUGUUCCCCUUAAUGGCCCACCAUUUUCUCUUAUUUGCCUCUGUAAAGGUUGCCUCCCUGGUUCAUUGAUCUGAGACAUUACCUCCAACUUUAAAGUCAAUUGGUGAAUAUCUAUAAUAGCCACAUUGUAUGCGGCCAAAACUUGAUCCAGCAAAUCUAAGUAAACUUCAGCAUGCUGCAUAUAUUUGGCCAAUACGAGCCUGCUCUGUCAUGUAAUGUGAUUUAUUAGAACUUAUAUCCAACGAAGUGUGAGCUUUUAUCUUUGCGCCUUUACUCCAUCGAGACAGAAUUAUCGAACUUGGAAUUUCUGUCAUAUUCUGAGCCUUCAACAAAAUAAAUGAAUGCGAGCAUGGAAUUCCAAUUGUCUCUAACAACUUGCAGCUGCACGAUAAGGUUUUGGUGGCCUCAUUUAUCACUACUUUCACCUCUUUUCCAACUAAGCCAAACCGCUCAACUCUGUACGUUGUUGAAAUUAUAUCCCGGUCAACAUUUCUGCAGUUAACAACGCUUCCUUGUCGAUUUCUUCUCGUACGAGGUGAAACAUUGCCCUUGUGAACUUUUCAGCUGCUUACUGCUCAUACAUCUUCAAAUGUGUAACCAAUACAGGACGUCCAUCAAAACUAUGAAAGUCAUCAUUCCCCUCUCCUUCCCUUUGCCGAUCCAUUAGUCGGUCCAUCUGUUUAACAAAUUCUGUCAAUCGGAGCCUUCUAUUCACGUAAUGGUUUAGAUACGCAUUCAUUCCUUCCAACCUCUGAGUGCUUCUCAUUCCCCCAAAAAACUUUCCAUGCAAAUAAGUCUCAGCCCACAUAUGUCUAUCCUUAAACAUAUUUACAACCCAUUCAUUUGUGGCAACAUUAUGCUUAUCCACCAUUAAUUUCCAUUUUUGGUCAAAUUCUUCUUUUGUGUAAGCGUUCAUCAUGCAGCAGCAAAAUUCGGUUGUAAAUUCAAGGUUUUUAACAUUUGUUUGAGCAUUUCAGACCAAAUGCCAAUAACACAACCUGUGAAAAGCUUCUGGAAAUGUCUUCCUUAUUGUAUUUCGCAUUACUUUAUCCCCAUCGGUUACAACUGUCCUCGGAUGCUUGUUGUUCAUUGCUAUCAUUAAUAUCUCUAACAACAACCAUGUGUACGUGUGUUCUGUCUCAUCUGAAAAUAGAGCAAACCCGAAUACAAUUAUUCGCCGAUGGUGAUUUAUCCCCAAAAUAACCACGAGAGGCUUACGAUAUGCAUUGGUCUUGUAAGUUGCAUAGAAUGCAAUAACAUCACCAAAUAAUGCAUAAUCUGUGCAUGAUCCGUCGUCACACCAAAACAAGUCCCCAAGUCGAUUGGAACUAGUGAUUGUGAAGUCAUAAAAGAAUGAUGGAUUCGAGCUUUUUCUUCCAUCGAAAUAUAAUAGGCACGUCUCAGCAUCUGAUUCUUUCAACGAUGCAUGCCUCUUCGUAACCAGCCUAUUUUCAACAUCCCUCAUGCUAUACCCAACCUUGUCGUAACCCCUGAUCUGUCAACCAUAAACUCGUGUAUUUGAGAUGGCUUCACUCCCACUUUGUGUAAUGAUAAAACAGCCGACAAGUCGGGACCAGUCACUCCUCUGUGGGACCUAAUGUGGUGCACUAGCUCAGGCGGUGUUAAAUUGUGAUUGUGCACUCUAUGAAAAAAACUACAUGCCCAUCGGCGAGUAUAUUCAUUGUAAAUAAGUCGAAAUUGUGCUCUACAUCCUGUCCUUGUCACAGCUUUGGCCUCUCGCCCUCUGCAUCUAUUUUCCAUGUGCUUUGCAGCCCUGAAUCCCUGUCGGCUGCAAAUCCACAUUCUGCCGAUGAUAUUCCCCUUCACAUUUCUCCGUUUAUUGUGUUUCCGAAUGCCGAAGCCAACUGUCCUUGCAUAUUCUUGGUAGCAUAUGCCAACCUAUUCUUCACUUGUGAAUUCUUUUGCUAACAUUUCCAGAAGCGCAUUCUCUACCUCACUACGAUCAUCGGCACACUGCUGUUAGUGAGUAUCAGUCUCCAAGUGACCACUUCCUCCACGGUUGUCACCUUGGAUGUUCAACUGGUGUUCAGUCACGAUUUCUGCCCCUUCACUAUCUGUCUCCGCUCCAUUGUGAGUCAAUGCAUCUGAGCUUCGUUCAUCGUCAGAAGUUAUAUUAAUCUGGUAGUGGAAAUCAUCUCCGUCAUAUAAUCUUUUGUCUGAAUCAAUCAUUGUGCUCAUAGGUUCACCAUUAGAUAACGUCAAAUUUCAAGUGGUUAAGACUUCUUUUUCCUCUGUUAAUAUUUUUUUUGUUGCAAGUUUUUUCUUUUCCUUUCAGUACCUUUUACGAAACUUCUUUCACUAGCGUAGGCGGCACAAAGAAGCUUCAAGUUGGUGUCUCUUCCCGCGUCCAAGAUUUUUUAAAAGUUUUAUGCUUAUUCACUUAGCGCACACCAGCACUUGAGCCCCGUCCCCCGGCCACCAAGACACUUUAUAGAAUUCCCUAACAAAUUAAUAAACUAUACCAGUUUAUUUAGUUGUUAUGUGGCCUAAUAUGACAUAUGCUUGCAUUACUAAUCCAAGGCGUUGUAUAAAGACUUGCUUGCCACUUAUUAAUUGAUGGCAAUUGAUUUAGUAAUUGUUUACGGAUCUUUAAAGCUUCAUCAAGAUAUUGCACAUUGUCACGGCACCAUGUUCAUUUCCCAUGUUGUAACACCAUCCAUUUUUUGUUUCAUCUACUAGAUUUCCAACUCCUUAUAUUCGCUAUAAAACCACAAGUAUGGACACAUUAUAUUUUUGCGUGAGUUACAAAUAUAUUUUACACUCCGUUACUCUUACAAUUCAAGUUGUCAAUAAGUAAAAUUACAUUUUCGCUAUGUUUGACUAUGCAAAACCCGUUUGAGAUCGGUGUAGCAAAUAUCAAUAUUUGCUCGGAAGUUAGAAAGCAACUACCUUUCUGUUUCAGCUAUUAUCAAUCAUAUUACUCCCUAAAAAAGAUAUGGGUCAUAACAUAUAAUUCUGUUUUACCUUAUUGACGACAUGUAUGCGACCAAACGAUCGGUCACCAAAGUUAUAAUAUACAUUAAUUGAUGGUCUCAAAUCAAAACCAGUAUAGAAUAGAACUAUAAGAUAGUGGUCAAUUACCAUCGCAAGCAAUCGACAUUUCAGAGGGGAACGUAAGUAAAACAAACUUUAUGUGCAAUCAUCUAUGGCAUCUGUGUGUUUGUAAUUCUUAUAUACUAAAUAUUCGUAGUUAAGGAAAUGCAAUGCUUAAAUCACUCGUAACACAAUUAAUUGAACUUAUUCAUAUAAUGCAUGGUUGAGCAUGAUAAACAUAUUCAUUGAUGUUUUUUUCCCAAAUAUGGGCAUCUGUGAUGAAAAUCCUAAUGCUAAAACUGUGAACUGCAAAAGAAUAUCAAUUAACCAUAACAAUUCAAUAGCAAAUGGAAGUUAUAAUCACACCAACAAUCUUCGCUCAAAGCAAAGGCUGACUUCAGCCACAAUUUCCCACUAUUCACCCACCAUCCUUUGUUACACCAAAGCAUAACAUAACACACAGAAACAUACCCUCAUAUAUGGAAGAAAAUUUCACUUACGUUCGAACCUCUUCGUAAUCGUUGCAGUUUCCGUUUGAGGGACCUGACUCUUGUUUUCGAGAUGGAUUCCUUACACCUAACGAUCAUCGUUUCCAACACUUUACUAUGCUCCAACAAGUAUUCCAACAACUAUACUUCCUCUUCAUCUCCUGUUAGCCCCCUAACGUCAAUUCUCUUUACCUGUUUUACCAAACAGUCGGGCACAUUUUCUAUUUGAAGCCAUCCAAAAUCUUCUUCGGUCACUUCAAACCAGCAUUCCUACGAAGGAUAAAAGUAAAAUAUGAUAUCAUAAACCCAUGGCGAAAAUUAAGAAGAAUAGUUGAACGCCAUCAACGAUCACGACACCCUCACCUUGUGUAAGACAAGAGUUUUUUAAGAUCGGUGAACUCCUUAGGAUGAUGGGCAUAAUUCGCCAUCCAAAUAGUCCAACCGUCACUUCAAAACUCUGUCAAAUUAGGCAAGGAGGGCUUGAAACUCUCGUAACACAAAUCCAGGGCUUGUCAACAUAGAAUAGAACUUUUGGUGUUAGAUUUAUUAAUGAACCGUUAUAUAUUACUAGCGUUUAUCAGCAGUGGCCCUUAUUGUGCCAACUAGAAAUUGUUAACUUUUUUCCCACUUGGAUAAUAACAGAUACAAACUGCUUUACCCAGCUACAACGAGCAUAUUAUCCUGUCUUAAUGCUUGGUAUCAGAAAGACAGAGAUUGCGAUAUCAAUCAUAUGGUUAUAUCAAUACACAUCAUAGGUCUUGUAGUGCACUAUAUUGGGCAUACUUACAGACACGAUGCCAGCAGAUACAGUCAGAGACUUAGUUGCAGUCACACCCUCUAGAAGCCAUACCACAUGGUUCGGAUCGCCUUGUGCCCAUUCCCUAUACAAAAUUUCCAAUUUAACUUCGUUCACGGAAUGUACACCGUGCAACUUAAACUCUCCCAACACGUCAGCAGUAAUACGGAGACAUUGCAGAUUUGGCGUUGUAAUGAUCACUGUGUAGUCAAUGUAAGUAAAAACAAAAUCCUCUAGUGCUACAGUAAAGGCAAACUUCUUCAGUGUGGACGAUGAAAUGAUGAAGUUUGGUAUGUCCCCGUCAUGUUUCAAAAUAGCCUUAAUACACAGAUCUUCUAUUUACUAAUUUUAUUUCAACCUUAGCAAACCUAGCCAUUCACCUCUUCCCAACCAAGGCAUUUCGAACACCCCAUCUUCGAAAUCCACUACAAAAUCGCAUUCACAGACGUGAAGCCUACAUAUGCAUACCAAACGAAUCUAAGAUUUUAUUUAAAUCAACAUGCAUGCAAUAAUAUCUCGAUAAUCUUCCAGUGCCUGCAAAAAUGCCAGAUUUAUAAUACCAACAAGGCCAACUUCAAUAAUCUAGACAUCAAUAGAAUAUAAUAGCAGAAAUCGACAGUAAUAUUUUUCUUAAAUGCGUCACGGCAAAAUCAAAAUCACGAGCACCAAAAUACACAAAUUCAUUUACAAUUCAAGAAAGAAUCUUUACCCUUCCUUACCUAAUGAAAUUUCGGAUAAUUUCCCUCUCUCGCAAAAGUCAGAUUUGAGAUUCAAAUCUGUAUCACAUCUUAUUCUCGUAUUUAUGUUUCCAUGGACUUCAAGAGCUUCAUUAGACAACCGGUUUAAACGAUUGUUGUUAGUAACUACGUCCGCUCUCCAAAUUUUUAUUUAAACUGUUGGAUUGAACAAACUUAUAUCCAAUGGCUUGACUAAAUAAAGACAAAAAUUAUGGCAUGGUACCACAGUGGCAUCGCAGGCAAGUCCAAAUAACAAAUAUUAAAAUGAUUAUAUUAUUAAACUUUUGGGCUUAAUUGACUAUAUUCAUAUUUGGACGAGAAAGUUAUGCCACGAAUGGAAGAAUUUAAUAUUUUGAGUUGGUACAAAACAAAUGCGCAUAAGUCUCCUAUAUUGGCACGAAUUGUUAGAGAUAUUUUAGCAAUUCCAAUUACAAAUGUUGCUUUUGAAUCAACUUUUAGCAUUAGUGGCUCGAGUACCGUAAUAGGCUUUCAUUUAAGCACAUUGGAGGCUUUAAUGUGUUGUCAAGGUUGGCUGAGAGCUUACAAUGGUAGUAAAAAUUUAUUUUAUAUUGUAAUUAUGUUAUAUAAUUAUUAAUAUUUUCACUUAUAAGUUACAUUACUUAUAAUUUCCUUUUUUAUUGUAGGAUUAUGAAGAUAAUUAUUAUGGUAAUUUUUAUUUUGUAAUGGAUUAAUGUUAAUAUAAGAUAUAUCAUCAAACUUUAUUUUUAUUUAAUUUUUUUAUUUAAUAUGGUUAAAUUAAAAUCGAAAACUAAAAAAUGUAUUAGUUAUUCGGAUAUCGGGGACUCUCGGGGAUCCUCUAUUAUUAUUCAAGGAGGGGAUGGGGAGGGAACGGGGACAUAUGCAGAAUAUCGGGGAUGGGUAUGAGGAGGUCGGUCUCCUCCCCUUCCCUCCCCAUUGCCAUCCCUACUAGAAAUAUUGCAAUCCAAAACUAAGAAAGUUAAAACCAAUUAUUGGAAGGAAAAAGUAAGAUGGAAGCUCCCAGAAUAUUGUUAUGUGUUGUUUGUUUUUUAGUGUGUAUUUCUCAAUCAAUAAUGAAAAAGUAAGUACACAUGUUACAAAAAAUUAAUAAAGAAGAUUGGAGGUGACUAAAUCUUCUAAUUAACUUUCUCUCCUUUGGAAUUCCUUAAUUUGGUAGAGAUCGCUUAAGUGGUGUAUCUAUUAUAAAUACUCCGAUGUGGAAGUUAAUGUUUUUAAUUGUUAAGAAAAGUUAGAAGAAGAAAUUUUUGUACAAAAGAAUCUGGUUUAAAUUUGGAAUUCUUUAGCUGGAAAUGAGUCUAAAUUCUAACGAUACAAUUUAGCACUAAAUAUUAGUUGGGUGAAAAAUUAAUUUCGCUCCUUUGAUGUGAUUUUGGUCGUUUAUUUUCAAAUUAGGGUAAUUUUUUGUUUAGAGUGUAGCUAUUGGCUCCCCGUCAUUAUGCUUAUAUAAUCCUACUUCAAAUAAAAUUACACUUAAGAACAAUAGAAUUAAAUAAAUAUAGUUUUUUUUUCAAAACAAAUUACUUACAUUCGUAAUCAUUUUCUUUUUAAUUUUUUACAUGUUGCUUCAUAUCUAACUAAAAUAAUUGUACAAAUUUAAAAAAAUCUUUAUUCAUUCCAAAUUUCUUAUUGAUUAAAUAUUUUUGUACUUAGGAUUGCUUUAAAAUUAUAAUGUAAAAAAAUUUAAUUUAAUCUAGUGAUUAAAAUUUAUCACCUAAAAACAUUUUUAAUUUAUGUGUAGGAAAAUAAUAAGAUUGCAAAAGACAAGAAAAAUAGUACAACACUACUCUGAGUUUUAAAAAAUAAAAAAAAUCAAAUGAAAAAUUAGAAGUGUAUUAAACAAAAAGAAUAUUUUUAGAAAUAAAAUAAAUGUACUUAAAAAAAAAAAGAGAUUUCAUGAUGAUAUUAGAUGGGUACAAUAGUCAAAUUCUUUUGUUUUAAAGUUUUAAGAUGUUGGUAUUUGUAACUUAGCCUAUCCCUAAUUAUUCUAUUAAAAUGUAUAAACAACGAUGAUCAACCCUAAUUUCAUGGAGGUCAAAGAUUUUGGUCACGCUCGCGUGAAUUACUUGGGACGUACUUUAUGUAAAUUUAUUUACAUUAAAUAAUUGGGCCAACGCUAUAUGAGGCGCCGCCUGGAGGCAUAGAAUUUUAUAUGUCAAAAGUGCGUUUCGCUUCAAUUAAGCCAUGAAUGUCGCUUAGUAUACUCAUUUUGUAUUUAAAAAAGUUUUAUUAAUUUUUUAUUUAUAAAAAUGUGGUUUAUUUAUUUAUUUUUAAAUUUUUUAAAGAUAAAGGGAUGGGUUAAAAUACAAAUUUCAAUUUUUAUCCCUUACAUUCUGUCUCCUAAGAUUUAAACUUAGUUACCAACCAAAUGCGUAAUAAUAGGUAUGUCAAAUUUCAUUUCAAAUGAUAUGUAAUUAAUUAAGUGACUGUUAAUUCUUUACAAGAUCUAAACAAAUUACUUAUAUUAUCUUAUCAACCAAUUGAUAAAAUGUCACGUUAUGAAAGGUCUUUGGAAGAAAAUUCUACUCAGCAAAUAUUGCCUUCAAUGUGUUAUAUGUAUUAUUUACUCCAAACUUACUCGUCAAAACAAUAAAUAAUAUUAUUGCCAAAAUUACUUGUAAUAUCACUUAAAUGCAACAAUAAAUCAUAAAUGAGAUAAAUCACUAAACCCUUCAAUAGAAUAUUUUAAAGCCAAAAAAAGGCAUCGAUUCAUUAUGGUUCAGAUGAUUUCAAGCCAUAUGUCCUUGUUGGGAUAAAAAUAAAGUAAAAUGGUUAAAACUAUUUUUACGUAAUUUAUAAAAAUUAAUGAAGCAAUUAAAAUUUUUUUAACUCGAAAAAAAAUUAAAAUGUGUAUGGAAAAAAGAAAAAAGAAGACACUUAAAUAUCUUUUUAAAGAACAUGAUUAAGUAAAAUCAUUUUAAAGAAUGGUCUUCCAAAUGCAAUUCCACAUUUUUUUAAUUGCAUUGGGAUAUUGCAAAAUUGGCACAACUCAUUAAGAAUUCGCAGUUCAAUUUUUAUUUAUCUCUCUAUGCAUUUGACAAAUUAAAAAAAAAUCCAUAUAUCUUCUAUUCAAAAGAAACCUUGUUAAAUACUGUAAAACACAUUACUAAUUUUUUUUUUCAUUUAUGUCAUUAUAUCGUCACUAUUUUCUCGCCCACUUUCUGAAAAUAGAAUCAAUAUUUGUUGAUGGGUUAGGUUCCAAAGUAAGCACCAAUUCAAGAAAAUGGUUUUAUAGCAGAAAAAGCACUUGUAAGACAUUCAAAGCACUUUUUUCCAUUUUGUCUUUUGAAAAUGAGUCUGGAGUCUCCGCAAGCCAAGAAGAAUGGCUAACAAAUGUAUGGUACCAAAGAAAGAGAAACACACACACACACACAGAUUAUUGUUGAGAUGUAUAUGUGUGUAUAAUAUAUUAAUAUGUAUAUAUAUCCCCAUUAAUUGUUGAUAGUCCAAUGGGUAAAAGGAAAAAAUUGGCCGUCCUUUAAGACAAAAUUCAUUGUCAUAUGAAAAUGUUAACCACAAAACAAAAAUAAAGAUUCCAAGAACAAAUUUGUGGUCCCCUUUUUGUCCAAACUUACAUGAUAGAAAUUAAUGUUUAAAUGACAGUUGAAAAAUGUAGAUCCUCACGCAAUUGAUUAAAUAUUUAUAGUAGGAUGGAGUGAUAAAUAGUUUCUCAAAAUUAUUGGAAUUAACUAUUUAAUACAUGAGAUUUAUCUCAUUAAGGAUAAAAGAUUAAGAUGCUACUUCAAAAGCAUAACGUUGCCAACAAUAAAUUUAACACAAAAGUUUAAUUAACUUUCUUAGUUGAGAUAAUAAAAUUUCGUGUUGAAAAUAAAAGGUUUGAGGUUCGAACCUUGUCAUUCAAGAAAAUCAAGUCAAAAUUAUUACAUCUUCCAGCACAUACCAAAGAUUUUUUUCAAAGGCAGACUGAUAAUUCAGGAUUAAAAAAAAACAAAAGGAAUAUAUGCUAUUCAAGACAGGUAUACCUUGAUUCUCAAAAAAAAAAAAGACAGGUAUACCUUGGACAUGAAGUCUGAGUCCAGAACAAGAAGCACCUAGCUGAUCUUUCAAUUUCCAAAACCGAACGAAAUCUUUGUCAAAAUAUCUGAUCUAGUCUCAUAUUAAGCACAUUCACAGCCGUAUCAACAGGGUCAAAAUAUUUUCCCCAAAAAGAGACACAGAUUCCCCUGAAGUUGAGUUGUGACUGUCCAAACUGCUAUAAUUAUAUGGUUCAGGAUACCAUGCCUGUGAAUCCUUUUUUUUUUUUUCAUGUUUCUAAGUCUAUCAAAUGAAAAUGUAAUUAUAUGGUUCAGGUUACCAGUAUGCCAGAGAUGCAAAGGUUGACUUCCACUAUCCUAUCAGGGCCUAUACUUUCUAUUGAAUUUCCUUUUUUUUUUUUAAAUUGCAAGAUUUAUUUUUGGAAAUCUUUGACAUUGAUUCUCAGUAGCAACUUUUUUUUUCUUUUUUCUUCUUUUAAAAAAAGGAAGCCAUAUAGAUAAUGCUUUAAACAUUAUUUGCAACAAGGAACGAUUAUUUCAUGCUUUCAGGUAUUACAAGCUUUCCAGAAAUGCUAGCAAGAAAAUAUGAAGGAACUUUACCUAGUCACAGAAUAUGUACUGCCUUUAGCACAAUUGUUAUGAAGUGGCUUCUGCAUCAGAAGAUUCUAGCUCCCACCAAGCAUCCUUAUCUUCCUUCUGGAUACAGUCUGCAUCGCUGGGCAUGAAUUAUAUGAUUGAUGUCUGCAUCCUCACUUACAUCAUCCCAAUCAAGCGCUUUUUCUCUACCUCUGAAUUAUAAGCCCACUUCAAUCUCUUCAAAACAUCCUGGUCAUUCCAUCACAGCUGAUACGUCUUCCUUCCUUGCUUCCCCAUUAAUGAAUCCCUCUAAGAAAAAAAAACAUCAGCAAUUCUCUUCAACGUCCCAUCAUUCAUAUACCCUGCAACACCCGUCUUUAGACACCUCAACGUCGCCUCCUGCAAAACCUCCACAAAAUCUGAAUCAUCCGACACAAACACCAAACACCCAAACCUUCUUUUGUCCAUCAUAUCCACCAUAUAAUUCCUCAACAAAACAUCGGCAGCUUGUAGCUUAUCUGACAUUGUCCUGACCCAAAACCACACUCUUUUCAACUUUACUACCAAACUAUAACCCACUUUUGGAGUCAAAGUUGCCUUUGAAGCCAUUUUAUAUGUUUCCAUCCUCAUUGAAUAGUUGCCAACCAAAUGCUCUCUCAUCUUCCCUUUGGCUGAUUCUAUUUGAUUUAACCUCUUCUUUUGUUCACGCUUAUGAAUUUGCUUAAAAUGAUUAACAAGCUUGUCAUUAUUAUAAAGUCUCAAGUCUCCUUCCACAAUCACCAAUACAUAUGGCUCAGCAGGCCUAAUUACACCCUUGAUUUCCAAUUGGUUAAACAAUUCUUUAAUUUUCUUCUCUUUGCUCUCUUGCAACUCGAGGCACAUAACUAAACGCUAGGCUAUUAGCAUGUGCCACCAUGUACUUAACAACCCUAAAUGACGAUAUUGAUUUUUUUCAAUUUAAUGGUCGCUUCACAAUGGGGUAUUAAUUUAGAUUUUGUUAUCCAAAUAUCAAAGAAUUCCUACAUUGUGUUGGACAGUUUCUGGUUCUAAAGUUGAUGACCGGUCUUGCCAAUUAGGCUCCGAAUGAGAACUUCUAAACAAUAAGACAAAUGGGUUCUGGGUUUCUAAUCUUGUAAACUUUGUUCUACUGUAUAACUUAUGAAAUUGCUGAAACAUCACUAUAGCUACAGGCCUUUAUGUGUCAAUGAACUACAGAAGCUAAUGAUCUACCUGUAGUAGACUUCUAUUAUCCCUGCCGUUCCAGGAAGACAAAUAAGUUGAGGAACUACUUCUGGACCAAUAUUGCCACUGCUUUGGGCCAAUCUGAGAGGGAAAGAAGGUUGAAGUUCCUAAAUUAGGUACAUCAUGAUUUGAUAGAAGUACCACUUCGAGGAACAAUUGAUUUCAGGGCAGUGCUAAAAUAUGACAUAAUCUCCCCCCAAAGGCCUAAAGCAACUUCUCUUAGCGUAUCAAGAAAUGACAUCAACCAAGCAAAAAUAUAUAAACCAGUUGAGAUACAAAGUUAUCAUAAAAUUCAAUUUUGAUCACAAAUCCAUUAAAAUUGUUGAGAUACAAAGUAAUAAGAAAUGGAACAAAGGUGUAAAUCGAACACCAAAAGAAAUUUAUUUGGCCAGCCACAUUAUGUUCCCACACAGUCAACUAAUUAAGUUAAUAAUUAAAGGGAAUCAAAAUCUAAGAAAUCCCAUCUUCAAGCAGGAUGAAGACACACUAGGACCGAGAAUCACAAAAUCAUAACAAGCUGACUUGAAAAGCUCAAAGGUACCUUCAUCAGCCCCUUAACUAAUAUCUGAGAACAAAUGCCUGCAGCUUGUGAAGGCAUAGAUCAUUCAAGCAGAUAAAACAACAAGCAACUAGUCGCAUAUGUACUCAGCAACUUUCUAAAGUUAAGGCAUAAAACAACAACAUAGAAUAAAUUAAUUAAAUGUACCAACACUACUACUCUCAUUAUUAUCCAAAUGUAGAAGCCCAAUGCAUCAAACAAGGAAAAUGAGAUACUGUUAAUAACUCAAAAACCAUGAUGGUCAAGAACUAAACAAUAGUAAACUAACAAGUAAAACCCGUAAUCAAACACAACCACAUCAAAAUUUUUGAAAAUUGAGGUCUAAACAUUGAAAACAAUUAGGCAUAUACAAUAGUUAAUCAAAACAAACCCUCAAAACAAUAAUGAACUGUCAUAAGACAGAAACUAAAGUUUAAACUAACGCAUACCCUGUAACAGUGGUCAACUAACAAGUCAAAACCACAAUCAAACAUAGAAUUUUGAAAUCCAUACGAACCCUAACAUAUUACAAUGAAAGGAUAAGGAUAACUACUUGAUAAACUAGACUCCAACAAAAACAUACCUAGUUAAAAAAUGAAGGUAAAUAAAUAAAAAUUGUAUAAAAUUGCGAAAAAAUAGACAAAAUGAUGAGAAAACAGGGAUCUUAUGAAGAGAAAUGUAGACAAAAUCUUCAGGUGUCGAGAAGAUGCCUUUCUUUGUUGACUUUUGUGCCUGUACAUACUUUUUUUUUUUCUUUGAAGAAAAUACUAGUUAUAUAUUAUCAGGACGAAAUAUUACAAGAUGCUAGCAAUUUCAACAGGGACAAUCUUCAAUCCAAAUGUACCCCUAUGAAAAAGAAAAAGCCAACUUGGCUAAUUUGUGAGCCACCACAUCACAAUAUCUAGGUACAUGUUUAACUAUAUAAAUCAGAAGCUCUAUUAAUCAUAAGUCCCUUGACCUCCAAUACUAGCCAACUAAUCUCUUUCCUGCUAGACAAGCUUCCAUCAAUCAGACUAACAAUAUUUACUGAAUCAUAUUCUAAAAUUAAUGGAGUUAGACCCACUUCAAUUGUAAGCUUAAUCUCCUUUAAAAGCGCUUCCGCUUCUGCAAAUUCCACAUCAUUAGAAAAAGACCUUCCAUUGAUUGACGCCACCGUGAAUAUGCACGUAUCAAGGAAUUUUUAAAAGCCCAAUGAUGAUUUUUUAAAAAUAUGUCAUCACAUGUGCAUUCUUUUAAUGUAUUGUUAAGAUUAAUCUUUGCUUAAAAAAUCAUAAAUAAUCAUGAAUUUUUAUUAAUGGUCUUUACCAAAUGCAUGCACAGAAGCAAAUUAUGUUCUCGUUGCAAAGUAGUCAUUUAUUCACCAUAAAUAUUAACGUCACACUUUUAGGAUGCUCAAUAUAUGCAUAAUAUUGGGUAAUUUUUAAAGACCUCCCUGAGGUUUGGGGUAUUGACACUUAAAUAGAAAGUAUGUUUGUAAUUACAUAAACCUCCCUUGCCGUUUCUAUUUCCAUCCAAUGACGGUAAGUAGAUCAAUGAAAUGACCAAAAUAUCCCUAAGGCCAAAAAGAAAUUCUUAUAGCAACUAGUAGGUCACUGUUUGUUAAUUGGAUGAAAUAUGUAUUGCUCGCAGCACACUGAUGAAAUGAUGAAAAUAACUAUGAUAACCAAAUAUUUGACAUUGCAUACUCAUUAACUAAAAAAAAAUAAUAAAAUAUUGCUGAAAAAAUUUAACAAUUUCUAAACUUCAAUUAAGAAAUCAUAUUUGCUUCAAGCAAUUCAAAAAUAAAAAUGCCAUUUUUAUCACACAACCCUCGAUUAGUAAAUUUUUAUAGUCCCAUUGAGAUUAUAAAAUCAACAGAACAUUCCAGAAGAAAAUAUACAUAUUUAUGGUUGAAACUACAAACACAAAAAUAUACCAGGUGAAAAAAAAUUUGAUUUCAAAACCAAUCAAAGAGCUUCUUUGGUCUUAGUAGUGCUCCUAGUUGCACAAUAUUUUGCAGCCAGUUCCUUUGCCUUAAGAAAUUCUUGUCCAUCUAGUUUCAAUCAUUGCCCUUUUCUCUUCUACUUCAUUGUUAAGUAAGAAUGUAAGAUCUAUCUUAUUUUUUCGUUUUUCAAGUAUAAUUCUACCUUCUUCCUCUCUAAUCAUUCCUGUCAAUUAUUGAAUAUGCUGAAGAUGAAUCGAAUUAUUUAUUAAAUAUGUGACAUUAGCAGAGAGCACACUAAAAUGCCAAAACCUAAAGGACUUGUGGUUGUGCGGGAUUUUUUUUCAAAGAAAAUAAGCAACUGAAAUUGAACUUAUAUUAUGGGAAAAACAAGAGAGUUGAAUAUGCAUUAACACAUAAAUAAGUAUUGCAUUUGAGGAUGAUGAAGAGCUUCAUAAUGUUGUUUCUAUGCAAAAUUUAUUUUGAUUAAACAUAUCAUAGCUAAGCCUGUAUUUCAUUUUUAAUCAUUUCAUAACAAGAUGAAAUCCUAAGCAAUUACUUGGAAAGAACAAUAAUCAAUAGUUUUUUAAAUGAGAAAGAAGACUCAAAAUUUAUGAAAUUUAGAGUAAACACGAGCUACAUACAAAAAAAUCACAAUAUGUAGGUAUUCACAACCAGUGAACACUAAUCAAGUUAUAGUUAGAUACACAAGGUGAAACGUUAUAUGAAAAAGUAACAUUUGAAACCCAUUUAAAUUGUAUUUGCGAUUAAACCCAUCUAAAUCUUAAAUUGUAAUCACAAAUAUAAUCCUAAAAAUUAUUUUAAUUUUAAAAAAAUCUCAAUUUUUUUUCAUUUCAAUUUUAUUAUAAAUGGAAUUGAAUUUGCGAUUACAAAGCUAAAACCCAUUUUUGUUUAACAUAAAAAUCACAGAAAACAACUAAUUUCUAAUAUGCAAUGGUUUGUUUGGCUAGUACGAGUCAAAGUUGAAUACAUGUAGUAGCUUUUUCAACAAAUCAAAGACAACAUUAAAUCUAUUUUUAAAACACAGCAUCAAAUCAACCAAACGGCUCUAACUUUAACAUGGAUUGAGUUAUUUGAAAUUUUCACCUACUACGAGGUUUAAUCAUUGUCACGUUCCUCAUCGAUCACAGGCAAUGGUCACUCAAUGGCACCAUUGUUCAUCACUUUAUUGUUCAUCACUCUUCUUCAAAACCGAGGCUUCUUCAGACUUGAGCUUCAUUUGGCGAGGUCAGAGCAUAAAGAGAAGAAUUUAUGUUUGAGAUUGUUAAUUAACGAUCAACCCCCGCUGUUGUCACUUUAUUGUUCAUCACUCUUCUUCAAAACCGACGCUUCUUCAGAUUUGAGCUUCAUUUAUUGAGGUCAGAAGCAUAAAAGAAGAAUUGAUGUUUGAGAUUGUUAAUUAACGGUCAACUCGGUCACUUUAUUGUUCAUCACUCUUCUUCAAAACCGACAUUUCUUCAUAUUUGAGCUUCAUUUGGUGAGGUCAGAAGCAUAAAGAGAAGAAUUUAUGUUUGAGAUUAUUAAUUAACGGUCAACUCGGUCAUGAGGUUGCUUUUGAUUUUUUUAUUUAAAUAACUUUUUUAUGAAAUUACCCUCGUACAUUGACAAGAUACCAAAUGAAAUACAAACGGCAUGGGAGGUCUAUAUAAUUAUGGUCACACUCUAUCUAAGUGUCAAUACGCCAAACCUCAGGGGAGGUCCCUAAAAAUUACCCAUUUAAUAUUACAUCUACACCACUAUCUCUCUUUCCACCAAUACUAUCUUUGUUUCCAAGUUGUUAAUUAUUGCUUUAUUAGGUAUGCCUCUAGUUAAACAUUAUUAAUAUCGAUUUUCAUUUGGUUUUUGAUGAAUUCAACCAUAUAUAAGAGUAAGGUCGUUGUUCAAGUACACAUUCACCAAACUUUUCCCUUGGAAUCAGGGGCGGAGACAACAUAUUAAUUGACUGGGGGCUUACUCAACGGCGAUAAAAAAAAUUUAAAAAGUAAUAAAUAAUAAAUUUAAAAGAUUUUUAUCAUACUUCAAUAUAUGUUUAUAAUUGUCCUUUACGAGUUUUCAUACAUUGAUAAUGUUGUAUUACAACUUCAUUAUCAAUAUUAUUGCGGGCUGUUUAAAAAUUUGAUUAAUAUUAAUAUUUAUGGGCUUGAUUUUAGUUUGCAAAGCCCAUCUCUUUUUAUUUGUUUUAAAAACUUAGAGUGUGAGAAUUUAAGUAUAAUUAAGUAUUAGGGACUUGAAUAUAAAUUAGUGGGGCUUAGGAAAAUUUAAUUAGAAAUUUUUGGCAAAUCAAAUUAGUUAGUAAAAGAUUUUUUUUUUUUUUUCAGUGGGGACUUAAGUCCCCACUGGUCCCAAGCUAGAUCCGCCACUGCUUGGAAUUAAGCCAUAUAAAUAAUGCUUUAAACUUUGUUUGCUACAAGGAUGUUUUGCUCACAUAAUAUGGUCAUGCAAGAAAGAAAUAAUAUUGAUACAUCCUAAAAAUAACACGCAUUCUCCUAUUGUAAACCAAACAAUUUAAGCUAAUGGUGCCAAGUGAAGGAAUUGUAAUUUCAUGUACAUUUUGUUAACACGAAAAUAGAGAACUUUAUUAUAGUUUUAUUGUUUGACACACAUUUGGGUAGCAAAAUAAGGGUACAAAAUAGACACAUGAAGUGACAAACUAAGCUUAUUAUAAUAAAUAUUUAAUGAUAAGGUAUAAAUUUAAUCGCAAAUACAUAAGUAACGCACAAAGUCACUAAUUGAUAUCAUCCACGAUGCAAGUUCAAACAACUGCAUAAUAAGUUGCCUCAUGCUAAAUUAUUAAUUUGGUAAUUAUUCCAGUCGAUAUGGGAUAAUUUUCCUAUCNNNNNUUAAUUAAUUAANNNNNAGAAGCUACGUACGGUAUAGUUAUGGCUAACCGUACACUGUACGUAGCUUGUUAUUGUUCUAAACACAAGACGACUGAAACGAGACACAUCACACGAACGACAGCAAAUAAUUAAGGUAGCCACAGCUAGCUUUCGCUGCUAACGAUGGAUAUAAUUUCUUUCAUUGAUAAGCAACUAGCACUCGAAGUAACAGAAGCACGCAUAACCAGUUCCUUGUCUGUAGCAAGCCCCGUACCUUGCAUCCUCCUGCUGCUUGCAGUGCCUGCUACAUUUCCCCGUGUUGAGACACGGCCCCGACCAUGUCUUGCUACGCCGCUGGCACACUUUUGCUUCCGCCAUUGGCACUUCUGUAACAAGCAUACAAAAUCAUUAACGUGCACUUAGAUAUAUAAGUUAUUAUCAAAGCUCAUGGGUGUCAACAAAUUCAGGUGGUAAAAUGAUCUCUUAGGUUGAAACAAGAAGUCUGAGGUUUAAACUCUGCUUACAUGAAUGGAAGAGUGCUUUAUAUUACAAUAUACCAGUAUACAAACACACACACACACACACUAAAAUCUGAAAUAAAAAAAAAAUUGUUAUGAAAGUUUAAUAUGCAUGCAUAUGAAACAUAUAUAUGAUUUUGCUUCCCCUCUGGCAUUUCUGUAACACAUACACAGCAUAUUUAAUGCACUCAGUUAGCUAAUAUUAGUUAGGCACGUGGGCUUAUGAAUGGUAUUUAGUGUCAGACUCAUGCGCAAGUAUGCCCUCAUCGCUUAAGAGCAGUUAUUCAAGAAAACUUCAACUAUAAACUAACUUUUGAGUAUGAGUUAGGCUCAAGUCUUUUUGAAACUGCACAACUUAAUAUCAUAGGCAAAACUUAAAAUUAAAUUUUGAUUGCUGAAAAACUAUUAAGUACUGGUUAACAUCAAGUCACUCACCGAAGGAAGCAAAGAGUAUGAAGAACGCAAAAAUAAGAGCAAAAGCUGUGGUAAUGCUAGCAACUGACUUAGCCAUUUUUGCACUUGCUUUGGUUUUAAUUUGAUGAAAUUGCUGAAGGCCCCAACCCCUAUUUAUACUUGGAUAUAAGCUGUCUCUUCGUCUCUAGCCAAGAUCCGCGAGAGACAAAGAAACAAUAAAUUAAUUAACCGGGGAAAUUUGAAUUAGACACUAAAAAAUGAAUUCACGCUCGGAUUAUUGACAAAAAAUUUUACAGUUUAUGCAAAUAAUUGUGAAUUAGAAUGACGUCCUGCCAAUUGCUAUAUUAUAUGCACUCUGAAGUAGUCUUAGGUAGUUGAAAUCUUCAAAUUUAAAUAUAAUACGCAAUGCGAACUUCAAUGACCCAUUCUUCCCCAUAACCUUGUCAUUGACAAAGAUUUUACAGUUUAUUCAGAUAAUUGUGAAUUGAAAUAGUGUCCUGCCAAGUGCUCUAUUCAUUAUUUCAUAUGCACUCUGAAGUAGUCUUAGUUAAAUCUUAAAAUUUAAAUAUCAUAUUCAAUGCCCGACUUCAAUGACCCAUUCUUCCCUAUAACCUUGUUAAACCACCCUAUCGGAUUCUGUAUAUUCUAUUUAUUGUGUGGUUAAUUGUUCUUAUCAAUCGGAUCUAUGACAUACAGCGCUUCAUCUACGUAGCAAAAUGAUGGUGCAAGUAUAAUUUUCUAUUGCUAUAACAGAAAAUUAAACGUUUUAUUCAUACUAUUACUUUUAUAAGUUUUAUGUAAACUUUUAAAGACCACAUUGAAAAGAUAAAUUCACUCUUGUUAUCAUUCAAUUUAGCUUAAGGUCAAUUUAUACCAGAAUAUUGAGAAGAUAGAAAGAACUUAAACAUCAUACUAAAUAGAGGAUUUCUUCCAUAUUUUUAAUACUAUAAUGUCGAUGAUACGUACUAUUUUUACAUUCAAUGAUGAAAAUGAUUUUGGCUCAUAUUAGUCUUAAUAAAGAAGAAUUAAUAUUUAGGAUCAUAAAGUGAUCCCUUUUUUAUGAAAUUCUUAUUUAUUUCUGACAAAAAAUCUUAAAGAUAACAAGACAACUGAAGAGAAAAUUCUCCAAACAUACAUAAAAACCAUGACAACAAAAAUGAAAAUGAGCCAAAGCAUUUCUUGAUUACAAAUUCUUGGGACAUAACAGAUUCGAAAAUCUUACUUUGAUACAGGUAAGUGUUAGAGAUUAGAAAUAAUAUGAAACAACUAUGUAUGAGUAUGAUGGAUACCCUAAAUCAGCUAAACAACGCACAACAUAGUCAUCCUAAUCUUAUUAAAGGGAUGUAUCUUCGACAACUUAUUUGAUCUCUUAUGCUGUGGGGCCAAAUUCAUUUAUGUGGGGGAAAUUUGUGAACUAUGACCUUCAAAUUCUUGUACGUGUAAGGUAAGAACUCUCGUCUAAAAGCCUUGUUUUAUUAGGUGAUUAUUGACAUAGACAAAUAACAUAUAGCAAUUGAUUAGUGAUUACGACAAUGUUGAUGCGUAAUCAAAUAGAAUAUUUAUGAUUUUUUUAUGCUCAUCGGAUGUUAAUAAGAUAAGAAUCGCGAUGAAAAGUUCAUCAAUGUAUAUGGUACGCAUGUUGAUAGAGGACAAAAACAUUGUUUGAAAUUAAUAUUUUUUUGGGUUUAAAGGUAUUGGACUUUUCUUCUUUGACUAUGGAUAGUAGUUUUUUUUGGAAUCAAAUACAGUAUGAUUAUUUGAACAUAUUAAAAUACUCAAUAAACAUGUUUACUAAAAUACUCUUAUUAAAGAUUUCUCUCAUUGUUUCUUUUUCAACCCUCCAUCCACUCUUAAUUCUCUCCCAUCUUUUAUCUGCCAGUAUUGUCUUAUCUAGAAUAGAAAUUUAGGCUAUGGACAUCUAGUAAUAAAAAUUUAAAAACUUAAAUAAAAAAUGAAAAAAUGAGUCUAAUGAGCAAUUUUAUGGGUUCAAAUAAUUAAUUCCGCCUACUCAAGUGCCAGUAUUGUCCUAUCUAUAAUAUAAAUUUAGGCUAUGGACAUUCUAGUAAUAAAAAUUUAAAAACUUAAAUAAAAAAUGAGUCUAAUGAGUAAUUUUAUGGGUUCAAAUAAUUAAUUCCUUCUACUCAAGUAUUAUUCUUUUAUUUCUGGAUAAUAGUAACAAAGUACGAUUUCAAAGAUAACAAUUCAGAUGGGUAGGAAAGUCUUCCAAUAAAUAUUAGAUAUUUAAAUUAGUAGUUUGAAGAUAAAAUACUAGUAGGAUCAUGGAGCGGGGACAUGACUGGAUUAGCAACAAUGUUUUUAAAAGGUAGAGAUGUGGGUAAAAAUUAAAAUGCUUUUUUAAUAUUUAACAUCAAUUAAAUAAGACUUCUUAAAAAGUAGUUGGCUAGAUCCUGGAGGUGAUUACCUGCAAAAUUCAUUACAUUGAUGAAGGAGUAUCUAAUUAGCAGAUUUGAUAUUACUCCUAUAGUUAUAGGAUGGAUAAAAGUAUUAAUUGGAAAAAAGUGUUAAUGGAGAAUAAAUGGUGGAUAUCAUUAUGUGGCUCGAACUCAUAUGCAGAUACGCUAUUACUGCACUCGCAUGAAGUGAAAAUAGAUUUGUUGGACAUCCCUUAUUCAUAUUUUUUCUCAUUAGUCAUAAUUGUCCCAUAGACAAUAACAAAUGUAGGAUUUUAAAAUGAAUAAAAAAGGUUCUUUUCAAUAAUCUCAUAUUUACAAAUUUUAUUUUCUUUUAGUGUUUCCAAAAAAGAGAAACAUGUAAAAAAUAUAUAUUAGCUUGUUAUACGAUUCUUUUUGGUCAAGUAGUGACAGUGCUUCAUAUGUGGCUCGAACUCAUACGCAGAUACGCUAUUAUAAAUUGCAAUCCUACCUAUAAUUAGGUUGAAUGACCAAAUGAAGAUACAAUAAUCUUGAACUCACAUAUAAAAUUGUAACAGUAGGAACAAAUAAUGUGAAACAUUAAACCAAACAAUAUUCAGUCAUAGUUCAAGGUAUACAUUUAUAAAAAAAAAAAAAAGCACAAUAAACAUCGAUUAUUUUCAUGAAAAUAGCCACAUAUAACCAACAGUAAGGUUACUUAUUAUUUUAAAUAUUAUUUCGUGAAACAGCUGCAGCUACAUAGCUGACCAACACAACAGUAGCUUGUUAUUUCCAAACACAAGAGGAAUAAACACCCAAAAGCAGCAAAAGGCAUGAAUGCAGCUUCUUCAAGUUGAGUAACUAUAGCUAGCAAUUGAAGAAGCAGAAGCAGGCAAAACCAAGGCCAUCUCUGUGGCAAGCACCGCUACUUGCACCCUCGCGUUCUCGGCACUGUUUAUCACAGUCUUCUGUUACGAAGCACGGGCCAGUCCAAGUCUUACUACGCCGCUCGCAUAGUGCAGCCUCUGCCGGCUUUGCCAUUUCUGUAAUACACAACACUUACACAAAAUGAUUAAUUUCUAGUUAAUUAAAUUUUAUAAUGCAUGCGUGCUUGCAGAAACUUAUCAUCAUGAAGUACACAUCAAUGUCACUCACCGAACGAAGCGAAGAUGAUGAAGAAUGCAAAAAGAAGAGCAAAAGUCAUUGUAAAGCCAGAAACAGAUUUAGCCAUUUUAAUUUUUAUUUGUUGCACUUGCUGAACUGGUUUAUUAUUUCAUGAAAAUGGUAAGUGACCGUAGCCCCAAUUUAUACACUUGCAAUGUAAGCUAUCCCUUCCCUUUUUGAGAAAGUUUCGAUGAAAUUUUUAGACCUUACUAGUUUUUUAAUAUAUCGAUAAAGUGCAAGGUUUAAUUGUUGUUUUGUAACCAUCUCCCACGUUGGGAAUAUGUAAAACAACAAAUAUAUCAGUACCAACAAAGACAGAUAAAUAUUUUCAGCCGAUGUGGCAAACAAGGUUGUGAGGCCAAAAUAAAAUAUUUACAAAGUAAUGAGGUAAAAAUGUAAAAUUUAAAAAUAGUUAAAUUUUAUAAUUUUAUAAUUAUUUUCAAAUCUUUUUCUUUUACGUUGCUUUCUAAAAAAUUUCAAAAAGUAAGCCGGGGUUUACCCUGAUUUUUUUUUUUUUUUUUGGUUUUUUUAACUUUAAAAUUUCAAAGAUAAGUUAGGGUUGCCUUGAAAGCCUUUGCUAUAGGUUGCAUUACUUUUUGAAAAAUUUUCAAAAAGUCAGGGGUCACCUUGCGCAAACGCUCUUCCGCUUCUAUAUUUAUAUUAAUCUCGAACUUACUUCAAUAUAUAUCUAGUUUCCCUAUCAAGUGAUAACAUAACAUCACUGCUACAAUAAUCCUAAACUUUCAUAUUGUUGGGUGUGGGUACAUAGAGAUACAUCAACAAUGGUACAAUGAAACUUCAUCGGGGCCAGACCAAUAACUUAAUUAUAUCUAGGAUGUAAUGGGAGGGGAAAAAAAUUCGAUCCUACACAAAUAAUUUUGGGAAAAGGACACAAGGACCCCCAACGUUUGAGUAAGGGACACAAAACUCCCUAAGGUUUUAAAAAAGAUACGCAGACCCCAAUUAAUUAACGGAAAUCGUUUCGUUAAAUCACUACAAGGUUAAUACCGUAAUUACAAAUUAAAAACAAGUGAAUUGACUAAAACCCACACACACAUCACACGGACAAACAAACCCCACACACACUGAUUCCAGACAAAUCUUUUAACACACACUCACGGUUUGCCUUGCCGAAAGCUGCUGGGGUUGCCGGAAGUUGCUGGAACUGGUCACGCUACUGGAAGCUGCUGGAACUGCUCGUGCGUCGAUCGAGACUGUGUCUGGUUGCCGGAUCUGCUCGCGAUCAACGUUUGGCUGCUGGUUGUGCUGUUGGAACUGCUGGAAUCUCGCGUUUGGCUGUUGGAACUGCUCGUGUUUGGUUGCUGCUCUUGCUUGUGGAAUCUCGCGUUUGGCUGCUGCUUGUGCUCGCGUUUGGUUGCUGAUCCUGCCUGUUGAAUCUCACGUUUGGCUGCUGCUCUUGCUUGUGGAAUCUCGCGUUUGGCUACUGCUUGUGCUCGCUUUUGGUUGCUGCUCUUGCUUGUGGAAUCCAGGGUUCAAUUCUCUUAAGUCCUAUUUUUUCUCUUUAAUUUUCAUUUUUUUUACUAAAUUAACUUCUCUAGCAUGUUUGAUGCAUAUGUGAUGUAUGUGCAAGAAUAUAAAUAAAUGAUUACGAGAAUUUUUUUUUUUUUUUUUUAUGGUUGUUUGAUGAACAGAGUUCUUAAUUUGUCUGAUUUAUUGGAGAUUUCUUGCUAAUUACUUUUGUUAUUUCUUUUCUUUAUCAAUUUUUAGAUGUGCAUGGAAUUUUCUUUAUCAAAUUUAUUUUGUUAUAUCUAACCAGUUGGGCUAGAAUUCUACCUAGGUGAGAUAUUAUGCAUUUUUUUAAUGGUCCUGGAGCAUGUGAAUUUUGUGCUUAAUUUAUUAAUGAAAAGAAUGUAUUGGUUUGCAGAUGGUUGAUCAGCCAUCCCAAAACCUGAAUACUCACUCACUUUAUUCUUUUGAACAAGAAGAUGAUGAAGCAUAUUGGUCAAAUGAUGACAAUGAAGACAUAACACCUGCUGAUGAUGAAAUAGGAUUAAAUUGGGAUGAUGAGGGAGUGGAUGUUGGGCAUAGUGAAGGUUGUGAAGAAGUGGAUUAUAAAGAUAGUGAAGAAGAAGAUAGAAUUCUUUCUAAUUGUGAGUCAGAUGAUAGAGAGCAUGGCCUGCUUUCUGAUUCUGAAGAUGAGCAAUCAUUUCAUUGUUCAAAAUCUAACCCCAAUGAAAUGAUUGAAAUCAGUGUUGGGCAGGAGUUCGACAAUGUCCAACAUUUCAGAAGAGUACUUGAAAACUACGUUAUUAAGAAUGGGUUUGAUCUUAAUAGAAUUAAGAAUGAGAAGAGAAGGUUCAGGGCAAAGUGUUCCAAUGAGGGCUGUCCGUGGUUUAUUUAUGCAGCACUAGUAGAAUCUGGGACAAAAUUCAGAAUUCAGAAGCUGAAUAAUGUACAUGAAUGUAAUGGAGUGUUAGAGAGCAAAGAGGCAUCAUAUAAAUGGAUUGCCUCUCAGUUUGAGGGAACUUUGAAGAACAACCCAAAAAUGCCAGUAAAGGGAAUGAAAGAUGAAUUGGUUUCUAAUUUAGGGAUUAAGGCAAGCAUGAAGAAAAUGUAUAGGGCCAAGAAAAGAGCAAUGGAUAAAUUAAAUGGGAACUAUGCAAAUUCUUAUCAGAGGCUAAGGGAUUAUGCCCAAAUACUCAAACAAAGCAAUCCCAAUACGUUAGUAAAGAUGAAAUUUGUGCCUAGUUUUGAUCAAGAUAGAAGACCAGCUUUGAAGUUUCAGAGAUUUAUGCUUAGCUUUGUUGCUUUGAAGAAUGGAUUCAUUAAUGGAUGUCGAUGGUUUAUUGGAUUGGAUGGUUGUCAUUUAAAGGGGCAUUUCAGAGGUGUACUAUUAUCAGCAGUGGCAUUAGAUGCAAACAAUGGAAUUUUUUCGAUUGCCGUUUGUAUUUGUGAAUCAGAAUGUGCUGAUAGUUGGAAAUGGUUUUUGGCAAUAUUGAGUGAGUGGUUGAACAUAGAGAAUCAAAGUCGAGUAACGUUUAGGACAGAUAGGCAAAAAGGAAUAUUACUAGGUUUGGAAGCAUAUUGGCAUGGUGCAACAGUGAGGCAUUGUGCCAGACAUAUAUUUGCUAACUUAAGAAGUAAUCAUCCUGAUAUCAUCUACAGAAACCUAUUUUGGACAGCAGCAAGAGCCACUAGUGAAAAAGAAUGGGAAGACAACAUGAACAAAAUAAAAACAGCUAAAAAAGACACGCAAGCUGCUUAUGAUUAUUUGAUUAAGAUUGACAAGAAACAGUGGGCUAGACAUGCAUUUCCUGAUGAUGUAAAAGUUGAUCAUGUAACUAACAACUUAAAUGAGUCAUGGAACAGCUGGUUAAAUGAAUACAAAGACAACCCUGUGUUGACACUUAUGGAAUUCAUUCGGAAGAAAGUUAUGAAAAGACUGUAUAAAAGGCAUUCUGAUGCAAGAAAAUGGAUUGGGAAGCUACCUCCAACUGUGAGGAGAAAGUUGAAUGUUUCCAGACAAGAAGGAAGAUAUGUAAGGGUGCUUAUGGCUAGUGAGUAUGAAUUUGAGGUAAUAGAUGAGAAUAAUAAAACAUUUAUAGUUAAUAUGCAGAAUAAAACUUGUGAUUGUGGUGUUUAUCAAAUUUGUGGGAUACCAUGUAAACAUAUCAUCCCAUGUAUUGCUUUAAGACAUGAAGAUGCUGCUGAUUAUGUGGAUAAAAAACUGACAGUGGAAGCAUAUUUGGCCACAUAUGCAAAUAUCAUACAUCCACUUCCAUAUCAAAGUACAUGGGCUGUUGUUGAAGGUCUAAAAGUCUUAUCUCCAUAUGUCAAAACAAGAGUUGGUAGGCCUAAAAUAGUGAGGAAAAGAGAGCCAGGGGAAGAACAAGGGAAAAGAAAGACCAAGCAAAAAUGUAGCUGUUGUGCAAUUUUCGGCCAUAAUAAAAGAUUAUAUAAAAGACCAAUUGAUUCCACUCAACACCCCUCAGGUAAGCCUAAAUUUCUUUUUUUUUUUAUUUUACUUUUUUAUAUAAAAAUAAAAUUUAUAUAUUAAUAUUUAUACAUUUAUCGUGCAGGAACAACCACACAAGAUAUGAGAUGAAGCUCACAAGCUAGUAAUCAGAGUUGUUAUACCAAUUUGUGAACAGAUUAUGUUUUUUUUUCAAAAAAUAUUAUGGUUAUUGUUGUAAUGUUUACCAGUACUAAUUUGAUACAAUAUUAUAAUACAAUUAUUUUUUGUUAUGUUUACUGGAUUGAUGGUUUUAAUGUCUAUUGGAUAUGUUAUUUAGUACAAUUAAGAUUUUGUAAUUAUUGUUGUAAAUAAUUUUUUUUUAUUUUUGAUUAUAUAAGUUUAAAUGAUUGACAUAUGGAGAAUUGUUAUUUUUAUUAUAUUAAUAAUCAAUUUAAUUUAUUUUUAUUCUUGAGCAAUGAAUUAAAUUUAUUUAGUUUGAAGAGAAAAAUUAACAAAAAUUAAAUGGAAAAAUUGGGUAAUGAAGUUAUAUUCGUAAUUAUAUUAAUAAUAUAGGGAUAAAUUGGACAAUGAACAAUUAGUUUUUAAUAUGCUAUAAGGGUAUAAUGGUAAUUGUACUUUAAAAUUAUAAUUUCACUCAAAAGAAACGGUUUCCGUUAACUAAUGGGGGUCUGAGUGUCUUUUUUGAAACAUGAGGGGUUUUAUGUCCCUUAUUCAAACGUUGGGGGUCUCUGUGUCCUUUUCCCAAUAAUUUAUCAUCAUGUGUUAAGUGACGAUUGACUUUAUUAAUUAUUGGUACAAAAUUAAUAUGCCAAGCACAAAUGAUCAACUGAGAUACAAAAUCUUGGUUCUCCACUGCGUGUGUAUAUUAUACCAUGUAAUGUUGUUAUCACCACCCAAAACUCUCUCCGAAUUAAGUAGGUAUAGGCGCUAAUUCAUCACAAGAUUAUUACUGCACUCGCAUGAAGUGAAAAUAGAUUUGUUGGAUAUCCCUUAUUCAUAUUUUUUCUCAUUAGUCAUAAUUGUCCCAUAGACAAUAACAAAUGUAGGAUUUUAAAAUGAAUAAAAAAGUUCUUUUCAAUAAUCUCAUAUUUACAAAUUAUAUUUUCUUUUAGUGUUUCCAAAAAAGAGGAACAUGUAAAAAAUAUAUAUUAGCUUGUUAUACGACUCUUUUUGGUCAAGUGAUAGUGCUUCAGGUAAUUUUUAUAAAUAAAAUUAAGUUUUGUUUCAAAUAAGCACUCCCCCCCUAAAAAAAAAGAAGGGGAGAAGGCAAAACCCAGAUUGAUUUCUUAGCGUUACUUUUCUCAAAAUCCAGACUCAAGUGGUCGGGCAAAGAAAUUUGCGUAAAAACCACUCGGUCAAGACCUUUGGCCUCAUUGAGUACUCAUUGAUGGCGAUAUAAUUAAUUAAUUCUAAUGUGACCAACUCAUUUGCACGUGAGAGAAAAUGAAUGUUAAUUAUACUUCACCAGCAACUAUAUCCAAUUUUGUUAUUUUAUAUUAUUAAGUCUCAAGAUGGUUAUGUUUCAUACACAUUUAACUAAUUAAGAACAUAAUAAAUACUUAUAUGGAAUAAAUAAUUUUCAUAAUAGUACAUGAAUGUUCAUUCCUGGUGCUUGCGUAUCAUAGUAAUAUAAAUAGCGUGAAGAGAUGGAGUAAUAACUUAUAAUUAGAUUUGUAGAGUGUGGCUCAUUAUAUUAGAAUAACACAAACAAGCAAUACAACAAAGACGCAACAAACAUUGACUCGUUCCUUAUUCAGAAGCUACGUACGGUAUAGUUAUGGCUAACCGUACACUGUACGUAGCUUGUUAUUGUUCUAAACACAAGACGACUGAAACGAGACACAUCACACGAACGACAGCAAAUAAUUAAGGUAGCCACAGCUAGCUUUCGCUGCUAACGAUGGAUAUAAUUUCUUUCAUUGAUAAGCAACUAGCACUCGAAGUAACAGAAGCACGCAUAACCAGUUCCUUGUCUGUAGCAAGCCCCGUACCUUGCAUCCUCCUGCUGCUUGCAGUGCCUGCUACAUUUCCCCGUGUUGAGACACGGCCCCGACCAUGUCUUGCUACGCCGCUGGCACACUUUUGCUUCCGCCAUUGGCACUUCUGUAACAAGCAUACAAAAUCAUUAACGUGCACUUAGAUAUAUAAGUUAUUAUCAAAGCUCAUGGGUGUCAACAAAUUCAGGUGGUAAAAUGAUCUCUUAGGUUGAAACAAGAAGUCUGAGGUUUAAACUCUGCUUACAUGAAUGGAAGAGUGCUUUAUAUUACAAUAUACCAGUAUACAAACACACACACACACACACUAAAAUCUGAAAUAAAAAAAAAAUUGUUAUGAAAGUUUAAUAUGCAUGCAUAUGAAACAUAUAUAUGAUUUUGCUUCCCCUCUGGCAUUUCUGUAACACAUACACAGCAUAUUUAAUGCACUCAGUUAGCUAAUAUUAGUUAGGCACGUGGGCUUAUGAAUGGUAUUUAGUGUCAGACUCAUGCGCAAGUAUGCCCUCAUCGCUUAAGAGCAGUUAUUCAAGAAAACUUCAACUAUAAACUAACUUUUUGAGUAUGAGUUAGGCUCAAGUCUUUUUGAAACUGCACAACUUAAUAUCAUAGGCAAAACUUAAAAUUAAAUUUUGAUUGCUGAAAAACUAUUAAGUACUGGUUAACAUCAAGUCACUCACCGAAGGAAGCAAAGAGUAUGAAGAACGCAAAAAUAAGAGCAAAAGCUGUGGUAAUGCUAGCAACUGACUUAGCCAUUUUUGCACUUGCUUUGGUUUUAAUUUGAUGAAAUUGCUGAAGGCCCCAACCCCUAUUUAUACUUGGAUAUAAGCUGUCUCUUCGUCUCUAGCCAAGAUCCGCGAGAGACAAAGAAACAAUAAAUUAAUUAACCGGGGAAAUUUGAAUUAGACACUAAAAAAUGAAUUCACGCUCGGAUUAUUGACAAAAAAUUUUACAGUUUAUGCAAAUAAUUGUGAAUUAGAAUGACGUCCUGCCAAUUGCUAUAUUAUAUGCACUCUGAAGUAGUCUUAGGUAGUUGAAAUCUUCAAAUUUAAAUAUAAUACGCAAUGCGAACUUCAAUGACCCAUUCUUCCCCAUAACCUUGUCAUUGACAAAAGAUUUUACAGUUUAUUCAGAUAAUUGUGAAUUGAAAUAGUGUCCUGCCAAGUGCUCUAUUUCAUUAUUUCAUAUGCACUCUGAAGUAGUCUUAGUUAAAAUCUUAAAAUUUAAAUAUCAUAUUCAAUGCCCGACUUCAAUGACCCAUUCUUCCCUAUAACCUUGUUAAACCACCCUAUCGGAUUCUGUAUAUUCUAUUUAUUGUGUGGUUAAUUGUUCUUAUCAAUCGGAUCUAUGACAUACAGCGCUUCAUCUACGUAGCAAAAUGAUGGUGCAAGUAUAAUUUUCUAUUGCUAUAAACAGAAAAUUAAACGUUUUAUUCAUACUAUUACUUUUAUAAGUUUUAUGUAAACUUUUAAAGACCACAUUGAAAAGAUAAAUUCACUCUUGUUAUCAUUCAAUUUAGCUUAAGGUCAAUUUAUACCAGAAUAUUGAGAAGAUAGAAAGAACUUAAACAAUCAUACUAAAUAGAGGAUUUCUUCCAUAUUUUUAAUACUAUAAUGUCGAUGAUACGUACUAUUUUUACAUUCAAUGAUGAAAAUGAUUUUGGCUCAUAUUAGUCUUAAUAAAGAAGAAUUAAUAUUUAGGAUCAUAAAGUGAUCCCUUUUUUAUGAAAUUCUUAUUUAUUUCUGACAAAAAAUCUUAAAGAUAACAAGACAACUGAAGAGAAAAUUCCUCCAAACAUACAUAAAAACCAUGACAACAAAAAUGAAAAUGAGCCAAAGCAUUUCUUGAUUACAAAUUCUUGGGACAUUAACAGAUUCGAAAAUCUUACUUUGAUACAGGUAAGUGUUAGAGAUUAGAAAUAAUAUGAAACAACUAUGUAUGAGUAUGAUGGAUAACCCUAAAUCAGCUAAACAACGCACAACAUAGUCAUCCUAAUCUUAUUAAAGGGAUGUAUCUUCGACAACUUAUUUGAUCUCUUAUGCUGUGGGGGCCAAAUUCAUUUAUGUGGGGGAAAUUUUGUGAACUAUGACUUCAAAUUCUUGUACGUGUAAGGUAAGAACUCUCGUCUAAAAGCCUUGUUUUAUUAGGUGAUUAUUGACAUAGACAAAUAAAAUAUAGGCAAUUGAUUAGUGAUUACGACAAUGUUGAUGCGUAAUCAAAUAGAAUAUUUAUGAUUUUUUUAUGCUCAUCGGAUGUUAAUAAGAUAAGAAUCGCGAUGAAAAGUUCAUCAAUGUAUAUGGUACGCAUGUUGAUAGAGGACAAAAACAUUGUUUGAAAUUAAUAUUUUUUUGGGUUUAAAGGUAUUGGACUUUUCUUCUUUGACUAUGGAUAGUAGUUUUUUUUGGAAUCAAAUACAGUAUGAUUAUUUGAACAUAUUAAAAUACUCAAUAAACAUGUUUACUAAAAUACUCUUAUUAAAGAUUUCUCUCAUUGUUUCUUUUUCAACCCUCCAUCCACUCUUAAUUCUCUCCCAUCUUUUAUCUGCCAGUAUUGUCUUAUCUAGAAUAGAAAUUUAGGCUAUGGACAUCUAGUAAUAAAAAUUUAAAAACUUAAAUAAAAAAUGAAAAAAUGAGUCUAAUGAGCAAUUUUAUGGGUUCAAAUAAUUAAUUCCGCCUACUCAAGUGCCAGUAUUGUCCUAUCUAUAAUAUAAAUUUAGGCUAUGGACAUUCUAGUAAUAAAAAUUUAAAAACUUAAAUAAAAAUGAGUCUAAUGAGUAAUUUUAUGGGUUCAAAUAAUUAAUUCCUUCUACUCAAGUAUUAUUCUUUUAUUUCUGGAUAAUAGUAACAAAGUACGAUUUCAAAGAUAACAAUUCAGAUGGGUAGGAAAGUCUUCCAAUAAAUAUUAGAUAUUUAAAUUAGUAGUUUGAAGAUAAAAUACUAGUAGGAUCAUGGAGCGGGGACAUGACUGGAUUAGCAACAAUGUUUUUUAAAAGGUAGAGAUGUGGGUAAAAAUUAAAAUGCUUUUUUAAUAUUUAACAUCAAUUAAAUAAGACUUCUUAAAAGUAGUUGGCUAGAUCCUGGAGGUGAUUACCUGCAAAAUUCAUUACAUUGAUGAAGGAGUAUCUAAUUAGCAGAUUUGAUAUUACUCCUAUAGUUAUAGGAUGGAUAAAAGUAUUAAUUGGAAAAAAGUGUUAAUGGAGAAUAAAUGGUGGAUAUCAUUAUGUGGCUCGAACUCAUAUGCAGAUACGCUAUUACUGCACUCGCAUGAAGUGAAAAUAGAUUUGUUGGACAUCCCUUAUUCAUAUUUUUUCUCAUUAGUCAUAAUUGUCCCAUAGACAAUAACAAAUGUAGGAUUUUAAAAUGAAUAAAAAAGGUUCUUUUCAAUAAUCUCAUAUUUACAAAUUUUAUUUUCUUUUAGUGUUUCCAAAAAAGAGAAACAUGUAAAAAAUAUAUAUUAGCUUGUUAUACGAUUCUUUUUGGUCAAAGUAGUGACAGUGCUUCAUAUGUGGCUCGAACUCAUACGCAGAUACGCUAUUAUAAAUUGCAAUCCUACCUAUAAUUAGGUUGAAUGACCAAAUGAAGAUACAAUAAUCUUGAACUCACAUAUAAAAUUGUAACAGUAGGAACAAAUAAUGUGAAACAUUAAACCAAACAAUAUUCAGUCAUAGUUCAAGGUAUACAUUUAUAAAAAAAAAAAAAAGCACAAUAAACAUCGAUUAUUUUCAUGAAAAUAGCCACAUAUAACCAACAGUAAGGUUACUUAUUAUUUUAAAUAUUAUUUCGUGAAACAGCUGCAGCUACAUAGCUGACCAACACAACAGUAGCUUGUUAUUUCCAAACACAAGAGGAAUAAACACCCAAAAGCAGCAAAAGGCAUGAAUGCAGCUUCUUCAAGUUGAGUAACUAUAGCUAGCAAUUGAAGAAGCAGAAGCAGGCAAAACCAAGGCCAUCUCUGUGGCAAGCACCGCUACUUGCACCCUCGCGUUCUCGGCACUGUUUAUCACAGUCUUCUGUUACGAAGCACGGGCCAGUCCAAGUCUUACUACGCCGCUCGCAUAGUGCAGCCUCUGCCGGCUUUGCCAUUUCUGUAAUACACAACACUUACACAAAAUGAUUAAUUUCUAGUUAAUUAAAUUUUAUAAUGCAUGCGUGCUUGCAGAAACUUAUCAUCAUGAAGUACACAUCAAUGUCACUCACCGAACGAAGCGAAGAUGAUGAAGAAUGCAAAAAGAAGAGCAAAAGUCAUUGUAAAGCCAGAAACAGAUUUAGCCAUUUUAAUUUUUAUUUGUUGCACUUGCUGAACUGGUUUAUUAUUUCAUGAAAAUGGUAAGUGACGCGUAGCCCCAAUUUAUACACUUGCAAUGUAAGCUAUCCCUUCCCUUUUUGAGAAAGUUUCGAUGAAAUUUUAGACCUUACUAGUUUUUUAAUAUAUCGAUAAAGUGCAAGGUUUAAUUGUUGUUUUGUAACCAUCUCCCACGUUGGGAAUAUGUAAACAACAAAUAUAUCAGUACCAACAAAGACAGAUAAAUAUUUUCAGCCGAUGUGGCAAACAAGGUUGUGAGGCCAAAAUAAAAUAUUUACAAAGUAAUGAGGUAAAAAUGUAAAAUUUAAAAAUAGUUAAAUUUUAUAAUUUUAUAAUUAUUUUCAAAUCUUUUUCUUUUACGUUGCUUUCUAAAAAAUUUCAAAAAGUAAGCCGGGGUUUACCCUGAUUUUUUUUUUUUUUUGGUUUUUUUAAACUUUAAAAUUUCAAAGAUAAGUUAGGGUUGCCUUGAAAGCCUUUGCUAUAGGUUGCAUUACUUUUGAAAAAUUUUCAAAAAGUCAGGGGUCACCUUGGCGCAAACGCUCUUCCGCUUCUAUAUUUAUAUUAAUCUCGAACUUACUUCAAUAUAUAUCUAGUUUCCCUAUCAAGUGAUAACAUAACAUCACUGCUACAAUAAUCCUAAACUUUCAUAUUGUUGGGUGUGGGUACAUAGAGAUACAUCAACAAAUGGUACAAUGAAACUUCAUCGGGCCAGACCAAUAACUUAAUUAUAUCUAGGAUGUAAUGGGAGGGAAAAAAAAUUCGAUCCUACACAAAUAAUUUUGGGAAAAGGACACAAGGACCCCCAACGUUUGAGUAAGGGACACAAAACUCCCUAAGGUUUUAAAAAAGAUACGCAGACCCCAAUUAAUUAACGGAAAUCGUUUCGUUAAAUCACUACAAGGUUAAUACCGUAAUUACAAAUUAAAAACAAGUGAAUUGACUAAAACCCACACACACAUCACACGGACAAACAAACCCCACACACACUGAUUCCAGACAAAUCUUUUAACACACACUCACGGUUUGCCUUGCCGAAAGCUGCUGGGGUUGCCGGAAGUUGCUGGAACUGGUCACGCUACUGGAAGCUGCUGGAAACUGCUCGUGCGUCGAUCGAGACUGUGUCUGGUUGCCGGAUCUGCUCGCGAUCAAACGUUUGGCUGCUGGUUGUGCUGUUGGAACUGCUGGAAUCUCGCGUUUGGCUGUUGGAACUGCUCGUGUUUGGGUUGCUGCUCUUGCUGUGGAAUCUCGCGUUUGGCUGCUGCUUGUGCUCGCGUUUGGUUGCUGAUCCUGCCUGUUGAAUCUCACGUUUGGCUGCUGCUCUUGCUUGUGGAAUCUCGCGUUUGGCUACUGCUUGUGCUCGCUUUUGGUUUGCUGCUCUUGCUUGUGGAAUCCAGGGUUCAAUUCUCUUAAGUCCUAUUUUUCUCUUUAAUUUUCAUUUUUUUUACUAAAUUAACUUCUCUAGCAUGUUUGAUGCAUAUGUGAUGUAUGUGCAAGAAUAUAAAUAAAAUGAUUACGAGAAUUUUUUUUUUUUUUGUUUAUGGUUGUUUGAUGAACAGAGUUCUUAAUUUGUCUGAUUUAUUGGAAGAUUUCUUGCUAAUUACUUUUGUUAUUUCUUUUCUUUAUCAAUUUUUAGAUGUGCAUGGAAUUUUCUUUAUCAAAUUUAUUUUGUUAUAUCUAACCCAGUUGGGCUAGAAUUCUACCUAGGUGAGAUAUUAUGCAUUUUUUUAAUGGUCCUGGAGCAUGUGAAUUUUGUGCUUAAUUUAUUAAUGAAAGAAUGUAUUGGUUUGCAGAUGGUUGAUCAGCCAUCCCAAAACCUGAAUACUCACUCACUUUAUUCUUUUGAACAAGAAGAUGAUGAAGCAUAUUGGUCAAAUGAUGACAAUGAAGACAUAACACCUGCUGAUGAUGAAAUAGGAUUAAAUUGGGAUGAUGAGGGAGUGGAUGUUGGGCAUAGUGAAGGUUGUGAAGAAGUGGAUUAUAAAGAUAGUGAAGAAGAAGAUAGAAUUCUUUCUAAUUGUGAGUCAGAUGAUAGAGAGCAUGGCCUGCUUUCUGAUUCUGAAGAUGAGCAAUCAUUUCAUUGUUCAAAAUCUAACCCCAAUGAAAUGAUUGAAAUCAGUGUUGGGCAGGAGUUCGACAAUGUCCAACAUUUCAGAAGAGUACUUGAAAACUACGUUAUUAAGAAUGGGUUUGAUCUUAAUAGAAUUAAGAAUGAGAAGAGAAGGUUCAGGGCAAAGUGUUCCAAUGAGGGCUGUCCGUGGUUUAUUUAUGCAGCACUAGUAGAAUCUGGGACAAAAUUCAGAAUUCAGAAGCUGAAUAAUGUACAUGAAUGUAAUGGAGUGUUAGAGAGCAAAGAGGCAUCAUAUAAAUGGAUUGCCUCUCAGUUUGAGGGAACUUUGAAGAACAACCCAAAAAUGCCAGUAAAGGGAAUGAAAGAUGAAUUGGUUUCUAAUUUAGGGAUUAAGGCAAGCAUGAAGAAAAUGUAUAGGGCCAAGAAAAGAGCAAUGGAUAAAUUAAAUGGGAACUAUGCAAAUUCUUAUCAGAGGCUAAGGGAUUAUGCCCAAAUACUCAAACAAAGCAAUCCCAAUACGUUAGUAAAGAUGAAAUUUGUGCCUAGUUUUGAUCAAGAUAGAAGACCAGCUUUGAAGUUUCAGAGAUUUAUGCUUAGCUUUGUUGCUUUGAAGAAUGGAUUCAUUAAUGGAUGUCGAUGGUUUAUUGGAUUGGAUGGUUGUCAUUUAAAGGGGCAUUUCAGAGGUGUACUAUUAUCAGCAGUGGCAUUAGAUGCAAACAAUGGAAUUUUUUCGAUUGCCGUUUGUAUUUGUGAAUCAGAAUGUGCUGAUAGUUGGAAAUGGUUUUUGGCAAUAUUGAGUGAGUGGUUGAACAUAGAGAAUCAAAGUCGAGUAACGUUUAGGACAGAUAGGCAAAAAGGAAUAUUACUAGGUUUGGAAGCAUAUUGGCAUGGUGCAACAGUGAGGCAUUGUGCCAGACAUAUAUUUGCUAACUUAAGAAGUAAUCAUCCUGAUAUCAUCUACAGAAACCUAUUUUGGACAGCAGCAAGAGCCACUAGUGAAAAAGAAUGGGAAGACAACAUGAACAAAAUAAAAACAGCUAAAAAGACACGCAAGCUGCUUAUGAUUAUUUGAUUAAGAUUGACAAGAAACAGUGGGCUAGACAUGCAUUUCCUGAUGAUGUAAAAGUUGAUCAUGUAACUAACAACUUAAAUGAGUCAUGGAACAGCUGGUUAAAUGAAUACAAAGACAACCCUGUGUUGACACUUAUGGAAUUCAUUCGGAAGAAAGUUAUGAAAAGACUGUAUAAAAGGCAUUCUGAUGCAAGAAAAUGGAUUGGGAAGCUACCUCCAACUGUGAGGAGAAAGUUGAAUGUUUCCAGACAAGAAGGAAGAUAUGUAAGGGUGCUUAUGGCUAGUGAGUAUGAAUUUGAGGUAAUAGAUGAGAAUAAUAAAACAUUUAUAGUUAAUAUGCAGAAUAAAACUUGUGAUUGUGGUGUUUAUCAAAUUUGUGGGAUACCAUGUAAACAUAUCAUCCCAUGUAUUGCUUUAAGACAUGAAGAUGCUGCUGAUUAUGUGGAUAAAAAACUGACAGUGGAAGCAUAUUUGGCCACAUAUGCAAAUAUCAUACAUCCACUUCCAUAUCAAAGUACAUGGGCUGUUGUUGAAGGUCUAAAAGUCUUAUCUCCAUAUGUCAAAACAAGAGUUGGUAGGCCUAAAAUAGUGAGGAAAAGAGAGCCAGGGGAAGAACAAGGGAAAAGAAAGACCAAGCAAAAAUGUAGCUGUUGUGCAAUUUUCGGCCAUAAUAAAAGAUUAUAUAAAAGACCAAUUGAUUCCACUCAACACCCCUCAGGUAAGCCUAAAUUUCUUUUUUUUUUUAUUUUACUUUUUAUAUAAAAAUAAAAUUUAUAUAUUAAUAUUUAUACAUUUAUCGUGCAGGAACAACCACACAAGAUGAGAUGAAGCUCACAAGCUAGUAAUCAGAGUUGUUAUACCAAUUUGUGAACAGAUUAUGUUUUUUUUUCAAAAAAUAUUAUGGUUAUUGUUGUAAUGUUUACCAGUACUAAUUUGAUACAAUAUUAUAAAUACAAUUAUUUUUUGUUAUGUUUACUGGAUUGAUGGUUUUAAUGUCUAUUGGAUAUGUUAUUUAGUACAAUUAAGAUUUUGUAAUUAUUGUUGUAAAUAAUUUUUUUUAUUUUGUUGAUUAUAUAAGUUUAAAUGAUUGACAUAUGGAGAAUUGUUAUUUUUAUUAUAUUAAUAAUCAAUUUAAUUUAUUUUUAUUCUUGAGCAAUGAAUUAAAUUUAUUUAGUUUGAGAGAAAAAUUAACAAAAAUUAAAUGGAAAAAUUGGGUAAUGAAGUUAUAUUCGUAAUUAUAUUAAUAAUAUAGGGAUAAAUUGGACAAUGAACAAUUAGUUUUUAAUAUGCUAUAAGGGUAUAAUGGUAAUUGUACUUUAAAAUUAUAAUUUCACUCAAAAGAAACGGUUUCCGUUAACUAAUGGGGGUCUGAGUGUCUUUUUUGAAACAUGAGGGGGUUUUAUGUCCCUUAUUCAAACGUUGGGGUCUCUGUGUCCUUUUCCCAAUAAUUUAUCAUCAUGUGUUAAGUGACGAUUGACUUUAUUAAUUAUUGGUACAAAAUUAAUAUGCCAAGCACAAAUGAUCAACUGAGAUACAAAAUCUUGGUUCUCCACUGCGUGUGUAUAUUAUACCAUGUAAUGUUGUUAUCACCACCCAAAACUCUCUCCGAAUUAAGUAGGUAUAGGCGCUAAUUCAUCACAAGAUUAUUACUGCACUCGCAUGAAGUGAAAAUAGAUUUGUUGGAUAUCCCUUAUUCAUAUUUUUUCUCAUUAGUCAUAAUUGUCCCAUAGACAAUAACAAAUGUAGGAUUUUAAAAUGAAUAAAAAAGUUCUUUUCAAUAAUCUCAUAUUUACAAAUUAUAUUUUCUUUUAGUGUUUCCAAAAAAAGGAACAUGUAAAAAUAUAUAUUAGCUUGUUUAUACGACUCUUUUUGGUCAAGUGAUAGUGCUUCAGGUAAUUUUUAUAAAUAAAUUAAGUUUUGUUUCAAAUAAGCACUCCCCCCUAAAAAAAAAAGAAGGGGAGAAGGCAAAACCCAGAUUGAUUUCUUAGCGUUACUUUUCUCAAAAUCCAGACUCAAGUGGUCGGGCAAAGAAAUUUGCGUAAAAACCACUCGGUCAAGACCUUUGGCCUCAUUGAGUACUCAUUGAUGGCGAUAUAAUUAAUUAAUUCUAAUGUGACCAACUCAUUUGCACGUGAGAGAAAAUGAAUGUUAAUUAUACUUCACCAGCAACUAUAUCCAAUUUUGUUAUUUUAUAUUAUUAAGUCUCAAGAUGGUUAUGUUUCAUACACAUUUAACUAAUUAAGAACAUAAUAAAUACUUAUAUGAAUAAAUAAUUUUCAUAAUAGUACAUGAAUGUUCAUUCCUGGUGCUUGCGUAUCAUAGUAAUAUAAAUAGCGUGAAGAGAUGGAGUAAUAACUUAUAAUUAGAUUUGUAGAGUGUGGCUCAUUAUAUUAGAAUAACACAAACAAGCAAUACAACAAAGACGCAACAAACAUUGACUCGUUCCUUAUUCAGAAGCUACGUACGGUAUAGUUAUGGCUAACCGUACACUGUACGUAGCUUGUUAUUGUUCUAAACACAAGACGACUGAAACGAGACACAUCACACGAACGACAGCAAAUAAUUAAGGUAGCCACAGCUAGCUUUCGCUGCUAACGAUGGAUAUAAUUUCUUUCAUUGAUAAGCAACUAGCACUCGAAGUAACAGAAGCACGCAUAACCAGUUCCUUGUCUGUAGCAAGCCCCGUACCUUGCAUCCUCCUGCUGCUUGCAGUGCCUGCUACAUUUCCCCGUGUUGAGACACGGCCCCGACCAUGUCUUGCUACGCCGCUGGCACACUUUUGCUUCCGCCAUUGGCACUUCUGUAACAAGCAUACAAAUCAUUAACGUGCACUUAGAUAUAUAAGUUAUUAUCAAAGCUCAUGGGUGUCAACAAAUUCAGGUGGUAAAAUGAUCUCUUAGGUUGAAACAAGAAGUCUGAGGUUUAAACUCUGCUUACAUGAAUGGAAGAGUGCUUUAUAUUACAAUAUACCAGUAUACAAACACACACACACACACACUAAAAUCUGAAAUAAAAAAAAAAAUUGUUAUGAAAGUUUAAUAUGCAUGCAUAUGAAACAUAUAUAUGAUUUUGCUUCCCCCUCUGGCAUUUCUGUAACACAUACACAGCAUAUUUAAUGCACUCAGUUAGCUAAUAUUAGUUAGGCACGUGGGCUUAUGAAUGGUAUUUUAGUGUCAGACUCAUGCGCAAGUAUGCCCUCAUCGCUUAAGAGCAGUUAUUCAAGAAAACUUCAACUAUAAACUAACUUUUUGAGUAUGAGUUAGGCUCAAGUCUUUUUGAAACUGCACAACUUAAUAUCAUAGGCAAAACUUAAAAUUAAAUUUUGAUUGCUGAAAAACUAUUAAGUACUGGUUAACAUCAAGUCACUCACCGAAGGAAGCAAAGAGUAUGAAGAACGCAAAAAUAAGAGCAAAAGCUGUGGUAAUGCUAGCAACUGACUUAGCCAUUUUUGCACUUGCUUUGGUUUUAAUUUGAUGAAAUUGCUGAAGGCCCCAACCCCUAUUUAUACUUGGAUAUAAGCUGUCUCUUCGUCUCUAGCCAAGAUCCGCGAGAGACAAAGAAACAAUAAAUUAAUUAACCGGGGAAAUUUGAAUUAGACACUAAAAAAUGAAUUCACGCUCGGAUUAUUGACAAAAAAUUUUACAGUUUAUGCAAAUAAUUGUGAAUUAGAAUGACGUCCUGCCAAUUGCUAUAUUAUAUGCACUCUGAAGUAGUCUUAGGUAGUUGAAAUCUUCAAAUUUAAAUAUAAUACGCAAUGCGAACUUCAAUGACCCAUUCUUCCCCAUAACCUUGUCAUUGACAAAAGAUUUUACAGUUUAUUCAGAUAAUUGUGAAUUGAAAUAGUNNNNNUUAAUUAAUUAANNNNNUUUUUUUUUUUUUAGAAACACUCGUGUUUAUUCAAUCAGAUUAAUGAUAGCAAUCAAAUAAAAGUAUAAGCAUUAUCUCCAGUCUAAAGCAACAUCACACCCACAUCAACCAUCCACAUGAAUAGCCCAGUAGACUUUGUUAUAGCUACUUUCAAGAAUGACAUGUCAAACCCCAAAAUCUCACUGGAAGUAGUGACACACUCUCACAAAGAAAUUAAACCCAAUAAACAUAGUCACUCCAAUGAAUGGUAAUUGAGAGAGAAAAUAAAAAGAAAUGAUAUCACAUGCUCUCACCAAGAUGAAAUAAAUAUGCCCUCAGCUUAGAAAUAAUACGAUCUCAAGUCAAAUAAAAUGUUAGUCAACCCACUUUAUUUAUCUUUUUUUUUUUUUAUUAUGCAUCACUACAUCUUUUUAGCCCAUAUAACUAGCUUCUACUUCAAACUAUAGUUCCCUAAAAUCAAGAAGGACUUUUAUUAGGACGUAACGUAGGCUAGGGAUAUGGCUAACAAAGAAGGGAAAUAAGGAAAACAAAGUGUAUGUUUGAGAAAAAUGCAGAGAAAUUUUUUUUUUUUUUGGAAGUUGCAAGGUGGAUUUCACCUAUUAUUGUUAUUUUUAUUCUUUUGAAACAACAAUUUUUUUCUUUUUUUUUUUUUUUUUUUCUUUUUUUUUUUUUUUGGGCAUAACUUCACUACAAAAUGUUUAUUUACAUUUUUCUCAAACAUAAAUAGGUGAUGGAAUUGUAAGAUAUUGGGUAAUACUCCAAAUCGGAGUGGGUCAAGAUGAUAAGUUAAACAAAGAAAAGUUUUUUUUUUUUAUUUAAAGGCUCAAAUGGUUAACUAUGGAUACUUGAUAAAGGGAUGGCUAGAAAGGCUCAAACGGAUCAAAGAUGGCCUUUCCAUCGUCUUUUAGGGCUCUAAAUAAUCAUCCAUAUCUACUAGUUAGAUGGGCCUCCCAAUGUAGCAAACACACACUUUUUUUUUUUUUUUUUUAAGGUUAACUCAAAAGAAAUCUAGAGAUCGUGUAUAAUAAUAAACUGUUAAGCUUAUAAAAGAAUGGGCAAAAGGGUUACUCUCCAAGAAAAAUGAUAGGCUCAAAAACUCACUUGGUACUUAUUAUGACAUGUUCAUUCCUUCAAGCAACUCAUAUUUGUCUCCGACAUCAACAUGUAGAGUAGCAAACAUAAUGUAACAUCACUUAAGACCAAAGAUAAUACAAAUACUAAAAUUUGAAAUUAAUCAUGUCAUCAAAGUUAAAACAAAUCACACAAUUUUUUUUUUAAACAACAUUCUACCCCCCAACCUAUUCUAAACAUGAAAGGAAAAUAUGCAUGCAGAAAUGUGAAAAUGAUGCAUAAAAACUAAUUAGAAAAGUUAUAAAAUGAUAGAAAAAAUGAAAUUUUUUUUUUUUAAUUUUUUUUUAAAGAGAAGAUGCGUUUCUAGAGGCACUACACUCCAUAUUCAGCAUCUUCGACUCAAAAGUUGAAAAUAUAUAUUUAAAGGAGAAAUUAAAAAGAAGAAGAAAAAUGAACAUCAAAACAUAAUAAAGAAAAAGAAAAUGUUUGAAUUUUUUUGUUUUUUUUUUUUUUUUUUUAAUUUUUUUUUUUUUUAAACGAUGAAGAUGCGUUUCUAGAGUCACUACACUCCAUAUUCAGCCAUCUUCAACACAAAAAGUUAGCAACAGUUAGUUUCUACAACAAAAAAUCAGUAAAACUUAACCAAGAUUCCACAAUUGUCGACUAUUCCCUCCCCCAACCAGAACGAAACAUUGUCCUCAAUGUUUUAAAGGAAAGAAGUAGAGUUUAGAAGACAUCACCUGGGUGGUGCAACACAGAAGAAAUAUUUACAGGCGGAGAGUUAAAUCUAAUUUGUACUUCUUACUGCGGCUACUGUUACCAUCAUUAUUUGGUCGCUCCAACACAAAGGUCCAGGGGUCUGGCUCCGGUUUAUAAGCUUGUAACAUAUCAAGUAGCUCAUUAGCAGUGUGCACAAAUAAAAAGUUUUUUUACAUUAGAAGGAAUGAAAUAGUUUUUUAUUGCAUGGUUAAGAAAUGCGAUAAAGCCAUCAUAAAAGUUAUUGACAUUUAACAAACCGAUGGGUUUCUGGUGGAUGUGCAGAUGGGCCCAAGAUGCUAGUGUCAUAAGUGCCUCUAGUGUUGCAAGAUCUCCUGGAAGGAAAAUAAAAGCAUCAGCAUGAUUAAGCAUUUCAGUUAUUCUUUCUUGCAUACCUGAGACGACUAACUCUUCUCCAGUUGAUGAGUCAGACGAACUGCCCAAUGGUUUUAGGACUCUUGGGAUGAUGCCUAACACUUGACUUCCUCUGAUAAAAGCUGCUUCUGAGACCAUUUUUUGAUAACCCUCGGUUACCUCCUCCAUACACCAAAUGUAAUUUUCUCGCUGCUAUGCUUCGACCAAGAUCUAUGGCUGCCUCCACGAACUCUUUAUGUUUGCCAUAGGUAAAUCCAGAAAGCACACAAAUGUUCUUGAAUUGUCUAUUGGGAGUAGCUGCCAUUGUGAUACUUCUCAAAAAUAAUUUGUGAGUGCUUGACAAAAGAUAAAUCACAUUUAAGAAUCUUGGUGACAAUGGAUCACAGCUGUGAAUGAGGUAACAUGUCAGUGUCAAAUAACGCGUAAAGCACGUGGCUCGCGAGUCAAAAAGGAAACAGUAAAAAGAAAAAGCAAACAGUAAUAAAAUUAUUAAAGACAAUAAUGCAAACAAUAAAACAACAGUGAAAUGAAAUAAAAUAACAGUAAAGUAAAAGGAUAUUUACACGUAGUUGCGACUGUGGCUCACAUCUUCCUCUGGUUUUACGUCCAGAAACGGCUUGAACGCCCUCUAUGGGUCGAGGAUAGGCUUCCCAUCCAGUUUUCUUAUAAACUGGCAAACAGGGUCGUUUAUAGUCAGAUUCCCGAGACUAUAUCGUGCAUGCUCUUUCUGGAAUAAUGGCCAUAACUGGAGAAUCGCUCCUUGCACAUAUCCACUGGGAUGCGUUUCAAGAGACAAAAGGAUAUCAUCCAAUGACUCCUUAUUCAAGCCAUCCCUAAUGAAUUGAAUCUUAUCUUCUCUGUUAUCAGACACCAUUCCUAAAUAACAUGGGUGUCUAUCGCAACUCAUUCUGGCACACUUGUGACAAGCAACAGAAAUUCUUCGAGCUCGUCGUUUUCUUGCGUAAUUUCCUUUACCACAACCAGGCAUGUAUGCAAUAAAUUUAGGAGGUAACUCACCUGCCAAUCGUACUUUAGCCUCAAUUAACCAACGAAUGUCAGCAGGUAAUGUUAUUCUUUAUGAGUAAUCGCAUGCGUUCGGUCCGAGCUUUAUAGAUCGUAAGGAGGGCAUUCUGAGGAAGUGAAUGGAAUCGCUUGUGAAGCUUCGCUAGAAUCUCGUUUUUGUCCAUACUUUCGCCUCAGAAUGUCAGUUAUUGUGGGAAACUGAAGUAACCGACUUGAUUAUCACGGAGUACCGUUAUUCGCCACUUCACCGGGGUAACAAACUAAAGCACACAAACAGAAAAACAAAUCAAAACACACAAAGAAAAUUAAAAUCGUCCUCUUAUUGAAUUUACCUCAAGCUCCAACUGGAUGUCGUAAAAACUUCUCUCAAUGUCUCUGAGUUGGCGUUCUAAACCCUCAACAUAGGCUACUAACUCUGGUGGUUGUAGAGCCCAAAUGCGUUGUGUUUUACAAAAUUGAAUCUGCUUUUGAGAUGAGUUUUGACACGUUGGAAGUGGUUUAAGAAUGUUCAGGAGGAACGGUCUAAGUAUGGUACUCAUGAUUAACAAUGAUAAGAAAAAAAAAAACUUAAUGGUAAAACAAACACACUUAUGCAAAAAUAAUUUCAAUUAGCAAAAGAAUAAUAAAAAGAAAGAAAGAAAAAUCAAAUCAACAAAAAGAAAAAAUCAAUUCAAAUCUGGUGGGUUACUCAAAUUUAUUUCGGUGUCUUCUCCAUGUGGUUGGUACUCAAGAUAUGGCUUUAAUCUUUGACCAUUAACUUUAAACGUGACACCGUUCUUUGGGUCCUUAAUUUCAAUUGCCCCAUGUGGAAAAACAGUAUGUACAAUAAAUGGGCCAGACCAACGAGAGCGUAACUUACCUGGGAAUAGGUGCAAGCGAGAAUUGAAUAAAAGCACUUUCUGACCUGGAGUGAAACGAUUUUCUCAUAAUUUGCUUAUCAUAGAAGACUUUCAUUCGUUGCUUGUAAAUCUUGGCAUUUUCGUAUGCAUCAUUGCGAAUUUCUUCAAGUUCUGCCAGCUGUAAUCUUCUUUCUGAGCUGGCUUGCUGCAUGUCAAAGUUGAAUUUCUUGAUGGCCCAAUAUGCACGAUGCUCGAGUUCCACAGGUAGGUGGCAAGCUUUUCCAUACACUAGCCUGUAGGGUGACAUCCCAAUCGGGGUCUUGAAAGCCGUUCUAUAUGCCCAUAAUGCAUCAUCAAGUCGUAAUGACCAAUCUUUCCUAUCUGGCCUCAACCGUCUUUUCUAAUAUGUGCUUUAUUUCUCGAUUGGAGAUCUCAACUUGACCACUGGUUUGCGGAUGAUACGGAGUUGCCACUUUGUGUGUGAUUGAAUACUUUGUCAAAAGAGCUUUGAAUGCUUUGUUACAAAAGUGGGCACCACCAUCACUGAUUAUUGCUCGAGGGAAUCCAAAGCGCGAAACAAUGUUACUUUUCAAAAAAUCCUAUCACCACCUUGUGAUCAUUGGUUCUACAUGGAAUUGCUUCUACCCAUUUCGAGACGUAGUCAACACCAACCAAUAUGUAUUGAUGGCCAAAAGAAUGGGGAAAGGGUCCCAUGAAGUCGAUACCCCAUACGUCAAAAAUCUCAACCACUAAAAUUGGAUUUAGUGGCAUCAUGUUCCUUCGCGUAAUGCUCCCCAUUCGUUGACACCUAUCACAUGAAGAACAGAAAGUGAAAUUCAAAAAUAUCCUUUCAUUCUGCCAAUGAACAAGCGUGUGGAGGCCAUUUUAGUGCUAAGAAAACAGCUACAAAAGUUUUACAAUGUGGUUUUUAUUGGCCAACUAUAUUUCGAGACGCUUACACUUUCUGUUCUUCAUGUGAUAGGUGUCAACGAAUGGGGAGCAUUACGCGAAGGAACAUGAUGCCACUAAAUCCAAUUUUAGUGGUUGAGAUUUUGACGUAUGGGGUAUCGACUUCAUGGGACCCUUUCCCCAUUCUUUUGGCCAUCAAUACAUAUUGGUUGGUGUUGACUACGUCUCGAAAUGGGUAGAAGCAAUUCCAUGUAGAACCAAUGAUCACAAGGUGGUGAUAGGAUUUUGAAAAGUAACAUUGUUUCGCGCUUUGGAUUCCCUCGAGCAAUAAUCAGUGAUGGUGGUGCCCACUUUUGUAACAAAGCAUUCAAAGCUCUUUUGACAAAGUAUUCAAUCACACACAAAGUGGCAACUCCGUAUCAUCCGCAAACCAGUGGUCAAGUUGAGAUCUCCAAUCGAGAAAUAAAGCACAUAUUAGAAAAGACGGUGAGGCCAGAUAGGAAAGAUUGGUCAUUACGACUUGAUGAUGCAUUAUGGGCAUAUAGAACGGCUUUCAAGACCCCGAUUGGGAUGUCACCCUACAGGCUAGUGUAUGGAAAAGCUUGCCACCUACCUGUGGAACUCGAGCAUCGUGCAUAUUGGGCCAUCAAGAAAUUCAACUUUGACAUGCAGCAAGCCAGCUCAGAAAGAAGAUUACAGCUGGCAGAACUUGAAGAAAUUCGCAAUGAUGCAUACGAAAAUGCCAAGAUUUACAAGCAACGAAUGAAAGUCUUCUAUGAUAAGCAAAUUAUGAGAAAAUCGUUCACUCCAGGUCAGAAAGUGCUUUUAUUCAAUUCUCGCUUGCACCUAUUCCCAGGUAAGUUACGCUCUCGUUGGUCUGGCCCAUUUAUUGUACAUACUGUUUUUCCACAUGGGGCAAUUGAAAUUAAGGACCCAAAGAACGGUGUCACGUUUAAAGUUAAUGGUCAAAGAUUAAAGCCAUAUCUUGAGUACCAACCACAUGGAGAAGACACCGAAAUAAAUUUGAGUAACCCACCAGAUUUGAAUUGAUUUUUUCUUUUUGUUGAUUUGAUUUUUCUUUCUUUCUUUUUAUUAUUCUUUUGCUAAUUGAAAUUAUUUUUGCAUAAGUGUGUUUGUUUUACCAUUAAGUUUUUUUUUUCUUAUCAUUGUUAAUCAUGAGUACCAUACUUAGACCGUUCCUCCUGAACAUUCUUAAACCACUUCAACGUGUCAAAACUCAUCUCAAAAAGCAGAUUCAAUUUUGUAAAACACAACGCAUUUGGGCUCUACAACCACCAGAGUUAGUAGCCUAUGUUGAGGGUUUAGAACGCCAACUCAGAGACAUUGAGAGAAGUUUUUACGACAUCCAGUUGGAGCUUGAGGUAAAUUCAAUAAGAGGACGAUUUUAAUUUUCUUUGUGUGUUUUGAUUUGUUUUUCUGUUUGUGUGCUUUAGUUUGUUACCCCGGUGAAGUGGCGAAUAACGGUACUCCGUGAUAAUCAAGUCGGUUACUUCAGUUUCCCACAAUAACUGACAUUCUGAGGCGAAAGUAUGGACAAAAACGAGAUUCUAGCGAAGCUUCACAAGCGAUUCCAUUCACUUCCUCAGAAUGCCCUCCUUACGAUCUAUAAAGCUCGGACCGAACGCAUGCGAUUACUCAUAAAGAAUAACAUACCUGCUGACAUUCGUUGGUUAAUUGAGGCUAAAGUACGAUUGGCAGGUGAGUUACCUCCUAAAUUUAUUGCAUACAUGCCUGGUUGUGGUAAAGGAAAUUACGCAAGAAAAACGACGAGCUCGAAGAAUUUCUGUUGCUUGUCACAAGUGUGCCAGAAUGAGUUGCGAUAGACACCCAUGUUAUUUAGGAAUGGUGUCUGAUAACAGAGAAGAUAAGAUUCAAUUCAUUAGGGAUGGCUUGAAUAAGGAGUCAUUGGAUGAUAUCCUUUUGUCUCUUGAAACGCAUCCCAGUGGAUAUGUGCAAGGAGCGAUUCUCCAGUUAGGCCAUUAUUCCAAAAAGAGCAUGCACGAUAUCGUCUCGGGAAUCUGACUAUAAACGACCCUGUUUGCCAGUUUAUAAGAAAACUGGAUGGGAAGCCCAUCCUCGACCCAUAGAGGGCGUUCAAGCCGUUUCUGGACGUAAAACCAGAGGAAGAUGUGAGCCACAGUCGCAACUACGUGUAAAUAUCCUUUUACUUUACUGUUAUUUUAUUUCAUUUCACUGUUGUUUUAUUGUUUGCAUUAUUGUCUUUAAUAAUUUUAUUACUGUUUGCUUUUUCCUUUUUACUGUUUCCUUUUUGACUCGCGAGCCACGUGCUUUACGCGUUAUUUGACACUGACAUGUUACCUCAUUCACAGCUGUGAUCCAUUGUCACCAAGAUUCUUAAAUGUGAUUUAUCUUUUGUCAAGCACUCACAAAUUAUUUUUGAGAAGUAUCACAAUGGCAGCUACUCCCAAUAGACAAUUCAAGAACAUUUGUGUGCUUUCUGGAUUUACCUAUGGCAAACAUAAAGAGUUCGUGGAGGCAGCCAUAGAUCUUGGUCGAAGCAUAGCAGCGAGAAAAUUACAUUUGGUGUAUGGAGGAGGUAACCGAGGGUUAUCAAAAAUGGUCUCAGAAGCAGCUUUUAUCAGAGGAAGUCAAGUGUUAGGCAUCAUCCCAAGAGUCCUAAAACCAUUGGGCAGUUCGUCUGACUCAUCAACUGGAGAAGAGUUAGUCGUCUCAGGUAUGCAAAAAGAAUAACUGAAAUGCUUAAUCAUGCUGAUGCUUUUAUUUUCCUUCCAGGAGAUCUUGCAACACUAGAGGCACUUAUGACACUAGCAUCUUGGGCCCAUCUGCACAUCCACCAGAAACCCAUCGGUUUGUUAAAUGUCAAUAACUUUUAUGAUGGCUUUAUCGCAUUUCUUAACCAUGCAAUAAAAAACUAUUUCAUUCCUUCUAAUGUAAAAAAACUUUUUAUUUGUGCUCACACUGCUAAUGAACUACUUGAUCUGUUACAAGCUUAUAAACCGGAGCCAGACCCCUGGACCUUUGUGUUGGAGCGCCCAAAUAAUGAUGGUAACAGUAGCCGCAGUAAGAAGUACAAAUUAGAUUUAACUCUCCGCCUGUAAAUAUAUUCUUUUGUGUUGCACCACCAGGUGAUGUCUUCUAAACUCUACUUCUUUCCUUUAAAACAUUGAGGACAAUGUUUCGUUCUGGUUGAGGGGAGGGAAUAGUCGACAAUUGUGGAAUCUUGGUUAAGUUUUUACUGAUUUUUUGUUUAGAAACUAACUGUUGCUAACUUUUUGUGUUGAAGAUGGCUGAAUAUGGAGUUAGUGACUCUAGAAACGCAUCUUCAUCGUUUAAAAAAAAAAAAAUUUAAAAAACUAAAAAACUAAAAAAAACAAAAAAAUUCAAACAUUUUCUUUUUCUUUAUUAUGUUUUGAUGUUCAUUUUUCUUCUUCUUUUUAAUUUCUCCUUAUAAAUAUAUAUUUUCCAACUUUUGAGUCGAAGAUAGCUGAAUAUGGAGUGUAGUGCCUCUAGAAACGCAUCUUCAUCGUUUAAAAAAAAAUUAAAAAAAAAAAAACAAAAUUUCAUUUUCGUUUUCUAUCAUUUUACGUGUAACUUUUCUAAUUAGUUUUUAUGCAUCAUUUUCACAUUUCUGCAUGCAUAUUUUCCUUUCAUGUUUAGAAUAGGUUGGGGGUAGAAUGUUGUUUAAAAAAAAAAAAGAAAAAAUUGUGUGAUUUGUUUUAACUUUAGAUGACAUGAUUAAUUUCAAAUUUUAGUAUUUGUAUUAUCUUUGGUCUUAAGUGAUGUUACAUUAUGUUUGCUACUCUACAUGUUGAUGUCGGAGACAAAUAUGAGUUGCUUGAAGGAAUGAACAUGUCAUAAUAAGUACCAAGUGAGUUUUUGAGCCUAUCAUUUUUCUUGGAGAGUAACCCUUUUGCCCAUUCUUUAUAAUGCUUAACAGUUUAUUAUUGUAUACACGAUCUCUAGAUUUCUUUUGAGUUAAGCCUUAAAAAAAAAAAAAAAAAAAAUGUGUGUGUUGCUACAUUGGGAGGCCCAUCUAACUAGUAGAUAUGGAUGAUUAUUUAGAGCCCUAAAAGACGAUGGAAAGGCCAUCUUUGAUCCGUUUGAGCCUUUCUAGCCAUCCCUCUUAUCAAGUAUCCAUAGUUAACCCAUUUGAGCCUUUUAAAUAAAAAAAAAAAAAAAAACUUUUCUUUGUUUAACUUAUCAUCUUGACCCACUCCGAUUUGGAGUAUUACCCAAUAUCUUACAAAUUCCAUCACCUAUUUAUGUUUGAGAAAAAUGUAAAUAAACAUUUUGCAUAGUGAAGUAGUUAAAAAAAAAAAAGAAAAAAUUGUUGUUGCUGAAAAAAAAAAAAAAAAAAAAAAUUGUUGUUUCAAAAGAAUAAAAAUAACAAUAAUAGGUGAAAUCCACCUUGCAACUUCCAAAAAAAAAAAAAAAAAAAUAUUCUCUGCAUUUUUCUCAAACAUACACUUUGUUUUCCUUAUUUCCCUUCUUUGUUAGCCAUAUCCCUAGCCUACGUUACGUCCUAAUAAAAGUCCUUCUUGAUUUUAGGGAACUAUAGUUUGAAGUAGAAGCUAGUUAUAUGGGCUAAAAAGAUGUAGUGAUGCAUAAUUAAAAAAAAAAAAGAUAAAUAAAGUGGGUUGACUAACAUUUUAUUUGACUUGAGAUCGUAUUAUUUCUAAGCUGAGGGCAUAUUUAUUUAAUCUUGGUGAGAGCAUGUGAUAUCAUUUCUUUAUUAUUUUCUCUCUCAAUUACCAUUCAUUGGAGUGACUAUGUUUAUUGGGUUUUAAUUUCUUUGUGAGAGUGUCACUACUUCCAGUGAGAUUUUGGGGUUUGACAUGUCAUUCUUGAAAGUAGCUAUAACAAAGUCUACUGGGCUAAUUCAUGUGGAUGGUUGAUGUGGGUGUGAUGUUGCUUUAGACUGGAGAUAAUGCUUAUACUUUUAUUUGAUUGCUAUCAUUAAUCUGAUUGAAUAAACACGAGUGUUUCUAAAAAAAAAAAAAAAAAAAAUCAUUUUGAAUUUGAAUUUUGUUUUCGCUUUAUUUGCUAGGGACUAGCAAUAAGCUGGUUGGGGGGUGUGUUGAGUGUUAGAAAAUACAUAUUUAUAAAGGAGAAAACCGUCAUUUUACAUUUCAAGUCUUACUAACAACCCUUACUUUUAUGUAUUUAACCUUCUUGUGAUGUAAUUACGUGUGUGUUAUUUUAAUUAAGUAUUUUAUGUAUUUUAGGGGCAGUAUAGUCAUUUCACAAUAAAGGAGAGAUCAGACGGCAAAACGGACAUCACUUUUGAACUCAGGACGGUCGAAAACCUUAGGAGGAGCAUAAAAGGAAAAAUGGCACUAUUCACAUGUACGGUACUAUUCACGUAUACGGUACUGUCUACGUUACUGUUCACGACACUGUUCACAUAGACGGAUCGAUGACGUGGCAUUGACCGAUGACGUGGCAUUGACCGAUGAUGUGGCAUUGACUGAUGAGUGUCACGAUCCUGUUGGGCUAAAAAUUCUUAUGUACUGUUAAUGGUGACGUGGCAGCAUAUCAGUGGACGAAAAAUCUCGUGUACGGUGCAUGCAUCACACAGGAUUAUUUUCAACCAAACCGCGUUACUGUUCAUCCGGGUCAAACCGUGUUACUGUUCAUCCGCGUGGUCAAACCGUGGACUGUUGACUGAUGACGUGGCGCAAUCCUGAGCGUCCAAACUGUUUUUAAUCCGAUGGCCAUGAUUUACUCCAUGUAUCUAUAAAAAGGGGGCCUCUCCCCCCUAAUUUGAUAUCUCUGAAUCCAUUUUUGGGAUCCAUUUUCUGUAAUUCCUUCUCCAUCUGUAUUUUCUUUGUAUUUUAAUAAAUUCCCUUUUUGCCCCUAGUUCAAUUAUGAGUAGCUAAUUUCUUUUCAAGCUUGGGUUGAAGGUGAAGUCUCAACAUGUGUCAUGGCUUUAUUUGGUAAAUUUAUUUUCUUUUCCCUCUAGUUUUUGUGGAUGAUUUGACUUAUCGUCGACAAAUAAUACUGAUCUUGUCUAGAUACCGCCUUGGUUACACCGGCUCUCUGGUAUAAGGUUAUUAUUAUUUGGCACGAUAAGCCCUUAGCACCAUAUUGAUUAGAGCGUGGUUCAUGAGGUGUGGAUUCCCCCCUCAUGAUUUAAUUGGUAUUAAUAAGGAAUAUUUAGCCCAUGAUGCAUGUUGAUACGGAUCCAGAUACCCAAGUACGUCAUUUCAAUAGAAUUCUCUUCAAUUUAUUCUCGCCAUUUUAAUUUAAGUUUUAGCAUAUUCCAAAUCAUUUCCACCACAAAUCCAAUCACCCAUUUACAAAAUUAAUUUUAUACACAAUUAAAAUCCACCUCCUCGUGGGAUCGACACUCGUCACCAUUAGUCUAUAUUACAAUAGAUUCGUGCGCUUGCGAGUACAUUAAAAUUUGCACAACAAGUUUUUGGCGCCGUUGCCGGGGAGGUAAGUAAUUUUAAUUCAUAAAAUUAAUUUUUGUGAAUAAUUUCUUUUAUUUGUUUUCUUGUAUUUUUUUUUUCUUAUUAAAAAAAAAAAGAAAAAAAAAAGAGUAAAUCUACAUUUAAAGGUUAGUAUUUCUUUUCUUUUUCUCUUCUUUAAAAUUCUGUAAUUUAAUUUUCAAUUUAUUUUUUUUUCUUUGUAAUUUUUGUUUAUUUUAUUAAUUUAAUUUUUAGUUAAUUUAUUUCACGUAUUUGUUUUUGUGUAUUUUUAUAGAAAGGUUGUAAUAGCGCAAUAAGGUUAGUAUCGUAAUUUCUCCCUCUUAUUUAUUUUAUUUGUUUUGUUCCCAUCUUUAUUUUUUGUUUUGUUUGCAUCUUUAUUUUUAUUUUCAUUUUAUUUUGCAUGCAUGGUCGUAGGUCAUUAUUACCUAAUCUUGAACCUAUAGACCUUGAAUUAGAAAAAACACUUCGCACACAAAAACACAUUAAAAAUAAAAUUGGAAUGGAUUUACAAGCACCACAGGAGAGGCCAUUUAAGGACUAUUUUAGUCCCUUAGCUAAUUUAAGCACAUCAUGUAUUAGAUACCCAAAUGUAGCUGCUAGGAACUUUGAACUAAAACCUAGUGUGCUAAAUUGUCUCCCCACAUUCUAUGGCUUAGAAAAUGAGGACCCAUAUAAUCAUCUGAAUGAUUUUCAUACCAUUUGUCAAACUUUUAAAUAUGAAAAUUUUUCAGACGAUGAUGUUAAACUCAGACUAUUCCCAUUUUCUUUAAAGGAUAGAGCUCGUUCAUGGUUAAAUACGUUGCCUGCUAAUAGCAUUUCAUCAUGGGAACAAAUGGUAACUAAAUUUUUGAAUAAAUAUUUCCCAGUGCAUAAAACCAAUUCUAUUCGCAGGGAAAUUUCAGAGUUUACACAAAGAGGACGAGCAGUUUUUUCGAAACUUGGGAGCGAUUCAAUGGCUACUCUUGAAGUGUCCACAUCAUGGGUACGAAAAAUGGCACCAAUGCCAAUACUUUUUGGAGGGAUUACUACCGAAUGUGCAAGAAUGGCUAAUGGCAACAAGUGGAGGAGAGCUAAUGUCAAAAAGUGCAUCAGAAAUUUGGGAAUUCUUCCAACGACAAGCGGAUAAUUCCCAACAACGGAGUCGAUCACUAAGGAAUACUAGAAGAAUUAAGGGAGUAAAUGAGGUUCAAAUUGGCGAGUCAACUUCGGGAAUCAAAGAAGUCAAGGAGAUGGUUGAAGGUCUCGCUCGACAAAUAGCAUCGUUAUCGACUGCUAAAUCAACAGAACCACAUGACCAUGACUCAUACUCCGAUCAAGCCAAUGCCAUAGGUGUAAUGAGAAAACCAUCGAAUUACAACCCAUACUCCAACACAUAUAACCCUGGAUGGAGAGACCACCCCAAUUUUUCAUGGUCUCAAGGAUUCCAACAGAAUGGACCAGCAGCUCCAGCUCCACCAAUGCAACAAAUUCCUCAAAAUCCUCAAGCCUCUCAGCCACCAUUCAGACCAUACAAUCAGAACCAGAACUACUCUCAACCCAGACCAUGGGAGGAUGCAUUCCAGAAUUUCAAGAAUGUUACUCACUCCACGAUUGAGCAACAGAACCGCACCAUUGAUGGACUACGAAAUGAGUUGAGAGCAGGCUUCAACUCACAAGCUCAAUCAGUUUCAAGCCUCGAGAAGAUGGUGGGACAACUUGCUUCUUCAGUUCAGACCUUGGCAAUGACUGUUGAGAAAGGAAAAUUUCCAAGUCAACCAGUGCCUAAUCCUAAAGGAGUACAUGAAGCAAGUACCAGUUCACCACAACAGCAUGGAGAGGUCAAAGCAGUCAUGACCUUGCGAAAAGGAAAGGAAGUCGACAACAAAGUGGAGAUGCCGGUGACAAAAGAAAAUCAAAUUGUACCUGUGAAUGUUGAAGACUCACCACCGGAGGAGAAGAAGAAACCAACCCACGAGAAUACGUUCCGAAAGCUCCAUUUCCUCAGAGGUUAGCUAAAGGGAAAAAGGGAAAAUCCACAGGUGAGAUUCUCGAAAUCUUCAAACAGGUAAGUGUUAACAUCCCUUUACUUGAUGCUAUUAAACAAGUUCCAUCUUAUGCCAAGUUUCUUAAAGACCUUUGUACUAAAAAGAGAAAUAUGCAUGUUCAAAAGAAGGCAUUUUUAACAGAAAAUGUUAGUUCUAUACUCCAACAUAAAAUUCCUCUAAAAUGCAAAGACCCAGGCUCCCCCACUAUCUCAUGUAGUAUAGGGAACCACACAAUUGAGAAUGCGUUGUUGGAUUUAGGAGCUAGUGUAAAUCUGUUGCCUUAUUCAGUAUUCGUGAAACUUGGACUGGGAGAAUUACACCCAACUCCAGUGGUGUUACAGCUUGCAGAUCGGUCCACGAAAAUACCUCGUGGUAUUAUGGAGGACGUGCUUAUCCAGGUAGACAAGUUUUAUUUUCCUGUUGAUUUCAUUGUAAUUGACACUCAACCAAUACAGGAUUCAAGGAAGCACAUCCCCAUUAUUCUAGGCCGACCUUUCUUGGCGACUGCGAUGCUCACAUUCAAUGCAGGACUGGAAAUAUGCAGUUGUCCUUCGGCAACAUGACUAUGGAGCUAAAUAUUUUCAACAUUGCCAAACAACCUCACAGUGCAGAUGAUGGAAUUGUUGAUGUGGAUUUAAUAGAAACAAUAGUUGAUAAUACUUUUCUUUCAAACCUUAGUGAUGAUCCUUUACAGACAUGCUUAACUCACUUUGGUUUGGAUUUUGAUAUUGAUAGAUCGGUCGAUGAGGUCAACGCCCUGCUUGACUCAGCACCAUCCAUGGACACUAAUAAAUGGAAGUCAAGAGUUGAACAACUAGCACCAUCAGAGAAGAAACUCAUUCCAUCAUCAGAAUCACCACCGAAACUCGAGCUCAAACCAUUACCCAACACUCUGGAAUAUGCAUUUUUGGGAGAAGAAAGUACUCUGCCGGUAAUCAUCUCAUCAUCCCUAAAUGACGAACAAAAAGGUAAGUUGUUGGAUGUUUUUAAAAGAGCACAAAGGAGCAUUAGGAUGGACCAUAGCAGACAUUAAAGGUAUAAACCCAGUAGACUGUAUGCAUUACAUUCACCUUGAUGAAAAUGCUAAAACUACUAGGAGAUGCAACGUCGGUUAAAUCCUAACAUGAAAGAAGUUGUUAGAACUGAAGUCCUUAAGCUAUUAGAUGCAGGUAUCAUUUACCCAAUUUCUGAUAGUUCAUGGGUCAGUCCUGUACAAGUUGUCCCCAAAAAGUCAGGAGUCACAGUAGUUACCAAUGCUGAUAAUGAAUUGAUACCAACUAGAGUAACUACAGGAUGGCGUGUAUGCAUUGAUUAUAGAAAGUUGAAUUCUGUCACACGUAAAGACCAUUUUCCUUUACCAUUUAUUGAUCAAAUGCUUGAUAGAUUAGCAGGCCAUGAAUUUUAUUGCUUUCUAGAUGGCUACUCAGGAUAUAAUCAGAUUCCCAUAGCACCAAAAGAUCAAGAGAAAACUACUUUCACUUGCCCUUUGGGCACAUAUAGGAGAAUGCCAUUUGGAAUGUAAUGCACCUGCUACAUUUCAACGAUGCAUGUUGAGCAUUUUUUCUGAUAUGGUUGAACGAUUCCUUGAAGUCUUUAUGGAUGAUUUUUCUGUCUUUGGUGACUCGUUUGAUCAAUGUUUUACAUCAUCUCGCGUUCUGCAGAGAUGUAAGAGAGCUUAGUUAAAUUGGGAGAAGUGUUAUGGUAAAAAGGUAUUGUUCUCGGUCACAUCAUUUCGGUAUGAGGUUGACAAAGCCAAGGUGGAUCUCAUUUCUAAUCUUCCUCACCUAAAACAGUCAGAGUCUUUUCCGCAUGCUGGUCUAUAGACGUUUCAUUAAAGAUUUUAGCAAAGUUUCUAGACCCUUAUGCAAUUUACUUGCUAAGGAUGUACCUUUUAUCUUUAAUGAUUCAUGUCUUAUGGCUUUUGAAAAAUUAAAGCAAUUGUUGACAUCAUCACCCAUCAUUCAGGCCCCAAACUGGAGCUUACCAUUUGAGCUCAUGUGUGAUGCAUCUGAUUAUGCAGUAGGAGCAGUAUUAGGACAAAGAGUUGAUCGAAUUCCCAACGUUAUUUACUAUGCUAGUAUGACCUUGAAUGAUGCACAGUUGAAUUAUUCAACUACUGAAAAAGAAAUGCUAGCAGUAGUUUGCAUUGGAAAAAUUUCGAUCUUAUCUCAUUGGUUGUAAAAUAAUUAUAUUCACAGAUCAUGCUGCUCUUAAAUAUCUUCUCACAAAGAAAGAUGCAAAAGCUAGACUAAUUCGUUGGGUGUUACUUUUGCAGGAAUUUGACUUGGAAUUCAAAGAUAAGAAAGGGACAGAAAAUGUUGUGGCGGACCACCUCUCUCGUCUCCAUUUUGACACAAUUACAGAGCCAUUAAUAUUAAAUGAGUCAUUUCCAGAUGAACAAUUAAUGAUGUGGAAGUAUUACCUUGGUAUGCUGAUAUAGUUAAUUAUCUUGUUACAGGUAAGCUUCCAGAGCAUUGGACCAAGCAAGACAAGGCUAAAUUCUUUGCGGAAAUAAAGAAUUUCUUUUGGGAUGACCCAUAUUUGUUCAAGUAUUGUGCAGACCAAAUUGUUAGACGAUGUGUCCCUGAAAGUGAAAUUCAGAAUAUCCUUUCAUUCUGCCAUGAACAAGCUUGUGGAGGCCAUUUCAGUGCUAAGAAAACAGCGACUAAAGUUUUACAAUGGUUUCUAUUGGCCAACUAUAUUUCGAGAUGCUUACACUUUCUGUUCUUCAUGUGAUAGGUGUCAACGAAUGGGGAGCAUUACACGAAGGAACAUGAUGCCACUAAAUCCAAUUUUAGUGGUUGAGAUUUUUGACGUAUGGGGUAUCGACUUCAUGGGACCCUUUCCCCUUCUUUUGGCCAUCAAUACAUAUUGGUUGGUGUUGACUACGUAUCGAAAUGGGUGGAAGCAAUUCCAUGCAGAACCAAUGAUCACAAGUGGUGAUAGGAUUUUUGAAAAAGCAAUAUUGUUUCGCGCUUUGGAUUCCCUCGAGCGAUAAUCAGUGAUGGUGGUGCCCACUUUUGUAACAAAGCAUUCAAGGCUCUUUUGACAAAGUAUUCAAUCACACAAAGUGGCGACCCCGUAUCAUCCGCAAACCAGUGGCCAAGUUGAGAUCUCCAAUCGAGAAAUAAAGCACAUAUUAGAAAAGACGGUGAGGCCAGACAGGAAAGAUUGGUCAUUACGACUUGAUGAUGCAUUAUGGGCAUAUAGAACGGCUUUCAAGACCCCGAUUGGGAUGUCACCCUACAGGCUAGUGUAUGGAAAAGCUUGCCACCUACCUGUGGAACUCGAGCAUCGUGCAUAUUGGGCCAUCAAGAAAUUCAACUUUGACAUGCAGCAAGCCAGCUCAGAAAGAAGAUUACAGCUGGCAGAACUUGAAGAAAUUCGCAAUGAUGCAUACGAAAAUGCCAAGAUUUACAAGCAACGAAUGAAAGUCUUCCAUGAUAAGCAAAUUAUGAGAAAAUCGUUCACUCCAGGUCAGAAAGUGCUUUUAUUCAAUUCUCGCUUGCACCUAUUCCCAGGUAAGUUACGCUCUCGUUGGUCUGGCCCAUUUAUUGUACAUACUGUUUUUCCACAUGGGGCAAUUGAAAUUAAGGACCCAAAGAACGGUGUCACGUAUAAAGUUAAUGGUCAAAGAUUAAAGCCAUAUCUAGAGUACCAACCACAUGGAGAAAACAUCGAAAUAAAUUUGAGUGACCCACUAAAUUUGAAUUGAUUUUUUUUUUCUUUUCGUUAAUUUGAUUUUUCUUUAUUUCUUUUUAUUAUUAUUCUUUUGCUAAUUGAAAUUGUUUUUGCAUAAGUGUGUUUAUUUUACCAUUAAGUUUUCUCUUAUCAUUUUUAAUCAUGAGUCUCAUACUUAGACCGUUCCUCCUGAACAUUCUUAAACCACUUCAACGUGUCAAAACUCAUCUCAAAAGGCAGAUCUAUUUUGUAAAACACAACGCAUUUGGGCUCUACAACCACCAGAGUUAGUAGCCUAUGUUGAGGGUUUAGAACGCCAACUCAGAGACAUUGAGAGAAGUGUUUACGACAUCCAGUUGGAGCUUGAGGUAAAUUCAAUAAGAGGACGAUUUUAAUUUUCUUUGUGUGUUUUUUGUUUUUCUGUUUGUGUGCUUUAGUUUGUUACCCCGGUGAAGUGGCGGAUAACGGUACUCCGUGACAAUCAAGUCGGUUAACUUCAGUUUCCCAUAAUAACUGAUAUUCUGAGGCGAAGGUAUGGACAGAAACGAGAUUCUAGCGAAGCUUCACAAGCGAUUCCCUUCACUUCCUCAGAAUGCCCUCCUUACAAUCUAUAAAGCCCGGUCUGAACGCAUGCGAUUGCUCAUGAGGAAUAACAUACCUGCAGACAUCCGUUGGUUAAUCGAGGCUAAAGUACGAUUGGCAGGUGAGUUACCUCCUAAAUUUAUUGCAUACAUGCCUGGUUGUGGUAAAGGAAAUUACGCAAGAAAACGACGAGCUCGAAGAAUUUCUGUUGCUUGUCACAAGUGUGCCAGAAUGAGUUGCGAUAGAAACCCAUGUUCUUUAGGAAUGUGUCUGAUAACAGGGAAGAUAAGAUUCAAUUCAUUAGGGAUGGCUUGAAUAAGGAGUCAUUGGAUGAUAUCCUUUUGUCUCUUGAAACGCAUCCCAGUGGAUAUGUGCAAGGAGCGAUUCUCCAGUUAAGGCCAUUAUUCCAAAAAGAGCAUGCACGAUAUCGUCUCGGGAAUCUGACUAUAAACGACCCUGUUUGCCAGUUUAUAAGAAAACUGGAUGGGAAGCCCAUCCUCGACCCAUAGAGGGUUCAAGCCGUUUCUGGACGUAAAACCAGAGGAAGAUGUGAGCCACAGUCGCAACUACGUGUAAAUAUCCUUUUACUUUACUGUUAUUUUAUUUCAUUUCACUGUUGUUUUAUUGUUUGCAUUAUUGUCUUUAAUAAUUUUAUUACUGUUUGCUUUUUCCUUUUUACUGUUUCCUUUUUGACUCGCGAGCCACGUGCUUUACGCGUUAUUUGACACUGACAUGUUACCUCAUUCACAGCUGUGAUCCAUUGUCACCAAGAUUCUUAAAUGUGAUUUAUCUUUUGUCAAGCACUCACAAAUUAUUUUUGAGAAGUAUCACAAUGGCAGCUACUCCCAAUAGACAAUUCAAGAACAUUUGUGUGCUUUCUGGAUUUACCUAUGGCAAACAUAAAGAGUUCGUGGAGGCAGCCAUAGAUCUUGGUCGAAGCAUAGCAGCGAGAAAAUUACAUUUGGUGUAUGGAGGAGGUAACCGAGGGUUAUCAAAAAUGGUCUCAGAAGCAGCUUUUAUCAGAGGAAGUCAAGUGUUAGGCAUCAUCCCAAGAGUCCUAAAACCAUUGGGCAGUUCGUCUGACUCAUCAACUGGAGAAGAGUUAGUCGUCUCAGGUAUGCAAGAAAGAAUAACUGAAAUGCUUAAUCAUGCUGAUGCUUUUAUUUUCCUUCCAGGAGAUCUUGCAACACUAGAGGCACUUAUGACACUAGCAUCUUGGGCCCAUCUGCACAUCCACCAGAAACCCAUCGGUUUGUUAAAUGUCAAUAACUUUUAUGAUGGCUUUAUCGCAUUUCUUAACCAUGCAAUAAAAAAACUAUUUCAUUCCUUCUAAUGUAAAAAAACUUUUUAUUUGUGCUCACACUGCUAAUGAACUACUUGAUCUGUUACAAGCUUAUAAACCGGAGCCAGACCCCUGGACCUUUGUGUUGGAGCGCCCAAAUAAUGAUGGUAACAGUAGCCGCAGUAAGAAGUACAAAUUAGAUUUAACUCUCCGCCUGUAAAUAUAUUCUUUUGUGUUGCACCACCCAGGUGAUGUCUUCUAAACUCUACUUCUUCCUUUAAAACAUUGAGGACAAUGUUUCGUUCUGAACUAAAGUUUUACAAUGUGGUUUCUAUUGGCCAACUAUAUUUCGAGAUGCUUACACUUUCUGUUCUUCAUGUGAUAGGUGUCAACGAAUGGGGAGCAUUACACGAAGGAACAUGAUGCCACUAAAUCCAAUUUUAGUGGUUGAGAUUUUUGACGUAUGGGGUAUCGACUUCAUGGGACCCUUUCCCCUUCUUUUGGCCAUCAAUACAUAUUGGUUGGUGUUGACUACGUAUCGAAAUGGGUGGAAGCAAUUCCAUGUAGAACCAAUGAUCACAAGUGGUGAUAGGAUUUUUGAAAAGCAACAUUGUUUCGCGCUUUGGAUUCCCUCGAGCGAUAAUCAGUGAUGGUGGUGCCCACUUUUGUAACAAAGCAUUCAAGGCUCUUUUGACAAAGUAUUCAAUCACACACAAAGUGGCGACCCGUAUCAUCCGCAAACCAGUGGCCAAGUUGAGAUCUCCAAUCGAGAAAUAAAGCACAUAUUAGAAAAGACGGUGAGGCCAGACAGGAAAAGAUUGGUCAUUAAGACUUGAUGAUGCAUUAUGGGCAUAUAGAACGGCUUUCAAGACCCCGAUUGGGAUGUCACCCUACAGGCUAGUGUAUGGAAAAGCUUGCCACCUACCUGUGGAACUCGAGCAUCGUGCAUAUUGGGCCAUCAAGAAAUUCAACUUUGACAUGCAGCAAGCCAGCUCAGAAAGAAGAUUACAGCUGGCAGAACUUGAAGAAAUUCGCAAUGAUGCAUACGAAAAUGCCAAGAUUUACAAGCAACGAAUGAAAGUCUUCCAUGACAAGCAAAUUAUGAGAAAUCGUUCACUCCAGGUCAGAAAGUGCUUUUAUUCAAUUCUCGCUUGCACCUAUUCCCAGGUAAGUUACGCUCUCGUUGGUCUGGCCCUUUAUUGUUCAUACUGUUUUUCCACAUGGGGCAAUUGAAAUUAAGGACCCAAAGAACGGUGUCACGUAUAAAGUUAAUGGUCAAAGAUUAAAGCCAUAUCUAGAGUACCAACCACAUGGAGAAACAUCGAAAUAAAUUUGAGUGACCCACUAAAUUUGAAUUGAUUUUUUUUUUUCUUUUCGUUAAUUUGAUUUUUCUUUAUUUCUUUUUAUUAUUAUUCUUUUGCUAAUUGAAAUUGUUUUUGCAUAAGUGUGUUUAUUUUACCAUUAAGUUUUCUCUUAUCAUUUUUAAUCAUGAGUCUCAUACUUAGACCGUUCCUCCUGAACAUUCUUAAACCACUUCAACGUGUCAAAACUCAUCUCAAAAGGCAGAUUCUAUUUUGUAAAACACAACGCAUUUGGGCUCUACAACCACCAGAGUUAGUAGCCUAUGUUGAGGGUUUAGAACGCCAACUCAGAGACAUUGAGAGAAGUGUUUACGACAUCCAGUUGGAGCUUGAGGUAAAUUCAAUAAGAGGACGAUUUUAAUUUUCUUUGUGUGUUUUUUGUUUUUCUGUUUGUGUGCUUUAGUUUGUUACCCCGGUGAAGUGGCGGAUAACGGUACUCCGUGACAAUCAAGUCGGUUAACUUCAGUUUCCCAUAAUAACUGAUAUUCUGAGGCGAAGGUAUGGACAGAAACGAGAUUCUAGCGAAGCUUCACAAGCGAUUCCCUUCACUUCCUCAGAAUGCCCUCCUUACAAUCUAUAAAGCCCGGUCUGAACGCAUGCGAUUGCUCAUGAGGAAUAACAUACCUGCAGACAUCCGUUGGUUAAUCGAGGCUAAAGUACGAUUGGCAGGUGAGUUACCUCCUAAAUUUAUUGCAUACAUGCCUGGUUGUGGUAAAGGAAAUUACGCAAGAAAACGACGAGCUCGAAGAAUUUCUGUUGCUUGUCACAAGUGUGCCAGAAUGAGUUGCGAUAGAAACCCAUGUUCUUUAGGAAUGGUGUCUGAUAACAGGGAAGAUAAGAUUCAAUUCAUUAGGGAUGGCUUGAAUAAGGAGUCAUUGGAUGAUAUCCUUUUGUCUCUUGAAACGCAUCCCAGUGGAUAUGUGCAAGGAGCGAUUCUCCAGUUAAGGCCAUUAUUCCAAAAGAGCAUGCACGAUAUCGUCUCGGGAAUCUGACUAUAAACGACCCUGUUUGCCAGUUUAUAAGAAAACUGGAUGGGAAGCCCAUCCUCGACCCAUAGAGGGCGUUCAAGCCGUUUCUGGACGUAAAACCAGAGGAAGAUGUGAGCCACAGUCGCAACUACGUGUAAAUAUCCUUUUACUUUACUGUUAUUUUAUUUCAUUUCACUGUUGUUUUAUUGUUUGCAUUAUUGUCUUUAAUAAUUUUAUUACUGUUUGCUUUUUCCUUUUUACUGUUUCCUUUUUGACUCGCGAGCCACGUGCUUUACGCGUUAUUUGACACUGACAUGUUACCUCAUUCACAGCUGUGAUCCAUUGUCACCAAGAUUCUUAAAUGUGAUUUAUCUUUUGUCAAGCACUCACAAAUUAUUUUUGAGAAGUAUCACAAUGGCAGCUACUCCCAAUAGACAAUUCAAGAACAUUUGUGUGCUUUCUGGAUUUACCUAUGGCAAACAUAAAGAGUUCGUGGAGGCAGCCAUAGAUCUUGGUCGAAGCAUAGCAGCGAGAAAAUUACAUUUGGUGUAUGGAGGAGGUAACCGAGGGUUAUCAAAAAUGGUCUCAGAAGCAGCUUUUAUCAGAGGAAGUCAAGUGUUAGGCAUCAUCCCAAGAGUCCUAAAACCAUUGGGCAGUUCGUCUGACUCAUCAACUGGAGAAGAGUUAGUCGUCUCAGGUAUGCAAGAAAGAAUAACUGAAAUGCUUAAUCAUGCUGAUGCUUUUAUUUUCCUUCCAGGAGAUCUUGCAACACUAGAGGCACUUAUGACACUAGCAUCUUGGGCCCAUCUGCACAUCCACCAGAAACCCAUCGGUUUGUUAAAUGUCAAUAACUUUUAUGAUGGCUUUAUCGCAUUUCUUAACCAUGCAAUAAAAAACUAUUUCAUUCCUUCUAAUGUAAAAAAACUUUUUAUUUGUGCUCACACUGCUAAUGAACUACUUGAUCUGUUACAAGCUUAUAAACCGGAGCCAGACCCCUGGACCUUUGUGUUGGAGCGCCCAAAUAAUGAUGGUAACAGUAGCCGCAGUAAGAAGUACAAAUUAGAUUUUAACUCUCGCUGUAAUAUAUUCUUUUGUGUUGCACCACCCAGGUGAUGUCUUCUAAACUCUACUUCUUUCCUUUAAAACAUUGAGGACAAUGUUUCGUUUCUGGUUGAGGGGGGAAUAGUCGACAAUUGUGGAAUCUUGGUUAAGUUUUUACUGAUUUUUUGUUGUAGAAACUAACUGUUGCUAACUUUUUGUGUUGAAGAUGGCUGAAUAUGGAGUGUAGUGACUCUAGAAACGCCAUCUUCAUCGUUUAAAAAAAAAAAAAAAUUUAAAAACUAAAAAAACUAAAAAAAACAAAAAAUUCAAACAUUUUCUUUUUCUUUAUUAUGUUUUGAUGUUCAUUUUUCUUCUUCUUUUUAAUUUCUCCUAUAAAUAUAUAUUUCCAACUUUUGAGUCGAAGAUAGCUGAAUAUGGAGAUUUGCCUCUAGAAACGCAUCUUCAUCGUUUUAAAAAAAAAAUUAAAAAAAAAAAAAACAAAAUUUCAUUUUUCGUUUUCUAUCAUUUUACGUGUAACUUUUCUAAUUAGUUUUUAUGCAUCAUUUUCACAUUUCUGCAUGCAUAUUUUCCUUUCAUGUUUAGAAUAGGUUGGGGGUAGAAUGUUGUUUAAAAAAAAAAAAAAGAAAAAAUUGUGUGAUUUGUUUUAACUUUAGAUGACAUGAUUAAUUCAAAUUUUAGUAUUUGUAUUAUCUUUGGUCUUAAGUGAUGUUACAUUAUGUUUGCUACUCUACAUGUUGAUGUCGGAGACAAAUAUGAGUUGCUUGAAGGAAUGACAUGUCAUAAUAAAGUACCAAGUGAGUUUUUGAGCCUAUCAUUUUUCUUUGGAGAGUAACCCUUUUGCCCAUUCUUUAUAAUGCUUAACAGUUUAUUAUUGUAUACACGAUCUCUAGAUUUCUUUUGAGUUAAGCCUUAAAAAAAAAAAAAAAAAAAAAAUGUGUGUGUUGCUUACAUUGGGAGGCCCAUCUAACUAGUAGAUAUGGAUGAUUAUUUAGAGCCCUAAAAGACGAUGGAAAGGCCAUCUUUGAUCCGUUUGAGCCUUUCUAGCCAUCCCUCUUAUCAAGUAUCCAUAGUUUAACCCAUUUGAGCCUUUUAAAUAAAAAAAAAAAAAAACUUUCUUUGUUUAACUUAUCAUCUUGACCCACUCCGAUUUGGAGUAUUACCCAAUAUCUUACAAAUUCCAUCACCUAUUUAUGUUUGAGAAAAAUGUAAAUAAACAUUUUGCAUAGUGAAGUUAUGCCUAGUUUCAAAAAAAAAAAGAAAAAAUUGUUGUUGCUGAAAAAAAAAAAAAAAAGAAAAAAAAUUGUUGUUUCAAAAGAAUAAAAAUAACAAUAAUAGGUGAAAUCCACCUUGCAACUUCCAAAAAAAAAAAAAAAAAAUAUUCUCUGCAUUUUUUCUCAAACAUACACUUUGUUUUCCUUAUUUCCCUUCUUUGUUAGCCAUAUCCCUAAGCCUACGUUACGUCCUAAUAAAAGUCCUUCUUGAUUUUAGGGGAACUAUAGUUUGAAGUAGAAGCUAGUUAUAUGGGCUAAAAAGAUGUAGUGAUGCAUAAUUAAAAAAAAAAAAAGAUAAAUAAAGUGGGUUGACUAACAUUUUAUUUGACUUGAGAUCGUAUUAUUUCUAAGCUGAGGGCAUAUUUAUUUAAUCUUGGUGAGAGCAUGUGAUAUCAUUUCUUUAUUAUUUUCUCUCUCAAUUACCAUUCAUUGGAGUGACUAUGUUUAUUGGGUUUUAAUUUCUUUGUGAGAGUGUCACUACUUCCAGUGAGAUUUUGGGGUUUUGACAUGUCAUUCUUGAAAGUAGCUAUAACAAAGUCUACUGGGCUAAUUCAUGUGGAUGGUUGAUGUGGGUGUGAUGUUGCUUUAGACUGGAGAUAAUGCUUAUACUUUUAUUUGAUUGCUAUCAUUAAUCUGAUUGAAUAAACACGAGUGUUUCUAAAAAAAAAAAAAAAAAAAAUCAUUUUGAAUUUGAAUUUUGUUUUCGCUUUAUUUGCUAGGGACUAGCAAUAAGCUGGUUGGGGGGUGUUGUUGAGUGUUAGAAAAUACAUAUUUUAUAAAGGAGAAAACCGUCAUUUUACAUUUCAAGUCUUUACUAACAACCCUUACUUUUAUGUAUUUAACCUUCUUGUGAUUGUAAUUACGUGUGUGUUUUUUUAAUUAAGUAUUUUAUGUAUUUUAGGGGCAGUAUAGUCAUUUCACAAUAAAGGAGAGAUCAGACGGCAAAACGGACAUCACUUUUGAACUCAGGACGGUCGAAAACCUUAGGAGGAGCAUAAAAGGAAAAAAUGGCACUAUUCACAUGUACGGUACUAUUCACGUAUACGGUACUGUCUACGUUACUGUUCACGACACUGUUCACAUAGACGGAUCGAUGACGUGGCAUUGACCGAUGACGUGGCAUUGACCGAUGAUGUGGCAUUGACUGAUGAGGUGUCACGAUCCUGUUGGGCUAAAAUUCUUAUGUACUGUUAAUGGUGACGUGGCAGCAUAUCAGUGACGAAAAAUCUCGUGUACGGUGCAUGCAUCACACAGGAUUAUUUUCAACCAAACCGCGUUACUGUUCAUCCGGGUCAAACCGUGUUACUGUUCAUCCGCUCGGUGGUCAAACCGUGGACUGUUGACUGAUGACGUGGCGCAAUCCUGAGCGUCCAAACUGUUUUUAAUCCGAUGGCCAUGAUUUACUCCAUGUAUCUAUAAAAAGGGGGCCUCUCCCCCCGAAUUUGAUAUCUCUGAAUCCAUUUUUGGGAUCCAUUUUUCUGUAAUUCCUUCUCCAUCUUGUAUUUUCUUUGUAUUUUAAUAAAUUCCCUUUUUGCCCCUAGUUCAAUUAUGAGUAGCUAAUUUCUUUUCAAGCUUGGGUUGAAGGUGAAGUCUCAACAUGUGUCAUGGGCUUUAUUUGGUAAAUUUAUUUUCUUUUCCCCUCUAGUUUUUGUGGAUGAUUUGACUUAUCGUCGACAAAUAAUACUGAUCUUGUCUAGAUACCGCCUUGGUUACACCGGCUCUCUGGUAUAAGGUUAUUAUUAUUUGGCACGAUAAGCCCUUAGCACCAUAUUGAUUAGAGCGUGGUUCAUGAGGUGUGGAUUCCCCCCUCAUGAUUUAAUUGGUAUUAAUAAGGAAUAUUUAGCCCAUGAUGCAUGUUGAUACGGAUCCAGAUACCCAAGUACGUCAUUUCAAUAGAAUUCUCUUCAAUUUAUUCUCGCCAUUUUAAUUUAAGUUUUAGCAUAUUCCAAAUCAUUUCCACCACAAAUCCAAUCACCCAUUUACAAAAUUAAUUUUAUACACAAUUAAAAUCCACCUCCUCGUGGGAUCGACACUCGUCACCAUUAGUCUAUAUUACAAUAGAUUCGUGCGCUUGCGAGUACAUUAAAAUUUGCACAACAAGUUUUUGGCGCCGUUGCCGGGGAGGUAAGUAAUUUUAAUUCAUAAAAUUAAUUUUGUGAAUAAUUUCUUUUAUUUGUUUUCUUGUAUUUUUUUUUUCUUAUAAAAAAAAAAAGAAAAAAAAAAGAGUAAAUCUACAUUUAAAGGUUAGUAUUUCUUUUCUUUUUCUCUUCUUUAAAAUUCUGUAAUUUAAUUUUCAAUUUAUUUUUUUUUCUUUGUAAUUUUUGUUUAUUUUAUUAAUUUAAUUUUUAGUUAAUUUAUUUCACGUAUUUGUUUUUGUGUAUUUUUAUAGAAAGGUUGUAAUAGCGCAAUAAGGUUAGUAUCGUAAUUUCUCCCUCUUAUUUAUUUUUAUUUGUUUUGUUCCCAUCUUUAUUUUUUGUUUUGUUUGCAUCUUUAUUUUUAUUUUCAUUUUAUUUUGCAUGCAUGGUCGUAGGUCAUUAUUACCUAAUCUUGAACCUAUAGACCUUGAAUUAGAAAAAACACUUCGCACACAAAAACACAUUAAAAAUAAAAUUGGAAUGGAUUUACAAGCACCACAGGAGAGGCCAUUUAAGGACUAUUUUAGUCCCUUAGCUAAUUUAAGCACAUCAUGUAUUAGAUACCCAAAUGUAGCUGCUAGGAAGCUUUGAACUAAAACCUAGUGUGCUAAAUUGUCUCCCCACAUUCUAUGGCUUAGAAAAUGAGGACCCAUAUAAUCAUCUGAAUGAUUUUCAUACCAUUUGUCAAACUUUUAAAUAUGAAAAUUUUUCAGACGAUGAUGUUAAACUCAGACUAUUCCCAUUUUCUUUAAAGGAUAGAGCUCGUUCAUGGUUAAAUACGUUGCCUGCUAAUAGCAUUUCAUCAUGGGAACAAAUGGUAACUAAAUUUUUGAAUAAAUAUUUCCCAGUGCAUAAAACCAAUUCUAUUCGCAGGGAAAUUUCAGAGUUUACACAAAGAGAGGACGAGCAGUUUUUCGAAACUUGGGAGCGAUUCAAUGGGCUACUCUUGAAGUGUCCACAUCAUGGGUACGAAAAAUGGCACCAAUGCCAAUACUUUUUGGAGGGAUUACUACCGAAUGUGCAAGAAUGGCUAAUGGCAACAAGUGGAGGAGAGCUAAUGUCAAAAAGUGCAUCAGAAAUUUGGGAAUUCUUCCAACGACAAGCGGAUAAUUCCCAACAACGGAGUCGAUCACUAAGGAAUACUAGAAGAAUUAAGGGAGUAAAUGAGGUUCAAAUUGGCGAGUCAACUUCGGGAAUCAAAGAAGUCAAGGAGAUGGUUGAAGGUCUCGCUCGACAAAUAGCAUCGUUAUCGACUGCUAAAUCAACAGAACCACAUGACCAUGACUCAUACUCCGAUCAAGCCAAUGCCAUAGGUGUAAUGAGAAAACCAUCGAAUUACAACCCAUACUCCAACACAUAUAACCCUGGAUGGAGAGACCACCCCAAUAUUUCAUGGUCUCAAGGAUUCCAACAGAAUGGACCAGCAGCUCCAGCUCCACCAAUGCAACAAAUUCCUCAAAAUCCUCAAGCCUCUCAGCCACCAUUCAGACCAUACAAUCAGAACCAGAACUACUCUCAACCCAGACCAUGGGAGGAUGCAUUCCAGAAUUUCAAGAAUGUUACUCACUCCACGAUUGAGCAACAGAACCGCACCAUUGAUGGACUACGAAAUGAGUUGAGAGCAGGCUUCAACUCACAAGCUCAAUCAGUUUCAAGCCUCGAGAAGAUGGUGGACAACUUGCUUCUUCAGUUCAGACCUUGGCAAUGACUGUUGAGAAAGGAAAAUUUCCAAGUCAACCAGUGCCUAAUCCUAAAGGAGUACAUGAAGCAAGUACCAGUUCACCACAACAGCAUGGAGAGGUCAAAGCAGUCAUGACCUUGCGAAAAGGAAAGGAAGUCGACAACAAAGUGGAGAUGCCGGUGACAAAAGAAAAUCAAAUUGUACCUGUGAAUGUUGAAGACUCACCACCGGAGGAGAAAGAAGAAACCAACCCACGAGAAUACGUUCCGAAAGCUCCAUUUCCUCAGAGGUUAGCUAAAGGGAAAAAGGGAAAAUCCACAGGUGAGAUUCUCGAAAUCUUCAAACAGGUAAGUGUUAACAUCCCUUUACUUGAUGCUAUUAAACAAGUUCCAUCUUAUUGCCAAGUUUCUUAAAGACCUUUGUACUAAAAAGAGAAAUAUGCAUGUUCAAAAGAAGGCAUUUUUAACAGAAAAUGUUAGUUCUAUACUCCAACAUAAAAUUCCUCUAAAAUGCAAAGACCCAGGCUCCCCCACUAUCUCAUGUAGUAUAGGGAACCACACAAUUGAGAAUGCGUUGUUGGAUUUAGGAGCUAGUGUAAAUCUGUUGCCUUAUUCAGUAUUCGUGAAACUUGGACUGGGAGAAUUACACCCAACUCCAGUGGUGUUACAGCUUGCAGAUCGGUCCACGAAAAUACCUCGUGGUAUUAUGGAGGACGUGCUUAUCCAGGUAGACAAGUUUUAUUUUCCUGUUGAUUUCAUUGUAAUUGACACUCAACCAAUACAGGAUUCAAGGAAGCACAUCCCCAUUAUUCUAGGCCGACCUUUCUUGGCGACUGCGGAUGCUCACAUUCAAUGCAGGACUGGAAAUAUGCAGUUGUCCUUCGGCAACAUGACUAUGGAGCUAAAUAUUUUCAACAUUGCCAAACAACCUCACAGUGCAGAUGAUGGAAUUGUUGAUGUGGAUUUAAUAGAAACAAUAGUUGAUAAUACUUUUCUUUCAAACCUUAGUGAUGAUCCUUUACAGACAUGCUUAACUCACUUUGGUUUGGAUUUUGAUAUUGAUAGAUCGGUCGAUGAGGUCAACGCCCUGCUUGACUCAGCACCAUCCAUGGACACUAAUAAAUGGAAGUCAAGAGUUGAACAACUAGCACCAUCAGAGAAGAAACUCAUUCCAUCAUCAGAAUCACCACCGAAACUCGAGCUCAAACCAUUACCCAACACUCUGGAAUAUGCAUUUUUGGGAGAAGAAAGUACUCUGCCGGUAAUCAUCUCAUCAUCCCUAAAUGACGAACAAAAAGGUAAGUUGUUGGAUGUUUUAAAAGAGCACAAAGGAGCAUUAGGAUGGACCAUAGCAGACAUUAAAGGUAUAAACCCAGUAGACUGUAUGCAUUACAUUCACCUUGAUGAAAAUGCUAAAACUACUAGGGAGAUGCAACGUCGGUUAAAUCCUAACAUGAAAGAAGUUGUUAGAACUGAAGUCCUUAAGCUAUUAGAUGCAGGUAUCAUUUACCCAAUUUCUGAUAGUUCAUGGGUCAGUCCUGUACAAGUUGUCCCCAAAAAGUCAGGAGUCACAGUAGUUACCAAUGCUGAUAAUGAAUUGAUACCAACUAGAGUAACUACAGGAUGGCGUGUAUGCAUUGAUUAUAGAAAGUUGAAUUCUGUCACACGUAAAGACCAUUUUCCUUUACCAUUUAUUGAUCAAAUGCUUGAUAGAUUAGCAGGCCAUGAAUUUUAUUGCUUUCUAGAUGGCUACUCAGGAUAUAAUCAGAUUCCCAUAGCACCAAAAGAUCAAGAGAAAACUACUUUCACUUGCCCUUUUGGCACAUUUGCAUAUAGGAGAAUGCCAUUUGGAUUAUGUAAUGCACCUGCUACAUUUCAACGAUGCAUGUUGAGCAUUUUUUCUGAUAUGGUUGAACGAUUCCUUGAAGUCUUUAUGGAUGAUUUUUCUGUCUUUGGUGACUCGUUUGAUCAAUGUUUACAUCAUCUAACGCUAGUUCUGCAGAGAUGUACCGAGAAGAGCUUAGUCUUAAAUUGGGAGAAGUGCCAUUUUAUGGUAAAACAAGGUAUUGUUCUCGGUCACAUCAUUUCGAGCAAAGGUAUUGAGGUUGACAAAGCCAAGGUGGAUCUCAUUUCUAAUCUUCCUCCACCUAAAACAGUCAGAGAAGUAAGAUCUUUCCUUGGGCAUGCUGGUUUCUAUAGACGUUUCAUUAAAGAUUUUAGCAAAGUUUCUAGACCCUUAUGCAAUUUACUUGCUAAGGAUGUACCUUUUAUCUUUAAUGAUUCAUGUCUUAUGGCUUUUGAAAAAUUAAAGCAAUUGUUGACAUCAUCACCCAUCAUUCAGGCCCCAAACUGGAGCUUACCAUUUGAGCUCAUGUGUGAUGCAUCUGAUUAUGCAGUAGGAGCAGUAUUAGGACAAAGAGUUGAUCGAAUUCCCAACGUUAUUUACUAUGCUAGUAUGACCUUGAAUGAUGCACAGUUGAAUUAUUCAACUACUGAAAAAGAAAUGCUAGCAGUAGUGUUUGCAUUGGAAAAAUUUCGAUCUUAUCUCAUUGGUUGUAAAAUAAUUAUAUUCACAGAUCAUGCUGCUCUUAAAUAUCUUCUCACAAAGAAAGAUGCAAAAGCUAGACUAAUUCGUUGGGUGUUACUUUUGCAGGAAUUUGACUUGGAAUUCAAAGAUAAGAAAGGGACAGAAAAUGUUGUGGCGGACCACCUCUCUCGUCUCCAUUUUGACACAAUUACAGAGCCAUUAAUAUUAAAUGAGUCAUUUCCAGAUGAACAAUUAAUGAGUGUGGAAGUAUUACCUUGGUAUGCUGAUAUAGUUAAUUAUCUUGUUACAGGUAAGCUUCCAGAGCAUUGGACCAAGCAAGACAAGGCUAAAUUCUUUGCGGAAAUAAAGAAUUUCUUUUGGGAUGACCCAUAUUUGUUCAAGUAUUGUGCAGACCAAAUUGUUAGACGAUGUGUCCCUGAAAGUGAAAUUCAGAAUAUCCUUUCAUUCUGCCAUGAACAAGCUUGUGGAGGCCAUUUCAGUGCUAAGAAAACAGCGACUAAAGUUUUACAAUGUGGUUUCUAUUGGCCAACUAUAUUUCGAGAUGCUUACACUUUCUGUUCUUCAUGUGAUAGGUGUCAACGAAUGGGGAGCAUUACACGAAGGAACAUGAUGCCACUAAAUCCAAUUUUAGUGGUUGAGAUUUUUGACGUAUGGGGUAUCGACUUCAUGGGACCCUUUCCCCUUCUUUUGGCCAUCAAUACAUAUUGGUUGGUGUUGACUACGUAUCGAAAUGGGUGGAAGCAAUUCCAUGCAGAACCAAUGAUCACAAAGUGGUGAUAGGAUUUUUGAAAAGCAAUAUUGUUUCGCGCUUUGGAUUCCCUCGAGCGAUAAUCAGUGAUGGUGGUGCCCACUUUUGUAACAAAGCAUUCAAGGCUCUUUUGACAAAGUAUUCAAUCACACACAAAGUGGCGACCCCGUAUCAUCCGCAAACCAGUGGCCAAGUUGAGAUCUCCAAUCGAGAAAUAAAGCACAUAUUAGAAAAGACGGUGAGGCCAGACAGGAAAGAUUUGGUCAUUACGACUUGAUGAUGCAUUAUGGGCAUAUAGAACGGCUUUCAAGACCCCGAUUGGGAUGUCACCCUACAGGCUAGUGUAUGGAAAAGCUUGCCACCUACCUGUGGAACUCGAGCAUCGUGCAUAUUGGGCCAUCAAGAAAUUCAACUUUGACAUGCAGCAAGCCAGCUCAGAAAGAAGAUUACAGCUGGCAGAACUUGAAGAAAUUCGCAAUGAUGCAUACGAAAAUGCCAAGAUUUACAAGCAACGAAUGAAAGUCUUCCAUGAUAAGCAAAUUAUGAGAAAAUCGUUCACUCCAGGUCAGAAAGUGCUUUUAUUCAAUUCUCGCUUGCACCUAUUCCCAGGUAAGUUACGCUCUCGUUGGUCUGGCCCAUUUAUUGUACAUACUGUUUUUCCACAUGGGGCAAUUGAAAUUAAGGACCCAAAGAACGGUGUCACGUAUAAAGUUAAUGGUCAAGAUUAAAGCCAUAUCUAGAGUACCAACCACAUGGAGAAAACAUCGAAAUAAAUUUGAGUGACCCACUAAAUUUGAAUUGAUUUUUUUUUUUUCUCUUUUCGUUAAUUUGAUUUUUCUUUAUUUCUUUUAUUAUUAUUCUUUUGCUAAUUGAAAUUGUUUUUGCAUAAGUGUGUUUAUUUUACCAUUAAGUUUUCUCUUAUCAUUUUUAAUCAUGAGUCUCAUACUUAGACCGUUCCUCCUGAACAUUCUUAAACCACUUCAACGUGUCAAAACUCAUCUCAAAAGGCAGAUUCUAUUUUGUAAAACACAACGCAUUUGGGCUCUACAACCACCAGAGUUAGUAGCCUAUGUUGAGGGUUUAGAACGCCAACUCAGAGACAUUGAGAGAAGUGUUUACGACAUCCAGUUGGAGCUUGAGGUAAAUUCAAUAAGAGGACGAUUUUAAUUUUCUUUGUGUGUUUUUUGUUUUUCUGUUUGUGUGCUUUAGUUUGUUACCCCGGUGAAGUGGCAGAUAACGGUUACUCCGUGACAAUCAAGUCGGUUAACUUCAGUUUCCCAUAAUAACUGAUAUUCUGAGGCGAAGGUAUGGACAGAAACGAGAUUCUAGCGAAGCUUCACAAGCGAUUCCCUUCACUUCCUCAGAAUGCCCUCCUUACAAUCUAUAAAGCCCGGUCUGAACGCAUGCGAUUGCUCAUGAGGAAUAACAUACCUGCAGACAUCCGUUGGUUAAUCGAGGCUAAAGUACGAUUGGCAGGUGAGUUACCUCCUAAAUUUAUUGCAUACAUGCCUGGUUGUGGUAAAGGAAAUUACGCAAGAAAACGACGAGCUCGAAGAAUUUCUGUUGCUUGUCACAAGUGUGCCAGAAUGAGUUGCGAUAGAAACCCAUGUUCUUUAGGAAUGGUGUCUGAUAACAGGGAAGAUAAGAUUCAAUUCAUUAGGGAUGGCUUGAAUAAGGAGUCAUUGGAUGAUAUCCUUUUGUCUCUUGAAACGCAUCCAGUGGAUAUGUGCAAGGAGCGAUUCUCCAGUUAAGGCCAUUAUUCCAAAAAGAGCAUGCACGAUAUCGUCUCGGGAAUCUGACUAUAAACGACCCUGUUUGCCAGUUUAUAAGAAAACUGGAUGGGAAGCCCAUCCUCGACCCAUAGAGGGCGUUCAAGCCGUUUCUGGACGUAAAACCAGAGGAAGAUGUGAGCCACAGUCGCAACUACGUGUAAAUAUCCUUUUACUUUACUGUUAUUUUAUUUCAUUUCACUGUUGUUUUAUUGUUUGCAUUAUUGUCUUUAAUAAUUUUAUUACUGUUUGCUUUUUCCUUUUUACUGUUUCCUUUUUGACUCGCGAGCCACGUGCUUUACGCGUUAUUUGACACUGACAUGUUACCUCAUUCACAGCUGUGAUCCAUUGUCACCAAGAUUCUUAAAUGUGAUUUAUCUUUUGUCAAGCACUCACAAAUUAUUUUUGAGAAGUAUCACAAUGGCAGCUACUCCCAAUAGACAAUUCAAGAACAUUUGUGUGCUUUCUGGAUUUACCUAUGGCAAACAUAAAGAGUUCGUGGAGGCAGCCAUAGAUCUUGGUCGAAGCAUAGCAGCGAGAAAAUUACAUUUGGUGUAUGGAGGAGGUAACGAGGGUUAUCAAAAAUGGUCUCAGAAGCAGCUUUUAUCAGAGGAAGUCAAGUGUUAGGCAUCAUCCCAAGAGUCCUAAAACCAUUGGGCAGUUCGUCUGACUCAUCAACUGGAGAAGAGUUAGUCGUCUCAGGUAUGCAAGAAAGAAUAACUGAAAUGCUUAAUCAUGCUGAUGCUUUUAUUUUCCUUCCAGGAGAUCUUGCAACACUAGAGGCACUUAUGACACUAGCAUCUUGGGCCCAUCUGCACAUCCACCAGAAACCCAUCGGUUGUUAAAUGUCAAUAACUUUUAUGAUGGCUUUAUCGCAUUUCUUAACCAUGCAAUAAAAAACUAUUUCAUUCCUUCUAAUGUAAAAAAACUUUUUAUUUGUGCUCACACUGCUAAUGAACUACUUGAUCUGUUACAAGCUUAUAAACCGGAGCCAGACCCCUGGACCUUUGUGUUGGAGCGCCCAAAUAAUGAUGGUAACAGUAGCCGCAGUAAGAAGUACAAAUUAGAUUUAACUCUCCGCCUGUAAAUAUAUUCUUUUGUGUUGCACCACCCAGGUGAUGUCUUCUAAACUCUACUUCUUUCCUUUAAAACAUUGAGGACAAUGUUUCGUUCUGGUUGAGGGGAGGGAAUAGUCGACAAUUGUGGAAUCUUGGUUAAGUUUUUACUGAUUUUUUGUUGUAGAAACUAACUGUUGCUAACUUUUUGUGUUGAAGAUGGCUGAAUAUGGAGUGUAGUGACUCUAGAAACGCAUCUUCAUCGUUUAAAAAAAAAAAAAAAUUUAAAAAACUAAAAAACUAAAAAAAACAAAAAAAUUCAACAUUUUCUUUUUCUUUAUUAUGUUUUGAUGUUCAUUUUUCUUCUUCUUUUAAUUUCUCCUUAUAAAUAUAUAUUUUCCAACUUUUGAGUCGAAGAUAGCUGAAUAUGGAGUGUAGUGCCUCUAGAAACGCAUCUUCAUCGUUUAAAAAAAAAUUAAAAAAAAAAAAAAACAAAAUUUCAUUUUCGUUUUCUAUCAUUUUACGUGUAACUUUUCUAAUUAGUUUUUAUGCAUCAUUUUCACAUUUCUGCAUGCAUAUUUUCCUUUCAUGUUUAGAAUAGGUUGGGGGGUUAGAAUGUUGUUUAAAAAAAAAAAAAGAAAAAAUUGUGUGAUUUGUUUUAACUUUAGAUGACAUGAUUAAUUUCAAAUUUUAGUAUUUGUAUUAUCUUUGGUCUUAAGUGAUGUUACAUUAUGUUUUGCUACUCUACAUGUUGAUGUCGGAGACAAAUAUGAGUUGCUUGAAGGAAUGAACAUGUCAUAAUAAGUACCAAGUGAGUUUUUGAGCCUAUCAUUUUUCUUGGAGAGUAACCCUUUUGCCCAUUCUUUAUAAUGCUUAACAGUUUAUUAUUGUAUACACGAUCUCUAGAUUUCUUUUGAGUUAAGCCUUAAAAAAAAAAAAAAAAAAAUGUGUGUGUUGCUACAUUGGGAGGCCCAUCUAACUAGUAGAUAUGGAUGAUUAUUUAGAGCCCUAAAAGACGAUGGAAAGGCCAUCUUUGAUCCGUUUGAGCCUUUCUAGCCAUCCCUCUUAUCAAGUAUCCAUAGUUAACCCAUUUGAGCCUUUUAAAUAAAAAAAAAAAAAAACUUUUCUUUGUUUAACUUAUCAUCUUGACCCACUCCGAUUUGGAGUAUUACCCAAUAUCUUACAAAUUCCAUCACCUAUUUAUGUUUGAGAAAAAUGUAAAUAAACAUUUUGCAUAGUGAAGUUAUGCCUAGUUCAAAAAAAAAAAGAAAAAAUUGUUGUUGCUGAAAAAAAAAAAAAAAAAGAAAAAAUUGUUGUUUCAAAAGAAUAAAAAUAACAAUAAUAGGUGAAAUCCACCUUGCAACUUCCAAAAAAAAAAAAAAAAAUAUUCUCUGCAUUUUUCUCAAACAUACACUUUGUUUUCCUUAUUUCCCUUCUUUGUUAGCCAUAUCCCUAGCCUACGUUACGUCCUAAUAAAAGUCCUUCUUGAUUUUAGGAACUAUAGUUUGAAGUAGAAGCUAGUUAUAUGGGCUAAAAAGAUGUAGUGAUGCAUAAUUAAAAAAAAAAAAGAUAAAUAAAGUGGGUUGACUAACAUUUUAUUUGACUUGAGAUCGUAUUAUUUCUAAGCUGAGGGCAUAUUUAUUUAAUCUUGGUGAGAGCAUGUGAUAUCAUUUCUUUAUUAUUUUCUCUCUCAAUUACCAUUCAUUGGAGUGACUAUGUUUAUUGGGUUUUAAUUUCUUUGUGAGAGUGUCACUACUUCCAGUGAGAUUUUGGGGUUUGACAUGUCAUUCUUGAAAGUAGCUAUAACAAAGUCUACUGGGCUAAUUCAUGUGGAUGGUUGAUGUGGGUGUGAUGUUGCUUUAGACUGGAGAUAAUGCUUAUACUUUUAUUUGAUUGCUAUCAUUAAUCUGAUUGAAUAAACACGAGUGUUUCUAAAAAAAAAAAAAAAAAAAUCAUUUUGAAUUUGAAUUUUGUUUUCGCUUUAUUUGCUAGGGACUAGCAAUAAGCUGGUUGGGGGGUGUGUUGAGUGUUAGAAAAUACAUAUUUAUAAAGGAGAAAACCGUCAUUUUACAUUUCAAGUCUUACUAACAACCCUUACUUUUAUGUAUUUAACCUUCUUGUGAUGUAAUUACGUGUGUGUUAUUUUAAUUAAGUAUUUUAUGUAUUUUAGGGGCAGUAUAGUCAUUUCACAAUAAAGGAGAGAUCAGACGGCAAAACGGACAUCACUUUUUGAACUCAGGACGGUCGAAAACCUUAGGAGGAGCAUAAAAGGAAAAAUGGCACUAUUCACAUGUACGGUACUAUUCACGUAUACGGUACUGUCUACGUUACUGUUCAUGACACUGUUCACAUAGACGGAUCGAUGACGUGGCAUUGACCGAUGACGUGGCAUUGACCGAUGAUGUGGCAUUGACUGAUGAGGUGUCACGAUCCUGUUGGGCUAAAAUUCUUAUGUACUGUUAAUGGUGACGUGGCAGCAUAUCAGUGGACGAAAAAUCUCGUGUACGGUGCAUGCAUCACACAGGAUUAUUUUCAACCAAACCGCGUUACUGUUCAUCCGGGUCAACCGUGUUACUGUUCAUCCGCGUGGUCAAACCGUGGACUGUUGACUGAUGACGUGGCGCAAUCCUGAGCGUCCAAACUGUUUUUAAUCGAUGGCCAUGAUUUACUCCAUGUAUCUAUAAAAAGGGGCCUCUCCCCCGAAUUUGAUAUCUCUGAAUCCAUUUUUGGGAUCCAUUUUCUGUAAUUCCUUCUCCAUCUUGUAUUUUCUUUGUAUUUUAAUAAAUUCCCUUUUUGCCCCUAGUUCAAUUAUGAGUAGCUAAUUUCUUUUCAAGCUUGGGUUGAAGGUGAAGUCUCAACAUGUGUCAUGGGCUUUAUUUGGUAAAUUUAUUUUCUUUUCCCCUCUAGUUUUUGUGGAUGAUUUGACUUAUCGUCGACAAAUAAUACUGAUCUUGUCUAGAUACCGCCUUGGUUACACCGGCUCUCUGGUAUAAGGUUAUUAUUAUUUGGCACGAUAAGCCCUUAGCACCAUAUGAUUAGAGCGUGGUUCAUGAGGUGUGGAUUCCCCCUCAUGAUUUAAUUGGUAUUAAUAAGGAAUAUUUAGCCCAUGAUGCAUGUUUGAUACGGAUCCAGAUACCCAAGUACGUCAUUUCAAUAGAAUUCUCUUCAAUUUAUUCUCGCCAUUUUAAUUUAAGUUUUAGCAUAUUCCAAAUCAUUUCCACCACAAAUCCAAUCACCCAUUUACAAAAUUAAUUUUAUACACAAUUAAAAUCCACCUCCUCGUGGGAUCGACACUCGUCACCAUUAGUCUAUAUUACAAUAGAUUCGUGCGCUUGCGAGUACAUUAAAAUUUGCACAACAAGUUUUUGGCGCCGUUGCCGGGGAGGUAAGUAAUUUUAAUUCAUAAAAUUAAUUUUUGUGAAUAAUUUCUUUUAUUUGUUUUCUUGUAUUUUUUUUUCUUAUUAAAAAAAAAAGAAAAAAAAAGAGUAAAUCUACAUUUAAAGGUUAGUAUUUCUUUUCUUUUUCUCUUCUUUAAAAUUCUGUAAUUUAAUUUUCAAUUUAUUUUUUUUUCUUUGUAAUUUUUGUUUAUUUUAUUAAUUUAAUUUUUAGUUAAUUUAUUUCACGUAUUUGUUUUUGUGUAUUUUUAUAGAAAGGUUGUAAUAGCGCAAUAAGGUUAGUAUCGUAAUUUCUCCCUCUUAUUUAUUUUUAUUUGUUUUGUUCCAUCUUUAUUUUUUGUUUUGUUUGCAUCUUUAUUUUUAUUUUCAUUUUAUUUUGCAUGCAUGGUCGUAGGUCAUUAUUACCUAAUCUUGAACCUAUAGACCUUGAAUUAGAAAAAACACUUCGCACACAAAAAACAAUUAAAAAUAAAAUUGGAAUGGAUUUACAAGCACCACAGGAGAGGCCAUUUAAGGACUAUUUUAGUCCCUUAGCUAAUUUAAGCACAUCAUGUAUUAGAUACCAAAUGUAGCUGCUAGGACUUUGAACUAAAACCUAGUGUGCUAAAUUGUCUCCCCACAUUCUAUGGCUUAGAAAAUGAGGACCCAUAUAAUCAUCUGAAUGAUUUUCAUACCAUUUGUCAAACUUUUAAAUAUGAAAAUUUUUCAGACGAUGAUGUUAAACUCAGACUAUUCCCAUUUUCUUUAAAGGAUAGAGCUCGUUUCAUGGUUAAAUACGUUGCCUGCUAAUAGCAUUUCAUCAUGGGAACAAAUGGUAACUAAAUUUUUGAAUAAAUAUUUCCCAGUGCAUAAACCAAUUCUAUUCGCAGGGAAAUUUCAGAGUUUACACAAAGAGAGGACGAGCAGUUUUUCGAAACUUGGGAGCGAUUUCAAUGGGCUACUCUUGAAGUGUCCACAUCAUGGGUACGAAAAAUGGCACCAAUGCCAAUACUUUUUGGAGGGAUUACUACCGAAUGUGCAAGAAUGGCUAAUGGCAACAAGUGGAGGAGAGCUAAUGUCAAAAAGUGCAUCAGGAAAUUUGGGAAUUCUUCCAACGACAAGCGGAUAAUUCCCAACAACGGAGUCGAUCACUAAGGAAUACUAGAAGAAUUAAGGGAGUAAAUGAGGUUCAAAUUGGCGAGUCAACUUCGGGAAUCAAAGAAGUCAAGGAGAUGGUUGAAGGUCUCGCUCGACAAAUAGCAUCGUUAUCGACUGCUAAAUCAACAGAACCACAUGACCAUGACUCAUACUCCGAUCAAGCCAAUGCCAUAGGUGUAAUGAGAAAACCAUCGAAUUACAACCCAUACUCCAACACAUAUAACCCUGGAUGGAGAGACCACCCCAAUUUUUCAUGGUCUCAAGGAUUCCAACAGAAUGGACCAGCAGCUCCAGCUCCACCAAUGCAACAAAUUCCUCAAAAUCCUCAAGCCUCUCAGCCACCAUUCAGACCAUACAAUCAGAACCAGAACUACUCUCAACCCAGACCAUGGAGGAUGCAUUCCAGAAUUUCAAGAAUGUUACUCACUCCACGAUUGAGCAACAGAAACCGCACCAUUGAUGGACUACGAAAUGAGUUGAGAGCAGGCUUCAACUCACAAGCUCAAUCAGUUUCAAGCCUCGAGAAGAUGGUGGGACAACUUGCUUUCUUCAGUUCAGACCUUGGCAAUGACUGUUGAGAAAGGAAAAUUUCCAAGUCAACCAGUGCCUAAUCCUAAAGGAGUACAUGAAGCAAGUACCAGUUCACCACAACAGCAUGGAGAGGUCAAAGCAGUCAUGACCUUGCGAAAAGGAAAGGAAGUCGACAACAAAGUGGAGAUGCCCGGUGACAAAAGAAAAUCAAAUUGUACCUGUGAAUGUUGAAGACUCACCACCGGAGGAGAAAGAAGAACCAACCCACGAGAAUACGUUCCGAAAGCUCCAUUUCCUCAGAGGUUAGCUAAAGGGAAAAAAGGGAAAAUCCACAGGUGAGAUUCUCGAAAUCUUCAAACAGGUAAGUGUUAACAUCCCUUUACUUGAUGCUAUUAAACAAGUUCCAUCUUAUGCCAAGUUUCUUAAAGACCUUUGUACUAAAAAGAGAAUAUGCAUGUUCAAAAGAAGGCAUUUUUAACAGAAAAUGUUAGUUCUAUACUCCAACAUAAAAUUCCUCUAAAAUGCAAAGACCCAGGCUCCCCAUAUCUCAUGUAGUAUAGGGAACCACACAAUUGAGAAUGCGUUGUUGGAUUUAGGAGCUAGUGUAAAUCUGUUGCCUUAUUCAGUAUUCGUGAAACUUGGACUGGGAGAUUACACCCAACUCCAGUGGUGUUACAGCUUGCAGAUCGGUCCACGAAAAUACCUCGUGGUAUUAUGGAGGACGUGCUUAUCCAGGUAGACAAGUUUUAUUUUCCUGUUGAUUUCAUUGUAAUUGACACUCAACAAUACAGGAUUCAAGGAAGCACAUCCCAUUAUUCUAGGCCGACCUUUCUUGGCGACUGCGGAUGCUCACAUUCAAUGCAGGACUGGAAAUAUGCAGUUGUCCUUCGGCAACAUGACUAUGGAGCUAAAUAUUUUCAACAUUGCCAAACAACCUCACAGUGCAGAUGAUGGAAUUGUUGAUGUGGAUUUAAUAGAAACAAUAGUUGAUAAUACUUUUCUUUCAAACCUUAGUGAUGAUCCUUUACAGACAUGCUUAACUCACUUUGGUUUGGAUUUUGAUAUUGACAGAUCGGUCGAUGAGGUCAACGCCCCUUGACUCAGCACCAUCCAUGGACACUAAUAAAUGGAAGUCAAGAGUUGAACAACUAGCACCAUCAGAGAAGAAACUCAUCCCAUCAUCAGAAUCACCACCGAAACUCGAGCUCAAACCAUUACCCAACACUCUGGAAUAUGCAUUUUUGGGAGAAGAAAGUACUCUGCCGGUAAUCAUCUCAUCAUCCCUAAAUGACGAACAAAAAGGUAAGUUGUUGGAUGUUUUAAAAGAGCACAAAGGAGCAUUAGGAUGGACCAUAGCAGACAUAAAAGGUAUAAACCCAGUAGACUGCAUGCAUUACAUUCACCUUGAUGAAAAUGCUAAAUACUAGGGAAAUGCAACGUCGGUUAAAUCCUAAUAUGAAAGAAGUUGUUAGAACUGAAGUCCUUAAGCUAUUAGAUGCAGGUAUCAUUUACCCAAUUUCUGAUAGUUCAUGGGUCAGUCCUGUACAAGUUGUCCCAAAAAGUCAGGAGUCACAGUAGUUACCAAUGCUGAUAAUGAAUUGAUACCAACUAGAGUAACUACAGGAUGGCGUGUAUGCAUUGAUUAUAGAAAGUUGAAUUCUGUCACACGUAAAGACCAUUUUCCUUUACCAUUUAUUGAUCAAAUGCUUGAUAGAUUAGCAGGCCAUGAAUUUUAUUGCUUUCUAGAUGGCUACUCAGGAUAUAAUCAGAUUCCCAUAGCACCAAAAGAUCAAGAGAAAACUACUUUCACUUGCCCUUUUGGCACAUUUGCAUAUAGGAGAAUGCCAUUUGGAUUAUGUAAUGCACCUGCUACAUUUCAACGAUGCAUGUUGAGCAUUUUUUCUGAUAUGGUUGAACGAUUCCUUGAAGUCUUUAUGGAUGAUUUUUCUGUCUUUGGUGACUCGUUUGAUCAAUGUUUACAUCAUCUAACGCUAGUUCUGCAGAGAUGUACCGAGAAGCUUAGUCUUAAAUUGGGAGAAGUGCCAUUUUAUGGUAAAACAAGGUAUUGUUCUCGGUCACAUCAUUUCGAGCAAAGGUAUUGAGGUUGACAAAGCCAAGGUGGAUCUCAUUUCUAAUCUUCCUCCACCUAAAACAGUCAGAGAAGUAAGAUCUUUCCUUGGGCAUGCUGGUUUCUAUAGACGUUUCAUUAAAGAUUUUAGCAAAGUUUCUAGACCCUUAUGCAAUUUACUUGCUAAGGAUGUACCUUUUAUCUUUAAUGAUUCAUGUCUUAUGGCUUUUGAAAAAUUAAAGCAAUUGUUGACAUCAUCACCCAUCAUUCAGGCCCCAAACUGGAGCUUANNNNNNNNNNNNNNNNNNNNNNNNNNNNNNNNNNNNNNNNNNNNNNNNNNNNNNNNNNNNNNNNNNNNNNNNNNNNNNNNNNNNNNNNNNNNNNNNNNNNNNNNNNNNNNNNNNNNNNNNNNNNNNNNNNNNNNNNNNNNNNNNNNNNNNNNNNNNNNNNNNNNNNNNNNNNNNNNNNNNNNNNNNNNNNNNNNNNNNNNNNNNNNNNNNNNNNNNNNNNNNNNNNNNNNNNNNNNNNNNNNNNNNNNNNNNNNNNNNNNNNNNNNNNNNNNNNNNNNNNNNNNNNNNNNNNNNNNNNNNNNNNNNNNNNNNNNNNNNNNNNNNNNNNNNNNNNNNNNNNNNNNNNNNNNNNNNNNNNNNNNNNNNNNNNNNNNNNNNNNNNNNNNNNNNNNNNNNNNNNNNNNNNNNNNNNNNNNNNNNNNNNNNNNNNNNNNNNNNNNNNNNNNNNNNNNNNNNNNNNNNNNNNNNNNNNNNNNNNNNNNNNNNNNNNNNNNNNNNNNNNNNNNNNNNNNNNNNNNNNNNNNNNNNNNNNNNNNNNNNNNNNNNNNNNNNNNNNNNNNNNNNNNNNNNNNNNNNNNNNNNNNNNNNNNNNNNNNNNNNNNNNNNNNNNNNNNNNNNNNNNNNNNNNNNNNNNNNNNNNNNNNNNNNNNNNNNNNNNNNNNNNNNNNNNNNNNNNNNNNNNNNNNNNNNNNNNNNNNNNNNNNNNNNNNNNNNNNNNNNNNNNNNNNNNNNNNNNNNUAGAAAAUGAGGACCCAUAUAAUCAUCUGAAUGAUUUUCAUACCAUUUGUCAAACUUUUAAAUAUGAAAAUUUUUCAGACGAUGAUGUUAAACUCAGACUAUUCCCAUUUUCUUUAAAGGAUAGAGCUCGUUCAUGGUUAAAUACGUUGCCUGCUAAUAGCAUUUCAUCAUGGGAACAAAUGGUAACUAAAUUUUUGAAUAAAUAUUUCCCAGUGCAUAAAACCAAUUCUAUUCGCAGGGAAAUUUCAGAGUUUACACAAAGAGAGGACGAGCAGUUUUUCGAAACUUGGGAGCGAUUCAAUGGGCUACUCUUGAAGUGUCCACAUCAUGGGUACGAAAAAUGGCACCAAUGCCAAUACUUUUUGGAGGAUUACUACCGAAUGUGCAAGAAUGGCUAAUGGCAACAAGUGGAGGAGAGCUAAUGUCAAAAAGUGCAUCAGAAAUUUGGGAAUUCUUCCAACGACAAGCGGAUAAUUCCCAACAACGGAGUCGAUCACUAAGGAAUACUAGAAGAAUUAAGGGAGUAAAUGAGGUUCAAAUUGGCGAGUCAACUUCGGGAAUCAAAGAAGUCAAGGAGAUGGUUGAAGGUCUCGCUCGACAAAUAGCAUCGUUAUCGACUGCUAAAUCAACAGAACCACAUGACCAUGACUCAUACUCCGAUCAAGCCAAUGCCAUAGGUGUAUGUAAUGAGAAAACCAUCGAAUUACAACCCAUACUCCAACACAUAUAACCCUGGAUGGAGAGACCACCCCAAUUUUUCAUGGUCUCAAGGAUUCCAACAGAAUGGACCAGCAGCUCCAGCUCCACCAAUGCAACAAAUUCCUCAAAAUCCUCAAGCCUCUCAGCCACCAUUCAGACCAUACAAUCAGAACCAGAACUACUCUCAACCCAGACCAUGGGAGGAUGCAUUCCAGAAUUUCAAGAAUGUUACUCACUCCACGAUUGAGCAACAGAACCGCACCAUUGAUGGACUACGAAAUGAGUUGAGAGCAGGCUUCAACUCACAAGCUCAAUCAGUUUCAAGCCUCGAGAAGAUGGUGGGACAACUUGCUUCUUCAGUUCAGACCUUGGCAAUGACUGUUGAGAAAGGAAAAUUUCCAAGUCAACCAGUGCCUAAUCCUAAAGGAGUACAUGAAGCAAGUACCAGUUCACCACAACAGCAUGGAGAGGUCAAAGCAGUCAUGACCUUGCGAAAAGGAAAGGAAGUCGACAAAAGUGGAGAUGCCGGUGACAAAAGAAAAUCAAAUUGUACCUGUGAAUGUUGAAGACUCACCACCGGAGGAGAAAGAAGAAACCAACCCACGAGAAUACGUUCCGAAAGCUCCAUUUCCUCAGAGGUUAGCUAAAGGGAAAAAGGGAAAAUCCACAGGUGAGAUUCUCGAAAUCUUCAAACAGGUAAGUGUUAACAUCCCUUUACUUGAUGCUAUUAAACAAGUUCCAUCUUAUGCCAAGUUUCUUAAAGACCUUUGUACUAAAAAGAGAAAUAUGCAUGUUCAAAAGAAGGCAUUUUUAACAGAAAAUGUUAGUUCUAUACUCCAACAUAAAAUUCCUCUAAAAUGCAAAGACCCAGGCUCCCCCACUAUCUCAUGUAGUAUAGGGAACCACACAAUUGAGAAUGCGUUGUUGGAUUUAGGAGCUAGUGUAAAUCUGUUGCCUUAUUCAGUAUUCGUGAAACUUGGACUGGGAGAAUUACACCCAACUCCAGUGGUGUUACAGCUUGCAGAUCGGUCCACGAAAAUACCUCGUGGUAUUAUGGAGGACGUGCUUAUCCAGGUAGACAAGUUUUAUUUUCCUGUUGAUUUCAUUGUAAUUGACACUCAACCAAUACAGGAUUCAAGGAAGCACAUCCCCAUUAUUCUAGGCCGACCUUUCUUGGCGACUGCGGAUGCUCACAUUCAAUGCAGGACUGGAAAUAUGCAGUUGUCCUUCGGCAACAUGACUAUGGAGCUAAAUAUUUUCAACAUUGCCAAACAACCUCACAGUGCAGAUGAUGGAAUUGUUGAUGUGGAUUUAAUAGAAACAAUAGUUGAUAAUACUUUUCUUUCAAACCUUAGUGAUGAUCCUUUACAGACAUGCUUAACUCACUUUGGUUUGGAUUUUGAUAUUGAUAGAUCGGUCGAUGAGGUCAACGCCCUGCUUGACUCAGCACCAUCCAUGGACACUAAUAAAUGGAAGUCAAGAGUUGAACAACUAGCACCAUCAGAGAAGAAACUCAUUCCAUCAUCAGAAUCACCACCAAAACUCGAGCUCAAACCAUUACCCAACACUCUGGAAUAUGCAUUUUUGGGAGAAGAAAGUACUCUGCCGGUAAUCAUCUCAUCAUCCCUAAAUGACGAACAAAAAGGUAAGUUGUUGGAUGUUUUAAAAGAGCACAAAGGAGCAUUAGGAUGGACCAUAGCAGACAUUAAAGGUAUAAACCCAGUAGACUGUAUGCAUUACAUUCACCUUGAUGAAAAUGCUAAAACUACUAGGGAGAUGCAACGUCGGUUAAAUCCUAACAUGAAAGAAGUUGUUAGAACUGAAGUCCUUAAGCUAUUAGAUGCAGGUAUCAUUUACCCAAUUUCUGAUAGUUCAUGGGUCAGUCCUGUACAAGUUGUCCCCAAAAAGUCAGGAGUCACAGUAGUUACCAAUGCUGAUAAUGAAUUGAUACCAACUAGAGUAACUACAGGAUGGCGUGUAUGCAUUGAUUAUAGAAAGUUGAAUUCUGUCACACGUAAAGACCAUUUUCCUUUACCAUUUAUUGAUCAAAUGCUUGAUAGAUUAGCAGGCCAUGAAUUUUAUUGCUUUCUAGAUGGCUACUCAGGAUAUAAUCAGAUUCCCAUAGCACCAAAAGAUCAAGAGAAAACUACUUUCACUUGCCCUUUUGGCACAUUUGCAUAUAGGAGAAUGCCAUUUGGAUUAUGUAAUGCACCUGCUACAUUUCAACGAUGCAUGUUGAGCAUUUUUUCUGAUAUGGUUGAACGAUUCCUUGAAGUCUUUAUGGAUGAUUUUUCUGUCUUUGGUGACUCGUUUGAUCAAUGUUUACAUCAUCUAACGCUAGUUCUGCAGAGAUGUACCGAGAAGAGCUUAGUCUUAAAUUGGGAGAAGUGCCAUUUUAUGGUAAAACAAGGUAUUGUUCUCGGUCACAUCAUUUCGAGCAAAGGUAUUGAGGUUGACAAAGCCAAGGUGGAUCUCAUUUCUAAUCUUCCUCCACCUAAAACAGUCAGAGAAGUAAGAUCUUUCCUUGGGCAUGCUGGUUUCUAUAGACGUUUCAUUAAAGAUUUUAGCAAAGUUUCUAGACCCUUAUGCAAUUUACUUGCUAAGGAUGUACCUUUUAUCUUUAAUGAUUCAUGUCUUAUGGCUUUUGAAAAAUUAAAGCAAUUGUUGACAUCAUCACCCAUCAUUCAGGCCCCAAACUGGAGCUUACCAUUUGAGCUCAUGUGUGAUGCAUCUGAUUAUGCAGUAGGAGCAGUAUUAGGACAAAGAGUUGAUCGAAUUCCCAACGUUAUUUACUAUGCUAGUAUGACCUUGAAUGAUGCACAGUUGAAUUAUUCAACUACUGAAAAAGAAAUGCUAGCAGUAGUGUUUGCAUUGGAAAAAUUUCGAUCUUAUCUCAUUGGUUGUAAAAUAAUUAUAUUCACAUCAUGCUGCUCUUAAAUAUCUUCUCACAAAGAAAGAUGCAAAAGCUAGACUAAUUCGUUGGGUGUUACUUUUGCAGGAAUUUGACUUGGAAUUCAAAGAUAAGAAAGGGACAGAAAAUGUUGUGGCGGACCACCUCUCUCGUCUCCAUUUUGACACAAUUACAGAGCCAUUAAUAUUAAAUGAGUCAUUUCCAGAUGAACAAUUAAUGAGUGUGGAAGUAUUACCUUGGUAUGCUGAUAUAGUUAAUUAUCUUGUUACAGGUAAGCUUCCAGAGCAUUGGACCAAGCAAGACAAGGCUAAAUUCUUUGCGGAAAUAAAGAAUUUCUUUUGGGAUGACCCAUAUUUGUUCAAGUAUUGUGCAGACCAAAUUGUUAGACGAUGUGUCCCUGAAAGUGAAAUUCAGAAUAUCCUUUCAUUCUGCCAUGAACAAGCUUGUGGAGGCCAUUUCAGUGCUAAGAAAACAGCGACUAAAGUUUUACAAUGUGGUUUCUAUUGGCCAACUAUAUUUCGAGAUGCUUACACUUUCUGUUCUUCAUGUGAUAGGUGUCAACGAAUGGGGAGCAUUACACGAAGGAACAUGAUGCCACUAAAUCCAAUUUUAGUGGUUGAGAUUUUUGACGUAUGGGGUAUCGACUUCAUGGGACCCUUUCCCCCUUCUUUUGGCCAUCAAUACAUAUUGGUUGGUGUUGACUACGUAUCGAAAAUGGGUGGAAGCAAUUCCAUGCAGGAACCAAUGAUCACAAAGUGGUGAUAGGAUUUUUGAAAGCAAUAUUGUUUUCGCGCUUUGGAUUCCCUCGAGCGAUAAUCAGUGAUGGUGGUGCCACUUUUGUAACAAAGCAUUCAAGGCUCUUUUGACAAAGUAUUCAAUCACACACAAAGUGGCGACCCCGUAUCAUCCGCAAACCAGUGGCCAAGUUGAGAUCUCCAAUCGAGAAAUAAAGCACAUAUUAGAAAAGACGGUGAGGCCAGACAGGAAAGAUUGGUCAUUACGACUUGAUGAUGCAUUAUGGGCAUAUAGAACGGCUUUCCAAGACCCCGAUUGGGAUGUCACCCUACAGGCUAGUGUAUGGAAAAGCUUGCCACCUACCUGUGGAACUCGAGCAUCGUGCAUAUUGGGCCAUCAAGAAAUUCAACUUUGACAUGGCAGCAAGCCAGCUCAGAAAGAAGAUUACAGCUGGCAGAACUUGAAGAAAUUCGGCAAUGAUGCAUACGAAAAUGCCAAGAUUUACAAGCAACGAAUGAAAGUCUUCCAUGAUAAGCAAUUAUGAGAAAAUCGUUCACUCCAGGUCAGAAAGUGCUUUUAUUCAAUUCUCGCUUGCACCUAUUCCCAGGUAAGUUACGCUCUCGUUGGUCUGGCCCAUUUAUUGUACAUACUGUUUUUCCACAUGGGGCAAUUGAAAUUAAGGACCCAAAGAACGGUGUCACGUAUAAAGUUAAUGGUCAAAGAUUAAAGCCAUAUCUAGAGUACCAACCACAUGGAGAAAACAUCGAAAUAAAAUUUGAGUGACCCACUAAAUUUGAAUUGAUUUUUUUUUUUUCUCUUUUCGUUAAUUUGAUUUUUCUUUAUUUCUUUUUAUUAUUAUUCUUUUGCUAAUUGAAAUUGUUUUUGCAUAAGUGUGUUUUAUUUUAACCAUUAAGUUUUCUCUUAUCAUUUUUAAUCAUGAGUCUCAUACUUAGACCGUUCCUCCUGAACAUUCUUAAACCACUUCAACGUGUCAAAACUCAUCUCAAAAGGCAGAUUCUAUUUUGUAAAAACACAACGCAUUUGGGCUCUACAACCACCAGAGUUAGUAGCCUAAUGUUGAGGGUUUAGAACGCCAACUCAGAGACAUUGAGAGAAGUGUUUUACGACAUCCAGUUGGAGCUUGAGGUAAAAUUCAAUAAGAGGACGAUUUUAAUUUUCUUUGUGUGUUUUUUGUUUUUUCUGUUUGUGUGCUUUAGUUUGUUACCUCCGGUGAAGUGGCGAGAUAACGUACUCCGUGACAAUCAAGUCGGUUAACUUCAGUUUCCCAUAAUAACUGAUAUUCUGAGGCGAAGGUAUGGACAGAAACGAGAUUCUAGCGAAGCUUCACAAGCGAUUCCCUUCACUUCCUCAGAAUGCCCCUCCUUACAAUCUAUAAAGCCGGUCUGAACGCAUGCGAUUGCUCAUGAGGAAUAACAUACCUGCAGACAUCCGUUGGUUAAUCGAGGCUAAAGUACGAUUGGCAGGUGAGUUACCUCCUAAAUUUAUUGGCAUACAUGCCUGGUUGUGGUAAAGGAAAUUACGCAAGAAAACGACGAGCUCGAAGAAUUUCUGUUGCUUGUCACAAGUGUGCCAGAAUGAGUUGCGAUAGAAACCCAUGUUCUUUAGGAAUGGUGUCUGAUAACAGGGAAGAUAAGAUUCAAUUCAUUAGGAUGGCUUGAAUAAGGAGUCAUUGGAUGAUAUCCUUUUGUCUCUGAAACGCAUCCCAGUGGAUAUGUGCAAGGAGCGAUUCUCCAGUUAAGGCCAUUAUUCCAAAAAGAGCAUGCACGAUAUCGUCUCGGGAAUCUGACUAUAAACGACCCUGUUUGCCAGUUUAUAAGAAAACUGGAUGGGAAGCCCAUCCUCGACCCAUAGAGGGCGUUCAAGCCGUUUCUGGACGUAAAACCAGAGGAAGAUGUGAGCCACAGUCGCAACUACGUGUAAAUAUCCUUUUACUUUACUGUUAUUUUAUUUCAUUUCACUGUUGUUUUAUUGUUUGCAUUAUUGUCUUUAAUAAUUUUAUUACUGUUUGCUUUUUCCUUUUUACUGUUUCCUUUUUUGACUCGCGAGCCACGUGCUUUACGCGUUAUUUGACACUGACAUGUUACCUCAUUCACAGCUGUGAUCCAUUGUCACCAAGAUUCUUAAAUGUGAUUUAUCUUUUGUCAAGCACUCACAAAUUAUUUUUGAGAAGUAUCACAAUGGCAGCUACUCCCAAUAGACAAUUCAAGAACAUUUGUGUGCUUUCUGGAUUUACCUAUGGCAAACAUAAAGAGUUCGUGGAGGCAGCCAUAGAUCUUGGUCGAAGCAUAGCAGCGAGAAAAUUACAUUUGGUGUAUGGAGGAGGUAACCGAGGGUUAUCAAAAAAUGGUCUCAGAAGCAGCUUUUAUCAAGGAAGUCAAGUGUUUAGGCAUCAUCCAAGAGUCCUAAAACCAUUGGGCAGUUCGUCUGACUCAUCAACUGGAGAAGAGUUAGUCGUCUCAGGUAUGCAAGAAAGAAUAACUGAAAUGCUUAAUCAUGCUGAUGCUUUAUUUUCCUUCCAGGAGAUCUUGCAACACUAGAGGCACUUAUGACACUAGCAUCUUGGGCCCCAUCUGCACAUCCACCAGAAACCCAUCGGUUGUUAAAUGUCAAUAACUUUUAUGAUGGCUUUAUCGCAUUUCUUAACCAUGCAAUAAAAAACUAUUUCAUUCCUUUCUAAUGUAAAAAAAACUUUUUAUUUGUGCUCACACUGCUAAUGAACUACUUGAUCUGUUACAAGCUUAUAAACCGGAGCCAGACCCCUGGACCUUUGUGUGGAGCGCCCAAAUAAUGAUGGUAACAGUAGCCGCAGUAAGAAGUACAAAUUAGAUUUAACUCUCCGCCUGUAAAUAUAUUCUUUUGUGUUGCACCACCCAGGUGAUGUCUUCUAAACUCUACUUCUUUCCUUUAAAACAUUGAGGACAAUGUUUCGUUCUGGUUGAGGGGAGGGAAUAGUCGACAAUUGUGGAAUCUUGGUUAAGUUUUUACUGAUUUUUUGUUGUAGAAACUAACUGUUGCUAACUUUUUGUGUUGAAGAUGGCUGAAUAUGGAGUGUAGUGACUCUAGAAAACGCAUCUUCAUCGUUUAAAAAAAAAAAAAAAAUUUAAAAAAACUAAAAAACAAAAAAACAAAAAAAUUCAAACAUUUUCUUUUUCUUUAUUAUGUUUGAUGUUCAUUUUUCUUCUUCUUUUUAAUUUCUCCUUAUAAAUAUAUAUUUUCCAACUUUUGAGUCGAAGAUAGCUGAAUAUGGAGUGUAGUGCCUCUAGAACGCAUCUUCAUACGUUUAAAAAAAAAUUAAAAAAAAAAAACAAAAUUUCAUUUCGUUUUCUAUCAUUUACGUGUACUUUUCUAUUAGUUUUAGCAUCAUUUUCACAUUUCUGGCAUGCAUAUUUUCCUUUCAUGUUUAGAAUAGGUUGGGGGUAGAAUUUGUUUAAAAAAAAAAAAAGAAAAAAUUGUUGUGAUUUGUUUUAACUUUAGAUGACAUGAUUAAUUUUCAAAUUUUAGUAAUUUGUAUUAUCUUUGGUCUUAAGUGAUGUUACAUUAUGUUUGCUACUCUACAUGUUGAUGUCGGAGACAAAUAUGAGUUGCUUGAAGGAAUGAACAUGUCAUAAAUAAGUACCAAGUGAGUUUUUGAGCCUAUUCAUUUUUUCUUGGAGAGUAACCCUUUUGCCCAUUCUUUAUAAUGCUUAACAGUUUAUUAUUGUAUACACGAUCUCUAGAUUUCUUUUGAGUUAAGCCUUAAAAAAAAAAAAAAAAAAAAAAAUGUGUGUGUUGCUACAAUUGGGAGGCCCAUCUAACUAGUAGAUAUGGAUGAUUAUUUAGAGCCUAAAAAGACGAUGGAAAGGCCAUCUUUGAUCCGUUUGAGCCUUUCUAGCCAUCCCUCUUAUCAAGUAUCCAUAGUUAACCCAUUUGAGCCUUUUAAAUAAAAAAAAAAAAAAACUUUCUUUGUUUAACUUAUCAUCUUGACCCACUCCGAUUUGGAGUAUUACCCAAUAUCUUACAAAUUUCCAUCACCUAUUUAUGUUUGAGAAAAAUGUAAAUAAACAUUUUGCAUAGUGAAGUUAUGCCUAGUUCAAAAAAAAAAAAGAAAAAAUUGUUGUUGCUGAAAAAAAAAAAAAAAAAAAAAAAAGAAAAAAAAUUGUUGUUUCAAAAGAAUAAAAAUAACAAUAAUAGGUGAAAUCACCUUGCAACUUCCAAAAAAAAAAAAAAAAAAAUAUUCUCUGCAUUUUUCUCAAACAUACACUUUGUUUUCCUUAUUCCUUCUUUGUUAGCCAUAUCCCUAGCCUAUACGUUACGUCCUAAUAAAAGUCCUUCUUGAUUUUAGGGAACUAUAGUUUGAAGUAGAAGCUAGUUAUAUGGGCUAAAAAGAUGUAGUGAUGCAUAAUUAAAAAAAAAAAAGAUAAAUAAAGUGGGUUGACUAACAUUUUAUUUGACUUGAGAUCGUAUUAUUUCUAAGCUGAGGGCAUAUUUAUUUAAUCUUGGUGAGAGCAUGUGAUAUCAUUUCUUUAUUAUUUUCUCUCUCAAUUACCAUUCAUUGGAGUGACUAUGUUUAUUGGGUUUUAAUUUCUUUGUGAGAGUGUCACUACUUCCAGUGAGAUUUUGGGGUUUGACAUGUCAUUCUUGAAAGUAGCUAUAACAAAGUCUACUGGGCUAAUUCAUGUGGAUGGUUGAUGUGGGUGUGAUGUUGCUUUAGACUGGAGAUAAUGCUUAUACUUUUAUUUGAUUGCUAUCAUUAAUCUGAUUGAAUAAACACGAGUGUUUCUAAAAAAAAAAAAAAAAAUCAUUUUGAAUUUGAAAUUUUGUUUUCGCUUUAUUUGCUAGGGACUAGCAAUAAGCUGGUUGGGGGUGUGUUGAGUGUUAGAAAAUACAUAUUUAUAAAGGAGAAAACCGUCAUUUUACAUUUCAAGUCUUACUAACAACCCUUACUUUUAUGUAUUUAACCUUCUUGUGAUGUAAUUACGUGUGUGUUAUUUUAAUUAAGUAUUUUAUGUAUUUUAGGGGCAUUAUAGUCAUUUCACAAUAAAGGAGAGAUCAGACGGCAAAAACGGACAUCACUUUUGAACUCAGGACGGUCGAAAACCUUAGGAGGAGCAUAAAAGGAAAAAUGGCACUAUUCACAUGUACGGUACUAUUCACGUAUACGGUACUGUCUACGUUACUGUUCACGACACUGUUCACAUAGACGGAUCGAUGACGUGGCAUUGACCGAUGAUGUGGCAUUGACUGAUGAGGUGUCACGAUCCUGUUGGACUAAAAUUCUUAUGUACUGUUGAUGGUGACGUGGCAGCAUAUCAGUGGACGAAAAAUCUCGCGUACGGUGCAUGCAUCACACAGGAUUAUUUUCAACCAAACCGCGUUACUGUUCAUCCGGGUCAAACCGUGUUACUGUUCAGCGGUCAAACCGUUACUGUUCAUCCGCGUGGUCAAACCGUGGACUGUUGACUGAUGACGUGGCGCAAUCCUGAGCGUCCAAACUGUUUUUAAUCCGAUGGCCAUGAUUUACUCCAUGUAUCUAUAAAAAGGGGGCCUCCCCCCCUAAUUUGAUAUCUCUGAAUCCAUUUUUGGGAUCCAUUUUCUGUAAUUCCUUCUCCAUCUUGUAUUUUCUUGUAUUUUAAUAAAUUCCUAUUUUGCCCCUAGUUCAAUUAUGAGUAGCUAAUUUCUUUUCAAGCUUGGGUUGAAGGUGAAGUCUCAACAUGUGUCAUGGGCUUUAUUUGGUAAAUUUAUUUUCUUUUCCCCUCUAGUUUUUGUGGAUGAUUUGACUUAUCGUCGACAAAUAAUACUGAUCUUGUCUAGAUACCGCCUUGGUUACACCGGCUCUCUAGUAUAAGGUUAUUAUUAUUUGGCACGAUAAGCCCUUAGCACCAUAUUGAUUAGAGCGUGGUUCAUGAGGUGUGGAUUCCCCCUCAUGAUUUAAUUGGCAUUAAUACGGAUUAUUUAGCCCAUGAUGCAUGUUGAUACGGAUCCAGAUACCCAAGUACGUCAUUUCAAUAGAUUCUCUUCAAUUUAUUCUCGCCAUUGCAAUUCCAAUUUAGAAUUUAUUUGCAUUUAUUAAGUUUUAGCAUAUUCAAAUCAUUUCCACCACAAUCCAACCACCCAUUUACAAAAUUAAUUCUAUAUACAAUUAAAAUCCACCUCCUCGUGGGAUCGACACUCGUCACCAUUAGUCUAUACUACAAUAGAUUCGUGCGCUUGCGAGUACAUUAAAAUUUGCACAACAAGUUUUUGGCGCCGUUGCCGGGAGGUAAGUAAUUUUAAUUCAUAGAAUUAAUUUUUGUGAAUAAUUUCUUUUAUUUGUUUUCUUGUAUUUUUUUUUAUUAAAAAAAAAAAGAAAAAAAAAGUAAAUCUACAUUUAAAGGUUAGUAUUUCUUUUCUUUUUCUCUUCUUUAAAAAUUCUGUAAUUUAAUUUUCAAUUUAUUUUUUUUCUUUGUAAUUUUUGUUUAUUUUAUUAAUUUAAUUUUUAGUUAAUUUAUUUCACGUAUUUGUUUUUGUGUAUUUUUAUAGAAAGGUUGUAAUAGCGCAAUAAGGUUAGUAUCGUAAUUUCUCCCUCUUCUUUAUUUUUAUUUGUUUUGUUCCCAUCUUUAUUUUUUUUAUUUUUAUUUUAUUUUGCAUGCAUGGUCGUAGGUCAUUAUUACCUAAUCUUGAACCUAUAGACCUUGAAUUAGAAAAAACACUUCGCACACACAAACACAUUAAAAAUAAAAUUGGAAUGGAUUUACAAGCACCACAGGAGAGGCCAUUUAAGGACUAUUUUAGUCCCUUAGCUAAUUUGAGCACAUCAUGCAUAAGAUACCCAAAUGUAGCUGCUAGGAGUUUUGAACUAAAACCUAGUGUGCUAAAUUGUCUCCCCACAUUCUAUGGCUUAGAAAAUGAGGACCCAUAUAAUCAUCUGAAUGAUUUUCAUGCCAUUUGUCAAACUUUUAAAUAUGAAAAUUUUUCAGACGAUGAUGUUAAACUCAGAUUAUUCCCAUUUUCUUUAAAGGAUAGAGCUCGUUCAUGGUUAAAUACUUUGCCUGCUAAUAGCAUUUCAUCAUGGGAACAAAUGGUAACGAAAUUUUUGAAUAAAUAUUUCCCAGUGCAUAAAACCAAUUCUAUUCGCAGGGAAAUUUCAGAGUUUACACAAAGAGAGGACGAGCAGUUUUUCGAAACUUGGGAGCGAUUCAAUGGGCUACUCUUGAAGUGUCCACAUCAUGGGUACGAGAAAUGGCACCAAUGCCAAUACUUUUUGGAGGGAUUAUUGCCGAAUGUGCAAGAAUGGCUAAUGGCAACAAGUGGAGGAGAGCUAAUGUCAAAAAGUGCAUCAGAGAUUUGGGAAUUCUUCCAGCGACAAGCGGAUAAUUCCCAACAACGGAGUCGAUCACUCAGGAAUACUAGAAGAAUUAAGGGAGUAAAUGAGGUUCAAAUUGGCGAGUCAACUUCGGAAAUCAAAGAAGUCAAGGAGAUGGUUGAAGGUCUCUGCUCGACAAAUAGCAUCGUUAUCGACUGCUAAAUCAACAGAACCACAUGACCAUGACUCAUACUCAGAUCAAGCCAAUGCCAUAGGUGUAAUGAGAAAACCAUCGAAUUACAACCCAUACUCCAACACAUAUAACCCUGGAUGGAGAGACCACCCCAAUUUUUCAUGGUCUCAAGGAUUCCAACAGAAUGGACCAGCAGCUCCAGCUCCACCAAUGCAACAAAUUCCUCAAAAUCCUCAAGCCUCUCAGCCACCAUUUAGACCAUACAAUCAGAACCAGAACUACUCUCAACCCAGACCAUGGGAGGAUUCAUUCCAGAAUUUCAAGAAUGUUACUCACUCACGAUUGAGCAACAGAACCGCACCAUUGAUGGACUACGAAAUGAGUUGAGAGCAGGCUUCAACUCACAAGCCCAAUCAGUUUCAAGCCUCGAGAAGAUGGUGGGACAACUUGCUUCUUCAGUUCAGACCUUGGCAAUGACUGUUGAGAAAGGUAAAUUUCCAAGUCAACCAGUGCCUAAUCCUAAAGGAGUACAUGAAGCAAGUACCAGUUCACCACAGCAGCAUGGAGAGGUCAAAGCAGUCAUGACCUUGCGAAAAGGAAAGGAAGUCGACAACAAAGUGGAGAUGCCGGUGACAAAAGAAAAUCAAAUUGUACCUGUGAAUGUUGAAGACUCACCACCGGAGGAAAAGAAGAAACCAACCCACGAGAAUACGUUCCAAAGCUCCAUUUCCUCAGAGGUUAGCUGAAAGGAAAGAAGGGAAAAUCCACAGGUGAGAUUCUCGAAAUCUUCAAACAGGUAAGUGUUAACAUCCCUUUACUUGAUGCUAUUAAACAAGUUCCAUCUUAUGCCAAGUUUCUUAAAGACCUUUGUACUAAAAAGAGAAAUAUGCAUGUUCAAAAGAAGGCAUUUUUAACAGAAAACGUUAGUUCUAUACUCCAACAUAAAAUUCCUUUAAAAUGCAAAGACCCAGGCUCCCCCACUAUCUCAUGUAGUAUAGGGAACCACACAAUUGAGAAUGCUUUGUUGGAUUUAGGAGCUAGUGUAAAUUUGUUGCCUUACUCUGUAUUCGUGAAACUUGGACUGGGAGAAUUACACCCAACUCCAGUGGUGUUACAGCUUGCAGAUCGGUCCACGAAAAUACCUCGUGGUAUUGUGGAGGACGUGCUUAUCCAGGUAGACAAGUUUUAUUUUCCUGUUGAUUUCAUUGUAAUUGACACUCAACCAAUACAGGAUUCAAGGAAGCACAUCCCCAUUAUUCUAGGCCGACCUUUCUUGGCAACUGCGGAUGCUCACAUUCAAUGCAGGACUGGAAAUAUGCAAUUGUCCUUCGGCAACAUGACUAUGGAGCUAAACAUUUUCAACAUUGCCAAACAACCUCACAGUGCAGAUGAUGGAAUUGUUGAUGUGGAUUUAAUAGAAACAAUAGUUGAUAAUACUUUUCUUUCAAACCUUAGUGAUGAUCCUUUACAAACAUGUUUAACUCACUUUGGUUUGGAUUUUGAUAUUGACAGAUCGGUCGAUGAGGUCAACGCCCUACUUGACUCAGCACCAUCCAUGGACACUAAUAAAUGGAAGUCAAGAGUUGAACAACUAGCACCAUCAGAGAAGAAACUCAUCCCAUCAUCAGAAUCACCACCGAAACUCGAGCUCAAACCAUUACCCAACACUUGGAAUAUGCAUUUUUGGGAGAAGAAAGUACUCUGCCGGUAAUCAUCUCAUCAUCCCUAAAUGACGAACAAAAAGGUAAGUUGUUGGAUGUUUUAAAAGAGCACAAAGGAGCAUUAGGAUGGACCAUAGCAGACAUAAAAGGUAUAAACCCAGUAGACUGCAUGCAUUACAUUCACCUUGAUGAAAAUGCUAAAUCUACUAGGGAAAUGCAACGUCGGUUAAAUCCUAAUAUGAAAGAAGUUGUUAGAACUGAAGUCCUUAAGCUAUUAGACGCAGGUAUCAUUUACCCAAUUUCUGAUAGUUCAUGGGUCAGUCCUGUACAAGUUGUCCCCAAAAAGUCAGGAGUCACAGUAGUUACCAAUGCUGAUAAUGAAUUGAUACCAACUAGAGUAACUACAGGAUGGCGUGUAUGCAUUGAUUAUAGAAAGUUGAAUUCUGUCACACGUAAAGACCAUUUUCCUUUACCAUUUAUUGAUCAAAUGCUUGAUAGAUUAGCAGGCCAUGAAUUUUAUUGCUUUCUAGAUGGCUACUCAGGAUAUAAUCAGAUUCCCAUAGCACCAAAAGAUCAAGAGAAAACUACUUUCACUUGCCCUUUUGGCACAUUUGCAUAUAGGAGAAUGCCAUUUGGAUUAUGUAAUGCACCUGCUACAUUUCAACGAUGCAUGUUGAGCAUUUUUUCUGAUAUGGUUGAACGAUUCCUUGAAGUCUUUAUGGAUGAUUUUUCUGUCUUUGGUGACUCGUUUGAUCAAUGUUUACAUCAUCUAACGCUAGUUCUGCAGAGAUGUAUCGAGAAGAACUUAGUCUUAAAUUGGGAGAAGUGCCAUUUUAUGGUAAAACAAGGUAUUGUUCUCGGUCACAUCAUUUCGAGCAAAGGUAUUGAGGUUGACAAAGCCAAGGUGGAUCUCAUUUCUAAUCUUCCUCCACCCAAAACAGUCAGAGAAGUAAGAUCUUUCCUUGGGCAUGCUGGUUUCUAUAGACGUUUCAUUAAAGAUUUUAGCAAAGUUUCUAGACCCUUAUGCAAUUUACUUGCUAAGGAUGUACCUUUUAUCUUUAAUGAUUCAUGUCUUAUGGCUUUUGAAAAAUUAAAGCAGUUGUUGACAUCAUCACCCAUCAUUCAGGCCCCAAACUGGAGCUUACCAUUUGAGCUCAUGUGUGAUGCAUCUGAUUAUGCAGUAGGAGCAGUAUUAGGACAAAGAGUUGAUCGAAUUCCCCAUGUUAUUUACUAUGCUAGUAUGACAUUGAAUGAUGCACAGUUGAACUAUUCAACUACUGAAAAAGAAAUGCUAGCAGUAGUGUUUGCAUUGGAAAAAUUUCGAUCUUAUCUCAUUGGUUGUAAAAUAAUUAUAUUCACAGAUCAUGCUGCUCUUAAAUAUCUUCUCACAAAGAAAGAUGCAAAAGCUAGACUAAUUCGUUGGGUGUUACUUUUGCAGGAAUUUGACUUGGAAUUCAAAGAUAAGAAAGGCACAGAAAAUGUUGUGGCGGACCACCUCUCUCGUCUCCAUUUUGACACAAUUACAGAGCCAUUAAUAUUAAAUGAGUCAUUUCCAGAUGAACAAUUAAUGAGUGUGGAAGUAUUACCUUGGUAUGCUGAUAUAGUUAAUUAUCUUGUUACAGGUAAACUUCCAGAGCAUUGGACCAAGCAAGACAAGGCUAAAUUCUUUGCGGAAAUAAAGAAUUUCUUUUGGGAUGACCCAUAUUUGUUCAAGUAUUGUGCAGACCAAAUUGUUAGACGAUGUGUCCCUGAAAGUGAAAUUCAGAAUAUCCUUUCAUUCUGCCAUGAACAAGCUUGUGGAGGCCAUUUCAGUGCUAAGAAAACAGCGACUAAAGUUUUACAAUGUGGUUUCUAUUGGCCAACUAUAUUUCGAGAUGCUUACACUUUCUGUUCUUCAUGUGAUAGGUGUCAACGAAUGGGGAGCAUUACACGAAGGAACAUGAUGCCACUAAAUCCAAUUUUAGUGGUUGAGAUUUUUGACGUAUGGGGUAUCGACUUCAUGGGACCCUUUCCCCCUUCUUUUGGCCAUCAAUACAUAUUGGUUGGUGUUGACUACGUAUCGAAAUGGGUAGAAGCAAUUCCAUGCAGAACCAAUGAUCACAAAGUGGUGAUAGGAUUUUUGAAAAGCAACAUUGUUUCACGCUUUGGAUUCCCUCGAGCGAUAAUCAGUGAUGGUGGUGCCCACUUUUGUAACAAAGCAUUCAAAGCUCUUUUGACAAAGUAUUCAAUCACACACAAAGUGGCGACCCCGUAUCAUCCGCAAACCAGUGGCCAAGUUGAGAUCUCCAAUCGAGAAAUAAAGCACAUAUUAGAAAAAACGGUGAGGCCAGACAGAAAAGAUUGGUCAUUAAGACUUGAUGAUGCAUUAUGGGCAUAUAGAACGGCUUUCAAGACCCCGAUUGGGAUGUCACCCUACAGGCUAGUGUAUGGAAAAGCUUGCCACCUACCUGUGGAACUCGAGCAUCGUGCAUAUUGGGCCAUCAAGAAAUUCAACUUUGACAUGCAGCAAGCCAGCUCAGAAAGAAGAUUACAACUGGCAGAACUUGAAGAAAUUCGCAAUGAUGCAUACGAAAAUGCCAAGAUUUACAAGCAACGAAUGAAAGUCUUUCAUGACAAGCACAUUAUGAGAAAAUCGUUCACUCCAGGUCAGAAAGUGCUUUUAUUCAAUUCUCGCUUGCACCUAUUCCCAGGUAAGUUACGCUCUCGAUGGUCUGGUCCCUUUAUUGUUCAUACUGUUUUUCCACAUGGGGCAAUUGAAAUUAAGGACCCAAAGAACGGUGUCACGUUUAAAGUUAAUGGUCAAAGAUUAAAGCCAUAUCUAGAGUACCAACCACAUGGAGAAGACACCGAAAUAAAUUUGAGUGACCCACCAGAUUUGAAUUGAUUUUUUUUUCUUUUCGUUGAUUUGAUUUUUCUUUCUUUCUUUUUAUUAUUCUUUUGCUAAUUGAAAUUAUUUUUGCAUAAGUGUGUUUGUUUAACUAUUAAGUUUUCUCUUAUCAUUUUUAAUCAUGAGUACCUUACUUAGACCGUUCCUCCUGAACAUUCUUAAACCACUUCAACGUGUCAAAACUCAUCUCAAAAAGCAGAUUCAAUUUUGUAAAACACAACGCAUUUGGGCUCUACAACCACCAGAGUUAGUAGCCUAUGUUGAGGGUUUAGAACGCCAACUCAGAGACAUUGAGAGAAGUGUUUACGACAUCCAGUUGGAGCUUGAGGUAAAUUCAAUAAGAGGACGAUUUUAAUUUUCUUUGUGUGUUUUAAUUUGUUUUUCUGUUUGUGUGCUUUAGUUUGUUACCCCGGUGAAGUGGCGGAUAACGGUACUCCGUGACAAUCAAGUCGGUUACUUCAGUUUCCCAUAAUAACUGAUAUUCUGAGGCGAAGGUAUGGACAGAAACGAGAUUCUAGCGAAGCUUCACAAGCGAUUCCCUUCACUUCCUCAGAAUGCCCUCCUUACAAUCUAUAAAGCCGGUCGAACGCAUGCGAUUCUCAUGAGAAUAACAUACCUGCGACAUCCGUUGGUUAAUCGAGGAAAGUACGAUGGCAGGUAGUUACUAAUUUGCAUAUCUGUUAUGCGAAACAGUCGAAUUCUGUCAAGAAAUAAGGAUAAUAAUAUCUUUGUUCAGAUCAAAAAAAUUUCCAUAAAAAAAAGCAUGUAUGCAAUCAUUCUGCACACUUUGACAAGCAACAGAAAUUCUUCGAGCUGUCGUUUUCUUGCAUAAUUUCUUUACCACAACCAGCAUGAUGCAAUAAAUUUGGAGGUAACUCACCUGCCAUCGUACUUUAGCCUCGAUUAACCAACGGAUGUCGCAGGUAUGUUAUUCCUCAUGAGCAAUCGCAUGCGUUCGACCGGCUUUAUAGAUGUAAGGAGGGCAUUCUGAGGAAGUGAAGGGAAUCGCUUGUGAAGCUUCGCUAGAAUCUCGUUUCUGUCCAUACCUUCGCCUCAGAAUAUCAGUUAUUAUGGGAAACUGAAGUAACCGACUUGAUUGUCACGGAGUACCGUUAUCCGCCACUUCACCGGGGUAACAAACUAAAGCACACAAACAGAAAAACAAAUUAAAACACACAAAGAAAAUUAAAAUCGUCCUCUUAUUGAAUUUACCUCAAGCUCCAACUGGAUGUCGUAAACACUUCUCUCAAUGUCUCUGAGUUGGCGUUCUAAACCCUCAACAUAGGCUACUAACUCUGGUGGUUGUAGAGCCCAAAUGCGAUGUGUUUUACAAAAUUGAAUCUGCCUUUUGAGAUGAGUUUUGACACGUUGAAGUGGUUUAAGAAUGUUCAGGAGGAACGGUCUAAGUAAGGUACUCAUGAUUAAAAAUGAUAAGAGAAAACUUAAUAGUUAAACAAACACACUUAUGCAAAAAUAAUUUCAAUUAGCAAAAGAAUAAUAAAAAGAAAGAAAGAAAAAUCAAAUCAACGAAAAGAAAAAAAAAUCAAUUCAAAUCUGGUGGGUCACUCAAAUUUAUUUCGGUGUCUUCUCCAUGUGGUUGGUACUCUAGAUAUGGCUUUAAUCUUUGACCAUUAACUUUAAACGUGACACCGUUCUUUGGGUCCUUAAUUUCAAUUGCCCCAUGUGGAAAAACAGUAUGAACAAUAAAGGGACCAGACCAUCGAGAGCGUAACUUACCUGGGAAUAGGUGCAAGCGAGAAUUGAAUAAAAGCACUUUCUGACCUGGAGUGAACGAUUUUCUCAUAAUGUGCUUGUCAUGAAAGACUUUCAUUCGUUGCUUGUAAAUCUUGGCAUUUUCGUAUGCAUCAUUGCGAAUUUCUUCAAGUUCUGCCAGUUGUAAUCUUCUUUCUGAGCUGGCUUGCUGCAUGUCAAAGUUGAAUUUCUUGAUGGCCCAAUAUGCACGAUGCUCGAGUUCCACAGGUAGGUGGCAAGCUUUUCCAUACACUAGCCUGUAGGGUGACAUCCCAAUCGGGGUCUUGAAAGCCGUUCUAUAUGCCCAUAAUGCAUCAUCAAGUCUUAAUGACCAAUCUUUUCUGUCUGGCCUCACCGUCUUUUCUAAUAUGUGCUUUAUUUCUCGAUUGGAGAUCUCAACUUGGCCACUGGUUUGCGGAUGAUACGGGGUCGCCACUUUGUGUGUGAUUGAAUACUUUGUCAAAAGAGCUUUGAAUGCUUUGUUACAAAAGUGGGCACCACCAUCACUGAUUAUCGCUCGAGGGAAUCCAAAGCGUGAAACAAUGUUGCUUUUCAAAAAUCCUAUCACCACUUUGUGAUCAUUGGUUCUGCAUGGAAUUGCUUCUACCCAUUUCGAUACGUAGUCAACACCAACCAAUAUGUAUUGAUGGCCAAAAGAAGGGGGAAAGGGUCCCAUGAAGUCGAUACCCCAUACGUCAAAAAUCUCAACCACUAAAAUUGGAUUUAGUGGCAUCAUGUUCCUUCGUGUAAUGCUCCCCAUUCGUUGACACCUAUCACAUGAAGAACAGAAAGUGUAAGCAUCUCGAAAUAUAGUUGGCCAAUAGAAACCACAUUGUAAAACUUUAGUCGCUGUUUUCUUAGCACUGAAAUGGCCUCCACAAGCUUGUUCAUGGCAGAAUGAAAGGAUAUUCUGAAUUUCACUUUCAGGGACACAUCGUCUAACAAUUUGGUCUGCACAAUACUUGAACAAAUAUGGGUCAUCCCAAAAGAAAUUCUUUAUUUCUGCAAAGAAUUUAGCCUUGUCUUGCUUGGUCCAAUGCUCUGGAAGUUUACCUGUAACAAGAUAAUUAACUAUAUCAGCAUACCAAGGUAAUACUUCCACAUUCAUUAAUUGUUCAUCUGGAAAUGACUCAUUUAAUGUUAAUGGCUCUGUAAUUGUGUCAAAAUGGAGACGAGAGAGGUGGUCCGCCACAACAUUUUCUGUGCCUUUCUUAUCUUUGAAUUCCAAGUCAAAUUCCUGCAAAAGUAACACCCAACGAAUUAGUCUAGCUUUUGCAUCUUUCUUUGUGAGAAGAUAUUUAAGAGCAGCAUGAUCUGUGAAUAUAAUUAUUUUACAACCAAUGAGAUAAGAUCGAAAUUUUUCAAUGCAAACACUACUGCUAGCAUUUCUUUUUCAGUAGUUGAAUAGUUCAACUGUGCAUCAUUCAAUGUCAUACUAGCAUAGUAAAUAACAUGGGGAAUUCGAUCAACUCUUUGUCCUAAUACUGCUCCUACUGCAUAAUCAGAUGCAUCACACAUGAGCUCAAAUGGUAAGCUCCAGUUUGGGGCCUGAAUGAUGGGUGAUGAUGUCAACAACUGCUUUAAUUUUUCAAAAGCCAUAAGACAUGAAUCAUUAAAGAUAAAAGGUACAUCCUUAGCAAGUAAAUUGCAUAAGGGUCUAGAAACUUUGCUAAAAUCUUUAAUGAAACGUCUAUAGAAACCAGCAUGCCCAAGGAAAGAUCUUACUUCUCUGACUGUUUUGGGUGGAGGAAGAUUAGAAAUGAGAUCCACCUUGGCUUUGUCAACCUCAAUACCUUUGCUCGAAAUGAUGUGACCGAGAACAAUACCUUGUUUUACCAUAAAAUGGCACUUCUCCCAAUUUAAGACUAAGUUCUUCUCGAUACAUCUCUGCAGAACUAGCGUUAGAUGAUGUAAACAUUGAUCAAACGAGUCACCAAAGACAGAAAAAUCAUCCAUAAAGACUUCAAGGAAUCGUUCAACCAUAUCAGAAAAAAUGCUCAACAUGCAUCGUUGAAAUGUAGCAGGUGCAUUACAUAAUCCAAAUGGCAUUCUCCUAUAUGCAAAAGUGCCAAAAGGGCAAGUGAAAGUAGUUUUCUCUUGAUCUUUUGGUGCUAUGGGAAUCUGAUUAUAUCCUGAGUAGCCAUCUAGAAAGCAAUAAAAUUCAUGGCCUGCUAAUCUAUCAAGCAUUUGAUCAAUAAAUGGUAAAGGAAAAUGGUCUUUACGUGUGACAGAAUUCAACUUUCUAUAAUCAAUGCAUACACGCCAUCCUGUAGUUACUCUAGUUGGUAUCAAUUCAUUAUCAGCAUUGGUAACUACUGUGACUCCUGACUUUUUGGGGACAACUUGUACAGGACUGACCCAUGAACUAUCAGAAAUUGGGUAAAUGAUACCUGCGUCUAAUAGCUUAAGGACUUCAGUUCUAACAACUUCUUUCAUAUUAGGAUUUAACCGACGUUGCAUUUCCCUAGUAGAUUUAGCAUUUUCAUCAAGGUGAAUGUAAUGCAUGCAGUCUACUGGGUUUAUACCUUUUAUGUCUGCUAUGGUCCAUCCUAAUGCUCCUUUGUGCUCUUUUAAAACAUCCAACAACUUACCUUUUUGUUCGUCAUUUAGGGAUGAUGAGAUGAUUACCGGCAGAGUACUUUCUUCUCCCAAAAAUGCAUAUUCCAAUGUGUUGGGCAAUGGUUUGAGCUCGAGUUUCGGUGGUGAUUCUGAUGAUGGGAUGAGUUUCUUCUCUGAUGGUGCUAGUUGUUCAACUCUUGACUUCCAUUUAUUAGUGUCCAUGGAUGGUGCUGAGUCAAGUAGGGCGUUGACCUCAUCGACCGAUCUGUCAAUAUCAAAAUCCAAACCAAAGUGAGUUAAACAUGUUUGUAAAGGAUCAUCACUAAGGUUUGAAAGAAAAGUAUUAUCAACUAUUGUUUCUAUUAAAUCCACAUCAACAAUUCCAUCAUCUGCACUGUGAGGUUGUUUGGCAAUGUUGAAAAUGUUUAGCUCCAUAGUCAUGUUGCCGAAGGACAACUGCAUAUUUCCAGUCCUGCAUUGAAUGUGAGCAUCCGCAGUUGCCAAGAAAGGUCGGCCUAGAAUAAUGGGGAUGUGCUUCCUUGAAUCCUGUAUUGGUUGAGUGUCAAUUACAAUGAAAUCAACAGGAAAAUAAAACUUGUCUACCUGGAUAAGCACGUCCUCCACAAUACCACGAGGUAUUUUCGUGGACCGAUCUGCAAGCUGUAACACCACUGGAGUUGGGUGUAAUUCUCCCAGUCCAAGUUUCACGAAAUACAGAGUAAGGCAACAAAUUUACACUAGCUCCUAAAUCCAACAAAGCAUUCUCAAUUGUGUGGUUCCCUAUACUACAUGAGAUAGUGGGGGAGCCUGGGUCUUUGCAUUUUAAAGGAAUUUUAUGUUGGAGUAUAGAACUAACGUUUUCUGUUAAAAAUGCCUUCUUUUGAACAUGCAUAUUUCUCUUUUUAGUACAAAGGUCUUUAAGAAACUUGGCAUAAGAUGGAACUUGUUUAAUAGCAUCAAGUAAAGGGAUGUUAACACUUACCUGUUUGAAGAUUUCGAGAAUCUCACCUGUGGAUUUUCCCUUCUUUCCUUUCAGCUAACCUCUGAGGAAAUGGAGCUUUGGAACGUAUUCUCGUGGGUUGGUUUCUUCUUUUUCCUCCGGUGGUGAGUCCUCAACAUUCACAGGUACAAUUUGAUUUUCUUUUGUCACCGGCAUCUCCACUUUGUUGUCGACUUCCUUUCCUUUUCGCAAGGUCAUGACUGCUUUGACCUCUCCAUGCUGCUGUGGUGAACUGGUACUUGCUUCAUGUACUCCUUUAGGAUUAGGCACUGGUUGACUUGGAAAUUUACCUUUCUCAACAGUCAUUGCCAAGGUCUGAACUGAAGAAGCAAGUUGUCCCACCAUCUUCUCGAGGCUUGAAACUGAUUGGGCUUGUGAGUUGAAGCCUGCUCUCAACUCAUUUCGUAGUCCAUCAAUGGUGCGGUUCUGUUGCUCAAUCGUGGAGUGAGUAACAUUCUUGAAAUUCUGGAAUGAAUCCUCCCAUGGUCUGGGUUGAGAGUAGUUCUGGUUCUGAUUGUAUGGUCUAAAUGGGGGCUGAGAGGCUUGAGGAUUUUGAGGAAUUGUUGCAUUGGUGGAGCUGGAGCUGCUGGUCCAUUCUGUUGGAAUCCUUGAGACCAUGAAAAAUUGGGGUGGUCUCUCCAUCCAGGGUUAUAUGUGUUGGAGUAUGGGUUGUAAUUCGAUGGUUUUCUCAUUACACCUAUGGCAUUGGCUUGAUCUGAGUAUGAGUCAUGGUCAUGUGGUUCUGUUGAUUUAGCAGUCGAUAACGAUGCUAUUUGUCGAGCAGAGACCUUCAACCAUCUCCUUGACUUCUUUGAUUCCGAAGUUGACUCGCCAAUGUGAACCUCAUUUACUCCUUAAUUCUUCUAGUAUUCCUGAGUGAUCGACUCCGUUGUUGGGAAUUAUCCGCUUGUCGCUGGAAGAAUUCCCAAAUCUCUGAUGCACUUUUUGACAUUAGCUCUCCUCCACUUGUUGCCAUUAGCCAUUCUUGCACAUUCGGCAAUAAUCCCUCCAAAAAGUAUUGGCAUUGGUGCCAUUUUCUCGUACCCAUGAUGUGGACACUUCAAGAGUAGCCCAUUGAAUCGCUCCCAGUUUCGAAAAACUGCUCGUCCUCUCUUUGUGUAAACUCUGAAAUUUCCCUGCGAAUAGCAUUGGUUUUAUGCACUGGGAAAUAUUUAUUCAAAAAUUUCGUUACCAUUUGUUCCCAUGAUGCAAUGCUAUUAGCAGGCAAAGUAUUUAACCAUGAACGAGCUCUAUCCUUUAAAGAAAAUGGGAAUAAUCUAAGUUUAACAUCAUCGUCUGAAAAAUUCUCAUAUUUAAAAGUUUGACAAAUGGCAUGAAAAUCAUUCAGAUGAUUAUAUGGGUCCUCAUUUUCUAAGCCAUAGAAUGUGGGGAGACAAUUUAGCACACUAGGUUUUAAUUCAAAACUCCUAGCAGCUACAUUUGGGUAUCUUAUGCAUGAUGUGCUCAAAUUAGCUAAGGGACUAAAAUAGUCCUUAAAUGGCCUCUCCUGUGGUGCUUGUAAAUCCAUUCCAAUUAUUUUUAAUGUGUUUGUGUGUGCGAAGUGUUUUUUCUAAUUCAAGGUCUAUAGGUUCAAGAUUAGGUAAUAAUGACCUACGACCAUGCAUGCAAAAUAAAUAAAAUAAAAAUAAAGAUGGGAACAAAACAAAUAAAAAUAAAGAAGAGGGAGAAAUUACGAUACUAACCUUAUUGCGCUAUUACAACCUUUCUAUAAAAAUACACAAAAACAAAUACGUGAAAUAAAUUAACUAAAAAUUAAAUUAAUAAAAUAAACAAAAAUUACAAAGAAAAAAAAUAAAUUGAAAAUUAAAUUACAGAAUUUUAAAGAAGAGAAAAAAGAAAAGAAAUACUAACCUUUAAAUGUAGAUUCACUUUUUUUUUUUUUUUUUUUUAAUAAAAAAAAUACAAGAAAACAAAUAAAAGAAAUUAUUCACAAAAAAUUAAUUCUAUGAAUUAAAAUUACUUACCUCCCCGGCAACGGCGCCAAAAACUUGUUGUGCAAAUUUUAAUGUACUCGCAAGCGCACGAAUCUAUUGUAGUAUAGACUAAUGGUGACGAGUGUCGAUCCCACGAGGAGGUGGAUUUUAAUUGUGUAUAGAAUUAAUUUUGUAAAUGGGUGGUUGGAUUUGUGGUGGAAGUGAUUUGAAUAUGCUAAAAUUAAAUUAAAAUGGCGAAAUAAAUCUAAAAUUGGAAUUGAAAUGGCGAGAAUAAAUUGAAGAGAAAUCUAUUGAAAUGACGUACUUGGGUAUCUGGAUCCGUAUCAACAUGCAUCAUGGGCUAAAUAAUCCGUAUUAAUGCCAAUUAAAUCAUGAGGGGGGAAUCCACACCUCAUGAACCACGCUCUAAUCAAUAUGGUGCUAAGGGCUUAUCGUGCCAAAUAAUAAUAACCUUAUACUAGAGAGCCGGUGUAACCAAGGCGGUAUCUAGACAAGAUCAGUAUUAUUUGUCGACGAUAAGUCAAAUCAUCCACAAAAACUAGAGGGGAAAAGAAAAUAAAUUUACCAAAUAAAGCCCAUGACACAUGUUGAGACUUCACCUUCAACCCAAGCUUGAAAGAAAAUUAGCCACUCAUAAUUGAACUAGGGGCAAAAUGGGAAUUUAUUAAAAUACGAAGAAAAUACAAGAUGGAGAAGGAAUUACAGAAAAUGGAUCCCAAAAAUGGAUUCAGAGAUAUCAAAUUAGGGGGGGAGGCCCCCUUUUUAUAGAUACAUGGAGUAAAUCAUGGCCAUCGGAUUAAAAACAGUUUGGACGCUCAGGAUUGCGCCACGUCAUCAGUCAACAGUCCACGGUUUGACCACGCGGAUGAACAGUAACACGGUUUGACCCGGAUGAACAGUAACGCGGUUUGGUUGAAAAUAAUCCUGUGUGAUGCAUGCACCGUACGCGAGAUUUUUCGUCCACUGAUAUGCUGCCACGUCACCAUCAACAGUACAUAAGAAUUUUAGUCCAACAGGAUCGUGACACCUCAUCAGUCAAUGCCACAUCAUCGGUCAAUGCCACGUCAUCGAUCCGUCUAUGUGAACAGUGUCGUGAACAGUAACGUAGACAGUACCGUACACGUGAAUAGUACCGUACAUGUGAAUAGUGCCAUUUUUCCUUUUAUGCUCCUCCUAAGGUUUUCGACCGUCCUGAGUUCAAAAGUGAUGUCCGUUUUGCCGUCUGAUCUCUCCUUUAUUGUGAAAUGACUAUAAUGCCCCUAAAAUACAUAAAAUACUUAAUUAAAAUAAACACACGUAAUUAAUCACAAGAAGGUUAAAUACAUAAAAGUAAGGGUUGUUAGUAAGACUUGAAAUGUAAAAUGACGGUUUUCUCCUUUAUAAAUAUAGCAUUUUCUAACACUCAACACACCCCCCAACCAGCUUAUUGCUAGUCCCUAGCAAAUAAAGCGAAAACAAAAUUCAAAUUCAAAAUGAUUUUUUUUUUUUUUUUUUAGAAACACUCGUGUUUAUUCAAUCAGAUUAAUGAUAGCAAUCAAUAAAAGUAUAAGCAUUAUCUCCAGUCUAAAGCAACAUCACACCCACAUCAACCAUCCACAUGAAUUAGCCCAGUAGACUUUGUUAUAGCUACUUUUCAAGAAUGACAUGUCAAACCCCAAAAUCUCACUGGAAGUAGUGACACUCUCACAAAGAAAUUAAAACCCAAUAAACAUAGUCACUCCAAUGAAUGGUAAUUGAGAGAGAAAAUAAUAAAGAAAUGAUAUCACAUGCUCUCACCAAGAUGAAAUAAAUAUGCCCUCAGCUUAGAAAUAAUACGAUCUCAAGUCAAAUAAAAUGUUAGUCAACCCACUUUAUUUAUCUUUUUUUUUUUUAUUAUGCAUCACUACAUCUUUUUAGCCCAUAUAACUAGCUUCUACUUCAAACUAUAGUUCCCUAAAAUCAAGAAGGACUUUUAUUAGGACGUAACGUAGGCUAGGGAUAUGGCUAACAAAGAAGGGAAAUAAGGAAAACAAAGUGUAUGUUUGAGAAAAAUGCAGAGAAAUUUUUUUUUUUUUUUUGGAAGUUGCAAGGUGGAUUUCACCUAUUAUUGUUAUUUUUAUUCUUUUGAAACACACUUUUUUUUUUUUUUUUUUUUUUUUUUUUUUUUUUUUUUGCUAGGCAUAACUUCACUGCAAAAUAAUUAUUUACAUUUUCUCAAACAUAAAUAGGUGAUGGAAUUUGUAAGAUAUUGGGUAAUACUCCAAAUCGGAGUGGGUCAAGAUGAUAAGUUAAACAAAAAAAAGUUUUUUUUUUUUUUUAAAAGGCUCAAAGGGGUAACUAUGGAUAUUUAUAAAGGGAUGGCUAGAAAGGCUCAAACGGAUCAAAGAUGGCCUUUCCAUCGUCUUUUAGGGCUCUAAAUAAUUCCAUAUCUACUAGUUAGAUGGGCCUCCCAAUGUAGCAACACACACUUUUUUUUUUUUUUUUUUUAAGGCUUAACUCAAAGAAAUCUAGAGAUCGUGUAUACAAUAAUAAACUGUAAGCAUUAUAAAGAAUGGGCAAAAGGGUUACUCUCCAAAAAAAUGAUAGGCUCAAAACUCACUUGGUACUUAUUAUAUGACAUGUUCAUUCCUUCAAGCAACUCAUAUUUGUCUCCGACAUCAACAUGUAGAGUAGCAAACAUAAUGUAACAUCACUUAAGACCAAAGAUAAUACAAAUACUAAAAUUUUGAAAUUAAUCAUGUCAUCUAAAGUUAAAACAAAUCACACAAUUUUUUUUUUUUUUUUUUAAACAACAUUCUACCCCCAACCUAUUCUAAACAUGAAAGGAAAAUAUGCAUGCAGAAAUGUGAAAAUGAUGCAUAAAAACUUAAUUAGAAAAGUUACAGUAAAUAAUAGAAAAAGAAAAUGAAAUUUUGUUUUUUUUUUUUUAUUUUUUUUUUAAACGAUGAAGAUGCGUUUCUAGAGGCACUACACUCCAUAUUCAGCCAUCUUCGACUCAAAAGUUGGAAAAUAUAUAUUUAUAAGGAGAAAUUAAAAAGAAGAAGAAAAAUGAACAUCAAAACAUAAUAAAGAAAAAGAAAAUGUUUGAAUUUUUUUGUUUUUUUUUAGUUUUUUUAGUUUUUUAAUUUUUUUUUUUUUUUAAACGAUGAAGAUGCGUUUCUAGAGUCACUACACUCCAUAUUCAGCCAUCUUCAACACAAAAAGUUAGCAACAGUUAGUUUCUACAACAAAAAAUCAGUAAAAAACUUAACCAAGAUUCCACAAUUGUCGACUAUUCCCUCCCCCAACCAGAACGAAACAUUGUCCUCAAUGUUUAAAAAUAAAAAAGACAAACACGAAUAUUUACAGCGGAGAGUUAAAUCUAAUUUGUACUUCUUACUGCGGCUACUGUUACCAUCAUUAUUUGGUCGCUCCAACACAAAGGUCCAGGGGUCUGGCUCCGGUUUAUAAGCUUGUAACAUAUCAAGUAGCUCAUUAGCAGUGUGAGCACAAAUAAAAAAGUUUUUUACAUUAGAAGGAAUGAAAUAGUUUUUUAUUGCAUGGUUAAGAAAUGCGAUAAAGCCAUCAUAAAAGUUAUUGACAUUUAACAAACCGAUGGGUUUCUGGUGGAUGUGCAGAUGGGCCAAGAUGCUAGUGUCAUAAGUGCCUCUAGUGUUGCAAGAUCUCCUGAAGGAAAAUAAAAGCAUCAGCAUGAUUAAGCAUUUCAGUUAUUCUUUCUUGCAUACCUGAGACGACUUAACUCUUCUCCAGUUGAUGAGUCAGACGAACUGCCCAAUGGUUUUAGGACUCUUGGGAUGAUGCCUAACACUUGACUUCCUCUGAUAAAAGCGCUUCUGAGACCAUUUUUGAUAACCUCGGUUACCUCUCCAUACACCAAAUGUAAUUUUCUCGCUGCUAUGCUUCGACCAAGAUCUAUGCUGCCUCCACGAACUCUUUAUGUUUGCCAUAGGUAAAUCCAGAAAGCACACAAAUGUUCUUGAAUUGUCUAUUGGGAGUAGCUGCCAUUGUGAUACUUCUCAAAAAUAAUUUGUGAGUGCUUGACAAAAGAUAAAUCACAUUUAAAAUCUUGGUGACAAUGGAUCACAGCUGUGAAUGAGGUAACAUGUCAGUGUCAAAUAACGCGUAAAGCACGUGGCUCGCGAGUCAAAAAGGAAACAGUAAAAAGGAAAAAGCAAACAGUAAUAAAAUUAUUAAAGACAAUAAUGCAAACAAUAAAACAACAGUGAAAUGAAAAAAUAACAGUAAAGUAAAGGAUAUUUACACGUAGUUGCGACUGUGGCUCACAUCUUCCUCUGGUUUUACGUCCAGAAACGGCUUGAACGCCCUCUUGGGUCGAGGAUGGGCUUCCCAUCCAGUUUUCUUAUAAACUGGCAAACAGGGUCGUUUAUAGUCAGAUUCCCGAGACUAUAUCGUGCAUGCUCUUUCUGGAAUAAUGGCCAUAACUGGAGAAUCGCUCCUUGCACAUAUCCACUGGGAUGCGUUUCAAGAGACAAAAGGAUAUCAUCCAAUGACUCCUUAUUCAAGCCAUCCCUAAUGAAUUGAAUCUUAUCUUCCCUGUUAUCAGACACCAUUCCUAAAGAACAUGGGUUUCUAUCGCAACUCAUUCUGGCACACAACAGAAAUUCUUCGAGCUCGUCGUUUUCUUGCAUAAUUUCCUUUACCACAACCAGGCAUGUAUGCAAUAAAUUUAGGAGGUAACUCACCUGCCAAUCGUACUUUAGCCUCGAUUAACCAACGGAUGUCUGCAGGUAUGUUAUUCUCAUGAGCAAUCGCAUGCGUUCAGACCGGGCUUUAUAGAUCGUAAGGAGGGCAUUCUGAGGAAGUGAAGGGAAUCGCUUGUGAAGCUUCGCUAGAAUCUCGUUUCUGUCCAUACUUCGCCUCAGAAUAUCAGUUAUUAUGGGAAACUGAAGUAACCGACUUGAUUGUCACGGAGUACCGUUAUCCGCCACUUCACCGGGGUAACAAACUAAAGCACACAAACAGAAAAACAAAAAACACAAAAGAAAAUUAAAAUCGUCCUCUUAUUGAAUUUACCUCAAGCUCCAACUGGAUGUCGUAAACACUUCUCUCAAUGUCUCUGAGUUGGCGUUCUAAACCCUCAACAUAGGCUACUAACUCUGGUGGUUGUAGAGCCCAAAUGCGAUGUGUUUUACAAAAUUGAAUCUGCCUUUUGAGAUGAGUUUUGACACGUUGAAGUGGUUUAAGAAUGUUCAGGAGGAACGGUCUAAGUAAGGUACUCAUGAUUAAAAAUGAUAAGAGAAAACUUAAUAGUAAAAAAACACACUUAUGCAAAAAUAAACACACUUAUGCAAAAACAAUUUCAAUUAGCAAAGAAUAAUAAUAAAAAGAAAUAAAGAAAAUCAAAUUAACGAAAAGAGAAAAAAAAAUCAAUUCAAAUUUAGUGGGUCACUCAAAUUUAUUUCGAUGUUUUCUCCAUGUGGUUGGUACUCUAGAUAUGGCUUUAAUCUUUGACCAUUAACUUUAUACGUGACACCGUUCUUUGGGUCCUUAAUUUCAAUUGCCCCAUGUGGAAAAACAGUAUGUACAAUAAAUGGGCCAGACCAACGAGAGCGUAACUUACCUGGGAAUAGGUGCAAGCGAGAAUUGAAUAAAAGCACUUUCUGACCUGGAGUGAACGAUUUUCUCAUAAUUUGCUUAUCAUGGAAGACUUUCAUUCGUUGCUUGUAAAUCUUGGCAUUUUCGUAUGCAUCAUUGCGAAUUUCUUCAAGUUCUGCCAGCUGUAAUCUUCUUUCUGAGCUGGCUUGCUGCAUGUCAAAGUUGAAUUUCUUGAUGGCCCAAUAUGCACGAUGCUCGAGUUCCACAGGUAGGUGGCAAGCUUUUCCAUACACUAGCCUGUAGGGUGACAUCCCAAUCGGGGUCUUGAAAGCCGUUCUAUAUGCCCAUAAUGCAUCAUCAAGUCGUAAUGACCAAUCUUUCCUGUCUGGCCUCACCGUCUUUUCUAAUAUGUGCUUUAUUUCUCGAUUGGAGAUCUCAACUUGGCCACUGGUUUGCGGAUGAUACGGGGUCGCCACUUUGUGUGUGAUUGAAUACUUUGUCAAAAGAGCCUUGAAUGCUUUGUUACAAAAGUGGGCACCACCAUCACUGAUUAUCGCUCGAGGGAAUCCAAAGCGCGAAACAAUAUUGCUUUUCAAAAAUCCUAUCACCACUUUGUGAUCAUUGGUUCUGCAUGGAAUUGCUUCCACCCAUUUCGAUACGUAGUCAACACCAACCAAUAUGUAUUGAUGGCCAAAAGAAGGGGGAAAGGGUCCCAUGAAGUCGAUACCCCAUACGUCAAAAAUCUCAACCACUAAAAUUGGAUUUAGUGGCAUCAUGUUCCUUCGUGUAAUGCUCCCCAUUCGUUGACACCUAUCACAUGAAGAACAGAAAGUGUAAGCAUCUCGAAAUAUAGUUGGCCAAUAGAAACCACAUUGUAAAACUUUAGUCGCUGUUUUCUUAGCACUGAAAUGGCCUCCACAAGCUUGUUCAUGGCAGAAUGAAAGGAUAUUCUGAAUUUCACUUUCAGGGACACAUCGUCUAACAAUUUGGUCUGCACAAUACUUGAACAAAUAUGGGUCAUCCCAAAAGAAAUUCUUUAUUUCCGCAAAGAAUUUAGCCUUGUCUUGCUUGGUCCAAUGCUCUGGAAGCUUACCUGUAACAAGAUAAUUAACUAUAUCAGCAUACCAAGGUAAUACUUCCACACUCAUUAAUUGUUCAUCUGGAAAUGACUCAUUUAAUAUUAAUGGCUCUGUAAUUGUGUCAAAAUGGAGACGAGAGAGGUGGUCCGCCACAACAUUUUCUGUCCCUUUCUUAUCUUUGAAUUCCAAGUCAAAUUCUGCAAAAGUAACACCCAACGAAUUAGUCUAGCUUUUGCAUCUUUCUUUGUGAGAAGAUAUUUAAGAGCAGCAUGAUCUGUGAAUAUAAUUAUUUUACAACCAAUGAGAUAAGAUCGAAAUUUUUUCCAAUGCAAACACUACUGCUAGCAUUUCUUUUUCAGUAGUUGAAUAAUUCAACUGUGCAUCAUUCAAGGUCAUACUAGCAUAGUAAAUAACGUUGGGAAUUCGAUCAACUCUUUGUCCUAAUACUGCUCCUACUGCAUAAUCAGAUGCAUCACACAUGAGCUCAAAUGGUAAGCUCCAGUUUGGGGCCUGAAUGAUGGGUGAUGAUGUCAACAAUUGCUUUAAUUUUUCAAAAGCCAUAAGACAUGAAUCAUUAAAGAUAAAAGGUACAUCCUUAGCAAGUAAAUUGCAUAAGGGUCUAGAAACUUUGCUAAAAUCUUUAAUGAAACGUCUAUAGAAACCAGCAUGCCCAAGGAAAGAUCUUACUUCUCUGACUGUUUUAGGUGGAGGAAGAUUAGAAAUGAGAUCCACCUUGGCUUUGUCAACCUCAAUACCUUUGCUCGAAAUGAUGUGACCGAGAACAAUACCUUGUUUUACCAUAAAAUGGCACUUCUCCCAAUUUAAGACUAAGCUCUUCUCGGUACAUCUCUGCAGAACUAGCGUUAGAUGAUGUAAACAUUGAUCAAACGAGUCACCAAAGACAGAAAAAUCAUCCAUAAAGACUUCAAGGAAUCGUUCAACCAUAUCAGAAAAAAUGCUCAACAUGCAUCGUUGAAAUGUAGCAGGUGCAUUACAUAAUCCAAAUGGCAUUCUCCUAUAUGCAAAUGUGCCAAAGGGCAAGUGAAAGUAGUUUUCUCUUGAUCUUUUGGUGCUAUGGGAAUCUGAUUAUAUCCUGAGUAGCCAUCUAGAAAGCAAUAAAAUUCAUGGCCUGCUAAUCUAUCAAGCAUUUGAUCAAUAAAUGGUAAAGGAAAAUGGUCUUUACGUGUGACAGAAUUCAACUUUCUAUAAUCAAUGCAUACACGCCAUCCUGUAGUUACUCUAGUUGGUAUCAAUUCAUUAUCAGCAUUGGUAACUACUGUGACUCCUGACUUUUUGGGGACAACUUGUACAGGACUGACCCAUGAACUAUCAGAAAUUGGGUAAAUGAUACCUGCAUCUAAUAGCUUAAGGACUUCAGUUCUAACAACUUCUUUCAUGUUAGGAUUUAACCGACGUUGCAUCUCCCUAGUAGUUUUAGCAUUUUCAUCAAGGUGAAUGUAAUGCAUACAGUCUACUGGGUUUAUACCUUUAAUGUCUGCUAUGGUCCAUCCUAAUGCUCCUUUGUGCUCUUUUAAAACAUCCAACAACUUACCUUUUUGUUCGUCAUUUAGGGAUGAUGAGAUGAUUACCGGCAGAGUACUUUCUUCUCCCAAAAAUGCAUAUUCCAGAGUGUUGGGUAAUGGUUUGAGCUCGAGUUUCGGGUGGUGAUUCUGAUGAUGGAAUGAGUUUCUUCUCUGAUGGUGCUAGUUGUUCAACUCUUGACUUCCAUUUAUUAGUGUCCAUGGAUGGUGCUGAGUCAAGCAGGGCGUUGACCUCAUCGACCGAUCUAUCAAUAUCAAAAUCCAAACCAAAGUGAGUUAAGCAUGUCUGUAAAGGAUCAUCACUAAGGUUUGAAAGAAAAGUAUUAUCAACUAUUGUUUCUAUUAAAUCCACAUCAACAAUUCCAUCAUCUGCACUGUGAGGUUGUUUGGCAAUGUUGAAAAUAUUUAGCUCCAUAGUCAUGUUGCCGAAGGACAACUGCAUAUUUCCAGUCCUGCAUUGAAUGUGAGCAUCCGCAGUCGCCAAGAAAGGUCGGCCUAGAAUAAUGGGGAUGUGCUUCCUUGAAUCCUGUAUUGGUUGAGUGUCAAUUACAAUGAAAUCAACAGGAAAAUAAAACUUGUCUACCUGGAUAAGCACGUCCUCCAUAAUACCACGAGGUAUUUUCGUGGACCGAUCUGCAAGCUGUAACACCACUGGAGUUGGGUGUAAUUCUCCAGUCCAAGUUUCACGAAUACUGAAUAAGGCAACAGAUUUACACUAGCUCCUAAAUCCAACAACGCAUUCUCAAUUGUGUGGUUUCCCUAUACUACAUGAGAUAGUGGGGGAGCCUGGGUCUUUGCAUUUUAGAGGAAUUUUAUGUUGGAGUAUAGAACUAACAUUUUCUGUUAAAAAUGCCUUCUUUUGAACAUGCAUAUUUCUCUUUUUAGUACAAAGGUCUUUAAGAAACUUGGCAUAAGAUGGAACUUGUUUAAUAGCAUCAAGUAAAGGGAUGUUAACACUUACCUGUUUGAAGAUUUCGAGAAUCUCACCUGUGGAUUUUCCCUUUUUCCCUUUAGCUAACCUCUGAGGAAAUGGAGCUUUCGGAACGUAUUCUCGUGGGUUGGUUUCUUCUUUCUCCUCCGGUGGUGAGUCUUCAACAUUCACAGGUACAAUUUGAUUUUCUUUUGUCACCGGCAUCUCCACUUUGUUGUCGACUUCCUUUCCUUUUCGCAAGGUCAUGACUGCUUUGACCUCUCCAUGCUGUUGUGGUGAACUGGUACUUGCUUCAUGUACUCCUUUAGGAUUAGGCACUGGUUGACUUGGAAAUUUUCCUUUCUCAACAGUCAUUGCCAAGGUCUGAACUGAAGAAGCAAGUUGUCCCACCAUCUUCUCGAGGCUUGAAACUGAUUGAGCUUGUGAGUUGAAGCCUGCUCUCAACUCAUUUCGUAGUCCAUCAAUGGUGCGGUUCUGUUGCUCAAUCGUGGAGUGAGUAACAUUCUUGAAAUUCUGGAAUGCAUCCUCCCAUGGUCUGGGUUGAGAGUAGUUCUGGUUCUGAUUGUAUGGUCUGAAUGGUGGCUGAGAGGCUUGAGGAUUUUGAGGAAUUUGUUGCAUUGGUGGAGCUGGAGCUGCUGGUCCAUUCUGUUGGAAUCCUUGAGACCAUGAAAUAUUGGGGUGGUCUCUCCAUCCAGGGUUAUAUGUGUUGGAGUAUGGGUUGUAAUUCGAUGGUUUUCUCAUUACACCUAUGGCAUUGGCUUGAUCGGAGUAUGAGUCAUGGUCAUGUGGUUCUGUUGAUUUAGCAGUCGAUAACGAUGCUAUUUGUCGAGCGAGACCUUCAACCAUCUCCUUGACUUCUUUGAUUCCCGAAGUUGACUCGCCAAUUUGAACCUCAUUUACUCCCUUAAUUCUUCUAGUAUUCCUUAGUGAUCGACUCCGUUGUUGGGAAUUAUCCGCUUGUCGUUGGAAGAAUUCCCAAAUUUCUGAUGCACUUUUUGACAUUAGCUCUCCUCCACUUGUUGCCAUUAGCCAUUCUUGCACAUUCGGUAGUAAUCCCUCCAAAAAGUAUUGGCAUUGGUGCCAUUUUUCGUACCAUGAUGUGGACACUUCAAGAGUAGCCCAUUGAAUCGCUCCCAAGUUUCGAAAAACUGCUCGUCCUCUCUUUGUGUAAACUCUGAAAUUUCCCUGCGAAUAGAAUUGGUUUUAUGCUGGGAAAUUUUAUUCAAAAAUUUAGUUACCAUUUGUUCCCAUGAUGAAAUGCUAUUAGCAGGCAACGUAUUUAACCAUGAACGAGCUCUAUCCUUUAAAGAAAAUGGGAAUAGUCUGAGUUUAACAUCAUCGUCUGAAAAAUUUUCAUAUUUAAAAGUUUGACAAAUGGUAUGAAAAUCAUUCAGAUGAUUAUAUGGGUCCUCAUUUUCUAAGCCAUAGAAUGUGGGGAGACAUUUAGCACACUAGGUUUUAGUUCAAAGUUCCUAGCAGCUACAUUUGGGUAUCUAAUACAUGAUGUGCUUAAAUUAGCUAAGGGACUAAAAUAGUCCUUAAAUGGCCUCUCCUGUGGUGCUUGUAAAUCCAUUCCAAUUUUUUUUUAAUGUGUUUUUGUGUGCGAAGUGUUUUUUCUAAUUCAAGGUCUAUAGGUUCAAGAUUAGGUAAUAAUGACCUACGACCAUGCAUGCAAAAUAAAAUGAAAUAAAAAAAAGAUGCAAACAAAACAAAAAUAAAGAUGGGAACAAAACAAAUUAAAAUAAAUAAGAGGGAGAAAUUACGAUACUAACCUUAUUGCGCUAUUACAACCUUUCUAUAAAAAUACACAAAAACAAAUACGUGAAAUAAAUUAACUAAAAAUUAAAUUAAUAAAAUAACAAAAAUUACAAAGAAAAAAAAUAAAUUGAAAAUUAAAUUACAGAAUUUUAAAGAAGAAAAAAGAAAGAAAUACUAACCUUUAAAUGUAGAUUUACUCUUUUUUUUUCUUUUUUUUUUUAAUAAGAAAAAAAAAUACAAGAAAACAAAUAAAAGAAAUUAUUCACAAAAAUUAAUUUUAUGAAUUAAAAUUACUUACCUCCCCGGCAACGGCGCCAAAAACUUGUUGUGCAAAUUUUAAUGUACUCGCAAGCGCACGAAUCUAUUGUAAUAUAGACUAAUGGUGACGAGUGUCGAUCCCACGAGGAGGUGGAUUUUAAUUGUGUAUAAAAUUAAUUUUGUAAAUGGGUGAUUGGAUUUGUGGUGGAAAUGAUUUGGAAUAUGCUAAAACUUAAAUUAAAAUGGCGAGAAUAAAUUGAAGAGAAUUCUAUUGAAAUGACGUACUUGGGUAUCUGGAUCCGUAUCAACAUGCAUCAUGGGCUAAAUAUUCCUUAUUAAUACCAAUUAAAUCAUGAGGGGGGAAUCCACACUCAUGAACCACGCUCUAAUCAAUAUGGUGCUAAGGGCUUUAUCGUGCCAAAUAAUAUAACCUUAUACCAGAGAGCCGGUGUAACCAAGGCGGUAUCUAGACAAGAUCAGUAUUAUUUGUCGACGAUAAGUCAAAUCAUCCACAAAAACUAGAGGGGAAAAGAAAAUAAAUUUACCAAAUAAAGCCCAUGACACAUGUUGAGACUUCACCUUCAACCCAAGCUUGAAAAGAAAUUAGCUACUCAUAAUUGAACUAGGGGCAAAAAGGGAAUUUAUUAAAAUACAAAGAAAAUACAAGAUGGAGAAGGAAUUACAGAAAAUGGAUCCCAAAAAUGGAUUCAGAGAUAUCAAAUUCGGGGGGAGAGGCCCCCUUUUUAUAGAUACAUGGAGUAAAUCAUGGCCAUCGGAUUAAAAACAGUUUGGACGCUCAGGAUUGCGCCACGUCAUCAGUCAACAGUCCACGGUUUGACCACGCGGAUGAACAGUAACACGGUUUGACCCGGAUGAACAGUAACGCGGUUUGGUUGAAAAUAAUCCUGUGUGAUGCAUGCACCGUACACGAGAUUUUUCGUCCACUGAUAUGCUGCCACGUCACCAUUAACAGUACAUAAGAAUUUUAGCCCAACAGGAUCGUGACACCUCAUCAGUCAAUGCCACAUCAUCGGUCAAUGCCACGUCAUCGGUCAAUGCCACGUCAUCGAUCCGUCUAUGUGAACAGUGUCGUGAACAGUAACGUAGACAGUACCGUACGUGAAUAGUACCGUACAUGUGAAUAGUGCCAUUUUUCCUUUUAUGCUCCUCCUAAGGUUUUCGACCGUCCUGAGUUCAAAAGUGAUGUCCGUUUUGCCGUCUGAUCUCUCCUUUAUUGUGAAAUGACUAUACUGCCCCUAAAAUACAUAAAAUACUUAAUUAAAAUAACACACACGUAAUUACAUCACAAGAAGGUUAAAUACAUAAAAGUAAGGGUUGUUAGUAAGACUUGAAAUGUAAAAUGACGGUUUUCUCCUUUAUAAAUAUGUAUUUUCUAACACUCAACACACCCCCCAACCAGCUUAUUGCUAGUCCCUAGCAAAUAAAGCGAAAACAAAAUUCAAAUUCAAAAUGAUUUUUUUUUUUUUUUUUUUUAGAAACACUCGUGUUUAUUCAAUCAGAUUAAUGAUAGCAAUCAAAUAAAAGUAUAAGCAUUAUCUCCAGUCUAAAGCAACAUCACACCCACAUCAACCAUCCACAUGAAUUAGCCCAGUAGACUUUGUUAUAGCUACUUUCAAGAAUGACAUGUCAAACCCCAAAAUCUCACUGGAAGUAGUGACACUCUCACAAAGAAAUUAAAACCCAAUAAACAUAGUCACUCCAAUGAAUGGUAAUUGAGAGAGAAAAUAAUAAAGAAAUGAUAUCACAUGCUCUCACCAAGAUUAAAUAAAUAUGCCCUCAGCUUAGAAAUAAUACGAUCUCAAGUCAAAUAAAAUGUUAGUCAACCCACUUUAUUUAUCUUUUUUUUUUUUAAUUAUGCAUCACUACAUCUUUUUAGCCCAUAUAACUAGCUUCUACUUCAAACUAUAGUUCCCUAAAAUCAAGAAGGACUUUUAUUAGGACGUAACGUAGGCUAGGGAUAUGGCUAACAAAGAAGGGAAAUAAGGAAAACAAAGUGUAUGUUUGAGAAAAAUGCAGAGAAUAUUUUUUUUUUUUUUUUUGGAAGUUGCAAGGUGGAUUUCACCUAUUAUUGUUAUUUUUAUUCUUUUGAAACAACAAUUUUUUUUUUUUUUUUUUUUUUUCAGCAACAACAAUUUUUUCUUUUUUUUUUUUUGAACUAGGCAUAACUUCACUAUGCAAAAUGUUUAUUUACAUUUUUCUCAAACAUAAAUAGGUGAUGGAAUUUGUAAGAUAUUGGGUAAUACUCCAAAUCGGAGUGGGUCAAGAUGAUAAGUUAAACAAAGAAAAGUUUUUUUUUUUUUUUAUUUAAAAGGCUCAAAUGGGUUAACUAUGGAUACUUGAUAAGAGGGAUGGCUAGAAAGGCUCAAACGGAUCAAAGAUGGCCUUUCCAUCGUCUUUUAGGGCUCUAAAUAAUCAUCCAUAUCUACUAGUUAGAUGGGCCUCCCAAUGUAGCAACACACACAUUUUUUUUUUUUUUUUUUUUUAAGGCUUAACUCAAAAGAAAUCUAGAGAUCGUGUAUACAAUAAUAAACUGUUAAGCAUUAUAAAGAAUGGGCAAAAGGGUUACUCUCCAAGAAAAAUGAUAGGCUCAAAAACUCACUUGGUACUUAUUAUGACAUGUUCAUUCCUUCAAGCAACUCAUAUUUGUCUCCGACAUCAACAUGUAGAGUAGCAAACAUAAUGUAACAUCACUUAAGACCAAAGAUAAUACAAAUACUAAAAUUUGAAAUUAAUCAUGUCAUCUAAAGUUAAAACAAAUCACACAAUUUUUUCUUUUUUUUUUUUAAACAACAUUCUACCCCCCAACCUAUUCUAAACAUGAAAGGAAAAUAUGCAUGCAGAAAUGUGAAAAUGAUGCAUAAAAACUAAUUAGAAAAGUUACACGUAAAAUGAUAGAAAACGAAAAUGAAAUUUUGUUUUUUUUUUUUUUAAUUUUUUUUUAAACGAUGAAGAUGUUUCUAGAGGCACUACACUCCAUAUUCAGCUAUCUUCGACUCAAAAGUUGGAAAAUAUAUAUUUAUAAGGAGAAAUUAAAAAGAAGAAGAAAAAUGAACAUCAAAACAUAAUAAAGAAAAAGAAAAUGUUUGAAUUUUUGUUUUUUUUAGUUUUUUAGUUUUUUAAAUUUUUUUUUUUUUUAAACGAUGAAGAUGCGUUUCUAGAGUCACUACACUCCAUAUUCAGCCAUCUUCAACACAAAAAGUUAGCAACAGUUAGUUUCUACAACAAAAAAUCAGUAAAAACUUAACCAAGAUUCCACAAUUGUCGACUAUUCCCCUCAACCAGAACGAAACAUUGUCCUCAAUGUUUUAAAGGAAAGAAGUAGAGUUUAGAAGACAUCACCUGGGUGGUGCAACACAAAAGAUAUAUUUACAGGCGGAGAGUUAAAUCUAAUUUGUACUUCUUACUGCGGCUACUGUUACCAUCAUUAUUUGGGCGCUCCAACACAAAGGUCCAGGGGUCUGGCUCCGGUUUAUAAGCUUGUAACAGAUCAAGUAGUUCAUUAGCAGUGUGAGCACAAAUAAAAAGUUUUUUUACAUUAGAAGGAAUGAAAUAGUUUUUUAUUGCAUGGUUAAGAAAUGCGAUAAAGCCAUCAUAAAAGUUAUUGACAUUUAACAAACCGAUGGGUUUCUGGUGGAUGUGCAGAUGGGCCCAAGAUGCUAGUGUCAUAAGUGCCUCUAGUGUUGCAAGAUCCUGGAAGGAAAAUAAAAGCAUCAGCAUGAUUAAGCAUUUCAGUUAUUCUUUCUUGCAUACCUGAGACGACUAACUCUUCUCCAGUUGAUGAGUCAGACGAACUGCCCAAUGGUUUUAGGACUCUUGGGAUGAUGCCUAACACUUGACUUCCUCUGAUAAAAGCUGCUUCUGAGACCAUUUUUGAUAACCCUCGGUUACCUCCUCCAUACACCAAAUGUAAUUUUCUCGCUGCUAUGCUUCGACCAAGAUCUAUGGCUGCCUCCACGAACUCUUUAUGUUUGCCAUAGGUAAAUCCAGAAAGCACACAAAUGUUCUUGAAUUGUCUAUUGGGAGUAGCUGCCAUUGUGAUACUUCUCAAAAAUAAUUUGUGAGUGCUUGACAAAAGAUAAAUCACAUUUAAGAAUCUUGGUGACAAUGGAUCACAGCUGUGAAUGAGGUAACAUGUCAGUGUCAAAUAACGCGUAAAGCACGUGGCUCGCGAGUCAAAAAGGAAACAGUAAAAAGGAAAAAGCAAACAGUAAUAAAAUUAUUAAAGACAAUAAUGCAAACAAUAAAACAACAGUGAAAUGAAAUAAAAUAACAGUAAAGUAAAAGGAUAUUUACACGUAGUUGCGACUGUGGCUCACAUCUUCCUCUGGUUUUACGUCCAGAACGGCUUGAACGCCCUCUAUGGGUCGAGGAUGGGCUUCCCAUCCAGUUUUCUUAUAAACUGGCAAACAGGGUCGUUUAUAGUCAGAUUCCCGAGACGAUAUCGUGCAUGCUCUUUUUGGAAUAAUGGCCUUAACUGGAGAAUCGCUCCUUGCACAUAUCCACUGGGAUGCGUUUCAAGAGACAAAAGGAUAUCAUCCAAUGACUCCUUAUUCAAGCCAUCCCUAAUGAAUUGAAUCUUAUCUUCCCUGUUAUCAGACACCAUUCCUAAAGAACAUGGGUUUCUAUCGCAACUCAUUCUGGCACACUUGUGACAAGCAACAGAAAUUCUUCGAGCUCGUCGUUUUCUUGCGUAAUUUCCUUUACCACAACCAGGCAUGUAUGCAAUAAAUUUAGGAGGUAACUCACCUGCCAAUCGUACUUUAGCCUCGAUUAACCAACGGAUGUCUGCAGGUAUGUUAUUCCUCAUGAGCAAUCGCAUGCGUUCAGACCGGGCUUUAUAGAUUGUAAGGAGGGCAUUCUGAGGAAGUGAAGGGAAUCGCUUGUGAAGCUUCGCUAGAAUCUCGUUUCUGUCCAUACCUUCGCCUCAGAAUAUCAGUUAUUAUGGGAACUGAAGUUAACCGACUUGAUUGUCACGGAGUACCGCCACUUCACCGGGGUAACAAACUAAAGCACACAAACAGAAAACAAAAAACACACAAAGAAAAUUAAAAUCGUCCUCUUAUUGAAUUUACCUCAAGCUCCAACUGGAUGUCGUAAACACUUCUCUCAAUGUCUCUGAGUUGGCGUUCUAAACCCCUCAACAUAGGCUACUAACUCUGGUGGUUGUAGAGCCCAAAUGCGUUGUGUUUUACAAAAUAGAAUCUGCCUUUUGAGAUGAGUUUUGACACGUUGAAGUGGUUUAAGAAUGUUCAGGAGGAACGGUCUAAGUAUGAGACUCAUGAUUAAAAAUGAUAAGAGAAAACUUAAUGGUAAAAUAAACACACUUAUGCAAAAACAAUUUCAAUUAGCAAAAGAAUAAUAAUAAAAAGAAAUAAAGAAAAAUCAAAUUAACGAAAAGAGAAAAAAAAAAUCAAUUCAAAUUUAGUGGGUCACUCAAAUUUAUUUCGAUGUUUUCUCCAUGUGGUUGGUACUCUAGAUAUGGCUUUAAUCUUUGACCAUUAACUUUAUACGUGACACCGUUCUUUGGUCCUUAAUUUCAAUUGCCCCAUGUGGAAAAACAGUAUGUACAAUAAAUGGGCCAGACCAACGAGAGCGUAACUUACCUGGGAAUAGGUGCAAGCGAGAAUUGAAUAAAAGCACUUUCUGACCUGGAGUGAACGAUUUUCUCAUAAUUUGCUUAUCAUGGAAGACUUUCAUUCGUUGCUUGUAAAUCUUGGCAUUUUCGUAUGCAUCAUUGCGAAUUUCUUCAAGUUCUGCCAGCUGUAAUCUUCUUUCUGAGCUGGCUUGCUGCAUGUCAAAGUUGAAUUUCUUGAUGGCCCAAUAUGCACGAUGCUCGAGUUCCACAGGUAGGUGGCAAGCUUUUCCAUACACUAGCCUGUAGGGUGACAUCCAAUCGGGGUCUUGAAAGCCGUUCUAUAUGCCCAUAAUGCAUCAUCAAGUCGUAAUGACCAAUCUUUCCUGUCUGGCCUCACCGUCUUUUCUAAUAUGUGCUUUAUUUCUCGAUUGGAGAUCUCAACUUGGCCACUGGUUUGCGGAUGAUACGGGGUCGCACUUUGUGUGUGAUUGAAUACUUUGUCAAAAGAGCCUUGAAUGCUUUGUUACAAAAGUGGGCACCACCAUCACUGAUUAUCGCUCGAGGGAAUCCAAAGCGCGAAACAAUAUUGCUUUUCAAAAAUCCUAUCACCACUUUGUGAUCAUUGGUUCUGCAUGGAAUUGCUUCCACCCAUUUCGAUACGUAGUCAACACCAACCAAUAUGUAUUGAUGGCCAAAAGAAGGGGGAAAGGGUCCCAUGAAGUCGAUACCCCAUACGUCAAAAAUCUCAACCACUAAAAUUGGAUUUAGUGGCAUCAUGUUCCUUCGUGUAAUGCUCCCCAUUCGUUGACACCUAUCACAUGAAGAACAGAAAGUGUAAGCAUCUCGAAAUAUAGUUGGCCAAUAGAAACCACAUUGUAAAACUUUAGUCGCUGUUUUCUUAGCACUGAAAUGGCCUCCACAAGCUUGUUCAUGGCAGAAUGAAAGGAUAUUCUGAAUUUCACUUUCAGGGACACAUCGUCUAACAAUUUGGUCUGCACAAUACUUGAACAAAUAUGGGUCAUCCCAAAAGAAAUUCUUUAUUUCCGCAAGAAUUUAGCCUUGUCUUGCUUGGUCCAAUGCUCUGGAAGCUUACCUGUAACAAGAUAAUUAACUAUAUCAGCAUACCAAGGUAAUACUUCCACACUCAUUAAUUGUUCAUCUGGAAAUGACUCAUUUAAUAUUAAUGGCUCUGUAAUUGUGUCAAAAUGGAGACGAGAGAGGUGGUCCGCCACAACAUUUUCUGUCCCUUUCUUAUCUUUGAAUUCCAAGUCAAAUUCCUGCAAAAGUAACACCCAACGAAUUAGUCUAGCUUUUGCAUCUUUCUUUGUGAGAAGAUAUUUAAGAGCAGCAUGAUCUGUGAAUAUAAUUAUUUUACAACCAAUGAGAUAAGAUCGAAAUUUUUCCAAUGCAAACACUACUGCUAGCAUUUCUUUUUCAGUAGUUGAAUAAUUAACUGUGCAUCAUUCAAGGUCAUACUAGCAUAGUAAAUAACGUUGGGAAUUCGAUCAACUCUUUGUCCUAAUACUGCUCCUACUGCAUAAUCAGAUGCAUCACACAUGAGCUCAAAUGGUAAGCUCCAGUUUUGGGGCCUGAAUGAUGGGUGAUGAUGUCAACAAUUGCUUUAAUUUUUCAAAAGCCAUAAGACAUGAAUCAUUAAAGAUAAAAGGUACAUCCUUAGCAAGUAAAUUGCAUAAGGGUCUAGAAACUUUGCUAAAAUCUUUAAUGAAACGUCUAUAGAAACCAGCAUGCCCAAGGAAAGAUCUUACUUCUCUGACUGUUUUAGGUGGAGGAAAGAUUAGAAAUGAGAUCCACCUUGGCUUUGUCAACCUCAAUACCUUUGCUCGAAAUGAUGUGACCGAGAACAAUACCUUGUUUUACCAUAAAAUGACACUUUCCCAUUUAAGACUAAGCUCUUCUCGGUACAUCUCUGCAGAACUAGCGUUAGAUGAUGUAAACAUUGAUCAAACGAGUCACCAAAGACAGAAAAAUCAUCCAUAAAGACUUCAAGGAAUUCAACCAUAUCAGAANGAUAAUUAACUAUAUCAGCAUACCAAGGUAAUACUUCCACACUCAUUAAUUGUUCAUCUGGAAAUGACUCAUUUAAUAUUAAUGGCUCUGUAAUUGUGUCAAAAUGGAGACGAGAGAGGUGGUCCGCCACAACAUUUUCUGUCCCUUUCUUAUCUUUGAAUUCCAAGUCAAAUUCCUGCAAAAGUAACACCCAACGAAUUAGUCUAGCUUUUGCAUCUUUCUUUGUGAGAAGAUUUUAAGAGCAGCAUGAUCUGUGAAUAUAAUUAUUUUACAACCAAUGAGAUAAGAUCGAAAUUUUUCCAAUGCAAACACUACUGCUAGCAUUUCUUUUCAGUAGUUGAAUAGUUCAACUGUGCAUCAUUCAAGGUCAUACUAGCAUAGUAAAUAACAUGGGAAUUCGAUCAACUCUUUGUCCUAAUACUGCUCCUACUGCAUAAUCAGAUGCAUCACACAUGAGCUCAAAUGGUAAGCUCCAGUUUGGGGCCUGAAUGAUGGGUGAUGAUCAACAAUUGCUUUAAUUUUUCAAAAGCCAUAAGACAUGAAUCAUUAAAGAUAAAAGGUACAUCCUUAGCAAGUAAAUUGCAUAAGGGUCUAGAAACUUUGCUAAAAUCUUUAAUGAAACGUCUAUAGAAACCAGCAUGCCAAGGAAAGAUCUUACUUCUCUGACUGUUUUAGGUGGAGGAAGAUUAGAAAUGAGAUCCACCUUGGCUUUGUCAACCUCAAUACCUUUGCUCGAAAUGAUGUGACCGAGAACAAUACCUUGUUUUACCAUAAAAUGACACUUCUCCCAAUUUAAGACUAAGUUCUUCUCGUACAUCUCUGCAGAACUAGCGUUAGAUGAUGUAAACAUUGAUCAAACGAGUCACCAAAGACAGAAAAUCAUCCAUAAAGACUUCAAGGAAUCGUUCAACCAUAUCAGAAAAAAUGCUCAACAUGCAUCGUUGAAAUGUAGCAGGUGCAUUACAUAAUCCAAAUGGCAUUCUCCUAUAUGCAAAUGUGCCAAAAGGGCAAGUGAAAGUAGUUUUCUCUUGAUCUUUUGGUGCUAUGGGAAUCUGAUUAUAUCCUGAGUAGCCAUCUAGAAAGCAAUAAAAUUCAUGGCCUGCUAAUCUAUCAAGCAUUUGAUCAAUAAAUGGUAAAGGAAAAUGGUCUUUACGUGUGACAGAAUUCAACUUUCUAUAAUCAAUGCAUACACGCCAUCCUGUAGUUACUCUAGUUGGUAUCAAUUCAUUAUCAGCAUUGGUAACUACUGUGACUCCUGACUUUUUGGGGACAACUUGUACAGGACUGACCCAUGAACUAUCAGAAAUUGGGUAAAUGAUACCUGCAUCUAAUAGCUUAAGGACUUCAGUUCUAACAACUUCUUUCAUAUUAGGAUUUAACCGACGUUGCAUUCCCUAGUAGUUUUAGCAUUUUCAUCAAGGUGAAUGUAAUGCAUGCAGUCUACUGGGUUUAUACCUUUAAUGUCUGCUAUGGUCCAUCCUAAUGCUCCUUUGUGCUCUUUUAAAACAUCCAACAACUUACCUUUUUGUUCGUCAUUUAGGGAUGAUGAGAUGAUUACCGGCAGAGUACUUUCUUCUCCCAAAAAUGCAUAUUCCAGAGUGUUGGGUAAUGGUUUGAGCUCGAGUUUCGGUGGUGAUUCUGAUGAUGGAAUGAGUUUCUUCUCUGAUGGUGCUAGUUGUUCAACUCUUGACUUCCAUUUAUUAGUGUCCAUGGAUGGUGCUGAGUCAAGCAGGGCGUUGACCUCAUCGACCGAUCUAUCAAUAUCAAAAUCCAAACCAAAGUGAGUUAAGCAUGUCUGUAAAGGAUCAUCACUAAGGUUUGAAAGAAAAGUAUUAUCAACUAUUGUUUCUAUUAAAUCCACAUCAACAAUUCCAUCAUCUGCACUGUGAGGUUGUUUGGCAAUGUUGAAAAUAUUUAGCUCCAUAGUCAUGUUGCCGAAGGACAACUGCAUAUUUCCAGUCCUGCAUUGAAUGUGAGCAUCCGCAGUCGCCAAGAAAGGUCGGCCUAGAAUAAUGGGGAUGUGCUUCCUUGAAUCCUGUAUUGGUUGAGUGUCAAUUACAAUGAAAUCAACAGGAAAAUAAAACUUGUCUACCUGGAUAAGCACGUCCUCCAUAAUACACGAGGUAUUUUCGUGGACCGAUCUGCAAGCUGUAACACCACUGGAGUUGGGUGUAAUUCUCCCAGUCCAAGUUUCACGAAUACUGAAUAAGGCAACAGAUUUACACUAGCUCCUAAAUCCAACAAACGCAUUCUCAAUUGUGUGGUUCCCUAUACUACAUGAGAUAGUGGGGGAGCCUGGGUCUUUGCAUUUUAGAGGAAUUUUAUGUUGGAGUAUAGAACUAACAUUUUCUGUUAAAAAUGCCUUCUUUUGAACAUGCAUAUUUCUCUUUUUAGUACAAAGGUCUUUAAGAAACUUGGCAUAAGAUGGAACUUGUUUAAUAGCAUCAAGUAAAGGGAUGUUAACACUUACCUGUUUGAAGAUUUCGAGAAUCUCACCUGUGGAUUUUCCCUUUUUCCCUUUAGCUAACCUCUGAGGAAAUGGAGCUUUCGGAACGUAUUCUCGUGGGUGGUUUCUUCUUUCUCCUCCGGUGGUGAGUCUUCAACAUUCACAGGUACAUUUGAUUUUCUUUUGUCACCGGCAUCUCCACUUUGUUGUCGACUUCCUUUCCUUUUCGCAAGGUCAUGACUGCUUUGACCUCUCCAUGCUGUUGUGGUGAACUGGUACUUGCUUCAUGUACUCCUUUAGGAUUAGGCACUGGUUGACUUGGAAAUUUUCCUUUCUCAACAGUCAUUGCCAAGGUCUGAACUGAAGAAGCAAGUUGUCCCACCAUCCUUCUCGAGGCUUGAAACUGAAUUGAGCUUGUGAGUUGAAGCCUGCUCUCAACUCAUUUCGUAGUCCAUCAAUGGUGCGGUUCUGUUGCUCAAUCGUGGAGUGAGUAACAUUCUUGAAAUUCUGGAAUGCAUCCUCCAUGGUCUGGGUUGAGAGUAGUUCUGGUUCUGAUUGUAUGGUCUGAAUGGUGGCUGAGAGGCUUGAGGAUUUUGAGGAAUUUGUUGCAUUGGUGGAGCUGGAGCUGCUGGUCCAUUCUGUUGGAAUCCUUGAGACCAUGAAAUAUUGGGGUGGUCUCUCCAUCCAGGGUUAUAUGUGUUGGAGUAUGGGUUGUAAUUCGAUGGUUUUCUCAUUACACCUAUGGCAUUGGCUUGAUCGGAGUAUGAGUCAUGGUCAUGUGGUUCUGUUGAUUUAGCAGUCGAUAACGAUGCUAUUUGUCGAGCGAGACCUUCAACCAUCUCCUUGACUUCUUUGAUUCCCGAAGUUGACUCGCCAAUUUGAACCUCAUUUACUCCCUUAAUUCUUCUAGUAUUCCUUAGUGAUCGACUCCGUUGUUGGGAAUUAUCCGCUUGUCGUUGGAAGAAUUCCCAAAUUUCUGAUGCACUUUUUGACAUUAGCUCUCCUCCACUUGUUGCCAUUAGCCAUUCUUGCACAUUCGGGUAGUAAUCCCUCCAAAAAGUAUUGGCAUUGGUGCCAUUUUUUCGUACCCAUGAUGUGGACACUUCAAGAGUAGCCCAUUGAAUCGCUCCCAAGUUUCGAAAAACUGCUCGUCCUCUCUUUGUGUAAACUCUGAAAUUUCCCUGCGAAUAGAAUUGGUUUUAUGCACUGGGAAAUAUUUAUUCAAAAAUUUAGUUACCAUUUGUUCCCAUGAUGAAAUGCUAUUAGCAGGCAACGUAUUUAACCAUGAACGAGCUCUAUCCUUUAAAGAAAAUGGGAAUAGUCUGAGUUUAACAUCAUCGUCUGAAAAAUUUUCAUAUUUAAAAGUUUGACAAAUGGUAUGAAAAUCAUUCAGAUGAUUAUAUGGGUCCUCAUUUUCUAAGCCAUAGAAUGUGGGGAGACAAUUUAGCACACUAGGUUUUAGUUCAAAGUUCCUAGCAGCUACAUUUGGGUAUCUAAUACAUGAUGUGCUUAAAUUAGCUAAGGGACUAAAAUAGUCCUUAAAUGGCCUCUCCUGUGGUGCUUGUAAAUCCAUUCCAAUUUUAUUUUUAAUGUGUUUUUGUGUGCGAAGUGUUUUUUCUAAUUCAAGGUCUAUAGGUUCAAGAUUAGGUAAUAAUGACCUACGACCAUGCAUGCAAAAUAAAAUGAAAAUAAAAAUAAAGAUGCAAACAAAACAAAAAAUAAAGAUGGGAACAAAACAAAUUAAAAUAAAUAAGAGGGAGAAAUUACGAUACUAACCUUAUUGCGCUAUUACAACCUUUCUAUAAAAAUACACAAAAAACAAAUACGUGAAAUAAAUUAACUAAAAAUUAAAUUAAUAAAAUAAACAAAAAUUACAAAGAAAAAAAAAUAAAUUGAAAAUUAAAUUACAGAAUUUUAAAGAAGAGAAAAAGAAAAGAAAUACUAACCUUUAAAUGUAGAUUUACUCUUUUUUUUUUCUUUUUUUUUUUAAUAAGAAAAAAAAAAUACAAGAAAACAAAUAAAAGAAAUUAUUCACAAAAAUUAAUUUUAUGAAUUAAAAUUACUUACCUCCCCGGCAACGGCGCCAAAAACUUGUUGUGCAAAUUUUAAUGUACUCGCAAGCGCACGAAUCUAUUGUAAUAUAGACUAAUGGUGACGAGUGUCGAUCCCACGAGGAGGUGGAUUUUAAUUGUGUAUAAAAUUAAUUUUGUAAAUGGGUGAUUGGAUUUGUGGUGGAAAUGAUUUGGAAUAUGCUAAAACUUAAAUUAAAAUGGCGAGAAUAAAUUGAAGAGAAUUCUAUUGAAAUGACGUACUUGGGUAUCUGGAUCCGUAUCAACAUGCAUCAUGGGCUAAAUAUUCCUUAUUAAUACCAAUUAAAUCAUGAGGGGGGAAUCCACACCUCAUGAACCACGCUCUAAUCAAUAUGGUGCUAAGGGCUUAUCGUGCCAAAUAAUAAUAACCUUAUACCAGAGAGCCGGUGUAACCAAGGCGGUAUCUAGACAAGAUCAGUAUUAUUUGUCGACGAUAAGUCAAAUCAUCCACAAAAAACUAGAGGGGAAAAGAAAAUAAAUUUACCAAAUAAAGCCCAUGACACAUGUUGAGACUUCACCUUCAACCCAAGCUUGAAAAGAAAUUAGCUACUCAUAAUUGAACUAGGGGCAAAAAGGGAAUUUAUUAAAAUACAAAGAAAAUACAAGAUGGAGAAGGAAUUACAGAAAAUGGAUCCCAAAAAUGGAUUCAGAGAUAUCAAAUUAGGGGGAGAGGCCCCCUUUUUAUAGAUACAUGGAGUAAAUCAUGGCCAUCGGAUUAAAAACAGUUUGGACGCUCAGGAUUGCGCCACGUCAUCAGUCAACAGUCCACGGUUUGACCACGCGGAUGAACAGUAACACGGUUUGACCCGGAUGAACAGUAACGUGGUUUGGUUGAAAAUAAUCCUGUGUGAUGCAUGCACUGUACACGAGAUUUUUCGUCCACUGAUAUGCUGCCACGUCACCAUUAACAGUACAUAAGAAUUUUAGCCCAACAGGAUCGUGACACCUCAUCAGUCAAUGCCACAUCAUCGGUCAAUGCCACGUCAUCGGUCAAUGCCACGUCAUCGAUCCGUCUAUGUGAACAGUGUCGUGAACAGUAACGUAGACAGUACCGUAUACGUGAAUAGUACCGUACAUGUGAAUAGUGCCAUUUUUCCUUUUAUGCUCCUCCUAAGGUUUUCGACCGUCCUGAGUUCAAAAGUGAUGUCCGUUUUGCCGUCUGAUCUCUCCUUUAUUGUGAAAUGACUAUACUGCCCCUAAAAUACAUAAAAUACUUAAUUAAAAUAACACACACGUAAUUACAUCACAAGAAGGUUAAAUACAUAAAAGUAAGGGUUGUUAGUAAGACUUGAAAUGUAAAAUGACGGUUUUCUCCUUUAUAAAUAUGUAUUUUCUAACACUCAACACACCCCCCAACCAGCUUAUUGCUAGUCCCUAGCAAAUAAAGCGAAAACAAAAUUCAAAUUCAAAAUGAUUUUUUUUUUUUUUUUUUUUUAGAAACACUCGUGUUUAUUCAAUCAGAUUAAUGAUAGCAAUCAAAUAAAAGUAUAAGCAUUAUCUCCAGUCUAAAGCAACAUCACACCCACAUCAACCAUCCACAUGAAUUAGCCCAGUAGACUUUGUUAUAGCUACUUUCAAGAAUGACAUGUCAAACCCCAAAAUCUCACUGGAAGUAGUGACACUCUCACAAAGAAAUUAAAACCCAAUAAACAUAGUCACUCCAAUGAAUGGUAAUUGAGAGAGAAAAUAAUAAAGAAAUGAUAUCACAUGCUCUCACCAAGAUUAAAUAAAUAUGCCCUCAGCUUAGAAAUAAUACGAUCUCAAGUCAAAUAAAAUGUUAGUCAACCCACUUUAUUUAUCUUUUUUUUUUUUUUAAUUAUGCAUCACUACAUCUUUUUAGCCCAUAUAACUAGCUUCUACUUCAAACUAUAGUUCCCUAAAAUCAAGAAGGACUUUUAUUAGGACGUAACGUAGGCUAGGGAUAUGGCUAACAAAGAAGGGAAAUAAGGAAAACAAAGUGUAUGUUUGAGAAAAAUGCAGAGAAUAUUUUUUUUUUUUUUUUUGGAAGUUGCAAGGUGGAUUUCACCUAUUAUUGUUAUUUUUAUUCUUUUGAAACAACAAUUUUUUUCUUUUUUUUUUUUUUUUUCAGCAACAACAAUUUUUUCUUUUUUUUUUUUGAACUAGGCAUAACUUCACUAUGCAAAAUGUUUAUUUACAUUUUUCUCAAACAUAAAUAGGUGAUGGAAUUUGUAAGAUAUUGGGUAAUACUCCAAAUCGGAGUGGGUCAAGAUGAUAAGUUAAACAAAGAAAAGUUUUUUUUUUUUUUUUAUUUAAAAGGCUCAAAUGGGUUAACUAUGGAUACUUGAUAAGAGGGAUGGCUAGAAAGGCUCAAACGGAUCAAAGAUGGCCUUUCCAUCGUCUUUUAGGGCUCUAAAUAAUCAUCCAUAUCUACUAGUUAGAUGGGCCUCCCAAUGUAGCAACACACACAUUUUUUUUUUUUUUUUUUUUUAAGGCUUAACUCAAAAGAAAUCUAGAGAUCGUGUAUACAAUAAUAAACUGUUAAGCAUUAUAAAGAAUGGGCAAAAGGGUUACUCUCCAAGAAAAAUGAUAGGCUCAAAAACUCACUUGGUACUUAUUAUGACAUGUUCAUUCCUUCAAGCAACUCAUAUUUGUCUCCGACAUCAACAUGUAGAGUAGCAAACAUAAUGUAACAUCACUUAAGACCAAAGAUAAUACAAAUACUAAAAUUUGAAAUUAAUCAUGUCAUCUAAAGUUAAAACAAAUCACACAAUUUUUUCUUUUUUUUUUUUUAAACAACAUUCUACCCCCCAACCUAUUCUAAACAUGAAAGGAAAAUAUGCAUGCAGAAAUGUGAAAAUGAUGCAUAAAAACUAAUUAGAAAAGUUACACGUAAAAUGAUAGAAAACGAAAAUGAAAUUUUGUUUUUUUUUUUUUUAAUUUUUUUUUUAAACGAUGAAGAUGCGUUUCUAGAGGCACUACACUCCAUAUUCAGCUAUCUUCGACUCAAAAGUUGGAAAAUAUAUAUUUAUAAGGAGAAAUUAAAAAGAAGAAGAAAAAUGAACAUCAAAACAUAAUAAAGAAAAAGAAAAUGUUUGAAUUUUUUAGUUUUUUUUAGUUUUUUAGUUUUUUUAAAUUUUUUUUUUUUUUUUAAACGAUGAAGAUGCGUUUCUAGAGUCACUACACUCCAUAUUCAGCCAUCUUCAACACAAAAAGUUAGCAACAGUUAGUUUCUACAACAAAAAAUCAGUAAAAACUUAACCAAGAUUCCACAAUUGUCGACUAUUCCCUCCCCUCAACCAGAACGAAACAUUGUCCUCAAUGUUUUAAAGGAAAGAAGUAGAGUUUAGAAGACAUCACCUGGGUGGUGCAACACAAAAGAAUAUAUUUACAGGCGGAGAGUUAAAUCUAAUUUGUACUUCUUACUGCGGCUACUGUUACCAUCAUUAUUUGGGCGCUCCAACACAAAGGUCCAGGGGUCUGGCUCCGGUUUAUAAGCUUGUAACAGAUCAAGUAGUUCAUUAGCAGUGUGAGCACAAAUAAAAAGUUUUUUUACAUUAGAAGGAAUGAAAUAGUUUUUUAUUGCAUGGUUAAGAAAUGCGAUAAAGCCAUCAUAAAAGUUAUUGACAUUUAACAAACCGAUGGGUUUCUGGUGGAUGUGCAGAUGGGCCCAAGAUGCUAGUGUCAUAAGUGCCUCUAGUGUUGCAAGAUCUCCUGGAAGGAAAAUAAAAGCAUCAGCAUGAUUAAGCAUUUCAGUUAUUCUUUCUUGCAUACCUGAGACGACUAACUCUUCUCCAGUUGAUGAGUCAGACGAACUGCCCAAUGGUUUUAGGACUCUUGGGAUGAUGCCUAACACUUGACUUCCUCUGAUAAAAGCUGCUUCUGAGACCAUUUUUGAUAACCCUCGGUUACCUCCUCCAUACACCAAAUGUAAUUUUCUCGCUGCUAUGCUUCGACCAAGAUCUAUGGCUGCCUCCACGAACUCUUUAUGUUUGCCAUAGGUAAAUCCAGAAAGCACACAAAUGUUCUUGAAUUGUCUAUUGGGAGUAGCUGCCAUUGUGAUACUUCUCAAAAAUAAUUUGUGAGUGCUUGACAAAAGAUAAAUCACAUUUAAGAAUCUUGGUGACAAUGGAUCACAGCUGUGAAUGAGGUAACAUGUCAGUGUCAAAUAACGCGUAAAGCACGUGGCUCGCGAGUCAAAAAGGAAACAGUAAAAAGGAAAAAGCAAACAGUAAUAAAAUUAUUAAAGACAAUAAUGCAAACAAUAAAACAACAGUGAAAUGAAAUAAAAUAACAGUAAAGUAAAAGGAUAUUUACACGUAGUUGCGACUGUGGCUCACAUCUUCCUCUGGUUUUACGUCCAGAAACGGCUUGAACGCCCUCUAUGGGUCGAGGAUGGGCUUCCCAUCCAGUUUUCUUAUAAACUGGCAAACAGGGUCGUUUAUAGUCAGAUUCCCGAGACGAUAUCGUGCAUGCUCUUUUUGGAAUAAUGGCCUUAACUGGAGAAUCGCUCCUUGCACAUAUCCACUGGGAUGCGUUUCAAGAGACAAAAGGAUAUCAUCCAAUGACUCCUUAUUCAAGCUAUCCCUAAUGAAUUGAAUCUUAUCUUCCCUGUUAUCAGACACCAUUCCUAAAGAACAUGGGUUUCUAUCGCAACUCAUUCUGGCACACUUGUGACAAGCAACAGAAAUUCUUCGAGCUCGUCGUUUUCUUGCGUAAUUUCCUUUACCACAACCAGGCAUGUAUGCAAUAAAUUUAGGAGGUAACUCACCUGCCAAUCGUACUUUAGCCUCGAUUAACCAACGGAUGUCUGCAGGUAUGUUAUUCCUCAUGAGCAAUCGCAUGCGUUCAGACCGGGCUUUAUAGAUUGUAAGGAGGGCAUUCUGAGGAAGUGAAGGGAAUCGCUUGUGAAGCUUCGCUAGAAUCUCGUUUCUGUCCAUACCUUCGCCUCAGAAUAUCAGUUAUUAUGGGAAACUGAAGUUAACCGACUUGAUUGUCACGGAGUACCGUUAUCUGCCACUUCACCGGGGUAACAAACUAAAGCACACAAACAGAAAAACAAAAAACACACAAAGAAAAUUAAAAUCGUCCUCUUAUUGAAUUUACCUCAAGCUCCAACUGGAUGUCGUAAACACUUCUCUCAAUGUCUCUGAGUUGGCGUUCUAAACCCUCAACAUAGGCUACUAACUCUGGUGGUUGUAGAGCCCAAAUGCGUUGUGUUUUACAAAAUAGAAUCUGCCUUUUGAGAUGAGUUUUGACACGUUGAAGUGGUUUAAGAAUGUUCAGGAGGAACGGUCUAAGUAUGAGACUCAUGAUUAAAAAUGAUAAGAGAAAACUUAAUGGUAAAAUAAACACACUUAUGCAAAAACAAUUUCAAUUAGCAAAAGAAUAAUAAUAAAAAGAAAUAAAGAAAAAUCAAAUUAACGAAAAGAGAAAAAAAAAAUCAAUUCAAAUUUAGUGGGUCACUCAAAUUUAUUUCGAUGUUUUCUCCAUGUGGUUGGUACUCUAGAUAUGGCUUUAAUCUUUGACCAUUAACUUUAUACGUGACACCGUUCUUUGGGUCCUUAAUUUCAAUUGCCCCAUGUGGAAAAACAGUAUGUACAAUAAAUGGGCCAGACCAACGAGAGCGUAACUUACCUGGGAAUAGGUGCAAGCGAGAAUUGAAUAAAAGCACUUUCUGACCUGGAGUGAACGAUUUUCUCAUAAUUUGCUUAUCAUGGAAGACUUUCAUUCGUUGCUUGUAAAUCUUGGCAUUUUCGUAUGCAUCAUUGCGAAUUUCUUCAAGUUCUGCCAGCUGUAAUCUUCUUUCUGAGCUGGCUUGCUGCAUGUCAAAGUUGAAUUUCUUGAUGGCCCAAUAUGCACGAUGCUCGAGUUCCACAGGUAGGUGGCAAGCUUUUCCAUACACUAGCCUGUAGGGUGACAUCCCAAUCGGGGUCUUGAAAGCCGUUCUAUAUGCCCAUAAUGCAUCAUCAAGUCGUAAUGACCAAUCUUUCCUGUCUGGCCUCACCGUCUUUUCUAAUAUGUGCUUUAUUUCUCGAUUGGAGAUCUCAACUUGGCCACUGGUUUGCGGAUGAUACGGGGUCGCCACUUUGUGUGUGAUUGAAUACUUUGUCAAAAGAGCCUUGAAUGCUUUGUUACAAAAGUGGGCACCACCAUCACUGAUUAUCGCUCGAGGGAAUCCAAAGCGCGAAACAAUAUUGCUUUUCAAAAAUCCUAUCACCACUUUGUGAUCAUUGGUUCUGCAUGGAAUUGCUUCCACCCAUUUCGAUACGUAGUCAACACCAACCAAUAUGUAUUGAUGGCCAAAAGAAGGGGGAAAGGGUCCCAUGAAGUCGAUACCCCAUACGUCAAAAAUCUCAACCACUAAAAUUGGAUUUAGUGGCAUCAUGUUCCUUCGUGUAAUGCUCCCCAUUCGUUGACACCUAUCACAUGAAGAACAGAAAGUGUAAGCAUCUCGAAAUAUAGUUGGCCAAUAGAAACCACAUUGUAAAACUUUAGUCGCUGUUUUCUUAGCACUGAAAUGGCCUCCACAAGCUUGUUCAUGGCAGAAUGAAAGGAUAUUCUGAAUUUCACUUUCAGGGACACAUCGUCUAACAAUUUGGUCUGCACAAUACUUGAACAAAUAUGGGUCAUCCCAAAAGAAAUUCUUUAUUUCCGCAAAGAAUUUAGCCUUGUCUUGCUUGGUCCAAUGCUCUGGAAGCUUACCUGUAACAAGAUAAUUAACUAUAUCAGCAUACCAAGGUAAUACUUCCACACUCAUUAAUUGUUCAUCUGGAAAUGACUCAUUUAAUAUUAAUGGCUCUGUAAUUGUGUCAAAAUGGAGACGAGAGAGGUGGUCCGCCACAACAUUUUCUGUCCCUUUCUUAUCUUUGAAUUCCAAGUCAAAUUCCUGCAAAAGUAACACCCAACGAAUUAGUCUAGCUUUUGCAUCUUUCUUUGUGAGAAGAUAUUUAAGAGCAGCAUGAUCUGUGAAUAUAAUUAUUUUACAACCAAUGAGAUAAGAUCGAAAUUUUUCCAAUGCAAACACUACUGCUAGCAUUUCUUUUUCAGUAGUUGAAUAAUUCAACUGUGCAUCAUUCAAGGUCAUACUAGCAUAGUAAAUAACGUUGGGAAUUCGAUCAACUCUUUGUCCUAAUACUGCUCCUACUGCAUAAUCAGAUGCAUCACACAUGAGCUCAAAUGGUAAGCUCCAGUUUGGGGCCUGAAUGAUGGGUGAUGAUGUCAACAAUUGCUUUAAUUUUUCAAAAGCCAUAAGACAUGAAUCAUUAAAGAUAAAAGGUACAUCCUUAGCAAGUAAAUUGCAUAAGGGUCUAGAAACUUUGCUAAAAUCUUUAAUGAAACGUCUAUAGAAACCAGCAUGCCCAAGGAAAGAUCUUACUUCUCUGACUGUUUUAGGUGGAGGAAGAUUAGAAAUGAGAUCCACCUUGGCUUUGUCAACCUCAAUACCUUUGCUCGAAAUGAUGUGACCGAGAACAAUACCUUGUUUUACCAUAAAAUGACACUUCUCCCAAUUUAAGACUAAGCUCUUCUCGGUACAUCUCUGCAGAACUAGCGUUAGAUGAUGUAAACAUUGAUCAAACGAGUCACCAAAGACAGAAAAAUCAUCCAUAAAGACUUCAAGGAAUCGUUCAACCAUAUCAGAAAAAAUGCUCAACAUGCAUCGUUGAAAUGUAGCAGGUGCAUUACAUAAUCCAAAUGGCAUUCUCCUAUAUGCAAAUGUGCCAAAAGGGCAAGUGAAAGUAGUUUUCUCUUGAUCUUUUGGUGCUAUGGGAAUCUGAUUAUAUCCUGAGUAGCCAUCUAGAAAGCAAUAAAAUUCAUGGCCUGCUAAUCUAUCAAGCAUUUGAUCAAUAAAUGGUAAAGGAAAAUGGUCUUUACGUGUGACAGAAUUCAACUUUCUAUAAUCAAUGCAUACACGCCAUCCUGUAGUUACUCUAGUUGGUAUCAAUUCAUUAUCAGCAUUGGUAACUACUGUGACUCCUGACUUUUUGGGGACAACUUGUACAGGACUGACCCAUGAACUAUCAGAAAUUGGGUAAAUGAUACCUGCAUCUAAUAGCUUAAGGACUUCAGUUCUAACAACUUCUUUCAUGUUAGGAUUUAACCGACGUUGCAUCUCCCUAGUAGUUUUAGCAUUUUCAUCAAGGUGAAUGUAAUGCAUACAGUCUACUGGGUUUAUACCUUUAAUGUCUGCUAUGGUCCAUCCUAAUGCUCCUUUGUGCUCUUUUAAAACAUCCAACAACUUACCUUUUUGUUCGUCAUUUAGGGAUGAUGAGAUGAUUACCGGCAGAGUACUUUCUUCUCCCAAAAAUGCAUAUUCCAGAGUGUUGGGUAAUGGUUUGAGCUCGAGUUUUGGUGGUGAUUCUGAUGAUGGAAUGAGUUUCUUCUCUGAUGGUGCUAGUUGUUCAACUCUUGACUUCCAUUUAUUAGUGUCCAUGGAUGGUGCUGAGUCAAGCAGGGCGUUGACCUCAUCGACCGAUCUAUCAAUAUCAAAAUCCAAACCAAAGUGAGUUAAGCAUGUCUGUAAAGGAUCAUCACUAAGGUUUGAAAGAAAAGUAUUAUCAACUAUUGUUUCUAUUAAAUCCACAUCAACAAUUCCAUCAUCUGCACUGUGAGGUUGUUUGGCAAUGUUGAAAAUAUUUAGCUCCAUAGUCAUGUUGCCGAAGGACAACUGCAUAUUUCCAGUCCUGCAUUGAAUGUGAGCAUCCGCAGUCGCCAAGAAAGGUCGGCCUAGAAUAAUGGGGAUGUGCUUCCUUGAAUCCUGUAUUGGUUGAGUGUCAAUUACAAUGAAAUCAACAGGAAAAUAAAACUUGUCUACCUGGAUAAGCACGUCCUCCAUAAUACCACGAGGUAUUUUCGUGGACCGAUCUGCAAGCUGUAACACCACUGGAGUUGGGUGUAAUUCUCCCAGUCCAAGUUUCACGAAUACUGAAUAAGGCAACAGAUUUACACUAGCUCCUAAAUCCAACAACGCAUUCUCAAUUGUGUGGUUCCCUAUACUACAUGAGAUAGUGGGGGAGCCUGGGUCUUUGCAUUUUAGAGGAAUUUUAUGUUGGAGUAUAGAACUAACAUUUUCUGUUAAAAAUGCCUUCUUUUGAACAUGCAUAUUUCUCUUUUUAGUACAAAGGUCUUUAAGAAACUUGGCAUAAGAUGGAACUUGUUUAAUAGCAUCAAGUAAAGGGAUGUUAACACUUACCUGUUUGAAGAUUUCGAGAAUCUCACCUGUGGAUUUUCCCUUUUUCCCUUUAGCUAACCUCUGAGGAAAUGGAGCUUUCGGAACGUAUUCUCGUGGGUUGGUUUCUUCUUUCUCCUCCGGUGGUGAGUCUUCAACAUUCACAGGUACAAUUUGAUUUUCUUUUGUCACCGGCAUCUCCACUUUGUUGUCGACUUCCUUUCCUUUUCGCAAGGUCAUGACUGCUUUGACCUCUCCAUGCUGUUGUGGUGAACUGGUACUUGCUUCAUGUACUCCUUUAGGAUUAGGCACUGGUUGACUUGGAAAUUUUCCUUUCUCAACAGUCAUUGCCAAGGUCUGAACUGAAGAAGCAAGUUGUCCCACCAUCUUCUCGAGGCUUGAAACUGAUUGAGCUUGUGAGUUGAAGCCUGCUCUCAACUCAUUUCGUAGUCCAUCAAUGGUGCGGUUCUGUUGCUCAAUCGUGGAGUGAGUAACAUUCUUGAAAUUCUGGAAUGCAUCCUCCCAUGGUCUGGGUUGAGAGUAGUUCUGGUUCUGAUUGUAUGGUCUGAAUGGUGGCUGAGAGGCUUGAGGAUUUUGAGGAAUUUGUUGCAUUGGUGGAGCUGGAGCUGCUGGUCCAUUCUGUUGGAAUCCUUGAGACCAUGAAAUAUUGGGGUGGUCUCUCCAUCCAGGGUUAUAUGUGUUGGAGUAUGGGUUGUAAUUCGAUGGUUUUCUCAUUACACCUAUGGCAUUGGCUUGAUCGGAGUAUGAGUCAUGGUCAUGUGGUUCUGUUGAUUUAGCAGUCGAUAACGAUGCUAUUUGUCGAGCGAGACCUUCAACCAUCUCCUUGACUUCUUUGAUUCCCGAAGUUGACUCGCCAAUUUGAACCUCAUUUACUCCCUUAAUUCUUCUAGUAUUCCUUAGUGAUCGACUCCGUUGUUGGGAAUUAUCCGCUUGUCGUUGGAAGAAUUCCCAAAUUUCUGAUGCACUUUUUGACAUUAGCUCUCCUCCACUUGUUGCCAUUAGCCAUUCUUGCACAUUCGGUAGUAAUCCCUCCAAAAAGUAUUGGCAUUGGUGCCAUUUUUCGUACCCAUGAUGUGGACACUUCAAGAGUAGCCCAUUGAAUCGCUCCCAAGUUUCGAAAAACUGCUCGUCCUCUCUUUGUGUAAACUCUGAAAUUUCCUUGCGAAUAGAAUUGGUUUUAUGCACUGGGAAAUAUUUAUUCAAAAAUUUAGUUACCAUUUGUUCCCAUGAUGAAAUGCUAUUAGCAGGCAAUGUAUUUAACCAUGAACGAGCUCUAUCCUUUAAAGAAAAUGGGAAUAGUCUGAGUUUAACAUCAUCGUCUGAAAAAUUUUCAUAUUUAAAAGUUUGACAAAUGGUAUGAAAAUCAUUCAGAUGAUUAUAUGGGUCCUCAUUUUCUAAGCCAUAGAAUGUGGGGAGACAAUUUAGCACACUAGGUUUUAGUUCAAAGUUCCUAGCAGCUACAAUUGGGUAUCUAAUACAUGAUGUGCUUAAAUUAGCUAAGGGACUAAAAUAGUCCUUAAAUGGCCUCUCCUGUGGUGCUUGUAAAUCCAUUCCAAUUUUAUUUUUAAUGUGUUUUUGUGUGCGAAGUGUUUUUUCUAAUUAAAGGUCUAUAGGUUCAAGAUUAGGUAAUAAUGACCUACGACCAUGCAUGCAAAAUAAAAUGAAAAUAAAAAUAAAGAUGCAAACAAAACAAAAAAUAAAGAUGGGAACAAAACAAAUUAAAAUAAAUAAGAGGGAGAAAUUACGAUACUAACCUUAUUGCGCUAUUACAACCUUUCUAUAAAAAUACACAAAAACAAAUACGUGAAAUAAAUUAACUAAAAAUUAAAUUAAUAAAAUAAACAAAAAUUACAAAGAAAAAAAAAUAAAUUGAAAAUUAAAUUACAGAAUUUUAAAGAAGAGAAAAAGAAAAGAAAUACUAACCUUUAAAUGUAGAUUUACUCUUUUUUUUUUCUUUUUUUUUUUAAUAAGAAAAAAAAAAUACAAGAAAACAAAUAAAAGAAAUUAUUCACAAAAAUUAAUUUUAUGAAUUAAAAUUACUUACCUCCCCGGCAACGGCGCCAAAAACUUGUUGUGCAAAUUUUAAUGUACUCGCAAGCGCACGAAUCUAUUGUAAUAUAGACUAAUGGUGACGAGUGUCGAUCCCACGAGGAGGUGGAUUUUAAUUGUGUAUAAAAUUAAUUUUGUAAAUGGGUGAUUGGAUUUGUGGUGGAAAUGAUUUGGAAUAUGCUAAAACUUAAAUUAAAAUGGCGAGAAUAAAUUGAAGAGAAUUCUAUUGAAAUGACGUACUUGGGUAUCUGGAUCCGUAUCAACAUGCAUCAUGGGCUAAAUAUUCCUUAUUAAUACCAAUUAAAUCAUGAGGGGGGAAUCCACACCUCAUGAACCACGCUCUAAUCAAUAUGGUGCUAAGGGCUUAUCGUGCCAAAUAAUAAUAACCUUAUACCAGAGAGCCGGUGUAACCAAGGCGGUAUCUAGACAAGAUCAGUAUUAUUUGUCGACGAUAAGUCAAAUCAUCCACAAAAACUAGAGGGGAAAAGAAAAUAAAUUUACCAAAUAAAGCCCAUGACACAUGUUGAGACUUCACCUUCAACCCAAGCUUGAAAAGAAAUUAGCUACUCAUAAUUGAACUAGGGGCAAAAAGGGAAUUUAUUAAAAUACAAAGAAAAUACAAGAUGGAGAAGGAAUUACAGAAAAUGGAUCCCAAAAAUGGAUUCAGAGAUAUCAAAUUAGGGGGGAGAGGCCCCCUUUUUAUAGAUACAUGGAGUAAAUCAUGGCCAUCGGAUUAAAAACAGUUUGGACGCUCAGGAUUGCGCCACGUCAUCAGUCAACAGUCCACGGUUUGACCACGCGGAUGAACAGUAACACGGUUUGACCCGGAUGAACAGUAACGCGGUUUGGUUGAAAAUAAUCCUGUGUGAUGCAUGCACCGUACACGAGAUUUUUCGUCCACUGAUAUGCUGCCACGUCACCAUUAACAGUACAUAAGAAUUUUAGCCCAACAGGAUCGUGACACCUCAUCAGUCAAUGCCACAUCAUCGGUCAAUGCCACGUCAUCGGUCAAUGCCACGUCAUCGAUCCGUCUAUGUGAACAGUGUCGUGAACAGUAACGUAGACAGUACCGUAUACGUGAAUAGUACCGUACAUGUGAAUAGUGCCAUUUUUCCUUUUAUGCUCCUCCUAAGGUUUUCGACCGUCCUGAGUUCAAAAGUGAUGUCCGUUUUGCCGUCUGAUCUCUCCUUUAUUGUGAAAUGACUAUACUGCCCCUAAAAUACAUAAAAUACUUAAUUAAAAUAACACACACGUAAUUACAUCACAAGAAGGUUAAAUACAUAAAAGUAAGGGUUGUUAGUAAGACUUGAAAUGUAAAAUGACGGUUUUCUCCUUUAUAAAUAUGUAUUUUCUAACACUCAACAAUUAUCACAUGAUAAGUGAUGAACACCGCAAAAAACAAAAACAGAAAACAAAAUCCAUACAAAAAUAUCAUAAUACAUAUGUAAACUAAUAAAAUAAUUAAAAAGUAAUGGAUUUAAAAAAAAUGAAAUUAGUUAAAAGCGAUCAUGUGAAGUGAUAUAAAUGUGACACUAGAUUGUUUUAGAAAAAUUAUUAUUCUAUUAAUUUAUAUGGCUUGAUCAACUAUUUAAUUGAAUUUGAAUAAUAUUAUAUACACUUCAGAAGUAUUUGCAUCAAUUCUUUCUAAACCAAAAUGAGAUAUGACUUUCAUUUGAAGAAUGGUUUUAGGCCCUAUAAUAAAGAAAAUUCCCUAAGAUAUCUGAGCAUUAUUAUUAUCAUUACCACAUCCACCACCACCACCAUCAUCUCCAUAGGAUCAAAUAAUUAAUGGCUGAUCAUAAAAUUUAUUGUUAAACUAUCAUUUUGAGUAAAAUUGAAUGAAAAGAAAAAACAUGAACCCAAACAAACAUACCUCUUCAAGAUACUGCAAAUUGGUUUCAAGUUCAGUACUGUUGACAGUCAAGUUGGGACAGUGCUUAAGGCGUAACUUUUCCAAUGCUGACCAAAUUGAACAAUAAUUUUUUGAACAGAAGCUGAUGAGUUCUGGGAGAUUAUGAAGUGUUAAUUUUCUCAACAAAGGGAGGGCGAGCAUCGUACUUCCAUCUCGGACACUUAUUUCCCCUUCAUUGUGAUCAAACUUUGCUUUGACAAUACAUUCCAGUCUCUUGCAUUCCCUUACAUAGAGACUUUUAAGCUGCUCCAAACUUCGAGCUUGUGACAACGUGAACAUAUAUGUCAACUUGUUGCACCUAUGCACAUUCAAUUUUGUAAGAGUUUGGAGACUGAUCACAUGUUGGGCGGGCGCCUUCCAUAUCCACUUCAGUUCUGGUAAUUGCCACAUAUUUAACUCUGCUAAUCCUGAGAGACUCUUUCCAUGCAGUGACUUAGAGGCAUCCAUUAUGCAUUCUAAAUCUUCGCAAUCGCCGACAUCAAGACAAGUCAACUCAUUUAAGCCCCUUUCAUCUAUGCUUGGCGCAAUAUUGUAACAACCUAUAAUCCCACUUAAAUAAAGAAUUUCCAGUUCUUGAUACAAAGCCGAAAAAAUACCGAGCGAGGUCACUUCAGGAGGGUCAUUCUUAAUUAUUAAGCUCUUUCUCUGACUACCAUAUUUCAUUUUAUCAACAACUUGUUUACCUUUACCCAUGAUGUACAUUUGCAAUUUCGGGAAUGUAAAGUCUUUUGGAAGACAUACAACAGAUCCGUCGGCUUGGGAGUUCAACUCAGCAAGCCUAGCAUUACUUUGUUCUGAACUCAUCCCCUCAACCUCCCAAUUUUUUAUCCGACCAUAAAAUUCUUCUAAUUUUUUUAUCGUAAUGGGAGAAACAGAACCAGUAUCAAUAUAUAGAAGUUUCAAUCUACCAAGUUCAUCCGACAAUUCUUCAGCAAUUUCAAUGGGAGACGACUGGAGAUAAAGAAGUUCAAGUCUCUUCAACUUUCCAAGAAAAAACGCGUCACUCACAUCACACCGAAUCAACUGCAGAACUCGGAGGUUAUUGGCUAGGAAUCGAAGUGAUUUUAGUGAAAGGACUCCAUUUAUUAUAGUAACAACUUUCAAUGCUGGCAUCCCUUCAAAAAAAUUUUCUGGAACUUGCAAUUUGUAGUCACAUAGAGUGUUGUCCAGUCGCAAAAUAUGAAGGUUAGGGCAUACCAAACUACUAGGAAGCUCUUCUUCUUUAUUUCCCAUUACAGAGAUUCCUCUGUAUUGUUCCAGGCCUUCUUCCAUUGCCCGUUCUGCCAAUCCAAUGCCAACUUUACUAAAAAAUUUCUUCUCCACUAGUACUUCUGAGCCUAUCCAUAUGACUACAUCACGAACUAUGUCAUGCAUUUUCACAGAUCUGUCAUUACCAGUGUCUAACAGCAGUGAAGCAGCUUUGAGUCCUUCAAUUGUUCCACGCAGUAGGCUUCUGGCGUGCUCUAUUGAUUCAGCUUGAUACCAAGUCAACCCCACUACAUAUCGAACCAAAUCCUCCAAAUUAAUCUCAUAAUCUUCUGGAAACAGCGAACACAACAAGAAGCAUAACCUGGAAUUGUCAUCAUUCAAAUUGUCGUAACUAAAUUUGAGACAACCGUAAACGUCUCGGUUCUCCAUAUCAAUACCUUCUAUUGCAUAGAGUUUUGCAGCCUUUAGGUUAUGUAGAGUUAGAUCCCAUUCAUGAAAUCCUUUUCCUCUUAGUGCACUUCCAACAGCUUCAAUAGCUAAAGGCAGCCCGUUACAUUGCCCAGCAACUUCUUUGGAAACAUCAUUCAAGGUGGAGUCAUUUGCAUCAAUGCCGGCAUUUUUUUGCAGUAAAGCCAACCCUUCUUCUGCCGUUAGUGUACCCAGUUGAAUCUGCGGGUCACAACACAUGCUUUUACAAACUGACUGCAGGCGAGUGGUUAGAAGGAUUUUACAAAGAUUUUCUCUAUCACCAACAGGAAUACCUAAAUUUUCCUUCAAGUUCAGAUCAUUCCAGACAUCAUCGAUGAUUAUGAGGAUCUUGGUGCUUUUACUGUCAGAAAACAUCGAGCGCAAUCGGUCUGCUCCAUGUUUUUCAUCUUUCUGUUUUAAUUCCCAACCUAAUGAAUUUGCCAGCUCGUUUUGAACAUUUAUUAUGUUUGGAUGCCGAGAUAUAGUGGCUAUCCCCACCUUAUCGAAAUCCUUUUGUUGCCAAAGUUGUUGGCCCACAGAUUUUGCCAAGGUCGUCUUUCCUACACCACCGAGACCAUGCAAUCCCACCAUCUUUGUGCUCUCUUUUUUCAGUGCGUCAAUGAUCUGAUUGCAAGCUGAUUCUGUGGUCUCGUAAGUAGAAGUAAAAUGACUUGGCAAACUUAAUUCUCUCUCUAAUGGUAGAGGUUUAGGAAAGGCAACUGUGUUGAAUUGGCUGCAGUCUUGUAGCAGAUCAGACAACUUGCUAGUCUUCUGUGAUGCUUUUCUACCCAGCCAAUAUCGGCAACACCAAUUAGGACACAAUCCAUGAAGACUACUAUCCUUUUCAUCUAUCUCUGCUUUCAACUUCCAAACAUCGUCCAAUUCUUCGACUCCAUUAUUCAGCCACUCCAUUACAUUUUCAUCGACUACUAUGUCGGGGCAUUUUCGUCGUUCAUCGUCUAUUCUUGUUUUGAUGCCAUCUCGUGCCUUCUUCAACUUAGUUUCUUUAUCCUCAAGUUCUUUAACAAUGCUGUUGAAACAGAACAUAUAGCGAGCUUGGUCAAUGGCUGCAUUCACCAAUAAUUCUUCAACCUUUGAUUUUAAAGCUUCCAUGCUAUUUAUCUGCAAAUAACGAAGUUGAUCUCAGCACGCUAUUAGCAAAACAACGAGGCUUGAUCACCAGACAAAAUGAGAACGUUUAAUUACCUUUUUCUGUACUGUGAAUGGACGUCUAUUAACACCAGCUUUGACCAAUAAGAGCAAAAUGCAAAGGCGGGGCUUUAAGAGUUUCGGUGGCCUUUAGCUGCAAAACAGCAGAUGACAAAUAAGGUAAACGUUCCCAACAAACGUGAUUUACGGUGGAUUAUAUUCAAAUUAGAUUAUUUUAAAAAUUUUUAAAUAAAAGUAUCAAACAACAAAUUAAGCAAAUCUAGAUAAACCUAAAAUUGCAUUGUGCGUUGGUAAAUUAUUUAUUACUCUAUCUUAAUGAUACCUUAUUUGGGAUGGUAAAGAUUGGGGUAAAUUCCCUUUUAUUCUCACGUGUUUAUAGUUAUUGAACAUCCAUGUCACUACUUUUUAAAGAUUGGGGUAAAUUUCCUUUUAUUCGGGUGAAGAAAUUCCCUUUUAAAAAUUACCUAAAACAUUAAUGUCACUACUUUUAUAGCUAUUGAACAUAUCAUUUUAAAUAUAAAAUACUAUUUCUUUCUAAUAUAAAUUAAAAAUCAAACAAAGCUAUCAUGCAACAAAUGAAAAGUAAAGAAUAUUAAUUAGGUUUCAAUGGCACCAAAUAUAAAAUAUAGCGGUUUUAAGUAAUUUUUGUUAUUUUUUAAUGUUCAAUUUAGAAUUGAAUAAUUUGCAUAAUGAAAAUUUGAGGUUUGUAUAAUUUAUAUGAAGAUAAACUGCAAAAUAAGUUUAUAUGCCGAAAUUAAAAUAGUUAUAUAUUAGCAAUCAUAUAAUAAUCAAAAUUUUUAAUAAAAUUUAUUUAAAAAUUGGCCAAUUGUGUUUCAUGAGGAAAACAGAGAGCAUAAUGGACUUAUGUUGGGUCUUGGGAUUGAAAUACUAAGUGGCCGGGAGGUAGGACGGUAGGAAAAUUAAUUUUAUUUUUAAAGUAUGGUCAACAUUAGUGACUUGGAGGUGAUUGCCGUUAAUAAAUUAUCUUUAACUUAAGAAUUAAUACAAACAAAUGGCAAGAAUAAUAUAAUGAAAAUUAAUGUAAUAAAAAUUUGCAUUAAAAGACUUAGAACUUAAAAUUCUCGACCAUUUUUAUCUGUAUGUUUUUAAUCCAACGUGCAAAAUUGGCAUAAAACAAACUAGUACAGCCAUUAAAAGUAAAACAAACGUCAAAUUAAGAGCCUAUGAAACAAUAAGAUCUCGUACCUUCUUCGUUAUAGAUCCUCAAUUACUGCUGAAAGCUUCAGUUAAGAGAGUGGCACAAGGUCGGAGAAAAUUAAAAAGCUGCAUCCAGCAAUAUAAAUAAACAUCAGAUCUAAACAACAUAGCAUAUAUCUAGCUAACUAAACAUCAUCUAUAAGUCAUUGUUCUCUGUCAAAUCUUUCAUUCUUAGAUUAAAAAAAAUUUGAAAUAAUAACUGUUAAGUGAUAUAGGAAGCAGAAGUAACGUACCCAAAAUGAGAGCAGCUAGUUCACAGAUGACAUAUCUGGUGACUGCAAGAGCAUGAAAAAUGAUUGAACUUUGGUAUAAAGGUCUGAGUCAUGUUUCACAAGUUGCUAUUGACUUCGUAGCUUCGCUUUUAUUUAUUAUUAUUAUUAUUUUUUUAAAUUCUAUAUCAGUGAGAAUUGAAAUGAGGAAAGUGAGAUGACACGCAUGCCUUAUCAUCUAUGAUGAGGGGUAAUUUGGUAAAGCUAUUUUAAAAUAAAAAAGUUUAAAAAAAUUUCAAAAAGAAGCUUUGUGUCUAACUGCUCGUAUUUGGGGUAUCUUUCCGGCUGUUGAGAGAAUGAGUUUAAUUAAUUAAAUAUAAGAUUUUCAUUUUUCUUAUUAUAUAUUUCUCUUUAGAAUGAAUUUAAAUCUCAUUCUUAUUAAAUUCAUUCUUUUUAAAUGAAAGUAGAUUUAUCGCCAUAAAUUUUGAGUAUAUUUUACAAUUAAUGUUCAACAUAUCUCUAAACUAUAUUACAAAUAUUUUUAUUUAAAAUCUCAACAGAUUUCAUAACAUAUAGAGAAAAAUAUUUAUAUAUAUUGUAAUGUUCUAAUGAGGGAUCUCUAAAAUUAUUAAGUUAAAAAUAAAUAAAAAAUAAAAAAUACACGUUUUAACAUAUAAUAUAAUAAAAUACAGUGUAUUAAAGUGAAUAGUUUACUUAUUUUUUUAAUUUAUUUCUUAUUUUAAUAAUUUAAAAUAUUUAUUAUUUAAUAAUGAUUAUAUAUAUAUAUAUAUAUAUAUAUAUAUAUAUAUAUAUAAAAUUUUAAAAAAUAAACAAUUUAAGCGAAGCAAAGGACGUUUUGAAGGCUUCUACCAAUUUACCAUUUUGGACUGCAAUGAAGUGAAAACAGUAGACUACCAAUAUACCAUUUUGGAUUGCAAUAAAGUGAAAAUGGGUUACUUUCAAAAAAGAAAAGGUGACAGUGAGUUUUCCAUUUCAUCUUGUCGGUAGGGGUGUCAAAAAAACCCGCCCGAACCGGAUCCGGCCCGGACCCGGCCAAUCCGAUCUGGGCAAAACCCGGACUGCAUAUACUGAAAAAGCGGAUCUGGGUUUCAGAAUUUAAAACCUGGACAUUUCCGGGCACGGUUUCGGGUUCAGCAUAAAAAACCCGGAACCCGAACCCGGUUUUUUAAUAAACUUAAAAAAAAUAUAUAAAAAAAACCAAAAAAAUUAAAACGAGUUACCCAAAUCGCAAAACACAAAUGCCCAAAUCCAAAAAUCCCUAAUUCCCCAGUUACCCAAACCCAAAGGCAUAAGCAGCAACCCUGCCACCGGCUACCCACCGUCACCGUCGGCCAGCACCCACCGUCAGUCCGUCACCGUCGCCCCUCGGCAUCAUCUCUUCUUGUUUGGCAUUUGCUGACUCGGUUUUGCUCGGUUGCGGCUGUGACGUGAGUCGUUCGUGCAGUGCAGUGCAGCCCCCUCCGGCGCCGUCAACGUCAGUGCCACCGUCUCCAACUCUCCAUUGCCACUUUCUCAUCCACCAUCAGUCCAUCACUCUACCAUCACAGCCACCACUACCAGCCUCAGGUAUUGAUUUUUUCCCUCAAAAUUUUGCCUUCCCAGUUGCAUUUUUGCCGAUUCAUAAUCUUUAUAGAAUUACAAUUUACAUCAUUUUGCUUCUCUGUUGCUACUCGUGUUUAUCUUCAACCAAUUUUGUGCAUGGUUGCUGUGAGCCUGUGAUUACUGUUGCUCUUUAUUUUUUUCAGCCAAAUCCUUUUGCCUUUUUUUAAUUUUAUGUUGCAAUGUUAGUUAUGUAAUAAUAAGUUUCAGAGUCCGUUGAAUGACUUUUUAUAAAGAAGCUAAUUAAUGAAACUGGAAAAGGAGAGAAUGGAGGAGAUUGACAUUUACAGGAUGCGAUUAAACAAUUGAAAAGCUAAAAUAUGGCUUAUGGUGACAUUUACACACACACACACACACACACACAAAAUCAAUACUCUCUGUCUCUCUUUUCUGUUCACUUUUCCGUUUCCACACUAAAAUUUGAAAUUUAGUAUAUCUUUGCUAUUGUAACAGCAGAGUAGUGCAAUGUCGGACAACGUGGAAAUCAAUUCUUCGAGUGCUCCAGAUUUAUCUCGUAAUGUCGAAGAUAAAAUUGAUAAUGAGGUUGAGGAAAUUUUAGUGUCAACCGUGAAUGAUAAGAAGAGUAAGGAAGAAACCAGAAAAAAGAAGAAAGUCUCCGAAGCUUAGGAGCACUUUACAAAAAUAAUGGUAAAAGGAGAACAAAAGGCAAAGUGCAUGCAUUGUAGUGCAAUUUUAAAAGCAAAAUACCAAUCUAGGACUUCAACUUUGAAUAGACACGUGGCAUUUUGUUUUAAGAAAAAUCAACCGAAAAUAGAAGAAGCACUUCAGGGAAGCCUUAAAGUGAUUAAAAAAGAGGAUGGAACUUGUGGCAUUAGUUAUGGCAGUUUUGAUCAAAAUGUUUUACGGAGUUUGAUAGCAAGAAUGGUUAUAAUGGAUGAGCUUCCACUUAGAUUUGUGGAAUAUAUAGGCUUCUGAGAAAUGAUGGCACAUGCUAACAGGCUUGGCAAAACCCUAGGUCCGGUCCUGGUUUGGUGCAACCCGGGACCGAAUUGGAUGCCAAAAAUUGAUGCCCGGACCCAGACAAAACCCGGCUUUUGCAUGUCCGGUCCCGGCUUGAGCCCGGCGUGUCCCGGGUCCGGGUUUUUUCUUCCGGGCAUCUAAGCCUGUAAACACUUAUUUCAAAAGUUUUUUCUUUCAUUUUUAUGUCUUUGUAUGUUCGGACGAGAGGAGUAUUCCAAAAAUGAAUUUUGAUUUAUAAGAGAACACGGCGUAAAAGAAUCUUGGACAAUAACUCCAUAGCCAAUUCAUUUAAAGAAUUAUGGCCAUAUGUCACUUCAAGGACACUGAUUCGGUUUUGCUGGUUUUAAAUUCUAAAGGAACAUGGCACUUUUUGAUCAAAGAUAUGGUAAUGACACCUAAAUAUCACCAAACAAGUGAAACAACAAUACAACAUGCAUGCACAUUUCUUGUGUAUCAUAAUACAAGAUAAAUCUCAAGUUUAAGUCAAAGAGAAAUUAGAGAAAUAGUUAAAUACAAACUUAUAACAUACUAACAAUACAAAUUUUGCACAAAUAAUAAAUAAAAAUUCACCUAAUUUCUAACCUAAACUCAUUCAAUCUAUAUAAAAAAAAAAUUAAAUUCAAUAACACAAUAAAUCUAAAUAACAUCCAACAUAUCAUAAGUUCAUAAUUAUGACACCAAUUAUCAAUACAACACAUGAAAAUCUUAAAAUAUUCAACAACUCAAAAAAUAGUUCAUAAAAGAGUCAAAAUACUCCCAUGUAAAAUAAAUAAAUAACAAGCUCAUGUCUAAUUCCAAAUAAAUAAAUAAAAGUUCAUGUCAUGCUACUCGUCGACGCUUGUGGCUCAUCAUCAUCAUCCGAAAUUACCUCUUCCCCAGUAAAAAUCUCAUCCUUCGGAACUCCACCUUACAACAAAAAUAACACAUUAAGAUUCAAAAUAUUUUAAGCAAAUAAAUACUACUAAAAUAUAAUUCAAAUAACUUUAUACCUCGAGAAGUAGAAGCCCAAAUCCAAUUUUGAGCACACAUUAAGGCUUCCAAAGUGUCAGGAAGAAGUUUACUACGAUGCGGACUAAAAAAUCUGCCCCCGGCACUAAAAGCUGACUCAGAGGCAACGGUGGAUACAGGAAUGGCUAAGAUAUCCUUAGCUAACUCAGCCAAAAUGGGAUAUUGGAUUGUGUGCAUCUUCCAAAAAGCUAAAAUAUCAAAGUCCGGAAUGGAAUCCAACAAUUCCUCAUCUAAAUACCUAUCCAACUCCGACUUAGUUACUUUAGCACGUUUAUUUUGGCUUCGAAAUGUUUCAAACUCAUCUACAUCCCAAUACUUAUUCGAAUUUGAACAAUGUUCAGAAUGAGAAAUUUCCAAUCCAACAUUCUGCCCACCACUCACAUGCGCUGCCUUCGAUUCAUAUUCUUUCACUAAAUCAUAACAAAGCUUAUGUGCACACUCAAUAUGCUCAUAUGUUGUAUCACCGUAUAUCUUUGGGAAAUAAAAAUGAAUUAACAUCAUCUUAUAUCUUGGGUCAAGCACAACAACCACAACUAACAUCGGAUGAAUUUCAUUCCAAUAUUUGUCAAAUUUAUCAGCCAUUUUAUCAGCCAUAAUCCUAAUAGCAAGGUUAUCAGCAGUGCACCACCUAUUAAUUGACAAUUUCAUUUUACAUAUCAAUGGAAAAAACAAAUUAGCAAUUGGGUAUUUUGCACCCGAAAACAUCUCCGUUAACAUGUAAAAUGAUUUCAAAUGCUCCACCAUUAUGACUGCCAAAUCCCACUCCUCAUCACUUGGCAAGUUCUUAUACUGAGGCUCACAUUGUUGCAACCAAGAAAAAACACUUCUAUACAUCAAUGCUACUUCAAGCAUGGCAUAAGUAGAGUUCCAACGAGUAGGACAAUCCAAUUUCAAUUUUUUUUACAAUUAAUUUUUAAUUGUCUAGCAGUUAACUCAAAAGUUUCAUAUCUUUUUGGUGUUUGUGUCCAAUAACUCACUCUCUCUCUAAUGUUUCCAAUCCCACUUUCUAUAACUUUCAACCCAUCCCACACAAUCAAGUUCAAUAUAUGAGCAGUACAUCUCAUAUGAGAAAAUUUACCACUAGAAAUUAAGGUAUCGGUAUCAAACCUUAAGAGCAAUUUCUCCACCAUUGCGUCAUUAGUGGUACAAUUAUCCAAUGUCACUGAGGAUAACUUUCUAUCCACGUUCAAAUCCAAUAGGCAUUGUACUAAUUCAUUACAAAGGGCAUCAGCAGUAUGGGGGCUUGGAACAUAGAUGAACCUAUCAAAUAUUCAAAAGUCGGUAUUAAAUACACAAACUUAAAAUAUAUUACAAUUUAAACUUGAAAAAAAAUCUAAUAUAAGUAAUAAAAAACUUAAAAGAAAAAUUAAGCAAAUAAAAAAUUAAGACAAAUUACCUUAAGAUUCGACUAUGCAAUUUCCAGGAAUUGUCAAUGAAAUGGGCCGUCACGACCAUAUAGACAAAAAAAUAUAUAUACAAAGCCAAAAAAUUAAAACUAGUUACUCAAAUCGCAAAACACAAAUGCCCAAAUAUGAAAAUCCUUAAUUCCCAAGUUACCCAAACCCAAAGGCAUAAGCAGCAACGCUGCCAUCGGCUACCCACCGUCACCGUCGGCCAGCACCCACCGUCACUCCGUCACCGUCCCCCCACGGCAUCAUCUCUUCUCGUUUGGCAUUUGCUGACUCGAUUUUGCUCGGUUGCGGCUGUGACGUGAGUCGUUCGUGCAGUGCAAUGCAGCCCCCUCCGGCGUCGUCAGCGUCAGCACCACCGUCUCCAACUCUCCAUUGCCACUUUCUCAUCCACCAUCAGUCCAUCACUUUGCCAUCACAACCACCACUACCAGCCCCAGGUAUUGAUUUUUUUCCUUCAAAAUUUUGCCUUCCCAGUUGCAUUUUUGCCGAUUCAUAAUCUUUAUAGAAUUGCAGUUUACAUCAUUUUGCUUCUCUGUUGCUAUUUGUGUUUAUCUUCGACCAAUUUUGUGCAUGGUUGCUGUGAGCCUGUGAUUACUGUUGCUCUUUUUUUUAUUGGCCAAAUCCUUUUGCCUUUUUUAAUUUUAUGUUGCAAUGUUAGUUAUGUAAUGAUAAGUUUCAGAGUCCAUUGAAUGACUUUUAUAAAGAAGCUAAUUAAUGAAAUUGGAAAAAGGAGAUAAUAGAGGAGAUUAACAUUUACAGGAUGCGAUUAAACCAUUGAAAAGCUAAAAGACGGCUUAUGGUGACAUUUACACACACACACACACACACACACACAAUCAAUACUCUCUGUCUCUCUUUUCUGUUCACUUUUCCGUUUCCACACUAAAAUUUGAAAUUUAGUAUAUCUUUGUUAUUGUAACAACAGAGCAGUGCAAUGUCAGACAACGUGGAAAUCAAUUCUUCGAGUGCUCCAGAUUUAUCUCGUAAUGUCGAAGAGAAUCAGUGUCCUUGAAGUGACAUAAUGGCCGUAAUUCUUUAAAUGAAUUGGCUAUGGAGUCAUUGUCUAAGAUUCUUUUACGCCAUGUUCUUUUAUAAACCAACAUUCAUAUUUGGAAUACUCCUCUCGUCCGAACAUACAAAGACAUAAAAAUGAAAGAAAAUUUUUUUGAAAUAAGUGUUUGCGGGCUUAGAAGCCCGGAAGAAAAAACCCGGACCCGGGACUAAAAUUAAUCAUCUUCAUAUUAUAAAAUAAAUAUAAAAACAACAUUUGAAAAAUAAUGCCAACUACACCCUUAAAUUUUAUGUACGGCACUAGAAUUGAUGAACAAUUUUUGACAAAGAUGUUGCGACCUAAGUAGGGAUGGCAAUUAAAUUCAGAUCCGGCUCAGAUCUGUAAGGAUCCGAAAGAUUCGAAUCUUGAAAAAUUCGUAUCUGCAUAUUAAAAAAUGUGGAUCCGGAUAUAGAAAUUUGGGAUCCGCACGAAUCUAGAUGCAAGUGCAUUCGGAAAACCGGAUAUCGAGAUCCGGAUAAAUUUUAUUUCAAAUUAAAAAUUAAAUUAAAAUAUAUAUUAAAAAUUAAAUGAAAAAUUAAGAAAGUAAAUUUUAUUUAUGGAUUUAUGAUGUCGUUGUAUAUUAUUCAUGUUGAAUUAUUAGUUGUUGGAUUAUGAUUGAAUUUUAUUUGAUAUUAUUGGGCAAAUUAUUGAAUUUUAUUUUAAAAUAAAAGUAUUUAUUAAAAAUUAAAUAAAAAUAAAAAAAAAAUUAAAUUUUAUUUGUAGAUUUAUGAGAUUAUUGUAUGUUAUUCAUUUUGGAUUGUUAAUUGUUGAAUUAUGAUUAAAUGUUAUUUGACAUUAUUAGGUAAAUUAUUAAACUUUUAAAGUAUAUAUUAAAUUAUUUAAUUUUAAUUUUUGCGGAUUUGGAUAUUCAGAAUAUCCGCCCGCAUCGGUUACGGAUAAUACCCGCAUCCGGAUCCACAUCUUUUUCUACGAAUCCAAAUAUAGAAAUAUGAAUGCGGAUCUGAAUUCGGAUUUUGCUGACCCUAAACCUAAGAAUGAAUGUGCCUAAAGUUUUUACGACGAACAUGGAUCAUUCGAUGACACGGCAUGUUUUGCAGCUCACAUUAGUAUAAUUGAAUAAUUAAUUCAUCUCUAUAUUCAGCUUACACUGUCUCAAAUUACAUGCAAAUACAAAAGUACACUUCUGAAUCGUUCACUUGAGGAAAAUUAAUUUUAACUCAAUAAGUCCUAAUUCUCCACGUAGAAUUUUAAUUCAAACCAUAGCAAAUUAGACAUAAUUCUAAUUUAUAUGGGAAAUAUAAUUAGCGAAGACACUCUUUAUAUAAGCAUUAUUGUCAUAGGAUGCCAAACUUAAUAAGAUUCAAGGUCUUAACAGACUUCAUACGAAUUUGAUCUUGGCGCGUACGGACACGCAUAACAUCAAGACUCUACUUCAUAUAACGUAACUUAAUGGAUUUUUCGCUCUCUUGUGAGUCUGUCGUUUGUUUGCAAACUUUUCCAUUUUAAAUUGACAAUUAUAGGCGCUGUGACUGUGAGGCAGUGGUACAUAAAAUAAACGUUUAUUUUUAGAAUAUUAUUAUUUAUCUCAAUUUUUUUAUUUAAUAGUUAAUUUUAAUGAAUUCUUAAACUGUCAUAAUCAAUUAAUUUUUUACAUUAUGGCAUCUUAAAUAAAUUUUGGAUCUGUAAUAAAUAAAAACUGGUAACGUUUGUUCUUUUAAAACAUAAACAACCGUAACAUUGGUUUUUACAUUUUGAAUUUUUCUUGCAUCACUAUUUAAAAAAGGCUCUGGCUAAGUUACGUUAAACGUAACUUACGCCAGACACAUCAACAGUGCACAGUAAUAGAACCUGCUACUGUUGCUGUGCCUGGCGUAAGUUACGUUUAACGUAACUUAGCCGGUUCCUUUAGAAAAAUGAUGUUAAAUCAACUCACAAAAUAUAUCAAGCCAUCUAAAAUCCAAAUAUUAUUACAUUUGUAUUUGCAUUGUUAAAUUGUUGGAACGACGGCAAAGCAAUUGAAGAGAUAUUAACAAAAAAGUAAAGAUUGGCCAAGGAUUAUUCAUGUUUAGGAAAUGCCUUAACUUUUGAUAUAAUCAUUGUUAUAAUUAUAUUGUAGAAAUAAUCAAUUACGUAAUGUUUGUGGUGGUAAAUAUUAUUAACUUGUUUUACUAUACCCGUGUUUAUGGUGGUCUCCUUUUCGUCCAAUUCUGUACAACAAAAUAUUUGCAUGUUUUGAUGGUAGGAUGAAGUAAUAUAGUUUUACAAAUUACCAUAUUAGAGGUUAAAAAAAAUCAAGAGGUUACCUGACAAUUAUGACGUUACUAACUACAAAUUUUAACACAAAAAGUUUAAUUAACUUUUCUUUUUGAGAUAACAAAAUCUCUGGUGUUGAAAACAAUGAGGUUUGAGGUUCAAGCUUGAAUAUCAAGUUACAAUUAAUAGAUGGUCUUAGGACAUAUCAAAGAUUUCUUUAAAGACAAAAUAAUAAUUACAAGCAAUAGGAAUUUAUGGUAUUCAGAACAUGUAACCUUCGCACAUGAAGCUUGAGUCCAGCAAAAGAUGCAGCUAGCCAAAACCCCACAAAAUCUCUGUCAACAUGUCUGUUCUACUUCAAUAUUAAGCACAUUCAUAGCGGUAUCAACAGCUUACAGCUCCAAAAUAUUUUCCCCAAAAAGAGUUGAGAGAUUUCACUGAAGCUAAUUUGUGACUUGUCACUGCUCAAAUGUUCUAUAACACGAUAUGAUUAUUCUAGUAACACAAAUCCAAUAGCAUGCAACAUAAUCUACUCUCUAACAUUGUGCAUUAGUAAAAUAAAACAGAGUAAAAAGAGACACCAUGCCUGUGAAUCUCUUCUUUUCCCCCUACCACCCCUUUUUUUGGUGAAGUCCAUCAAAUGAAAAUGCAGCAUGACCACGUUGGCCACUGCCACUGCCAUUACUUCUUCAACUGUGCCUUUUGUUGCAGGAAAUAUUCAAGUGAAAGAUUGGAUUAUAUAAUUCAAGAUUCCAAUAAACCUGAGCUGCAAAGGUUGCCUUCCACUAGCCUAUCAGAGACUAUGCUUUCUAUUUUCCUAGUUUUUUAAUCAAAAUUUUGCAAGAUUUAUUUAUGGAAAUCUUGGACAAAAUUUUAUGUAAGAUACCAUAAAGCCAAACACAAUCUUUUUAAUUCUCAGCAGCAACAUUUAAAGUAAAAAAAUGGAAGCCAUAUGAAUAUAACUAUGUUUGGUACAAGGAACAAUUAUUUCAAGCUUUCAGAAAUGCUACCAAGAAAUUGUAAGAGAACUUUACCUGGUCACAGAAUAUGUCUAACAUACUACCACCAACUGUCUUCAGCACGAUUGUUAUGAAGUAGCUUUUGAAUCGGAAGAUUCCAGCUUCCACCAGGCACCAUUAUUUUCAUUCUUGAUACACUCUCAUCAUCCCAAUCAAGGCUUCUUCUCCAGCUCUGGAUUAUAAGUCCACUCCGACAUCUUCAAACAUCUCGGUCCUUCCAUUUGCCAACAACCGAUAUGGCUUCCUUCCUUGCCUUCCUCAUUAAUAUAUCACUCGAAGGAAAAAAAGCAUCAGCAAUUCUCUUCAACGCCUCAUCGUUUAUAACCCCCCAAAAAAAGGGUCUUCAGACACCUCAACUUUGCCUUGUGCAAAACCUCCCCAAAAUCUGAAUUAUCCAACACAACAGCCAGAUACUCAAUCCUUCUUUUGUCCAUCAUAUCCACCGUAUGAUUCCUCAACAAAAUAUCUACAGCUUGUGGCUUAUCUAACACUGUCUUGAUCCAAAACCCCGCUCUUUUCAACUCAUCUGCCAAACCAUAACCCACUUUUGGAGUCAAAAUUGUCCUUGCAGCCCUUUUAUAUUUUUCCAUCUCCAUCGAAUACUUGCCACUCAAAUGGAAUUACCAGACAGGAAUCCCAGUAACAAGUCCACUCAACUUCUUCUCAUCCGAUCCCUCUUUCACUCUAGCGGAAACAUUAAUAACCAUUCACCAGCCACAAAUUACCCAAGUAAGUACUCGUGUCGUCAACACUUACCCUUCACUUCAUCUACGCAAACAUGAAUUCAAAUUGAUUAUUAGCUAGUGCUCAAGCGAAAGCCAAAAUAAAUUAAAUAUGUGUGUGCGUGUGUGUUAAAAGAGAAACGGUAGCGAAGUUAUUAUACAAUAAAGCAAACCAAAAUAAAUUCUACACUCAUGUGGGUGUUUCGCUCGCAAAAUCUGGACAAGAAAAAAUAAUAUUGAUACAAUCUCCAAAUAAAGAGCAUUCCUCUUGGUAAAAUAGACAAAUCCUAUAAAUUUUGAUUAAUGGUGCCAAAUGAAAGAGUUGUAAUUUCAUGUACAUUUUGUUAACAUGCAUAAGGGUACAAAAUAGAUAUUAAUGUGACAAAAACAAAGCUAAUCACAAUGAAUGAUAAGGUUUAGAAAUCCCAGUUUGUGUAAAAGAAAGAUAACAAAAUUAAGGAAAACAUAAGCACAACAAAAUUUGACUGAUUAUUAAAAAUGAGAAAUGAGUUAUAAUGAAAAUUUUGGCUUUGUGGUGAAAUAAAUUGGGAAGUAUCCAAAGUUCGCAUGUAAAUAAUAUAAAUGAUAAGAAGACGAAGGGAACAAAAUGAUAAUAAGCAAGCCAAAUAUUAAAAGCCAAAUAUUCAAGUUAGUGUCUCGCUAAUCAUUUUAGACGUAUCAAUUACAAAGGGAGGCCAUCUAUUUAUAGUAAGCGUACUGUUGCGGACCGCCCAAUUCGCUAGCCCAAUUGCCCACAAUUUCAGGCUAGAGAGCCAACACAAGGCCAAGAGUGCUAGCUUGGCCCAAUUCCGGAAAGUUCUAUGCAACUCUAGCACAUGUGAGCUUGUAAAUACUCUAGAAUUCUCUAUACAAUUCCAGCACAUGUAAAUAGCUAGGAAGUGGUAGAAUUCUCUAGAAUCUCUAGAGCUUGGCAAGCCUCCCCUAUAAAUAUGGGAUGGCAUUAGGCAUUUGUAUCCAACAAACACUACAACAAGCAACUCAAGCAUUAUAAUCUCUUUUGUGCAAUACAAGUUUCUUCUUUGGCUCAAUUGCUCUCUCUUCUCUAAUCCGAGAAGUUCUAGGCUUACUUAGCAACAUUCGGCAAAGUUGUCUAAGUGCCGCACGGGUUAGCUGCGCAAAACACUCAUCCCGUGACAGUACGCCUCUAAUGCUUUGCCAGGUGUCCAUUGAUAAUAUCACAAGGAAAAUUAAAUUGGUGUAUGUGUAUUACACCUCCUAAAGUCAUGUUAAGAUAGUUAGCACUCUUGGUUAAGUCUGCUAGAAUUGCAAACGUGUAAAGCUGAGUCAGCAAGUUAGUUAAGGUUAUUAUGAAUGCUUAGAUUCAGCUCAUGUAGAUUGUGUAUACAACUUUCUAAUAUCCUUUAGAUCUCAAUAUGAAUACUUGUAAUCAACAAAUACAAUAAUAAGAGUCAUCAUUCUUCAUUUUCUCUCAGUUUCUCUCAUAUUUUCUCUGCAUCCAAACACAAUAUUCUCAGUUCUUGACUUAGUAUCAGAGUCGCAGUUUAAUUGACGUGGCUUCGUUAAGCACAAAUUCAAAACAAAUCAGUCUCCUUCAUCCUUUACCUUCACAAAUUCGAUCAAACUGGACAGAUCUAACUAUACAAUCUGGAAAUCUCAGAUCCUCUCUUCAGUGCGUGCCAAUGGACUUGAAGGCUUUCUUAAUGGAACUAAAAUUUGUCCAGAUCAGUUACUUACUCAAGAGAUUGAAAGUUAUGGUGCUGAAAAUGCAGUUGGUGAAAGCUCAGCUGAUAGAUCUCAGGAGAAUCCAGCCUUUGUUGCUUGGAAAAUGUAGGAUCAAUUGUUAUUAAGUUGGCUCAUGUCCUCCAUCAGUGUUGAGAUACUUAGUCUUGUGGUAAAUUCUGAUUCUUCUCAUAAACUUUGGACUAAUCUUGAAGAAAAUUUUUGGAUUAGAAACUAUGGCUAAGAAAGCACACUUAAAAAUGAUGUUAAGCAAUCUCAGAAAGGGAUCAAUGACAAUAACUGAGUAUUUUGCCAAACUUAGAGCUGUAACUAAUAAACUUGCUCUAACUGGUAGCCCUGUUUCUACUCUAAGACUUUAUUACUCAUCUAAUCUCUAGAUAAGGCCAGCCAUACUACCCUGUUGUUUUGUAUAUUGAAGCUAAUAUGAUGAAAAUAUUUGUCAAUGAAGCCUAUUCUAUGCUUUUAACUCAUGAAGCAAGAAUUAAAUUUAAUCAUCCGAGUGCAAAUAAAGAAGCAAAGUUGAAUUAUGCUGCUAACAUAGCUUAGGCUGGACCUAGUAAUAACAAUAAGAAUUCUAGUAAUCAAGCUAAUUACUAUCAGGGAAACCAAGGUAACGGGAAUAGAAAUGCUCAUUGGUGUGGUAACAAUGGAGGAAGAGGUGGCUUUGGCAGAGGUUUUUCAGGGCAAGGAAGGGGUAAUUAGAAUAAUGGUGGUCAUUGGAACAAUGGACCUUGGAGUAGUAGUCGAGCAGGUUAUAACCUUUUUAUAAGAAACUCAAAAAUGUAUUAAUGAUGAAAAUUUUAAAACAGAUAGUGGACCAGCUGUUCACUAAGAAAACAAAAAACUGAAUAUUCGUGCUAUAAAAAGGCACAUCCAAUCUCACCCCUACAAAAGGCUAGAAUCAGCGACAAAUCCCUAUCUCAAAACCCCAUCCCAGUUUAGAUGAAUGAAGAAAAAAGAUGAAUCUUGAAACUCCUUAGAAACUGAAGCCCAAAGUGAAGCAAGAAGAUGAACUCUAUCCCAAGCAAGCAAUAUGGCAUAUUUCUCCAUUAAUGGUUCAAAUAAAGUGAAUGGCUUUCUCUGAUGAAUGGGAAAUUUUCAAGAUCAAUAGUCAAACUCACGUAAAGUAAACGGACUUAAUUCUCAAAGGCUACUCAUUCUAAGUCUUAAAGAAAAUUUUUCUAAUUUCUAAAGAUUAUAUGGGGAAAAAUCAUUAUUUUCUAAAAUGGAAAAUUUGAUACGGUGUUUAAUGUUUGAUCACAAUCAUAAUAUGAGUACUAACAAAAACAUCUUUAAUCGGCAUGGUGCGAGUAAAACACUAUCACUUUAUCUUUGAUAGAAAGAUGAUAAUAUAAGGAGAUGGUGAAAUGGUUUUGGUCUCUGGCAGCUUGUAAUCAAAAGAAAACAAAAAACUACACUAUUAUUAAUGAUUAUCGAAGCUACAGAAGUAUCAAAAUCGGAAAGCAAACAAUUGCAAAACACAUCAAUGACUGAAGGUUAGGUUCUAAAACUUCCGUAUUUAAUUUUCAGAGCAUGUUAUGUAUUAUUCAGAAAUAUGAUUUCACUUCAGGCACUAGACCAAGACGCAUUAAACAUAAAACGCGGCGUUUUCAUGGACUAGUACAUUCCAUGCUUCGAAAGUUUAUGUUUUAGACUGAUUGGUUUGAUACAUUAUUUGUUUAUUGUGUUUUUCUUGCUUUAAAUAUUAUGUUGGAUUGAUAAGUUUUGUACACAUUUAUAUUGCUCGCAGUAAAUAAUUUAUGACAUUUAAAAAACUAUCAACCGUCUAUCAAAAGAUUUCUACUAUAAAUAUAUAUACAAAAAAACUUUUAAUUUGGUCAAUUUGUUCUCUUAUUUAUUUUUGUUCUAUUUCUCUUUUCCUUCCCUUUCAUUUUAUUGUUUUAUGGUACAAAAUAAAAAAAUAACCUUAAAAUUUAAGGGUAAAAUACUCAUUUUACUAAAAUUCCGUUUAAUAUUAUAAAGCUGUCAAAUGUCAAUGGCAUAGUACACGAGUGAUACAAAUUAAUAACAAUAAAUUGAAAGUUUUUAUGCAUUUUCCUUUUUUUUUUUUUAUAGUCGAUUGAGAUUUCCCUUCAUAUGUUUAAACCUGUUGAUUUCCUCAACGCUCAUCCUGUUGGAAAACAACUCCUCAGUACUUGGAGUGUCUACUCCGUAGUAACAAGAAGCUAUGAUUGGUGGGCUUGCAGCGUACCCAAGUGCAGCCACCACUCCAGAAUCUGGUACUGCAAUCACGACAUCACACUCAACAGGAGCCUCGGUAGCAAGUACUUCCCCAAAAUGAUACCUCGACUCAUAAACAGACCUUUCAAAAACAACAGAAUUAGGCAAAGCAAAAUAAAUAUGCUUAAAGAUGCACUGCUUAGGUUCAGGGUGAGGCAUCAAACAAGGUGAUUGAACCCCAUCUUUAUCCACCAUCAAAACUUCACCGGGAUAUACCUCUCUCUCUCUCUCUCUCGAGUGUGGCCUCAAUCAAAUAGUGCACAAGUCUCUGACGCAAAAACCAGAGCACCAUUACUCCUCCUACCCAUCACCAACGGCAUAAACCCAUACGGGUCACGAACUGCAACAAGCUUAUCCUCAGUAACAAACACCAUUGAAUAAGCACCCUCAAGCUUCUCACAAACAUCCACAAUCCUCAAAAAGAACGGCCUAGCUUUCGAUAUCGGAAUCAAAUGGAGAACAACCACAGUAUCAGAACUAGUAUUAAAAAUGGAUCCAUUAUCUUCAAGCUUAGCCCUCAAAGUAUUACAAUUAACUAAUGUGCAACACCAACAGAACCAAACCUGUACCCAGCAACAAAAGGCUGCACAUUCUUAAGCAUAGAACUACCCGCAGUCGAAUAUCUAACAUGACCAAUGGCCAUAUCACCCGGCAAUUGAUCAAGUUUGGACUGAUUAAACACAUCAGAGACUAAACCAACACCAGUAAUAGACUGAAGAGCUUUGUUAUUCACAGCAACUAUACCUACACCUUCUUGGCCACGAUGCUGCAGCGCGUGUAGCGCCAAAUAGCACAAACGCGAGGCCUCUGGGUCACCAUAGAUGCCCACAACACCACACUCCUCGCGGGGUUUACCGUCGUCGUCAUCAUCAAAACUGCCAAAACCGUCAUCUGGGUAUUCUUUAUUUGUGGUGAAAAACUCAGAGAUGGGUUUUUUGAUAGAACAGUGAAGUUUUUUUUGUGGGUUAAAGAUUGUUGUUUCUGAGGAAAAAAAGGGUUUUUUUUGCAGGGUUUUGGAGAAAAGAGAAAGAUGGGUUUUUUGCGACGGCUUAGGGUUAACAGAUGGAGAUGGGUUUGAGAGAGGGCAGAUGUUGGCGGUGCCUGUUGUGGUGGCUGCCAUUAAUGGCUGAAUUUAUUAUAAACAGGCAAAAUUAUGGUACCAUUGUUGCAAUCAGCCAUUAGAUUUAUAGUUGUAUAGUUACAUUAACAAGAUUCAAUGGCUGAAAGCAACAGUGGUACCGUACUACUGUUGCAACAUAGCUGGACCCAUUAUAAACACUUGAAGUCAAAGUUAAUGUUUUAAUUGUUAAGAAAAGUUAGAAGAAGAAAUUUUUGUAUAAGAGAAUUGGGUUUAAAUUUAGAAUUCUUUGGGAGGAAAUGAGUCUAAAUUCCAAUAAUAUAAUUCAGCACUAUUUAUAUAUAUCAUUAGUUGGGUGAAAAAUUAAUUUCCCUCCUUUGAUGUGAUUUUCAUCAUUUAUUUUCAUAUAACGGUAAUUUUUUGUUUAGAGUGAAGUUAUUGGCACCAUUUCAUUAUCCUUAUAAAAUCCUACUUCAAAUAAAAUUACACUUAAAGACAAUAGAAUUAAAUAACAUAGUUUUUUUUUCAAACAAAUUACUCACGUUCAUAAUUUUUUUUCUUCUAAUUUUCUACAGAUUGCUUUGUAUCUAACUAAAAUAAAUUGUACAAAUUUAGAAUAAUCUAUUAUUCUUUUUAAAUUUCUUAUUGAUUAAAUAUUUGUAUGCUUAAGAUAGUUUUAAAAUUAUAAGAUAAAAUAUAUAUAAUUUAAGCCAAUGAUUAAUAUUAAAAAAUUUAUCUCUCAUAAAAGUUUUUAAUUUGUGCGUAGGGUAAUAAUAAAAUUGCAAAAGAAAUGAAAAAUAGCAUAGCACUAUUUUGAGUUUAAACAAUAAAAAAUUAAAUGAAAAAUUAGAAGUGUAUUUAAAAAAAGGAUAUUUUUGAAAAUAAAUAUAAUUUAAAAAAAAAAGAGUUUCAUGAGGGGUGCAAUAGUUCAACUCUUUUGUUUAUAAGUUUUAAGAUGUUGGUAUCCGUAGCUUAGCUUUUCCCUAAUUAUUAUAUUAAAAUGUAACAACAAUUAUGAUCAACCCUAAUUUCAUGGAGGUCAAAGAUUUUGGUCAUGCCACAUUAUUUUUUUUUUGUUUUUAAAAAUAUCAUUUAUUUAUUUUUUUUAAAGGUAAAGAAGUGGGUAAAGUUCAAAUUCAACUUUUAUCCCUUACGUCAUGGCCCCUAAGAUUUGAACUUAGGUGACCAAAUUUAUAAUAAUAGGCAUCUCAAAUUUCAUUUCUAAUGAUAUGCAAUUUAUUAAGUGAUUGUUAAUCUUUAUAAGAUCCGAGUGAAUUAAUUGUAUUAUUUCACUACUAAUUGAUGAGUAUCAUAUUAUUUGGAAUAACUUGUGAAUAAAAAAAUUGUGAUGGAUGAAAUAUUCUUUUGAGAAUUUAUUGACUUAUCUCAUUUAUGAUUUAUUGUUGCAUUUAGGUGAUAUUGCAAAUAAUUUUUCCGAUAAUAUUAUUGUUUUGACGAGUAAGUUUGGAGUAAAUAAUACAUAUGACAAGUGUGAGGUUUGUUAUUGCAUAUAUUUUGUGGAUCCAUUUUAAAGCAAAAAAAAAAAAGGCAUUUCGAUUCAUUAUGAUUCCAGAUAAUAUAUAUGUAGAUCCUCACACAAUUGAUUAAAUAUUUAUAGUAGGAUAGAGUGAUAAAUAGUUUUACAAAAUUAUUGGAAUUAACUAUUUAAUACAUGAGAUCUAUCUCACUAAGGAUAAAAGAUUGCUGCUUCAAAAGCUUGACGUUGCUGGCAACAAAUUUAACACAAAAGUUUAAUUAACUAUCCUAGUUGAGAUAAUAAAAUUUCAUGUUGAAAACAAGAGGUUCAAACCUUCUCAUUCAAAAAAAUAAAGCCAAAAUAUUACAUCUUCCAGCACAUAUAAAAGAUUUUUUCUUCAAAGGCAGACUGAUAAUUCAGGGUAAAAAAACAAAAACAAAAAAAACAAAAAAAAAAAACAAAAGGAAUAUAUGCUAUUCAAGACAGGUAUACCUUGGACAUGAAGUCUGAGUCCAGAGCAAGAAGCAUUUAGCUGAUUUUUCAAUUUCCAAAACCCAACAAAAUCUUUGUCAAAAUAUAUGAUCUAGUCCCAUAUUAAGCACAUUCAUAGUCGUAUCACCAGGUUCAAAAUAUUUUCCCCAGAUAGAGAUAGAGAUUCCAUUGAAGUUGAGUUGUGACUGUCCCAACAUUUUGUAAUUAUAUGGUUCAGUAUACCAUGCCUAUGAAUCUUUUUUUUUUCUUUUUUUCCAUGUUUCGAAGUCUAUCAAAUGAAAAUGUAAUUAUAUGGUUCAGGACACCAAUAUGCCGGAGCUGCAAAGGUUGACUUCCACUAUCCUAUCAGUGUCUAUACUUUCUAUUGAGUUUCCUUGUUUUUUUUUAAAUUGCGAGAUUUAUUUUUGGAAAUCCUUGACACAUUUUAUGUAAGAUACCAUAAAGCCAAAUACAACCUUUUUUAUUCUCAGCAGCAACUUUUUUUUUCCUUUUAAAAAAAGGAAGCCAUAUAAAUAAUGCUUUAAACAUUAUUUGCAACAAGAAACAAUUAUUUCAUGCUUUCAGGUAUUAGAAACUUCCCAAAAAUGCUAGCAAGAAAAUGAAAUGGAACUUUACCUAGUCACGGAAUAUGUACUGCUGUUAGCACAAUUGUUAUGAAGUGGCUUCUGCAUCAGAAGAUUCCAGCUCCCACCAAGCAUUGUUAUCUCUCUUCUGAAUACAAUCUACAUCGCUGGGCAUGAGUUAUAUCAUUAAUGUCUGGAUCCUCACUUACAUCAUCCCAAUCAAGUGCUUUUUCUCCACAUUUGGAUUAUAAGUCCAAUCUCUUCAAAACAUCCUAGUCCUUCCAUCACAACUGAUACGACUUCCUUCCUAAUUACUUUCCCAUUAAUAAAUCGCUCCAAGAAAAAAAAGCAUUAGCAAUUCUCUUCAACGCCCCAUCACUCAUAUCCCCACAACAACCAUCUUCAGCCACCUCAACGUUGCCUCUUGAAAGACCUCCACAAAAUCCGAAUCAUCCGACACAACCACCAAACACCCAAACCUUCUUUUGUCCACCAUAGCCACCAUAUAAUUUCUCAACAAAACAUCGGCAUCUUGUGGCUUAACUAACACCAUCCUGACCCAAAACCAUGCUCUUUUUAACUCAUCUGCAAAACCAUAACCCACUUUUGGAGUCAAAAUUGCGCUUGCAGCCAUUUUAUUUUUUUCCAUCUUUAUUGAAUAGUUGCCAACCAAAAGCACUCUCACCUUCCCUCUAGCUGAUUCUAUUUGAUUCGACCUUUUCUUUUGUUCACCCUCAUGAAUUUGCCUAAAAUGAUUAACAAGUUUGUCAUUAUUAUAAAACCUCCUUCCACAAUCACCAAUACAUACGGCUUAGCAUGCCUAAUUACACCCUUGAUUUCUAAUUGGUUAAACAAUUCUCUUUCUUUCUUUGCUCUCUUACAACUUGAGGCAUAUAACUAAACGCGUGGCUAUUAGCAUUUGCCACCAUGCAUUUAACAACCCCAAAUGAAGAUAUUAAUUUUUUUUAGUUUAAUUGCUGCUUCAAAAUGGGGUACUGAAUUUGGAUUUUGUUAUCCAAAUACCAAAAAUUUCCCAUAUUGUGCUGGACAGUUUUUGGUUCUAAAGUUGAUGACUGGUUUUGCGAAUCAGGCUUUAAAUGAGAACUUCUAAACAAUAAGACAAAUGAGUUUUGAGUUUCUAAUCUUGUAAACUUUGUUCUAUUGUAUAAGUUAUGAAAUCACUGAAACAUCACUACAUCUGCAGGUCUUUAUGUGUCAAUGAACUGCAGAAGCUGAUGAUCUACCUGUAGCAGACUUCUAUUGCCCCUGCCGUUCUAGGAAGACAAACAAGUUCAGGAGCUACUUAUGGACCAAACUCAUAAUAUUGCCACUGCAUACCCAGUAACAGUAAUCAAGUAACAAGUCAAAACGAGAAUCAAACGUAGAAUUUUGAAAUCCAUACGAACUCUAACGUAUUAGAAUGAAAGAAUAAGGACGAUCGAUAAACUAGAAUCAAACAAAAACAUGCCCAGUUAAAAAACGAAGGUAAAUAAAUAAAAAUGGUAUAAAACUGCGAAAGAAAUUAAUAAAAUGAAGAGAAAAUCACAGGAAUCCUAUGAAGAGGAAGGUCAACAAAACCUUCGGGAGCCGAGAAGAUGCCUUUUUUUGUUCACUUUGUGCCUAUACAUACAAUUUUUUUUUUUGUAAUUUUGAAGAAAGUAUUGGUUAAAUAUUGUCAUAACGAAAUAUUAAUAAUAGAUGCUAGCAAUUUCAACAAGGACAAUCUUCGAUUCAAAUGUACCUCUAUGAUAAAGAAAAAGCCAGCUUGGCUAAAUUUUGAGCACCACAUUACAGGAUCUAGGUGCAUGUUUAACUAUGCAAAAUGAAACCUCUAUUAAUUGUAAGUCCCUUGACCUCUGGAACCAGCCAACCAGUCUCUUUCCUGUUAGACAAACUUCCAUCGAUCAGACUAAUAAUAUUUACUAAAUCAUGUUCUACAGUUAAUGGAGUUGGACCCAAGGCAAUUGUUAGAAGUCCGCCUAGACAUAGAGUGCGCUUAGAAGUGGGAUGCUUAGAAAUGGGCCGCCAACACAACCAGCCAACCGUAGUGUGCUUAGCAAAUCACUGAAGCCCGACCCAAGAUCUAGAACUAUCUACAAAUUAUAAAUCAGCUAAAAGUUUCUAAGUUUCUCUACAUAGGUCCCUAGGAUAUUUAUGGAAGUUGCUAGGAAGUUUCCUCCCCUAGAACUCUAAUACCUAUACCCUCUCAUUUGCCCACCAACCACACCACACAGACAAACACUCUAGCAUACACACAAGCUCUCUAGCUUUUGUAAAAAGCUCUCUUGUAUAUUUUCUCUUUGUGAGUAAUAAAAUCAUAUUUAGCCAUAUUGCUACACUUCUCUCUAGUAUUUUCUACAAGUGUUCUUGCUUUGCUAGUUUGAGGAGUGUUCUAGGCUUGCUUAACAACUUGUUCGCUAUAACGACAUCUUGGUCACAAAACAUGGACAUGCAAGAAAAAAAUAAUAUUGAUACGUUCUAAAAAUAAUACGCGUUCUUCUACAGUGAACCAAAAAAUUUAGGCUAAUGGUAGCAAGUGAAUGAUUUCACGUGCAUUUUGUUGACAUGAACGCAAAGGACUUUUUUUAUAGUUUAUAUUGUUUAAUAUAACAUUUGAAUUGUAAAAUAGGGGUACAAAAUAGAUACACGAAGUGAUAAAACUAAGCUGAUUAUAAUAAAUAUUGAAUUAUAAGAUUUAGGUUUAAUCAGAAAGACAUAAGUGGCGCACAAAGUCACGAAUUGAUAUCAUCCACGAUGCAAGUUCAAACAACUGCAUAAUAAGUUACCCCAAGCUAAACUAUUAAUCUAGUAACUAUUCCAGUCGAUGUGGGAUAAUUUUCCUAUCACCAUCUAUCAUGUGCAAGCUGAAUUUUUUGCUUGGUCGUUACAUGUGGUAAAGUAAUAUGAAUCCACUUGUGCAUAAAUUUGGCUCCGAUACUACAUAGACGCCUAUGACCCAAAAUUAUACUUAAAGGUUAUCUCAAGAUUUGAGGAUUGACUCAAGCUAAUAUUACUAUUAGCCUGGUAACCUUUUUUGUUUGUUGAUAUGUGAUAUUUUACCUAUAACUUUUAUUAAUCUUUAUGCUUAUGUUUUGUCAUUUAUCCUAAAAUAUAACAUUAACAAAAGUUCCAAAAUUUCCUUCAAGUGAUAUAUUUGAGACAAGUAAUUUGUGCAAUAACUUUGUAAAUUGAUGAGCAAAUUCGGAGAAAAGAAUAUAUGUGCCAAACAUAACGUUUAUUAUUGUGUUUAUUUGUAGAGCUAUUUAAAGCCCAAAAAAAAGCACCGGUCCGUUAUGAUUUCAAAUAAGUUCAAGCCCUAUGUCAUUAUUGGUACAAAAAUGAAUCAGAAAGGUUAAAACCUAUUUUUAUUUAACUUAUAAACUUAGGAAAUUAUCAAAUGUCCACCCUUAAAUUGCGCUAUUAUAAAAAAAUAUUACAACAUUUUCAAGUUGGAUCAUUCAUCCACCAUAAAUUUACAAUCUGCAUCAUUUAUCCACCAAAUCAUUAACUUCGUCAAAAAGUGAUAGACGUGACAAGGGUAAUUUAGACAUUUAACACAAAAAAUAAAAGAAAAAUAAUCUAAGCUUACCAUGUUAUCAAAAUUGCUACAAAAUUUUAAAUUUGUUCAAUUUUCCAAUCUAAGUUUAUGACCUCCAAGAUGUUAAUUGCAGUUUGUAAUUAAUGACUUCAUAAGGAUAAUUUAGACACUCAAUAUGCAAAAUAAAAAAUAAAAUAAUGGCUUAAAACAUUAAAACAAAAAACUACUUUUUAUAAUUGAUAUUCAAUUAAAUAAACAUAAACUCUAUUUUUUCUUAAUUAAAAAUAUUCUAAUUUAUUUUCUCAAUUUAUCUUCAUAAAUUUAUAUUAGUUAUGGUGCAAAGUAAAAAAAUGUCCUUAAAUCCAAGGGUAAAAUAGCAUUUUAUUUAAAUUCUAUAAAUUAUUCUAACAAUGUUAACAUUUUGGUGGAAGGUUAAUAUAAGUUACAAACUUAAAAUAGAAAAUCAAAUAAAUUCAAAAUUUCAAACUAUUUAGGACAAAUUUAGGAUAUAUGGUUAAUAAUUUUCCUCUGUCUUUUUACAUCAGUUGACAGAAGUUACAAACUUAAAAUAGAAAUCAAAUAAAUUUAAAUUUUCAAAUCAUUUAGGGCAAACUUAGGGUAUAUGGUUAAUAAUUUUCCUAUUUUUUUAACAUUAAAUUGAGUUUCAAAGACAUAAUGGUCAAUUUAUUAUAAUUCUAUUAAUUUUUUAAGGGAAGCAAGCGAUAUAAUGGAUGAAUGAUAUAAAUUGUAAAAUUAAGGUGCAUGAACGAUAUAAUUUUAAAGUAUUGUAGUACUUUUAAUAAUAGAACAAUUUAAAGGUGGAUUGGCGAUAAUUUAAACUUUAAUGAAGCAACUAAAAAAUUUUUUUAACAAAGAAAAAUAAUUGAAUGCUUUGUGAAACCAAAAAUAUUUGAAAUGCUUUAAGAAAAAUAAAGGAAAUUAAAUAUCUUUUUAAAAAACAUAAUUGAGUAAAAUCAUUUUACAAAAUGCUCUUUCAAAUGCACAUUCCACAAGCCAAGAAGGAUGGGUGGCUAACAAAAAUCUCACUUUUUAUGAGUUUAUAAAAUCUCACUUUCGCAAAAUCCAAAAAUAACCAAUACUAUCACACAAAAAAUAAAAAGUAUUGCUGUCACGACAUUACACACUUUCUUCGCCGUCUAGAAAGGUAGAACAUUUUGAAGUUCCUCAAUACAAAAUGCGUGCUAUUACUAAAUUGGCCAAAGUUUUAACAAUUGAAGAAAUAGUGAACUCAAAAGGAACAGGUAAAUUUUGAAGUUGAACAAACCUUAAAGUGCAUACAACAAAGCCUUGAAACUUUAGUCUUCACAAUUUAAUCACGCAAUAAUAUUAAGUAUCCACCUAAAAAACAAGUAUAGAGCAAAGCUUGUUAGCUUCUUGGGCAUUAACUAUGAAUGAUGAGUAAAAUUAAAAAAGCAAACAGAGAAAAUUAUAAGAAGAAGAAAAGCAAACAUUUAAAAAAAAAUUAUGAGAAGGAAAAUUUUGGUAGAACUUCGUGGCUCAUCUGUGAAAUUAAUGUCAAUAUGUAUUUUUAUGUAAAUAUGGUCUCUGGCUUUUAGGAUGAAUCAAUCAGCUACCACAAACGAAAACAUGAACCAACUAUAUAUAGAGUCAAUUAAUUAAAGUUCUCAAGAGCUUACCUCUGCUCCAGAAUUCUCGGAAUCAUCAAUCUCCUUCUGAAUUUGCGCGAAGCUUGGGACAACCAAGAAAGCGUCCAGGUGGAACUGGGUUUGGAUAACCCGCAGGCCAAAAGUUGGUGAGGUUUGGUAAAUUUAUCAGUUCUAUGCCCUGAAGUUCAUUCGUAACAAUUUCAUAGUAAUCCGUGACGUCUGCUCCACCUUUAUGCCAGAAUACUUCUUCUAAUUCAUCAUUACCUACUACGAAUAGGUACUUCAGUUUUGGAAGACUUGGAGCUACGCUGAUAUGAAAUAGAUGCUUUAGCUUGGGGCAAAAACAGACAGUGAUCCUUGUGAGUUUUGGGAAACAUACAGGUUGGAGAUGAUCCUCAUCCUCAUCCUCAUCAAUGAUUUGCUCUAAUUCCAAGCAAUUCGAAACAGAUAACUCCUCCAAUUGCAACAGAUUUCGAGCAAGUGUUGAUGAGAGGAGCCGUCUCAGCAUAGUGCACCGCUCUACUGUUAAUCGGGUAAGAUUUUGCAGGCUAAAAUUAUGCGCGGGACCUUCAUGAUAUAAUACUCUCAGUUCUCGAAGAUCUUCCAAUCCCAACCCUUUCAAACAUGGGAAUGGUUUGUUUGCUUGUCCCUCAGCGAUAAUAGAUUCCGACUGAAACACCACCAGUACUCCAAUUUUGCUAAUAUUCAAUUCUUCCAAAUUUUUUAAGCCGUGCUUCAACAGUACUGGAAUCGUGUCGCUCAAAUGGGAACAAUUGUCCACAUUUAGAAUUUUUAAGUUCUGAGACAAAUAAAUAAAUAACUUGAUGUAAUUAAAAUCUAUUAGCAGCUAGGAUUAUCACAUGAUAAGUGACGAACAUCGCAAAAAACAAAGAAACAAAAUCCAUUCAAAAAUAUAAUUGUUGAAUCCAAAUUAAUCUCCAAGACCAAUUUAGAACCCCCAAGACCCACUCUAAGAAGCUUGAUCUUUGUUCUGAAUUUAAUCACUAAAUAAGUUUUGACAAGAAACAAGAGUACCUACAUGAAAUCAAUCACACAGCUAAAGAAAAUCAGAUCACACACUUAAAACCAGGAUUAUAGUGGUUCGGCCAAGUUUCUUGCCCACAUCCACUGUGGAAAACGAAGCAACCCUUUUACUGAUUUCAGAGAACAAGUUACAAAUCUGGAGAAAAUAUGUAAAUGAAUAGAUAGCCUUUGACAACAGAUCCUAUGUCCUUUUAUACUCCAUUCUGACCAAUCCGAAAGAACCCCAAGAAACCAGUUCACGCUCCUGGGUUUCCAGCCAAGAAGAUCUCCAGCUGCUUCCCGCGUGAGCUAACGGUAAAAACCACUUCUUGAAUUUAGCUUUGGGACACUUGUCAAACAUUCACGCAAACUCUUGAUUAAAACACAGAGAAAGCUGCCGUUUUGAGUUAGUGAAACACGUGACACAUCACGUGCAAUACUAACGGAUCCAGCCGACAUAUCGUUUGUGUCAAACAUCUGUUCUGAACUCCAAUGCCUGACAUGUCGUUUAUCCUUGUUGACAAACAGACGACGUGUCAUACAUAUACCUGAGAUCAGAUUUGACUUCAUAAUUCCAACACUAAUAAUACAUAUGUAAACUAAUAAAAUAAUUAAAAAAUAAUAUGGAUUGAUAAUGUGAAGUGAUAUAAAGGUGACAUUAGAUUGUUUGAGAAAAAUUAGUAUUUUAUUAAUUUUUAUGGAUUGAUCAACUAAUUAAUUGAAUUUGAGUAAUAUUAUAUACACUUUAGUAAGUGUUUGCAUCAAUUCUUUCUAAACCAAAAUGAGAUAAGACUUCCAUUUGAACAAUGAUUUUAGGCCCUAAAAUAAAGAAAUUUCCCCAAGAUAUUUGAGCAUUAUUAUUAUCAUCACCACAUCCACGAUCAUCAUCAUCUCCAUAGGACCAAAUAAUUAAUGGUUGAUCAUAAAAUUAAUUGCUAAAUUAUCAUUUUGAGUAAAAUUGAAGGAAAAGAAAAAACAUAAACACAAACAAACAUACCUCUUCAAGAUACUGCAAAUUGGCUUCAAGUUCAGUACUGCUGACGGUCAAGUUAGAACAGCGAAUAAGGUCUAACUCUUCCAAUGCUGUCCAAAUUGAACGAUAAUUUUCUGAACAGAAGCUCUUGAGUUUUGGGAGAUUGCAAAGUGUUAAUUUUCUCAACAAAGGGAGGGCAAGCAUCGUAUUUCCAUCUCCGACACUUAUUUCCCCUUCAUUGUGAUCAAACUUUGCUUCGACAAUACAUUCCAUUCUCUGGCAUCCACUGACAAAGAGACUUUUAAGCUGCUUCAAACUUCUAGCUUGUGACAACGUGAAGAUAUAUGUCAAAUUGUUGCACCCAUACACACUCAAUUUUGUAAGAGCUUGGAGGCUGAUCACAUGUUGGGCGGGCGCCUUCCAUAUCCACUUCAGUUCUGGUAAUUGCCACAUAGAUAACUCUGCUAAUCUUGAGAGCAUCACAGGAUUCCCACUCUUUCCGUACGGCGACUUAGAGGCAUCCAUUAUGCAUUCUAAUUCUUUGCACUCAUUGGCAGAAAGACAAGGCAACUCAUUUAAGCCCUUUGGAUCUAUGCUUGGCACAAUAUUGUGACAACCUAUAAUCGUUCUUAAAUUAAGAAUUUCCAGUUCUUGAUACAAUGUCGAAAAAAUACCGAGCGAGGUCGCUUCACAAUUAUUAAUCUUUAAGCACCUUCUCUGUCCAAAAAUUUCAUCUUCUUCGUCCAUUAGAAAUUCAAGUUUGUUACCGUUACUGACGUAGUGCCUUUGCAAUUUCGGGAAUGUAAAGUCUUUUGGAAGACGUGCAAUUUUUUUGUCAGUAUGUAAAGUCUUUCCAUCGUCAUUUUCUUCUGAACUCAUCCCUUCAGCCUCCCAAUCUUUUAUCCGACCAUAAAAUUCUUCUAAUUGAGGAAAUUUUUUUAUCGUAAUGGGAGAAAUACGACCAGAAUUAAUUAAUAUAAGAAGUUUCAAUGUACUAAGUUGAUCCCCAAAUUCUUCAGGAAUUUCAAUGGGAGACCCCUUGACACAAAGGAUUUGAAGUCUCUUCAACUUUCCAAGGAAAGACGCGUCACUCAUGUUACAUCGAAUCAACUGCAGAACUUGGAGGUUGGUGAGGAAUUGAAGCGAUUUAAGUGAAAUGACUCCUCCUAUUAUAGUAACAACUUUCAAUGCUGGCAUCCCUUCGAAAAAAUGUUCUGGAAUAUGCAAUUGAUAGUCAUAUUCAGUAUUCUCCAGUCGCAAAAUAUGAAGAUUAGGGCAUACCAAACCACUUGGAAGCUCUUCUUUUUCAUUUCCCAUCAAAGAGAUUCCUCUGUAUUGUUCCACUGCCCGUUCUGCCAAUCCAAUGCCAACUUUACUAGUAAAAUAUUUUUUCUCCAUUGAGCCUAUCCAUAAGGCUACGUCACGUACAAUGUCAUGCAUUUUUACAAAUCUGUCAUUACCAGCGUCUAAUAGCAGUGAAGAAGCUUUGAGCUCUUUAAUCGUUCCACUCACUAGGCUCCUGGAAUCUUCGAUUGACUCAGCUUGAUACCAAUCCAACGCCACUGCAUAUCCAACCAAAUCCUCCAAAUCUAUCUCAUAAUCUUCUGGAAACAGCGAACACAACAAGAAGCAUGACCUGGAAUCGUCACCAUUCAAAUAAUCGUAACUAAACUUGAGACAAUGGUAAACGUCUUGGUCUUCCUUGCCAAUACCUUCUAUUGUAUUAAGUUUUGCAUUUUUUAGUUUAUGCAGAGCUACUUUCCAUUCACCAUAUCCUUUACCGCUUAGUGCACUUCCAACAGCUUUAAUAGCCAAAGGCAGCCCCUUACAUUCAUCAGCAACUCGUUCUGAAACACCAAUCAAUGAAUCAGCAUCAAUGCCGGCAUGCUUUCUUAGUAAAGCCAAUCCUUCUUCUCGCUUUAGAACACCUAGUUGAAUCCGCGUGUCACAACCCAUGCGAUCACAAACUGGCUGAAGGCGAGUGGUUAGAAGGAUUUUGCAACAAUUGUCUCUAUCACCAACAGGAAUACCUACUGUCUCCAAGUCGAGUUCAUUCCAGACAUCGUCAAGGAUUAUGAGGAUCUUGCGGCUUUUACUCUUAGAGAACAUCAAGCGCAAUCGGUCUGCUCUAUCAUUUUCAUCUUUCUCCGUUAAUGCCCAACCUAACGACUUUACCAGCUCACUUUGAACAUUUAUUAUAUUUGGAUCCCGAGAUAUAGUGGCUAUCCCUACGUCAUCGAAAAUCUUUUGCUGCCGAAGUUGAUUGCCCGCAAAUUUUGCCAAGGUCGUCUUUCCUACACCACCGAGGCCAUGCAGUCCCACCAUUUUUGUGCUUUCUCUUUUCAGUGAUUCAAUGAUCUGAUUGCAAGCCAGUUCUGUAGUCUCGAAAGACGUAAAAUGUCUUGGUGCGGGUAAUUCUUUGUUUGAUGGUAGAGGUUUAGGACGGGCAACUGUGCUGAAUUUGUCGCAUUUCUUUUAUAGAUCGGACAACUUGCGAGUCUCCUUUGAUGCUUUUCUACCCAGCCAAUAUAGGCAACGCCAAUUAGGACACCAUCCAUUAAGACAACUUUUGUUUUCAUCUAUCUUUGCUUUCAAAUUUUGAACAUUGGCCAUUUCUUUGACUACAUCCGCCAGCCACUUCUCUACAUCUUUCUCGACUACUAUGGCGCGGUGUUUUUGUCGAUAUUGUUCUACUUUUUCAUUGACGCCAUCUUGUGCCUCCUUCAAAUUAGUUUCUUUAUCCCCAAGUUCUUUAAUAAUGCUGUUGAAGCAGAACAGAUAGCGAGCUUGGUUUAUGGUUGCGUCCGCCAAUAAUUCUCCAAGCUUUGAUGAAACACCUGAUAAAAUUUCCAUGCUAUUUAUCUGCAAUUAAUGAAAUUGAUCUCAGUAUGCUAUAAGCAAUUAAAACAACAAGGCUUGAUUGCAAGAUCGAACGUGAACGUUUAAUUACUUUAAUUUUUUUUUGGCUUAUUAACGCCAGCAUUGAAAUUAGAUUACUUUAUCAAAACAAAUUUCAUAUUCACUAAAAUUAAUCAUAUUCAUAUUAUAAAAUAAAUAUAAAAACAAUAUCUGAAAAGUAAUGCUAAAUCCACUCUUAAAUUUUAUGUACCGCAUUAGAAUUGAUGAACAAUCUGACAAAGAUGCUCGACUUAAGUAGGGAUGACAAUUAAAGCCGGAUUUGAAAAAAUUCGUGUCUCCAAAUUAAAAAAUGUGGAUUCGGAUAUGGAAAUUUGGAAUUCACACGCAUCCAUAUAAAUUUUAUUUUAAAUUAAAAAUAUAUAUUAAAAAUUAAAUAAAAAACUAAAAAAUAAAUUUUAUUUGUGAUUUUAUGAUGUUGUUGUAUAUUAUUCAGGUUGAAUUAUUAAUGGUUGGAUUAUGAUUGAAUUUUAUUUGAUAUUAUUAGGUAAAUUAUUAAAUUUUAUUUAAAAUUAAAAAAAUAUAUUAAAAAUUAAAUAAAAAAUAUAUUUUAUUUAUAGAUUUAUGAGAUUAUUUUAUGUUAUUCAUGCUGAAUUAUUAAUUGUUGAAUUAUGAUUGAAUUUUAUUUGAUAUUAUUAGGUAAAUUAUUGAACUUUUAAAUUAUAUAUUAAAUUAAUAUCCAGAAUAUCCUCCAAUAUCCGUUGCGGAUAUUACCCGCUUCUGGAUCCACAUCUUUUUAUACGAAUUCAGAUAUAGAAAUAUGAAUGCGAAUCCGAAUCUAGAUUUUACCAACCUUGAACCUAAGCAUGAAUGGGCCUAAAGUUUUUACAACAAACAUGGAUCAUUCAAUGACACGAGAUGUUUUACAGCUCUCAUUAGUAUAAUUAAAUAAUUAAUUCAUCUCUAUAUUCAACUUACUCCGUCUCAAAUUGCAUGCAAAUACGAAAAUACACUUCUGAAUCGUUCACUUGAGGAAAAUUCCAAAUUCUCCACGUAGAAUUUAGAUUCAAACCAAAGCAAAUUAGACAUAAUUCUAAUUUAUAUGGGAAAUAUAAUUAGCGAAGACACUCUUUAUAUAAACAUUAUUGUCAUAGGAUGCCAAACGUAAUAAGAUUCAAGGUCUUAACAUACUUCAUAUGAAAUUUGAUCUUGGCGCGUACCGACACGCAUAACAUCGAGACUCUACUUCAUAUAAUGUAACUUCAUGGAUUUUUCGCUCUCUUGUGAAAUUGACAAUUAUAGGCGCUGUGUGGCAGUGGUACAUAAUAAAAUAAACGUUUAUUUUUAGAAUAUUAUUAUUUAUCUCAAUUUUUGAUUUAAUAGUUAAUCUUAAUCAAUUCUUAAACUGCCAUAAUCAAUAAAUUUUUUACAUUAUGGCAUCUUAAAUAAAUUUAGGAUAUGUAAUAAAUAAAAACUGGUAACGUUUGUUCUUUUAAAGCAUAAAACAACCGUAACAUUGGUUUUUACAUUUUGAAUUUUUCUUGCAUCACUGUUUAGAAAAAUGAUGUUAAAUCAAUUCACAAAAUAUAUCAAGCCAUCUAAAAUCCAAAUAUUAUUACAUUUGUAUUUGCAUUGUUAAAUUGUUGGAACGACGGCAAAGCAAUUGAAAAGAUAUUAACAAAAAAGUUACCUAUUGUUUGUGGUAGUAAAUAAUAUUAACUUGUUUUACUAUACCCGUGUUUAUGUUGGUCUCCUUUUUGUCCAUUUCUGUGCAACGAAAUAUUUGCAUGUUUUGAUAGAAAUUGGUUUAAAUGACAUUUAAAAUAGUAUAUCCCCAGACAAUUGACGAAAUAUUUGUAUGGUAAGAUGAAGUAAUAAAUAGUUUUACAAAUUACCAUAUUAGAGGUAAAAAAAAAUCGAGAGGUUACUUGACAAUUAUGACAUUACUAACUACAAAUUUAACACAAAAAGUUUAAUUAACUUUUCUUUUUGAGAUGGCAAAAUCUCUGGUGUUGAAAACAAUGAGGUUUGAGGUUCAAGCUUGAAUAUCAAGUUACAAUUAGUAGAUGGCCUUAGGACAUAUCAAAGAUUUCUUUAAAGACAAAAUAAUUAUUAUAAGCAAUAGGAAAUUAUGGUAUUCAGAACAUGUAACCUUCGCACAUGAAGCUUGAGUCCAGCAAAAGAUGCAGCUAGCCAAUCCUUCAACUUCCAAAACCCCACAAAAUCUCUGUCAAUAUGUCUGUUCUACUUCAAUAUUAAGCACAUUCAUAGCGGUAUCAACAGCUUACAGCUCCAAAAUAUUUUCCCCAAAAAGAGUGAGAGAUUUCACUGCCUAAAUGUUCUAUAACACGAUAUGAUUAUUCUAGUAACACAAAUCCAACAGCAUGCAACAUAAUCUACUCUCUAACAUUGUGCAUUAGUAAAAUAAAACAGAGUAAAAGGAGAAACCAUGCCUGUGAAUCUCUUCUCUUACCCCCCCACCACCCCUUUUUUUGGUAAAGUCCAUCAAAUGAAAAUGCAGCAUGACCACAUUGGCCACUGCCACUGCCAUUACUUCUUCAACUGUGCCUUUUGUUGCAGGAAAUAUUCAAGUGAAAGAUUGGAUUAUAUAAUUCAAGAUUCCAAUAAACCUGAGCUGCAAAGGUUGCCUUCCACUAGCCUAUCAGAGACUAUGCUUUCUAUUUUCCUAGUUUUUUAAUCAAAAUUUUGCAAGAUUUAUUUAUGGAAAUCUUGGACAAAAUUUUAUGUAAGAUACCAUAAAGCCAAACACAAUCUUUUUAAUUCUCAGCAGCAACAUUUAAAGUGAAAAACGGGAAGCCAUAUAAAUAUAACUAUGUUUGGUCAAGGAACAAUUAUUUCAAGCUUUCAGAAAUGCUAGCAAGAGAUUGUAAGAGAACUUUACCUAGUCACAGAAUAUGUCAAACAUACUACCACCAACUGUCUUCACCACGAUUGUUAUGAAGUAGCUUUUGAAUCGGAAGAUUCCAGCUUCCACCAGGCACCAUUAUUUUCAUUCUUGAUACAAUCUGCAUCACUGGCAUUAGUUAUAUCAUCAACAUUUGCAUCCUCACUCUCAUCAUCCCAAUCAAGGCUUCUUCUCCAGCUCUGGACUAUAAGUCCACUCCGACAUCUUCAAACAUCUCGGUCCUUCCAUUUGCCAACAACCGAUAUGGCUUCCUUCCUUGCCUUCCCCAUUAAUAUAUCACUCGAAGGAAAAAACGCAUCAGCAAUUCUCUUCAACGCCUCAUCGUUUAUAACCACCCAAAAAAAGGGUCUUCAGACACCUCAACUUUGCUUUCGGCAAAACCUCCACAAAAUCUGAAUUAUCCAACACAACAGCCAGACACUCAAUCCUUCUUUUGUCCAUCAUAUCCACCGUAUGAUUCCUCAACAAAAUAUCUACAGCUUGUGGCUUUUCUAACACUGUCUUGAUCCAAAACCCCGCUCUUUUCAACUCAUCUGCCAAUCCAUAACCCACUUUUGGAGUCAAAAUUGUCCUUGCAGCCCUUUUAUAUUUUUCCAUCUCCAUCGAAUACUUGCCACUCAAAUGGAAUUACCAGACAGGAAUCCCAGUAACAAGUCCACUCAACUUCUUCUCAUCCGAUCCCUCUUUCACUCUGGCGGAAACAUUAAUAACCAUUCACCAGCCACAAAUUACCCAAGUAAGUACUCGUGUCGUCAACACUUACCCUUCACUUCAUCUACGCAAACAAGAAUUCAAAUUGCUUAUUAGCUAGUGCUCGAGCGAAAGCCAAAAUAAAUUAAAUAUGUGUGUGUGUGUGUGUUAAAAGAGAAACGGUAGCGAAGUUAUUAUACAAUAAAGCAAACCAAAAUAAAUUCUACACUCAUGUGGGUGUUUCGGUCGCAAAAUCUGGACAAGAAAAAAUAAUAAUGAUACAAUCUCCAAAUAAAGAGCAUUCCUCUUGGUAAAAUAGACAAAUCCUAUAAAUUUUGAUUAAUGGUGCCAAAUGAAAGAGUUGUAAUUUCAUGUACAUUUUGUUAACAUGAAUAAGGGUACAAAAUAGAUAACAAAGUGAUAAAAACAAAGCUAAUCACAAUGAAUGAUAAGGUUUAGAGUAAACAUAAAGUUAUAAUCUUGAACAUAAGUGGCGCUCAAAGCCAUGAAUUUGAUAUCAUCCAUGAGGGGAGUUCAAACAACACCAUGUAAGAAGCAACAAGUGUUGAGAAAAAAAAAAAGUCAUUCUAACACAACAGAAUAAAUUGUAAAGAAAUCCCAGUUUGUAUAAAAGAAAGAAAACAAAAUUAAGGAAAGCAUAAGCACAACAAAAUUUGACUGAUUAUUAAAAAUGAGAAAUGAGUUAUAAUGAGAAUUUUGGCUUUGUGGUGAAAUAAAUUGGGAAGUAUCCAAAGUUCGCAUGUAAAUAAUGAAAAUGAUAAGAAGACGAAGGGAACAAAAUGAUAAUAAGCAAGCCAAAUAUUAAAAUGCAGAUUCUACGCUUCCGCCCCCCCCCCCCCCCAUACUUCAAGUUAGUGUCUUGCUAAUCAUUUUAGAUGUAUCAAUUACAAAGGGAGGCCAUCUAUUUAUAGUAAGCGUACGCCUCUAAUGCUUUGCCAAGUGUCCGUUGAUAAUGUGCUGAUAAAGUUUGUUGCACGUAUGAGUUGGUUAAGUCUGCUAGAAAUGCAAACGUGUAAAGCUUAGUUAGCAAGUUAGUUAAGGUUGUUACGAAUGCUUAGAUUCAGUUCACGUGUAUUGUAUGUAAUGCUUAGAUUCAGCUCAUGUAGAUUGUGUAUACAACUUUCUAAUAUUCUUUAGAUCUCAAUAUAAAUGCUUGUAAUCAACAAAUACAAUAAUAAGAGUCAUCAUUCUUCAUUUUCUCUCUGUUUCUCUCAUAUUUUCUCUGCAUCCAAACACAAUAAUCUCAGUUCUUGACUUGGUAUCAGAGUUGCAGUUUAAUUGUCAUGGCUUCCUUAAGCAUUCAAACACAAAUCAGUCUCCUUCAUUCUUUACCCUCACAAAUGCGAUCAAACUGGACAGAUCUAACUAUACGAUAUGCAAAUCUCAGAUCCUCUCUUCAGUGCGUGCCAAUGGACUUGAAGGCUUUCUUAAUGGAACUAAAAUUUGUCCAGAUCAGUUACUUACUCAAGAGAUUGAAAGUUAUGGUGUUGAAAAUGCUGUUGGUGAAAGCUCAGCUGCAAGCUCAGCUUAUUAAGUUGGCUCAUGUCCUCCAUCAGUGUUGAGAUACUUAGUCUUGUGGUAAAUUCUGAUUCUUCUCAUAAACUAUGGACUAAUCUUGAAGAAAAUUUUUGGAUUAGAAACAAUGGCUAAGAAAGCACACUUAAAAAUGAUGUUAAGCAAUCUCAAAAAGGGAUCAAUGACAAUAACUGAGUAUUUUGCCAAACUUAGAGCUGUAACUAAUAAACUUGCUCUAACUGGUAGCCCUGUUUCUAGUCUAGACUUUAUUACUCAUCUAAUCUCUAGAUUAGGCCAGCCAUACUACCCUGUUGUUUUGUAUAUUGAAGCUAAUAUGAUGAAAGUAUUUGUCAAUGAAGCAUAUUCUAUGCUUUUAACUCAUGAAGCAAGAAUUAAAGCUAAUCAUCCAAGUGCAAAUAAAGAAGCAAAGUUGAAUUAUGCUGCUAACAUAGCUUAGGCUGGACCUAGUACUAAAUAACAAUAAGAAGUCUAGUAAUCAAGCUAAUUACUAUCAGGGCAACCAAGGUAACUGGAAAACAAAUGCUCAUUGUUGUGGUAACAAUGGAGGAAGAGGUGGCUUUGGCAGAGGUUUUUCAGGGCAAGGAAGGGGUAAUUAGAAUAAUGGUGGUCAUUCGAACAAUGGACCUUGGAGUAGUAGUUGAGGAGGCUAUAAUGGUUCUGAUAUAAACAAUAUGACAUGGUUGCUGGUGAACUUGUAAACAUAACCGAAAAAGUAAGAAGGCAUAAUUUUUUAAUAAGAAACUCAAAAAUGUAUUAAUGAUGAAAAUUUUCAAACAGAUAGUGGACCAGCUGUCCAGUAAGAAAACAAAAAAUUGAAUAUUUGUGCUAUAAAAAGGCACACCCAAUCUCACCCCUUUAAAAGGCUAGAAUCAGCUACAAAUCCCUAUCUCAAAACCCCAUCCCAGUUUAGAUGAAUGAAGAAAAAAGAUGAAUCUUGAAACUCCUUAGAAACUGAAGCCCAAAGUGAAGCAAGAAGAUGAACUCUAUCCCAAGCAAGCAAUAUGGCAUAUUUCUCCAUUAAUGGUUCAAAUAAAGUGAAUGGCUUUCUCUGAUGAAUGGGAGAUUGUCAAGAUCAAUAGUCAAACUCACGCAAAGUAAACGGACUUAGUUCUCAGAGGCUACUCGUUCUAAGUCUGAAAGAAAAAUUUUCUAAUUUCUAAAAAUUAUAUGGGGAAAAAUCAUUAUUUUCUAACAUGGAAAAUUUGAUACGGUGUUUAAUGUCAGAUCACAAUAAUAAUAUGAGUACUAACAAAAACAUCUUUAAUCGGCAUGGUGCAAGUAAAACCCCAUCACUUCAUCUUUGAUGGAAAGAUGAUAAUCUAAGGAGAUGGUGAAAUGGUUUUGGUCCCUGGCAACUUGCAAUCAAAAGAAAACAAAAAACUACACUAUCAUUAAUGAUUACCGAAGCUACUGAAGUAUCAAAAUCGGAAAGUAAACAAUUGCAAAACACAUCAAUGACUGGAGGUUAGAUUCUAAAACUUCCGCAUUUAAUUUUCAGAGCAUGUUAUGUAUUAUUCAAAAAUAUGCUUUCACUUCAGGCAAUUGACCAAGACGCAUUAAACAUAAAACGUGGCGUUUUCAUGGACUAGUACAUUCCAUGCUUCGAAAGUUUAGGGCCCGUUUGGUAGCGUUUUUUACCCAUUGUUUUCAUUUUUGUUUUUAUAAUACAAACAUAAUAUAUGUUUGGUGAGAUGGAUUCAAAAAACAAAUCACAAAAUAACAAAUUCAGAUCCAGUGUUAUAACUACAAACAUGAAAACGUGUUUAACAUGUUUCCUAAAUAUUACAAACUAAACUCAAAAAUAGAUUAAGAAACAAAACUCAUUCUCUUCGGCAGCAACCCUCUCCCCCCUCUCAUCGUUGUCAAUCUGGUCACCCCACCCCCCCCCCCCCCCCCCCGCAAUCGUUAUCGAUCUAGUCACGGCAGCAGUGCUUUCUCCUUUUCUUACUCCAACAACACUUUCUCUCUCCUUAUCUCCUCAUCCUUUUCUUCGGUAGCAGUCUUCUCUCUACCCCUCAUCUUUCUCGAUGUGGUCACGGCAGCAGUUCUCUCUCUCCUUUUCUCCCUCCAACAACACUUUCUCUGCCGCUGCUGCAACUUCGUCUGUACCGCGGCUGUCCUUUGGUGUGCCGUACUCUCUCCGUCGUGGCCGUUGCUGCUCCGUUUGAGCAUAGCCACUGCUGUCCAUCUCCGUGUAGCCACCGUCGCUCCUACUUGAUAGACUGAACUGCUGCAUCUCUCUCGGCUUGCUGGUAAUUUUUUUUAUUUCAAAAAUUUUUUUUUUAUUUCAGUAAUUGUUUGAAUAAUUUUGAGAGAUUUUUUAAAGCAUGUUAAUUGUGUAUUCCCUCUAUUCAUGCCAAAAUAAUUUUGAGUAAUUGUUUUAGAUUAUGAGUAAUUGUGUUGAUUUGAAAACAAAACCGUGUGAAUAUAGUUUUGCUACACUUUGAUUUUGUUUGCGGAAUGGAAAAAAAAGGAAGCGAUGAACUGGAAUUGGGGGAUUUAAUUGUUGUUAUGUUGUUGCUUCGUGUGCUUUGUUAUUAUGAGUUUUAAUAAUUUUGAGUAAUUAUUUUAGAUUAUGAGUAAUUGUGUUGAUUUGAAAGCAAAACCGUGUAAAUAUAUUUUUGGUACACUUUGAUUUUGUUUGCGGAAUGAAAAAAAAAGGUAGCGAUGAACUGGAAUUGGGGGAUUUGUAUUAUGCUGCUGCUUUAAUUGUUGCUAUGUUGUUGCUUUGUGUGCUUGGUCAUUAUGAGUUUUAAUAUUUUCUCUAUGUCAUUGAAUCGAAAUGCAAGCUGGAAAUUGUAAUUUCAGAUAAAUAUAUUUGGGGAAAAGGAUGAUUGCCGAAUAGCAUUGUAUUUGUGUUUUAAGGAUGAAGAAUACAAAUAUCUGUUUUUGUUUAUGCCAUGAAAUUCUUUAUGCCAUUAAUUUGAAUUGGUGAAGUUGUAUUGGAAUAUUUUUUAUUUUGGACUGUUGAAUUUUUAAUUUAUGACAUAUUGGUAAAAUGGCUUUCAUGCUAUGUUGAAUUUGAUUAAUUUCAAAAGUUUGAGCUAUGUAUGUUUAGAAGUAGUUUAUUUAAUUUCAUUAAUAUUUGAUACAUGUUAUUUUUUCUAAUUUUCUAGUAACAAGAUAUGGAUCCACAUGAUGUUGAUGGUGAGGAUAGCAAGAUUUGGUUACCAGCGAAUGUCGCAGAGAUGAAUGCUAUAAGAGAUGGGAUUGCAGCUUCUAUGAGGCACGAUUACACAUAAUGCAUAAUGUGUACCAUAUAAUUUUUUAUAAUUAUUUUGUUGAAAUCAUGUGUUGUAAUAUAUAUCUUAAUUAUAGUGUAAAAACAAUGACAAUGUAAAACUUUUUUUAAUUAAUGGUAAUUAUAAAACUUUAUCAUCAUUUAAUUUUUUAUAAUAAUUUUGCUUAAAUUAUUAUGGUAUAUUUGUGUAUGUAAUAUUGUCACAAUUAUUUUCUAACUAUAAUUAUAACUUAAAAUACUUAGUAAAAACUAUUUUUGAAAAAGGUAUUACCGAACACAUAUUAUCUGUUUUUAUUAUUUUCAACUAUAUCUAUCAAACGCAUAUCACUGUUUUCAGUUUGGAAAUAUAGGAUACAGAAAAUGAUACCAAACGUAUACUUAAAUUCAAAAUACAGCAACUGUAAAACACCAUUUUCAUUUUCAUUUUUAUUCUUAGAAAAUACAAAUUCAGAAACAAUACUAAACGAACCCUUAUGUUUUAGACUGAUUGGUUUGAUACAUUAUUUGUUUAUUGCGUUUUUCUUGCUUUAAAUAUUAUGUUGGAUUGAUAAGCUUUGUACACAUUUAUAUUGCUCGCAGUAAAUAAUUUAUGACAUUUAAAAAACUAUCAACCGUCUGUCAAAAGAUUUCUACUAUAAAUAUAUAUACACAAAAAACUUUUAAUUUGGUCAAUUUGUUCUCUUAUUUAUUUUUGUUCUAUUUCUCUUUUCCUUUCAUUUCAUUUUAUUGUUUUAUGGUACAAAAUAAAAAAAAAAAUAACAUUAAAAUUUAAGGGUAAAAUACUCAUUUUACUAAAAUUCCGUUUAAUAUUAUAAAGCUGUCAAAUGUCAAUGGCAUAGGACACGAGUGAUACAAAUUAAAAACAAUAAAUUGAAAGUUUUUAUGCAUUUUCCUUUUAUUUUUUUUAUAGUCGAUUGAGAUUUCCCUUCAUAUUUUUAAAUUCAAUAGGUUUAGACUGUUUAACAAAUCUUAAAUUAAAAAAACCCGCGGUGUAAUAAUAAACUCACAUCAAACCCUGUACACUGUCAUCCCUAAUUAUAUUUACCACUAAUUAUAUUUACCACUUCAUACUCACAGUGAUAAUAACUGUGUAUCAUAAUUGAUUUUGCAUACGGGUAAAAGUUCCAAGUCCGGAUAUUUAGUUAAUGAAAUUUGAUGAAAAGGGCAUGAAAGAAAAUAAGAAAUUAAAUAAUACAGGUGGUAUUAAUCAUUACAUAUUUAGUUAAUGAAAAUUGAUGAAAAUAUUUCUGCUGACGUGAGCCAUAAUUAUAUUACCGUUAAGAAUGAAGCAGAAGAGUUUCCCCAAACAAGCUAAAACACAGCACUUCAAUUUAAAGAAUUUUUAUAUCACAGUACAGUAAGUUAAUUCCAUAAUCUAUCUCCAAAGAAAGGCAAACACAAGCUUAUAAGAUUAAAACUUUGGAAAACAUUAAAGAGUCAGACAAAAUUGUGUAAUCUUCAGAGUUUGGAGCCUAGUUCAUCCAGGAAAGCAAAAGAAAAUAAUAAUAAUAAUAAUAGUGGUGGUUUGAUCUCAAAAGGUGGCAUCAAAGCGGUAACUUUGGGGUAUUGGAAGCUAUAACAUCUUCAACUUUGUCCUGAUUUCGAAGUCCCUUAACCCAUCCGCCAUCAAUGGAUUGAAAGCUUCCAUUCAACCCAUCAUCCACAAAAUCACCAACCCGUUUCACCUUCAUCUCCUUGGGCUUAACAGGGUACUUUCCAGUGAAGCAAGCAAAACACAAAUUCUGAGAAUCAUCGCCUAACAACUUGUUCAGGCUGUUAAUUGGCAGAAAAGCAAGCGAGUCACACCCAAUAAACUCCCUGAUUUCCUCGACGCUCAUCCUGUUGGAAAUCAACUCCUCACUACUUGGGGUGUCCACUCCAUAGUAACAAGAAGCUAUGAUUGGUGGGCUUGCAAUUCUCCUGUGAACCUCUUUAGCUCCAGCCUCCUUAAGCAACCGAACAAUUUUCGAUGAAGUUGUUCCUCUCACUAUUGAAUCAUCCACAACCACAACUCUCUUUCCCUCCAACACUCCCCUUACAGGAGAGAGCUUAAGCUUGACACCAAAGUCCCUAAUUUUCUGGGAAGGCUCAAUGAAAGUUCUCCCAACAUAAUGUGACCUUAUCAACCCUUGUUGAAAUGGCACCCCGGCUUUCGCAGCGUACUCAAGUGCAGCCACCACUCCAGAAUCUGGUACUGCAAUCACGACAUCACACUCAACAGGAGCCUCGGUAGCAAGUACUUCCCCAAAAUGAUACCUCGACUCAUAAACAGACCUUCCAAAAACAACAGAAUUAGGCAAAGCAAAAUAAAUAUGCUCAAAGAUGCACUGCUUAGGUUCAGGGUGAGGCAUCAAACAAGGUGAUUGAACCCCAUCUUUAUCCACCAUCAAAACUUCACCGGGAUAUACCUCUCUCUCUCUCUCUCUCUCUCGUAUGUGGCCUCAAUCAAAUAGUGCACAAGUUUCUGAUGCAAAAACCACAGCACCGUUACUCCUCCUACCCAUCACCAAUGGCCUAAACCCAUAUGGGUCACGAACCGCAACAAGCUUAUCCUCAGUAACAAACACCAUUGAAUACACACCCUCAAGCUUCUCACAAGCAUCCACAAUCCUCAAAAAGAACGGCCUAGCUUUCGAUAUCGCAAUCAAAUGGAGAACAACCUCAGUAUCAGAACUAUUAUUAAAAAUGGAACCAUUAUCUUCAAGCUUAGCCCUCAAAGUAUUAUAAUUAACUAAAUUCCUAUUAUGUGCAACACCAACAGAACCAAACCUGUACCCAGCAACAAAAGGCUGCACAAUCUUAAGCAUAGAACUACCGCAGUCGAAUAUCUAACAUGACCAAUGGCCAUAUCACUAGGCAAUUGAUCAAGUUUAGACUGAUUAAACACAUCAGAGACUAAACCAACACCAGUAAUAGACUGAAGAACUUUGUUAUUCACAGCAACUAUACAGUGGCGAAGGGUACUUUAAGUAGAGGGGAACUUGUUCUAGGUUUUUUCCUGGAAUUGUGAGGGAAUCUGAUCCUGUGUUUGUGCAUAUGAUUCAAUUACUUAUAGGUGAUACUGUUGUGUCACCACAAAAUCUAAUUGGGAAGCUUCAGCUGUCAAUUUUUUUUCCUUGUGGAACAUGAAAAUUGAUGCAUGUUCCAAUGCAUUGCUCUGUCAGAAUUGGAAUUAAACUUAGUUUGUACUCUCCUAUUCCGAAAGCAAAACUUGUAAGUGAUAUUAUAAGAAGAAGAAAUUAAGAACCAUAACAAAUUUGAUGAUUCUAAUUUGCUAGAAAUAUUGCAAUCCAAAACUAAGAAAGUUAAAACCAAUUAUUAGAAGAAAAAAGUAGGACGGAAGCUCCCAGAAUAUUGUUAUGUGUUGUAUGUUUUCAGUUUGUAUUUCUCAAUCAAUAAGGAAAAGUAAGUACACAUGUUACAAAAAUUUAAUAAAAAAGAUUGGAGGUGACAAAACCGUCAAUCUUCUAAUUAACUUUCUCUCCUUUCGAAUUUCCUGAGUUUGGUAGAGACUGCUUAAGUGGUGUAUCUAUUAUAAACAGGCAAAACUAUGUUGCAACAGUGGUAUGGUACCACUGUUGCAACCAGCCAUUGAAUCGAUAGUUGUAUAGUUAUAUUAGAAAGAUCCAAUGACCGAAAGCAACAGUGAUAUCGUAUCACUGUUGCAACAUAGCUGGACCCAUUAUAAACACAUGAAGUCAAAGUUAAUGUUUUAAUUGUUAAGAAAAGUUAGAAGAAGAAAUUUUUGUAUAAGAGAAUUGUGUUUAAAUUUAGAAUUCUUUGGGAGGAAAUGAGUCUAAAUUCCAAUAAUAUAAUUCAGCACUAUUUAUAUAUAUCAUUAGUUGGGUGAAAAAUUAAUUUCCCUCCUUUGAUGUGAUUUUCAUCAUUAAUUGUUCAUAUGAUGGUAAUUUUUUGUUUAGAGUGAAGUUAUUGGCACCCUUUCAUUAUCCUUAUAAAAUCCUACUUCAAAUAAAAUUACACUUAAAAGACAAUAGAAUUAAAUAACAUAGUUUUUUUUUCAAACAAAUUAUUCACAUUCAUAAUUUUUUUUCUUCUAAUUUUCUACAGGUUGCUUUGUAUCUAACUAAAAUAAAUUGUACAAAUUUAGAAUAAUUUAUUUUUCUUUUUAAAUUUCUUAUUGAUUAAAUAUUUGUGUACUUAAGAUAGCUUUAAAAUUAUAAGAUAAAAUAUAUAUAAUUUAAGCCAAUGAUUAACAUUCAAAAAUUUAUCUCUCAUAAAAGUUUUUAAUUUGUGCGUAGGGUAAUAAUAAAAUUGCAAAAGAAAUGAAAAAUAGCAUAGCACUAUUUUGAGUUUAAACAAUAAAAAAUUAAAUGAAAAAUUAGAAGUGUAUUUAAAAAAAGGAUAUUUUUGAAAAAUAAAAUAAAUAUAAUUUUAAAAAAAGAGUUUCAUGUGGGGUGCAACAGUUCAACUCUUUUGUUUGUAAGUUUUAAGAUGUUGGUAUCCUUAGCUUAGCUUUUCCCUAAUUAUUAUAUUAAAAUGUAACAACAAUGAUGAUCAACCCUAAUUUCAUGGAGGUCAAAGAUUUUGGUCAUGCCGCAUUAAUUAGUUCGGUCAUACUUUCUACAAAUUUAUUUACAUUUAAUAAUUUGACCAAGACUAGGUAAGGUGCCGCCUGGAGUCAUAGAAUUUUAUAUGUCAAAAGUGCGUUUCACUUCAAUUAAGCCAUAAAUGUCGUUUAAUAUGCUCAUUUUGUAUAUUUUUUUAAAAAAGUUUUAUUAAUUUUUUUGUUUUUAAAAAUAUCAAUUAUUUUUUUAUUUUUUAAAAUUUUUUUAAAGGUAAAGAAGUGGGUAAAAUCUAAAUUCAAAUUUUAUCCCUUAUGUCCUGGUCCUAAGAUUUGAACUCAUGUGAAUAGCCAAAUGUAUAAUAACAGGUAUUUCAAUUUUCAUUUUAAAUGAUAUGCUAUUCAUUAAGUGAUUGUUAAUUUUUUAUAAGAUUAAAAUGAAUUAAUUGUAUUAUCUCACUAAUUAAUUGAUGAAUGUCAUAUUAUUUGGGAUAACUUUUGAAUAAAAAAAUUGUGAUGGAUGAAAUAUUCUUUUGAGAAUUUAUUGACUUAUAUCAUUUAUGACUUAUGGUUGCAUUUAAGUGAUAUUGCAAAUAAUUUUUCCGAUAAUAUUAUUGUUUUGAUGAGUAAGUUUGGAGUAAGGAAAAUUCUAUGAUGCCGUAAUUAAAAAUAAGGCAUUAAUGCCGUAAUUAUUAUGAACCAUUAGAUUAAAUCAACGGUUUACAAUAAUUAUAAAAUAAUAAAAUUUUUUAAUUUAAUUACAUCUAACCGGUUAUAAUCCGGUUAAGUACUUUUUAAAAAUAAAAAUUUACCGGUAUAACUUUAAAGGAAAAAAAGAAGAUUUACGUUUUAAAGAAAUAAAAAAAAUAUAAAGGGAAAAUUCGUUCAUAUUGAAAUCCCUAAUUAACGAAUUCCAAAAGAAACCCACUGCCGCGUUAACUUCCGUUCAAGUGCACCGGCGAUACGUCUGCAGAUUGCAGCCAUUGAGCUGAUUUUUUGUCUUGUUCGAAUUGCUGAGUCUUUGCCGUCGCUGCCUCUAUCUUGGUUUGGCCGUCAUCCCUGUGCAAGGUAAGUUUAAUCCUCUGUCUCGCUCGAAUUGCUAAGCAAUUUCGUUUUCUUUCAUGGUCAUAAUUUGUUCACGGAAUUGACUCUAAGAAUUAAGAAGUCGCUGCAAAGUGUUUGGGUUUGCAUAGUUUUCUUUCAUGGUCAUAAUUUUUGCAUUUGUUCACAGAAUUAAGUUCCUGUGCAAAGUGUUUGGGUUUGCUGGCUAACGCGAUUUUGUUUUCCUCCAAUACUCUUUUCCUGCCAAUCAUUGCUUUGGAAGUUGCUUGAAGCAAAAACAGAGGUGAAAAAGAAGCAAAAAAGAAAUAUGGAUAAAUUAAAUUAAGAAAUAUAGAGCAUGCACUAGACUUUGAUAUGAUUUUUUCUUGUUAUUACAAGUAAUAUGGAUAAAUUAGAUUAAUUGAUUUAUUUUGCUGGUAAUAUGGUUGUUUGAAUACACAUUAAUUGUGAAAUAAAACAAAAAAUAUGUAAACCACACAUAAAACUAGUAAAUUAAUGAAAAAAUGAUCAAUUAAUGUUGAAAUUGUAAUUUGUACGAAGAACUUGUAAACAAAACAAAAACUUAUAAAAAUGACAUAGAACUAGUAAAUUGACAUUAAUUGUGAAAUAAAACAAAAAAUGUGUAAAUCACACAUAAAACUAGUAAAUUGAUGGGAAAAUGAGUAAAUUAAUGUUGGAGUUGUAAUUUGUACGAAGAACUUGUAAACAAAACAAAAACUUAGAAAAAUGACAUAGAACUAGUAAAUUCACAUUAAUUGUGAAAUGAAACACAAAAUGUGUAAAUCACACAUAAAACUAGUAAAUUGAUGAAAAAAUGAGUAAAUUAAUGUUGGAGUUGUAAAUUGCAAGAAGAACUUGUAAAUUGACAUUAAGUGUGAAAUAAAACAAAAAAUUUGUAAACCACACAUAAAACUAGUAAAUUAAUCGAAAAAUAGGUAAAUUAAUGUUAGAGUUGUAAAUUGUAAGAAGAACUUGUAAACAAAACAAAAACUUGUAAAUGUUGCAUAAAACUUGUAAAUCAACAUUAACUUGUAAAAGUUUCAUAAAACUUGUAAAUCACACAUAAAAUUGGUAAAUAUAACCUGGAACUUGAACAAAAAAGAGUAAUUACCUGCUACUUAGGUAACAAGUUACCUAUUUAUUUAGAAUUAAUGGUAGAGAUUUUUUAUUCAAAUCUAACGAUUCACGUCCAUUACAGCAUCAAUGUCGUAAAUUUAGUUAUAGAAUGACCCUUGGAGUAAAUAAUACAUAUGGCAAGUGUGAGGUUUGUUAUUGCAUUUAUUUUGUGGAUCUCUUUUAAAGCCAAAAAAAGACAUUUCAAUUCAUUAUGAUUCCAAAUAAUUUCAAGGCAUAUGUCAUUAUUGGGAUAAAAAUAAAGUAAAAUGGUUAAAACUAUUUUUAUUAAUUUAUAAAAAUUAAUGAAGCAACUACAAAAAUUUUUAAACGAAAAACAAUUGAAAUGUGUGUGGAAAAAGAAGAAAAAAAAUAAGGCAUUUAAAUAUCUUCUUAAAAAAUACGAUUGAGUAAAAUCAUUUUAACAGAAUGCUCUUCCAAAUACAAUUCCACAAUAAUCAUUUUAACAAAAUGCUUUUCCAAAGAGAAACACACACACACACAAAGAGAUUAGUGGGGAGAUAUAUGAGUGUGUAAUUUGUAUAUAUAUCCCCAUUAAUUGUUGAUAGUCCAAUGGGUAUAUGCAAAAGGAAAAACUUGGCUGUCCUUUAAGACAAAAUUGACUGUCACGUGAAAAUGUUAGCACACUUGCCACGCAACGAAAAUAAAGAUUCCAAGAACAACUUUAUGGUCCCCUUUCUGUCCAAACAUAUGCGAUGGAAAUUAGUGUAAACGACACUUGAAAUAUAUAUGUAGAUCCUCACACAAUUGAUUAAAUAUUUAUAGUAGGGUGGAGUGAUAAAUAGUUUCACAAAAUUAUUGGAAUUAACUAUUUAAUACAUGAGAUCUAUCCCAUUAAGUAUAAAAGAUUGAGUGCUGCUUCAAAGGCAUGACGUUGAUGGCAACAAAUUUAACACAAAAAUUUAAUUAACUAUCCUAGUUGAGAUAUUAAAAUCUCGUGUUGAAAACAAAAGGUUUGAGGUUCGAACCUUCUGAUUCAAGAAAAUCAAGUCAAAAUAUUACAUCUUCCAGCACAUAUCAAAGAUUUUUGCAAAGGCAGACUGAUAAUUCAGGGUAAAACAAAAAAAAAAAAAAAACAAAAGGACUAUAUGCUAUUCAAGACAGGUAUACCUUGGAUAUGAAGUCUGAAUCCAAAACAAGAAGCACCUAGCUGAUCUUUCACUUUCAAUUUCCAAAACCCAACAAAAUCUUUGUCAAAAUAUAUGAUCUAGUCCCAUAUUAAGCACAUUCAUAGCCGUAUCAACAUGUUCAAAAUAUUUUCCCCAAAAUGAGAUAAAGAUUCCACUGAAGUUGAGUUGUGAAUGUCCCAACAUUCUGUAAUUAUAUGGUUCAGGAUACCAUGCCUAUGAAUCUUUUUUUUUUUUUUCAUGUUUCGAAGUCUAUCAAAUGAAAAUGUAAUUAUAUGGUUCAGGAUAUCAAUAUGCCGGAGCUGCAAAGGUUGACUUCUACUAUCCUAUCAAUGUCUAUACUUUCUAUUGAAUUUCCUUGUUUUUUUUUAAAUUGCGAGAUUUAUUUUUGGAAAUCUUUGACAAAUUUUAUGUAAGAUACCAUAAAGCCAAAUACAACCUUUUUUAUUCUCAGCAGCAACUUUUUUUUUUCCUUUUAAAAAAAGGAAGCCAUAUAAAUAAUGCUUAAAACAUUAUUUGCAACAAGGAACAAUUAUUUCAUGCUUUCAUGUAUUAGAAACUUUCCAAAAAUGCUAGCAAGAAAAUGAAAUGGAACUUUACCUAUUGAUGCGAGAUUCUGAUUUGCUGAUCGUCCACGACAAGGAUCUCUCCUCAACUAACUCGUCCACGAUCAGGAUAUCUCCUUGUAAUCCUUCUUCUCCGCAAGCUCCUGCGUACACAGAUACAGGUCAGAGCACGCCGGGUAUUUUCCCGGCGUAAAUCCUCCGACGCUCAAGUCAGAAAUGUAGGCUUUGCCUUUCUGGGAAAAACAGCCACAAAUCCUAUGGCUCUUUUACGAUUUCUUAAUAGGAGCUCUCUUUUUCUCAGUUAUAAUCUCAAAAAGUCUAACCCUUUUACCUUCGUUGGCUACCUUUUUAUAGGUUCUCUCUGGAUCCCGGCCUUCCACAACCCACGUCCAUUACCUCCCCCCAACUCUCGGAAGUGGACGCUCCGUUAUCGUAGUCGUGGUUGGAUAAACUUUGUGCCUUGAUUCUCGGAUAGGCGUGCACGCACGUCUUGCCAACCGUCGUUGACCGGGUCUCCUCACCUCAACCUCUAGCAGGAAUAGUUUUAUGCUCCUGGUAGGAGGUCAGCUCCCGUUGUGGCCCCGUGGAUGGUACACUCGUGAAUGAGCAGGAACAAUCCUGCUCGUAUUCACCUGCUACCAGACUUCUGCGGAAUAUAUCUAUUCGCGAGAUCCUGCUACCAGGUAUUUGCUCAUCAUGGCCGGUCUUGUCGAGGUAUAUCCCCUAAACAUUACCUAGUCACAGAAUAUGUACUGCUGUUAGCCCAAUUGUUAUGAAGUGGCUUCUGCAUCAGAAGAUUCCCGCUCCUACAAAGCAUUGUUAUCUCUCUUCUGAAUACAAUCUACAUCGCUGGGCAUGAGUUAUAUCAUUAAUGUCUACAUCCUCACUUACAUCAUCCCAAUCAAGUGCUUUUUCUCUACAUCUGGAUUAUAAGCCCACUCCAAUCUCUUCAAAACAUCCCAGUCCUUCCAUCACAACUGAUACGACUUCCUUCCUUACUUCCCCAUUAAUAAAUCGCUCUGAGAAAAAAAAAGCAUUAGCAAUUCUCUUCAACGCCCCAUCAUUCAUAUCCCCUACAACAACCAUCUUCAGACACCUCAACGUUGCCUCUUGAAAGACCUCCACAAAAUCCGAAUCAUCCGACACAAUCAUCAAACACCGUAACCAUCUUUUGUCCACCAUAUCCACCAUAUAAUUCCUCAACAAAACAUUGGCAUCUUGUGGCUUAUCUAACACCAUCCUGACCCAAAACCAUGCUCUUUUUAACUCAUCUGCAAAACCAUAACCCACUUUUGGAGUCAAAAUUGCACUUGCAGCCAUUUUAUAUUUUGCCAUCUUUAUUGAAUAGUUGCCAACCAAAAGCACUCUCACCUUCCCUCUAGCUGAUUCUAUUUGAUUCGACGUUUUCUUUUAUUCGCCCUCAUGAAUUUGCUUAGAAUGAUUAACAAGCUUGUCAUUAUUAUAAAAUCUCCUUCCAUAAUCACCAAUACAUACGGCUUAGCAGGCCUAAUUACACCAUUGAUUUCUAAUUGGUUAAACAAUUCUCUUUCUUUCUUUGCUCUCUUACAACUUGAGGCAUAUAACUAAACCCGUGGCUAUUAGCAUUUGCCACCAUGUAUUUAACAAUCCCGAAUGAAGAUAUUGAUUUUUUUCAGUUUAAUUGCUGCUUCAAAACGGGGUACUGAAUUUGGAUUUUGUUAUCCAAAUACCAAAAAUUUCCCACAUUGUGUUGGACAAUUUUUGGUUCUAAAGUUGAUGACUGGUUUUGCGAAUCAAGCUUCAAAUGAGAACUUCUAAACAAUAAGACAAAUGGGUUUUUGAGUUUCUAAUCUUGUAAACUUUGUUCUAUUGUAUAAGUUGUGAAAUCGCUUAAACAUCACUACAGCUAGAGGUCUUUAUGUCACUACUAGAAAAAUGGGCUUUAUUGACACCAAUUUAGUGUCAGUAAUUACUUUUGCUGACACUUGUUAAUUGUGUCAGUAAUGCUCAAGCCAGAACACACUGACACUAAUCUUUGGUGUCAGUGAUUUUUGCGUCAGUAUUUUGUGUCACUAUAGUAUCACCACCAUAGUGAUACUAUGAUGUUAGUAUCAGUUGAUACUAUUUUUAUGUCAGUAUUUUGUGUCACUAGAGAGUCACAAGGAUAGUGACUCAAUCGCGUUAGCAUUUAAUGAUACUAUUUACAUGUCACUGAUUUAUGUGACUACAGUAUUAGGAAUCCACUGACUCAGUAACAUCAAAAAUUCUUAUCGUCAUUUAAAUAAUUAGUGUCAGUAUUAACGGUGCUAUACCGGUUGUGUUUUAUUUUUUUUAAUGACAUUAUUCAUGUUUAUUUUACAAUUAAAAUAAACCCAAAAUAUAUUAAACAUACCAAAUCUUGUAAUGCAAUUCACAUAAUACACAUUUCAAAUACAUCAGUUAAAUUAAAAUAGUUCAAAUACAUCAUUGUUUGGGGGUAAAAACAUGUUCAAGUACAAAAUUAAGCUUUGAACAAGUAGUAUACACGAUAAAGUACUAAAUUAAUUUCGGAAAAUUUAGCCAAGAAGAAAAAACAAAUAACAAUGUCACUGAUUUUGGAGUCACUGAUUUUGGAGUCCGCAUAUGCCUUCAUUUUUUUUCCACCUACAAGUAUAUAAAAUCAAUUAGCACACCACAAAAAAUAAAUCACAGAUUUGUUUUAAGGAAAAAUAAUCAUAAAUUACUUGUAUGUUACCUCGCGAUUGUAGGCUGUAAUUAACUUGGCAACGUAUGUAGCCCACUGAUCACGAAGUCGCGAGAGGUCCUUGACAGUGUAUUCCUCAACUCCCUUGAACUUUAAUUUUAAAACAACAAGUUAUUCACCGAAAAUCCUUGACUAAACUACUUAAUUAUCAUUCAUUUAAAUACAUUUGUGUGUUAACAAUUAAAGCCAACAAAUAAACUCCAACAAUGUUACUGUUUUAUCCAAAAUUAUAUAGGUAAAUACUGAACAUCCUGAUCAUGGUAAUUCCAAAAAAAAAAAACUUGUGAACCCCAACAACAACAAUAUUUGAUAGCCGAAGCAACUUGUGAACCCCAACAGUACGCGAUUUAAUACAAAUAUGGAUGUACAUACAAAACCUUAAUUAGGAUGACAACUUAUCCUCAUCAAAGUAAAGUACAAGCAAUGACACCAUAGCACAUCCCCACUAACAACUACUUUGCAACCCAAACAAUUGUUUUGUGUUGGGAUAUGCAGUACAUUGUGUAUAUCCCAAAUCCUAAUUCAUGUCUAUAUGGAUAUUCAUAUAAUCUAUUCAACAGUAUGCAACAUAGUCACCAUUAUAAGUACCCUCACAGUUUAUAAAAUGCAUACAAUACGCAAUAAAAAGAUAACUGUAAAGAAGCACACAAGUGUUUGAGCUGAUUCAUUUCACAAUAAAUUAAAACAAUAUGAUACAGUAUUGUAAAAAUCAUUUUCAAUACUUACAUUAUUUUUCAGAACGUUCACAUUUGUGAUGAUAUCUUGCAUGUAUUUCAUCACAUAGUAACCACAUUCAAAGCUGCUCGGCUGCCUCGGACACUACAAGAUCAAAAUUACAUUAAUUUUUUACUGUACGUUAACAAUAAUUAGUUAGGUUUGUCUGAUUUUUACCUUGACAGGUAUCCAUUGAACAUUGGCCUUUGUAUCAGAAUUUAAACUCUGAUGUAUUCGAAUCCCCCUACAAUUAAGAGACAUAGCUAACGUUAGCAAAUAAUUAGCAUAAGACAUAAAAAUAAAAUAGCAUGAUCAAAGAUACAAAUAACAAACUUAACUGAUUGACAAUCUGCAUUAGCUCUUCAUCAGGACUACCUUCCAAAGGAUCAAGGUAAUAGGUUGUACGUCUCACCAUAUCAAUUGCCAAUAACACCCAGUGGGCACUAAACAAAGUAAAAAUUGUUCUCACACAUGAAUUACAAGUAAAAGUGAUUAAUCUACAAAUUAAAGAAUAUUACUAGCAAAUGAAAAAGGUUAUACCCAGGGUUAUACGGGAAUACGAUGACUUGUCCCAAUUCUGCCAAGCCUAACAGUUUUGAAAUGUAUUGAGUCCUGUCUUUGAAACUGACCCUUGGAUAUAGCUUCUCAAAAAGCCCAAACUGAACUGGUUUAGUACUUCCAUUGCUCUCCAUCUCCUCAUACAGGUGUCUAAGAGGAAACAAAUAUAUAUAACGAAGUAAGUUUGAAUAUAGGAAACAAAAUAAUAGGGCCAAGUUUACUAAAACAUAAGUUAUGAUUUACCGUACUUGAUCCAUAUGUUAAUGAUGCAGUUUGAGACCUCUUUAAACUCGAUGAUUUCAGCACAAAUCAUUUUGUCCAAGUGUGUUUCCCAAAUUUCACCAAAGGUUGCUGUGUCAUGCCGAAUCCUGAUCAACCGAGGUAAAGAAUUCUCGAUGAACAUGGUAAACAUGUUCAUAUAUUCACUCCUGUCAUUCUUUCUUGAUCGUGCUGCUGCCCGUGUAUUCUUCACACGUACAUUGAGGUCUUUUGCUGCUGGUCUGAUGACUCGGGGUUCUUUUUUGGCUAUUUCUGCUGGUCUGAUGACUCUGGGUUCUUUUUUGGCUACUUCUGCUGGUAUGAUGACUCUGGGUUCUUUUUUGGCUACUUCUGCUGGUCUGAUGACUGGUGGUUCUUUGUUGGGUACUUUGUCAUGACAGGAGAACUGCCUAUCUAGUACUUUAGGAGUUAGUCGAGGAGAUCUUCUCGGUGUGGGCUUUGAAGUAAUUUCACAAUCUACUUUUUCGGGGGUUUGUUGAGGAGUUGCUUGGGAAAUUGUGGUGGGACUGUCCUUGAUUUUACUCUUCACAGAUUUUGGAGUCGACUUACCCAAUGGGAAAUCAGCCUUUGCAAUAAUCAAAAUACAUACCAUUAGUAGUAAUACAUGCAUAUACAAAUGGAAAUAAAAUAAUGACAUGUAACAGGCCAUAUACCUUUCUUUUUCCAAGAGUUUCAGGGGAUUGUUGAUCAUUGUCAAUCUGAACACCAGUGGAAGUUUUGGGCUUAGGAAAGUUAGAACUUCCAACUUCAGUAUUGCUGUACGCAUUUAACCUUGCAUUCAUGCGUUCUAAUUGAGCAGACAUGAAUUGGAAACUCUCUUGAUACAUCUUUCUUUCUCUUGCUAACUCAGUGGCAUCAGGGACAUGAAAGUACAUAGAUGGGGUGACGAAUUGCCCCACUCCUUGCACCCUACUUCCAUUUGGCUGCUUCUGAAGAGCUUCACCUAGAAUGUCAUGUGACCCUUGUGAUUGGAAUGUUCCUUGUUCAACAUGACUCUUCAGUUCAUUCUACAAAAAAAAAUAUUGUAAAUCCGCAAUUACGAGUACAAGACAUCAGCUAAACUAAACUAAUAUCCUUCUUGAAUCUUUAACAAAGAGCAAAUCCAUAUACAGUUCAAAUUGAAACUACAGAAAAUAUUACAAGACAACACCUCAAACAAGUUUUAACCUUUUAAUAUGCGAAGAAAUAAGUUCUGAUGAAAUCUUACUGAGUUUCUGUCAAUUGUAAAUGUUGCCAUACAAUUAUUACAAAAAGCAGUAUAUAUGUACGUUAAUAUCUACCCCCACACACACAUAUUAUAAAGAAAAUUCAUAAGAAUUAAGUAUACAAGUGGCUUACUAUUUUCUCAGCAAUUGGCGUCACAUCAGAAGCAUAUUUGCCAUCUCGGUCUGCUCGUGCCAUUAACCAAGCUUCACUGCGAUCAAUCUCCCGCUCAGAAACUCCACUCUCCUUUUUCUGUUACAAGGUGACAUAAAACAUAAAUAAUUGAUUCUAUGAUAUUAUACGCAUUAGAUUACUUAUGUUACUGUAAUUACUCCAUAUUACCACACUUACUUUUCUAUACAACAUGCCACCAUAUCCUGUGCUACCCAAGCGAUGGUUGUAGACAUUCUUUGCUCUUUUGUCUUUUGCCUUCUUACUUUUUUCCUGCACAAACAGUUUAUAUGAAGAAUAAAAAGUUACCACUGAUUAUUAGUAACUACCAACAAUUACAUCAGGUAAUAUUAACAAACAACACACCUGAAAUUGUUCAGACAAAACUUUGUCAACAAAAAGUUUCCAAUCUUCUUUUUUAAUGCUUGGAUAUUCAAUAGGAGGCAACCUUAGUGACUUUCGAUCGUCCUUGUUAGGUAGAACGAAUUCAGUUGCCAGUUCACAACGAAAGUUUCUUGAUGCAACCCCCAUCCACUUUAAUACUUGGCUUUUGCAUUUCAAGCUCAAUUUGAAUUUUUUCUGUCAACCAAUAACAUGGAUUAGCAACAACUUUAAAAAAAUCUGGAAGUUAUAUAAAAUCUUUAAACAUACUAUGAAACAAGAAAACAAAACCUGAAAAUGAACCCACAAAGUUUCCUUCAUCUCCAGUGGCACACGCCUCCAAUCAUCAAGUAAAAUUGAAAUUGUUUCACGUACAAUGACUCCAAUGUAACUCCUAAGAUCAUUUCUUCCCUUUCCAACCGGAACACCAUAAGAAUUGUACUCAAUUGCAGCUUCAUGACUAACUUCUUGUUUUUGCAAACCUUUUUUUUUUGUUUGUUUUCUUCUCCUUGGUCUUCCGUCGAGCUCCGGAAGAGUGAACUCAACAUCGUCAGCCAUCUCCUACAAUCCUGAAAAUGAUUAAAAUAAAUAAGUAUAUCAUUUAGAUUAAUAAGUUAAUACAAGAGCAAUAGCAUAUAAUGAAAUAAAUAAAUCACUUACUGGAAAACUUUGAAAAUUGGUGCUGGAAACUAACUACAAUAAUGCAUUCACUGAUUUUCUAAAUCAAUAUCUAUUGGAAUAGCAUCACAAUCUUUUCUGUCAUAAAUUCCUUCAUCAUCUUUCUCAUCCAACUCACAUACUGGAAGUUUGUUAGAUAAUGGAGAAAAUACAUCCACGUCUUCACAUCUUUCCCCAUUUAACUUAUAAGCUUUGUCGGUCACUGAACAAACUAUUGAUUUAUUAUUCUCUAGCUGGUCCUUUACAUAAAAUACUUGCUUUGCAUGACAAGCCAGAAUAAAGCAAUCAGAUUUAUAGCCAAUCCGAUUUAAAUCAACUACAGUGAAACCUAAAUUGUCAGUGCAAACCCCUCUAUCAUCUACCCAAUCACACUUGAAAAGUGUUUUUUUAACCAUUAGAUAAUCAAGCUGCCAAAUCUCAUCAAUGACUCCAUAAAACGUCAUGUCUCCAAAAUGAGGACUUUUAUCUUUUGAGCUUGAAAUCUGUAGAGUGUUAGCAACAACCCUAACACCACUAUUUUGGGUCACACGAUUACAGUCUCGGUCCCUCGUUGUAAAAUUGAAGCCAUUUAUCUCGUAGCCAGAGAAGGUUACCACGCUUGAGCGUGGUUUGUUUGCUAACCAGCACACUAUUUCGUCAAUCGGCACAUUAUUUGCUUUAUCAUGUGCCACCUAUAAAUUAAUUUAACAAGUACAGUAAUUAGUAACAUGUAGAAAAAUCUUGUUAAGUUUAUAUCCUAUAUUGUAUUUAGUUACGUAAUUCUAACCUUUGCUUGUAACCAACCAGAAAAUGUUCGUAUGUGUUCAUUUUGCAACCACAGAUUUGUUUUUGCCUUAUAAGGGUUUCUUGAUGCCAAAUAAUGCAUAUGCUCCCUACAGUGAAACAUAUUAAGAUUUAAAAACUAGUAUAUUAAUCUAAUAAUACAAUAGUAAUAUUUUUUUGAAAAAUUAACAACUUACUCGAUAUAUAUUUGGAUUUCAGGGGUGUUCAUUAGAACACACCGGUGUGCUUGUGCCAACAAAGGAUCAUCAACCACCUUUAUGUUUGCACCUCCCAAAGGCUUUUCGAUAGAUAAAUCAGUUGGACAACCAGUAGGCAGCCCAAUAACAUCACAAUUUGAGAGGUACUCAGCACAAAAUGCAAGUGCUUCUUCUGCAAUAUAACUUUCUACAAUACAACCCUCAGGGCGGUAGCGAUUACGAACAUAAUCCUUGAGAGUUUUCAUUUGUCUCUCAAAAGGAUACAUCCAUCGAAGAUAAACAGGCCCACAUAACCUAACUUGUUCAACUAAGUGGACUGUUAAAUGGAUCAUUAUGUCAAAAAAGCUAGGUGGGAAGUACUGCUGCAGUAAGCAUAAAGUGAUUACAAGUUCCUCUUGCAAUUGGUCAAGAGUAUUAGGAUCUACCACUUUACAGCACAAUGUAUUAAAAAAGAAGCACAUCCUGAUUAUGGCCGUUCUCACAUUUAUAGGCAAACAGUUUCGAAUGGCUAGUGGUAGAAAUUGUUGCAUCAAAGUAUGACAGUCAUGGGACUUAAGGCCUUGAAGCCGACAAUCAUCUAUUGAAACAAGGUUUUGGACAUUGGAAGAAUACCCAUCAGGGACUUUCACACUCAGCAAGGUUUCACAAAACUGUUUUUUUUCUUUUUUACUCGAAGUAUAAGGAGCUGGAGGUAGGACUUUGUUUUUUUUGUUUGUUUCAUCAGGAACUAGUUUUCCCCUGAUCUUCAAAGACUCAAGAUCUUUUCUAGCAUUAAUCCCAUCUUUUGUUUUGCCUGGUUGAUGAAGUAAUGUGCCAUAUAUGUUUUCGCACACAUUUUUUUCAAUGUGCAUGACAUCUAAUUGAUGGCGAACUAAUAAAUGCUUCCAAUAAUCUAACUAAAAAAAGAUUGACUUUUUUUUGUACAAUUUUUCAGUUAUGUUCUCAUCACCACCACCACCACCACCGCCAUCAUGUUUCCGCUUUUUGGCCUUCUUUUUCCCGAACUUAAUAUCUAUAUCUUCCACCAUAUUAAAGAUUUCCUCACCAGACAAAGUUUUAGGAGGCUCAUUCCACUCUUGCUUCCCAUUAAAAACCUUUUUCAGUUUCCGAAAUAAGUGACCGAGUGGUAGAAAGCGGCGAUGGCCCAUAUAUGACAUUUUCCUACUAUGUGGCAGCCAACAUGCACAAGUGUCUAUCCCACAAAUUGGGCAAGCAUAAUAGCCCUUAACAGUACAACCAGAGAGGUUUCCGUAUGCUGGAAAGUCACUAAUUGUCCACAUCAAGACAGCCCGUAAAUUAAAGGUUUCUUUUCUAUAAGAAUCAUAAACAUCAAUACCUACAUCCCAUAGAGUUUUUAAGUCCUCAAUCAAAGGUGCUAGGUAUACAUCUAGAUCAUUUCCAGGUUGUUUAGGGCCAGAUAUCAAAAGUGACAACAUCAAAAACUUUCUCUUCAUACACAACCAUGGAGGAAGAUUAUAUGUUAUUAAUAUAACAGGCCAACAACUAUAAGUAGUGCUAAGUGUACUAUGUGGGUUAACCCCAUCAGUUGAGAGAGCUAAACGGAGAUUUCUAGGUUCUUGUGCAAAUUUUGGCCACUUAUUGUCAAUUAGUUGCCAGGCUGGUGAGUCUGCUGGGUGGCGAAGUUUGCCAUCUCUAAUUCUUUUAUUAGCAUGCCAUGUUAAAUUUUGAGCUGUUUGUGGUGAUUGAAACAAUCUUUUCAACCUAGGAAUAGGUGGAAAAUACCAUAAUACCUUUUUUGGAACCCCUUUCCUAAAUUUUGUUGAGCUAUCUUUUUUUUUUUAUACCUAGAUGCUCCACAAUUUGGGCAUUCAGCAAGAUCAGCAAAUUCAUUCCUAUACAAAAUGCAGUCAUUUGGACAUGCAUGUAUUUUUUCAUACUCUAAGCCUAACACUUUCAUUGUUUUCUUAACCUCGUACAUUGACAUAGGUAGAGUAUUAUUAUUUGGCAAAAUAUCAGCAAGGACUUCUAACAAAGCAGAAAACCCUGUAUCGGACCACCCAUAGUUCCCUUUCACAUUGUAAAGUCUCAUUAAACUAGAUAACUUUGAAUGUUUUGCACCCGGGUACAAAGGCUUUUCAGCAUCUUCAAGCAUAUCCUUAAAAGAACUAGGAUCUCUAUCACAAUGCUCGUAAGCAUCUUCGACCAUGUCAAUUAUAUUACUGUAAUCAUGACAUCUAAAUCUUUGACUAUGUGAAUGGUCUUCACAGUUUGUAAAUGUAGAUUUAGAGUCAGUCUCACCAUGCCAAGUCCAAACAAUAUAUCUUGGGAGAAAACCUUUUUCAAAUAAAUGAUCCUUCACUUGUUGAGGAGUAUGAAACUCCAUGUUACAACAAAAGGUGCAAGGACAUCUAAUUGACAUUCGAUUUUCAGCAUUCAAAAUGGCAAAAUCUAAGAAAUCAGCAACUCCAGAACGAUACUCUACAGACAAUCUAUCACAAGUUAUCCAACUUCUGUCCAUUUCAAAUAUUUUACCUGUUCACAUAUGUAAUGUUAGUUUAAGUUUAAUUAAAUUGCAUGAUUAAUUUAAAGUUCAAUGUUAUUAUGAUUAUAGUUGUAAUAAUAAACUUAUAAUUCUGAAAAAUCAUUAAUAGCCCUAUAAAUCAUUAAUUAUAAUAAUAAUUUAGACAAAAUCCUGAAAUUGAAACAAAAUAAGUUUUGAAACUUAAAUAGGAGAUUAAUAGGUAAGAUGGGUGCUAAUGGCUUUUUAAGUAGUCGAACUAAUUCAUAAGUCAAGUAACUAACAAAAGUUAAGAGUUCAAAUAAAUAAUGUCUUCAUACCACUUUGCAAGCCAUUUUUUAAGAUUCUAUAAAUCAUUUUUUAACUUCAAAUACAACAUGCAGAACUACUUUAAAACAAGCAUUUCUUUAUUGAAUCAAACACAAAUCAUCAACUUUAUACAAUCUCACAAUACUCACAACCACGAACUUAAUUAAUUCAUAUCAUAGUCAUUGUCUCUAUUACAAAUCGUCCAACCAAAACAGAAUAAAUAAACAAGUAGGAUUAUAUAACAAAAUUUGCCUCUCUUUACAUGAAACAGAGAUGUAAAUAGUUUGUAACCACUAAAUACACAGUCAUUCAGCCAAUAUAACACCCAAACAAUCAUCUCCUAAUCACAAAGGCAAAAGCUAAAAUCAAAUUUCAUAUUUUAGUACAUUCAAAAUCAACUAACUUAUUGCUCAAAGUUAAGAAACGGAGCUAACAGUUUAUUUCAGAAACUAAAAAAAAUGCACAUUCUUAGUUUUAAAUAACAAUGACAGUAAAUCACAUGCACAAAAGUUUGAAACUGACCUCAAAUGUGGCAGAAAAAACAGAGUCGCAGCAGCAAGUGUUUUGAGUUUAAGUAAUGCACCACUUAAAAUGCCUGUAUUUUUGGACUGCAUGUGAGUGAAGAUAUAGAAAAAUAAGAACAAAAAUUUCAAGUUACGAAUAAAUAAAUAAAAAAAAAUAUUUGGAAAACAAAACCCACCAGGGUUGCACGACUGUUCAAUUUCUGAAUAUCUGAAACAACCCAAAAAUAAAAAUUCAAAAAUAUUAUUCAUAAGCCAAAUUAAAACAAACCCAAUAAUUAAAUUGCACAAACAAAUAAAACAUUCUGCCAUUACCAGCUGAUAACCUCCUCUACAGUUCUUUCUCUGGACUUAACUUGUCAGGGAGAAUGAGAUUACCUGAAUACCGAACCGAUGGUGCCACUUCACCCCUUGUCGAUGGCUUUUACUUGCUUGCCUAGUAUAGGCACUGGAUGGUUAAGUUGGAGAAAAACCCCUUCGAUAACAAGCGAUUAGGGUUUUGGUUUGUGUUUCAAUUUGGGGAAAAUGGAAAAACGAAUCAGAGUUUUAGGUUUUCAUUAUCUAUCUAAAUUAAUUGAAUUUAAUUUGUAAAUGGAUAGUGCAAAACAGAAGAGAUCGAGAAGAGAAAAACGAAAGCGAAAGUGAACGAUGAAAGCAAGAUAGAGACAGUCGAUAUAGUCUAGAUGGGGAGAACAAGUGUGUUUUAUGUUAUUGUUAUUUAUAUUUUCAUUUUUUAAUAAUUUAAAUAUUAUUAUGACUUUGACUCAUCGAGAUUUGAUGGUCUGUGCUCCAAACAUUAAAGCUUUAAAUCUUAGAGCUCCCAGGUUCGAGUUGGAGCUAAAACAAAAUUUUUAUGAAUUUUUUUUAUCAUUGAUACUUUAGUGUUAGUGAUUUUUGAUGUUUAGUUUACUGACACCCUAGUAUCAUUAAUCUCUGAUUCCUAUUUGUCAAAAGCGGAAAAUGGUGCAUAUGUACAUAAGUACUGAUACUUUUUGCAAAGUGUCAGUAACGAAGUGUCAGUAAAGCCCAUUUUUCUAGUAGUGUCUGUCAAUGAACUGCAGAAGCUGAUGAUCUACCUGUAGUAGACUUCUAUUGCCCCUGUCGUUCUAGGAAGACAAAUAAGUUCAGGAACUACUUCUGGACCAAACUCAUAAUAUUGCCACUGCUUUGUGCCAAUCUACGAGGGAAAGCAUAUUGAAGUUCCUAAAUAAGGCACAUCACGAUUUGACUGAAGUACCAUUAUGAGGAACAAUUGAUUUUAGGAAAGCACUAAAAUAUGACAUAAUCUGCCCCUAAUGGUCUAAAGUAGUCAAGAAAUUAUAUCAACCAAGCAGAAACACAUAAACUAGUUGAGAUACAAAGUUAUUGUAAAAGUCAAUUUUGAUCACAAAUCCAUUAAAAUUAAAAGACAUCAGAAACUUAGAGAACAUUAUAAUUUAGGACUCAGCUAAGUUGCAGAUUCUGUAACUAACAGCUGAGUCCACAUUGGUCUUGCAUCAGCUAAGUUUGGGUUGCUUUCCCUCUCUCCUGCAACGCGUGGAAGCGCCCCAUUUGCUGUGUUAUAUACCGAGUCAGUACCGUAACAAGCUCCUAUAAUUUAAGUUUGAUUAAUGUAGACAAUAGUCUGCCUCUGCUCAAAAGCUAUGCUGCAAGAUAUAACAUCUUUGCAAUGUUAUACUUUCUAAAAGUAAUAAGAAAUGAAACCAAGGGGUAAAUCGAACACCAAAAGAAAUUUAGUCGGCCAACCACAUUAUGUUCCCACACAGUCCACUAAUUAAGUUAAUAAUUAAAGGAAUCAAAAUCUAAGAAAUCUAAGAAAUCGGCCAACCACAUUUUCCUUUUUCUCUCUCCGCUACAGUAGUCGCUAAUUGACCCAAUUGAUGUUCAAGCUUUAGAAUAGCUUGAGUGUUUGACUGAAAAGCUUGUUGGGUUGACUGAAUGAAACUUUGAAGUGUAUCCUCUAAAGAAGGCUUUCUUUGUUGGGGUGCAACAAAUUGAGACAUAGGUUGUUGGGCAGGAGGAUAUACUUGGUUAGGAGGGAUAAAUUGUUGAUUGGGCAUGUUAAAUUGUUGCCCUCCUUGAUUUGACAAAUGUUGAUUUUGUUUCCAAGAAAAAUUAGGGUGAUUCCUCCAAUUAGGAUUAUAUGUGGAUGAAUAUGGACUAUUGGAGGUUUUCUCAUAUGAUUGUAAGGCAUGUACCUGCUUAGAAUAAGCAUCUGGAUAGACUGGUAAUGAUGGACAAUUCUGUGCUGUAUGAGACAAGUUAGAACAAAUAGCACAAACUUCAUUAGCUACACUAGGAUGAUGAUUCAUUGAUUGGUUCAGAGCUAAGGCAUCUACUUUCCUAGAAAGUGUAGCUAGAGUGGAUUUCACAUCAAAAUCAUCCUUAACUUCAUAUAACCCCUUUCUAGAAACUUGAGAUGAUUUUUCCCUUUGAUUUGAAAAAUCCCAUUGUUGAGAGUUUUCAGAAAGUGAAUUAAAGAAAUCCCAUGCGGCCCAUUCAUGUAAGUUCAAAAAUCUCCCACCAUUCAUAGACUCUACCAUAUGACGAUUUGACAUGGUUAAACCGUUAUAAAAGCAUUGUAUAAGUCUCCAUUUUUCAAAACCAUGGUGGGGACACUUGAGGAGUAAAUCAUUGAAUCUUUCCCAACACUCGUAAAAUUGCUCACCCUCUCUUUGAUAAAAAUCACUUAUCUCUGUCCUAAGGGCAUUUGUUUUCGACAUAGGAAAAAACUUGGUGAGAAACUUAUUACUCAAUUCAUCCCAUGUACUAAUAGACCCAGCAGGAAGUGAAUUCAACCAAGCUUUUGCUUUGUCUUUUAAUGAGAAAGGGAACAUACGAAGCCUAAUUGACUCAUCAUUAAAAUUUUGAAAACGAAAUGUAGAGCAUAUGUCAAGAAAUUCCUUAAUGUGCAAAUAUGGAUCCUCUCUCUCUAACCCAUGGAAAGAUGGUAAAAGUUGAAUGACUGAGGGCUUAAGUUCAAAGUGUGUUGCUGUAGUUUGUGGCAACACAAUACAAGAUGGUUGGUUGGCUGCAAGUGGUGAAAAGUAUUCUCUGAGGGUUUUCUCUGCUUGCACUGGUGGAAGUAUUGGCAAUAGUCUAUUUGGGUCAUCCAUCACUUCUAAAGAACUAGUUUGACUACUAUCAAUUUUCGACUCUCUUUUAACCAAACGAUUUGUUGAAUCACGUUCCCAAACACUCAUAAACUAACUAGACAAGAAAAGAAAGAAAAAUAAAAUCAAAUAAACCAACAAUAAUGAGAAUAAAUGAAAUUUAAAAAUAAAAGAAAUCAAACAACCAAACAAUGAAUUUAAAGACAAAUAAAAGUUUUUUUGUGUUUUUUUUUAAUAAAAAAAAUAAAAGACAACCUAAGUUAAAACUAGUGGAAGAAUCAAAUCAACCUAGAUUAAACUGACUUUCUAGCACAAUCCCCGGCAACGGCGCCAAAAACUUGUGUUGAAAAUUUUAAUAUACUCGCAAGCGCACGAAUCUAGAAAUAGAAUAGUGGUAACGAGGUCGAUCCCACAGGGAUUGUUAUAAAUUGAAAAGUCUAAUUUAAAUAUAAAAUUAAUAUUAAUUCUAACCUAGUUGACCAAAUUGAGUUUUAAGAGAAAUUAAACUAAUUAAACUAAGGAAGCAAAAAAUAAAGGAGAAUUCAAUAAGAUAAGAAUUACCAAGGUUUUAGAAUCCACCACUAUUCAACUAGUAAUUAUCUAAUUAUUAAUUAAUCCCCAAUUUAGAGUGACAACUUGAAAUCAAUCUAUGUCAUCUCAUGGAUAUAACAAUUAAGCCCAAAUAAAAUUAAUCUUAUGUAGGUUCUUUUUCUGCUUGAUAAUAUGACAUCUAAGCAUCCCAUGUAAACAUAUUGAAUAACAAAGAAUCAAAGUUUUCCUAAGCACUCUAUGUAAACAAUUUAAUGAAAGACAUAAAAUCAAAGAUAGUCAUGUAUAAACUUUAUAAAUCCAAGCAUAGAUUUAAUCGAAUAUUAAUCCUAACAAUCAAUAAUGCAUGACAGAAUUGAUGAAAAGAUUUUAUUAACAUCCAAUUAAUCAUGUGAGAUAAAAACCAUAAUCAUCAAAGAACAUAUAUAGGGAAUUAAUUAAAUAAAAAGAGAUAAUUAUUUCAUUGAAUAGGGUUUCAUCUUUAACCUCAGUAUAAGAAAAUUAGCUAGACAUACUUGAAUUGAGAGCAACAAGAUAAAUAAAUUCAGCCAUGGGGAAGCCGAAUUGCUGCAGAUUUUCUUCUCUGUCUUGAAUCCUUGCGUCUCCAGUUCUCCCCUUCCUCUGGCGGCUCUCCCCCCUUUAUAUAAUGUUACUGGCUUGCUUAAUCCUUAUCGGAUUCUAAUUGCAUUAACUUAUCAUAAGUCACAAUCAUCCACCGACUUACAAAGCCCACUCACCAAGGCCUUUUUAAAUUAUUUCCUUAUUAAACUUUGAAAACUAGCCACACGUUUGACCACAAAAGCAAAAGACCAAUUAAUGACUUCUUCUUUUAAUGCCCAGCACAUGCACUCCAAAUUGCCAAAUCUUUGCUUUCCAAAUGCAUGCCCACCGUUCAUCUUUUGAAGGGAUUGACUUCCAAUUUUAAUCUUAUUGACUUCCAAAUUUGAACUUCCUCAUGCCCUUUUUAUCCUUAAUCUUCAAUUAAUUCCCUAUUCAACAAAAUAAUUCAAUUAAUUAAAAAUAACAAAUAAAAAUAACUAACAAUUAAAUAAUAAGAGUCAAAUAUGUAUAUAAAUUAUGCUCAUCAAAUACCCCCAAACUUAGAUUUUGCUAGUCCUCGAGCAAAACUAAAACUUAAAACAAAAGUAAAAACAAUGAAAAAAAAAAUAAAUCUUAACUAAACCACUUUCGCAGGUAAUCGCGAUUGCAUUUAGCGUAUGCAACAAGUCUUUAAACCCAUAGGCGGCCCUAGUGGACGAGUUAUAGUCUCGUGAGGGCUUCAGUGAUGUUACCCACAAACAUCAUUUUUCAAAGAAUUAAAAUAAAAAUAAAAUGAAAAGAACAACAAACUUUUAAACAAAACAUGAAGAUAGCCUCAAAGAUUGCAUAAAUUAUAUAGCUCAAAGAAAAUUUCAAAUAUUGGCAAAGUUCUAACUUUAAUUCAAUAGUCAAUCUCAUCUCUCUUUCGAUUCUUGUAGUGUGUGUGUGAAAUCAAUUCAAUCAAAUCCAUUCCCAAAACCCUCAAUAUCAACAGCCUUCGCCUCAAACAAAGAACAGAGUAGGUCAAACUAAUCUUAUCAUCUUGAUCUCCAAUUUUUUUUUUUUCACAGGCUUUUAUGUGCAUUUUCUUUUGAAUUUUUUUUUUCAGCACAUGCACUUGAUUUGAUUUUUUUUUCUUUUUUUUUUUAACCAUAGUCAGGAGCUUUCACUCUACCCCUUAAGGUAGCCUUCUUCUCAUGGUAGAUUAUCCUCUACAUACUUGUGGUACAUAGGCCCAAAUUACUCAAGGAUAGCUUCACUCUUAAGGGUUAUAGGUAGCUAUUUCUGACUCUGGCGCCUGUGUAUGCUAUUUUGUAUUGUGGAGAUAAGAAUCAAGAUAAAUAGUCAUUUACUCUAUCUAAAAUUCUCAAUUCAGGCUGUGUCAAUCUCAAAUUUCAAGUCAAAAUCAUGAAAGAACUGAUAUUAGUGCUCAUGGUUUAAAGAAUCUCAAUCAAGAGGAACUAACACAAGAAUCAAGUAUAAACUAAGACAAUAUUCAAUCCUUUCUAAAAACCAUAUUUAUUGUCAAUCAAAUUCUUAUCAUUGGCUUUUCACAUAAAAACAAAAACAACACAAAUUUUUUUUUUGAAUUUUUGAAUUUUUUUAUUUUUUUAUUAUUUUUUUAAACAAACAAAGCACACACUAUUCCCACCCCCAAACUUAUUUGGAACAUUGUCCUCAAUGUUUCACAAACAAAAGAUAUGCAUGCAAACAAAUGAAAGAGAAAUAAUAAUAAUAAUAAAAACAUAAAUAAUAAAAAGAAAGUUGAAGAUAACACACCUGGAUGGGCUGUGAAAGCUUAAAAGAAAAUGCCAAAUGAAAAGAAAACAUUAGAAAAGAAAAACAAACAAAGAAAAGAAAACCUACUGUUAAAAUAAAACAAGAGUGCAAAGAUGAACUUAAUUAAUCCUGAUAAACAGGAUCAUCUAACAGUAUCUCCUCAACUUCUGGUGUUCUUAACUCUAAAAAUGGUUUUAAUCUUUGACCAUUGACCUUAAAUAAAUCACCAUUUUUAGGAUUUUCAAUCUCAAUUGCCCCAUAAGGGAAGACAGUACGAACUAUAAAAGGACCAGACCAUCGAGAACGUAACUUACCUGGAAAGAGAUGCAAUCGGGAAUUAUAUAAAAGUACUUUCUGACCUGGUGUAAAGACUUUUCUCAAAAUGUAUUUGUCAUGAAAGACUUUCAUUCGCUGUUUAUAAAUCUUGGCAUUCUCAUAUGCAUCAUUCCUGAUCUCUUCAAGUUCUGCUAGUUGUAAUCUUCUCUUAGACCCAGCCUGCUGCAUGUCAAAAUUGAAUUUCUUGAUAGCCCAAUACGCACGAUGCUCCAACUCUACUAGCAGAUGACAUGCUUUUCCAUACACAAGUCGAUAAGGUGACAUCCCAAUUGGUGUUUUAAAAGCAGUCCUAUAUGCCCACAAUGCAUCAUCAAGUCUCAAAGACCAAUCCUUUCUAUCUGGCCUAACUGUUUUCUCUAGAAUCCGCUUGAUGUCUCUAUUAGAAAUCUCUACUUGGCCACUGGUCUGAGGAUGGUAUGGGGUGGUAACCUUAUGUGUAAUGGAAUAUUUGUCCAAAAGAGUUUUGAAAGGUUUAUUGCAAAAAUGGGUGCCACCAUCACUAAUGAUUGUUCUAGGGAAACCAAAAUGAGACAGAAUAUUACUCUUUAAGAAUUUCACUACAACCCUAUGAUCAUUGGUUUUGCAUGGAGUUGCUUCAACCCACUUCGACACAUAGUCCACUGCAACUAAUAUAUACUGAUAACCAAAAGAUGGAGGAAACGGUCCCAUGAAAUCAAUACCCCAUACAUCGAAGAUCUCAACCACAAGAAUAGGAUUGAGUGGCAUCAUGUUCCUCUUUGAAAUGUUACCCAUACGUUGGCACCUAUCACACAAAGAACAGAAAAUAUAAGCGUCAUGAAAAAGAGUAGGUCAAUAAAAACCACACUGUAAAAUUUUUGUUGCUGCCUUUUUAGCACUAAAGUGGCCUCUACAAGCUUGUUCAUGGCAAAAUGAGAUAACACUUUGAAUUUCAUUAUCGGGAACACAUCGCCUAAUAAUCUGAUCAGCACAAUAUUUAAAUAAAUAGGGAUCAUCCCAAAAGAAGUCCUUCACUUUAGUUAAGAACUUUGUUCUAUCUUGCUUAGUCCAGUGCUCUGGGAUUUGACCUGUAGCAAGGUAAUUAACUAUGUCAGCAAACCAUGGUACAACAUUUACACUCAUAAGUUGCUCAUCUGGGAAAGACUCAUUCAAAGGUAAAGAUUCUGGAAUAAAUUUAAGAUCAAGGCGAGAUAAAUGAUCUGCCAUAACAUUUUCAGAACCUUUUUUAUCUAUAAAUUCAAUGUAAAAUUCUUGUAAAAGCAACACCCAACGAAUCAAUCUUGCCUUAGCAUCUUUCUUAGUAAGCAAAUAUUUUAAAGCAGCAUGAUCAGUAAAAAUAAUCACUUUACAACCUAUAAGAUAAGAUCUGAAUUUAUCAAGUGCAAACACCACAGCUAGCAUUUCUUUUUCUGUAGUUGAAUAGUUCAAUUGUGCAUCAUUGAGUGUCAUACUAGCAUAAUAAAUCACAUAAGGCAUACGAUCUAAUCUUUGUCCUAAAACUGCUCCUACAGCAUAAUCAGAUGCAUCACACAUAAUUUCAAAAGGCAAAUCCCAAUUAGGUGGCUGAAUGAUAGGUGAAGAAGUCAACAAUUUCUUAAGCUUUGCAAAAGCAUCAAGACAAGAUUCAUCAAAGAUAAAAGGUGCAUCCUUAACAAGUAAAUUGCAUAAAGGUCUAGAAAUUUUACUAAAAUCUUUAAUGAAUCUUUUAUAAAAACCAGCACGUCCAAGGAAAGAUCUUACUUCUUUUACGGAUUUGGGAUAUGGAAGAUUAGAAAUUAAAUCCACCUUAGCUUUGUCGACUUCUAUACCUUUGCUGGAAAUUAUAUGACCAAGAACAAUACCUUGUUUUACCAUGAAGUGACACUUUUCCCAAUUUAGAACCAAGAUCUUUUCUUUACAUCUCUGCAAAACUAAUGUUAGGUGCUGCAAACAUUCAUCAAAAGAAUCUCCAUAAACAGAAAAAUCAUCCAUGAAUACUUCAAGAAAUCUCUCAACCAUAUCAGAAAAAAUACUAAGCAUGCAUCUUUGAAAGGUAGCAGGUGCAUUGCAUAAACCAAAUGGCAUUCUCCUAUAUGCAAAAGUUCCAAAUGGACAAGUAAAAGUAGUUUUCUCCUGGUCCUCUGGAGAUAUAGGGAUCUGAUUAUAACCUGAAUAUCCAUCUAGAAAACAAUAAAAAUCAUGACCUGCAAGUCUAUCAAGCAUUUGAUCAAUAAAUGGAAGAGGAAAAUGAUCUUUUCUUGUGAAUGAAUUCAAUUUUCUAUAAUCAAUGCAAACACGCCACCCUGUAGUUACUCUAGUGGGAAUUAAUUCAUUAUUAGCAUUAGUAACUACUGUAACACCAGAUUUCUUAGGAACAACUUGCACAGGGCUAACCCAAGAGCUAUCUGAAAUAGGAUAAAUAAUUCCUGCAUCUAAUAAUUUGAUUACUUCAGCUCUUACCACUUCUUUCAUGUUAGGAUUUAACCUACGUUGCAUCUCCCUAAUAGGUUUAGUAUUUUCUUCAAGAUGAAUACGAUGCAUGCAAUCUACUGGAUUAAUACCUUUAAUAUCAGCGAUGGUCCAUUCUAUUGCCUCCUUAUGCUCUUUUAGAAUGCCUAACAACUUACCUUUUUGCUCAAGAUCGAGGGAAGAAGAAAUAAUAACAGGUAGUUGUCAGAUUCUCCCAAGAAUGCAUAUUCCAGAGUGUCAGGCAGUGCUUUGAGUUCCAAUUUUGGUGGUGCCUCUGCAGAUGGGCCAAUUUUCUUCUCAGAAUGAGGCAGUAGUUCUGACUUUGUCUUCCAUUUAAUUGUGUCCGUAAUUAGAGGUGCAUCAAGUAAAGCGCUGACUUCUGCAAUUGCACUGUCAUUAUUAAAAGAUAAAUCAGAAUGAGUUAGACAUGCCUCUAAUGGAUCGUCAGUAUAGUUAGAAAUAAAUGAAUCUUCUACUAAUUCCUCUAUCAUAUUUGCUUCAACAAAUUCAUCUUCUUCUUGUGGCUGCUUGGUAACAUUAAAAAUAUUCAAUUCCAUGGUCAUAUUACCAAAAGAUAGCUGCAUGUUUCCAUUCCUGCAAUUAAUAAGAGCAUCAGCUGUAGCUAAGAAAGGACGACCUAGAAUAACUGGAGUGUGUUUCUUAGGAUCCUGUACAUGCUGAGUAUCAAUAACGAUAAAAUCAACAGGAUAAUAAAAUUUAUCAAUCUGUAUCAACACAUCCUCUAUAAUACCACGAGGUAUUUUCAUAGACCUAUCAGCGAGUUGCAAAAUAAUAUAAGUUGAUUUUAACUCACCUAGUCCAAGCUGCAUGUAAACAGAAUAAGGCAAGAGAUUAACACUAGCGCCUAAAUCCAAUAAUGCUUUAUCAAAACAUUGGUUCCCUAUAACACAUGAGAUAGUAGGAGAACCUGAAUCCUUAAAUUUUGGUGGCAUUUUACAUUGGAGUAAAUUGCUAGUUUGUUCAGUUAAAAAUGCCUUUUUGGUGACAUGCAAAUUUCUCUUUUUAGUGCAUAAAUCUUUCAAAAACUUGGCAUAGGAAGGAACUUGCUUAAUAGCAUCGAGUAAAGGGAUGUUUAUACUUACCUGUUUGAAGAUUUCCAUAAUCUCACCUGUUGAAGUCCCUUUCUUUACCUUUGUUAACCUUUGAGGAAAAGGAGCCUUGGGAAUGUAAGCUGGCAGACCACUCUCUUCUGGAUCAUUUGGUGAUGAGUCUUGUGAUGGAAUUGGAUCUGAAGAAGUAGGCUCAGAUGUCUUCCUUGUUUGAACCUCUACUUUGUUGUCAAAUAAUUUUCCUCUUCUCAAGGUCAUAACAGAUUUUGCUUGUUCAUGCUGAUGACUUGAACUCAAUCCAGCUUCGUGCACUCCUUUGGGAUUAGGAACUGGUUGACUUGGAAAUUUUCCUUUUUCUCUCUCCGCUACAGUAGUCGCUAAUUGACCCAAUUGAUGUUCAAGCUUUAGAAUAGCUUGAGUGUUUGACUGAAAAGCUUGUUGGGUUGACUGAAUGAAACUUUGAAGUGUAUCCUCUAAAGAAGGCUUUCUUUGUUGGGGUGCAACAAAUUGAGACAUAGGUUGUUGGGCAGGAGGAUAUACUUGGUUAGGAGGGAUAAAUUGUUGAUUGGGCAUGUUAAAUUGUUGCCCUCCUUGAUUUGACAAAUGUUGAUUUUGUUUCCAAGAAAAAUUAGGGUGAUUCCUCCAAUUAGGAUUAUAUGUGGAUGAAUAUGGACUAUUGGAGGUUUUCUCAUAUGAUUGUAAGGCAUGUACCUGCUUAGAAUAAGCAUCUGGAUAGACUGGUAAUGAUGGACAAUUCUGUGCUGUAUGAGACAAGUUAGAACAAAUAGCACAAACUUCAUUAGCUACACUAGGAUGAUGAUUCAUUGAUUGGUUCAGAGCUAAGGCAUCUACUUUCCUAGAAAGUGUAGCUAGAGUGGAUUUCACAUCAAAAUCAUCCUUAACUUCAUAUAACCCCUUUCUAGAAACUUGAGAUGAUUUUUCCCUUUGAUUUGAAAAAUCCCAUUGUUGAGAGUUUUCAGAAAGUGAAUUAAAGAAAUCCCAUGCGGUCCAUUCAUGUAAGUUCAAAAAUCUCCCACCAUUCAUAGACUCUACCAUAUGACGAUUUGACAUGGUUAAACCGUUAUAAAAGCAUUGUAUAAGUCUCCAUUUUUCAAAACCAUGGUGGGGACACUUGAGGAGUAAAUCAUUGAAUCUUUCCCAACACUCGUAAAAUUACUCACCCUCUCUUUGAUAAAAAUCACUUAUCUCUGUCCUAAGGGCAUUUGUUUUCGACAUAGGAAAAAACUUGGUGAGAAACUUAUUACUCAAUUCAUCCCAUGUACUAAUAGACCCAGCAGGAAGUGAAUUCAACCAAGCUUUUGCUUUGUCUUUUAAUGAGAAAGGGAACAUACGAAGCCUAAUUGACUCAUCAUUAAAAUUUUGAAAACGAAAUGUAGAGCAUAUGUCAAGAAAUUCCUUAAUGUGCAAAUAUGGAUCCUCUCUCUCUAACCCAUGGAAAGAUGGUAAAAGUUGAAUGACUGAGGGCUUAAGUUCAAAGUGUGUUGCUGUAGUUUGUGGCAACACAAUACAAGAUGGUUGGUUGGCUGCAAGUGGUGAAAAGUAUUCUCUGAGGGUUUUCUCUGCUUGCACUGGUGGAAGUAUUGGCAAUAGUCUAUUUGGGUCAUCCAUCACUUCUAAAGAACUAGUUUGACUACUAUCAAUUUUCGACUCUCUUUUAACCAAACGAUUUGUUGAAUCACGUUCCCAAACACUCAUAAACUAACUAGACAAGAAAAGAAAGAAAAAUAAAAUCAAAUAAACCAACAAUAAUGAGAAUAAAUGAAAUUUAAAAAUAAAAGAAAUCAAACAACCAAACAAUGAAUUUAAAGACAAAUAAAAGUUUUUUUGUGUUUUUUUUUAAUAAAAAAAAUAAAAGACAACCUAAGUUAAAACUAGUGGAAGAAUCAAAUCAACCUAGAUUAAACUGACUUUCUAGCACAAUCCCCGGCAACGGCGCCAAAAACUUGUGUUGAAAAUUUUAAUAUACUCGCAAGCGCACGAAUCUAGAAAUAGAAUAGUGGUAACGAGGUCGAUCCCACAGGGAUUGUUAUAAAUUGAAAAGUCUAAUUUAAAUAUAAAAUUAAUAUUAAUUCUAACCUAGUUGACCAAAUUGAGUUUUAAGAGAAAUUAAACUAAUUAAACUAAGGAAGCAAAAAAUAAAGGAGAAUUCAAUAAGAUAAGAAUUACCAAGGUUUUAGAAUCCACCACUAUUCAACUAGUAAUUAUCUAAUUAUUAAUUAAUCCCCAAUUUAGAGUGACAACUUGAAAUCAAUCUAUGUCAUCUCAUGGAUAUAACAAUUAAGCCCAAAUAAAAUUAAUCUUAUGUAGGUUCUUUUUCUGCUUGAUAAUAUGACAUCUAAGCAUCCCAUGUAAACAUAUUGAAUAACAAAGAAUCAAAGUUUUCCUAAGCACUCUAUGUAAACAAUUUAAUGAAAGACAUAAAAUCAAAGAUAGUCAUGUAUAAACUUUAUAAAUCCAAGCAUAGAUUUAAUCGAAUAUUAAUCCUAACAAUCAAUAAUGCAUGACAGAAUUGAUGAAAAGAUUUUAUUAACAUCCAAUUAAUCAUGUGAGAUAAAAACCAUAAUCAUCAAAGAACAUAUAUAGGGAAUUAAUUAAAUAAAAAGAGAUAAUUAUUUCAUUGAAUAGGGUUUCAUCUUUAACCUCAGUAUAAGAAAAUUAGCUAGACAUACUUGAAUUGAGAGCAACAAGAUAAAUAAAUUCAGCCAUGGGGAAGCCGAAUUGCUGCAGAUUUUCUUCUCUGUCUUGAAUCCUUGCGUCUCCAGUUCUCCCCUUCCUCUGGCGGCUCUCCCCCCUUUAUAUAAUGUUACUGGCUUGCUUAAUCCUUAUCGGAUUCUAAUUGCAUUAACUUAUCAUAAGUCACAAUCAUCCACCGACUUACAAAGCCCACUCACCAAGGCCUUUUUAAAUUAUUUCCUUAUUAAACUUUGAAAACUAGCCACACGUUUGACCACAAAAGCAAAAGACCAAUUAAUGACUUCUUCUUUUAAUGCCCAGCACAUGCACUCCAAAUUGCCAAAUCUUUGCUUUCCAAAUGCAUGCCCACCGUUCAUCUUUUGAAGGGAUUGACUUCCAAUUUUAAUCUUAUUGACUUCCAAAUUUGAACUUCCUCAUGCCCUUUUUAUCCUUAAUCUUCAAUUAAUUCCCUAUUCAACAAAAUAAUUCAAUUAAUUAAAAAUAACAAAUAAAAAUAACUAACAAUUAAAUAAUAAGAGUCAAAUAUGUAUAUAAAUUAUGCUCAUCAAAUACCCCCAAACUUAGAUUUUGCUAGUCCUCGAGCAAAACUAAAACUUAAAACAAAAGUAAAAACAAUGAAAAAAAAAAUAAAUCUUAACUAAACCACUUUCGCAGGUAAUCGCGAUUGCAUUUAGCGUAUGCAACAAGUCUUUAAACCCAUAGGCGGCCCUAGUGGACGAGUUAUAGUCUCGUGAGGGCUUCAGUGAUGUUACCCACAAACAUCAUUUUUCAAAGAAUUAAAAUAAAAAUAAAAUGAAAAGAACAACAAACUUUUAAACAAAACAUGAAGAUAGCCUCAAAGAUUGCAUAAAUUAUAUAGCUCAAAGAAAAUUUCAAAUAUUGGCAAAGUUCUAACUUUAAUUCAAUAGUCAAUCUCAUCUCUCUUUCGAUUCUUGUAGUGUGUGUGUGAAAUCAAUUCAAUCAAAUCCAUUCCCAAAACCCUCAAUAUCAACAGCCUUCGCCUCAAACAAAGAACAGAGUAGGUCAAACUAAUCUUAUCAUCUUGAUCUCCAAUUUUUUUUUUUUCACAGGCUUUUAUGUGCAUUUUCUUUUGAAUUUUUUUUUUCAGCACAUGCACUUGAUUUGAUUUUUUUUUCUUUUUUUUUUUAACCAUAGUCAGGAGCUUUCACUCUACCCCUUAAGGUAGCCUUCUUCUCAUGGUAGAUUAUCCUCUACAUACUUGUGGUACAUAGGCCCAAAUUACUCAAGGAUAGCUUCACUCUUAAGGGUUAUAGGUAGCUAUUUCUGACUCUGGCGCCUGUGUAUGCUAUUUUGUAUUGUGGAGAUAAGAAUCAAGAUAAAUAGUCAUUUACUCUAUCUAAAAUUCUCAAUUCAGGCUGUGUCAAUCUCAAAUUUCAAGUCAAAAUCAUGAAAGAACUGAUAUUAGUGCUCAUGGUUUAAAGAAUCUCAAUCAAGAGGAACUAACACAAGAAUCAAGUAUAAACUAAGACAAUAUUCAAUCCUUUCUAAAAACCAUAUUUAUUGUCAAUCAAAUUCUUAUCAUUGGCUUUUCACAUAAAAACAAAAACAACACAAAUUUUUUUUUUGAAUUUUUGAAUUUUUUUAUUUUUUUAUUAUUUUUUUAAACAAACAAAGCACACACUAUUCCCACCCCCAAACUUAUUUGGAACAUUGUCCUCAAUGUUUCACAAACAAAAGAUAUGCAUGCAAACAAAUGAAAGAGAAAUAAUAAUAAUAAUAAAAACAUAAAUAAUAAAAAGAAAGUUGAAGAUAACACACCUGGAUGGGCUGUGAAAGCUUAAAAGAAAAUGCCAAAUGAAAAGAAAACAUUAGAAAAGAAAAACAAACAAAGAAAAGAAAACCUACUGUUAAAAUAAAACAAGAGUGCAAAGAUGAACUUAAUUAAUCCUGAUAAACAGGAUCAUCUAACAGUAUCUCCUCAACUUCUGGUGUUCUUAACUCUAAAAAUGGUUUUAAUCUUUGACCAUUGACCUUAAAUAAAUCACCAUUUUUAGGAUUUUCAAUCUCAAUUGCCCCAUAAGGGAAGACAAUACGAACUAUAAAAGGACCAGACCAUCGAGAACGUAACUUACCUGGAAAGAGAUGCAAUCGGGAAUUAUAUAAAAGUACUUUCUGACCUGGUGUAAAGACUUUUCUCAAAAUGUAUUUGUCAUGAAAGACUUUCAUUCGCUGUUUAUAAAUCUUGGCAUUCUCAUAUGCAUCAUUCCUGAUCUCUUCAAGUUCUGCUAGUUGUAAUCUUCUCUUAGACCCAGCCUGCUGCAUGUCAAAAUUGAAUUUCUUGAUAGCCCAAUACGCACGAUGCUCCAACUCUACUAGCAGAUGACAUGCUUUUCCAUACACAAGUCGAUAAGGUGACAUCCCAAUUGGUGUUUUAAAAGCAGUCCUAUAUGCCCACAAUGCAUCAUCAAGUCUCAAAGACCAAUCCUUUCUAUCUGGCCUAACUGUUUUCUCUAGAAUCCGCUUGAUGUCUCUAUUAGAAAUCUCUACUUGGCCACUGGUCUGAGGAUGGUAUGGGGUGGUAACCUUAUGUGUAAUGGAAUAUUUGUCCAAAAGAGUUUUGAAAGGUUUAUUGCAAAAAUGGGUGCCACCAUCACUAAUGAUUGUUCUAGGGAAACCAAAAAUGAGACAGAAUAUUACUCUUUAAGAAUUUCACUACAACCCUAUGAUCAUUGGUUUUGCAUGGAGUUGCUUCAACCCACUUCGACACAUAGUCCACUGCAACUAAUAUAUACUGAUAACCAAAAGAUGGAGGAAACGGUCCCAUGAAAUCAAUACCCCAUACAUCGAAGAUCUCAACCACAAGAAUAGGAUUGAGUGGCAUCAUGUUCCUCUUUGAAAUGCUACCCAUACGUUGGCACCUAUCACACAAAGAACAGAAAAUAUAAGCGUCAUGAAAAAGAGUAGGUCAAUAAAAACCACACUGUAAAAUUUUUGUUGCUGCCUUUUUAGCACUAAAGUGGCCUCUACAAGCUUGUUCAUGGCAAAAUGAGAUAACACUUUGAAUUUCAUUAUCGGGAACACAUCGCCUAAUAAUCUGAUCAGCACAAUAUUUAAAUAAAUAGGGAUCAUCCCAAAAGAAGUCCUUCACUUUAGUUAAGAACUUUGUUCUAUCUUGCUUAGUCCAGUGCUCUGGGAUUUGACCUGUAGCAAGGUAAUUAACUAUGUCAGCAAACCAUGGUACAACAUUUACACUCAUAAGUUGCUCAUCUGGGAAAGACUCAUUCAAAGGUAAAGAUUCUGGAAUAAAUUUAAGAUCAAGGCGAGAUAAAUGAUCUGCCAUAACAUUUUCAGAACCUUUUUUAUCUAUAAAUUCAAUGUAAAAUUCUUGUAAAAGCAACACCCAACGAAUCAAUCUUGCCUUAGCAUCUUUCUUAGUAAGCAAAUAUUUUAAAGCAGCAUGAUCAGUAAAAAUAAUCACUUUACAACCUAUAAGAUAAGAUCUGAAUUUAUCAAGUGCAAACACCACAGCUAGCAUUUCUUUUUCUGUAGUUGAAUAGUUCAAUUGUGCAUCAUUGAGUGUCAUACUAGCAUAAUAAAUCACAUAAGGCAUACGAUCUAAUCUUUGUCCUAAAACUGCUCCUACAGCAUAAUCAGAUGCAUCACACAUAAUUUCAAAAGGCAAAUCCCAAUUAGGUGGCUGAAUGAUAGGUGAAGAAGUCAACAAUUUCUUAAGCUUUGCAAAAGCAUCAAGACAAGAUUCAUCAAAGAUAAAAGGUGCAUCCUUAACAAGUAAAUUGCAUAAAGGUCUAGAAAUUUUACUAAAAUCUUUAAUGAAUCUUUUAUAAAAACCAGCACGUCCAAGGAAAGAUCUUACUUCUUUUACGGAUUUGGGAUAUGGAAGAUUAGAAAUUAAAUCCACCUUAGCUUUGUCGACUUCUAUACCUUUGCUGGAAAUUAUAUGACCAAGAACAAUACCUUGUUUUACCAUGAAGUGACACUUUUCCCAAUUUAGAACCAAGAUCUUUUCUUUACAUCUCUGCAAAACUAAUGUUAGGUGCUGCAAACAUUCAUCAAAAGAAUCUCCAUAAACAGAAAAAUCAUCCAUGAAUACUUCAAGAAAUCUCUCAACCAUAUCAGAAAAAAUACUAAGCAUGCAUCUUUGAAAGGUAGCAGGUGCAUUGCAUAAACCAAAUGGCAUUCUCCUAUAUGCAAAAGUUCCAAAUGGACAAGUAAAAGUAGUUUUCUCCUGGUCCUCUGGAGAUAUAGGGAUCUGAUUAUAACCUGAAUAUCCAUCUAGAAAACAAUAAAAAUCAUGACCUGCAAGUCUAUCAAGCAUUUGAUCAAUAAAUGGAAGAGGAAAAUGAUCUUUUCUUGUGAAUGAAUUCAAUUUUCUAUAAUCAAUGCAAACACGCCACCCUGUAGUUACUCUAGUGGGAAUUAAUUCAUUAUUAGCAUUAGUAACUACUGUAACACCAGAUUUCUUAGGAACAACUUGCACAGGGCUAACCCAAGAGCUAUCUGAAAUAGGAUAAAUAAUUCCUGCAUCUAAUAAUUUGAUUACUUCAGCUCUUACCACUUCUUUCAUGUUAGGAUUUAACCUACGUUGCAUCUCCCUAAUAGGUUUAGUAUUUUCUUCAAGAUGAAUACGAUGCAUGCAAUCUACUGGAUUAAUACCUUUAAUAUCAGCGAUGGUCCAUUCUAUUGCCUCCUUAUGCUCUUUUAGAAUGCCUAACAACUUACCUUUUUGCUCAAGAUCGAGGGAAGAAGAAAUAAUAACAGGUAGUUGUCAGAUUCUCCCAAGAAUGCAUAUUCCAGAGUGUCAGGCAGUGCUUUGAGUUCCAAUUUUGGUGGUGCCUCUGCAGAUGGGCCAAUUUUCUUCUCAGAAUGAGGCAGUAGUUCUGACUUUGUCUUCCAUUUAAUUGUGUCCGUAAUUAGAGGUGCAUCAAGUAAAGCGCUGACUUCUGCAAUUGCACUGUCAUUAUUAAAAGAUAAAUCAGAAUGAGUUAGACAUGCCUCUAAUGGAUCGUCAGUAUAGUUAGAAAUAAAUGAAUCUUCUACUAAUUCCUCUAUCAUAUUUGCUUCAACAAAUUCAUCUUCUUCUUGUGGCUGCUUGGUAACAUUAAAAAUAUUCAAUUCCAUGGUCAUAUUACCAAAAGAUAGCUGCAUGUUUCCAUUCCUGCAAUUAAUAAGAGCAUCAGCUGUAGCUAAGAAAGGACGACCUAGAAUAACUGGAGUGUGUUUCUUAGGAUCCUGUACAUGCUGAGUAUCAAUAACGAUAAAAUCAACAGGAUAAUAAAAUUUAUCAAUCUGUAUCAACACAUCCUCUAUAAUACCACGAGGUAUUUUCAUAGACCUAUCAGCGAGUUGCAAAAUAAUAUAAGUUGAUUUUAACUCACCUAGUCCAAGCUGCAUGUAAACAGAAUAAGGCAAGAGAUUAACACUAGCGCCUAAAUCCAAUAAUGCUUUAUCAAAACAUUGGUUCCCUAUAACACAUGAGAUAGUAGGAGAACCUGAAUCCUUAAAUUUUGGUGGCAUUUUACAUUGGAGUAAAUUGCUAGUUUGUUCAGUUAAAAAUGCCUUUUUGGUGACAUGCAAAUUUCUCUUUUUAGUGCAUAAAUCUUUCAAAAACUUGGCAUAGGAAGGAACUUGCUUAAUAGCAUCGAGUAAAGGGAUGUUUAUACUUACCUGUUUGAAGAUUUCCAUAAUCUCACCUGUUGAAGUCCCUUUCUUUACCUUUGUUAACCUUUGAGGAAAAGGAGCCUUGGGAAUGUAAGCUGGCAGACCACUCUCUUCUGGAUCAUUUGGUGAUGAGUCUUGUGAUGGAAUUGGAUCUGAAGAAGUAGGCUCAGAUGUCUUCCUUGUUUGAACCUCUACUUUGUUGUCAAAUAAUUUUCCUCUUCUCAAGGUCAUAACAGAUUUUGCUUGUUCAUGCUGAUGACUUGAACUCAAUCCAACUUCGUGCACUCCUUUGGGAUUAGGAACUGGUUGACUUGGAAAUUUUCCUUUUUCUCUCUCCGCUACAGUAGUCGCUAAUUGACCCAAUUGAUGUUCAAGCUUUAGAAUAGCUUGAGUGUUUGACUGAAAAGCUUGUUGGGUUGACUGAAUGAAACUUUGAAGUGUAUCCUCUAAAGAAGGCUUUCUUUGUUGGGGUGCAACAAAUUGAGACAUAGGUUGUUGGGCAGGAGGAUAUACUUGGUUAGGAGGGAUAAAUUGUUGAUUGGGCAUGUUAAAUUGUUGCCCUCCUUGAUUUGACAAAUGUUGAUUUUGUUUCCAAGAAAAAUUAGGGUGAUUCCUCCAAUUAGGAUUAUAUGUGGAUGAAUAUGGACUAUUGGAGGUUUUCUCAUAUGAUUGUAAGGCAUGUACCUGCUUAGAAUAAGCAUCUGGAUAGACUGGUAAUGAUGGACAAUUCUGUGCUGUAUGAGACAAGUUAGAACAAAUAGCACAAACUUCAUUAGCUACACUAGGAUGAUGAUUCAUUGAUUGGUUCAGAGCUAAGGCAUCUACUUUCCUAGAAAGUGUAGCUAGAGUGGAUUUCACAUCAAAAUCAUCCUUAACUUCAUAUAACCCCUUUCUAGAAACUUGAGAUGAUUUUUCCCUUUGAUUUGAAAAAUCCCAUUGUUGAGAGUUUUCAGAAAGUGAAUUAAAGAAAUCCCAUGCGGUCCAUUCAUGUAAGUUCAAAAAUCUCCCACCAUUCAUAGACUCUACCAUAUGACGAUUUGACAUGGUUAAACCGUUAUAAAAGCAUUGUAUAAGUCUCCAUUUUUCAAAACCAUGGUGGGGACACUUGAGGAGUAAAUCAUUGAAUCUUUCCCAACACUCGUAAAAUUGCUCACCCUCUCUUUGAUAAAAAUCACUUAUCUCUGUCCUAAGGGCAUUUGUUUUCGACAUAGGAAAAAACUUGGUGAGAAACUUAUUACUCAAUUCAUCCCAUGUACUAAUAGACCCAGCAGGAAGUGAAUUCAACCAAGCUUUUGCUUUGUCUUUUAAUGAGAAAGGGAACAUACGAAGCCUAAUUGACUCAUCAUUAAAAUUUUGAAAACGAAAUGUAGAGCAUAUGUCAAGAAAUUCCUUAAUGUGCAAAUAUGGAUCCUCUCUCUCUAACCCAUGGAAAGAUGGUAAAAGUUGAAUGACUGAGGGCUUAAGUUCAAAGUGUGUUGCUGUAGUUUGUGGCAACACAAUACAAGAUGGUUGGUUGGCUGCAAGUGGUGAAAAGUAUUCUCUGAGGGUUUUCUCUGCUUGCACUGGUGGAAGUAUUGGCAAUAGUCUAUUUGGGUCAUCCAUCACUUCUAAAGAACUAGUUUGACUACUAUCAAUUUUCGACUCUCUUUUAACCAAACGAUUUGUUGAAUCACGUUCCCAAACACUCAUAAACUAACUAGACAAGAAAAGAAAGAAAAAUAAAAUCAAAUAAACCAACAAUAAUGAGAAUAAAUGAAAUUUAAAAAUAAAAGAAAUCAAACAACCAAACAAUGAAUUUAAAGACAAAUAAAAGUUUUUUUGUGUUUUUUUUUAAUAAAAAAAAUAAAAGACAACCUAAGUUAAAACUAGUGGAAGAAUCAAAUCAACCUAGAUUAAACUGACUUUCUAGCACAAUCCCCGGCAACGGCGCCAAAAACUUGUGUUGAAAAUUUUAAUAUACUCGCAAGCGCACGAAUCUAGAAAUAGAAUAGUGGUAACGAGGUCGAUCCCACAGGGAUUGUUAUAAAUUGAAAAGUCUAAUUUAAAUAUAAAAUUAAUAUUAAUUCUAACCUAGUUGACCAAAUUGAGUUUUAAGAGAAAUUAAACUAAUUAAACUAAGGAAGCAAAAAAUAAAGGAGAAUUCAAUAAGAUAAGAAUUACCAAGGUUUUAGAAUCCACCACUAUUCAACUAGUAAUUAUCUAAUUAUUAAUUAAUCCCCAAUUUAGAGUGACAACUUGAAAUCAAUCUAUGUCAUCUCAUGGAUAUAACAAUUAAGCCCAAAUAAAAUUAAUCUUAUGUAGGUUCUUUUUCUGCUUGAUAAUAUGACAUCUAAGCAUCCCAUGUAAACAUAUUGAAUAACAAAGAAUCAAAGUUUUCCUAAGCACUCUAUGUAAACAAUUUAAUGAAAGACAUAAAAUCAAAGAUAGUCAUGUAUAAACUUUAUAAAUCCAAGCAUAGAUUUAAUCGAAUAUUAAUCCUAACAAUCAAUAAUGCAUGACAGAAUUGAUGAAAAGAUUUUAUUAACAUCCAAUUAAUCAUGUGAGAUAAAAACCAUAAUCAUCAAAGAACAUAUAUAGGGAAUUAAUUAAAUAAAAAGAGAUAAUUAUUUCAUUGAAUAGGGUUUCAUCUUUAACCUCAGUAUAAGAAAAUUAGCUAGACAUACUUGAAUUGAGAGCAACAAGAUAAAUAAAUUCAGCCAUGGGGAAGCCGAAUUGCUGCAGAUUUUCUUCUCUGUCUUGAAUCCUUGCGUCUCCAGUUCUCCCCUUCCUCUGGCGGCUCUCCCCCCUUUAUAUAAUGUUACUGGCUUGCUUAAUCCUUAUCGGAUUCUAAUUGCAUUAACUUAUCAUAAGUCACAAUCAUCCACCGACUUACAAAGCCCACUCACCAAGGCCUUUUUAAAUUAUUUCCUUAUUAAACUUUGAAAACUAGCCACACGUUUGACCACAAAAGCAAAAGACCAAUUAAUGACUUCUUCUUUUAAUGCCCAGCACAUGCACUCCAAAUUGCCAAAUCUUUGCUUUCCAAAUGCAUGCCCACCGUUCAUCUUUUGAAGGGAUUGACUUCCAAUUUUAAUCUUAUUGACUUCCAAAUUUGAACUUCCUCAUGCCCUUUUUAUCCUUAAUCUUCAAUUAAUUCCCUAUUCAACAAAAUAAUUCAAUUAAUUAAAAAUAACAAAUAAAAAUAACUAACAAUUAAAUAAUAAGAGUCAAAUAUGUAUAUAAAUUAUGCUCAUCAAAUACCCCCAAACUUAGAUUUUGCUAGUCCUCGAGCAAAACUAAAACUUAAAACAAAAGUAAAAACAAUGAAAAAAAAAAUAAAUCUUAACUAAACCACUUUCGCAGGUAAUCGCGAUUGCAUUUAGCGUAUGCAACAAGUCUUUAAACCCAUAGGCGGCCCUAGUGGACGAGUUAUAGUCUCGUGAGGGCUUCAGUGAUGUUACCCACAAACAUCAUUUUUCAAAGAAUUAAAAUAAAAAUAAAAUGAAAAGAACAACAAACUUUUAAACAAAACAUGAAGAUAGCCUCAAAGAUUGCAUAAAUUAUAUAGCUCAAAGAAAAUUUCAAAUAUUGGCAAAGUUCUAACUUUAAUUCAAUAGUCAAUCUCAUCUCUCUUUCGAUUCUUGUAGUGUGUGUGUGAAAUCAAUUCAAUCAAAUCCAUUCCCAAAACCCUCAAUAUCAACAGCCUUCGCCUCAAACAAAGAACAGAGUAGGUCAAACUAAUCUUAUCAUCUUGAUCUCCAAUUUUUUUUUUUCACAGGCUUUUAUGUGCAUUUUCUUUUGAAUUUUUUUUUUCAGCACAUGCACUUGAUUUGAUUUUUUUUUCUUUUUUUUUUUAACCAUAGUCAGGAGCUUUCACUCUACCCCUUAAGGUAGCCUUCUUCUCAUGGUAGAUUAUCCUCUACAUACUUGUGGUACAUAGGCCCAAAUUACUCAAGGAUAGCUUCACUCUUAAGGGUUAUAGGUAGCUAUUUCUGACUCUGGCGCCUGUGUAUGCUAUUUUGUAUUGUGGAGAUAAGAAUCAAGAUAAAUAGUCAUUUACUCUAUCUAAAAUUCUCAAUUCAGGCUGUGUCAAUCUCAAAUUUCAAGUCAAAAUCAUGAAAGAACUGAUAUUAGUGCUCAUGGUUUAAAGAAUCUCAAUCAAGAGGAACUAACACAAGAAUCAAGUAUAAACUAAGACAAUAUUCAAUCCUUUCUAAAAACCAUAUUUAUUGUCAAUCAAAUUCUUAUCAUUGGCUUUUCACAUAAAAACAAAAACAACACAAAUUUUUUUUUUGAAUUUUUGAAUUUUUUUAUUUUUUUAUUAUUUUUUUAAACAAACAAAGCACACACUAUUCCCACCCCCAAACUUAUUUGGAACAUUGUCCUCAAUGUUUCACAAACAAAAGAUAUGCAUGCAAACAAAUGAAAGAGAAAUAAUAAUAAUAAUAAAAACAUAAAUAAUAAAAAGAAAGUUGAAGAUAACACACCUGGAUGGGCUGUGAAAGCUUAAAAGAAAAUGCCAAAUGAAAAGAAAACAUUAGAAAAGAAAAACAAACAAAGAAAAGAAAACCUACUGUUAAAAUAAAACAAGAGUGCAAAGAUGAACUUAAUUAAUCCUGAUAAACAGGAUCAUCUAACAGUAUCUCCUCAACUUCUGGUGUUCUUAACUCUAAAAAUGGUUUUAAUCUUUGACCAUUGACCUUAAAUAAAUCACCAUUUUUAGGAUUUUCAAUCUCAAUUGCCCCAUAAGGGAAGACAGUACGAACUAUAAAAGGACCAGACCAUCGAGAACGUAACUUACCUGGAAAGAGAUGCAAUCGGGAAUUAUAUAAAAGUACUUUCUGACCUGGUGUAAAGACUUUUCUCAAAAUGUAUUUGUCAUGAAAGACUUUCAUUCGCUGUUUAUAAAUCUUGGCAUUCUCAUAUGCAUCAUUCCUGAUCUCUUCAAGUUCUGCUAGUUGUAAUCUUCUCUUAGACCCAGCCUGCUGCAUGUCAAAAUUGAAUUUCUUGAUAGCCCAAUACGCACGAUGCUCCAACUCUACUAGCAGAUGACAUGCUUUUCCAUACACAAGUCGAUAAGGUGACAUCCCAAUUGGUGUUUUAAAAGCCUUAAAAAAUGAAAAUUACAAUUUCACCUUAAAAAAUGCCAUUUUACCAUUUUAAGGUAAUUUUUAAGGUGAAAUUGUAAUUUUCGUUUUGGGGGUAAAAUGGUAAUUUUUUUAUGUUUCCGUUAGUUUUCUUAACGGAUUUCAAACGGAAGUGGAAAAGUGAAAUAAAAUGUAACUUUAGGUGGAUUCCAGCCAAAAAAUGAAGGAAUUGUGUAUUUUUGAAAAAUGUGUAAAAAACGGGUGGACGGUGGAUAUUUUCCCUUAAAAAUAUUCUAAUUUAUUUUCUCAAUUUAUCAUCAUAAAUUUACAUUAAUAAACUAAAUCCACAAAUUACCCUAAACCCUAAUUCAUAAAUGCCCAAUCAAUCUAAUAGUUUAAUUCGAUUUCAUAAUUAAAAAAAGCUAAAUUUAUUAUAUUAGUUAUGGUGCAAAGUCAAAAAUGCCCUUAAAGUCAAGGGUAAAAUAACAUUUUAUUUACAUUCUAUAAAUUAUUCUAACAAUGUUAACAUAUUGGUGGACGGUUAAUAUAAGUUACAAACUUAAAAUAGGAAAUCAAAUAAAUUUAAAAUUUCAAACUAUUUAGGGGAAAUUUAGGAUAUAUGGUUAAUAAUUUUCCCACGUCUUUUUACAUUGUUGAUAUAAGUUACAAACUUAAAAUAGAAAAUCAAAUAAAUUUAUAUUUUCAAACUAUUUAGGGCAAACUUAGGGUAUAUGGUUAAUAAUUUUCCUUUAUCUUUUUACGUUAAAUUGAGUUUUAAAGGUAAAAUGGUCAAUUUAUUAUAAUUCUGUUAAUUUUUUAGUGGAAGCAAACGAUAUAAUGGAUGAAUGAUAUAAAUUGUAAAAUUAAGGUGCACAAAUGCUACAACUUUAAAGUAUUAUAGUAAUUUUAAUAAUAGAACAAUUUAAGGGUAGAUUGGCAAUAAUUUAAACUUUAAUGAAGCAACUAAAUUUUUUUUUUUUACAAAAGAAAAAUAAUUGAAAUGCUUUAAGAAAAAUAAAGGCAAUUAAAUAUUUUUAUAAAAAAAAUAAUUGAGUAAAAUCAUUUUACAAAAUGCUCUUUCAAAUGCACAUUCCACAAGCCAGGGAGAACGGGUGGCUAACAAAAAUCUCACUUUUUAUGAGUUUAUAAAAUCUCACUUUUGCAGAAUCCAAAAAUAACCAAUACUAAUCGCACAAAAAAUAAAAAUUAUUGCUGUCACGACAUUACACGCUUUCUUCGCCGUCUAGAAAUGUAGAACAUUUUGAAGUUCCUCAAUACAAAAUGCCUGCUACUACUAAAUUGGCCCAAUUAAUGCCUAUCGAAAAGGCCAUCAAUUAAGCCAUCAAUUUUGUCAAAUUUUCAACAAUUGAAGAAACAACGAUCACAAACGGAACAGGUGAAUUUUGAAGUUGAAUAAAUCUUGAGAUACAUACAACAAAGCCUUGAAACUUUAUUCUUCACAAUUUGAGCACGCACUAAAUAUUAAACAAGUAUAGAACAAAGCUUAUUAUCUUCUUGUGCGAACUGAACACGCUGAAAUGUUUUUUUUUCCUUGGAUUUUUGGAAUUUUUUAAAAUCAUUUAUGUUCGCUGCCAUCUUUUUCUUCGCUGGCGUCUUCAUUGGCAUCCCUCUCUUGGCUGGCAUCUGCCUCGUCUGUAGUUUGCUGUGCCUAUAUAUCCAACCAAUAAAUUGGGCAUUAAAUACGAAUGAUGAAUAAAGUUAUUAAAAAAAAAACAAACAGAGAAAAUUAUAAUAUAACACAUAUAUAUUGAAAGAGAAAUUUUGAUUUUAGGAUAGAUCAAUUAGCUAUCAGAAACGAAAACAUGAACCAACUAUGUAGAGUCAAUUAACUAAAGUUCUCAAGACUUGACCUGUGCUCCAGAAUUCUUGGAAUCAUCUAUCUCCUUCUGAAUUUCCACGAAGCUUGGGACAAUUACGAACAUCUUCAUCGGAUGCAGAUGGAAAUGGGAUCUGAUAACCCGCAGGCCAAAAGUUGGUGAGGUUUGGUAAGUUUAUCAGUUCCAACUUCCGAAGUUCAUUCAUAACAAUUUCAUUGUAAUCCGUGACGUCUGCUCCAUCUUUAUGCCAGAAUACUUCUUCUAAUUCAUCAUUAGCUUCUAUGAAUAGGUACUUCAGUUUUUGAAGACUUGGAGCUACGCUGAUAUGAAAUAGAUGCUUUAGUUUGGGGCAAUAACUGACAGAGAUCUCUGUGAGUUUUGGGAAACAUAGGGGUUGGAGAUGAUCCUUAUCAAUGAUUUGCUCUAAUUCCAAGCAGUUAUCAAUAACCAGCUUCUCCAAUUGCAACAAAUUUCGAGCAAGUGUUGAUGAGAAGAGACGUCUCAGCAUAGUGCACCCGUCCACUCUUAAAUAGGUAAGAUUUUGCAGGCUAAAAUUAUGCGUGGGACCUACAGGUUGGAGAUGCUCCUCAUCCUCAUCCUCAGUAAUGAUUUGCUCUAAUUCCCGGCAAUUAUAAAUUUCCAACUUCUCCAAUUGCAACAGAUUUCGAGCAAGUGUUGAUGAGAAGAGACGUCUCAGCAUAGUGCACCCGUGCACUCUUAAACAGGUAAGACUUUGCAGGCUAAAAUUAUGCGUGGGACCUACAGGUUGGAGAUGCUCCUCAUCCUCAUCCUCAGCAAUGAUUUGCUCUAAUUCCCAGCAAUUAUAAAUUUCUAACUUCUCUAAUUGCAACAGAUUUCGAGCAAGCAUUGAUGAGAGGAGACGUCUCAGCAUAGUGCACCCGUCCACUCUUAAAUAGGUAAGACUUUGCAGGCUAAAAUUAUGCGUAGGACCUUCGUGAUAUAAUACUUGCAGUUCUCGAAGGUUUUCCAACCACAACGACUUCAAACAUGGGAAUAGUUUGUUUUCUUGUCCCUCAACGAUAAUAGCUUCCACUUGAAAUACCACUUGUACUCCAAGUUCUCUAAUAUACAAUGUUUCCAAAUUUUUAAAGCCAUGCUUCAAUAGAGCGUCAAUUGUGUCACGCAAAUGGAAGCAUUCGCCUAUUUUUAGAAUUCGUAAUUUCUGAGACAAAUAAAUAAAUAACUUGGUGUAAUUAAAAUUAGUUAGCAGCUAGGAUUAUCACAUGAUAAGUGAUGCAAAAAACAAAAACAGAAAACAAAAUCAAUACAAAAAUGUAAUAAUACAUAUGUAAACUAAUAAAAUAAUUAAAAAGUAAUGGAAUUUUUUUUAAAUGAAAUUAGUUAGAAGAGAUCAUGUGAAGUGAUAUAAAGGUGACAUUAGAUUGUUUGAGAAAAAUUAGUAUUCUAUUAAUUUCUAUGGCUUGAUCGGCUAAUUAAUUGAAUUUGAGUAAUAUUAUAUACACUUCAAAAGUGUUUGCAUCAAUUCUUUCUAUACCAAAAUGAGAUAUGACUUUCAUUUGAAAAAUAAUUUUAGGCUCUAAAAUAAAGAUAUUUGAGCAUUAUGAUUAUCAUCACCACAUGCACCAUCAUCAUCAUCUCAAUAGGAGUAAAUAAUUAAUGGCUGGUAUAAAAUUUAUUGCUAAAUUAUCAUUUUGACCAAAAAUUGAAGGAAAAUAAAAAAAACAUAAAAACAAACAAACAUACCUCUUCAAGAUACUGCAAAUUGGCUUCAAGUUCAAUACUGUUGAUGGUCAAGUUGGGACAGUGCUCAAGACGUAACUUUUCCAAUGCUGGCCAAAUUGAACAAUAAUUUUCUGAACAGAAGCUGAUGAGUUCUGGGAGAUCAUCAAGUUUUAAUUUUCUCAACAAAGGGAGGGCGAGCAUCGUAUUUCCAUCUCCGACACUUAUUCCCCCUUCAUUAUGAUCAAACGUUGCUUCGACAAUAUAUUCCAGUCUCUCGCAUCCACUUACAUCGAGACUUUUAAGCUGCUUCAAACUUCGAGCUUGUGACAACGUGAAGAUAUAUGUCAACUUGUUGCACCUAUGCACAUUCAAUUCUGUAAGAGUUUGGAGACUGAUCACAUGUUGGGCGGGCGCCUUCCAUAUCCACUUCAGUUCUGGUAAUUGCCACAUAAUUAACUUUGCUAAUCUUGAGAGACUCUUUCCAUGCAGCGACUUAGAGGCAUCCAUUAUGCAUUCUAAAUCUUCGCAAUCGCCGACAUCAAGACAAGUCAACUCAUUUAAGCCCCUUUCAUCUAUGCUUGGCACAAUAUUGUAACAACCUAUUAACCUACUCAAACGAAGAAAUUUCAGAUUUUGAUACAAUGCUGAAAAAAUAACGAGCGAGGUCGCCGCUUCAUGAGGGCAAUUCUCAAUGAUUAAGCUCCUUGUUUCAUCACCAUCUUCCAUUUCAUCAUCAACUCCUUCACCUUUACGGAUGAUGUAUCUUUGCAAUUUCGGGAAUGUAAAGUCUUUUGGAAGACAUACAACAGAUCUGUCGGCUUGGGAGUUCAACUCAGCAAGCCUAGCAUUGCUUUCUUCUGAACUCAUCCCUUCAACCUCCCAAUUUUUUAUCCGACCAUAAAAUUCUUCCAAUUGAGGAAAUUUUUUUAUCGCAAUGGGAGAAAUGGAGCCAGUAGCAAUAUACAGAAGUUUCAAUCUACGAAGUUCAUCCGACAAUUCUUCAAGAAUUUUAAUGGGAGACGUCACGAGAAAAAGAAGUUCAAGCCUCUUCAACUUUCCAAGGAAAGACGCGUCACUCACCUCACAUCGAAUCAACUGCAGAACCUGGAGGUUGGUGAGGAUCUGAAGCGAUUUAAGUGAAAGAACUCCACCUAUUAUAGUGACAACUUUCAAUGCUGGCAUCCCUUCAAAAAAAUGUUCUGGAACUUGCAAUCGGUGGUCGUAUUCAGGAUUCUCCAAUCGCAAAAUAUGAAGGUUAGGGCAUACCAAACCACUAGGAAGCUCUUCUUUUUUAUUUCCCACCAAAGAGAUUCCUCUGUAUUGUUCCAGGCCUUCUUUCAUUGCCCGUUCUGCCAAUCCAAUGCCAACUUUACUAAAAAAUUUCUUCUCCUCUAGAACUAUUGAGCCUAUCCAUAUGGCUACAUCACGAACUAUGUCAUGCAUUUUCACAGAUCUGUCAUUACCAGUGUCUAACAGCAGUGACGCAGCUUUGAGCGCGUUAAUCGUUCCAUGCAGUCGGCUUCUGGCGUUUUCUAUUGACGGAUCACAUUGAUACCAAAUAACCCCCAAUGCGUAUCCAACCAAAUCCUCCAAAUAAAUCUCAUAAUCUUCUGGAAACAGAGAACACAGCAAGAAGCAUAACUUGGACUCCUCACUAUUUAAAUUAUCGUAACUGAAUUUGAGACAACCGUAAACGUCUUGGUCAUCCUUGUCAAUACCUUCUAUUGCAUAGAGUUUUGCUUCCCUUAGGUUAUAUAGUGCUAGAUUCCAAUCAUCAGAUCCUUUUUCUCUUAGUGCACUUCCAACAGCUUCAAUAGCUAAAGGCAGCCCCUUACAUUCGUCAGCAACUUUUUUUGAAACACCAUCCAAGGAGGAGUCGUUUACAUUAAUACCGGCAUUCAUUUUUAGUAGAGUCAAUCCUUCUUCUGGUGUUAGUAUACCAAGUUCAAUCUGUGGGUAACAACUGAAAAAACUACAAAUUGACUUUUUGCGAGUGGUUAGAAGGAUUUUGCAACAAUUGUCUCUAUCCCCAACGGGAAUACCUAAUUUUUUCUCCAAGUCGAGUUGUUUCCAAACAUCAUCAAGGAUUAUGAGGAUUUUGCUGCUUUUACUCUCAGAAAACAUCAACCGCAAUCGAUCUGCUCUCUCUUUUUCAUCUGUCUCAUUAAACGCCCAGCCUAACGACUUUACCAGCUCACCUUGAACCUUUAUUAUAUCUGGAUCCUGAGACACAGUGACUAUCCCAACUUCAUCGAAAAUCUUUUGUUGCCGAAGUUGAUUGCCCACAAAAUUUGCCAAGGUCGUCUUCCCUACACCACCGAGACCGUGCAAUCCCACCAUCUUUGUGCUCUCUUUUUUCAGUGCUUCAGUGAUCUGAAUGCAAGCCAACUCUGUAGCCUUGAAAGGAGAAAAACAUCUCGGUAUAGGCAAUUCUUUGUCUGAUGGUAGAGGUUUAGGACGGGCAACUGUGCUGAAUUUGCUGCGGUCUUGUAGCAGAUCGGACAACUUGCUAGUCUUCUUUGAUGCUUUUCUACCCAGCCAGUAUCGCCAACCCCAAUUAGGACACCAUCCAUUAAGACAACUCUUCUUUUCAUCUAUCUUUGCUUGCAAAUUUCGAACGUCGGCCAUUUCUUUGUCCACAUCCUCCAACCACUUCUCCACAUCUUUCUCGAUUACAAUGGCGCGGUGUUUUUGUCGUUCUUCUUCUACUUUUUCAUUGAUGCCAUCUUGUGCAUUCUUCAAAUUGGUUUCUUUAACCUUAAGUUCUUUAUCUAUGCUGUUGAAACAGAGCAGAUAGCGAGCUUGGUUUAUGGUUGCAUCCGCCAAUAAUUCUGCAAGCUUUGAUCCAAUACAUGAUAAAAUUUCCAUGCUAUUUAUCUGCAAUUAACAAGUUGAUGUCAGUAUGCUAUAAGCAAAACAUCAAGGCUUGAUCACAAGAUCGAACGAGAACGUUUAAUUGCUUUAAUUUUUUUUUUUUUUUGGGCUUAUUAACGCCAUCUUUGAUCAAUAAGAGCAAAAUGCAAAACAGAAGAGAAUGAAAUAAGGUUAACGUUAUAUAUGAUGGAUUACAUUGAAAUUAUAUUACUUUAGAAAUUUUUAAAUAAAAAUAUCAAACAACAAAUUUAAUAGAAUCCGGAUAAACCUAAGAGUUUGUUGUGCAUUGCGAGUGAAGACGGGCAGUUGCAUGGGGAAUAUGAUAAAAGUGAUGAAUAACUGAAAAGCCACCCAUAAUAACAAUUAAAAAGAAUAUUAGAGAUUAGAGGAGUUCAACAUCCCAUGCAAGCCCACUCAUGAAAAAAUAUGAAUGGUUUCAAGAUGAUUACUCCUUUUUUUUUUACCUUUAAUAAAUAUUCUAAUAAAAUAAUACCAUAAUUUUAAAUAAUAUCUUAAUUUCUUUUUCCUUUAAAUGUUCAUUGAACUCACAUAUUGGAUAAUUAAUUUAAUCACUUGUUAAAUUAUUUAUUACCCUAUGUCAUUAUUCGAUAGAUAUAAAUGACACCUUAUUUGGUAUGAUAAAAAUUGGGGUAAAUUUUCUUUUAUUCUCAUAAGUUUGGACUUAUUACUAGUUACAAUAUUUGUAAUUUUUGAAAUUUUACCUAAACGGUCCAUGUCAUUACUUUUAUAGCCAUCGAACAUGACUUUUCAAGUGUAAGAUAAUAUUUUUGUCUGUUAUAAAUUAAAAUUCAAAUGAAUCUAUCACGCAACAAAUAUAAAAAAUUGAUUUUUUAUUAAUUUUUGUGAAUUCUUUUAAUGUUCGAAUUAGAAUUGAAUAAUUUGUAUAAGGAUAAUUUAUAGGAAGAUAAUCUGCAAAAUAAGCUUAUAUGUUGAAUUUAAAAGAGUUAUAUUAGUAAUCAUAUAUUUAUCAAAUUUUUUUAAUAAAAAUUUUGUUUAAAAAUUGGCCAAAUGGGUUUCAUGAAGAAAAUAGAAGAGCAUGAACAGCGCCACUUUCAAUUUUUAUUGUGGUUGUACAAUUGAAAAGACGCAUUAAAUGGACCAAUUUGAAAUGGCAAGAGAGCAUAAUGGACUCAUGUUGGGACUUGGAUAGGAAAAUUAAUUUUAUUUUUGAAAGUAUGGUCAACAGUACUGACUUGGAGGUGAUUGACGUUAAGUUAAAUUAAUGGAAACAAAUGGCAAAAAUAAUUUAAUGAAAAAAAGCAUUAAAAAAUUAGAACUUAAGUUCUUGAUCAUUUUGUCCGUAUGUUUUUAAGCCAACGCCCAGAAUUGGCAUAAAACUAGCCAUUGGAAUUAGGUAAAACAAAAAUCAAAUUAAGGGCUUAUAAAACAAUAAGAUCUCAUACCUUCUUCGUUAUAAAUCCUCAAUUACUGCUGAAAGCUCUAGUUAAGAGAGUCGCACAAGUUCGGAGAAAAUUAAAAAGCUGCAUAUGGCAAUAUAAAUAAACAUCAGAUCAAAACGACAUAGGAUAUAUCUGGCUAAUUAACAUCUUAUAUAAGUCCUUGUUCUCAAUCAAAUCUUUCGUACUUAGAAAAAAAAAAGAUUGAAAUAAUAAUUGUACGUUUUUAAUCCAACGUGCAAAAUUGGCAUAAACAAACUAAUAUAGCAUAAAACAAAGAUCAAAUUAAUAGCCUAUGAAAUAAUAAUAUCUCAUACCUUCUUCCUUAUAUAUCCUCAAUUACUACUGACAGCUCCAGUUAGAGUGGCAUGAUUUCCGAGAAAAUUAAAAGCUGCAUCUAGCAAUAUAAAUAAACAUCAGGUCAAAACAAAAUAGGAUAUAUCUAGCUAAUGAACAUCAUAUAUAAGUCCUUGUUCUCUAUCAAAAUCUUUCCUUCUUAAAAAAAAAAAUAAUAAUAACAAUAAUAAUUGAAAUAAUAACUGUGGGUGACACAGGAAGCAAAAGUAACAUACCGAAAUGAGAGCAGCUCACAUAUCUGGUGACUUCCAAGAGAAUGAAAAAUGAUUGACCUUUGGCAGCAAGAUCCAAAUCAUGUAUCACAAAUUGCUACUGACUUCGUGGCUUCACUUUCCUUUUCUUUUUCUUUUUCUUUUUUAAUUAAAUUUUAUAUCACAGUGUGAAUUGAAAGGUGAAAAGUGAAAUGGUACACAUGCGUAUGAUGAGGAGGUAAUUUUUAGGCACCUCCCCGAGGUUUAAGGUCUUCUGAAUUAGAUGGAUUGUAUUUUCGUAUUAUCAAAUACCUCCCCUGCCCGUUUUUAUUCCAUUUAGUAUUUUCUAUAUGGCUGAAGGUAAAUUGGUAAAAACUCAUUUAAAAUAAAAAAAAAUCAAAGAAAUUCAAGAAGAAGCUUUGUAUCUGCCAUUUGUAUUUGGGGUAUCUUUUUGGUUGUUGAGUGAAUGAGCUUAAAUCUUAAAUAUUUAUUUUCUUAUUAUAUAUUUCUCAUUGGAAAGAAUUUGAAUCUUAUUCUUAUUAAACUUAUUCUCUUUAAAUAAAAAUAGAUUUCUCUCCAUGUAUUUAGCGUGUAUUUUGAAAUUAAUGUUCAACAUAUCUUUAGAUCCUAUUAUAAAUAUUCAUAUCUAAAAUCUCAAUAGAUUCCAACAUAUAAAUAUAUAUAAAGAGAGAGAGUAACGUUCUAAUAAGAAAUUUCUUAAAUUAUCAAAUUAAAGGAUAAUUCAAAAGAUAAAAAAAUACAUAAUCUAAUAUAUUAUAUAACAAAAUAUACUAUAUUAAAAUAUAUAUUUUGCUUAAUUUUUUAAUAUAUCCCAUAAUAACUUAAGAAACCCUUUAUUUACCUGAUAUAUAUAUGUGUGUGUGUGUGUGUGUAAUUUUUUACAAAAUAAACAAUUUAGAGUAAAACAAAGGACAUUCUGGGGGCCUUUUGCUAGACUACCAAUCUACCAUUUUGGAUUGCAAUAAAGUGAAAAUACUGGACUACCAGUCUACUAUUUUGGAUUGCAAUAAAGUUAAAAUGGGUUACACCAAAAAAAGAAAAAAAAAAAGUGACAAUCAAUCUUGUCGGCCAAUACAUCGACUUUUUUGCCGGAUUAGUAUCACCGUCGAAAACAAAUUAUUGCAAGCACUGGCAAAAAGCAAUCGAUGAUUUCGCAAUUUGGUUGUCAAAAAGCAAAUUAGAUCACGAUUCCUCAAUUCAAAAUGGCUAAAGCUACAAUGCCGGGACACAAGUACCCGGUACCAUGCCGGAGUAAUUAAUUUACCGUUGGAUUUAAGUUCAAGGAAUCCAACGGCUCAAAUAUAAUAAUUUUUGAAAUUAGAAAAUAAUUGGCUACCUUUGCAACCGGUUACACACACUCUAUUUUCCUCCUUUUUUUUUUCAAAUUCGUCUCUCAAAUCCCUAAUAAAUUUUUCAUUCUCAAAAUUGGCCUAUCUAUGUUCAAGCCCUAAUUUUUUCAUUCUCAAAUUUGAUAUCUCUCUUCAAGCCCUACAUUGCUCAGUGGGAGGCAGGAAUCAGAAUGAAUAAAGGUAUCCUUUUUUAUUAAAUUUCUAAUUUUUCAAAUUUGGCUUUCUCCUUCAAAGCCCUAACUUUUCAAACUUGAUCUUUCUCUCCUGAAGUCGUACAUUAGCUCGCUGGGGAGCAACGCCGAAUGAAUAAAAGGUAUUUUUUUAUAUUUUAUUUUGUCUUAUUUCUUAUUUUUGGAAUUUGCAUUUCUCUCUAAAAGCACUAAUUUUUCAAAUUUGGUCUCUCUCUCUCAAAAUCCUACAUGAGCUCAAUGGGAAGAUGACUCGUAAUGAACAAAAGAUAUUUUUCUUUCUAAAUCUUUUUUAUUUUGGUUAAAUUUCUAAUUUUUAAGAAUAUGGGUUUUUGCUUUCCAUAUUGAAUAUCUAAGAAUUUGGAUUUUUGGUUAAAUUCUUAUGAAACAGAUCUUGAAUUUAAUUUUAUAUAUUUUUUUUCUAUGGCUUUAAGUGUUCUUGAGCAUUUUGUUAGAUUCUCGUCAGGAAACUCAAGAUUUCAUGAUGGGUGUGUGUGAUUAUUAGGCUUUCCCCCUCCCCUCUCUUUAAAUGGCUAAGUGUUUUGGGUAGACUAUGGUCUUGGAGCUUGGAUUAGUUGCUUAUUUAUUGUGAUAGGUUUUGCUCUAAAAAUUUUCAUUUUUGAUUGCAGUUCAUAUAAUCAAUAUUUCUUUAUUAGGCAGUGAUAUAAUAAAUUCCGGACUUAUUUUUUUUAAAGAUGGAUCUUACUAUUUAUUUCUCGUACAAACUCUGGUUAGGUGUUGACUCAACACUUGGGGCUGGAGCAUAUAUUCUUGUUGGAACAGUUGCUAGAGAGCAUUCAGGACUGGCACUCACCCUUUCGUUUCCUUAUAGCUGGAAUAGCUUCUGCUUUUUCAGCCUUUUGCUAUGCUGAGCUUGUAAGUCGUUGGCCAUCUGCUGGGAGUGCCUAUCAUUAUUCAUACAUAUUUGUUAGAGAAGGGUAAGUCCUUGUUACCUUUAAUAUUGGUAUAACUCGUAAUAGUCAUUUCUUAGAGAUGUAGUUUAUUGAUUCAUAUAAUUGGAUCUUGUUUCUAAAGUGGGAUAAACUAGUGAUUAGCUGGGGCAUAGUAAUCGUUAUUAAUGUUUUGGUCUAAUAAAUUGAUUUAACUUAGUUGAUGUUGUAUUUUGGCAGUGUUAGGUGGUUGAUUGGCUAGCUCUGAUACUUGAGUACACAAUUGGCGGGUCUGCUGUUCCUCGUGGCAUAUACCCGAAUCUGGUCUGGUGAAUUUUAUCGAGCUUUGAUUGUAUAUUUAUUUACUUUAGUUGUUACUAUUGAGUCAUAUGUGUUUUGCACUAUCAACUAAAUUGGAAUGGUUUAAUUGUAUUAUUUGUUCAUUUAGCUUGUUUACUUUUUCCUUUCCCUUAUUUUCUGUGAGUUACCUUUUUGACAACUAAUCAUCUUUGUAUUGAUUUGAAUUCAUAUAUUUUAUGAGGGAGGUCUACAAUUGCCUAUGCAAUUUAAACAUUUCUGUUCUUAUGUUGUUGUUAUUAAUGAUUACAGGCUGUGCAUUCUUCCUUUCUUUUUGGCUCAUCAAGAAAUUCCUAGACUUGACAUUAUUGUUGAUCCCUGUGCUGCAAUUAUUGUGCUUUUUGUUAUUGGACUCCUGUGUGUGGGAAUCAAGGAGGUAUCCAUUUGUUCCUUUCAAUUGUAUUUAUAUUUCUCUUAUCACUUUUUUCUAUAUAUAUUUCUGUAUUGAUUCUCAAAUAUGUCACACCUGAUGAGGUGCCAGUUCUAUCCACACUUCAGUCAUUAAUUAAUUAUGUAUCAUUGCAAUUUAGUCAGAGUUCUCUGGCUAUUAGUGGGGAAAACCUUGUUGAUGUUGGCACUUUGAAAUAAACUCAGCCUUGCCAAAAAGGGUGGAGCAGCCAAUUAUCCUUUUAUAAAAUGAGUUCAAGGUAUUGUGCAACCUUUGUAUUUGGUCAUCUAGACCUUUAAAAUAUGCAAUUCUUGUAAAUUUUCAAAUAAUGAGGUGCAAUUUAUUAUUGCUUGAUCAAUAGCUGCUCUAAUUGGUGUGCCUGAAUUCACUGUGUGGUAAUUUUCCUAAUUUCAAAAGUAAAUAUAUUCUUAACUUGCCAUGUGCUUAAUCCGAAUAUGAAAAGCUGUGUUAUCUAAUGUAAAUUACAUCUCUUUGGAGUGUGUUUGAAUUAUGAUCCUUUCACCAUCAUAUUUAAACUUAUAGAGGUUGGAUUGAGCUGGACUCUUUGAUAUAUUACUCUCUCGAUUCCGCUGCGACAUUUAUUUCUUUUACCAUGCUUUUUGUACUUUAUCUUCUGGGUUCUGCUUAAGUGUUUAAUUAUGUUUUAUAUGACUAUUGCAUACAUUUAUAAUGAAACAAGCAAACAGUUGCUGGAUGGACUGUAAUUGUAAUUAUGUUUUAUAUGACUAUUACAUGCAUAGGGGUGUUUGUAUAGGGAUGUUUGCUCUUACAUAUGGAGCUUCAGAUUUGAGCCUUCAUUAUGUUACCUUUAACUCUUUAUGCGUUUUAUUUCUUUUCUUUCAUAGCUUUCUUUAGCAGUGGAAGAUUUUGCUACUAUCUUAGAUUUUUUCUACUGGUUUUAGGUAGUCUUCCAACUUUUGUUUAUGUUGUUUUUAGGCAUUUUUCACUGUUGUUUUAGGGUAAUUUUUAUUGCUGUUUUGGGCAUCUUUUUCUGCUGUUUUUGGGAAUUUUUUAUUGUUGUUUCUUGGUUAUAUUUGUUGUUUUGGUGCUUUUUUCCUGCUAUUUUUUAGUGUAAUUUGUUGUUGCUUCUUAUUGUGAUUUGUUGUUGCUUCUUAUUAUGAUUAACGGCUAUUUUUAUCUUAUCGAUUAACUUGAAAAUUUUAAUUAUUUGCAGGGGAGAAUUCAACCGGAUAUUGCUUGGUUCUAUAAAUUAUCUGGCAUAAGUGUUUUACUGGAAACUUUUUGAUGUUGCGUAACCUCUUGGUUUACAAAUACGAAUGAAAUUGUAAUUAGUUUGUAACUCAAUUUGACGAUGCUUUUAUUUUUUGGGAGAUUAUGCUUAUAAUAUUUUUUUUUCUUUUUAUAGCCUACUCUUAUAAAUGAGUGCUCUUGAUUUUCAUUAUUUUGUUUUUCAUUAACAAAUUUCUUUUGAAAUAAGUGUACUGUAGUUUGUUUUCACACAAUUAAAAAAAAAUGAAAAAAUUGUGAUAUAAUUUAAUCCAAAAUGAUUUAAGAUAUACUAGGUUCUAAGCCCUCAAAUGUGCCAUCAAUUUGUUGCAAUCUUUAGGUUUGGGGGGUGUUAUUGGUGAUAUUGAAAUUCUACGUCGUCAAUUUUGGAUGUUUAGUAUAUGGAUUUACCCUGGGAAGAUUUUCGCUUCAUUUUUCUUAUAACAAUGAUCAUAGUGAUGUUGCCUUUUUCUUUCUACCAUAUUUUCUUUUUAUCCCUCAAUAUUUUUUUGUUUUGCUAGCAUAUUUUCAUUCAUAAACGAUUGUAAAUUUCAAUUGAGCUUAGAAUUUUUGUGACUCAGUAAUUUAAAAUAUCCACCAUGAUUAGUUUGUUUAAAAAAAAAUCAAACAAAAUACACCUAAAAAAUAUUAUUAUGCAACAAAUAAGAAUAGUGAUUUUCACUUGAAUUAUCAAAUUCUUUUUCAAACUAUUAUUAGACUAAAGUAAGGGAAAAAAUUGGAUAGAUAUGUAAUUUUAUUAUAAUUAAUUGGAUUUUUUUUUCAAAUUACAAGUUCUUUUUAAAGCCAACAUUUUUAUCAAUCAUGUAAAAAAUAGUUAGACAAUUAAAUUUAUAUGUGUAAUGUAAUGAACACAUUUAUAAUUUGUGUAUGAGUUAAAUAAAAAUUAGUAAGUUAGAUAAAUUCCCAAAUAUAAUUAUUGGGUAUAAGUUGAAUUUAAUUCAAUUUAAUGUAUCUUUAUUAAUAAAAUCUAGUUUAGUAAAAUAACAUGAAUCUAAUGAGUAAUUAAUGGGGUUUCACCACAAACAUAAGAUCAAAAUAUUCAUGUGUAUGUAUGCGCGCACUCAUGUCUCUAUAUAUAUAACUCUAUAAUAUUACAAGAGCUUUGAAUAUUUUAAAACGCAAGAGAUUUGAUAAUUCCAAUUCCAUAGCAAAUUAUUUGUUUAUUUUCUAUUAUGUUUUACAAAUUUAUAAUUUAUAAAAUUCUAUUUUUGUUACUAUUAAUUGUAUUUUUUUCAUAAUUUUUUAAUUAAUAUAUUAUCUUAAUUAAUAUUUAAAUAGUACACCGUUUUAAAGUGUUUAAAAUUCUGGACAGUGACAUGAACCAUUAUUGAGCUAACAGUUAACCGACAGUUUCCAAAAACAUGUUAAUUUAAUUCUACAAGAUAACAAUGAAUCGUUUAUUUGAUAACGGUUAGCCGAUAUCUUCCAGAAAGAAGUGUAUUUGGUUAUUUGAUUCUGGAAGAGAACGGUGAACCUUUUUUUAGAUAAUGGUGAACCGAUAUCAUCCAGAAAGGUAUAUGAUUGCAGAUAAAGAUCCGUUAAGGGCAAAGGGUAGCUAAUAGCAAUUGCAAAGUUACUGGACAAACACAGCGAACCGACAUCCAGGUAAUGGUGAACCGCCAUUUUAAAUUUUAAAAUUUUAGGAAAGGUGUGUGUGAAUGAAACGGGGGGGAAAUUUUUAAAAUUUUUACUUUAUUUAAGACAUGUGACAUUAGACGUCAAACAUACAACUCUGACGUCCAACAUGCAACAACUGACGUUAAACAUGAAACCUACAAUAUUUUGCGUCAAACAUGCAACAUAUCACGUAAAGUAUGCAACUUUGAUGUCAAACAUAAAACAAGCGAGAAUAUUCGGGAAUAUUCUUUAUUUUGGCUUUAUUCAAGACAUACAACAUCUAACGCCAAACAUGCAACCCUGACGUCCAACAAGCAACAAUAGACGUAAAACAUAAAACCCGCAAGAAGUCAUGUUAAAUAUGCAAUUUAUCACGUAAAGUAUGCAACUUUGAUGUCAAACAUGAAACGGACAAGAAUAUUCUUUAUUUUGGCUUUAUGUAAAACAAGCAACAUCUAACGUCAAACAUGCAAGCUGGACGUCAGACAUGCAAUAACGGACGUUAAACAUGCAACCUGCAACACCGCACGUGAAAUAUACAACUUAUCACGUAAAGUUUGUAACUUCGACGUAAAACAUGAAACAGACGAGAAUAUUCGAGAAUAUUCUUUAUUUUGGCUUUAUCCCAAAUAUGCAACAGCGAAGGUCAAACAUGCAAGUUGGACGUCAGACAUGCAAUAACGGACGUUAAACAUGCAACCUACAACACUGCACGUGAAAUAUACAACUUAUCACGUAAAGUUUGCAACUUCGACGUCAAACAUGAAACGAACGAGAAUAUUCGAGAAUAUUCUUUAUUUUUGCUUUAUCCAAAACAUGCAACAUCGAACGUCAAACAUGAAACCGGGACGGCCGACAUGUAACAACAGACGUUAAACAUGCAACCUGCAACACUGCAUGUGAAAUAUACAACUUAUCACGUAAAGUUUGCAACUUCGACGUCAAACAUGAAACAGACGAGAAUAUUCGAGAAUAUUCUUUAUUUUGGCUUUAUCCAAAACAUGCAACAUCGAACGUCAAACAUGAAACCGGGACGGCCGACAUACAACAACGGAUGUUAAACAUGCAACCUGCAACACUGCACGUGAAAUAUACAGCUUAUCACGUAAAGUUUGCAACUUCGACGUCAAACAUGAAACGAACGAGAAUAUUCGAGAAUAUUCUUUAUUUUGGCUUUAUCCAAAACAUGCAACAUCGAACGUCAAACAUGAAACCGGGACGGCCGACAUGUAACAACGGAUGUUAAACAUGCAACCUGCAACACUGCACGUGAAAUAUACAACUUAUCACGUAAAGUUUGCAACUUCGACGUCAAACAUGAAACAGACGAGAAUAUUCGAGAAUAUUCUUUAUUUUGGCUUUAUCCAAAACAUGCAACAUCGAGCGUCAAACAUGAAACCGGGACGGCCGACAUGCAACAACGGACGUUAAACAUGCAACCUGCAACCUGCAACACUGCACGUGAAAUAUACAACUUAUCACGUAAAGUUUGCAACUUCAACGUCAAACAUCAAACAGAUGAGAAUAUUCGAGAAUAUUUUUUAUAUUGGCUUUAUCCAAAACAUGCAAUAUCUAACGUCAAACAUGCAAGCGGGACGUCGGACAUGCAACUACGGACGUUAAACAUGCAACCUGCAACACUGCACGUGAAAUAUACAACUUAUCACGUAAAGUUUGCAACUUCGAUAUCAAACAUGAAACGAACGAGAAUAUUCGAGAAUAUUCUUUAUUUUGGCUUUAUUCAAAACAUGCAAUAUCGUACGUCAAACAUGAAAUCCAACCGUCGAACAUGCAACAACUGCUGUUAAACAUGAAACUUGCAGCACUUCACGCGAAAUAUGCAAUUUAUCACGUAAAGUUCGCAACUUCGACGUCAAACAUGAAACGGACGAGAAUAUUUGGGAAUAUUCUUUAUUCUGGCUUUAUUCAAGACAUGCAACAUAUUACGUCAAACAUGCAAGACGUCCGACUUGCAACAACAGACGUUAAACAUGAAACUUGCAACACUUCACGCGAAUUAUACAACUUAUCACGUAAAGUUGCAACUUCGACGUCAAACAUGAAACAGACGAGAAUAUUCGGGAAUAUUCUUUAUUUUGGCUUUAUUCAACACAUGCAACAUCUUACGUCAAACAUGCAAUCGAGACGUCGAACAUGCAAUAACUGACGUUAAACCUGAAAUACUAUUUUUUUCAUUUUCAAUUUCUUUAUUUUUUUUCAUUUUAUUUAAUUAUAUUAUAUUGUAUUAUAGGGUUUGUAUUAUAUUAUUUAAUUUCUUUAUCUUUUGCUAUUAAUUAUAUUAUAAAAAACUAUUUUUGACAUUUUAUUUAAUUUUUUCAUUUUUAUAUUGUAUUUUUAAUAUAUAUUUUUUAAAAAAUAUGGUGCAACCGGUUUGUCAACCGGCUGCAUCAAGUCUUUGGCUGCCAAAUGGCAGCCAAAGACAGUCGGGCUCUCUUUUUGAGAGCCCGGCAUUGUAGCCAAACCCAUUCAAAAUGGGGCAAAAUUAUGGUAUCACAAUGGUACCGUAUUAUGGCCGGAUCCAGCCUACAGUUAUCAUCAUAAUUGGAUUCAACGGUUGGAUCCAUUUGUAGUAUAGUAUCACUGUGGUAUCAUAAAUGGACCCUUUAAAAUAAUACUUUUUUUAAUUAAAUAAGUGAAAAUUAAACCUACAAUUUAAAAUAGAGGACUGUAGAUGCGUAUAAAUUGAAAAAGGUAAAUUUUGUGUAUGCGCAAAUAUUUUAGUUAACAACAAAAAAUUCUAACAAGUUAAUAUAAGAGUAUCAUAGCACAAGAGAAUUUUUUUUUUUUUUAAUGUUAAGAGUUAUCGAGAUACCCAAUAUAUAUGUGUGUGUGAGAGAGUGGAGGAAGAAAAAAAAAUUAAGAAUAGUUUUGGCAUUUUGAUGGGUUUUAUACAGUAAAAUCUAUAUUUUCAAAUAUGAUAAUUCUUUAAUUUAAUUUGGUGUUAUGAAAAAAAGGGCAUUUUAAAUAUGUUUUAAGUUAUAAAUAACACCAUCCAAAAUUUAAAAAUGAAAUCUUAGGGGGGAAAAAAUUUCACCCGAACUAAGGCCCAAAGUAGCCACGGCAUUUUUCACCAAUUCUCCAAUUCCCAAUGUGGUCUAAUUAUUUAUAAGGAAUAUGAGUAGGGGUGGGCACGGUUCGGUCUGGUUCGGUUUGGAUCGAAAUUAAGCAGAACCGAUUAAAAUCGGUUAUUUUAUAAAAAGAACUAAAUAAGAACCAAACUCAAUAAAAACCGAACUCAAUAAAAACCAAACAUAAACGGAUCUUUUCGGAUCGGUUCGGUUUAGUUUUUUUCGAUUUUGGGCCUAUUUUGAAUUUCUAAAUUGUUAGCCCAUUAGGCCUCAUGAAUGUAAUAAUUUUAUUCAACAAUUAAUUUAUCCUAAUUUCAUUACAAAUAUUAACAAUAAAUACAAAGUAUUCAAAACACAUUUUAUCACUAAUAUCUUACUAACUACUAAUAAGGUACUUACAAAAUAUGAAAUAUUAAGAUUUGAAAAUACAUAAUCAAACUACAAUACUCCAUCUACAUAAACAUAAUGUUGUAAAGACAAAUAAAAAUAACAACAAUUAAAACUUACAACACAAAAUAAAAAGAAAAUUUGGAAACAAACACGAACAACAAUUUUUAAAUAUAUAUAUAUAUAUAUAUAUAUACCCGUAAUCGUGUGUGUGCAUGCCUAUUUUAGUUAUCUCACGCAAUCAAUUAAAAUUUAACAUGUGUCUAUUUAAAUAAAAUUCUAAAAAUAACUCGAUUUUUUUGUUCGGUUUUUUGGUUCAGUUGAGUGAACCGAAUACCAAACCUGUAUUUCAAUUUUUUUUACAAACCAUAUAUUUCAGUUAUUUUUUAAAAUUAAAACCAGUCCGAACGGAAUGGAACGGUUCGGAUCGAUUUUCUCUAGUGCACGGUUUUUUUUACCCACCCCUAAAUAUGAGAUUCUCUACCACCCCAAUUUAUCCCAUUGUUAGCAAUCCUAUUAGCUGUUUUAUAUCCUAUUUUUAUUAUGCUCCCCAAACAAAUAUGUUUCACCUAAAGGUGCCCAACGGGCUGCACCGUCCGUCUGAAUGAGCCCACGAGAGGCUCCCCAUGACACGGCAAUCUUUUCUUUUUAACGAGGGCGUGCCUGAUAUGCUUUUUCAAGUCUACAUAUGUAACGUUCUUUUUUUAAAUCCAUAUAUUUUUUUAAGCUCAUGUCAAAUUCAGUAGUAAGAGAAUGCAAUGCUAGUUAAUAAGCUAAAGUGCACCCGUGCCACUUUUUUUUCUAGUUGUUUUAUUUGUAUGAUAAUUAUCAUGGACCCACGUAACUUUCUUUUGCAUUUAAAAUUUCAUAAUAAAUUAAAUUAGACAAAAGAAAUGAGUCCCACAAAUAAUUUAUUUUAUAAUUUUGUAAAUAAUACUAUUUUAAAAUAAAUUAUCAAAACAAAUUUCAUAUUCACUAAAAUUAAUCAUCUUCAUAUUAUAAAAUAAAUAAAAAAAACAACAUUUUAAAAAUAAUGCCAACUACACCCUUAAAUUUUAUGUACGGCACUAGAAUUAAUGAACAAUUUUUGACAAAGAUGCUGCGACCUAAGUAGGGAUGGCAAUUAAAUUCAGAGCCGGCUCGGAUCUGUAAGGAUCCGAAAGAUCCAGAUCUUGAAAAAUCCGUAUCUGCAUAUUAAAAAAUGUGGAUCCGGAUAUAGAAAUUUGGGAUCCGCACGAAUCUAGAUGCAAGUGCAUUCGGAAAACCGGAUAUCGAGAUCCGGAUAAAUUUUAUUUCCAAUUAAAAAUUAAAUGAUACAUUUAAUUUAGAUUAUCAAUCCUAUCUGAAACUUAUUGAAUGAUACAUUUCAUUUCUAUAAAAUUGAGUUACUAUUACCACCUCACAUCUUAUAAAUUCUAGAAAAUAAUCAAGGCUUGACAUACUUUUAUUUAUGCAAAAGCAUAAGAAAAUAAUUUAAAGUACUAAUUAGUGUACUAUUCCUCAAAAUUCUAGAAUAAAUUUGCUAGUUCUCUUUAGUCAUAGAUUGAUCCAUGAUUGGCACCGCAAUAGCUCAGAAUCACCUCAACGAUUGUUCCACACGGCCCAACAUGACACACUGUAAACUAGUCUAAGAUGAACUUUCUGAGUGGCUUUUUAGCAAUAGUCUUAGAGAAAGUGUUUAGUAGUAUGAAGUCUUCUUUUUUAACACAAAUGUUGGCAUGAUAUUCUUAAUAUAUUUCUAAAAUUAAAAUAAGAUGCAUAGAGGACAACAAUAAUUUUAUUUCAUAAUUGAAUUUUUUGCAAAAAAAGUUUGAACAUGAGAGUGAUGAGAGAUGAGAAUAUUGAUGAUGGUGUGUACUUUGGAUGGAAAAGUAGAUUGGAAAUAUAUAUAGACAUAUUAAAAGAAAAAAAUUUGGUCUAUUUCUUAAGAGAAACAAAAAAUUAUAAACGUGGGUGUUAAAAUGUAUUCAGAAUUUAUAAAUUUUUAUAAAUAUGAUAAUCAUCAGACCCUUAUAAAAGUAUAACAAAAAAGUUUAAAAUUUUUUAAUAAAUGUAGAAGAGAUGAACGAAGAAAUCAUCCACCAGUUCAGAAUUAACAAUCAAAGAUAUGAGGACUUGAAUGAAAAAAUGGUGAAAAAUAAAAGGACACUGGGUUGGUUAGCGGGACCCUAAUAUUAAUGGUGAAAAAUAAAAGGACACUAGGUUGCUAUCAAUUUCUACCGUGUGGGUUCAUAGCCGGGGAAGUAAUUGGGCACAAAUAUCUCGGAUGAGAAAUAACCAUUUUAUCCCGCAACCAUAUGUUUAUGGCCUCUAAAAAUUUUCACCUCUUUCACUUCUGGAACCCGUGCUUUCUGGCACAUGCACAAUACUUGGUUGCUACUUAUAGAGCGUUUUUAGAAUUGCAACGACAUGGUGCUCUUUGAUAAUUCAAAAAUCCAAUAUAAUUUAUAGAGAAUUACAGAAUUGUGGUACGUGAUAAUUUUCUGAUGCAAUGAGGCGCCGAAAUUCUUAUACAUGUGAUCUAGGUUAUAUAUGUAUAAUUAAGUAAUUAGAAAAUACUAGUUGGGGGUAUUUAUGUCCAUGAAAAUUUACAGCUGGUUGUUGACAUUACACUGCGGGUGUGUAAGUGUAAUCUUGGAUCCGACCAUUCAAAUUAAAAAAAUGGGGGUCCCGCUAGCUUGCGGAGUUAGUAAUUAUUACAUAUGCAGAUAUGCUCCCGUACGAUAAUUUUAUCAUAAAUUUAAAGGAUACGAGGACUAGCUUGAAGAAAUGAACGAAUAUUUGAAUCAAAACAAAUUUUAGAAUAAAGACAAGUAUUAAUUUACUAUGAAUGUAACUUACAUAUGCUGUAAGUUAGCGUGACACUAUUGAAUCACAAGCAAAAAACAAUCUGUCUUCUUCUUGAUUCCGUAAUUUGGCUGUCAAAAUGCAAUCUAUAAAGAUUACGAUACCUCGAUUCAAAAUAUGUUGUUUUUGAUGAAAUAAAUGAAAAUUGAACGUACAAUCUGUCACGACCACCCUGGAUUCAAAAAAAUAUUAUUUCUAAUGAAAUAAAUGAAAAUUGAACGUACAAUCUGCCACGAACACUAUUCAAUUAACCGUUUAUUUCUCCUUAAAUUUUUAAUCUCAAAGAAACAUAGAUUUAAUGGGAACUACACAUAUAUAAAAAUACUAUAGAUUGAAGAAGUUGAAUUUUUCUUGUGUGUUAAGUAUUUUUGUUAAUACGAAAGGAUUCUAGCAAGUUAAUACAAAAGUAUCAUAAAUUCAUUGUAGUACAAGAGAUUUUUUUUUUCCUUUGAUGUUAAGAGUUUUGGAGAUAAAAAAAAAAAAAAGGUGAAAGAAGAAGAUGAGAGAAGAAAAAAUAUUAAGAAUAGUUUUAGCAUUUUGAUGCGUUUUAUAGAGUAAAAUCUAUAUUUUAUAGUAUAAAAUGGUACACCCAUAAUUUAAUGAUAAAAUUUUAGGAAAAAAUUGCACUCGUCAAAAAAAGAAAAAAGAAAAAAGGCUCAGCUUAGCCCAAAAUUUUUUUAUUAACCUUCUAGUCACUAAUGUAAUCUCUUUUUUAUGAGAUUCUUUGGCGUUUUAAUUCAGUCCAUUGUUAGCAAUCUAAUAGCUUUUAUGUGCAUCUAUUUUUUAUUGAAAUAUGUUUCAAACUUGAAUAAAAUCUGCGGGACAACUGGUAAGUAAUAAAGCUCAUCAUUUUUUUUUAUUUUGAAAAUAAAGGGAAUCACUUACACUUAGCAUGAUAUUAUUUUUGAUAAGUCAUUUUUUUGGUAGAUUAUUUUUUCUGACACGCUCUUAGAUUUAGUGAAAAUAAAUUGUAUACUUUUAAUGAAGAAAAGUAAAGAUCAACAAAAUAUUUUGUUGUUUUCGACAACUUUUGCGUUGUCAAGUGCGCCUGAUACCCUUUUUGUUUUUUUGAACAUGGGCCCACGUGCCAUUGUUUUCAUUUCAAGUUCAUAAUUUAACAGUAGAAAUGGGUUCCACAGAUAAUUUAUUUUAUAAUUUUUUAAAAAAUUACCAAAAUAUAAUAAAUAAGGUAAUAAUAAUUAAUAAAAUAGUAGAUUUUAAGAUGGAAAAAUAUUUUUGUGUACUUAAUAAAGAGAUGAUAAGAAUGGGAUGCUUUUGGUUUACAUUCUCAUAGCUAUUCAUACUGAAAAAUUACAUCAAAAUUUAAUUAAUAAAUCAGUGAACUGCAGACUUAUUAAAUUUAAGCUAUUUUACUUCUCAAAAAAAAAAAUUAAGCUAUUUUAAUAAGUCAUAAAUAUACUAAGUUAAAAUUGUAGUAAACCCAUUGUUACAGAAUACUCUCCAUUGAGUGUUCACCAUUUUAAGAUAAUCAUAAAAUGACACCGGAGGUGCUAUUAUAGCUGCCUCAUGGAAAGCCUUCACCAAUAAAAAUCCGGUGAGCAAAGUUGGUCAUAAGAAAAAGGAGUAUAGAGCACAUACAUCCAGUUUUUAUACCCUUUGAUGCUCAGUCGACACGUGCCAAUGCUAUAGACUAUCUGAUAAUCUACUAAGGUAACGCAUGCCAAUGCCAUAGACUAGCUUUUCAAAGGUUGAAGUGGGUAUACUUUUAGUAAAAAGACCUGCAAAAUUAGGCAAAUGCUAAGUUACAAUAAUUGUAACAUACAUUCCUCAUGUGAACCACAUAAAUUGUGGGUCCUAUAAUUUUGUGUGGUUCACAUGAGGGAUGUAUGUUACAAUUAUUGUAACUUAGAGGCUCCCGCAAAAUUAUAGUGUACCUAUUUGACAUCAACUUUUUUUAUCUGGUUUCGUAUUAUCAAAUACCUUCCCUACCCAUUUGUAUUCCAUUUGAUAUUUUCUAAAUGGUUGAAGGUAAAUUAGUAAAAAUUCAUUUUAAAAAAAAUUCAAAGAAAUUCAAGAAGAAGUUUUGUAUCUGCCAUUUGUAUUUGGGGUAUCUUUUUUUGGUUGUUGAGAGAAUGAGUUUAAAUCUAAAAUAUUUAUUUUCUUAUUAUAUAUUUUUCGUUGGAAAGAAUUUAAAUCUUAUUCUUAUUAGAUUUAUUCUCUUUAAACAAAGGUAGGUUUUUCUACAUGUAUUUAGCGUGUAUUUUAAAACUAUUGUUCAACAUAUCUUUAGAUUCUAUUAUAAAUAUUCAUAUCUAACAUCUCAAUAAUUUCCAACAUAUAAAUAUAUAUAAAGGGAGAUAGUAACGUUCUAAUAAGAAAUUUCUUAAGUUAUCAAGUUAAAAAAUAAUUUAAAAGAUAAAAAAAUACACAUUCUAAUAUAUUAUAUAACAAAAUAUAUUGUAUCAAAAUAUAUAUUUUGCUUACUUUUUUAAUAUAUCCCAUAUUAACUUAACAAAUCCUUUAUUUAACUAAUUAUUAUUAUUAUAUAUAUAUAUAAUAAUAAUAAUAUAUUAUAGUAGUUUUCUGAUAAGGAAUUUUAAAAUGUGAGAAAGUUCGGAAAAAUUUUAAAACCGCACGGCUUUACAAAUUUACAGUUUUAAGUUUGCUUUUAAAAUCAUACAGCUUUAAAAUUUUAUUAUACUUUUUCGUACUUUAAAAAUUUCGACUGAAAUAUAUAUAUAUAUAUAUAUAUAUAUAUAUAUAAUUUUUUAAAAAUAAACAAUUUAGAGUAAAACAAAGGACAUUCUCCGGGCCUUUUACCUGACUAGCAAUCUACCGUUUUGGAAUGCAAUAAAGUGAAAAUACUAGACUACCAGUCUACUAUUUUGGAUUGCAAUAAAGUUAAAAUGGGUUACAGCAAAAAAGUUAGAAAAAGAAAAAAGUGACAAUCAAUCUUGCCGGCAAUAUAUCAACUUUUUUGCUGGAUUAGUAUCACGGUCAAACACAAAUUAUUGCAAGCACUAGCAAAAAGCAAUCUAUGAUUUCGCAAUUUGGCUGUCAAAUUGAAUAACAAUAUGAAACAUAACUAGAAAUAUAAGCAAGACAGGAUUUCGAAAUCACCCAAAACUUUUUUCCUAUUUAUUUUGUUAAAUUUUUAUGGGGAAUUUUGAGAUGUUGCACAUUAACAUAUAUCUCUUACAACUUCAUUUGAACGCGUCAUCACCGAUCACUCAAUCAUAAUUUGCAUCGAAUUCAAUUAUAUGCGUGAAAAUGAAAAGAUCUUUGAGUGGUCAAAAAAUACACCGGUCCGUGUUACCAAUUUCUUAAGAAAUUAUAUGUUAUUCUGGAUUAUUAAUUUUAUUUUUAAGUAUUUCAGGAUUAUUAUAGUUUUUUAACUGUUUUACAAAUAUAAAAAAAUUAUAAGUAUGGGUCAGUUGAAAUUUAAUGGAAAAGUUUACGACAUAGUCAAUGUUCGAGAGCUAUUUUCAAUUUGAGGAUAAAACAAUGUUGCAAUUGUUGGCUUGUUGCAACAUUCCAUAACUUUUUUGUAUUUGUGGCUUUAGUAUAUGGCAGUCCUUGAUAUUGUAUAUUACAUAUAUCCUGCCUUCAACUCACUGAGAGUAAGAGUGCCACUGUUGUCAGUGUCCAUCUCUCUAAAUUUUUCCAUUAGCUUUUGCUUUUCUCCUGUUGGAAGAUUUUCCACAAUGACCUGAAAAUCCACUCAGUUUUAUCAGUAGAGGAAGCACAAUUAAAUGCAUAAAUUUAAUGGCUUGCACAUAUAUAGUGUUGUGGAAUUCCUUCAAGAUCCACUCUAAUUAAUCAAAUAACCUAAGCUUAUAGAACCCAAAUGAUUCAAGAUCAACAAUCUUUAAUCAAGAAAGCUAACCAGAUCAAACACAAGAAAUAACCAGAGAACAACAACAAGAAGAAGAUGAACCAGAAACAAUGAACACAAUAUAACGUGGUUCAGUACCAAAGUACCUACAUCCACGACCAAAUAAACCCCUCUGGGCUUGAAGCUUUUAUUGAACAAAGUGUUUACAAUGAGAGUAUUGAUGACAAAGAUUAAAUCUCUCCUACAGAGAAUUUUCUAUCUCUCAUCCUAGGCUUCUCAAAAUCGUGACUUUUUCUCUCUGUUGAUCAGCCCUGAGCCUAUGUAUAUAUAGCUCUGUUGUCCAGCUGUUAGCAGUAACGAAUUAACUAACUCUGGCCCCACAUAUAAGCUGACUCAGCACGCCACUUAGUCACAUAACAGAAUUAACUAAUCAGGCUUCACAAAUCUCCACCUUAGUUGAUUCUGUACCAGCUUCACUCAGACCUGGUUUAGAUAGUUAAUAUGCUUGACUUACAAGCUUGUAACUCCAAUCAAGUUCAGAGAGUUUCUGAACUUGACUGUUGGUAUUGGUUUUGUCAGUGCAUCUGCUGGAUUGACUUCAGUAGAGAUCUUUACAACAUCCACUACCCCUCUUUCAAUUUCUUCUCUUAUGAAAUGUAACCUCACAUCUACAUGCUUUGUCCUCUCAUGGUAUUUGGAGUUUUUGCUUAACUGAAUUGCACUUGAGCUGUCACAACAGAUUGGAAUUGUAUCCUGAGUCAACCCCAUUUCAGAUAUAAUCCCUCCAUUAUAACCAUGCCAUUUUUUGUAACUUGGAGUUCACCAUUCUCUGCCUUAAUGCUACAGCCUGACUGGUCAACUGUUCCUAAGGAUAUUAGAUUCCUUCUAAGCUCUGGAACAUAUCUUACAUUCUUUAGCUCUCUAUCUACUCCAUCAUGCAUAGUUAUGGUAACAGUUCCAAUUCCAGCAACCUUACAGGCCAAGUUAUUUCCCAAUAAAACCUUACCUGUAUCAACUUUCUCAAAAGUCUUGAAGAGUUGCUUGUUUGGGCUCAUGUGGAAGGAGCAACCUGAGUCCAAGAUCCAUUCUUCAGUGGGUUGUUUUUCUGCAGCUAUGAGAACAUCUGCCCCUUCUGAAUCCCCUUCAUCUUCUGAUGCAAUGGCUGCCUUCCCUGAUGAAUCUUUCUGGAUCUUUUCAAGUUUCUUCUUCUCGAAACAAUCCUUUAUGUAAUGCCCUUCCUUCUGACAGAAAUAGCACUUCCUCUUCUUCUUUUUCUUGUCAGCUUUAUCCUUCUGAUUGUUACUUUUCUUGUCAUGAUUCUUCUUCUUUUCAGGUUUUGAUUUGGCCAUCAGACCUUCACCAAGGCCCUGAUCUUUUCCCUCAGCUCUUUUCUUUAAUUCUUUUGAUUCCAGAGCAUUCUUCACAUCUUUUAAUGUAAGGGUCUGUCUCCCAUACAGUAAUGUGUCAACAAAGUGCUCAUAUGAAUCUGGCAGUGAGCUUAACAAGAUAAGAGCUCUGUCUUCAUCUUCAAGGUUCACAUUAACAUUCUCAAGAUCCAGGAUUAGCUUGUUGAAUUCGUCGAGAUGGUCUUUCAUGGCUGUUCCCUCCUUCAUUGAGAAUGUAUACAGCUUCCUUUUCAUAUAGAGUCUCUUGGCCAAAGACUUCUUCAAGAAUAGUUCUUCAAGUUUCGACCAGAGUCCAGAUGCAGAUUUUUCUUUAGCAACCUCUCUCAGCACUUCAUCAGACAGAUGCAAGAUUAUGGUGCUGUGAUCUUUGUUGUUAAUAGACCUUAUGUCUCCACCCAAGCUUGAGGAGCCUUCUGAUCUCUCCUUUUUGCCAAUCUGAUCUUCUUCAUUAUCAAGAGCACUGUCAAGCCCCUGUUGGAUCAAGAUUGCACGCAUCUUGAGACUCCAUAGGUAGAAGUCAUUUUCUCCAUUAAAUUUUUCUACAUCGAAUCUUGUACUAGCCAUUUGUGAACAAGAGCUGAGAUCUUUUAAUGCUCUGAUACCAGUUUGUUGUGGAAUUCCUUCAAGAUCCACUCUAAUUAAUCAAAUAACCUAAGCUUAUAGAACCCAAAUGAUUCAAGAUCAACAAUCUUUAAUCAAGAAAGCUAACCAGAUCAAACACAAGAAAUAACCAGAGAACAACAACAAGAAGAAGAUGAACCAGAAACAAUGAACACAAUAUAACGUGGUUCAGUACCAAAGUACCUACAUCCACGACCAAAUAAACCCCUCUGGGCUUGAAGCUUUUAUUGAACAAAGUGUUUACAAUGAGAGUAUUGAUGACAAAGAUUAAAUCUCUCCUACAGAGAAUUUUCUAUCUCUCAUCCUAGGCUUCUCAAAAUCGUGACUUUUUCUCUCUGUUGAUCAGCCCUGAGCCUAUGUAUAUAUAGCUCUGUUGUCCAGCUGUUAGCAGUAACGAAUUAACUAACUCUGGCCCCACAUAUAAGCUGACUCAGCACGCCACUUAGUCACAUAACAGAAUUAACUAAUCAGGCUUCACAUAUAGCUUACUGAAUAUAAUAACAAGUACUUCGCAAUAAAACAUUGUUGGUGAGGAAGUGCAGAUGCAGAAAUUCGAUCAAGCAUUUAACUAAUGAUUGUCGCUGUUGUAUCCAAUUCUCAUACUUAGCCCUAAUAUGAGCUAGCUCCUAAAUGGGAAGAAUCUUUUUAAUUACAUGCGUAUGUAUAUAAUUAUUAGUUAGCUAGGUGUGGUCAAUGUCAUCUGUAUUUUAUCAAUGGAAUUUUAAUUAGGUGUGCGCGACAUCACACAUUGUGCACUAGAUCAAUCCUCUUGUCAAUUAAUAUAUAUUAUAUAUAUAUAUAUAGACACGUAUGUGAGUGGAGGAAGAAAAAAAAAUUAAGAAUAAUUUUGGCAUUUUGAUGGGUUUUAUAGAGUAAAAUCUAUAUUUUCAAAUAUGAUGAUUCUUUAAUUUAAUUUGGUGUUAUGAAAAAAAGGGCAUUUUAAAUAUGUUUUAAGUUAUAAAUAACUCCAUCCAAAAUUUAAAAAUGAAAUCUUGAGAAGGGGGGGGGGGGGGGGGGGGGGGCGGAAUUUCACCCGAACUAACAAAGGCCCAGAGUAGCCGCGGCUUUUUUCACCAAUUCUCUAAUUCCCAAUGUGGUCUAAUUAUUUACAACGAAUAUGAGAUUCUCUACCACUCCAAUUUAUCCCAUUGUUAGCAAUCUUAUUAGCUGUUUUAUAUCCUAUUUUUAUUAUGCUCCCCAAACAAAUAUGUUUCACCUAAAGGUGCCCAACGGACUGCACCGUCCGUCUGAAUGAGCGCACGAGAGGCUCCACAUGACACGGCAAUCUUUUUCUUUUUAAUGAGGGCGUGUCUGAUAUGCUCUUUCAAGUCUACAUACCUAACGUUCUUUUUUUAAGUGCAUAUAUUUUUUUUAAAGCUCAUGUGAAAUUCAGUAGUAAGAGAAUGCAAUACUAGUUAAUAAGUUAGAGCCUACAAAAUAAUAAUAAUAAUAAUAAUGGUUAACAUUUUAUUGUUAAUUUGAAUUUACAUACAGAUUAUAGUCCAUAAUAAUAUUAAUACUUACAAGUUUCAAAUUAAAAUUUAAUAAUUAACAUUUCAUAAACACAACUAUAUUAUCUAAUUUUGCAAUAACAAAUUAUAAUACAACAAUACAUAAUUCUAAUUUCAUAGACCAUAGUAAUAAAAUCUCUACGUUAAUGAAAAUUUUAUUUUGAUAUAUGUCGGUCUGCUUGCUAUUGAUGGUCGAUGGUUGUAUGCUAGCUUGCUAAUGAAGCGUGUUUAUUAUUGGUUUUUUCACGUGUCUUGCUUUACCACAUCUCUAAUCAAAUUGUGCUCUUAAAAUCCACAGCCUAACCUAGCCUCUGUGUGUGUCCUGUCGUGCCAUACUAUACAAACACGUAUCCGGUACCAUGCCACGUACCGGUCGGCCGGUCAGCCCUUAGCCAUCUCUAGUUUCACGUUCACACUUUCACUUUCACCCCUAAAUGAAAUCUAAACGGCUACUGGCAAGUAAGAAAACCUGUUAUUCUUUAUUUUGAAAAUAAAGGGAAUUGCUCAGUUUGAUAUUGUUUUUCGUAAGUCAUUUUUUGUUUUGAAACAUUUUUCUGAGAUGUUGUUGUAUUUGGUGAAAAAUAAAUUAUUUUAUUUUAUACUUUUAAUGAAGAAAAGUAGAGAAAAACAUUUUGUUGUUUUCGACAACAUUUGCCUUAUAAGUGCACCCGUGCCACUUUUUUCUUGUUUUAUUUGUAUGAUAAUUAUCAUGGACCCACGUAACUUUCUUUUGCAUUUAAAAUUUCAUAAUAAAUUAAAUUAGACAAAAGAAAUGAGUCCCACAAAUAAUUUAUUUUAUAAUUUUUAAAUAAUACCAUUUUAAAAUAAAUUAUCAAAACAAAUUUCAUAUUCACUAAAAUUAAUCAUAUUCAUAUUAUAAAAUAAAUAUAAAAACAAUAUCUGAAAAGUAAUGCUAAAUACACUCUUAAAUUUUAUGUACGUCAUUAGAAUUGAUGAACAAUCUGACAAAGAUAUUACGACUUAAGUAGGGAUGACAAUUAAAGUCGGAUUUGGAAAAAUUCAUGUCUGCAAAUUAAAAAAUGUGGAUUCAGAUAUGGAAAUUUUGAAUUCACACGGAUCCAGAUAAAUUUUAUUUUAAAUUAAAAAUAUAUAUUAAAAAAUAAAUGAAAAAAAUAAAAAAAUAAAUUUUAUUUGUGGUUUUAUGAUGUUGUUGUAUAUUAUUCAUGUUGAAUUAUUAAUGGUUGGAUUAUGAUUGAAUUUUAUUUGAUAUUAUUAGGUAAAUUAUUGAAUUUUAUUUAAAAUUAAAAAUAUAUAUUAAAAUUAAAUAAAAAAUUAUAUUUUAUUUGUAGAUUUAUGAGAUUAUUGUAUGUUAUUCAUGUUGAAUUAUUAAUUGUUGAAUUAUGAUUGAAUUUUAUUUGAUAUUAUUAGGUAAAUUAUUGAACUUUUAAAUUAUAUAUUAAAUUAUUUAAUUUUAAUUUUUACAGAUCUGGAUAUCCAAAAUAUCCUCCAGUAUCCGUUGCGGAUAUUACCCGCUUCUGGAUCCGCAUCUUUUUAUAUGAAUUCAGAUAUAGAAAUAUGAAUGCGAAUCCGAAUCUGGAUUUUACCAACCCUGAACCUAAGCAUGAAUGGGCCUAAAGUUUUUACAACAAACGUGGAUCAUUCAAUGACACGAGAUGUUUUACAGCUCUCAUUAGUAUAAUUAAAUAAUUAAUUCAUCUCUAUAUUCAACUUACUCCGUCUCAAAUUGCAUGCAAAUACGAAAAUUCACUUCUGAAUCGUUCACUUGAGGACAAUUCCAAAUUCUCCACGUAGAAUUUAGAUUCAAACCAUAGUAAAUUAGACAUAAUUCUAAUUUAUAUGGGAAAUAUAAUUAGCGAAGACACUCUUUAUAUAAAACAUUAUUGUCAUAGGAUGCCAAACCUAAUAAGAUUCAAGGUCUUAACAUAAUUCAUAUGAAAUUUGAUCUUGGAGCGUACCGACACGCAUAACAUCAAGACUCUACUUCAUAUAUUAUAAUGUAACUUCAUGGAUUUUUCGCUCUCUUGUGAAAUUGACAAAUUAUAGGUACUGUGUGGCAGUGGUACAUAAUAAAAUAAACGUUUAUUUUUAGAAUAUUAUUAUUUUAUCUCAAUUUUUUAUUUAAUAGUUAAUUUUAAUGAAUUCUUAAACUGUCAUAAUCAAUUAAUUUUUUACAUUAUCGCAUCUUAAAUAAAUUUUGGAUCUGUAAUAAAUAAAAACUGGUAACGUUUGUUCUUUUAAAACAUAAAACAACCGUAACAUUGGUUUUUACAUUUUGAAUUUUUCUUGCAUCACUAUUUAGAAAAAUGAUGUUAAAUCAACUCACAAAAUAUAUCAAGCCAUCUAAAAUCCAAAUAUUAUUACAUUUGUAUUUGCAUUGUUAAAUUGUUGGAAUGACGGCAAAGCAAUUGAAAAGAUAUUAGAAAAAAAAAAUAAAGAUUGGCCAAGGAUUAUUCAUGUUUAGGAAAUGAAUUAACUUUUGAAAUAAUCAUUGUUAUAAUUGUAUUGUAGAAAUAAUCAAUUACCUAAUGUUUGUCGUGGUAAAUAUUAUUAACUUGUUUUCCUACAUCCGUGUUUAUGGUGGUCUCCUUUUUGUCCAAUUCUGUACAACAAAAUAUUUGCAUGUUUUUGAUAGAAAUUGGUUUAAAUGACAUUUGAAAUAGUAUAUCCCCAGACAAUUAACGAAAUAUUUGGAUGGUAGGAUGAAGUAAUAUAGUUUUACAAAUUACCAUAUUAGAGGUAAAAAAAAUCAAGAGGUUACUUCAGGUUAUUUCAGGCUAUAUCCAAAUAUUUCGUUAGUCUCAGUUGUGGGUUGGGCACUCAAUGAAAAGGAUUACAAAUUACCUAUAAAAGGCUAGAAUAAGCUACAAAACCCUAUCUCAAAACCCCAUCCCAGUUUAGAUGAAUGAAGAAAAAAGGUAAAUCUUGAAACUCCUUAGAAACUGAAGCCCAAAGUGAAGCAAGAAGAUGAACUCUAUCCCAAGCAAGCAAUAUGGCAUAUUUCUCCAUUAAUGGUUCAAAUAAAGUGAAUGGCUUUCUCUGAUGAAUGGGAAAUUGUCAAGAUCAAUAGUCAAACUCAUGCAAAGUAAACGGACUUAAUUCUUAGAGGCUACUCAUUCUAAGUCUUAAAGAAAAUUUUUCUAAUUUCUAAAGAUUAUAUGGGGAAAAAUCAUUAUUUUCUAACAUGGGAAAUUUGAUACGGUGUUUAAUGUCUGAUCACAAUCAUAAUAUGAGUACUAACAAAAACAUCUUUAAUCGGCAUGGUGCGAGUAAAACACCAUCACUUCAUCUUUGAUGGAAAGAUGAUAAUAUAAGGAGAUGGUGAAAUGGAUUUGGUCCCCGGCAGCUUGUAAUCAAAAGAAAAUAAAAAACUACACUAUCAUUAAUGAUUACCGAAGCUACAUAAGUAUCAAAAUCGGAAAGUAAACAAUUGCAAAACACAUCAAUGACUGGAGGUUAGGUUCUAAAACUUCCGCAUUUAAUUUUCAGAGCAUGUUAUGUAUUAUUCAGAAAUAUGCUUUCACUUCAGGCACUUGACCAAGACGCAUUAAACAUAAAAUGCGGCGUUUUCAUGGACUAGUACAUUCCAUGCUUCGAAAGUUUAUAUUUUAGACUGAUUGGUUUGAUACAUUAUUUGUUUAUUGCGUUUUUCUUGCUUUAAAUAUUAUGUUGGAUUGAUAAGUUUUGUACACAUUUAUAUUGCUCGCAGUAAAUAAUUUAUGACAUUUAAAAAACUAUCAACCGUCUAUCAAAAGAUUUCUACUAUAAAUAUAUAUACACAAAAAACUUUUAAUUUGGUCAAUUUGUUCUCUUAUUUAUUUUUGUUCUAUUUCUCUUUUCCUUUCCUUUCAUUUUACUGUUUUAUGGUACAAAAUAAAAAAAAUAACCUUGAAAUUUAAGGGUAAAAUACUCAUUUUACUAAAAUUCCGUUUACUAUGAUAAAGCUGUCAAAUGUCAAUGGCAUAGUACACGAGUGAUACAAAUUAAAAACAAUAAAUUGAAAGUUUUUAUGCGUUUUCAUUUUAUUUUUUUUUAUAGCCGAUUGAGAUUCCCCUUCAUUUUUUUAAAUUCAAUAGGUUUAGACCGUUUAACAAAUCUUAAAUUAAAAAAACCUGUGGUGUAAUAACAAACUCACAUCAAACCCUGUCCACUUUCAUCCCUAAUUAUAUUUACCACUUCAUACUCACAGUGAUAAUAACUGUGUAUCACAAUUGAUUUUGCAUACGGGUAAAAGUUCCAAGUCCGGAUAUUUAGUUAAUGAAAUUUGAUGAAAAGGGCAUGGAAGAAAAUAAGAAAUUAAAUAAUACAGGAGGUAUUAAUCAUUACAUCUUUAGUUAAUGAAAAUUGAUGAAAAUAUUUCUGCAGACGUGAGCCGUAAUUAUAUUACCGUUUAGAAUGAAGCAGAAGAGUUUACCCAAACUUCAAUUUAAAGAAUUUUUAUAUGAGAGUACCGGGACAAAAAGUUUAAUGCAACAACAUACAUUAAGUUAAUUCCAUAAUCUAUCCCCAAAGAAAGACAAACACAAGCUUAUAAGAUUAAAACUUUGGAAAACAUUAAAGAGUCAGACAAAAUUGUGUAAUCUUCAGAGUUUGGAGCAUAGUUCAUCCAGGAAAGCAAAAGAAAUAAUAAUAAUAAUAAUAAUAAUAAUAGUGGUGGUUUGAUCUCAAAAGGUGGCAUCAAAGUGGUAACUUUGAGGUAUUGGAAGCAAUAACAUCUUCAACUUUGUCCUGAUUUCGAAGUCCUUUAACCCAUCCGCCAUCAAUGGAUUGAAUGCUUCCAUUCAACCCAUCAUCCACAAAAUCACCAAUCCGUUUCACCUUCAUCUCCUUGGGCUUAACAGGGUACUUUCCAGAGAAGCAAGCAAAAAAAAAAUAUUCUGAGAAUCAUCGCCUAACACCUUGUUCAAGCUGUCAAUCGGGCAGAAAAGCAAGCGAAUCACACCCAACAAACUCCCUGAUUUCCUCAACGCUGAUCCUGUUGGAAAUCAACUCCUCAGUACUUGGAGUGUCUACUCCGUAGUAACAAGAAGCUAUGAUUGGUGGGCUUGCAAUUCUCAUGUGAACCUCAUUAGCUCCAGCCUCCUUAAGCAACCUAACAAUUUUUGAUGAAGUUCUUUCUCACACUAUCGAAUCAUCCACAACCACAACUCUCUUUCCCUCCAACCACAACCUUACAGGAGAGACUCGAGAGAGCUUAAGCUUGACACCAAAGUCCCUAAUUUUCUGGGAAGGCUCAAUGAAAGUUCUCCCAACAUAAUGUGACCUUAUCAACCCUUGUUGAAAUGGCACCCUGGCUUUCGCAGCGUACUCAAGUGCAGCCACCACUCCAGAAUCUGGUACUGCAAUCACAACUUCACACUCAACAGGAGCCUCGGUAGCAAGUACUUCCCCAAAAUGAUACCUCGACUCAUAAACAGACCUACCAAAAACAACAGAAUUGGGCAAAGCAAAAUAAAUAUGCUCAAAGAUGCACUGCUUAGGUUCAGGGUGAGGCAUCAAACAAAGUGAUUGAACCCCAUCUUUAUCCACCAUCAAAACUUCACCGGGAUAUACCUCUCUCUCUCUCUCUCUCUCGUAAGUGGCCUCAAUCAAAUAGUGCACAAGUCUCUGACGCAAAAACCAGAGCACUAUUACUCCUCCUACCCAUCACCAACGGCAUAAACCCAUACGGGUCACGGACUGCAACAAACUUAUCCUCAGUAACAAACACCAUUGAAUAAGCACCCUCAAGCUUCUCACAAACAUCCACAAUCCUCAAAAAGAACGGCCUAGCUUUCGAUAUCGGAAUCAAAUGGAGAACAACCACAGUAUCAGAACUAGUAUUAAAAAUGGACCCAUUAUCUUCAAGCUUAGCCCUCAAAGUGUUAUAAUUAACUAAUGUGGAACACCAACAGAACCAAACCUGUACCCAGCAACAAAAGGCUGCACAUUCUUAAGCAUAGAACUACCCGCAGUCGAAUAUCUAACAUGACCAAUGGCCAUAUCACCCGGCAAUUGAUCAAGUUUAGACUGAUUAAACACAUCAGGGACUAAACCAACACCAGUAAUAGACUGAAGAACUUUCACAGCAACUAUACCUGCACCUUCUUGGCCGCGAUGCUGCAUCGCGUGUAGCACCAAAUAGCACAAACGGGAGGCCUCUGGGUCACCAUAGAUGCCCACAACACCACACUCCUCACGGGGCUUAUCGUCGUCGUCAUCAUCAAAACUGCCAAAACCGUCAUCUGGGUAUUCUUUAUUUGUGGUGAAAAACUCAGAGAUGGGGUUUUUUGAUAGAACAGUGAAGUUAUUUUUGUGGAUUAAAGAUUGUUGUUUCUGAGGGAAAAAAGGGUUUUUUUGCAGGGUUUUGGAGAAAAGAGAAACAUGGGUUUUUUGCGACGGCUUAGGGUUAGCAGAGGGAGAUGGGUUUGAGAGAGGGCAGAUAUUGGCGGUGCCUGUGGUUGUGGCUGCCAUUAAUGGCUGAAUUUAUUCUAUUUUAUUUUAUUUUUUGGGUUGCCUUGCUCAAAGAAAAAACAGAGGUGGUGUGUGGAGGGAGACAGUGACGAAGGGUACUUUAAGUCGAGGGGAACUUGUUCUAGGUUUUUUUCUGGAAUUGUGAGGGAAUCUGAUCCUGUGUUUGUGCAUAUGAUUCAAUUACUUAUAGCUGAUACUGUUGUGUCACCACAAAAUCUAAUUGGGAAGCUUCAGCUGUCAAUUUUUUUCCAAGGGUUAAUUAGGUAGAACUUUCAUGUCGUCGAUUUUAUUUGGAGAUUCUAAAAGUAGUUUCCAAAUAAAGAGAUGGACCAAAAUCAACAAUGUGACAAAGAUACUUUAGAUUUUUUUUACUUGUGGGACAUGAAAAUUGAUGCAUGUUCCAAUGCAUUGCUCUAUCAGAAUUGGAAUUAAACUUAGUUUGUAUUCUCCUAUUCCGAAAGCAAAACUUAUAAGUGAUAUUCUAAGAAGAAGAAAUUAAGAACCAUAACAAAUUUGAAGAUUCUAAUUUGCUAGAAAUAUUGCAAUCCAAAACUAAGAAAGUUAAAACCAAUUAUUAGAAGAAAAAAGCAAGACGGAAGCUCCCAGAAUAUUGUUAUGUGUUGUGUGUUUCAGUUUGUAUUUCCCAAUCAAUAAGAAAAAGUAAGUACACAUGUUACAAAACUUUAAUAAAAAAGAUUGGAGGUGACAAAAUCGUCAAUCUUCUAAUUAACUUUCUCUCCUUUCAAAUUUCCUGAGUUUGGUAGAGACUGCUUAAGUGGUGUAUCUGUUAUAAACAGGCAAAACUAUGUUGCAACAGUGGUAUGGUACCACUGUUGCAACCAGCCAUUGGAUGCAUAGUUGUACAGUUACAUUAGCAAGAUCUAAUGGUUGAAAGCAACAAUGGUACUGUACUACUGUUGCAACAUAGCUGGACCCAUUAUAAACACCUGAAGUCAAAGUUAAUGUUUUAAUUGUUAAGAAAAGUUAGAAGAAGAAAUUUUUGUAUAAGAGAAUUGGGUUUAAAUUUUAGAAUUCUUUGGGAGGAAAUGAGUCUAAAUUCCAAUAAUAUAAUUCAGCACUAUUUAUAUAUAUCAUUAGUUGGGUGAAAAAUUAAUUUCCCUCCUUUGAUGUGAUUUUCAUCAUUUAUUUUCAUAUGAUGGUAAUUUUUUGUUUAGAGUGAAGUUAUUGGCACCCUUUCAUUAUCCUUAUAAAAUCCUACUUCAAAUAAAAUUACACUUAAAGACAAUAGAAUUAAAUAAAAUAGUUUUUUUUUCAAACAAAUUACUCACAUUCAUAAUUUUUUUUCUUCUAAUUUUCUACAGGUUGCUUUGUAUCUAACUAAAAUCAAUUGUACAAAUUUAGAAUAAUUUAUUAUUCUUUUUAAAUUUCUUAUUGAUUAAAUAUUUGUGUGCUUAAGAUAGUUUUAAAAUUAUAAGAUAAUAUAUAUAUAAUUUAAGCCAAUGAUUAACAUUAAAAAAUUUAUCUCUCAUAAAAGUUUUUAAUUUGUGCGUAGGGUAAUAAUAAAAUUGCAAAAGAAAUGAAAAAUAGCAUAGCACUAUUUUGAGUUUAAACAAUAAAAAAUUAAAUGAAAAAUUAGAAGUGUAUUUAAAAAAAGGAUAUUUUUGAAAAUAAAUAUAAUUUAAAACAAAAAAAAAAAAGAGUUUCAUGAGGGGUGCAAUAGUUCAACUCUUUUGUUUAUAAGUUUUAAGAUGUUGGUAUCCGUAGCUUAGCUUUUCCCUAAUUAUUAUAUUAAAAUGUAACAACAAUGAUGAUAAACCCUAAUUUCAUGGAGGUCAAAGAUUUUGGUCAUGCCGCAUUAAUUAGUUCGGUCAUACUUUCUACAAAUUUAUUUACAUUUAAUAAUUUGACCAAGACUAGGUAAGGCGCCGCUUGGAGUCAUAGAAUUUUAUAUGUCAAAAGUGCGUUUCACUUCAAUUAAGCCAUAAAUGUCGUUUAAUAUGCUCAUUUUGUAUUUUUUUUUUAAAAAGUUUUAUUAGUUUUUUGGUUUUUAAAAAUAUCAUUUAUUGGAGUUGCUAAAGUUGGUGGCGAAAUUGAUGGAAUUCUAGUAUCUCAUAAGGUAUCUCAUGAUUUAGUGCUAGCUUCCAAUCAACGUAAGAACAAAGGCAAAAACGAAAGUAAUGUUGGGCUUACAAAUGAGGACGAGGAGGAAAUAGAAAUGGGCUUGGUUAUUUCCGAUGCUAAAAGGCGAAGGUCUGAAAUUGGGCUGGAGGAAAAUGUGGAUCCUCAAAGUGGCACAUCUACUAUUAUGGAAAUGGUUAUGGUACCAAAAAAGGGGUUAGCGGUGGGUCCUGUCGAUCAGGCCCACUGCUCCCAAUGAGUACCCUUAGCUGGAACUGUCGUGGGCUAGGCCACCCACGGACAGUUCAGGUUCUGACAGAGUUGGUCAAAUCUAGAAAACCUUCUUUUAUUUUUUUAAUGGAAAUUCUUUGUUACAGACAUCAAUUGGAGCAUCUUAAACAAAAAUUAGGCUUUGAAAAUUUAUUUGUGGUGGAUCGAUUGGGCCGUAGUUGUGGGUUGGCAUUACUUUGGAAAGCCAAGUUUAAUGUUAGACUUUUAAAGUUUGCAAAAAAUUUCAUUGAUAUAGCUGUGAGUGAAACGGGUUCGGAUAUGGGUGAAUGACGGUUGACUGGUUAUUAUGGGUAUCCGGAAUUUGCUCGAAGACGAGAAUCUUGGAAUCUCCUCCGCCAUCUUGCUAACAGCUCCUCUCUUCCUUGGGUUUGCUUAGGGGACUUCAAUGAUCUUCUCUCCAGUGCUGAGAAACGAGGGAAGCGAGCUCACCCCAGUUGGAAGUUUAAUGGGUUUCGUGAGGCUGUGUCUGAUGCUGGUUUGGUGGACUUGGGAAUGGAGGGAUACCAAUUCACUUGGGAGAGGUCCCGGGGUACAAAUGCGUGGGUUGAUGAGUGAUGGGUGUCGAAGCCAGCAAAAAUAAAUACCUACUCUAAAUAAAUUGUGUAUAGUAAUUGAGCAGGGUCGUGUUCACAGAGAUCGGUAAUUAUUUAAAUCCUUUUGAAACGUAAAACGUAAAAUGGGGGAAUUGUUGAUAAUAAUAAAAAUCAAAUUAAAAUAACAAGAAUGCAAAUUAAAGUUGUAAUUCAAAUUAGAGAAAGCUCUGGUUGAAGGAAUUAACUCAGCUUGAUUCGACUACUGAUCAUUGAUUCAAAUAUAGAUUAUUAUUACUUAAAAAUAGACUGGUUAUAGCUAUUGAGACCCUCUAAUAGCCAAUCUCUCCUUAACUAGUCGAUAACCAAGGUACAAUCGUUGGUUAUUUCCCUAAUCAAUAGACAACCCUAGAUACGAUCAUAGGAUUUAAUCAAUUGACAGCCUGAAAAACCAGAGAGACCCAAAUCCUAAUAAACACAUCUGAUGAUUCAUUUAAAUUAGAUUGUUUAUUCUCACAACACAACUCUCUGCUAUGUUAUUUGUCACAAACAUUAAAUUCUUCAUACGAUGAAUCCUUUAAUUGACAAUAGAUUAAGUUGAUAAUUAAAUAGUGGCCAAUUACCUAAUUAACAAACUUGAUCAUGAAAAUAAUACAGAGAAUAAACAAAUACCCAAAAAGCAAUAAAACAAUUAAAGCACAAGAAAGAUCUCACAGUAGUGAUGAAUCAAAGCUUCAUUAUCCUUCAACCAGAAAAAUAAGUUUAGUUCUUCAUAGAGAGAAGAGAAAAAUUAAAAUCUAGGGUUUCUUUCUUUUCCUCCAAUCUAAAAUCCCCUAUUUUUCACAAUAGAUUCCUCCCUUAAAUACUCUCUCUCUCUUCUCCUCUAGAAUUCUAUUUAAAAUAAAAUACUAAUAUCUGAAAUAUUAAAUUCGUAAUUACAAAAAUAACCAAAAAUACAAAACACGUUAAACUAAAAACUGCAGGUCCGCAGUUAACAGCACGCACCCACGCCUUAUCAAUAAAGUUCUUCUGAUGCUCAUAAUUUCUCUAAGAGAACAAUCAUCCUUAAACAUCAUCUUAUAGCUCAAUUUUAUCACCAAUCAAUAGAAUUGCACCUACAAAAGUAAAACACAAGUAAAUUACUAUUAUUAAGUGCAAAACAUCGAUAUUAAGGGAAGUAAACAAUGCAAAACUAGUGCAUAAAUUGCACUCUAACAAAUUCCCCCACACCAAGAUGAUGCUUGUCCUCAAGCAUAUAACUCAAGAUUAUUCCCAAAUCUCCACUCAAUUCUCAUCUCAACUCAUCCAAAAAUAAUUUUAAGCAAGCAUACCUCAAGAAAUUAAGUCGAUCAACAUUCGAGAGACAAGGAUUUUAAAGCAUAGAAUUUCAUAAGAUAGAAUAAGAACAUUCAACCACCAAGAAGAUCCAUUCAAAAUUCAAGUGCAACAAGAUUUAAUAGCCCUCUCAAUAACUUCACUCCAUGCACUCAAAGUGUUUAGAGUGUCAUUUAUCCACUCAAAUCAAAUCAAAGAAUGCUAUUACCAUAAGCUUGCUCAUAUAUCACAUCUCAAUCCACAAAACAUGAAUAAAAUGCAAAAAUCUAAGGGUCUUAAAAGGGUUGUAAUGAGGUUAAAUGGGUGAAAUGAAAAAGAAAGGUCUACGAAGGAAAAAGAGAUCAAAACGAGAAGAAUGAACUCAUUGAAUGAACUUAUGAUAUCAAAAUGCUUAUUUCUACUCAAGUCACCAAGAAUGUAAACAUUUUUUUUCUUUUUUUUAAUUUUUCUUUUUCUUCUUUUUCUUCUUUUUUUUUCUUUUUUUUCUUUUUUUUUUGUUUUUGAAUCAAACAAAAGAAACAAACCUUGCACAAUUUAAUUCAAGCAUAAUGCUUGUUGAUCUAAUUGAGAAACUUUAAUACAAGGUAGAAAAAGCAACAAAAUAUAUUCACACAAUGAGUCCAAAAAUCUCCUUAAAUCGAGGCUCAAAAGAAGAAAAAUGGUUAAGUCGACGGAGAGAAUUAGAUGGGUAAUGGUUAAGGCUCAAACAAAGGUAGCAAAUAAAGGUCUUCGGGUAGAGAAAAAAAAAUGCAAGAAUAGAGAAAUGGAAUAUGGUUUGCCCUUAUCAUUUUAAUGCAUAAAAUCCCGUAAUGUGGCUUCAACAUGCAUAACAAAGCAAGUUCUAGAAUAAACAAACUAGGAUUGAUAUUCACAUAACAAAAAAAUAAUUAGAGCAAAGUGGUUGCUCAUAGGCUCAAAUCCUUACAAAGUUGAUAAAUUUGCCAUCAAAUCAUGUACACUCUUCAAAUGAAUCAACCAUCAAUAGUGGUGUAGAAUGAGAAGAAGGUAUGAGUGAGAUAUAAAAGGAAAGGUAAAAAAAAAAAUGUGAGUAAUGAAAGAGUAUGAUAGAAAGAAAAAAAAAUAGAUGUAAAUAAUUUGAGAUAGAUGGGAAAAGAGUAGUGAGAAAGAAAAGAAAAGAAAAUAAUAAUAUAUGAAGCAUACUAACUCCAAAAUCAUUUAAGGAUGAGUAGAGUGAAAAUACUACUUCCAGACAUCAAUAAUGCAAAAAUCCCUCCCCCACACCAAGAACUUACAUUGUCCCCAAUUUAAGAUAAUCAAAGCUCACAUAAAAAUUAAAACGUAAGGAUAAAAGUUUAAGGGCAAAAAGAAACUUCCCUGAAUUGUGAGCUUUGAUCCACAUAACGUUUAUGGGCUUGGCGGAAAUGGUGGGGUAAAUCCCACACUCUUAAAGUAUGCGGCCAAAUUCUGCUCCAUCUUGUUCAGCUUGUGCUCCAUUUUCUCUAACUGAAUGCUCAAAGUGAAAUAUAAGUGUGCAACCCAAGAGGGGGGGUGAAUUGGAAAUUUAAAAAUUAACCUAGCAAAUCCACACAACAAGCAAUCUAAUGCCUUAAUAAAAAUUGAAAGCAAUAAGUUUAAUAAAGGCACAAUAAUUAAAGAGUAAGGAAGAAGAGAAAUAAACACACGAAUUUUUACGUGGUUCGGCAAUCCCCGCCUACGUCCACGCCUCCAAGCGAUCCAAGCUUGAGGAUUCCACUAUCCAAGCCUUUCCAAGGCUUCAACGAUUACAAUUGACUUCGAGGUGUCAAUAAACCUUUACAACAAAGAGAUUAUCUCCCAAUCUCUUCACUCAAGUGUCUCACACACUCAAACUCUUACAAUUGAGAUGAAUAAAUGAAGGUUACAAUGAAACUCACUCAAUGAGUAGAUAUUCAAAAAUGAAGAACAAUUAAAGACUCAAUGUUUGUAUUUCACAAGUUUGAAGGCUCAAGAUAUCACGUGUGCUUUUUGUUCUUGCUUGUUGGAGAGCUUGAAAAUGAGUUGGAUUUGAGUUUUUAUAGUUUGAGCUCGAAAACUAGCCGUUACUCACAUUUUGGUCGUAACCGGAUUACCGGUUAUGGACAUCCGAAAUUCCGCUUAAUGUUACCGUUACAGCCACAAAUUUGAAUUUCUGAACAUCCGGAUUUCCGCUUUGUCACAUCCGGAUUUCCGCUUACGCUCAGUAGUUUACUGCCCAAUAACCGGAUUUCCGUUUGUCAGGAUCCGGAAUUCCGCUUUUAAUUCGGAUAGAUUUUGCCUCGAAUCCGGACUUCCGUUUAUCAGAAUUCGGAUUUUCGCUUGCUACAGUAACUGCUACAGUGAAUAUUUUUCCAAAUUUACAGUUUGACCCCAAAACUUUAUAAAACUAUAAUGUGGCCUAAAACGUUAUGAAAGUUUGCAAAAAGGUCCAAUUUCAGAACUUUAGAAUAAUGCUUUGUCAAUCCCACAACUUUCUGAAAUUAUGACUUUGCCCAAACUUUGUGAAAUUAUAGAAUGGCCCAAAAACAUUUAAAUAGUUUCAAAUAGGUCCAAAUCCGAAAUUUAAAAUACUAUCAAAGAUUUUAAAAAUACUUUCAUUUUAGUCCAAAAUGCUUUAAUUCCAUAACAUCGUUUUCUUAUUAUAAAAGCACAAUUCAUAAAUCUUUGCUUAAUAAAUACAUGUGGUUUGUUAUCAUCAAAAUCAAUAUUUAGCCAUAUAGGCUAACACAAAGGUGGUGCGGAUGUAGAAGGAAUAGUUGGCGGGGCAGCAGUGUCGUCGUCAAACUCAUCAUCAGAGGUAGCACCACUCCUAGCAUAAAGCUUCUUCGGAAGUUGAGUGGGUCCUGGUUCCGUAAAUUGAAAUCUCCCCUCCUUGAAUUCGACCACACCUGUUCUUUCAAACACAGACAUAUCCAAAAAUUCCUUUUUGCAAGCAGGAUGCAAAUCAUUAUUGUCAGGAUCAAGCACACAUAGGUUUAUAGCUAACAUAGUAAUGUAUGGACCAAGAAAUAAAGUCCUAUACCGUUUAAGCACACUUUGAAAUUGAUCCGCUAACCAAAAACCUAAAUUAGGCCUCACAUCAUGUAACAUGCACCAGAUAAAAUAAAAUUCAGUUUUAGAGAAAAUUCAUGAGUGAUCUUUCUUGCCUAAAAAAUUAUAUGCUAAGAAUCGAUGCACGCAUUUCAAAACAGGAUCACGUAAGAAAGAACUCUUUGAUUUACUCGGGUCAUAGGCAUUGUGAUCAACAGAUAAAUUACGCCAAAGACCAUAAGGCUCAAAAUUUUCGCUAAAGUCACAAGUUGUUCCUAAAUAUUCAUCACUAGUAGAAUAAUCAUCAUCAAUGAAUCCUAAAGCUAGGUUAAAAUCCGUGAUAGAGUGUGAAAAAUUUCGUCCCAUUAACCUAAACUUAAUGACAUCUGGAGUAUGCAAAGUAAAAUUAUUCGGCAUAGUAAAUUAAAAAGUAGCAUAAAACUCCCUAAUCAACUCAACAUAACCCAAACAAUCAACAUCAACAAACUUACGCAACCCAAUCUUAUCUAUCAAAGAAUCAAAAUUAUCUUUAACAUUCAAUUUUUCAAGAGUAGGGUAAUGAAUAUACUUAGCUGGAAGUAUUUUGCGCGUGGAAAUAUCUUUGUACCUCUCUUUCUCUUGUUGAGUCGCGAAUGCGAGGCACCCUCCGAGAUUGGAUUCCGCAAGUGGCAAAACACUCAUGCCUUUUCCGUGCUUUGAUCUUUGUCUCACGGCUUGGCGUGAAUUUGAAAUUGUGUUCCAUGGAACCGUAGUGGGAGCGGCAAUCUUAUAUUUCUUUGCGAAAGGAAGAAAAUAAAUUAUUUAUAACCUCGGAAUCAUGUGCGUCAUCAGAGUUGUCUGUCUGCUCCUGGUGGUCAUCAACAGCCACCUCAUCCUCAGAAGUGUCAUGACGCUGCUCUGGUGUUGGGUUUGGUAUGUCGUCAUGCUCGUUUGAUUGCCUUGUAAUGGACGGCAUCGCGUUAAUUGAUGGUUGGUGCUGUAUAAAGUAGCAUUUAAAAUUAGUAAAUGAAAAAUAAAAAAUUUCGAUUAAAUAAAUAAUAGUACUUAUAGGAUACCGACCUUAUGAACCCAGUCUGGAAUGUGUGGCAUGUAAUCCUUUACAGUGAGCCAAUAUUUUAUGCUACUCUCCUUUGUAUUCGGCUCAAGGGUUUGUAAAACGUCCCCCUAUCAUAAAUUCAAUCCAAAAUUUUAAGUAAGUAUAUAUAACUUAAAUUUAGUAACGUUAAAAAAAUAACUAAUACAUAUUACUUACAAGACGAGAUUCGUCGUUGAAGAACGAAUAAACCUCAGCAAAGUUGAUUCUCGAAGACCCCAUGGGCUUCCAUUGCACGAUGCGGGGAAUCUUCUUCUUCGUUUUCACGACCCAUGCUGACGGCAAACCUCCGAUCGCUUUGUAAAUCCAAGCCUGCAACAACCAAAGUGAAAAACCUAUUAAAACAACUAUCAAAUAUUUAAUACUAUAAAACUUAUUAAUAAACAAAAAAACAACGCACCUGAACCCCGGACAUAUAGCCGUAAAGAUUGUACUUUUCAAUGUUAUGAUCUAGGUUUUUCAACCGAGUCGUCUUAAAUUUCUCGUCUUUCUCGAACAGUGCAUUGUCAAGACUCUCGUAUAUCAUUUCCCACGACAAAAGACCCCAUGGAUGCUUUCGGAAGUACUCUAUAUCAUCUACUUCGUUAAGCGAUGAGAAAUUGAUUUGACAGUAAUUUUUUCUUGCAUUUAGAACUAUGUCCGCAAAAUAAAAUAGUGCAAUCUUUAAUGCGUCAAUAUCGUCCAUUUCCUCGAAUUUCAACUUCUUAAAUAAUGCAUCGAAUUCCUUAAGAUUGAUCUUGCGAUGCACACCACCAAAAUACGUAUUCCGUAGCCUAUGCACCGUUUUGUUAUUUCUUAGUUCGGUAUCUACACCAUAUGAAAGUCCAAUAACCAGGCACCAUUCUACAAUUGACAAGCGAAUCAAAUGCUCACCAAUUUGAAACCAUAACUGAUCCUCACGGCUAUCUUCUUCAUGGGCCACUUGCCUCAGUAAAAAAUUGUGCAAAAUUACCCCACUAAAUGAAAAGUUUCGACACUCCAAGAAAUGCCUAAAUAUGUCCUUCUUGAACAGAUUCAAUUGCCGCUUUGUUAAUUUUUUUUCGGUGGCUUUUACGACCGAAGAUAAAUUACACAUGCUCGAAAUUCGACCCGGAAAGUGAUCGGCGUAACGAAAAUACAUCCUGCCUACUUCGAUUUCUGAUGAUUCUGAUUUUUCCAUGUAUCGGUAAUAUUUAUAACAUUAUUACAUUGCAUUUACAACAAAAAUAAAAUAAAUUGACUUGAUGGAAAAAAAAAUUAAACCCACUAUAAUUUGGUGCGACAGCACAGCAAGCGCGUGCGCGCUGUUGCCCAGCGACGGUUCUACACCAUAUGUGCAGCACCAUUCAACCCAAAACAAGUGAAAGAACAAAUCACUCCCAAAACAACAACAACCACCACAAACACCACCACCACCACCACCAUUAUUCUCAAACUACAACCACUAUUAUUCUAAAAUUUCAUUUUAAAUUAAUGAAAUAUAAAUAAAAUGGCUAACUUAGGUUUUGUUGAAGGCUGUAGAUGGUAAAUUGGACGCCGAUAAUAGAUGGAGCAGCCGCCGACGAGGGCUGAUGUUGCCGCCGACUAUAGGUGUUUCUUCGGUUUGGGAGAGAUGAGUGAAAGAGAGAUUAUUGGGGGAGAGAUGUGAGAGGGGUAUUUUGGUCUCAAAGGUUUUUUUGUGGGUAAUGUUGAUAGAAAUUAGUUUGGGGGGUUAAGAUGGAAAAACAAAAACUUUUAUAGUUAUUGGUGUAAAUUUCCCAUUGUAUGUAAUACUUUAGAUUCAGGUAAUGUAGAUUGUGUAUACAACUUUCUAAUAUUCUGUAGAUCUCAAUAUAAAUACUUGUAAUCAACAAAUACAAUAAUAAGAGUCAUCAUUCUUCAUUUUCUCUUUGUUUCUCUCAUAUUUUCUCUUCAUCCAAACACAAUAUUCUCAGUUCUUGACUUGGUAUCAGAGUUGCAGUUUAAUUGUCAUGGCUUCCUUCCUUAAGCACAAAUUAAAAAAAAAUCAGUCUCCUUCAUUCUUUACCCUCACAAAUGCGAUCAAACUGGACAGAUCUAACUAUACGAUCUGGAAAUCUUAGAUCCUCUCUUCAGUGCGUGCCAAUGGACUUGAAGGCUUUCUUAAUGGAACUAAAAUUUGUCCAGAUCAGUUACUUACUCAAGAGAUUGAAAGUUAUGGUGUGUUGAAAUUGCAGUUGGUGAAAGCUCAGCUGAUAGAUCUUAGGAGAAUCCAGCCUUUGUUGCUUGGAAAAGGUAGGAUCAAUUGUUAUUAAGUUGGCUCAUGUCCUCCAUCAGUGUUGAGAUACUUAGUCUAGUGGUAAAUUCUGAUUCUUCUCAUAAACUUUGGACUAAUCUUGAAGAAAAAAUUGGAUUAGAAACUAUGGCUAAGAAAGCACACUUAAAAAUGAUGUUAAGCAAUCUCAGAAAGGGAUCAAUGACAAUAACUGAGUAUUUUGCCAAACUUAGAGCUGUAACUAAUAAACUUGCUCUAACUGGUAGCCCUGUUUCUACUCUUGACUUUAUUAUUCAUCUAAUCUCUAGAUUAGGCCAGCCAUACUACCCUGUUGUUUUGUAUAUUGAAGCUAUUGUUUUGUAUAUUGAAGCUAAUAUGAUGAAAAUAUUCGUCAAUGAAGCAUAUUCUAUGCUUUUAACUCAUGAAGCAAGAAUUAAAGCUAAUCAUCCAAGUGCAAAUAAAGAAGCAAAGUUGAAUUAUGCUGUUAACAUAGCUGAGGCUGGACCGAGUACUAAAUAACAAUAAGAAGUCUAGUAAUCAAGCUAAUUACUAUCAGGGCAACCAAGGUAACUGGAAUAGAAAUGCUCAUUGGUGUGGUAACAAUGGAGGAAGAGGUGGCUUUGGCAGAGGUUUUUCAGGGCAAGGAAGGGGUAAUUAGAAUAAUGGUGGUCAUUGGAACAAUGGACCUUGGAGUAGUAGUCGAGGAGGCUAUAAUGGUUCUAAUAUAAACAAUAUGACAUGGUUGCUGGUGAACCUGCAAACAUAACCACAAAAGUAAGAAGGCAUAAUCUUUUUAUAAGAAACUCAAAAAUGUAUUAAUGAUGAAAAUUUUAAAACAGAUAGUGGACCAGCUGUUCACUAAGAAAACAAAAAACUGAAUAUUUGUGCUAUAAAAAGGCACACCCAAUCUCACCCCUAUAAAAGGCUAGAAUCAACUACAAAUUCCUAUCUCAAAACCCCAUCCCAGUUUAGAUGAAUGAAGAAAAAAGAUGAAUCUUGAAACUCCUUAGAAACUGAAGCCCAAAGUGAAGCAAGAAGAUGAACUCUAUCCCAAGCAAGCAAUAUGGCAUAUUUCUCCAUUAAUGGUUCAAAUAAAGUGAAUGGCUUUCUCUGAUGAAUGGGAAAUUGUCAAGAUCAAUAGUCAAACUCACGCAAAGUAAACGGACUUAAUUCUCAGAGGCUACUCAUUCUAAGUCUUAAAGAAAAAUUUUCUAAUUUCUAAAGAUUAUAUGGGGAAAAAUCAUUAUUUUUUAACAUGGAAAAUUUGAUACGGUGUUUAAUGUCUGAUCAAAAUCAUAAUAUGAGUACUAACAAAAACAUCUUUAAUCGGCAUGGUGCGAGUAAAACACCAUCACUUCAUCUUUGAUGGAAAGAUGAUAAUAUAAGGAGAUGGUGAAAUGGUUUUGGUCCAUGGCAGCUUGUAAUCAAAAGAAAACAAAAAACUACACUAUCAUUAAUGAUUACCGAAGGUACAGAAGUAUCAAAAUCGGAAAGCAAACAAUUGCAAAACACAUCAAUGACUGAAGGUUAGGUUCUAAAACUUCCGUAUUUAAUUUUCAGAGCAUGUUAUGUAUUAUUCAGAAAUAUGCUUUCACUUCAGGCACUUGACCAAGACGCAUUAAACAUAAAACGCGGCGUUUUCAUGGACUAGUACAUUCCAUGCUUCGAAAGUUUAUGUUUUAGACUGAUUGGUUUGAUACAUUAUUUGUUUAUUGCGUUUUUCUUGCUUUAAAUAUUAUGUUGGAUUGAUAAGUUUUGUACACAUUUAUAUUGCUCGCAGUAAAUAAUUUAUGACAUUUAAAAAACUAUCAACCGUCUAUCAAAAGAUUUCUACUAUAAAUAUAUAUACACAAAAAACUUUUAAUUUGGUCAAUUUGUUCUCUUAUUUAUUUUUAUUCUAUUUCUCUUUUCCUUCCCUUUCAUUUUAUUAUUUUAUGGUACAAAAUAAAAAAAUAACCUUAAAAUUUAAGGGUAAAAUACUCAUUUUACUAAAAUUCCGUUUAAUAUUAUAAAGCUGUCAAAUGUCAAUGGCAUAGUACACGAGUGAUACAAAUUAAAAACAAUAAAUUGAAAGUUUUUAUGCAUUUUCCUUUUAUUUUUUUUAUAGCCGAUUGAGAUUCCCCUUCAUUUUUUUAAAUUCAAUAGGUUUAGACCGUUUAACAAAUCUUAAAUUAAAAAAACCCGUGGUGUAAUAACAAACUCACAUCAAACCCUGUCCACUGUCAUCCCUAAUUAUAUUUACCACUUCAUACUCACAGUGAUAAUAACUGUGUAUCACAAUUGAUUUUGCAUACGGGUAAAAGUUCCAAGUCCGGAUAUUUAGUUAAUGAAAUUUUAUGAAAAGGGCAUGAAAGAAAAUAAGAAAUUAAAUAAUACAGGAGGUAUUAAUCAUUACAUCUUUAGUUAAUGAAAAUUGAUGAAAAUAUUUCUGCAGACGUGAGCCGUAAUUAUAUUACCGUUAAGAAUGAAGCAGAAGAGUUUCCCCAAACAAGCUAAAACACAGCACUUCAAUUUAAAGAAUUUUUAUAUCACAGUACCAGGGCAAAAAGUUUAAUGCAACAACAUACAUUAAGUUAAUUCCAUAAUCUAUCCCCAAAGAAAGACAAACACAAGCUUAUAAGAUUAAAACUUUGGAAAACAUUAAAGAGUCAGACAAAAUUGUGUAAUCUUCAGAGUUUGGAGCCUAGUUCAUCCAGGAAAGCAAAAGAAAUAAUAAUAAUAAUAAUAAUAAUAAUAGUAGUAGUGGUUUGAUCUCAAAAGGUGGCAUCAAAGUGGUCACUUUGAGGUAUUGGAAGCAAUUACGUCUUCAACUUUGUCCUGAUUUCGAAGUCCCUUAACCCAUCCGCCAUCAAUGGAUUGAAUGCUUCCAUUCAACCCAUCAUCAACAAAAUCACCAACCCGUUUCACCUUCAUCUCCUUGGGCUUAACAGGGUACUUUCCACAGAAGCAAGGAAAACAAAAAUUCUGAGAAUCAUCGCCUAACAACUAGUUCAAGCUGUAAAUCGGCAGAAAAGCAAGCGAAUCACACCCAAUAAACUCGCUGAUUUCCUCAACGCUCAUCCUGUUGGAAAUCAACUCCUAAGUACUUGUCUGCUCUGUAGUAACAAGAAGCUAUGAUUGGUGGGCUUGCAAUUCUCAUGUGAACCUCUUUAGCUCCAGCCUCCUUAAGCAACCUAACAAUUUUUGAUGAAGUUGUUUCUCACACUAUCGAAUCAUCCACAACCACAACUCUCUUUCCCUCCAACCACAACCUUACAGGAGAGAGCUUAAGCUUGACACCAAAGUCCCUAAUUUUCUGGGAAGGCUCAAUGAAAGUUCUCCCAACAUCAUGUGACCUUAUCAACCCUUGUUGAAAUGGCACCCCGGCUUUCGCAGCGUACUCAAGUGCAGCCACCACUCCAGAAUCUGGUACUGCAAUCACGACAUCACACUCAACUGGAGCCUCGGUAGCAACUACUUCCCCAAAAUGAUACCUCGACUCAUAAACAGACCUUCCAAAAACAACAGAAUUAGGCAAAGCAAAAUAAAUAUGCUCAAAGAUGCACUGCUUAGGUUCAGGGUGAGGCAUCAAACAAGGUGAUUGAACCCCAUCUUCAUCCACCAUCAAAACUUCACCGGGAUAUACCUCUCUCUCUCUCUCUCUCUCUCUCUCGUAUGUGGCCUCAAUCAAAUAGUGCACAAGUCUCUGAUGCAAAACCAGAGCACCAUUACUCCUCCCACCCAUCACCAAUGGCAUAAACCCAUACGGGUCACGAACCGCAACAAGCUUAUCCUCAGUAACUUAUCUCAUUUAUGACUUAUUGUUGCAUUUAAGUGAUUUUGCAAAAAUUAUUUUGCAAUAAUAUUAUUUUUUUGACGAGUAAGUUUGAAGUAAAUAAUACAUAUGGCAAGUGUGAGGUUUGUUAUUGCAUAUAUUUUGUGGAUCCAUUUUAAAGCCAAAAAAAAGGCAUUUUGAUUCAUUCUGAUUCCAGAUAAUUUCAAGCCAUAUGUCAUUAUUGGGAUAAAAAUAAAGUAAAAUGGUUAAAACUAUUUUUAUGUAAUUUAUAAAAAUUAAUGAAGCAGCUACAAAAUUUUUUAAACGAAAAACAAUUGAAAUGUGUGUGGAAAAAGAAGAAAAAAAAUAAGGCAUUUAAAUAUCUUCUUAAAAAAUACGAUUGAGUAAAAUCAUUUUAACAGAAUGCUCUUCCAAAUGCAAUUCCACAUUAUUUUUAUUACAUUGGGAUAUUCCAAAAUUGGCACAACUCAUUAAGAAUUCGGCAACUCAAAUUUUAUUUAUCUCUCUUUGCAUUUGACAAAUUAAAAAGAAAAAAAAAUUCAUAUGUCUUCUGUUCAAAAGAAACCUUGGUAAAUAUUGUAAAACAAAUUACCAAUUUUUUUAAAUUUAUGCCAUUAUAUCGUCGCUAUUUUCUCGCCCACUUUCUUAAAAUACAAUCAAUAUUUAUUGAUGGGUUGCGUUCCAGAGUAAGCACCAAUUCAGCAAAAUGGUUUUAUAGCAGAAAAAGCACUUGUAAGACAUUCAGAACACAUUUUUCAAUUUUGUCUUUUGAAAAUGAGUCUUGAGUUUCCGCAAGCCAAGUAGAAUGGCUAAAAAAUGUAUGGUAUCAAAGAAAGAGAAACACACACACACACACAGAGAUUAGUGGGGAGAUAUAUAUAUGUGUGUAAUUUGUAUAUAUAUCCCCAUUAAUUGUUGAUAGUCCAACGGGUGAGUAUAUGCAAAAGUAAAAAAUUGGCUGUCCUUUAAGACAAGAUUGACUGUCACAUGAAAAUGUUAGCAAACUUGCCACACAACAAAAAUAAAGAUUCAAAGAACAACUUUAUGGUCCCCUUUCUGUCCAAACGUAUGUGAUCGAAAUUAGUGUAAACGACACUUGAAAUAUAUAUGUAGAUCCUCACACAAUUGAUUAAAUAUUUAUAGUAGGAUGAAGUGAUAAAUAGUUUCACAAAAUUAUUGGAAUUAAUUAUUUAAUACAUGAGAUCUAUCUCAUUAAGUAUAAAAGAUUGAGUGCUGCUUCAAAAGCAUGACGUUGCUGGCAACAAAUUUAACACAAAAAUUUAAUUAAUUAUCCUAGUUGAGAUAAUAAAAUCUCGUGUUGAAAACAAAAGGUUUGAGGUUCAAACCUUCUCAUUCAAAAAAAUCAAGUCAAAAUAUUACAUCUUCCAGCACAUAUCAAAGAUUUUUUCAAAGGCAGACUGAUAAUUCAGGGUAAAAAAAAACAAAAAAACAAAAGGAAUAUAUGCUAUUCAAGACAGGUAUACCUUGGACAUGAAGUCUGAAUCCAAAACAUGAAGCACCUAGCUGAUCUUUCACUUUCCAAAACCCAACAAAAUCUUUGUCAAAAUAUAUGAUCUAGUCCCAUAUUAAGCACAUUCAUAGCCAUAUCACCAGGUUCAAAAUAUUUUCCCCAAAAAGAGAUAGAGAUUCCAUUGAAGUUGAGUUGUGACUGUCCCAACGUUUUGUAAUUAUAUGGUUCAGGAUACCAUGCCUAUGACUCUUUUUUUUUUUUUUUUUCUGUUUCCAUGUUUCGAAGUCUAUCAAAUGAAAAUGUAAUUAUAUGGUUCAGGAUACCAAUAUGCCGGAGCUGCAAAGGUUGACUUCCACUAUGCUAUCAAUGUCUAUACUUUCUAUUGAAUUUCCUUGUUUUUUUUUUAAAUUGCAAGAUUUCUUUUUGGAAAUCUUUGACACAUUUUAUGUAAGAUACCAUAAAGCCAAAUACAACCUUUUUUAUUCUCAGCAGCAAUUUUUUUUUUCCUUUUAAAAAAAGGAAGCCAUAUAAAUAAUGCUUAAAACAUUAUUUGCAACAAGGAACAAUUAUUUCAUGCUUUCAUGUAUUAGAAACUUUCCAAAAAAGCUAGCAAGAAAAUGAAAUGGAACUUUACCUAGUCACAGAAUAUUGCUGUUAGCCCAAUUAUUGCUGUUAGCCCAAUUGUUAUGAAGUGGCUUCUGCAUCAGAAGAUUCCAGCUCCCACCAAGCAUUGUUAUCUCUCUUCUGAAUACAAUCUGCAUCGCUGGGCAUGAGUUAUAUCAUUAAUGUCUGCAUCCUCACUUACAUCAUCCCAAUCAAGUGCUUUUUCUCCACAUUUGGAUUAUAAGUCCAAUCUCUUCAAAACAUCCUAGUCCUUCCAUCACAACUGAUACGACUUCCUUCCUAAUUACUUUCCCAUUAAUAAAUCGCUCCAAGAAAAAAAAGCAUUAGCAAUUCUCUUCAACGCCCCAUCACUCAUAUCCCCCACAACAACCAUCUUCAGCCACCUCAACGUUGCCUCUUGAAAGAUCUCCACAAAAUCCGAAUCAUCCGACACAACCACCAAACACCCAAACCUUCUUUUGUCCACCAUAGCCACCAUAUAAUUUCUCAACAAAAUAUCGGCAUCUUGUGGCUUAACUAACACCAUCCUGACCCAAAACCAUGCUCUUUUUAACUCAUCUGCAAAACCAUAACCCACUUUUGGAGUCAAAAUUGCGCUUGCAGCCGUUUUAUUUUUUUCCAUCUUUAUUGAAUAGUUGCCAACCAAAAGCACUCUCACCUGCCCUCUAGCUGAUUCUAUUUGAUUCGACCUUUUCUUUUGUUCACCCUCAUGAAUUUGCCUAAAAUGAUUAACAAGUUUGUCAUUAUUAUAAAAUCUCCUUCCACAAUCACCAAUACAUACGGCUUAGCAUGCCUAAUUACACCCCUGAUUUCUAAUUGGUUAAACAAUUCUCUUUCUUUCUUUGCUCUCUUACAACUUGAGGCACAUAACUAAACGCGUGGCUAUUAGCAUUUGCCACCAUGCAUUUAACAACCCCAAAUGAAGAUAUUAAUUUUUUUAGUUUAAUUGCUGCUUCAAAAUGGGAUACUGAAUUUGGAUUUUGUUAUCCAAAUACCAAAAAUUUCCCAUAUUGUGCUGGACAGUUUUUGGUUCUAAAGUUGAUGACUGGUUUUGCGAAUCAGGCUUUAAAUGAGAACUUCUAAACAAUAAGACAAAUGAGUUUUGAGUUUCUAAUCUUGUAAACUUUGUUCUAUUGUAUAAGUUAUGAAAUCGCUGAAACAUCACUACAGCUACAGGUCUUUAUGUGUCAAUGAACUGCAGAAGCUGAUGAUCUACCUGUAGCAUACUUUUAUUGCCCCUGCCGUUCUAGGAAGACAAACAAGUUCAAGAACUACUUCUGGACCAAACUCAUAAUAUUGCCAUUGCUUUGUGCCAAUCUGAGAGGGAAAGCAUAUUGAAGUUCCUAAAUAAGGCAAAUCAUGAUUUGACAGAAGUACCACUAUGAGGAACAAUUGAUUUCAGGAAAGCACUAAAAUAUGACAUAAUCUCCCCCUGAUGGUCUAAAGUAGUCAAGAAAUGAUAUCAACCAAGUAAAAACACAUAAACUAGUUGAGAUACAAAGUUAUUGUAAAAGUCAAUUUUGAUCACAAAUCCAUUAAAAUUAAAAGACAUCAGAAACAUAGAGAACAUUAUAAUUUAGGACUCAGCUAAGUCGCAGAUUCUGUAACUAACAGCUAAGUCCACAUUGGCCUUGCAUCAACUGAGUUUGGGUUGCUUUUCAUCUCUCCUUCAACGCGUGGAAGCGCCCCAUUUGCUGUGUUAUACAGAGUCGGUACCGUAGCGAGCUCCUAUAAUUUAAGUUUGAUCACUGUAGACAAUAGUCUGCCUCUGCUCAAAAGCUAUGCUGCAAGAUAUAACGUCUUUACAAUGUUAUACUUUCUAAAAGUAAUAAGAAAUGAAACCAAGGGGUAAACCGAACACCAAAAGAAAUUUAGUCGGCCAACUACAUUAUGUUCCCACACAGUCCACUAAUUAAGUUAAUAAUUAAAGGGAAUCAAAAUCUAAUAAAUCUCAUCUUCAAGCAGAAUACAAACACACCGAGAUUAAAAAUCACAAAAUCAUAAAAAGAAGCUGACUUUAAAAGCUCAAAUAUACGUUCAUCAGCCUCUCAACUUAUAUCUAAGAACAAAUGCCUGCAGCUUGUGAAGACAUAGAUAAUUGAAGCUGAUGAGGCAUAUUUAACAGAUGAUAAUCAAAACUCGUGUGAUUAAAAUUAUAAUUCAAUAAUCGAGCACAUAAAACAAGAAGUAACUAGUUGUAUACAUACCAAACAACAUUCUGAAGUUAAGGCGUAAAACCACUAGUGUAAACAAGCGCUAGUGUCAAGAACUAUUGUUAAUAACUCAAAAACCACUAGUGUCAAGAACUAGACUAAUAAGUGAAACCCAUAAUCAAACACAACUACAUCAAAAUCUCUGAAAAUUGAGGUCUAAACAUUGAAAACAAUUAGACAUAUAUAACAGUCAAUCGAAACAAAGCCUCAAAAUAAUAAUGAACUACAAUAAGACAGAACCUAAAUUGUAAACAAGCGCAUACCCAGUAACAAUAAUCAAGUAACAAGUCAAAACCAGAAUCAAACGUAGAAUUUUGAAAUCCAUACGAACUCUAACGUAUUAGAAUGAAAGAAUAAUGACGAUCGAUAAACUAGACUCAAACAAAAACAUGCCCAGUUAAAAAACGAAGGUAAAUAAAUAAAAAUGGUAUAAAAUUGCGAAAAAAAUUAAUGAAAUGAAGAGAAAAUCACAGGAAUCCUAUGAAGAGGAAGGUAAACAAAACCUUCGGGAGCCGAGAAGAUGCCUUUUUUUGUUCACUUUUGUGCCUAUACAUACAUUUUUUUUUUUGUAAUUUUGAAGAAAGUAUUGGUUAAAUAUUGUCAGAACGAAAUAUUAAUAGAUGCUGGCAAUUUCAACAAGGACAAUCUUCGAUUCAAAUGUACCCUUAUGAUAAAGAAAAAGCCAGCUUGUCUAAAUUUUGAGCAUCACAUUACAAGAUUUAGGUGUAUGUUUAACUAUGCAAAAUGAAACAUCUAUUAAUUGUAAGACCAUUGACCUCUGGAACCAGACAACCAGACUCUUUCCUACUAGACAACCUUCCAUUGAUCAGACUAAUAAUAUUUACUAAAUCAAGUUCUACAGUUAAUGAAGUUGGACCAAAGGCAAUUGUUAGCUUAAUGUCAUAGGCCACUCAAAUUUCUCGUAAUUGGAGGAUAAUUUUGUGCACAUGAGUUCGCUUAGCAAAAGUCCGCCUAGGCGUGGAGUGCGCUUAAAGGCGGGAUGCACUUAGAAGUGGGAUGCACUUAGCAAAUCAUUCAAGCCCAACCCAAGAUCUAAAACUCUAUGCAAAUUAUAAAUAAGCUAAAAGUUUCUAUGUUUCUCCACAUAGUUCCCUAGGAUAUUUAUGAAAGUUGCUAGGAAGUUUCCUCCCCUAGAACUCUAAUACCUAUAAAUAGGGGUGGGCCCCCUCAUUUGCCCACCAACCAUACCACACACACAAACACUCCAGCACACACACAAACACUCCAGCACACACACAAGCUCUCUAACUUUUGUAAAAAGCUCUCUUGUAUAUUCUCUCUUUGAGAGUAAUGAAAUCAUAUUCAGCCAUAUUGCUCUACUUCUCUCUACCAUUUUCCGCAAGUGUUCUUGCUUUGCUAGUUUGAGGAGUGUUCUAGGCUUGCUUAGCAACUUGUUUGCUACAAGGACAUCUUGGUCACAAAACAUGGACAUGCAAGGAAAAAAAAAAGAUAUUGAUAUGUUCUAAAAAUAAAACGCAUUCUUCUACAGUGAACCAAAAAAUUUAGGCUAAUGGUAGCAAGUGAAGGAAUUGUGAUUUCACGUGCAUUUUGUUGACAUGAAGGUAAAGAGCUUUUUUAUAGUUUAUAUUGUUUAAUAUAACAUUUGAAUUGCAAAAUAGGGGUACAAAAUGGAUACACGAAGUGAUAAAACUAAGUUGAUUAUGAUAAAUAUUGAAUUAUAAGAUUUAGGUUUAAUCAUAAAGACAUAAGUGGCGCACAAAGUCACGAAUUAUCAUCCAUGAUGUAAGUUCAAACAACUGCAUAAUAAGUUGCCCCAAGCUAAACUAUUAAUCUAGUAACUAUUCUAGUCGAUGUGGGAUAAUUUUCAUAUCACCUCUAUCACGUGCAAGCCGAAUUUGUUGCUUGGUCCUUACAUGUGGUAAGGUAAUAUGAAUCCACUUGUGCAUAAAUUUGGCUCCGAUAUUAUAUAGAAGCCUAUGACCCAAAAUUAUACUUAAAGGUUAUUUCAAGAUUUGAGGGUUGCCUCAAGCUAAUAUUAUUAUUAGCCUGGUAACCCUUUUUUUUGUUGAUAUGUGAUAUUUUCCCUAUAACUUUUAUUAAUCUUUAUGCUUAUGUUUUGUCAUUUAUCCCAAAAUAUAACAUUAACAAAAGUUCCAAAAUUUCCUUCAAGAGAUAUAUUUGAGAAAAGUAAUUUGUGCAAUAACUUUGUGAAUUGAUGAGCAAAUUCAGAGAAAAGAAUAUAUGUGCCAAACGUAACGUUUAUUAUUGUGUUUAUUUGUAGAGCUAUUUAAAGCCCAAAAAAAAAAGCACGGGUCCACUAUUAUUUCAAAUAAGUUCAAGCCCUAUGUCAUUAUUGGUACAAAAAUGUAUCAGAAAGGUUAAAAAAAAUUUUUAUUUAACUUAUAAACUUAGGAAAUUAUCAACUGUCUGCCCUUAAAUUGCACUAUUAUAAAAAAUAUUACAAUAUUUUCAGGUUGUAUCUACCAUAAAUUUACAAUUGCAUCAUUUAUCCACCAAAUCAUUAACUUCGUUAAAAAGUGAUAGACGUCACAAGGGUAGUUCAGACAUUUAACACACAAAAAUAAAAGAGAAAUUAUCUAAGCUUACCAUGUUAUCAAAAUUGCUACAAAAUUUUAAAUUUGUUCAAUUUUUCAAUCUAAGUUUAUGACCUCCAAGAUAUUAAUUGCAGUUUGUAAUUAAUGAGUUCAUAAGGAUAAUUUAGACACUCAAUAUGCAAAAUAAAAAAGGAAAAUUAUCAUUUGUAUACCUUAAAGUUGCGCUUUUAUAAAAAAUAUUACAGCACUUUAAUGGUGUAUCAAUCGUCCACCUUAAAUUGGCAAAACUUAUCUACCGACCACUAAACCAUUAGCUGCCGUUUGAAAGUUAACGGAACUGAAGCGAAUUGACGAUUUUACCCUUGAAAAUUAUCACUUGUAUACCCUUAAAAUCUCUUAUUAUCAAUUAUAUACUCUUAAAUUAUCACUUGUAUCUAUGAAAAGACUAGAUUAACCCUUUGACGUCAUCAUGUUUAAACGGCAACUAAUGGUUUGCUGAACGACAAAUACAUUUUGUCAAUUUAGGGUGGACGACUGAUAUACCCUGAAAGUAUUGUAGUAAAUUUGAUAACGGAGUAAACUAAGGGUAUACAAUUGAUAAUUUCACAAUAAAAAAUAAAAUAAUGGCUUAAAUUAAAACAAAAAACUUGAUAUUCAAUUAAAUACACAUAAACUCUAUUUUUUUCUUAAUUAAAAAUAUUCUAAUUUAGUUUCUCAAUUUAUCAUCAUAAAUUUACAUUAAUAAACUAAAUCCACAAAUUACCCUAAACCCUAAUUCAUAAAUGCCCAAUCAAUCUAAUACUUUAAUUCGAUUUCAUAAUUAAAAAAGCUAAAUUUAUUAUAUUAGUUAUGGUGCAAAGUAAAAAAUGCCCUUAAAUUCAAGGGUAAAAUAACAUUUUAUUUAAAUUCUAUAAAUUAUUCUAACAAUGUUAACAUUUUGGUGGACGGUUAAUAUAAGUUACAAACUUAAAAUAGAAAAUCAAAUAAAUUCAAAAUUUCAAACUAUUUAGAGGAAAUUUAGGAUAUAUGGUUAAUAAUUUUCCCAUGUCUUUUUACAUUGGUUGAUAUAAGCUACAAACUUAAAAUAGAAAAUCAAAUAAAUUUAUAUUUUCAAACUAUUUAGGGCAAACUUAGGGUAUAUGGUUAAUAAUUUUCAUUUGUCUUUUUAUGUUAAAUUGAAUUUCAAAGGUAAAAUGAUCAAUUUAUUAUAAUUCUGUUAAUUGUUUAGUGGAAGCAAACGAUAUAAUGGACGAAUGAUAUAAAUUGUAAAAUUAAGGUGCAUGAAUGAUACAACUUUAAAAUAUUGUAGUAAUUUUAAUAAUAAAACAAUUUAAGGGUAAUGAUACAACUUUAAAAUAUUGUAGUAAUUUUAAUAAUAAAACAAUUUAAGGGUCGAUUGGCAAUAAUUUAAACUUUAAUGAAGCAACUAAAAAAUUUUUUAACAAAAGAAAAAUAAUUGAAAUGCUUUAAGAAAAAUAAAGGAAAUUAAAUAUCUUUAUAAAAAGGCCAUCAAUUUAGCCAGCAAUUUUGUCAAAAUUUCAACAAUUGAAGAAACAAUGAUCACAAACGGAACAUGUGAAUUUUGAAGUUGAAUAAAUCUUGAGAUACAUACAACAAAGCCUUGAAACUUUAGUCUUCACAAUUUGAGCACGCACUAAAUAUUAAACAAGUAUAGAACAAAGCUUAUUUUUAGCUUCUUGUGCGAACUGAACGCGCUGAAAUGUGUGUUUUUUUUUUGGAUUUUUGGAAUUUUUUAAAUUCAUUUAUGUUCGCUGCCAUCUUUUUCUUCGCUGGCGUCUUCCUCCUCUGUAGUUUGCUGUGCCUAUAUAUCCAACCAAUAAAUUGGGCAUUAAAUGCGAAUGAAUGAUGAAUAAAAUGAUUAAAAAAAAACAAACAGAGAAAAUUAUAAUAUAACACAUAUAUUGAAAGAGAAAUUUUGAUUUUAGGAUAGAUCAAUUAGCUAUCACAAACGAAAAUAUUAACCAACUAUGUAUAGAGUCAAUUAAUUUAAAGUUCUCAAGAAUUACCUCUGCUCCAGAAUUCUCGGAAUCAUCUUCUCCUUCUGAACUUGGACGAAGCUUGGGACAAUUACUAACAAAUACAGACUCGGCAGAUGGAAAUGGGAUCUGAUAACCCGCAGGCCAAAAGUUGGUGAGGUUUGGUAAGUCUUCCAGUCUCAAGUACCGAAGUUCAUUCAUAACAAUUUCAUUGUAAUCCGUGACGUCUGCUCCAUCUUUAUGCCAGAAUACUUCUUCUAAUUCAUCAUUACCUAUUAUGUAUAGGCGCGACAGUUUUUGAAGACUUGGAGCUACGCUGAUAUGAAAUAGAUGCUUGAGUUUGAGGCAAUAACUGACAAUGAUGAUUGUGAGUUUUGGGAAACAUACAGGUUGGAGAUGAUCCUCAUCCUCAUCAAUGAUUUGCUCUAAUCCCAAGCAGUUAACAAUACCUAACAUCUCCAAUUGCAACAGAUUUCGAGCAAGUGUUGAUGAGAAGAGACGUCUCAGCAUAGUGCACCCCUUUACAGUUAAUCCAGUAAGAUUUUGCAGGCUAAAAUUAUGCGCGGGACCUUCAUGAUAUAAUAAUACUUGCAGUUCUGGAAGAUCUUCCAAAUGCAACGACUUCAAACAUGGGAAUAGUUUGUUUUCUUGUCCCUCAGCGAUAAUAGCUUCCACUUGAAAUACCACCUGUACUCCAAGUUCUCUAAUAUCCAAUCCUUCCAAAUUUUUUAAUCCGUGCUUCAACAGUGCUGGAAUCGUGUCACUCAAAUGGGAACAAUUGGCCACAUCUAGAGUAUUUAAGUUCUGAGACAAAUAAAUAAAUAACUUGAUGCAAUUAAAAUCUAUUAGCAGCUAGGAUUAUCACAUGAUAAGUGAUGAACACCGCAAAAAUAUCAUAAUACAUAUGUAAACUAAUAAAAUAAUUAAAAAGUAAUGGAUUUUUAAAAAAAAAUUGAAAUUAGUUAAAAGAGAUCAUGUGAAGUGUAUAAAUGUGACAUUAUAUUGUUUGAGAAAAAUUAGUAUUCUAUUAAUUUCUAUCGAUUGAUCAACUAAUUAAUUGAAUUUGAGUAAUAUAAUAUACACUUUAGUAGUGUUUGCAUCAAUUCUUUCUACAGCGAAAUGAGAUAUGACUUUCAUUUGAAGAAUGAUUUUAGGCUCUAAAAUAAAGAAAUUUCCUUAAGAUAUUUGAGCAUUAUUAUUAUCAUCACCACAUCCACGAUCAUCAUCAUCUCCAUAGGACCAAAUAAUUAAUGGCUGAUCAUAAAAUUUAUUGCUAAACUAUUAUUUCGAGUAAAAUUGAAGGAAAAGAAAAAACAUAAACACAAACGAACAUACCUCUCCAAGAUACUGCAAAUUGGCUUCAAGUUCAGUAUUGUUGACAGUCAAGUUGGGACAUUUAUGAAGGUCUAACUGUUCCAAUGCUGGCCAAAUUGAACAAUAAUUUUCUGAACAGAAGCUGACGAGUUCUGGGAGAUUUCGAAGUGUUAAUUCUCUUAACAAAGGGAGGGCGAGCAUCGUAUUUCCAUCUCCGACACUUAUUUCCCCUUCAUUGUGAUCAAACUUUGCUUCGACAAUACAUUCUAGCCUGUCGCAAUAAGUCACACUGAGACAUUUAAGCUGCUCCAAACUUCGGGCUUGUGACAACGUGAAGAUAUAUGUCAACUUGUUGCACCUUUGCAAAUUCAAUUCUGUGAGAGUUUGGAGGCUGAUCACAUGUUGGGCGGGCGUCUUCCAUAUCCACUUCAGUUCUGGUAAUUCCUGCAUAAAUAACUCUGCUAAUCUUGAGAGCACCACAGGAUUCCCACUCUUUCCAUGUGGCAACUUAGAGGCGCCCAUUAUGCAUUCUAAAUCCUCACAUUGUUUGACAAAUAGACGAGUCAACUCAUUUAAGCCCCUUUCAUCUAUGCUUGGCACAAUAUUAUGACAACCUAUUAACCCCCUCAAACGAAGAAAUUUCAGAUUUUGAUACAAUGCUGAAAAAAUAACGAGCGAGGUCGCUUCAUGAGGGUAAUUCUCAAUGAUUAAGCUCCUUGUUUCAUCACCAUGUUCCAUGUCAUGAGCAGAUAAUUGACCAUUACUGAUGACGUACCUUUGCAUUUUCGGGAAUGUAAAGUCUUUUGGAAGACAUAUAACUUGGGAGUUCAACUCAGCAAGCCUAGCAUUACUUUCUUCUGAACUCAUCCCUUCAACCUCCCAAUUUUUUAUCCGACCAUAAAAUUCUUCCAAUUGAGGAAAUUUUUUUAUCCCAAUGGGAGAAACAGAACCGGUAUCAAUAUAUAGAAGUUUCAAUCUACGAAGUUCAUCCGACAAUUCUUCAAGAAUUUUAAUGGGAGACUUCUCGAGAAAAAGAAGUUCAAGCCUCUUCAACUUUCCAAGGAAAGACGCGUCACUCACCUCACAUCGAAUCAAUUGCAGAACCUGGAGGUUGGUGAGGAUCUGAAGCGAUUUAAGUGAAAGAACUCCACCUAUUAUAGUGACAACUUUCAAUGCUGGCAUCCCUUCAAAAAAAUGUUCUGGAACUUGCAAUCGGUGGUCGUAUUCAGGAUUCUCCAAUCGCAAAAUAUGAAGGUUAGGGCAUACCAAACCACUAGGAAGCUCUUCUUUUUUAUUUCCCACCAAAGAAAUUCCUCUGUAUUGUUCCAGGCCUUCUUUCAUUGCCCGUUCAGCCAAUCCAAUGCCAACUUUACUAAAAAAUUUCUUCUCCUCUAGAACUAUUGAGCCUAUCCAUAUGGCUACAUCACGAACUAUGUCAUGCAUUUUCACAGAUCUGUCAUUACCAUUGUCUAACAGCAGUGACGCAGCUUUGAGCGCGUUAAUCGUUCCAUACAGUCGGCUUCUGGCGUUUUCUAUUGACGGAUCACAUUGAUACCAAAUAACCCCCACUGCGUAUCCAACCAAAUCCUCCAAAUAAAUCUCAUAAUCUUCUGGAAACAGAGAACACAACAAGAAGCAUAACUUGGACUCCUCACUAUUUAAAUUGUCGUAACUGAAUUUGAGACAACCGUAAACGUCUUGGUCAUCCUUGUCAAUACCUUCUAUUGCAUAGAGUUUUGCUUCCCUUAGGUUAUAUAGUGCUAGAUUCCAAUCAUCAAAUCCUUUUUCUAUUAGUGCACUUCCAACAGCUUCAAUAGCUAAAGGCAGCCCCUUACAUUCGUCAGCAACUUGUUCUGGAACACGAUCCAAGGAGGAGUCGUUUACAUUAAUACCGGCAUUCAUUUUUAGGAGAGUCAAUCCUUCUUCUGGCGUUAGUGUACUAAGUUGAAUCUGUGUGUCACAACCCAAAGAAUCACAAACUGACUUUUUGCGAGUGGUUAGAAGGAUUUUGCAACAAUUAUCUCUACCACCGACGGUAAUACCUAAUUUUUUCUCCAAGUCGAGCUCUUUCCAGACAUCAUCGAUGAUUAUGAGGAUCUUGGUGCUUUUACUGUCAGAAAACAUCGAGCGCAAUCGGUCUGCUCCAUGUUUUUCAUCUUUCUGUUUUAAUUCCCAACCUAAUGAAUUUGCCAGCUCGUUUUGAACAUUUAUUAUGCUUGGAUCCUGAGAUACAGUGGCUAUCCCCACCAUAUCGAAAAUGUUUUUUUCCCGAAGUUGAUUGCCCACAAAUUUUGCCAGGGUUGUCUUUCCUACACCACCGAGACCAUGCAAUCCCACCAUCUUUGUGCUCUCUUUUUUCAGUGCGUCAAUGAUCUGAUUGCAAGCUGAUUCUGUGGUCUCGAAAAUAGAAGUAAAAUGACUUGGCAAACUUAAUUCUCUUUCUAAUGGUAGAGGUUUAGGAAAGGCAACUGUGUUGAAUUGGCUGCAGUCUUGUAGCAGAUCAGACAACUUGCUAGUCUUCUGUGAUGCUUUUCUACCCAGCCAAUAUCGGCAACACCAAUUAGGACACAAUCCAUGAAGACUACUAUCCUUUUCAUCUAUCUCUGCUUGCAACUUCCAAACAUCGUCCAAUUCUUCGACUCCAUUAUUCAGCCACUCCAUUACAUUUCCAUUGACUACUAUGUCGGGGCAUUUUCGUAGCUCAUCGUAUAUUCUUGUUUUGAUGCCAUCUCGUGCCUUCUUCAACUUAGUUUCUUUAUCCUUAAGUUCUUUAACAAUGCUGUUGAAACAGAACAUAUAGCGAGCUUGGUCAAUUGCUGCAUUCACCAAUAAUUCUUCAACCUUUGAUUUUAAAGCUUCCAUGCUAUUUAUCUGCAAAUAACGAAGUUGAUCUCAGCACGCUAUUAGCAAAACAACAAGGCUUGAUCACUAGACAAAAUGAGAACGUUUAAUUACCUUUUUCUGUACUGUGAAUGCACGUCUAUUAACACCAGCUUUGACCAAUAAGAGCAAAAUGCAGAGGCCGGGGGGGGGGGCUUAAGAGUUUCAGUGGCCUUUAGCUGCAAAACGGAAGAUGACAAAUAAGGUAAACGUUCCCAGCAAACGUGAUUUACGGUGAAUUAUAUUCAAAUUAGAUUAUUUUAAAAGUUGGUAAAUUAUUUAUCACUCUAUCUUAAUGAUACCUUAUUUGGGAUGGUAAAGAUUGGGGGUAAACUCCCUUUUAUUCUCACAUGUUUAUAGUAUUUAUAUUUUUAUAAAUUACCUAAAACAUCCACGUCACUACUUUUAUGGCUAUUGAACAUAUCAUUUCAAAUAUAAAAUACUAUUUCGGUCUAAUAUAAAUUAAAAAUCAAACAAAUCUAUUGUGCAAUAAAUGAAAAGUAAAGAAUAUUAAUUAGGUUUUAAUGGAAACAAAUAUAAAACAUAGAGGUUUUGAGUAACUUUUGUGAUUUUUUUUUUAAUGUUCAAUUUAGAAUUGAAUAAUUUGCAUAAUGAAAUUUUGAGGUUUCUAUAAUUUAUAUGAAGAUAAACUGAAAAAUAAGUUUAUAUGCCGAAAUUAAAAUAGUUAUAUAUUAGCAAUCAUAUAAUUAUCAAAAAAAUUAAUAAAAUUUAUUUAAAAAUUGGCCAAUUGUGUUUCAUGAGGAAAACAGAGAGCAUAAUGGACUUAUGUUGGGUCUUGGGAUUGAAGGACUAAGGGCAAGGGGCUGGGAGGUAGGACGGUAGGAAAAUUAAUUUUUUUUUUUUUUUAAAGUAUGGUCAACAUUAGUGACUUGGAGGUGAUUGCCGUUAAUCAAUUACCUUUAACUUAAGAAUUAAUACAAAUAAAUGGCAAAAAUAAUUUAAUGAAAAUUAAUUUAAUAAAAAAUUGCACUAAAAACUUAGAACUCAAAUUCUCGAUCAUUUUAUCCGUACGUUUUAAUCCGACGCUCAGAAUUGGCAUAAAACAAACUAAUAUAGCCAUUGGAAGUAAAACAAACAUCAAAUCAAGAGCCUAUGAAACGAUAAUAUCUCGUACCUUCUUCCUUAUAGAUCCUCAAUUGCUGCUGAAAGCUGCAUAUGACAAUAUAAAUAAACAUGAGAUCAAAACAUCAUAGGAUAUAUCUAACCAAUUAACAUCAUAUAUAACUCCUUGUUCUCAGUCAAAUCUUUCAUUCUUAGAUUAAAAAAAAAAGAAAUAAUAACUGUUAAGUGAUAUAGGAAGCAAAAGUAACACACCGAAAUGAAAGCAGCAAGUUCACAAAUGACAGAUGCGGUGACUUCAAGAGCAUGAAAAAUGAUUAAACUUUGGUAGAAAGGUCUGAGCCGUGUUUCACAAGUUGCUAUUGACUUCGUGGCUUCGCUUUUAUUUAUUAUUAUUAUUAUUUUUUUAAAUUCUAUAUCAGUGAGAAUUGAAAUGUGGAAAGUGUAAUGAUACACAUGCCUUAUCAUCUAUCAUGAGGGGUGAUUUGGUAAAACCGAUUUAAAAUAAAAAAAAGUUUAAAAAAAUUGAAAAAAGAUGCUUUGUGUCUGACUGCCUGUAUUUGGGGUAUUUUUCGGGUUGUUGAGAGUCAGUUUAAUUAAAUAUAAGAUUUUCAUUUUUCUUAUUAUAUUUUUCUCUUUAGAAUGAAUUUAAAUCUCAUUCUUAUUAAAUCCAUUUUUUUAAAUGAAAGUAGAUUUCUCUCCACACAUUUGAGAUAUAUUUUAAAAUUAAUGUUCAGCAUAUCUCUAAAUUAUAUUAUAAAUAUUUUUAUUUAAAAUCUCAACAAAUUUCAUAACACACAGAGAGAAAUACAUAUAUAUGUUGUAAUGUUUUAAUGAUGGAUCUCUAAAGUUGUCAAGUUAAAAAAUAAAUAAAAAAAUAAAAAAUACACACUUCAACUUAUUAUAUGAUAAAAUAUAGUAUAUUAAAGUGAGUAUUUUUUGUGUGAAAUAAAAUUAAAGUGAGUACUAUUACCACCUCACAUCUUAUAAAUUCUAGAAAAUAAUCAAGGCUUGACAUACUUUUAUUUAUGCAAAAGCAUAAGAAAAUAAUUCAAAGUAAUAAUUAGUGUACUAUUCCUCAAAAUUCUAGAAUAGAUUUGUUAGUUCUCUUUAUCUAUAGAUUGGUCCAUGAUUGGCAUCGCAAUAGCUCAGAAUCGCCUCAACGAUUGUUCCACACGGUCCAAGUCUUCUUAGCAAUAGUUUUAGAGAAAGUGUUUAGUAGUUCCAAGUCUUCUUUUUUUAACACAAAUGUUGGCAUGAUAUUCUUAAUAUAUUUUUAAAAUCAAAAUAAGAUGCAUAGAGGACAAUAAUUUUAUUUGAUAAUUGAUUUUUUUGCAAAGAAAGUUUGAACAUGAGAGUGAUGAGAGAUGAGAAUAUUGAUGAUGGUGUGUACUUUAGAUGGAAAAAUAGAUUGGAAAUAUAUAUAGACAUAUUAAAAGAAAAAAAUUUGGUCUAUUUCAUAAGAGAAACAAAAAAUUAUAAACGCAGGUGUUAAAAUGUAUUCAGAAUUUAUAAAUUUUUAUAAAUAUGAUAAUCAUUAGACCCUUAUAAAAGUAUAGCAAAAAGUUUAAAAUUUUUUAAUAAAUGUCGAAGAGAUGGACGAAGAAACCAUCCACCAGUUCAGAAUUAAUAAUCAAAGAUAUGAGGAUUCGAUCGAAGAAAUGGUGAAAAAUAAAAGGUCACGGGAUUGGUUAGUGGGACCCUAACAUUAAUGGUAAAAAAUAAAAGGACACUGGGUUGCUAUCAAUUUUUACAGUGUAGGUUCAUAGCCGGGGAAGUAAUUGGGCACAAAUAUCUCGGAUGAGAAAUAUCCAUUUUAUCCCGCAACUUUAUGUUUAUGGCCUCUAAAAAUUUUCACCUCUUUCACUUCUGGAACCCGUGCUUUCUGGCACAUGCACAAUACUUGGUUGCUACUUAUAAAGCGUUUUUACAAUUGCAACGACAUGGUGCUCUUUGAUAAUUCAAAAAUCCAAUAUAAUUUAUAGAGAAUUACAGAAUUGUGGUACGUGAUAAUUUGCUGACGCAAUGAGGCGCCUAAAUUCUUAUACAUGGGAUUUAAGUUAAAUAUGUAUAAUUAUGUAAUUAGAAAAUACUAGUUGGGGGUAUUUGUGUCCAUGAAAAUUUACAGCUGGUUGUUGACAUUACACUGCGGGUGUGUAAGUGUAAUCAUGGAUCUGACCAUUCAAAUUAAAAAAUGGGGGUCCCACUAACUUACGGAGUUAGUAAUUAUUACAUAUGCAGAUAUUCUCCCAUACGAUAACCUUAUCAUAAAUUUAAAGGAUACGAGGACUUGAUUGAAGAAAUGAAUGAAUAUUUGAAUUAAAAAAAAUUUAUAAUAAAGACAAGUAUUAAUUUACUAUGAAUGUAACUUACAUAUGCUGUAAGUUAGCGGGACACUAUUGAAUCACAAGCAAAAAACAAUCUGUCUUCUUCUUGAUUCCGUAAUUUGGCUGUCAAAAUGUAAUCUAUAAAGAUUACGAUACCUCGAUUCAAAAAAAUAUUUUUUUUUCUUAUGAAAUAAAUGAAAACUGAACACCAUUCAAUUAACCGUUUAUUUCCCCUUAAAUUUUUAAUCUCAAUGAAACAUAGAUCUAAUGGGAACUACACAUAUAUAAAAAUACUAUAGAUUGAAGAAGUUGAAUUUUUCUUGUGUGUUAAGUAUUUUUGGUUAAUACGAAAGGAUUCUAGCAAGUUAAUACAAAAGUAUCAUAAAUUCACUGUAGUACAAGAUUUUUUUUUUUUUCCUUUGAUGUUAAGAGUUUUGGAGAUUAAAAAAAAAAGAUGAAAGAAGAAGAUGAGAGAAGAAAAAAUAUUAAGAAUAGUUUUGGCAUUUUGAUGCGUUUUAUAGAGUAAAAUUUAUAUUUUAUAGUAUAAAAUGGUACACCCAAAAUUUAAUGAUAAAAUUUUAGGAAAAAAUUGCACUCGUCAAAAAAAAAAAAGAGGCUCAGCUUAGCCCAAAAUUUUUUUAUUAAUCGUCUAGUCACAAAUGUAAUCUCUUUUUUAUGAGAUUCUUUGGCGUUUUAAUUUAGUCCAUUGUUAGCAAUCCUAAUAGCUUUUAUGUGCACCUAUUUUUAUGUGAAAUAUGUUUCAAGCUUGAAUAAAAUCUGCGGGACAACUGGUAAGUAAUAAAGCUCAUCAUUUUUUAUUUUGAAAAUAAAGGGAAUCACUUACACUUUAGCACGAUAUUAUUUUUGAUAAGUCAUUUUUUGGAUAGAUUAUUUUUUCUGACGGGUAAUUUUUAGGACCUCUCCUGAAAUUUGAUGUAUUAACACUUAGAUGAAAUGUAUCCAUAUAAUUACAUAUACCUCCCCUAUUGUUAAUAUAAAAAUAUGUAUAGCGUCAGAUAAAAGGGUAAAUAUGUAAAAAUAUAUUUAAAAUUAAAAAUAUUUACUUUUACCAAAUCAUUAAAAUUUUGACCCACUUGCCCGCUGUUGGCCCAACCUUGACCAGCCGGUCAUGGCUCCACCGGCGACUGGUGGUGGUGCUUUGCCACUGCCGGAGUCCUCUCCUCACACCUGCGACCAAUCCCAUUCACGGCAGCCUUUGAAUCAACUGCAUCAACCAACACACAUUAACACAAGUACACGGCUUUUUGAAGUCUCUUUUGUUUUGCGUUUUCCCUUCACUGAGAAAAUUUGUCAGCUAAUAUAAUAAGCUUUGUUGCCUUAGAUUUGAGAUUACAGAGUCCUGAGCAGAUGUUGUGGCUGUGAUGUGGGUUUUAUUGUAUUUGACUAAUAGGCAAAAUACCUUUUAUUGGCCUACAAGGACGGUGCCUUUUUCUUCUUGUUGGGGAACUUCGUGAAGAAUCCAGCUUGCUUUUUUCUUCCUUUUCUUUCUUCAUUUUAAUUCAUUUUUUAAUUUAUAAUAACUUUUUGAGAUUGAAUUAUCGGCUUCACAUGUAAACAAUGGCAUUUGGUAUGUCACAAGUGCAUAGUUAUUCUUAUUUUUUAAUUUAUUUUUUUCUGAUGUUUUUGUUGCUGGAAUUAAUUUCUCAAGGUUUUGGCAUCACUCCCCAUUGGAUUUGCUAUGUUCAUGGUACAAUUGGCCACAAUCCCAAUCACUCGCACUGGAAUUAACCCAGCAAGGAGUCUCGAAGCUGCUGUUAUUAACAAUAAGGACAAGGCUUGAGAUUGACCAAUGGCUCUUUUGGGUGGUGGUGCUUUGCCACUGCCGGAGUCCUCUCCUCACACCGGCGACCAACCCCAUUCAAAGCAGCCUUUGAAUCAACUGCGUCCACCAACACACGUUAAUCCAAGUAUGCUUUUGUCUCAUCAGAACCCCCACACCCCCGCUGCCCCUUUGGCAAUCGCCGACGCCACCCAAUAGCGGCUAACAUCACCCUUGAACCAUCCCGAUACCAUGCCGCAACCUCUAGCAUCCCAAAACCCAAACUGCACACAACUCUCAAAACCCUUGCUCGAGCUUGUCACGCCGCAUACCACUGCCGUAAUUUGUACCAACAGUGAUGGUUCCAUAUCGUCACUGUCCAUCCCCUCAACCAACCCCCCAUGCAACCCCGACCUCAAUAACAUCUCAACAACCACGAACGCACGAUUUCUUCAACCUGCACUUACGGCCACUUUUAAUGAAAUUCUCACUGCCAACGGAAUUCUCAAAGUUAUAUAUAAUAAUUUAUUAUUUCAGCAGCAAGGAUAGUUUAAUAAUUUUAAAUGUUUAUUAACGGUCAUCUUAAUUAGUAACUAACGGCAGGGGAGGUAUAUGUAAUUACAUAAAUACAUUCUAUCUAAGUAUUAAUAAACCAACCCUCACAGAAGGUCAUUAGAAAUUAUCCUUUUUCUGACAGGCUCUUAGAUUUGGGAAAAUAAAUUGUGUACUUUUAAUGAAGAAAAGUAAAAGAUCAAUAAAAUAUUUUGUUGUUUUCGACAAUUUUUGCGUUGUCAAGUGCGCCUGGUACCUUUUUUUUUUUUUUAACUUUUGAGUUGUUGUUUAAUUUGUAUUAUAAUUAAUUAUCAUGGACCCACGUGCCACUGUUUCCAUUUCAAGUUUCAUAAUUUAACAGUGGAAAUGGGUUCCACAGAUAAUUUAUUUUAUAAUUUUUUAAAAAAAUUAUCAAAAUGUAAUAAAUAAGGUAAUAAUAAUUAAUAAAAAGUAGAUUUUAAGAUGGAAAAAUCUUUUUGUGUACUUAAUAAAAAGAUGAUAAGAUUGGGAUGCUUUUGGUUUACAUUCUCAUAGCUAUUUCUACUGAAAAAUUACAUCAAAAUUUAAUUAAUAAAUCAGUGAACUGCAGACUUAUUAAAUUUAAGCAAUUUUAAUAAGUCAUAAAUAUACUAAGUUAAAAUAGUAGUAAACCCAUCGUUACACAAUUCUCUCCAUUGAAUGUUCACCACUUUAAGAUAAUCAUAAAAUGACACUGGAUGUGCUAUUAUCUGUUUCAUUAAAAGCCUUCACAAAAUAAAAGGCCGGUGAACAAAGUUGGUCAUAGAAAAAAGGAGCAUAGAGCACAUACAUCCAGUUUUUAUAUCCUCUGAUACUGAGUCGUCACAUGCUAAUGCUAUAGACUAUAUGAUAAUCUACUAAGGUGACGCAUGCCAAUGCUAUAGACUAGCUUUUCAAAGGUUGAAGUGGGUAUACUUUUAGUAAAAAGACCUGCAAAAUUAUAAUGUAUCUAUUUGACAUCAACUUUUUUUAUCUGCUGGAGCUUAUGAUUAUAGAAGAUCUUCGGUAAGAUGUGUUUGAUUUUAUCUUCUUUUAUAUAUCCUCCUCUAACUUGUGUAAUAGUAGUAAACCCCUGCCCGUUUUUAUUUCGUUUAGUAUUUUCUAAAUGGCCGAAGGAAAAUUGGUAAAAACUCAUUUAAAAAUAAAAAAAAAUCAAAGAAAUUCAAGAAGAAGCUUUCUAUCUGCCAUUUGUAUUUGGGGUAUUUUUUUGGUUGUUAAGUGAAUGAGCUUAAAUCUAAAACAUUUAUUUAUAUAUUUCUUGUUGGAAAGAAUUUAAAUUUUAUUCUUAUUAGACUUAUUCUCUUUAAACAAAGGUAGAUUUUUCUCUAUGUGUUUAACGUGUAUUUUAAAAUUAAUGUUCAACAUAUCUUUAGAUUCUAUUAUAAAUAUUCAUAUCUAAAAUCUCAACAGAUUUCAUAAUAUAUAAAGAGAGAGAAUAACGUUUCUAAUAAAAAAUUUAUUAAGUUAAAGAAUAAUUCAAAAGAUAAAAUAACACACUCCAAUAUAUUAUAUAAUAAAAUAUAUUGUAUUAAAAUAUAUAUUUUGUUUACUUUUUUUAAUAUAUCUCCUAAUAACUUAAGAAAUCAUUUAUUUAACUAUAUAUAUAUAGAGAGAGAGAGAGAAAAAUGUUCACGAGAAACCUUUAAAACUGCAUGGUUUUAAAUGUUUAAAAUGUAAGAACCGAUGAACAAUUUUUGACAAAGACGUUGCGACCUAAGUAGGGAUAGCAACUAAAUUCGGAUCCAACUCGGAUAUGUAAGGAUCCGAAAGAUCCAGAUCCAGAAAAUUUUUUAUCUGAAUAUUAAAAAAUGUUGAUCCGGAUAUAGAAAUUUGGGAUCUGCACGUAUUGGGAUGGAAGUACAUUCGGAAAAUUGGAUAACGAGAUCUAGAUAACUUUUGUUUCAAAUUAAAAAUAUAUAUUAAAAAUUAAAUGAAAAAUUAAAAAAGUAAAUUUCAUUUGUGGAUUUAUGAUGUUGUUGUAUAUUAUUCAUGUUGAAUUAUUAAUUGCUGGAUAUGAUUGAAUUUUUUUUGAAAUUAUUGGGUAAAUUUUUGAAUUUUAUUUUAAAUUAAAAAUAUUUAUUAAAAAUUAAAUAAAAAUAAAACAUUAAAUUUUAUUUGUAAAUUUAUGAGAUUAUUGUAUGUUAUUCAUUUUGAAUUAUUAAUUGUUGAAUUAUGAUUAAAUUUUAUUUGAUAUUAGUAGGUAAAUUAUUAAACUUUCAAAUUAUAUAUUAAAUUAUUUAAUUAUAAUUUUUACGGAUCCGAAUAUCUAGAAUAUCUGUUCGCAUCCGGAUCUACAUAUUUUUUUACGAAUCCAGAUAUAAAAAUAUGAAUGUGGAUCCAAAUUCGGAUUUUGCCAACCCUAAACCUAAGCAUGAAUGUGCCUAAAGUUUUUACUAAGAACAUGGAUCAUUCAAUGACACGACAUGUUUUGCAGCUCUCAUUAGUAUAAUUGAAUAAUUAAUUCAUCUCUAUAUUCAGCUUACACCGUCUCAAAUUGCAUGCAAAUACGAAAGUACACUUUUGAAUCGUUCACUUGAGGAAAAUUAGAUUCUCCACGUAGAAUUUAGAUUCAAAGCAUAGCAAAUUAGACAUAAUUCUAAUUUAUAUGGGAAAUAUAAUUAGCGAAGACACUCUUUAUAUAAACAUUAUUGUCAUAGGAUGCCAAACCUAAUAAGAUUCAAGAUCUUAACAUACUUCAUAUGAAAUUUGAUCUUGACGCGUACCGACACGCAUAACAUCAAGACUCUACUUCAUAUAAUGUAACUUCAUGGAUUUUUCGCUCUCUUGUGAAAUUGACAAUUAUGGGCGCUGUGUGGCAGUGGUACAUAAUAAAAUAAACAUUUAUUUUUAGAAUAUUAUUAUUUAUCUCAAUUUUUUAUUUAAUAGUUAAUUUUAAUCAAUUCUUAAACUGUCAUAAUCAAUUAAUUUUUUACAUUAUGGUAUCUUAAAUAAAUUUUGGAUCUGUAAUAAAUAAAAACUGGUAACGUUUGUUCUUUUAAAACAUAAAACAACCGUAACAUUGGUUUUUACAUUUUGAAUUUUUCUUGCAUCACUAUUUAGAAAAAUGAUGUUAAAUCAACUCACAAAAUAUAUCAAGUCAUCUAAAAUCCAAAUAUUAUUACAUUUGUAUUUGUAUUGUUAAAUUGUUGGAACGACGGCAAAGCAAUUGAAAAGAGAUUAACAAAAAAGUAAAGAUUGGCCAAGGAUUAUUCAUGUUUAGGAAAUGCCUUAACUUUUGAUAUAAUCAUUGUUAUAAUUAUAUUGUAGAAAUAAUCAAUUACCUGUGUUUAUGUUGGUCUCCUUUUUUUCCAUUUCUGUACAACGAAAUAUUUGCAUGUUUUGAUAGAAAUUGGUUUAAAUGACAUUUAAAAUUGUAUAUCCCCAGACAAUUAACGAAAUAUUUGGAUGGUAGGAUGAAGUAAUAAAUAGUUUUACAAAUUACCAUAUUAGAGGUAAAAAAAAAUAAAAUCGAGAGGUUACUUGACAAUUAUGACGUUACUAACUACAAAUUUAACACAAAAAGUUUAAUUAACUUUUCUUUUUGAGAUGACAAAAUCUCUGGUGUUGAAAACAAUGAGGUUUGAGGUUCAAGCUUGAAUAUUAAGUUACAAUUAGUAGAUGGUCUUAGGACAUAUCAAAGAUUUCUUUAAAGACAAAAUAAUUAUUAUAAGCAAUAGGAAAUUAUGGUAUUCAGAACAUGUAACCUUCGCACAUGAAGCUUGAAUCCAGAACAAGAUGCAGCUAGCCAAUCCUUCCAACUUCCAAAAACCCACAAAAUCUCUGUCAACAUGUCUGUUCUACUUCAAUAAUAAGCACAUUCAUAGCGGUAUCAACAGCUUACAGCGCCAAAAUAUUUUCCCCAAAAAGAGUGAGAGAUUUCACUGAAGCUAAGUUGUGACUUGUGACUGCCCAAAUGUUCUAUAACACGAUAUGAUUAUUCUAGUAACAUCAACAUUUGCAUCCUUCUGUAUCUGUCUGAGCUCCUGAAGCAUGAUACCCGGUUGCCCAGCAAAAGAUGCAGCUAUCACAAUGAAUAAGGGAACAAAAUAGAUAACAAAGUCACAAAAACAAAGCUAAUCACAAUGAAUGAUAAGGUUUAGAGUAAACAUAAAGUUAUAAUCUUGAACAUAAGUGGCGCUCUUGAGGAAAAAAAAAAUUCAUUCUAACACAACAGAAUAAAUUGUAAAGAAAUCCCAGUUUGUAUAAAAGAAAGAAAACAAAAUUAAGGAAAACAUAAGCACAACAAAAUUUGACUGAUUAUUAAAAAUGAGAAAUGAGUUAUAAUGAGAAUUUUGGCUUUGUGGUGAAAUAAAUUGGGAAGUAUCCAAAGUUCGCAUGUAAAUAAUAUAAAUGAUAAGAAGACGAAGGGAACAAAAUGAUAAUAAGCAAGCCAAAUAUUAAAAUGCAGAUUCUACGCUUCCGCCCCCCCAUACUUCAAGUUAGUGUCUCGCUAAUCAUUUUAGAUGUAUCAAUUACAAAGGGAGGCCAUCUAUUUAUGGUAAGCGUACGCCUCUAAUGCUUUGCCAAGUGUCCAUUGAUAAUAUCACAAGGGCAAUUAAAUUGGUGUAUGUGUAUUACACCUCCUAAAGUCAUGUUAAGAUAGUUAGUGAGCUGAUAAAGUUUGUUGCACGUGUGAGUUGGUUAAGUCUGCUAGAAAUGCAAACGUGUAAAGCUGAGUCAGCAAGUUAGUUAACGUUAUUAUGAAUGCUUAGAUUCAGCCCACGUGUAUUGUAUGUAAUACUUAGAUUCAGGUCACGUAGAUUGUGUAUACAACUUUCUAAUAUGAGUAAUGAUACAGCCACAAACUCUUGUACAAACUUAUUUUAUACAAACUGACGUGAUAUUUAAUUCAAACUGAUGUGGGCCAAGUGAUAUUUAAUUCAACCAAUCUUAUCAUGCCACAUCAGUUUGUACAAAAUAAAUUUGUACAAGAGUUUGUGGCUGUAUCAUUACUCUUCUAAUAUUAUUUAGAUCUCAAUAUAAAUACUUGUAAUCAACAAAUACAAUAAUAAGAGUCAUCAUUCUUCAUUUUCUCUCUGUUUCUCUCAUAUUUUCUCUGCAUCCAAACACAAUAUUCUCAGUUCUUGACUGGUAUUAGAGUCGCAGUUUAAUUGUCCUGGCUUCGUUAAGCACAAAUUCAAACACAAAUCAGUCUCCUUCAUUCUUUACCCUCACAAAUGCGAUCAAAUUGGACAGAUCUUACUAUACGAUCUGGAAAUCUCAGAUCCUCUCUUCAGUGUGUGCCAAUGGACUUGAAGGCUUUCUUAAUGGAACUAAAAUUUGUCCAGAUCAGUUACUUACUCAAGAGAUUGAAAGUUAUGGUGUUGAAAAUGUUGUUGGUGAAAGCUCAGCUGAUAGAUCUCAGGAGAAUCCAGCCUUUGUUGCUUGGAAGAGGUAGGAUCAAUUGUUAUUAAGUUGGCUCAUGUCCUCCAUCAGUGUUGAGAUACUUAAGUCUUGUGGUAAAUUCUGAUUCUUCUCAUAAACUUUGGACUAAUCUUGAAGAAAAUUUUUGGAUUAGAAAAUAUGGCUAAGAAAGCACACUUAAAAAAUGAUGUUAAGCAAUCUCAAAAAGGGAUCAAUGACAAUAACUGAGUAUUUUGCCAAACUUAGAGCUGUAACUAAUAAACUUGCUCUAACUGGUAGACCUGUUUCUACUCUAGACUUUAUUACUCAUCUAAUCUCUAGAUUAGGCCAGCCAUACUACCCUGUUGUUGUGUAUAUUGAAGCUAAUAUGUUGAAAAUAUUUGUCAAUGAAGCCUAUUCUAUGCUUUUAACUCAUGAAGCAAGAAUUAAAUUUAAUCAUCCGAGUGCAAAUAAAGAAGCAAAGUUGAAUUAUGCUGCUAACAUAGCUUUGGCUGGACCUAGUAAUAACAAUAAGAAGUCUAGUAAUCAAGCUAAUUACUAUCAGGGCAACCAAGGUAACUGGAAUAGAAAUGCUAAUUGGUGUGGUAACAAUGGAGGAAGAGGUGGCUUUGGCAGAGGUUUUUCAGGGCAAGGAAGGAGUAAUUAGAAUAAUGGUGGUCAUUGGAACAACGAACCUUGGAGUAGUAGUCGAGCAGGUUAUAAUUGUUCUGAUAUAAACAUUAUGACAUGGUUGUUGGUGAACCUGUAAACAUAACCACAAAAGUAAGAAGGCAUAAUCUUUUUAUAAGAAACUCAAAAAUGUAUUAAUGAUGAAAAUUUUAAAACAGAUAGCUGACCAGCUGUUCACUAAGAAAACAAAAAACUGAAUAUUUGUGCUAUAAAAAGGCACACCCAAUCUCACCCCUAUAAAAGGCUAGAAUCAGCUACAAAUCCCUAUCUCAAAACCCCAUCCCAGUUUAGAUGAAUGAAGAAAAAAGAUGAAUCUUGAAACUCCUUAGAAACUGAAGCCCAAAGUGAAGCAAGAAGAUGAACUCUAUCCCAAGCAAGCAAUAUGGCAUAUUUCUCCAUUAAUGGUUCAAAUAAAGUGAAUGGCUUUCUCUGAUGAAUGGGAAAUUGUCAAGAUCAAUAGUCAAACUCACGCAAAGUAAACGGACUUAAUUCUCAGAGGCUACUCAUUCUAAGUCUUAAAGAAAAAUUUUCUAAUUUCUAAAGAUUAUAUGGGGAAAAAUCAUUAUUUUCUAACAUGGAAAAUUUGAUACGCUGUUUAAUGUCUGAUCACAAUCAUAAUAUGAGUACUAACAAAAACAUCUUUAAUCGGCAUGGUGCGAGUAAAACACCAUCACUUCAUCUUUGAUGGAAAGAUGAUAACAUAAAGAGAUGGUGAAAUGGUUUUGGUCCUUGGCAGCUUGUAAUCAAAAGAAAACAAAAAUCUACACUAUUAUUAAUGAUUACCGAAGCUACAGAAGUAUCAAAAUCGGAAAGUAAACAAUUGCAAAACACAUCAAUGACUGAAGGUUAGGUUCUAAAACUUCCGUAUUUAAUUUUCAAAGCAUGUUAUGUAUUAUUCAGAAAUAUGCUUUCACUUCAGGCACUUGACCAAGACGCAUUAAACAAAAAACGUGGCGUUUUCAUGGACUAGUACAUUCCAUGCUUCGAAAGUUUAUGUUUUAGACUGAUUCGUUUGAUACAUUAUUUGUUUAUUGCGUUUUUCUUGCUUUAAAUAUUAUGUUGGAUUGAUAAGUUUUGUACACAUUUAUAUUGCUCGCAGUAAAUAAUUUAUGACAUUUAAAAAACUAGCAACCGUCUAUCAAAAGAUUUCUACUAUAAAUAUAUAUACACAAAAAACUUUUAAUUUGGUCAAUUUGUUCUCUUAUUUAUUUUUGUUCUAUUUCUCUUUUCCUUUCCUUUCAUUUUAUUGUUUUAUGGUACAAAAUAAAAAAAUAACCUUAAAAUUUAGGGCAAAGCUAUGGUACCACAAUUGUAUGGUACCACAGCUGGAUCCAACCAUUGGAUCUAUCCCACAGUUGUCACCAGAAUUAGAUCCAAAGGCUGGAUCCAGCUGUGGUACCAUACAACUGUGGCACCAUAGUUAGACCCUAAAAUUUAAGGGUAAAAUACUCAUUUUACUAAAAUUCCGUUUAAUAUUAUAAAGCUGUCAAAUGUCAAUGGCAUAGUACACGAGUGAUACAAAUUAAAAACAAUAAAUGGCACCCCGGCUUUCGCAGCGUACUCAAGUGCAGCCACCACUCCAGAAUCUGGUACUGCAAUCACGACAUCACUCAACAGGAGCCUCGGUAGCAAGUACUUCCCCAAAAUGAUACCUCGACUCACAAACAUGUUGAAAAGUCAUGCACAUGACAUUCAAAUUCAAAAAUGCAUGCAAAAUUUCAAAUGGCUACCAAACAUUUGAAGAAAAAAAUGAAAAGUUGGCAAAUUUGUCAAAUUUGAGAAAUGGACACCAUUGACUAUUGGCUUAGGUUAGGUGGAAUAGUAAAGGGGUUGGUGCAAUAGUGCUAUUAUUUUUCCUAUAAAUAGAUGGCACUUAUUCCAUUCUUAAGCAUCCCAAAAUUGUUAAGCUUAUAAGUUUCUAAGAUUUUAAGAGAAGUGAGAGAAGUGUGUCUGUGGAAUUUAUCUUUCCUGCAGAGUGUGAGAGUACUGGGUAUAUUUAGGUUUUUGGGAAGUGAGAUUCGUUACUCAAAUAUUGUACUCUAUUAAUUGUUAAAUAAACAAUUAUUCUUUCUUACCUCCGUGGAUGUAGGUUUAAUUACCAAACUACGUAAUUCUUGUGUCCUUUAUUUUUUUGUAAUUAUUUGGUGCGCUUGAUUCCGCAUUCCGCGCACAACAAGUGGUAUCAGAGCCGACGGUUCGUACUUGGGGAGAUACGGUACUGUUCACGUAUACGGUAUUAUUCCCGUAUACAGUACUAUUCACGAAUACGGCGGAGACGGCCAUUUGUACUUGGGAGACAGUCUAUUAUAAGUAGUGUGUAUUUUUGCAUGUCUAGGAAAGUUUUGUCAACAAAGGCGAUAAGAGUCUAAGGAUUCUGGUUUUUAAUUGGGACCGAGUUCCCGUCCAGUCUCCUGAAAACUUUCCUGGUGCAUUUAUUCACGUGAAAUUAACAUUAUAGAGACUGUUUUUCAAGUGGAAAUAGUUCGUUGAGAAAAUGGUAGAAGGUGAAACUUCCAGAAUUGGGGAGAGAUCUACCGAGACUAUUUCAGGAGACACUUCAGGUGGGAGGCGAGAUUUGUCAAAUCGCUAUUCAGCACCUGUUAUAGGAGGCUAGAAGACCGAUGUUGAAAAGUUUGAUAGGAAAAUCAACUUCGGCAUGUGGAGGCGCGAAGUUAUGGAUGCCCUUAUUCAAAUUGAUCUCGGUGUUGUGUUGUUGAGAAAGAUCGAUACCAAAGAUAAUCCAUCAGAUAUAUUGAUGAAGGUAGUUUCUGGAGUUAAGUUUCAACAUUACUUGAAAUUAAUUCAAAUCCUUCAAUUGUAUUAAGAUAUGUCCUUCGGGAAUUAUGAACUACGGUUGGCUUGAUCCCAAAUUUUGGGUACGUAGGCAGUCGAAUCGACACAGCCAUUCUGGAUCCUUAUUGAAGGAUCACUUUGGGGAUGAGGGUUCAUUGGUAGUUGGCUCAGAUUUGGACAAAUUUUCGUCGAGGUGGAGAAUUGUUGAAAAGUCAUGCACGUGACUUUCAAAUUCAAAAAUGCAUGCAAAAUUUCAAAUUGCUACCAAACAUUUGAAGAAAAAAUGGAAAGUUGGCAAAUUUGUCAAAUUUGCCAAAUGGACACCAUUGACUAUUGGCUUAGGUUAGGUGGAAUAGUAAAGGGGUUGGUGCAAUAGUGCCAUUAUUUUCCCUAUAAAUAGAUGGCACUUCUUCCAUUCUUAAGCAUCCCAAAAUUGUUAAGCUUAUAAGUUUCUAAACUUUUAAGAGAAGUGAGAGAAGUGUGUCUGUGGAAUUUAUCUUUUCUGCAGAGUGUGAGAGUACUGGGUAUAUUUGGGUUUCUGAGAAGUGAGAUUCGUUACUCAAAUAUUGUACUCUAUUAAUUGUUAAAUAAACAAUUAUUCUUUUUUACCUCCGUGGAUGUAGGUUUAAUUACCGAACCACGUAAUUCUUGUGUCCUUUAUUUUUCUGUAAUUAUUUAGUGCGCUUGAUUCCGCAUUCCGCGCACAACAAAACAAACCUUCCAAAAACAACAGAAUUAGGCAAAGCAAAAUAAAUAUGCUCAAAGAUGCACUGCUUAGGUUCAGGGUGAGGCAUCAAACAAGGUGAUUGAACCCCAUCUUUAUCCACCAUCAAAACUUCACCGGGAUAUACCUCUCUCUCUCUCGCUCUCGUAUGUGGCCUCAAUCAAAUAGUGCACAAGUCUCUGACGCAAAAACCAGAGCACCAUUACUCCUACCCAUCACCAAUGGCAUAAACCCAUACGGGUCACGAACCGCAACAAGCUUAUCCUCAGUAACAAACACCAUUGAAUAAGCACCCUCAAGCUUCUCACAAACAUCCAUAAUCCUCAAAAAGAACGGCCUAGCUUUCGAUAUCGGAAUCAAAUGGAGAACAACCACAGUAUCAGAACUAGUAUUGAAAAUGGAUCCAUUAUCUUCGAGCUUAGCCCUCAAAGUAUUAUAAUUAACUAAUGUGCAACACCAACAGAACCAAACCUGUACCCAGCAACAAAAGGCUGCACAUUCUUAAGCAUAGAACUACCCGCAGUCGAAUAUCUAACGUGACCAAUGGCCAUAUCACCCGGCAUUUGAUCAAGUUUAGACUGAUUAAACACAUCAGACACUAAACCAACACCAGUAAUAGACUGAAGAACUUUGUUAUUCACAGCAACUAUACCUGCACCUUCUUGGCCGCGAUGCUGCAUCGCGUGUAGCGCCAAAUAGCACAAACGCGAGGCCUCUGGGUCACCAUAGAUGCCCACAACACCACACUCCUCACGGGGCUUAUCGUCGUCAUCAUCAUCAAAACUGCCAAAACCGUCAUCUGGGUAUUCUUUAUUUGUGGUGAAAAACUCAGAGAUGGGGUUUUUUUGAUAGAACAGUGAAGUUAUUUUUGUGGGUUAAAGAUUGUUGUUUCUGAGGAAAAAAGGGGUUUUUUGCGGGGUUUUGGAGAAAAGAGAAAGAUGGGUUUUUUGCGACGGCUUAGGGUUAGCAGAGGGAGAUGGGUUUGAGAGAAGGCAGAUGUUGGCGGUGCCUGUUGUGGUGGCUGCCAUUAAUGGCUGAAUUUAUUUUAUUUUAUUUGUUUUGGGUUGCCUUGCUCAAAGAAAAAACAUAGGAGGUGUGUGGAGGGAGACAGUGGCGAAGGGUACUUUAAGUAGAGGGGAACUUGUUCUAGGUUUUUUUCUGGAAUUGUGAGGGAAUCUGAUCCUGGGUUUGUGCAUAUGAUUCAAUUACUUAUAGGUGAUACUGUUGUGUCACCACAAAUUCUAAUUGGGAAGCUUCAGUUGUCAAAUUUUUUUCCAAGGGUUAAUUAGGUAGAACUUUCAUGUCGUCGAUUUUAUUUGGAGAUUCUAAAAGUAGUUUCCAAAAUCAACAAUGUGACACAGAUGCUUUAGAUUUUUUCCCUUGUGGGACAUGAAAAUUGAUGCAUGUUCCAACGCAUUGCUCUAUCAGAAUUGGAAUUAAACUUAGGUGCCGUUUGUUUUUUUGUCUGAAAUCUGAAUAGACUUGAAUUAGUCUGAAUUCUGAAUAGGUCUAAAUGUCUGAAUCCGAAUAAUAUGUUUGUUUUUUCGUCUGAAUCUCGAAAAAUAAGUAUUAAGUUGUUUUUUUUUUUUCAACUUAAAAAGCUGAAAAUAUGUACUUUUACAUUUGUAUCCUUAUUAAAUUUGAAUGUCAAAUAAAUAAUAUAUUAAAUACCACAAUAUUUUAAUAUUUAUAAAUAAAACUAUAUUCAAGUGAAUACAUAAUUAUUUUAGAAUUUUAAUAUAUAAAAUACCAUAAAUUUCAAAUUUUAUCGUAUAUAAUAUAAGAAAGAAAAAACAUGGAUAUUUUUAUAUGGGGUAAAUAUCUAUAGGUAAGUUUUGGGAUAAACAUGAAAAAUAAAUUAUAAAACAGAGAUAUUUUUGACAUUAGCAAGUAAUUGACUUAAUUCAGAUUUCUCCAUUAAGUAAAAAGCCAAAAAAAUUAGCUUAUUUUAUUAAGUCAAAAUUAUCUAAAAAGUCUCAUUAAGUUAUAAAAACAAACACCUCUAAUUAACUUAAUUAAUUAAAUUAAGUCACUGUAAGUCAUUAAGUUAAACAACAAACGCCACCUUAGUUUGUAUUCUCCUAUUCCGAAAGCAAAACUUAUAAGUGAUAUUCUAAGAAGAAGAAAUUAAGAACCAUAACAAAUUUGAUGAUUCUAAUUUGCUAGAAAUAUUGCAAUCCCAAACUAAGAAAGUUCAAACCAAUUAUUUGAAGAAAAAAGUAGGACGGAAGCUCCCAAAAUAUUGUUAUGUGUUGUAUGUUUUAGUUUGUGUUUCCCAAUCAAUAAGGAAAAGUAAGUACACAUGUAACAAAAAUUUAAUAAAAAAGAUUGGAGGUGACAAAACCGUCAAUCUUCUAAUUAACUUUCUCUCCUUUCGAAUUUCCUCGAGUUUGGUAGAGACUGCUUAAGUGGUAUAUCUAUUAUAAACACCUGAAGUCAAAGUUAAUAUUUUAAUUGUUAAGAAAAGUUAGAAAAAGAAAUUUUUGUAUAAGAGAAUUGAGUUUAAAUUUAGAAUUCCUUGGGAGGAAAUGAGUCUAAAUUCCAAUAAUAUAAUUAAACACUAUUUAUAUAUAUCAUUAGUUGGGUGAAAAUUUAAUUUCCAUCCUUUGAUGUGAAAAACUCUCUUGAUCAUCUAUUUUCAUAUGAUGGUAAUUUUUUGUUUAAAGUGAAGUUAUUGGCACCCUUUCAUUAUGCUUAUAAAAUCCUACUUCAAAUAAAAUUACACUUAAAGACAAUAGAAUUAAAUAAUAUAAUUUUUUCUUUAAAACAAAUUACUCAUCUAAUUUUUUAUAGGUUGCUUUGUAUCAAAUUAAAAAAAUUUUUUACAAAUUUAAAAUAAUCUAUUUUUUUUUCAAAUUUCUUAUUGAUUAAAUAUUUGUGUGCUUAAGAUAGCUUUAAAAUUAUAAGAUAAAAUAUAUAUAAUUUAAGCCAAUGAUUAACAUUAAAAAAUUUAUCUCUCAUAAAAGUUUUUAAUUUGUGCGUAGGGUAAUAAUAAAAUUGCAAAAGAAAUGAAAAAUAGCAAAACACUAUUUUGAGUUUAAACAAUAAAAAAAUUAAAUGAAAAAUUAGAAAUGUAUUUGAAAAAGGAUAUUUUUUGAAAAUAAAAUAAAUAUAAUUUAAAAAGAAAGAGUUUCACGAGGGGUGCAAUAGUUCAACUCUUUUGUUUAUAAGUUUUAAUGUGUUGGUAUCCUUAGCUUAGCUUUUCCCUAAUUAUUAUAUUAAAAUGUAACAACAAUGAUGAUCAACCCUAAUUUCAUGGAGGUCAAAGAUUUUGGUCAUGCCGCAUUAAUUAGUUCGGUCAUACUUUCUACAAAUUUAUUUACAUUUAAUAAUUUGCCCAAGACUAGGUAAGGCGCCGCCUGGAGUCAUAGAAUUUUAUAUGUCAAAAGUGCGUUUCACUUCAAUUAAGCUAUAAAUGUCGUUUAAUAUGCUCAUUUUGUAUUUUUUUUUAAAAAGUUUUAUUAAUUUUUAAAAAAAUAUUAUUUAUUUAUUUAUUUAUUUUUUUAAAGGUAAAGAAGUGGAUAAAGUUCAAAUUUAAUUUUUAUCCCUUACGUCAUGACCCUUAAGAUUUGAACUUAGGUAACCAAACGUAUAAUAAUAAUAUCUCAAAUUUCAUUUCAAAUGAUAUGCAAUAUAUUAAGUGAUUGUUAAUUUUUAUAAGAUCCGAGUGAAUGAAUUGUAUUAUCUCACUAAUUAAUUAAUGAGUGUCAUAUCAUUUAUGAUAACUUUUGUAUAAAAAAAAUUGCAUGGAUGAAAUAUCCUUUUGAGAAUUUAAUGGUUUAUCUCAUUUAUGAUUUAUUGUUGCAUUUAAUGAUAUUGCAAAUAAUUUUCUGAUAAUAUUAUUGUUUUGACGAGUAAGUUUGGAGUAAAUAAUACAUAUGGCAAGUGUGAGGUUUGUUAUUGCAUUUAUUUUGUGGAUCUAUUUAAAAGCCAAAAAAAGGCAUUUCGAUUCAUUAUGAUUCCAGAUAAUUUCAAGCCAUGUCAUUAUUGGGAUAAAAAUAAAGUAAAAUGGUUAAAACUAUUUUUAUGUAAUUUAUAAAAAUUAAUGAAGCAACUACAAAAUUUUUUUAAACGAAAAACAAUUGAAAUGUGUGUGGAAAAAGAAGAAAAAAAAUAAGGCAUUUAAAUAUCUUCUUAAAAAAUACGAUUGAUUAAAAUUAUUUUAACAGAAUGCUCUUCCAAAUACAAUUCCACAUUUUUUUUUAUUGCAGUGGGAUAUUCCAAAAUUGGCACAACUCAUUAAGAAUUCGACAACUCAAAUUUUAUUUAUCACUCUAUGCAUUUGACAAAUUAAAAAGAAAAAAAAUUCAUAUAUCUUCUGUUCAAAAGAAACCUUGGUAAAUAUUGUAAAACAAAUUACCAAUUUUUUUAAAUUUAUGCCAUUAAAUCGUCGCUAUUUUCUCGCCCACUUUCUUAAAAUAGAAUCGAUAUUUAUUGAUGGGUUGGGUUCGAGAGUAAGCACCAAUUCAGCAAAAUGGUUUUAUAGCAGAAAAAGCACUUGUAAGACAUUCAGAACACAUUUUUCAAUUUUGUCUUUUGAAAAUGAGUCUUGAGUUUCCGCAAGCCAAGAAGAAUGGCUAAAAAAUGUAUGGUAUCAAAAGAAAGAGAAACACACACACACAUUUUAUGUAAGAUACCGUAAAAGCCAAAUACAACCUUUUUGAUUCUCAGCAAUAACUUUUUUUUUUCCUUUUAAAAAAAGGAAGCCAUAUAAAUAAUGCUUUAAACAUUAUUUGCAACAAGGAACAAUUAUUUCAUGCUUUCAGGUAUUAGAAACUUUCCAAAACUGCUAGCAAGAAAGUGAAAUGUAACUUUACGUAGUCACAAAAUAUGUAUUGCUGUUAGCCCAAUUGUUAUGAAGUGGCUUCUGCAUCAGAAGAUUCCAGCUCCCACCAAGCAUUGUUAUCUCUCUUCUGAAUACAAUCUGCAUCGCUGGGCAUGAGUUAUAUCAUUAAUGUCUGCAUCCUCACUUACAUCAUCCCAAUCAAGUGCUUUUUCUCCAUAUCUGGAUUAUAAGUCCACUCCAAUCUCUUCAAAACAUCCUAGUCCUUCCAUCACAACUGCUACAACUUCCUUCCUAAUUACUUACCCAUUAAUAAAUCGCUCCAAGAAAAAAAAGCUUAGCAAUUCUCUUCAACGCCCCAUCACUCAUAUCCCCUACAACAACCAUCUUCAGACAAAAUCCGAAUCAUCCGACACAACCACCAAACACCCAAACCUUCUUUUGUCCACCAUAUAAAUCCUCAACAAAACAUCGGCAUCUUGUGGCUUAUCUAACACCAUUCUGACCCAAAAUCAUGCUUUUUUUAACUCAUCUGCAAAACCAUAACCCACUUUUGGAGUCAAAAUUGCGCUUGCAGCCAUUUUAUAUUUUUCCAUCUUUAUUGAAUAGCUGCCAACCAAAAGCACUCUCACCUUCCCUCUAGCUGAUCCUAUUUGAUUCGACCUUUUCUUUUGUUCACCCUCAUGAAUUUGCUUAAAAUGAUUAAAAAGCUUGUCAUUGUUAUAAAAUCUCCUUCCACAAUCACCAAUACAUACGGCUUAGCAGGCCUAAUUACACCCUUGAUUUCUAAUUGGUUAAACAAUUCUCUUUCUUUCUCUGCUCUCUUACAACUUGAGGCAUAUAACUAAACCCGUGGCUAUUAGCAUUUGCCACCAUGUAUUUAAGAAUCCCAAAUGAAGAUAUUGAUUUUUUUCAGUUUAAUUGCUGCUUCAAAACGGGGUACUAAAUUUGGAUUUUGUUAUCCAAAUACCAAAAAUUUCCCACAUUGUGUUGGACAGUUUUUGGUUCUAAAGUUGAUGACUGGUUUUACGAAUCAGGCUUCAAAUGAGAACUUCUAAACAAUAAGACAAAUGGGUUUUUGAGUUUCCAAUUUUGUAAACUUUGUUCUAUUGUUUAAGUUAUGAAAUCGCUGAAACAUCACUACAGCUACAGGUCUUUAUGUGUCAAAGAACUGCAGAAGCUGAUGAUCUAGCUGUAGUAGACUUCUAUUGCCCCUGUCGUUCUAGGAAGACAAACAAGUUCAGGAACUACUUCUGGACCAAACUCAUAAUAUUGCCACUGCUUUGUGCCAAUCUGAGAGGGAAAGCAUAUUGAAGUUCCUAAAUAAGGCACAUCAUGAUUUGACAGAAGUACCACUAUGAGGAACAAUUGAUUUCAGGAAAGCACUAAAAUAUGACAUAAUCUGCCCCUAAUGGUCUAAAGUAGUCAAGAAAUGAUAUCAACCAAGCAAAAACACAUAAACUAGUUGAGAUACAAAGUUAUUGUAAAAGUCAAUUUUGAUCACAAGUCCAUUAAAAUUAAAAGACAUUAGAAACUUAGAGAACAUUAUAAUUUAGGACUCAGCUAAGUUGCAGAUUCUGUAACUAACAGCUGUGUCCACAUUGGUCUUGCAUCAGCUGAGUUUGGGUUGCUUUUCCUCUCUCCUGCAACGCGUACGUGGAAGCGCCCCAUUUGCUGUGUUCUAUACCGAGUCGGUACCGUAACAAGCUCCUAUAAUUUAAGUUUGAUUACUGUAGACAAUAGUCUGCCUCUGCUCAAAAGCUAUGUUGCAAGAUAUAACAUCUUUGCAAUGUUAUACUUUCUAAAAGUAAUAAGAAAUGAAACCAAGGGGUAAAUCGAACACCAAAAGAAAUUUAGUCGGCCAACCACAUUAUGUUCCCACACAGUCCACUAAUUAAGUUAAUAAUUAAAAGGAAUCAAAAUCUAAGAAAUCUCAUCUUCAAGCAGAAUUAAUACAAACACACAGCGAUUGAAAAUCACAAAAUCAUAAAAAGAAGCUGACUUGAAAAGCUCAAAUAUACGUUCAUCAGCCUCUCAACUUAUAUCUAAGAACAAAUGCAGCUUGUGAAGACAUACAUAAUUGAAGCUGAUGAGCCAUAUUUAACAAAUGAUAAUCAAAACUUGUGUGAUUAAAAUUAUAAUUCAAUAAUCGAGCACAUAAAACAAGAAGUAACUAGUUGUAUAUAUACCAAACAACUUUCUGAAGUUAAGGCAUAAAACAACAACGUAGAACAAAUUAAUUAAAUAUACCAGCACCAAUACUCUUAUUAUUAUCCAAAUAUAGAAGACCAAUGUAUCAAACAAGGAAAAUGAAAUAUUGUUAAUAAAUAAAAAACGACUAGUGUCAAGAACUAAAGUAAUAAGUAAAACCCAUAAUCAGACACGACCACAUCAAAAUCUCUGAAAAUUGAGGUCUAAACAUUGAAAACAAUUAGACAUAUAUAACAGUCAAUCAAAACAAAGCCUCAAAAUAAUAAUGAACUACAAUAAGACAGAAACUAAAUUGUAAACAAGCGCAUACCCAAUAACAGUAAUCAAGUAACAAGUCAAAACCAGAAUCAAACGUAGAAUUUUGAAAUCCAUACGAACUCUAAUGUAUUAGAAUGAAAUAAUAAGGGCGAUCGAUAAACUAGACUCAAACAAAAACAUGCCCAGUUAAAAAACGAAGGUAAAUAAAUAAAAAUGGUAUAAAACUGCGAAAAAAAUUAAUGAAAUGAAGAGAAAAUCACAGGAAUCCUAUGAAGAGGAAGGUAAACAAAACCUUCGGGAGCCGAGAAGAUGCCUUUUUUGUUGACGUUUGUGCCUAUACAUGCAAUUUUUUUUUUUAAUUUUGAAGAAAGUAUUGGUUAAAUAUUGUCAGAACGAAAUAUUAAUAAUAGGGACUUGACUAGCUUACAGAAUCUGUAAGGUACAAACUGCAGCAUCAGCCGUUGGAUGUGGUUGGAUGUGGAGUGAGAAACUAAACAAUAGAAAAUCGGAUGGUGGGAUGACGGGAGAUGUUUGUUACAGAAUCUGUACUGUAGACAAGUCCUAAUAAUAGAUGCUGGCAAUUUCAACAAGGACAAUCUUCGAUUCAAAUGUACCCUUAUGAUAAAGAAAAAGCCAGCUUGGCUAAAUUUUGAGCACCACAUUAUAAGAUCUAGGUGUAUGUUUAACUAUGCAAAAUGAAAUAUCUAUUAAUUAUAAGUCCCUUGACCUCUGGAACCAGCCAACUGGUCUCUUUCCUACUAGACAACCUUCCAUCGAUCAGACUAAUAAUAUUUACUAAAUCAUGUUCUACAGUUAAUGAAGUUGGACCCAAGGCAAUUGUUAGCUUAAUGUCAUAGGCUGCUCAAAUUUCCUGUAAUUGGAGGAUAAUUAUGUGCACAUGAGUUCGCUUAGCAAAAGUCUGCCUAGGCGUGGAGUGCGCUUAAAAGUGGGAUGCACUUAGAAGUGGGAUGCACUUAGCAAAUCAUCCAAGCCCAACCCGAGAUCUAGAACUCUCUGCAUAUUAUAAAUAAGCUAAAAGUUUUUAUGUUUCUCCACGUAAGUCCCUAGGAUAUUUAUGGAAGUUGCUAGGAAGUUUCCUCCCCUAGAACUCUAAUACUUAUAAAUAGGAGUGGGCCGCCUCAUUUACCCACCAACCACACCACACACACAAACACUCCAGCACACAUACAAGCUCUCUAGCUUUUGUAAAAAGCUCUCUUGUAUAUUCUCUCUUUGUGAGUAAUAAAAUCAUAUUCAGCUAUAUUGCUCUACUUCUCUCUAGUAUUUUCCGCAAGUGUUCUUGCUUCGCUAGUUUGAGGAGUGGUCCAGGCUUGCUUAGCAACUUGUUUGCUACAAGGACAUCUUGGUCACAAAACAUGGACAUGCAAGGAAAAAAAAAUAUUGAUUCGUUCUAAAAAUAAUAUGCACUCUUCUCCAGUGAACCAAAAAAUUUAGGCUAAUGGUAGCAAGUGAAGGAAUUGUGAUUUCACAUGCAUUUUGUUGACAUGAAGGUAAAGAACUUUUUUAUAGUUUAUAUUGUUUAAUAUAAUAUUUGAAUUGCAAAAUAGGGGUACAAAAUAGAUACACGAAGGGAUAAAACUAAUCUGAUUAUGAUAAAUAAUGAAUUAUAAGAUUUAGGUUUAAUCAUAAAGACAUAAGUGGCACACAAAGUCACGAAUUGAUAUCAUCCACGAUGCAAGUUCAAACAACUGUAUAAUAAGUUGCCCCAAGCUAAACUAUUAAUCUAAUAACUAUUCCAGUCGAUGUGGGAUAAUUUUCCUAUCACCAUCUAUCACGUGCAAGCCGAAUUUGUUGCUUGGUUCUUACAUGUGGUAAGGUAAUAUGAAUCCACUUGUGCAUAAAUUUGGCUCCGAUAUUAUAUAGAAGCUUAUGACCCAAAAUUAUACUUAAAGGUUAUUUCAAGAUUUGAAGGUUGCCUCAAGCUAAUAUUAUUAUUAGCCUGGUAACCCUUUUUUUUUUGUUGAUAUGUGAUAUUUUCCCAAUAACUUUUAUUAAUCUUUAUGCUUAUGUUUUGUCAUUUAUCCCAAAAUAUAACAUUAACAAAAGUUCCAAAAUUUCCUUCAAGAGAUAUAUUUGAGACAAGUAAUUUGUGCAAUAACUUUGUGAAUUGAUGAGCAAAUUCAAAGAAAAGAAUAUAUGUGCCAAACGUAACGUUUAUUAUUGUGUUUAUUUGUAGAGCUAUUUAAAGCCUAAAAACAAAAAGCAUCAGUCUGCUAUUAUUUCAAAUAAGUUCAAGCCCUAUGUCAUUAUUGGUACAAAAAUGUAUUAGAAUGGUUAAAAACUAUUUUUAUUUAACUUGUAAACUUAGGAAAUUAUCAACUGUCCACCCUUAAAUUGCACUGUUAUAAAAAAUAUUACAAUAUUUUCAGAUUGUAUCAUUCAUCUACCAUAAAUUUACAAUCUGCAUCAUUUAUCCACCAAAUCAUUAACUUCGUUAAAAAGUGAUAGACGUCACAAGGGUAAUUUAGACAUUUAACACACAAAAAAAAUAAAAGAGAAAUUAUCUAAGCUUACCAUGUUAUCAAAAUUGCUACAAAAUUUUAAAUUUGUUCAAUUUUCCAAUCUAAGUUUAUGACCUCCAAGAUGUUACUUGCAGUUUGUAAUUAAUGAGUUCAUAAGGAUAAUUUAGACACUCAAUACGCAAAAUAAAAAAUAAAAUAAUGGCUUAAAACAUUAAAACAAAAAACUACAUUUUAUAAUUGAUAUUCAAUAAUACACAUAAAUUCUAUUUUUUUCUUAAUUAAAAAUAUUCUAAUUUAUUUUCUCAAUUUAUCAUCAUAAAUUUACAUUAAUAAACUAAAUCCACAAAUUACCCUAAACCCUAAUUCAUAAAUGCCCAAUCAAUCUAAUAGUUUAAUUCGAUUUCAUAAUUAAAAAAGCUAAAUUUAUUAUAUUAGUUAUGGUGUAAAGUCAAAAAUGCCCUUAAAUUCAAGGGUAAAAUAACAUUUUAUUUAAAUUCUAUAAAUUAUUCUAACAAUGUUAACAUAUUGGUGGACGGUUAAUAUAAGUUACAAACUUAAAAUAGAAAAUCAAAUAAAUUCAAAAUUUCAAACUAUUUUGGGCAAAUUUAGGACAUAUGGUUAAUAAUUUUCUCAUGUCUUUUUACAUUGGUUGGUAUAAGUUACAAACUUAAAAUAGAAAAUCAAAUAAAUUUAUAUUUUCAAACUAUUUAGGGCAAACUUAGGGUAUAUGGUUAAUAAUUUUUCUUUGUCUUUUUACGUUAAAUUGAGUUUCAAAGGUAAAAUGGUCAAUUUAUUAUAAUUAUGUUAAUGUUUUAGUGGAAGCAAACGAUAUAAUGGACGAAUGAUAUAAAUUGUAAAAUUAAGGUGCAUGAAUGAUACAACUUUAAAGUAUUGUAGUAAUUUUAAAAAUAGAACAAUUUAAGGGUGGAUUGGCAAUAAUUUAAACUUUAAUGAAGCAACUAAAAAACAUUUUUAACAAAAGAAAAAUAAUUGAAAUGCUUUAAGAAAAAUAAAAGAAAUUAAAUAUCUUUAUAAAAACAUAAUUGAGUAAAAUCAUUUUACAAAAUGCUCUUUCAAAUGCACAUUCCACAAGGCAGGGAGAACGGGUGGGUAACAAAAAUCUCACUUUUUAUGAGUUUAUAAAAUCUUACUUUCGCAGAAUCAAAAAAUAACCAAUACUAAUCACACAAAAAAUAAAAAUUAUUGUUGUCACGACAUUACGCACUUUCUUCGCUGUCUAGAAAUUAGAAAGCUAGAACAUUUUGAAGUUCCUCAAUACAAAAUGUGUGCUACUACUAAAUUGGCCCAAUUAAUGCCCAUCGAAAAGGCCAUCAAUUUAGCCGGCAAUUUUGUCAAAAUUUCAACAAUUGAAGAAAUAAUGAUCACAAACGGAACAGGUAAAUUUUGAAGUUGAAUAAAUCUUGAGAUACAUACAACAAAGCCUUGAAACUUUAUUCUUCACAAUUUGAGCACGCACUAAAUAUUAAACAAGUAUAGAACAAAGCUUAUUUUUAGCUUCUUGUGCGAACUGAAUACGCUGAAAUGUGUUUUUUUUUUUUUGGAUUUUUGGAAUUUUUUAAAAUCAUUUAUGUUCGCCGCCAUCUUUUUCUUCGCUGGCGUCUUCCUCUCUUGGCUGGCAUCUGCCUCGUCUGUAGUUUGCUGUGCCUAUAUAUCCAACCAAUAAAUUGGGCAUUAAAUACGAAUGAAUGAUGAAUAAAAUGAUAAAAAAAAAACAAACAGAGAAAAUUAUAAUAUAACACGUAUAUAUUGAAAGAGAAAUUUUGAUUUUAGGAUAGAUCAAUUAGCUAUCACAAACGAAAACAUGAACCAACUAUGUAUAGAGUCAAUUAAGUAAAGUUCUCAAGAGUUGACCUGUGCUCCUGAAUUCUUGGAAUCAUCUAUCUCCUUCUGAAUUUCCACGAAACUUGGGACAAUUAUUAACAUCUUCAUUGUAUGCAGAUGGAAAUGGGAUCUGAUAACCCGCAGGCCAAAAGUUGGCGAGCUUUGGUAAACCAAACAAUGUCAAGUUCCGAAGUUCAUUCAUAACAAUUUCAUUGUAAUCCGUGAUGUUUGCUCCAUCUUUAUGCCAGAAUACUUCUUCUAAUUCAUCAUUAGCUUCUAUCCAUAGGCCCUUCAGUUUUUGAAGACUUGGAGCUACGCUGAUAUGAAAUAGAUGCUUUAGCUUGGGGCAAUAAUGGACAGAGAUCCAUGUGAGUUUUGGGAAACAUACAGGUUGGAGAUGAUCCUCAUCCUCAUCCUCAUCGAUGAUUUGCUCUAAUUCCGAGCAAUAUAAAAUACGUAACUCCUCCAAUUGCAACAGAUUUCGAGCAAGUGUUGAUGAGAAGAGACGUCUCAGUGUAGUGCACCCGUCCACUCUUAAAUCGGUAAGACUUUGGAGGCUAAAAUUAUGAGUGGGACCUUCAUGAUAUAAUAAUACUUGCAGUUCUGGAAGGUUUUCCAACCACAACGACUUCAAACAUGGGAAUAGUUUGUUUUCUUGUUCCUCAGCGAUAAUAGCUUCCACUUGAAAUACCACAUAUACUCCAAGUUCUCCAAUACCCAAUGUUUCCAAAUUUUUAAAGCCAUGCUUCAACAGUGCUGGAAUCGUGUCACUCAAAUGGGAACAAUUGUCCACAUAUAGAUUUCGUAAUUUCUGAGACAAAUAAAUAAAUAACUUGAUGCAAUUAAAAUCUAUUAGCAGCUAGGAUUAUCACAUGAUAAGUGAUGAACACCGCAAAAAUAUCAUAAUACAUAUGUAAACUAAUAAAAUAAUUAAAAAGUAAUGGAUUAAAAAAAAUGAAAUUAGUUAAAAGAGAUCAUGUGAAGUGAUAUAAAUGUGACAUUAGAUUGUUUUAGAAAAAUUAUGGCUUGAUCAACUAUUUAAUUGAAUUUGAAUAAUAUUAUAUACACUUCAGAAGUAUUUGCAUCAAUUCUUUCUAAACUAAAAUGAGAUAUGAAUUUCAUUUGAAGAAUGGUUUUAGGCCCUAUAAUAAAGAAAUUUCCCUAAGAUAUCUGAGUAUUAUUAUUAUCAUUACCACAUCCACCACCACCAUCAUCAUCUCCAUAGGAUCAAAUAAUUAAUGGCUGAUCAUAAAAUUUAUUACUAAACUAUCAUUUUGAGUAAAAUUGAAUGAAAAGAAAAAACAUGAAUCCAAACAAACAUACCUCUUUGAGAUACUGCAAAUUGGCUUCAAGUUCAUUACUGUUGAUGGUCAAGUUGGGACAGUUAUGAAGGUUUAACUUUUCCAAUGCUGGCCAAAUUGAACAAUAAUUCUCUGAACAGAACUUGGUGAGUUCUGGGAGAUCUUCAAGUUUUAAUUUUCUCAACAAAGGGAGGGCGAGCAUCGUAUUUCCAUCUCCGACACUUAUUUCCCCUUCAUUAUGAUCAAACUUUGCUUCGACAAUAUAUUCCAGUCUCUCGCAUCCACUUACAUUGAGACUUUUAAGCUGCUCCAAACUUCUAGCUUGUGACAACGUGAAGAUAUAUGUCAACUUGUUGCACCUAUGCACAUUCAAUUUUGUAAGAGUUUGGAGACUAAUCACAUGUUGGGCGGGCGCCUUCCAUAUCCACUUCAGUUCUGGUAAGUCCCACAUAGAUAACUCUGCUAAUCUUGAGAGACUCUUUCCAUGCGGCGACUUAGAGGCUUCCAUUAUGCAUUCUAAAUCUUCGCAAUCGCAGACAUCAAGACAAGUCAACUCAUUUAAGCCCCUUUCAUCU